CCUUUUAUUCAAUACCAAACUUCUUUCUCAUCCACGUGACAAAGUCAUGGACCUUGCGGGGUCUUCGAGGGAAGACCCAUGUGCCCCUUCUACUCUAUACCAAACCUCUUUCUCAUCCCCAUGAUAAAGCCAUGGACCUUGUGUGGGUCUUCCAGAGAAGACGACACGCUCUCCUUUUCCAUGCACCUCUUGGUCCAAGCGAUCAACUUGGGGCACUCCGCCUCCAUGCUGAAGUUGCCAAAGGUCUCGUAUGCAUAAAACCAGCAAGAGAAGGUCACCAGAGCCACAUCUACAAACCCAAUUUUUUCACCACCGAAGUAAGGCUUCUCUCCAAGCUCUCCUUCCAAAAGCUUAAGGCACUCUAUGAAUUCCUUCUUGGCUGUUUCCUGCUCUUCUCCUUUGGUUGACCAUAUCUUCCUUCCAAGUUCAUAGAGCUGUGGAAAACAAUAAAGUCAAAGAAAUUUAUGUAUUCGCCUUGCUUGGGGAAAAAAGGUAUUCUUGAGAUCUGUUUUUCCUGAUGGAACGAACAGAAUUCGUAUUCAACAUAACAAAGAAAUUUAAACCCAUAUCAGAAAUGCAGAGUAGAGUCCUGUUGAACAAACAGCAAGGAGAAUCAGUAAAAGUUCUAGUUUGGAACCCCAAAGCCCACAAAACUCAAUAGCAGAAGGGAACGUGUGAAGAAACCCAGCAUUUUGGACAACUCCCUCACCAUAAUCAAAAUCUGAGUCAAUCGCCAUGAAUAAAUGGAAAAGAAUGCUUUAAAUCAACAGCAAAGGCAUACCUUCUUGUCUAUGUAGUCCGCCCAGAACCUGGCCUGAGCUCUCUGGUAUGGGUCACUAGGCAAAAGCGGAGAUUUAUCGCACCAAACCUCAUCAAUAUACUGAACUAUUAUCAGAGACUCACAAAUGGGCUUUCCAUUGUGGAUCAGAACUGGGAUUUUCUUAUGAACUGGGUUCAUCUCAAGAAGCAAAGGGCUCUUGUUCCACAGGUCCUCCUCUCUAUAUUCAUACUUGAGACCCUUCUCUGCCAGGGCAACUCUGACCCUCAUACCAAACAUGCUAGGCCAGAAAUCCAACAAGAUAAUCUCGUCUGCCAUUGCUACUAAUGUGAUUGAUAAGAUUCAAUCUCUUUAGUAUUGAUGAACAACACAGGGCAAAUUGCUGAGUAUUUAUAGCAAAUUUCAGAGAGUGGGUUAAACCCUUGGAUACUUCUAGGAGGUGGUGAUGCUCAUUCCUUAUCUCAGCUUUCAUUUUCAUUUUCCAUUCUAUCUGGGUUUCGUAUCUCCAGAAUUUGUGAAUUAUGCAAACUUUUGUUAUGGCAUGGUAAAAUAUAGAAGCGUCACGAUAGUUGGUUGCUUCCACGACAUCUCAUUGCUUUGAUCAUUCCACGUCAUCGCUUUCGCCAGCCCUGUCAAUUAAGUACACUGGUCCUCCGCAUAAUUUCCACCACAAAAAUGAUGUUGCAAGGAAAAAAAAUGAUAUUGUAGGGAAAAGAAAAUAGAACUUGUAUACUUUUAGAUCGACAAGUCACUAUUGGUCCCUUCCUUAGUUCUUAGAUUCCUGAAAUUAAAUAAAUAUUUAAACUUUAUGUGUAUUAUAAAUAUUUAAAAUUUCAGUGGUGAUUGUAUUUUUAUCUAAGAUCUAAUUUUUUUUUUAAUUUGAAUAAAUUAAGUAUUGUUAAAUAUUUAAAUUUUUUAUAUUUUAAUUAUUAGUAAAUGUUAAUAAAUAUUAAAUUACUGAUCUUUUACAUUACAAAAAUAUUUAUAAAAUAUAAUAUUUUAUUUCUUGUUAAAUUAGUUUGCAAUCCAGCAUAUUUUUUAAUAUUUAAAUAUCAUAAUUCAUUAACAUAUUAAAAUUUUAUAAUAAAUAAUUAUGUAAUUGAUAAGAAAUUGGUAGUAUGAUAAUAAGUAUAAUUAUGGGGUAUUUGGUAAACUCAAUAAUUAUUAUUUAAUGACUUAAGUUGAUUUUAAGUAAAAUUAUAUUUAAGUUAUUGACUUAAAACUUAUCACUUAAUUUUUACUUUAAAUAUUAAGGUUGUUUAAUAAAAUUAAUUUAAAAUUUAUUCUAAAUCAUCAAAUUGAUAUACUUAACCCCAUAAUUAUAAUGAGGGUAAAUGAGAUCGAGUAACGAUGGAAGUUGUAUAAUAGCAAAAGAAAUCGUGGAACUAAGAUAAAUGAGGGUAAAAAGAUAAAAUGAAAACAUGGAUUUAAGAAUAAAUUAAUUAUUUUUACUUAUUACUUAAAGUUGUUUUUUACUUUUAAGUUAUACCAUUAAAUUAUUUUACCAGCUGUAUUUAAUUUGUUUAAUAACUUGAAUUAAGUUAUUAAGUUGAUUUACCAAAUUCCCACUUAGACUUGUUAGAAACUAUUAGAACUUUUUCUAAGUUAGUAUAUGUUUAGAUUUGAAGAUUUGUGAUUGAAAUAUAUAUUCUUUUUUAAAUUAAUCAUUGAUUUUUGGAAUUUUAUCGGAGUAUCAACUUUUAAUUUAUAUUUUUUAAAAUUAUUAAUUCUAAUAAAUAUUUAGAUGAAUGUGAAUUAUGCUUUAGAAUUUUGAUUAAAAAAAUCUUAUUAGAAUUGAUAACUAUUUUUAUUUUUUAUAAAGCUGAAUUUUAAAAAUUUAUAUUAAAUAUUUUUCUAAUUUAAAUUUUAUGAUUUUUAGUGUAAUUUACUUUUUAAUUUUGAAUGAGUAAUCAAUAAUAAUUUGCGGAAUUCAAUUUUAUUAAGAAUGGGAUAAAUUAUGGGGUAAAAAUAAUGGAAACAUGUGGGGAUUUGAAAUUUUGUAAAUUUAUCUUUUAGCUAUCAAUUUAUGAGAAAAUUUUAAAUCUGAUUUUUCUUUAAAAAAAAUGAAAAAUGAAAAUGAAAAAAAAAAAACAAAAAAAAAAAUCAAAUAUAUUUGAUGCUUUUUGUGAAUGACAACUUUGUUAAUUUCUAAUAAAUUUAUUUCUCACUCAAAUUAUAUAAAAUUAACAUAGUUUAACUAUUUUUUAAAACAAGUUAUCUAUUCUUUUUUAAAGGAAUUUAGUUUAAAUUUUUGUGAAAAUUUGUAUUUAAGCAAGUACUCUUAAUUAAUGAUUAAAAGCUUUUUUAUUUUUUAGUUUUUCCCCAUAAAGAAUUAAAUAUUAUAAUUAAUCCUAGUUUUUUCAAACUCUUAUAAAUAGGAGACUUGGGUCAAUGAAAUGGAUACCUCAAAGUUAUUUUAGAAAUCUGUCUUUUCUCUAAUUCUAGUCUCUCCAAAAGAAAACUUUUUUUUAUCAUCUAAAAGGUAUGUGAUAAACUUCUACUUUUAUAUUAUUUUCUAUUUAAUUUAUCCUUUUUUCGAUGAAGAAACUAGAAAAUAUUUUUUUAUAGACAAAAAUUAUGAAAAAAAAAAAUCGCAACUAGAAGUUAUAAAAAAAAAUGUAAAAUAUGUACAAUUGUAUAGCUAGAGGUUAUAUGAGAAAUUAUAAAGUUAUAAAAAUAUAAAGAACGACUUACAUGUAAUUUCUAAUUUCUUUUAAUCAUAAUGAUAUAACCAAAUGUUACACAAAACAAAAUUGUAUAGUCAAAAGUUAAAUAAUGAAUAUUUCAUAGCCUAAAGAUGUAUACAAAUUUACACAUUUUUGUUAUGAUAAAAAUAAUCCAUAGCCAAAAACUAUGUAAGGUAUCAAUUUGUAAUUUUUAUUUUGUUAAUUCUACAUGAUGUUCAUGCAUUUCUUUUUUACCAUAUUUAUAAUAAUCCUUUAGCGAUAAAAUAUAACAAAAUCUUAAAUCAUUAUGCUUUUAUUAAUGAAUAUAAACCUGAUAAAAUAUUGUUAGAUAAUUUUAUUCAUUUAUUUAUAAUUUAUUUUGGUAAAUUGAAAUAUUAUUCUAAUUAAAUUAUUUCAAAUAUAGUUUUCAAAUAAUGUCAAAUCUUACCAAGUUUGAGUUUGUUACACUCCCUAUUUCAGGCAAAACUAUUUAUAUGGAUUUUAGAUGCUAAAAUUCACCUAAACGAUAUGAAUCUUGAAAAGACCAUUAAAGAAUAAAAUGAGGCAUCCUCACAAGAUCGCACUGGAGCAUUAAUAUUCCUUCAUUAUCACAUUGAUGAAGGAAUAAAAGGUGAAUUCCUUACAAUCAAAGAAUUUUCAUCCUUUGAAAUAAUCUAAUGGAAUGAUACUUUGAUCCUUUGGAAUAAUAUAACAUAAUGAUAUGGCCACCACGAGAUUAUAAUCCUUCCAAAAGCACAUCAUGAUUGGAUGCACUUGAGAUUACAAAAUUUCAAGUCUGUCAAUGACCACAACUCGACUUUAUUCAAAAGUUGUUCACAAUUUAUAUGGAGAAAAAAUCAUUAAAGAAUAUAUCCUUGAAAAGACAUUUACUAUUUUCCAUGCCUCGAAUGUACUCCUAUGGCAACAAUAUCAAGAGCAUAAUUUCACUAAAUAUUUUGAAUUAGUUUAAUGUCUUCUUAUGGCUAAACAAAAUAAUGAACUUCUACUUAAGAAUCAUCAAUCUCAUACUAUUAGGUCUGUGUCAUUACUUGAAGCAAAUGUCACAUCCGUCCAAGCUCCUAGACAUUGAGUUGGACUUGGACAUGAACAAGGCUAAGGACACAGUCAUGGUCAUGGUAAACAUAAUUCUUGGUACCAUGGUAAUUAUAGUCAUUAGAAUAGACAAAACAAUUCAAACCAUUAGAAGUGGAAUAAUUCAAAGGUGCAACCUAAAAAGGAUAUAUAUAUAUAUAUAAUCACAAAACAAACAUGAUAAUAAGAAUGAAUGCUAUAGAUAUGGUAUGAAAAGGAUGUAUGUAGGAUUUAGAAAUGACCUACGAGGAACAGGAAGACCUCAAAUUCAUUAUGAGGCUUCUAUAAUUUAAUAUUUAGACCCAAAUAAGAAUGGAUAGAACCAUGGUCCACCUUAAAAGAAAAGUUUUUUUUUUUUUUUGAAGAAUUUACAUACUUUUCUUAAGAAUGUACGUAUUUUUCUUAAGGAUGUACGUAGACUUUGAAAAUGACAAACGAGGAAUGGGCAGCCUCAAAAUUAUUACAAGGCUUCCAUAAAUUAAUAUUAAAAACCUAAAUAAGGCGAAAUAAGGUCACAAUCUGCUUUUAAAAAAACGCACAUAUUUUGUUUUUUUAAGAAUGUACAUGUUUUCCAUAAAAAUAUAUGUAUCUUUUCUUAAGAAUGUUCUUAAGGUUUAGAAAAGCCUAACAAGGAAAAGAAAGACCUCUAAUUCAUUCUCAGGCUUCCAUAAGUGAAUACCUAGACCUAAAUAAGGUCAAAUAGGAUUAUAGUCUUAAGAUAGAGCUCUUAAGAGCAUAACAUGGUGUAUUAAGUUUGAAAUUCAUUAUUUAUUUAAUGAUGUUCCCAUUUCACUUUUAUCUAUCUUUAUUCCAUGUAUUAUAUUUUAUGAGAAGUCUUGUCAGCAUCUUUUGCAUUGUACAUGACUUAGGUGCAUUAGGAGUUGCACAGAAGAUCUUUAAGCCAUGGGUUCCUUGCAAAUAAUUGACUUGUUCACAACCGGUUUAUGGGUCUAGGCAACCCUUUAGAAGUUGUAGUGCACCACCUCCUAAUUAGAGGGAUGGUUGGUCUUCGUUAUCGGGAUGGGUUUCCCAUGGUGAGUACACUACUAUGUAUGAUUACAUGUUGGACAAGACCUACGAUGAGCCAUGACUUAAGACUAUCAAGUAGUCAUGACCUCACCAAGCUACUUCAUUGUGUUAUCUCUCAACCUUGAGAGAAUAUCGAGAUUGUGUUAAAAUUAGCAAUGACUUUUACCUAUGAGUGAGAUCGUAAGUUGGAUCAUAUAUUCCCUAUGGAUUGGGUCACUGUUGAUGGAAGUCGGUAACAAUAGGUAUUCUCAAUAGACACCAUGAUAUCUCAUGGGAUUGAGACAACGUGUCCCCUUGGGUGAUCCUAAGGGGAUGUGUUCAUGGAAACUAUGGCCAUAAUAGUUCCUUAAGUAGAACUUGACACAGGCUCUUUGAGAGCUAAGACAUGUCAAUUGAAUAUACAAUAGGAGGAUUUGUAACUCAAGGAUAGUAGAGGUAGUCUUGAAAGGUUGAUAGCUUUCACCUUGUUAGGCUAGAACACCAGUUCAUGGGGAGAGUGAACACAAUGGAUACUAGGUCACAGACCCGAGUACAUAGUGUCUCGUUGUUAUUUACAUAGGAUAUUGGAGUUCAAUUGAUUCUUUGUAAUAAGAUGUUGAAUCAACUUCAUAAUUGGAUCCUGAGGGAGUUAGUACUCUUAUGGAUCCUAAUGGUCCCCGCUCUAAGCUUAUAUAUCUUUUUGGCAUAGUUAUGAGUGUCGAAUUGACUCUAGGUUCACUUUUGUGCAUAAGGGCAUUUCGAUAAUUAUGCAAGAUUGCAUAAGGGUAAGUGAACAAAGUCUAUAGAUUGAGCUAAUUAAUUAAUUAGUAGGCCCUAUUAGGUUAAUUAAUCCAUUAGGAUCCAUUUUGGGAUAAAUUAAGUUAUCCAAAUCCAUGUGGGCUCAAGUCACUUAAGCCUAGUUAGGAACCCUAUAAAUACCCCCUAGGGGUUAGAGUCUUCAUCACUUUUGUCUUCCACCAUUUAGACAGAAAGAGAGCAAUAGCCUCUACCUUUCGUUCUUCCCUAUUGAAAGUGUGCCAAGAAUAAAUUUGAGUCAUCAGGCAAAAGACCAUGGGUUUACGAGACUUCCAACAACUUCAAUGUCAUCUUCAACACUUGCAAUUUAAGGUUUGAAACAUCCAAACCUAAAGGUUAGCACUUUAACCAUAAAGAUCAAUUUAAAAAAAUAAAUAAAUAAAUUGGUAUUGUUUCCGUUCCUUAGAUCUACGAUGCCAACACACAGUUCGCUUGAAAAAAAUGCAAGUAUUUUCUUCAAAAUAUAUAUAUUUGUUCAGAAUGUAUGUAUUUUUGUAAAAGAUGUACCUUAGGUAGGGUUCCACCAUGCCAAAUGAGGUUUGGGAAGCUUUCAAAUACAUUUCGUAGAGUACAUAAGUCAAAUCUUAGACCCAAAUGAGUGUGAAUCUGUCAUGUUAAGUUGAAAUCAAAUGUACAUAUCUUUCUUAAGGUGUUAUAUUUUUCUAAAAAAUGAACUUAUGAGUGUUUAGCUAGGUUGGCAAUUCCGGAAAAAAUUUCUAAGUGUCCCCUAACUUGGUUUACCAAUCCCUCUUCGGACUACAUGACCUUUGAAGAUUAAGACUUUGCUAAAAGGUCGAGGUAUGUAGCCAAGUCUGUAGUGAUUAAAUGUGAGCCAACCCUAUUUUUUCAUCUUUAAAUGAGUAAAGAAAGCUGAGAGAAAUAUUGUUGGUGCAAGGCUUUUGUUCCCCUGUUUCUAGAUCGAUCCAGGUAUAGGGGCAAAUCAAUCCAACUAACCUAUUUUUAAGAUCAAUUUUCAACCUUUGGAUUAAGGUUUCACUCUCAUUUAAAAUCAAAUCUCCCCCAUUUCUGGAAAUGGUGACUGUAGUAUCCGUAAGAGAUUUUUUUUCUUUCCUCACCAUUUAGAAGGUGUUUACCUAUGAAGAAAAUCCAUCCAAGUUUUCCAAGAAUUUUUUUUAAAAAAAUGGAUUUUCUGAAAAUGAACAAGGGUUGAUUUCUAAAACAUUCAUAUUUCAUUCUCUUGGUUUUGUGCAAAAACCCAUUUUCUUCUUGUAUGAAUUCAAGAAGAAAUCGAGCUUAGUGCAAACUCCAAGUGUGUCCCGAAAGAAGAAGCUAAGAAGCUGAAAAUGAAGGUACUAGUCAAGUGGUUUGGGAAAGAUUGGUUGGCUUGAGCAAGGUAAAACCUUGUAUUCAGAUUUUAUUUUUCAUAGUGGAUGUUUUCAAUCAGUAAUAGGCCCGUGGUUUUUUAUCUCUUCGGAGAUUUUUCAUGUAAAUUUAUGGUGUCUCAUUGUCUCCCUUUCUCUUCUUAGCAUCAGUUUUCAAUUUCAACAAUUUAUUAUAAUUUUGAUUGUCUACUAUUUGAUUGAAUGAUGAAGAGAAAUGACUAUGAAUCAUCUUUGAAGUUGUUUCUAAUUGUUAAUCAUUGAUAUUUUGAGGUAUAUUGAUCUUGCUUUUAUCAAAAUUUAGUUUAAGUUGAUUUGGGUUUGGGAGUGUUAGAUCAUGUGCAUGUGAAUUACAUUUGAAUAUUGUUAGGGAGUGUUGUUGCAUUCAUAUAUGCAUGUGAUUUAUAAUUUGUGUUUUUGAGACUGUGUGAAGAGAAGAAAAAUAUUCAAAAAGUUUUAAGGUUUGCUAAUUUGAGUUGAGAUUUUGUUUAAUUGGUCAAAACACCUAUUCAACCUCCCUUAGGUGUAUUCCACUAUUGAGAUUCACCUUUUCAAUUGGUAUCAGAGAGGGUUUUUAAAGCAAAAAUCAUUUUCGAUCCUUAAAUCUCAAUCAGGGAACCUCAUUAAGAGGGAGCUUCCAUUAGAAGACCACCUUUCUUAACCAGUGAAAAUUUUUCUCAUUGAAAAGUGAGAAUGCAAUAUUUUCUCAAAAUGCAAAGUGAUAAAAUUUGGAAUGUCGUUGAAUUUGGUUAGUCUCCACCUAAGGUGUUAGAUAGAGAAGGUAAAUUAACAAAUGUUAUCAAGCCAAAAUUGAAAUGUGAUAGAAGUGAAAAUGAAGCAAGUGAGAAUAAAGCUAGAGCCAUGUUCUCCAUCUUCAAUGCCAUUAGUACGAAUGAAUUUCAUAGCAUUGCCACAUGCACUUUGGUUAAAGAAGGCUUAGGAUAUCCUCUAAGUGACUCAUGAAGGAACUAAUGUCGUGAAAAUGUCCAAGCUUCAAAUGUUGACAUCUAGGUUUGAGACCAUUAGGAUGGAUGAUCAUGAAACUUUUAGAGAAUUUCAUGCAAAAUUGAUGGAUAUUGUGAAUUCUAACUUCAAUCUAGGUGAAUCCAUCUCUAACUGAAAGAUAGUUAGAAAAAUUUUAAGAUCUCUUCCAGAUAAAUUUAGAGCUAANGUUACCGCCAUUGAAGAGUCUAAAGAUGUGGAUUCCUUGAAGAUAGAUGAACUUGUAGGUUCUCUCCAAACCUUUGAGAUGAUGCUUGUAUCACCUAGGAAAGCUAAGGGAAUUGCUUUAAAAGCUAUUAAAUAAGAGUCCCUAAGUUUCGAAAGUGAGAAUGAUGUCAAAGGGUGAGCUUACUAAGUUUACUAAAAAAAUUAAGAAGUACAUGAAAUUCAGAAAAUCCAAGAAAGAAUCAAAUGAUGGUAAAAAUGGAGGAACUCUAUUAGAAAAAAAGAAGAAUAUGGAGAAAUGUGUGAAAAAAGAGUUGGUGAUUGAGUGCUUUAAAUGUGGAGGAAAUGGGCAUUAUGCCGCCAAAUGUCCCUCAAAGAAAAAAAAAAUGAAAGAAGGUCAUGCAAGUCACUUGAAGCAACAUAGAAUCUUGUCAAUCAAGUGAAAAAGAAUCCAAUGGAAGUGAAGAAUACACUAACUUCAUAGCCUUUGCUGCAAGUGUCAAUGAGAAACCACUCAAGAAAGAGGUCUUAAGUGAGUCAUGAGUCAAGUGACUCCAAUGAUGAUGACAUGAAUUUUGACAUAGCAUAUGAGACUUUGUAUAAGGAAUGCUUGAGCCUUAAACAAGAACAAGUCAAGUGGAAGGCUUCUAAGAAUAUUCUAAUCAAUGAGAUUGAUGUCUUGAAGGGAGAAAAGAAGGCUUUGCUUGAAAAAAUUGGAUUUCUUGAAAAUGACCAUUUGGAAGUGAAAAAAAAAAUAUUAUGUAUUGAAAAGUGAAUCAAAUGUUCAAGGAUGAGUUAAGUCUUAAGAAGAAAGAAUCACAUCCUAGCUCUAAGAGGAUUAAUGAGUUGAUCAAUUUAAGGCGUAAAUCUUUUGAUAAACAAGGCUUAGGAUUUGUUGAUGCAAAUACUACUCCAAGUAGUGGUAAAACAAUUUUUGUUAAGCCUUGUGAAAAAUAAUAUCCUAAGAAAACUCAUUCUCAAAUCAAGUUUCAUUGCAAUCAUUGUGGCAAAAUGGGACACAUUUUUCAUAGAUGUUGUACAAGAUUGUUUGAUAACUUUCAAAGGAAGUUGACCAACCUAAUGAAUGAAUGUUAUGCUUUGAAGAAUAGGUUAUUGAAUGAGAAUAAGAGAGUGUCCAAGAAGUGCUCAAAGAUCCCUCAUAAUGGUGAGUUGAAAGGAAGCACUUUGAAUGAAAAGACAAGUCUCAAAUGUUAAACAAAUUUGGGUGUGAAUGAAUUAGUUGAAGUGUUUUGUUGUCCAUACCGCACUUAGAGCUAGUGAGUCACACUCAUGGCAUCUUGAUAGUAGAUGUUCACAUCAUAUGACUAGAAAUAAAUCUUUGUUCACUUCAUUCACUGAAUUUGAUGGAGGAAAUGUGACAUUUGGAGAUGGUAAUGUGGCUAGGGUGAAAGACAAAGGUACCAUUUGUGCCCCUGACAUUCCUAAUCUUGAAGAGGUCUUAUAUGAAGGUUUAAAGGCUAACUUAAUUAGCACAAGCCAAAUGUGUGGGAAUGAGUUCAAUGUAAAAUUUUCACAAACUUUUUGCAAGGUGUUUGACUUGAAUGAUGUAAGUGUGAUGAUUGGCUUGAGAACUUGUGAUAAUUGCUAUGUUGUUAGUAAAAAAUCUCCUUCAUCCUCUUCUCUCGUGUGUGGAAGUUCUAAAAUUGCAUGUGUUAAUCACUUGUUGCAACAUAGAUUGUUACAAAAUGAAAAAGAGCAUCCCAUUGUAAAAGUUAGGAUUGGUAGGGGGGAUUUGAUGAUGCCAAUGUUAUUGAUAGGCUAGAGAACCAUGUUCUUCAUUAUAGAUAAAAACAUGUGGACAUUAAGCAUCACUGCAUUCAAGACUUGGUAGAAGACAAGGUUGUUUACUAGAGGUUUUCCCUAUAGAGAGUCAAAUUGCUAACAAUGUUACUAAACCUUUGGACAUUUCUAGGUUUGAAUCACUUAGGAGCCCCAUAGGUUUAUAUAUUCUCUGUUUAACUGCCUCUAGAACUUGUCUAGGACUCCUCUUGCAUAUCCUUGAGUCCUAGUUGUCUUCCUAAGUUCCCAAAUAUCAUCAACUUGAUGUUCUUUUUGUUUUGGUUCAAUAUUUUCUCCAUUUUUCAUAAAUUUUCAACAAUUGUUGAGUUCAUGAGAGUGACAUGCUUAUUCAUUUUGUUUAAAAGUUAAAUUAACUCAUAAUGAUCUUAAAAGCUUCAAGAUGUAUUUAUCUCCAUGGCUUGUUUGAUAAACAUGAUAUUGAAUCCUUGCUAUUUUGAUUUGGUUAGAUAAACUACAAAUGAUUAGCUUCAUUUCUAUUAAGUGAGUAAGAGCUCAUUGUUGGACCUUGUGUUUGCAUAAUGGUGAAUAAUGCUCUUUAAAGUCUAAAUGAAAACUUAUACCCAUUUAAUGAGCUUUAAAGAGUGAGUAAAGACACCUGGAAUAUCCUUGAGAGGUUGAGAUGAUCAGUCUUUGAUUGUUUGUCCUCUCUUUGAAAUUAAUUUUUUUUUAAAUGAAAAAGAAAAGAAAAAGAAAAUAUGAAGUUUCCCGGAAUGGAUAUGGCUCCGUGGCAAUGUUUCAAGAAUUAAAAAGCCUCCAUUGCAAGAGUGGGACAUCCCUUAUGUUGUUAUGUUGUAAAGACAUCCUUAGAGAUCCUCAAGUCAAAAAUUGAUCUUAAGGGUAAAACUUAAAGCUUUGUAUUCCUUUCAAUGCUAAAUGUGAAAAGCAAAUAGUGUAUGAAUUUUAUUAAAGGGAUGUGAUUAGGUCAUGUUGAACAGAAAUCUGGCCAAGAGAGAUGCAAAUUGACUUUGAUUACUACUCAAAAAGUACUCUUUUAUAGCUUGAAACUAACUGUUUUAAACACUUUUGAGUAGUAGUUAAUACAUUUUAACUCAAUUGGCACAUUAAGAAACCUAGCAAGGGUUACUAAUCAAUUUUUCGCAAGUUUUGGUGUUUUUGGUAGCUAUUUGAUCAUUGAAACAAGCCAAGAAUGAGGGAGAAUUUUGUGAAAUCCAUGGCAAUGCAAGUUAAAGCUCAAAUACAUGAAGAAUCCAAGCUUUGGAGCACUUCAUAGCCCUUUUCCAAGCCAAUUAGAGAUGCAAGAAGGGAAACCAGAGGAAGAAAUCCAACAACCAGCAUUUCCGCAUGGCUGUGCGAAAUUUCGCACACCAUACGAAACCACUUGAGGCAACCAAAAAAUUUCUCACAUCAUGCGAAAUUUCCCAAGGUAUGCGAAAUCUUCCUGUGCACCAACUCCGUUAGAUUUUUAUCUCUAGAUAUUUUAUGUAAUUUCCUAUUUUCUCCUUAUAAUCAACUUAGAUAUUUUCAUAUAUAUUUUUUUAUAUAUUUAGUGUGUGUAACAUCUUUUGAUAUAGACACACAGGGAUGUAAUCAGAGAACGCUUGUAAAUUCCCCGUAGUAAGAAAUAUACAAAGCUUUUGCUCUGUCUUUUCUUUUCAUUUUGUUUUCACUCUUCUUUCUAGUCAAACAACCUCUAAGGAUGAUUUCUCAGGGGAUGAGUGGCUAGGUUUUACGUUUCUUGGAGCUAUGGAAGCUAGGUGAAGGACUCGAAUGCAAAGAUGGGAGUUGUCCUUACUCUAAAUGAAAGUAGUUGUUAACCAUUAAUGGUUUUUAUUUUAAGGUUUAGCUUUAAAUCCCUUAAAAGCACCUUGAAUGGCCAAUACUUGGUAAGCUUUUUGAAUUCUAUGGAUGCUUAGUGCUAGAUCCAUGGAUGUCUAUUAGUUAUCAUUUAUGAGCUAUUGGAAGGUGGUUCAAGGUGAGAGUCUUUAGUGUGUCAAGCCAUUAAUGGGAAGCAACUAUUAUUUUUCAUGAACCCUUUGGAUCAAAUCUUAAUUGCUAAAAAUAAAAUCGGUUCGGGAGAUAACCAUCCUUAUAUUAUUGUCCCCAACGCGAGGAAAAGAUCCGGAAUCUCCCCCUUUGUCUAAGGAACCCAAUCCUAGUGACCUAAAGCUCCAAGAGACCUUUUCUUUGUAGUCAACUUCACCUAUUAUUUUUGCUUAACUUAAAAUCAAUCUUUGCAACCACAAUUCCAUUUUCUUUAAAAGCUAAUUUUCAUAAGGAAAAACACCAUUUUAUUUCCUUCACUAAAGUCAAUUGUACGAUGAAAACCCAUCCUUGUGGACGAUCCUAGAGCCACUAUACUAUGUUAGCUAUGCUACCCUAGUGUGAGGUGAUUUAGGUUUUAUAAAUUUUGUUGAUAACACCCGUCUAAGCCAGAAUCAAAUGGCAUGACUACAAUGGGGAUGAAUCAGACUUCUUGGAACAUUAUCUUGAAUUUCUCUAGGAAGGAAGAGUAUCUUGAAAAUGAUUUUUGGCUCAUAAAUGAAUAUAGGUUUCUAAGUGGAAAUUAUUUAACAUUAUCACCAUUUUAUGGUGUCAUGAGUGAGUUUUUUUUAGCUUAAGCUUCCUUGUUAGAGUGUUGAUAAUCAUUUGUUUUUUACCUAUUCAUUUGAUAAAUUUGGAAAGUACUUCAAUCUCUAUGUUUAUUAAUUUUGUCUAUUGUUAUGUUCUUGGAAGCAUUUUUGUUCAAUGUGAAUCAAUUCUAACUCAUUAAUUGAAAGAUAAGUAUGUCAUCCUAUUGUAUCUCAUCUUUGGUCGAUCAAUUUUCAUUUUUUGGAAAGCCUAUUCGUGUAUUUCUUGUGAUUUUUCGAUAGUUUUUGCCUAAGUCAUUUUUCAAUUGGGUGUCGAUCGAUCUACUGAAUUUGUGGAUCGAUCCAUUAUGUGCACAAUGUAGUGACCGAGAGCCCUUGAAUGAAUCUUGGAUCGAUCCACCAAGAUCGAUACCACCUAGUACUUGUCUCUCACACACUUAGCCAUUUUUUUCAAAUUUGGUUUGUUCAAACCUAUGUGACUGUGUAUCAUCAAGAGCACAAUUGAAAAUUGGAUCGAUCCACCAAGGUCGAUACCACAUAUGCAUUUGUGAAAAAUUCCAUUUUUGCCCCCAACUAGUUAUACUCAUAUGGUUUAAUGGAUGAGGGGUAUUUUCAUAAUUAAAAGUAAAAAAUUGAAAAAGUCAAAAUUCCUAAAUCUGUUUUUCCCAAUUCAUUUCUUUCAAAAGCCCUAGGUCUUUUGUUUCAAAGAAGAGAACUUCUCUACUCUAAGCUUCUCUUUAGCCAUCAUCGUCGAUCCAUCAUUCUGGCCACUACCAUCAAAAGUCUCUACCACUAGAAACCUUUAUCGUCAGACUUCCUUAUCUGGUGAGCGUUUCAGGUCUGGCCAAUCCCACUAGACAGCCUCGUCAAAUAGCCUAGAAUUGUUGUGUUGCUCAACUCAUGUCAUCAGCUUGUGUGUCUCUUCUUAGUGCGUCGGUGUUUUCGAAAAUUGCCUUCUACAUAGUAUGUGUUGGCUAGGACCUCCUGUGUGCAUCACUAGAUUGUAUCUCAUUCAAUUGGGAUUCCAUUCCAGCAGUUGGAAAUUCCAAUCAGCCCUUAGGACUGUGUUUUUCACAGCACAAUCAACACAACGCAAUCUACACUUCUGGAAAUUGUGUUCUACAUAGCCCAUUUCUCUUGUUUUUUUUUCUACUAUUUUCCAAUGUCCGUGUCUUCAAUGCAACUUAUUUGCAAGAGUUCUCAUUUCCGGCAACCAUUAUUGUUUGAUUUAUCCAUUUUUUUCUCUUCUAUUAGUCUCAUUUGGAACUUCUCUGCUCUAAGCUUCUCUUUAGCCAUCAUCGUCGGUCCAUCAUUCCGGCCACUACCAUCAAAAGUCUCUACCACUGGAAACCUUUAUCGUCAGACUUCCCUAUCUGGUGAGCGUUUCAAGUCUGGCCAAUCCCACUAGACAGCCUCGUCAAAUAGCCUAGAAUUGUUGUGUUGCUCAGCUCAUGUCGUCGGCAUGUGUGUUUCUUCUUAGUGCGUCGGUGUUUUCAAAAAUUGCCUUCUACAUAGUAUGUGUUGGCUAGGACCUCCUGUGUGCAUCACUAGAUUGUAUCUCAUGCAAUUGGGAUUCUGUUCCAGCAGUUGGAAAUUCCAAUCAGCCCUUAGGACUGUGUUUUUCACAGUACAAUGAACACAACGCAAUCUACACUUCUGGAAAUUGUGUUCUACAUAACCCAUUUCUCUUAUUUUUUUCUCUACUAUUUUCCAAUGUUCGUGUUCUCAAUGCAACUUAUUUGCAAGAGUUCUCAUUUCCGAAAACCAUUAUUGUUUGAUUUAUCUAUUCUUCUCUCUUCUAUUAGUCUCAUUUGGAUUAUUUAUUUAUUUAUUUAUUUUUAUUUUUUUGUAGAGUCCUCUCACAGUAGUUUUAAUAGUUUGAGAUUUCAUUUUUGCCUUGGAGUGUUCCUAGUUUCUAGGAAUGCUAAUCCUAGGCUUUGGUUGUUCAUUUUGAGUGGUCUUCAUACAUUUUCAUGCUUGAAAUCUAUUUUCAUGGUGAUAAAGCAUUUUUUGAAAGUUUUUAAUUGAAACCAUGUGAUAGGAUUCAAGAGGAGAUUCUCAUAUCCUGUGAUGGGAGUCAAGGGAAGAUUCUUGUAUCCUAUAAUUUUUUUUUCUGGAAUGUUGAUAUGGAUACUUGGUGAUAUGUGAAUAUUUGAUUUUUGGGUAUUUGACAUUUUGUUGAAAAGUGGAUGUUUGUUGAUUUGGAUGUGAGAUAUUCUGCUAUUGAAUUCUCAUCCAUUUGUCGUUUUUCUUGGAUAGAAAAUGGGAAAUUAUAACUUUUUGUCUCCUGCUAGGACAAAAAGGAGAAAACAUUUUACAUGGAUGUUGAUAUGACAUGUAGUUGAUCAUGACGGCUUCUUUGUGUUUUGUUGCUUUGGAUAUUUGAUAUGUUGAUCAUGAUCACCUUUUUUGUAUAUUGAUGGAUAUUUGACACGUUUUUGAACUCAUGAAUGCAUAUUAAUUAUCUUUAGACAAGUUAUUUUUGUGGAUAUAUGUGGAUAUUUGUGUGUCAAUUCAUUUGAAACUUAUGGAAGUGUCUUGGUAAUAUGUGCAAGUGCUACUAAUGUUUUUUCUUGAGAUUUAUUUGCAGGAUUUGUAGUACCUUUAGUUAGGUUUUGAGUGAGUGAGUGGCCUUGUAUGAGAGUUGGGUGGGACUUACUUGUAUUCAUUUGUGUUGUAAAGGGUUUUGUCCCAGAAUUUUCAAAUGGGGAGAUUUUGAGUGUUUAGCUAGGUUGGUAAUUCCGGACAAAAUUCCUAAGUGUCCCCUAACUCGGUUUACAAAUCCCUCUUCGAACUACUUGACCUUUGAAGAUUAAAACUUUGCUAAGAGGCUGAGGUAUGUAGCCGAGUGUGUGGUGAUUGAAUGUGAAUCAACCCUGUUUUUUCAUCUUUAAAUGAGUUAAGAAAACAAGGAGAAAUAUUGUUAGUGCAAGGCUUUUGUUCCCCUUAUUAUGGAUUGAUCUAGGUGCAAGGGCAAAUUGAUCCAACUAACCUAUUUUUAAGAUCAAUUUUCAACCCUUGGAUUAAGGGUUUCUUUCUCAUUUAAAAUCAAAUAUCUCCCAUCUCUAGAAGUGGUGACUACAACAACUAUGAGAGAGUUUUUUCUUUCUUCACCAUUUUAAGGGUGUUUACCUACGAAGAAAAUCCAUCCAAGUUUUCUAAGAAAUUUUUUUAAAAUGGAUUUUCUGAAAAAAAAAAAAAAAAAAAAAAAAAACAUAGGGUGAUUUUUGAAACAUUCAUAUGUAAUUCUCUUGGUUUUGCGCAAAAACCCUUUUUUUUUCUUAUGUGAAUUCAAGAAGAGGCCGAGAUCGAGCUUGGUGUAGACUCCAAAUGUGCUCUAAAAUAAGAAUGUGAGAAAGUGAAAGUGAAGGUACUAGUCAAGUGGUCCGGGAAGGAUUGGUUGGCUUGAGCUAGGUAAAACCUUGUAUUUAGUUUUUAUUCUUCAUAGUAGAUGUUUUCAAUUGAUAAUAGGCCCAUGGUUUUUUAUCUCUUCGAAAAAUUUUCAUGUAAAUUUAUGGUGUCUCAUUGUCUCAUUUUCUCUUCUUAGCAUCAUUUUUUAGUUUCAACAAUUUAUUAUAAUUUUGAUUGUCUAGUAUUUGAUUGAAUGAUAAAGAGAAAUGGCUAUGAAUCAUCUUUGAAGUUGUUUCUAAUUGUUAAUCAUUGAUAUUUUGAGGUAUAUUGAUCUUGUUUUUAUCAUAAUUUAGUUUAAGUUGAUUUGGGUUUGGGAGUAUUAGAUCAUGUGCAUGUGAAUUUCAUUUGAAUAUUGUUGGGGAGUGUUGUUGCAUUCAUAUAUUCAUUUGAUUUAUAAUUUGUUUUUGAGACUAUGUGAAGAGAAGAAAAAUAUUCAAGAAGUUUUAAGGUUUACUAAUUUGAGUUGAGAUUUUGUUUAAUUGGUCAAAACACCUAUUCAACCCCUUUAGGUGUAUUCCACUAUUGAGAUUCGCCUUUUCAGAACCUAUACUUCUACCAUGCUACAUGAAGUUUUGGAAGGCAUAAAAUACAUUUUGAGGCAUAUAUAAGUCAAAUCUUAUAUCCAAAUUAGGUUGAAUUGGGUCAUGGUUAACCUCAAAUCAAAUAUAUGCAUUUUUCUUACGAAUGUAUAUAUAUAUAUAUAUAUAUAUAUAUAUUUAAGAAUAUAGUUAUUAUUGUAAAGGAUGUAUUUUUUCUUAAGAAUAUACUUUUUUUUGUAACAGAUGUACCUAGGGUUCUCCCAUGCCAAAUAGGGUUUGGGAAUGCAUCAUGAGGUAUAUAAAAGUUAAAAUUUAGACUCAAAAUAGGUCGAAUAAGGGAAUGAUUCAACUCAAAUCAGAUGUAAAUACUUUUCUAAACUUUUAUGCAUUUUUUUAAAGCAUGUACACAAAGUUAUAUCAUGUUGAAUAGGGUAUAAGAAGACCUCAAAUGCAUUCCAAGACCUACAUAAGUGAAAUCCCACACCCGAAUUAGGUUGAAUGAGGAUAAGAAUCCACAAUGAAAUGAAAUGUACAUGUUUUUAUACUAGAUGUACCUAUUUUUCUAAAGGAUGUACUUAUUUUUAAAAAAAAGAUAUAUGUAUUUUAAGAAAUAUAAAAUUUAAUUAAAGAAAUGUUAAUACAAUUUUUAUGAAAAUAAUUUUUUUUCUAUUUUAUGUAUAUAAAAAAGUUAAAGAUUUUAAUUAAAAAGUUAGAACCAUGAUCAAUUUUAAAUCAUAUGAAAAAUUAAAACGAAUGUUAAUAUGAAAGUUCAAAAAUUUAAAUUAAAAUGAUAUAACAAAAAUAUUUUUAGUUUAUUUAAAUGUUAUAAUUUUACAUGCCCUAUCAAUGUCUUGUCAAAUUUUUUUAGUACAAAAUGGAAUAAUAAGUGAAUACUCUUUUAUUUCUUUAAUACAAAAAAUACAAACCAAGCAUCUCUCAAAAUCUUGUUCCUUGCUCUUGAAUAUAAAGUAAGAUAAGCUCGUGAACUUAUUCACAGUAAAAGUUUUGCUAACCUACAGUCACGCAACACAUGAAGGCAUUAUUCGACUUUAUUCAGGCAUCGAACACAAUUCGGCAAAGCUGCUAUAUGUCUUUUGAAGUGAUUUUCAUUUGUCAGCAACUUGUUGUGCAAAGCCAGCCACAAAAAGGAUCUAAUCCUUUGGGAACCCCUUCAUUUCCACAAGGCCAUCCAAUUCUUAUUCAAUUCUAUCCAGCAACUCUCUUCAAUCAGUUCAUAAGUCGACUUGGUAGUUGACAACGCUGACAUGAAGGCCAAAAAUAGUGGAGGAUUGUACAAGAGCACAUAGCACUUGACCCAAAUUCUCAAAAUUUGCUGUUGAAAAGUUUUUAGCCUAUUUGGCCAUUUCAUUAAAAAAAAAAAUUUAAAUUAAAAAAAAACUAUUUUUAAAAAUUCAUAAAAUUGUUUGUUAGUUGUUUUCUAUUUGUAAUUUUUAAAAAUAAAGUGAAAUAAAAAAACAUAUUUUAUAAAACAAAUAGAAAUUGUUUUCACCAAUUUUUAAAGACAAAAGAAAAAUAUAGAGGAAUUAAAAAAACUAUAAAAACCAAAUAAGAUUGAAGAUGAUAUCAUUCUUCUUUACCUCUUUCUACUAUCUAAUACUGAUACUGAAAAUCUUCAAAUAUAAUAUUCUUUUAAAUUACAUGUGUUUUUAUGAAUUUCAUUUAAUUUAAGAAAUUUUUCAUUGAUAAAAUAAAUUCUAAAUCAAAUUAUACUUUAUACAUAAAAUUUACUAAUGUUUAAAAAUAACUUAAAAGUUAAAAACUGAUUUAGUUAGUACUAUAAAGUCAUGAAACUCACUAACAUUGGAAUGCCAUAUAGCAAAAUUCAUUUGAAUGUCUUGGCUAGUUUUUUCUUUGCAUAUAAUCAUAUUUUUACAAUUUUUUUCACUUAGUAAAUAAUCACCAAAUCAAGUAUGACUUAAUGCAUUGAAUUUAUUAACAAGUCUAAGUAAUUCUUAAAAAUAAAUUGAAACGCAAAUAGUGAUCCAAUUAAUACCAUAAAUUUAUGGACAAAAAUUGAACUUGAAUGACUUUAUUGUUUCCAAUUUUGUUUCAUUGGACAAAUAAACUUAAAAUUAAACCAAACUUAAUGUGUUGAAUUCAUUAAUAAAUUUAGUAAUUUCUAAAAAAAACUUAAAACUCAAACAAUGAUGUAAUUAAUAUUAAAAAUUUAUUGAUGAAAAUUGGUCUAAAACUACUCUAUUAUUUUUCUUCUACAUGGAAUCAUAUUUUCCCAAUUUUAUUUUACUAUAUAAAUAAACUCAAAAUUAAACAAAACUUAACAGUCUAGUAAUUUUUAAAUUAGAAUAAUAUUUGAAAUAAUUUAAUUAGAAUAAUAUUGAUUCGACUCAUGGUAGCUUAGCUUUAAAGGCGUAUCAACAAAAUUUAUACCUUGAAUACUAUUACUAAAGUAGCCAAGCUACUAUAGCAUAGUGGUUCUAGGAUCGUUCACUGGGAAGGGUUUUCGCAAACACAAGUGAUAUUCAAAUUAGGAAAAUAGGUGAUUUUCUUAUGGAUGUUAGCUUUAAAAGAAGAUGUAAAUGUUUUAGAAAGAUUUAAACUAAUCUAAGCUAACAUUAAAGACUAAAAUGAAAGGGUGUAAAAACAAGUUUCUCAAAGAUAGGAUAGCUAUGCUCUGGCUCUUAUGCAAAUUGGAAAUCUCAGGAUAGGCUCCUCGCGUUGGGGUUGCAACUAUGGUGAUGCUUGCUUCCCGAACCGGUAUGGAUUUAGCAAAUCAAGUUUUAAUCCUUUAAAAUGGCAAAACAGAUGGUAGUGAAUUUCAUCAAUGGUUAUUCACCUUAGACUUCCUUUGAAUGGCUCGUAAGAGAUAACUAAUGGUCUAAAGCCAAAAGCUUACCAAAUAUUGGCAACUCAAAGUCAUUCCAGGUGAUAAACUUACCUUUCAAUGGCCAUUGAAAUUGGUUCUAACGGAUUAAUGCAAAACUUGGAAUUGAAAACCUCACCUUCCAAUAGCUCGUAGGAGAUAACUAAUGGAUAGUAAUCCAAAAGCUUAUCAAGUAUUGGCCGUUGGAAGUUGUCCAAAGGAAAUAAAAACCAAACUUUGCAUUAAUGAACCUUUAAUGAAAAACGACUACCUUACCUUCCAGGUGCGAGAAAUUUCCAUGGGAGUGCAUCCAAGCCAUCACAUAACAUCCAUACUUUGAGAAACUAAAAGUUUUAGCCAAUCAUCCUCUGAGGAAAAGCCCUCAGAGGCUGUUUGGCUACUAAGAAAAUAGAAACAGGGAAGAACAGGAGAAAAGAGCAAAACAGAGCAAGGCUCUGUAUAUUCUAUAUAUUGAUCGAUUUAUAAUUACAACGGAUGCAAGGGAAUAUAUAUAGAGAAGUUUUUCCAAUCCUUCCUAGCUAAGAAAUCUUAUGAUUCGUGGAUUACAAGGAGAAGAAUGGAAAUUUAUACAAAAAUAUCUAAAAGAAAAGAUCUCGUGUGGAGUCGGUAGAAACAGGGGAAAAUUCGCACGUUGGAGUUCCAAUUUCGCACGUUGAUUUGAGGUGUGCGAAAUUCUCGCACAGUGGACUGAGGAAUUCGCACCUUGAACAGUGGUGUGCGAAAUUGUCCCUCAGCUUGAUGCAGUUGUCUUCCGAAGGCCAUAUCUUUCUCAAUUCAGCUCCAAAUCGUACAUGGUUUGAACCGUUGGAUUCUUGACUUUCUGAGCUUUGAAAUGGUAUAUAGCAUGUAGAAAAUGGACUUCGGGAAGUGCUCCAAAAGUGCCAAAGAAGACUGCAGUUGCUGUCCUCUGUUUUCCUCUUUGCUUCUUUUUGCUUCUCUUUCCUCUUCUCCAUUGUUCUUUCCUUGCAUACUUUGAACGAAUUUGGCAAAGGGCUAUGGAGCUCCAAAGCUUGGUUCUUCAUGAAUUUGAGCUUCCAAAAGCUUUGCCAUAACUUGUCCAAGUAGCUCCUCUAUCAUUUGGCAUGCUUGAAUUGAUUCAUAAGCUGAUAUAAACAUGUAAACUUGCCACAAAAUGGUUAAAACCAAUUACUAAGGACCUUAAUGAAUUAAUUGGGUUAAAUGAAUAUGAUUACUACGCAAAGGUGCUUAAAACCAUUAUAAUUAGGUCUACAAAAUAACACUUUUUGGUAGUAAUCAAAUAUUUUAAUUUAUUAAAAUAAAUCAUAAAUAAAUGAAUAAAAUUAUCUAACAAUAUUUUAUCAAGUUAAUAUUUGUUAAUAAAACUAUAACAAUUUAAGAUUUUGUUAGAUUUUAUCGCUAUAGGAUUAUUAUAAAUGUGGUUUAAAAAAAUGCAUGAACAUCAUGUAAUAUUAACAAAAUAAAAAUUACGAAUUGAUCGCUCUAUGGAUUAUUUUUAUCAUAACAAAAAUGUGUAAAAUUGUAUACACCUUUUAGGCUAUGAAAUAUUCAUUAUCUAACUUAUGAGUGUACAAUUUUGUUUUCUCUAACUUUUGAUUAUACAUUAUAAUUAAAAGAAAUUAGAAAUUACAUUGAAGGUUGUUUUUUAGAUUUUUUUUAACUUUAUAAUUUAUAAUAUAAACUCCAGCUAUACAAUUGUAUAUAUUUUUUAUAACUUCUAGUUGUGAUCUACAAUGACUCUAUUGUUUCUCUUCUAUAUGAAACUAUAUUUUUUAUUUAUUUAUUUCACUAGACAAAUAAAAUCCAAAUUAAACAAAACUUAAUCCCUUAAAAUAAUUAAUGAGUUUAGUAAUUUUUAAAAUAACUUAAAACUUAAAUAGUGGUUCAAUUAAUAUUAAAAAUUUAUGGAUAAAAAUUGGGUUUUAAUGAGUCUACUUUUUUUCUAUACAUACUUAUAUUUUUAUAAAUUUUUUUAUUAAAGAAUAAACUUCAAAUCAAGUAAUUGAAUUCACUAACAGGUUAAUUUUUUUAUUUUUUUUUAAGUUACAACCUAGUAAAUAGAUCUAAUCACUAUAAGAAAUAAUAUAUGAAAACCAAUUGUAGACCCCAAAAUUUGUCCUAAUUUUAUUUUUACAUUGAUAUUGAGUUCAAUUUUAUCCUUAGAUUUAAAUUUCGAUUACAUCUUAAUUGUUUAACCCACUUACACUAUUUUUUUUAUUUUUUCUCUCAUCUCUCCUCUCUCUUCAUCUUUCUCCUCAUUCUACCUACUCCACCUACUUCCCUUACCCAUUUCCUUCUCUUACACGUCUAAGCCACUCCCCAUACCCCCUCCAAGCUUUUUUUUUUUUUUUUUAUCAUCUUUCUCUACUCUCCUCUCUUCACUUUUUUUUUCUCUCCAUCAUUCCUUCUUCGGGCUCCCUUCCAACACCACAACCACUCCACAACCCACACACCAGACACGGUCAACUUCCCCAUCUCCUCUCUUCCUUCUUUCUUUUUUUUUUUUCCUUCCCCUCAACUCUCACACAUGACGGUCCCCAUUUUCUCUUUCAUUUCUUUUCUCCUUCUCACAGUCCUUCCCUCUACAUUGCCAUUUUCCAAAAACUCCCACUGUCACACGCUCCCCAUCUUCCUUCAUUUUUUUUUCCUGUUUUUUUUCUCUUCUUUCUUCUUUCCUUUUCCCCUCUCCACACUCCACGGCCACUAUUGGCCCUCCACUGCCCGCCACUACCAGUAGCCACUGCCAACAACCACCACCCGCCACUGUCUGCCAGUCAUUGCCAACUAGCAAUCCUACCAUCCAUAGUUCUAAAAAAAAUGGGUAAAUUUCUGAGAAGAAAAAGGCUAUGCUUAGUUAAGAAAAACACCCAAAAGGGAGGGUGAAUUGGGUUUUUAAAAUCUUUUCAAUCACAACAAAUUUAAACAAAAUAUAAGCAAAGCAAAGAGAUAGAGUUUAGAGAAUUCAAACUCGGGUUUAUAGUGGUUUGGCACUUCCUUGCCUACGUCCACUCUCUUCAACCUCCUAACCGAGUGAGGAUUCCACUAACUUGAAGCUUCAACCAAGCUUCCAAUCUUCUUACACUUGGAUUCCGGUUUCAAUGGGCUCUUACACAACCUCUUCAAGAUUCAACCCUUUUGAAGGCUUUAACACUUAGAUUGUUACAAGAUAUAAUCACUCAACCUAGCUUAAAGAUGGCUCAAAUACAAGACAAAGCUAGGAUGACAAACAAGAGUGCACUAAAGGAUAUGCAAGUGGUGAUUUAAUGCACUAUGAAAUAAAUGAGAGCUUUUUUUAUCAAGAACAGGUAGGUAGGCUUUGAAUGCAAGUGUUAUCUUCACAAUAAAUGAAGUGGAGCUCUCAAUUUAUAGGUUUCUAAGCUCGGGAGUCAAAAACAACAAAAGGCAACCUCGACCGGUUCACUAGCCGUUGAAGCAUUUAAUGCAUGACAGGUUACCGUUGCCUCAACCGGACCUCGAUCAAUAAGGGAAUCACCUCGACCGGGAAGAGAAGGCUACUGGGAGAGAGAGAAGGUUUUUGACCUUCCUCGACUGGACGACCUCAACCGGUUCUCGACCGGACGACCUCAACCGGUCGACCAGUUCCUCAACCGGUUGACCGGUUGGCCAUAGCCUCGACCGAUUGAGCCUUUUUGGCCCCGAAAAACCUAUUUUUUUAUUUCUUUCUUUUCUAACACUUAGGCAAGGUCUUUAGGUAAAUUAUUAAGCCAAUUUUGAAACAUUUUGCCUAAGGUAAAUUAGUUAAAAACUCGGGUUUUAAUGAAAUCGAUGUUUUAAAGAAUAAACCGAGUUUUCUAAGAUGCAUGAAACGUAUGAAAAUCCUAAGUGCACUCAUGCAUUCAUCUUACAUUAGGUUCCUAUGAUCACAAGUCUUCCAAGCGUCUCGAUCUUGUAUGCAUUUGGUCUUUUGAUGAAUUUUUGAGUUUAUACCUGAGAUUCUUAGACAUUAAACCAAUUAGUCACUUAACCAUGGUUUGUUAUCAUCAAAACCCGAUUAGGAGAACCCUUGGGCUAACAAUUUCCUUUUUACUUUAUUUUAUUUUGAUUUUUGUAUCUUUAUUUUUUUAUUUUCGUUUGCACAGUAAUUGAUUUAGACUUGGAUCUAUUGCUUAUUAGUUAUUUAUUUGGGCUUAUUGGAUUGGGUUUGAGAUAUUAUUUUCUUUGGUCAUGUGUAUUAUUAAUGUGGGUUUGUUGAUUGAUAUGAAUUUUUGACCCAUAAUGUGGGUAUGAAUUUUGGGCCCACAAUGUUGGUGGAAUUUGAUUGAUGACUUGAAUAUUUGAUAUGAGCCUGACCAAUUUAAACUAUUUAAUUUGGAUAUGGGACAAUUAUGGUGUAUAUUAAAUUAGGCUUGGAUUAUGAGAUAUUAAAUUUAGGCCUAAUUGAAUUUAUUUUAUUUUGUGAUAUUUUGGGCUUGGCUAAUUGUGUUGUAUUUUGAUUAUUAAUUUGAAAAUUUUGGAUUAAGAUUUAUAGCAUGUGAGAUGUUUUUGUUAGGUUAUAUUUGUUCAUUUGUGCCCAUUUUGAUUGACAAAAUUUAUGAGACUAAUUUGAAAUUUGAAUUUGAGUUUGAAUAUUUGUUUGGGAUUUUGUACAUCUUUGGAUAUUUACAUUUGAGCUAUUUUGUUUUUGCAUGGGCCUAUUCUACAAUUCUGUUGGCUGAGUACAAAUUUAUGAUACACGGAGCACGAAAUUUUAUGGAAGAAUAAAAAAGUUGUAUGAAGACAUUAAACUAGUUAUAAGCUUAUUUGGGUACACAUUUUAUUUCCCACUUUUAUUUGAUUUUAUUUCUAUUAGUUCUUGUAAAUAUUCGUUUGUAUAUAUUUAUUGUGUACAGAAUUGAAUAUUUAACAAAUCAAAAUUUUCAUUUAAAUAAGAGGAAUAAUUCAGUAAAUAUGUUCUAAUAAAAUAAUAAUUUUAAAAUAUUCUUCUUAAUAAAAGAAAGUUUUUUUUAUUAAUAAAAAUUCAUAAAAAUGCUUUUAGAAAAAUUCAAAAAAAUUGUUUUUAAUAGAAUUUGAAAAAUUAUUUUUAAUAAUAAUUGUCCAAAAAUGUCUUUGUUUAAUAAAAAUUGUCCAAAAAUUGUUUUGUAAAUAAAGUUGUCCCAAAAAUUAAUUUUUAAUUAAAAAUUCUUUUGCAAAUAAAGUUAUAUUCUUUUUAAUAAUUUGUACAAGUCACUUUUCUUUUACUACAAGAAAACUUAUUUUUCCUGACAAAAAUUUAGGGGCGAAUUGUAAUUUUGUCGCUAAAAAUUACUUUUACCGAUGAAAUUUUAGAUAUCGUUGCUAAUGUCAAAUUUAUGAAAACUUUUUGUAACGAAUUUGAAUUUUUCGUUGCCAAAAGAUAUUGCGGGAAAAUUUGGCGGCUUUUUUUGGCGCAAACGCUAUUGUGAUGAAAAAAAUACUAUUUGCCAACGAAAAUAUUUGUUACUAAAUACAAUUUUUUUGUGACGAAAAUAAUUUCCUUACUAAAAGUUACAAAUUUUUAUCCAUAUUUGCUUACAAAAUGGUUUCAUCAGUAAAUAUAUUAUUUUCUGACAAAAUGAGUAAUUUUGUCACUGAAUAGUGUUGCUAAAUUGUAAUAUUAAUAAGUCAUAUUGACAAAUAGAUAAAAGGUUUAUGCUAUAAAAUAAUAAUACGUAUUUUUUGAGACUUGAUAUUUAAAUUACAAUAUUUUAUUUAUAUAUAUAAUAAUAAUACUAAUUAAAGAUUCAUAAAAUUAAAUACUAGAAUAUAGAUUUAUAGAAAUUUAAAUGUUUUGUUAUGUAAUAAUAGUAUUGUUAUGAAAUAAUAAAAAGGUAAAUUAUUUAAGCAAUUAAUUUUUAUAGUGUAAUAUAUAUGUUAUAUUUUUUUUAUAUAGAUAAUAACAAAUAAUCCAAGAUAUAAUAUAAAUUUAUUUAAAUUUCAAUAUUAUUAUAUGAUGUUAACCAAACAUAAAUAAUUUUAAAUCUUUUUUAUUAUACAAUGUAAAAGUUAUUUUUGCAAGUUUAAUAUAGUAGUAUUGAACUUAAAUUAGCUAUGAAUAAGUAAUGAUCCUCUAAUUUGUUCUCAUUCAAAAUCAUGUCGUCUGAAGUAAAUUUAUACUAAUAUUUAACUACCUAGUUUAAAUUAAUAGAUUUUUAUAAUUAUUACUUGGUUUUUAAAUAGUUGUUCAGAAUUGAAAUUAUCAAAUAAAUUACCUAGUGUCUAUAAAAACAUUAUAUUUGCAUAGAAUUUCAAAUAAUACUUGUGUGUAUAAAAAAUAUCAUAUAUUAUCAAUACAUAUAUGAUUGCAAUUAAAUAUUAUAUGAUAUGAUAUAUGGCAUUAUAUGCCUCACUACUAUAAUAUUAAUAACAAAAUAAAAAAUGUGUCAUAUAUAUAUACACAUAUUAUAAUGGGUAUAUGAAGAAAUUAAUAUAUGAAUGAUAUAAAUUGUAACAUUUUAUAAUAAUCAACAGUAUUUGAAAGCAUAUUUAAUGUUAAAAUGAUAAUUUAUUUACUUUAUAAUAAGUGAAUAAUUAUUAUAUUUUUAUUUCAUUCAUGAUUUUUGUGCUUUCAAUAAUAAAUUAAAUGGAAAAUAAAAUUAAAUAUUGAAAAUUAAUAGAAUUAUUAAAACUUUAUCUUAAUAUUUUAAUAUUUAAAAUGUAUAUAAAAUUUAGGUGUAAACAUAAUUAUAUAUAAUGUAGGCACUUUAAUAACUCAAAUGAAUGACUAUCCUAGUGGUGUAUAGUUAACUUCGUAAGCUUGGGAAGUCUGAACACUUUAUUGAUCUCAUUAUAAAUUUUUAUUUUUAAUUGUUAAAUAUUAAUUUAUCAUAAAUGAUUACUUAUUAAAAAUAAAAUCAUAAAUUAUAUCACAAAAUAGUAAAUGUUGUAUACUAACUUGUAAAGAAGUUUUUAUAUUUGUAUACAAUUUUUUAAUAAAACAUGUAAAACAAAUAUAGUUAUAAAAAUAAUUGUAACAUAUAAUAAAAUAGUAUAUCAUUUACAUUUAUAGUGUUUUAUUGCAUUUGAUAUUUUUGUUUGAAAUAUAAGAGAAAGAAAAUGAAAAAUAUAAAGAUGACUUGUUGACACGAAUUGUUGCACUUAGGCUUAUUCACUUUGAAAGUAAAUUUAUACUAAUAUUUAAUUACCUAGAUUAACCUAAUAAAAAUAUUUUUUUUAAUUAUUGUUUAGUUUUUAAAUAAUUGUUAAUAUUAGAAAUUAUCAAAUAAUAACCUAAUUUUUGUCAAGAUAUUCUAUUGACGUAAAUUCCAAAUAUGGUUUAUGUUUAUAAAGAUAUCAUAUAUCAUUAAUGAAUAUAUGAUUGUAAGUUAAAUAUCAUAUGAUACAAUACAUUGUACCAUAUGCAUAACUACUAUAUUAUUAUUUUAGAAAAUAAAAAAUGCAUUAUAUAUUAGUAAUAUAUUAUAUACAUAAAAACAAAAAUUGUAAGGUAUCUAACCACUUCUUAAUUAACAAUUGAUUAGUUUAAUUUUUAAAUAAUUUUAUGAUGUAUUAAUGAUCUUUAGCUUAACUACUAAAAUAAGAUAAUAAAUUAUGCCACAAAAGUAGCAACUAUUAUAGCUACUAAUUUGUUAAGGAUUGUUUUACACUUUUAUAUGUUUUUUAAUAAAAUAUUUAAUCUAUGAUUUUUAUUCCUUGCUUUAAAUUUCAAUUUUUAUUUUACUCUAAUUUCUAAUAUAUAAAUUCUGAUUUUUAAAUUUUUAAUUUUUAAUUUCUAAAUUUUAAAUAAUACAAAACUCAUAAAUCUUACAUUUUAUUUUUAGUCAAUUUUGUAAUUUAUAAAUUCUAAUUUUUUUAUUUUCUAAAUUUUCUAAAUUUUAAAUAAUAAAUAGUCCCAAUAAUAGGCAAAUAAUAAAGUUUCAAUUUUAUUUUUAAUCUAAUUUUUAAUUUAUAUUUUAAAUUUUUAAAUUUUUAAAUUCUAAAUUUUAAAUAAUAUAAAACAUAUAACAUCAUGAAAUGCAUUAAAUGCGCCGAGUUGUAGCAGCAUGCUACUGAGAUUUGGUUGUAGAGACGGCACAAUGGAUGGUAUGGAGUAUUGGUUGGGAAAUGAAAUGAAAAGAAAGUGAAAUAAAAAAGAAAAAAACAAAUCUCCCAAGCACCCACGUAGCACUGGGACUUUGAAAAGUGAGAAGACUUUCUCACCAACUCUCCAUCAUUUGCCUACAACUUUGAAAAUGAAAAAGAGCAUUACUUCCCACCACAUCUCUAACAUCUACCAUAACCUCCUGAACCUUCCACCAUUUUCACCAUCUCAUCUACCUUCUUAAAAAAUUGUUUCCCACUUGCAAGCCAUAUUCACCAUUCUCCACCAAAGUUUACCGAGCCGGCAAAGCUUCUUAUCUACCAUUUUCAUCGGUCUGUUAUACUACAGAAAUCUACCACUNNNNNNNNNNNNNNNNNNNNNNNNNNNNNNNNNNNNNNNNNNNNNNNNNNNNNNNNNNNNNNNNNNNNNNNNNNNNNNNNNNNNNNNNNNNNNNNNNNNNNNNNNNNNNNNNNNNNNNNNNNNNNNNNNNNNNNNNNNNNNNNNNNNNNNNNNNNNNNNNNNNNNNNNNNNNNNNNNNNNNNNNNNNNNNNNNNNNNNNNNNNNNNNNNNNNNNNNNNNNNNNNNNNNNNNNNNNNNNNNNNNNNNNNNNNNNNNNNNNNNNNNNNNNNNNNNNNNNNNNNNNNNNNNNNNNNNNNNNNNNNNNNNNNNNNNNNNNNNNNNNNNNNNNNNNNNNNNNNNNNNNNNNNNNNNNNNNNNNNNNNNNNNNNNNNNNNNNNNNNNNNNNNNNNNNNNNNNNNNNNNNNNNNNNNNNNNNNNNNNNNNNNNNNNNNNNNNNNNNNNNNNNNNNNNNNNNNNNNNNNNNNNNNNNNNNNNNNNNNNNNNNNNNNNNNNNNNNNNNNNNNNNNNNNNNNNNNNNNNNNNNNNNNNNNNNNNNNNNNNNNNNNNNNNNNNNNNNNNNNNNNNNNNNNNNNNNNNNNNNNNNNNNNNNNNNNNNNNNNNNNNNNNNNNNNNNNNNNNNNNNNNNNNNNNNNNNNNNNNNNNNNNNNNNNNNNNNNNNNNNNNNNNNNNNNNNNNNNNNNNNNNNNNNNNNNNNNNNNNNNNNNNNNNNNNNNNNNNNNNNNNNNNNNNNNNNNNNNNNNNNNNNNNNNNNNNNNNNNNNNNNNNNNNNNNNNNNNNNNNNNNNNNNNNNNNNNNNNNNNNNNNNNNNNNNNNNNNNNNNNNNNNNNNNNNNNNNNNNNNNNNNNNNNNNNNNNNNNNNNNNNNNNNNNNNNNNNNNNNNNNNNNNNNNNNNNNNNNNNNNNNNNNNNNNNNNNNNNNNNNNNNNNNNNNNNNNNNNNNNNNNNNNNNNNNNNNNNNNNNNNNNNNNNNNNNNNNNNNNNNNNNNNNNNNNNNNNNNNNNNNNNNNNNNNNNNNNNNNNNNNNNNNNNNNNNNNNNNNNNNNNNNNNNNNNNNNNNNNNNNNNNNNNNNNNNNNNNNNNNNNNNNNNNNNNNNNNNNNNNNNNNNNNNNNNNNNNNNNNNNNNNNNNNNNNNNNNNNNNNNNNNNNNNNNNNNNNNNNNNNNNNNNNNNNNNNNNNNNNNNNNNNNNNNNNNNNNNNNNNNNNNNNNNNNNNNNNNNNNNNNNNNNNNNNNNNNNNNNNNNNNNNNNNNNNNNNNNNNNNNNNNNNNNNNNNNNNNNNNNNNNNNNNNNNNNNNNNNNNNNNNNNNNNNNNNNNNNNNNNNNNNNNNNNNNNNNNNNNNNNNNNNNNNNNNNNNNNNNNNNNNNNNNNNNNNNNNNNNNNNNNNNNNNNNNNNNNNNNNNNNNNNNNNNNNNNNNNNNNNNNNNNNNNNNNNNNNNNNNNNNNNNNNNNNNNNNNNNNNNNNNNNNNNNNNNNNNNNNNNNNNNNNNNNNNNNNNNNNNNNNNNNNNNNNNNNNNNNNNNNNNNNNNNNNNNNNNNNNNNNNNNNNNNNNNNNNNNNNNNNNNNNNNNNNNNNNNNNNNNNNNNNNNNNNNNNNNNNNNNNNNNNNNNNNNNNNNNNNNNNNNNNNNNNNNNNNNNNNNNNNNNNNNNNNNNNNNNNNNNNNNNNNNNNNNNNNNNNNNNNNNNNNNNNNNNNNNNNNNNNNNNNNNNNNNNNNNNNNNNNNNNNNNNNNNNNNNNNNNNNNNNNNNNNNNNNNNNNNNNNNNNNNNNNNNNNNNNNNNNNNNNNNNNNNNNNNNNNNNNNNNNNNNNNNNNNNNNNNNNNNNNNNNNNNNNNNNNNNNNNNNNNNNNNNNNNNNNNNNNNNNNNNNNNNNNNNNNNNNNNNNNNNNNNNNNNNNNNNNNNNNNNNNNNNNNNNNNNNNNNNNNNNNNNNNNNNNNNNNNNNNNNNNNNNNNNNNNNNNNNNNNNNNNNNNNNNNNNNNNNNNNNNNNNNNNNNNNNNNNNNNNNNNNNNNNNNNNNNNNNNNNNNNNNNNNNNNNNNNNNNNNNNNNNNNNNNNNNNNNNNNNNNNNNNNNNNNNNNNNNNNNNNNNNNNNNNNNNNNNNNNNNNNNNNNNNNNNNNNNNNNNNNNNNNNNNNNNNNNNNNNNNNNNNNNNNNNNNNNNNNNNNNNNNNNNNNNNNNNNNNNNNNNNNNNNNNNNNNNNNNNNNNNNNNNNNNNNNNNNNNNNNNNNNNNNNNNNNNNNNNNNNNNNNNNNNNNNNNNNNNNNNNNNNNNNNNNNNNNNNNNNNNNNNNNNNNNNNNNNNNNNNNNNNNNNNNNNNNNNNNNNNNNNNNNNNNNNNNNNNNNNNNNNNNNNNNNNNNNNNNNNNNNNNNNNNNNNNNNNNNNNNNNNNNNNNNNNNNNNNNNNNNNNNNNNNNNNNNNNNNNNNNNNNNNNNNNNNNNNNNNNNNNNNNNNNNNNNNNNNNNNNNNNNNNNNNNNNNNNNNNNNNNNNNNNNNNNNNNNNNNNNNNNNNNNNNNNNNNNNNNNNNNNNNNNNNNNNNNNNNNNNNNNNNNNNNNNNNNNNNNNNNNNNNNNNNNNNNNNNNNNNNNNNNNNNNNNNNNNNNNNNNNNNNNNNNNNNNNNNNNNNNNNNNNNNNNNNNNNNNNNNNNNNNNNNNNNNNNNNNNNNNNNNNNNNNNNNNNNNNNNNNNNNNNNNNNNNNNNNNNNNNNNNNNNNNNNNNNNNNNNNNNNNNNNNNNNNNNNNNNNNNNNNNNNNNNNNNNNNNNNNNNNNNNNNNNNNNNNNNNNNNNNNNNNNNNNNNNNNNNNNNNNNNNNNNNNNNNNNNNNNNNNNNNNNNNNNNNNNNNNNNNNNNNNNNNNNNNNNNNNNNNNNNNNNNNNNNNNNNNNNNNNNNNNNNNNNNNNNNNNNNNNNNNNNNNNNNNNNNNNNNNNNNNNNNNNNNNNNNNNNNNNNNNNNNNNNNNNNNNNNNNNNNNNNNNNNNNNNNNNNNNNNNNNNNNNNNNNNNNNNNNNNNNNNNNNNNNNNNNNNNNNNNNNNNNNNNNNNNNNNNNNNNNNNNNNNNNNNNNNNNNNNNNNNNNNNNNNNNNNNNNNNNNNNNNNNNNNNNNNNNNNNNNNNNNNNNNNNNNNNNNNNNNNNNNNNNNNNNNNNNNNNNNNNNNNNNNNNNNNNNNNNNNNNNNNNNNNNNNNNNNNNNNNNNNNNNNNNNNNNNNNNNNNNNNNNNNNNNNNNNNNNNNNNNNNNNNNNNNNNNNNNNNNNNNNNNNNNNNNNNNNNNNNNNNNNNNNNNNNNNNNNNNNNNNNNNNNNNNNNNNNNNNNNNNNNNNNNNNNNNNNNNNNNNNNNNNNNNNNNNNNNNNNNNNNNNNNNNNNNNNNNNNNNNNNNNNNNNNNNNNNNNNNNNNNNNNNNNNNNNNNNNNNNNNNNNNNNNNNNNNNNNNNNNNNNNNNNNNNNNNNNNNNNNNNNNNNNNNNNNNNNNNNNNNNNNNNNNNNNNNNNNNNNNNNNNNNNNNNNNNNNNNNNNNNNNNNNNNNNNNNNNNNNNNNNNNNNNNNNNNNNNNNNNNNNNNNNNNNNNNNNNNNNNNNNNNNNNNNNNNNNNNNNNNNNNNNNNNNNNNNNNNNNNNNNNNNNNNNNNNNNNNNNNNNNNNNNNNNNNNNNNNNNNNNNNNNNNNNNNNNNNNNNNNNNNNNNNNNNNNNNNNNNNNNNNNNNNNNNNNNNNNNNNNNNNNNNNNNNNNNNNNNNNNNNNNNNNNNNNNNNNNNNNNNNNNNNNNNNNNNNNNNNNNNNNNNNNNNNNNNNNNNNNNNNNNNNNNNNNNNNNNNNNNNNNNNNNNNNNNNNNNNNNNNNNNNNNNNNNNNNNNNNNNNNNNNNNNNNNNNNNNNNNNNNNNNNNNNNNNNNNNNNNNNNNNNNNNNNNNNNNNNNNNNNNNNNNNNNNNNNNNNNNNNNNNNNNNNNNNNNNNNNNNNNNNNNNNNNNNNNNNNNNNNNNNNNNNNNNNNNNNNNNNNNNNNNNNNNNNNNNNNNNNNNNNNNNNNNNNNNNNNNNNNNNNNNNNNNNNNNNNNNNNNNNNNNNNNNNNNNNNNNNNNNNNNNNNNNNNNNNNNNNNNNNNNNNNNNNNNNNNNNNNNNNNNNNNNNNNNNNNNNNNNNNNNNNNNNNNNNNNNNNNNNNNNNNNNNNNNNNNNNNNNNNNNNNNNNNNNNNNNNNNNNNNNNNNNNNNNNNNNNNNNNNNNNNNNNNNNNNNNNNNNNNNNNNNNNNNNNNNNNNNNNNNNNNNNNNNNNNNNNNNNNNNNNNNNNNNNNNNNNNNNNNNNNNNNNNNNNNNNNNNNGUUCUAGAAGUUAUCAAAAAUGGAUUUUCCAUGGGGAAGAACAUGAAUCUCAACCUAAUGAGCAAAAUGAUAUUGGUGUUGAUACAGAAAUUGUUGACGCUACUGAUGCUGAUAUCCUUAAUGAAGUUGCGGAUGCAUUAAAUGAUGCAUGUGGACACAUAGACAAUGAUAUUAACUUAGAGGAAUCUACUACUCAUGGAAAAUUUGAUUACUUACUUGGUGAAGCUAAUAAAGAAUUGUAUCUAGGUUGUAAAAAGUUUUCUGCUUUGACAUUCCUUGUGAAGUUAAUGCAUAUUAAAGUCCUCAAUCGUUGGAGUGACAAGUCUUUUGACAUGUUACUCCAAGUUUUAGUUGAUGUUUUUCCAGAAAGAUCAAACAUUCCAAAGACAUACUAUGAUGCUAAGAAGAUGUUAAGAGAUUUGGGCUUAGGAUAUGAUUCAAUCCAUGCAUGCAAGUAUGAUUGUGCAUUGUUUUGGAAGGAGAAUGAGACUCUUGAUAAAUGUUCAAUGUGUGAUGAGCCACGAUAUAAGUUCUGUAAUGGAAAAGGUAAAAAAAUUCCUCAAAAAGUAUUGUGUCAUUUUCCACUAAAAUCAAGGCUACAAAGGUUAUUCAUGUCAAGGCAUACAGCAUCAGCUAUGAGGUGGCAUAAAGAAAACUGAAUCAGUGAGGAGGGAGUCCUAAGGCAUCCAGCAGAUUCUGAAGCUUGGAAGGAUAUGGACACCCAAUUCCCUUGGUUUUCGCAAGAACCUCGAAAUGUUAGAUUAGGGCUUGCAACAAAUGGUUUCAAUCCAUUUGGGAGCAUGAGUAAUAGUUAUAGCAUGUGGCCAAUUGUUCUUGUGCCAUACAAUAUGGCACCAUGGAGAUGUAUGAAAGAGAUGUUUUUCAUGUUAUCAUUACUAAUUCUAGGCCCACAAGCCUUAGGGAGAGAUAUUGAUGUAUACCUACGUCCUUUGAUAGAAGAAUUAAAAGAGUUAUGGCAUGAAGGUGUUCAAACAUUUGACAUGUCAACAGGAGAAAACUUUCGCAUGCAUGCAUGUGUUUUAUGGACAAUAAAUGACAUUCCUGCUUAUGGGAACUUGGCUGGGUGGAGUACAAAAGGAUAUAAAGCAUGUCCAGUUUGUAAUGAAGACACAUCGUCACUAAGUAUUAGAAGUAAAAUAUGUUACAUGGGUCAUCGACGUUUUUUACCUCUUGAUCAUGGAUGGCGAAGGAGUAAACAACACGAUGGUAAGCCGGAGUUUCGACCACCGCCAAGAAUGUUCUCUAGUGAUGAAAUAUUGCAACAAUUGUGUUGUCUUAAACAUCAGAAGCCUAGUAAGCAUCCAAACAACGUUGAUAGAAAGCAAAAACGGGUGCCUGAAGAAUUAAAUUGGACAAAAAAAAGUAUUUUCUUUGAGUUGGAGUACUGGUCAAAGUUGAAGUUGAGACAUAAUAUUGAUGUUAUGCAUGUUGAAAAGAAUGUAUGUGAUAGUGUUGUGGGAACUUUGUUAAAUAUUGUAGGAAAAACAAAAGAUAUAAACAAAGCUCGCUUAGAUUUGGCUGAUAUGAAUAUAAGGAAAGAAUUGCAUUUGCAAAUACAAGGGAACAAAUUGGUAAAACCCCAUGCAUGCUACACAUUGACUGUAGAGGAAAGGAAAGAGUUCUGUAAGUUUCUAAAGUCUGUUAAAUUUCCAGAUGGUUAUGCUGCAAAUUUAUCUAGAAAUGUUAGCAUCAAUGAUGGGAAGAUCUCAGGGUUAAAGAGUCAUGAUUGUCAUGUUUUGCUGCAAAAAUUACUCCCUAUCGCUAUUCGUCCAUAUUUUAAUAAAGAUUUGUGUACAACACUGGUUGAGUUGUGUAGUUUUUUCCAAAAGUUAUGUGCAAAGACCUUGUACAUGAAUGAUUUGGAAAAAUUAGAAGAAGGGAUUGUCUUAAUAUUGUGUAAGCUUGAAAGGAUAUUCCCACCAGCUUUCUUUGAUGUCAUGGUUCACUUGAUGGUACAUUUACCACGUGAGGCCAAACUUGCUGGACUAGUUAGUUAUCGAUGGAUGUAUCCAUUUAAGAGGUACAUUUUUACCUUUUUUGUUUAUUAAUAUUCUCAUCUAACUAUGUUACACAAUACAUGUGUUAAGGCUUAUUUAUUAACACUAUUUCUAUUUAGGAACUUAGGAACAUUGAAAAGAUAUGUGAGAAAUAAAGCUCGACCAGAAGGUUCAAUUGCAAAGGCAUACAUCGUGAAUGAAGCUUUAAUGUUUUGUUCAAUGUAUCUUACUGGAAUUGAAACACGUUUUAAUCGAAGUGAAAGGAACGAAGAUCGAUUUGAACAUCGAGUACAAGAAUGUCUUUCCAUAUUUUCAUAGCAAGCUCAACCAUUAGGCUGUCGAUAACAUCUCCAAUUUUCGAAGGAAGAGUUAACUAAGGCACAUUGGUAUAUCAUGAAUAAUUGCCCAGAGUUGAGACCAUACUUAGAGUAAGUUUUAGAAUCAACAUUAAAGAUAUUUCUUUAAUACCUCGUUACUUAAUAUCUAUUUAAUGAUGUAGUGAACAUACAAAAGAAUUGGAGAGGACAAGUUCACAUAACUUAGAGAAACGACAAGAACAAGAGUUUCCUAAGUGGCUUGCAGAUCGUGUAAGUUUUAUUUGUGUAAUUUGCUUGCUACAAUAUAGUUGUAAUGAACUAAUAUAAUUUUAAUAAUAUUUGAUAUUAAACUAUAAAUAAUUAUGUACAUUUAUAUUGUAGAUGAAAGCUUUGCAUGUUAAACAAUCACCAGAAGCAACUGAUGAACUAUACUCAUUAGCGUGUGGACUAGAUAAUCGAGUCCACACAUACAUGGGUUGUAUUGUUAAUGGAGUUCGCUUCCAUACAAAAGAUCAUGAUGAUCGGCGUAUCACCCAAAAUAGUGGGAUAUGUGUUUCUGGGGAGCAUGAUGGUGAGGAGGUUGAUUUCUAUGGUGUUUUAUCAAAUGUGGUUGUUUUGAACUAUGUCUUGGGGUAUAAGGUUAUUCUUUUCAAGUGCACAUGGUUCGACACAAACCAAAAGAAGAAGAGAAUAAAACAUGACUAUAAUUUUACCACAAUCCAAGUUAUCUCCACCUGGUAUGACAAUGAUCCUUUUAUACUUGCUACACAAACACAACAAGUUUUCUACCUAGAUGACUACAAAAAUGGUCAUAAUUGGAAAGUAGUACAAAAAGUGAAUCAUAGACACAUGUGGGAUGUACCAGAAAGGGAUACUAAUAUAGAAAUCGAUGAAGAAGUGUGCGGGGGAAGUGAUGAAGAAGCUUACCAAGAUAAUGAAUCUCAUGAGCUUAACUGGUUUGUAGAGCAAGAUGAUGGAUUUGAAUUUCAACGAUCUGACCGCUUAAACAUUGAUCUAGAAGUUGUUAAUGAUAAUGUUUUGAUUUUAGAGAACAUGAAUGACAAUGAUGAUAACUUCAUAUGUGAUGACAUUGAGGAAGAAGAUGAAACACUAGAUGAUUAUGCUAAUGAGAAUGAAAUGUGGCUUUCAAGUGAUAGUGAAAGUGAAAGUGAUUAAAGAGACUGGUAAGCUACAUUUUAUUUACUUUAUUAUAUGUUAAAUAACAUAAUGUAAUCUAGGUCUAGUUCUUUAAAUUUNNNNNNNNNNNNNNNNNNNNNNNNNNNNNNNNNNNNNNNNNNNNNNNNNNNNNNNNNNNNNNNNNNNNNNNNNNNNNNNNNNNNNNNNNNNNNNNNNNNNNNNNNNNNNNNNNNNNNNNNNNNNNNNNNNNNNNNNNNNNNNNNNNNNNNNNNNNNNNNNNNNNNNNNNNNNNNNNNNNNNNNNNNNNNNNNNNNNNNNNNNNNNNNNNNNNNNNNNNNNNNNNNNNNNNNNNNNNNNNNNNNNNNNNNNNNNNNNNNNNNNNNNNNNNNNNNNNNNNNNNNNNNNNNNNNNNNNNNNNNNNNNNNNNNNNNNNNNNNNNNNNNNNNNNNNNNNNNNNNNNNNNNNNNNNNNNNNNNNNNNNNNNNNNNNNNNNNNNNNNNNNNNNNNNNNNNNNNNNNNNNNNNNNNNNNNNNNNNNNNNNNNNNNNNNNNNNNNNNNNNNNNNNNNNNNNNNNNNNNNNNNNNNNNNNNNNNNNNNNNNNNNNNNNNNNNNNNNNNNNNNNNNNNNNNNNNNNNNNNNNNNNNNNNNNNNNNNNNNNNNNNNNNNNNNNNNNNNNNNNNNNNNNNNNNNNNNNNNNNNNNNNNNNNNNNNNNNNNNNNNNNNNNNNNNNNNNNNNNNNNNNNNNNNNNNNNNNNNNNNNNNNNNNNNNNNNNNNNNNNNNNNNNNNNNNNNNNNNNNNNNNNNNNNNNNNNNNNNNNNNNNNNNNNNNNNNNNNNNNNNNNNNNNNNNNNNNNNNNNNNNNNNNNNNNNNNNNNNNNNNNNNNNNNNNNNNNNNNNNNNNNNNNNNNNNNNNNNNNNNNNNNNNNNNNNNNNNNNNNNNNNNNNNNNNNNNNNNNNNNNNNNNNNNNNNNNNNNNNNNNNNNNNNNNNNNNNNNNNNNNNNNNNNNNNNNNNNNNNNNNNNNNNNNNNNNNNNNNNNNNNNNNNNNNNNNNNNNNNNNNNNNNNNNNNNNNNNNNNNNNNNNNNNNNNNNNNNNNNNNNNNNNNNNNNNNNNNNNNNNNNNNNNNNNNNNNNNNNNNNNNNNNNNNNNNNNNNNNNNNNNNNNNNNNNNNNNNNNNNNNNNNNNNNNNNNNNNNNNNNNNNNNNNNNNNNNNNNNNNNNNNNNNNNNNNNNNNNNNNNNNNNNNNNNNNNNNNNNNNNNNNNNNNNNNNNNNNNNNNNNNNNNNNNNNNNNNNNNNNNNNNNNNNNNNNNNNNNNNNNNNNNNNNNNNNNNNNNNNNNNNNNNNNNNNNNNNNNNNNNNNNNNNNNNNNNNNNNNNNNNNNNNNNNNNNNNNNNNNNNNNNNNNNNNNNNNNNNNNNNNNNNNNNNNNNNNNNNNNNNNNNNNNNNNNNNNNNNNNNNNNNNNNNNNNNNNNNNNNNNNNNNNNNNNNNNNNNNNNNNNNNNNNNNNNNNNNNNNNNNNNNNNNNNNNNNNNNNNNNNNNNNNNNNNNNNNNNNNNNNNNNNNNNNNNNNNNNNNNNNNNNNNNNNNNNNNNNNNNNNNNNNNNNNNNNNNNNNNNNNNNNNNNNNNNNNNNNNNNNNNNNNNNNNNNNNNNNNNNNNNNNNNNNNNNNNNNNNNNNNNNNNNNNNNNNNNNNNNNNNNNNNNNNNNNNNNNNNNNNNNNNNNNNNNNNNNNNNNNNNNNNNNNNNNNNNNNNNNNNNNNNNNNNNNNNNNNNNNNNNNNNNNNNNNNNNNNNNNNNNNNNNNNNNNNNNNNNNNNNNNNNNNNNNNNNNNNNNNNNNNNNNNNNNNNNNNNNNNNNNNNNNNNNNNNNNNNNNNNNNNNNNNNNNNNNNNNNNNNNNNNNNNNNNNNNNNNNNNNNNNNNNNNNNNNNNNNNNNNNNNNNNNNNNNNNNNNNNNNNNNNNNNNNNNNNNNNNNNNNNNNNNNNNNNNNNNNNNNNNNNNNNNNNNNNNNNNNNNNNNNNNNNNNNNNNNNNNNNNNNNNNNNNNNNNNNNNNNNNNNNNNNNNNNNNNNNNNNNNNNNNNNNNNNNNNNNNNNNNNNNNNNNNNNNNNNNNNNNNNNNNNNNNNNNNNNNNNNNNNNNNNNNNNNNNNNNNNNNNNNNNNNNNNNNNNNNNNNNNNNNNNNNNNNNNNNNNNNNNNNNNNNNNNNNNNNNNNNNNNNNNNNNNNNNNNNNNNNNNNNNNNNNNNNNNNNNNNNNNNNNNNNNNNNNNNNNNNNNNNNNNNNNNNNNNNNNNNNNNNNNNNNNNNNNNNNNNNNNNNNNNNNNNNNNNNNNNNNNNNNNNNNNNNNNNNNNNNNNNNNNNNNNNNNNNNNNNNNNNNNNNNNNNNNNNNNNNNNNNNNNNNNNNNNNNNNNNNNNNNNNNNNNNNNNNNNNNNNNNNNNNNNNNNNNNNNNNNNNNNNNNNNNNNNNNNNNNNNNNNNNNNNNNNNNNNNNNNNNNNNNNNNNNNNNNNNNNNNNNNNNNNNNNNNNNNNNNNNNNNNNNNNNNNNNNNNNNNNNNNNNNNNNNNNNNNNNNNNNNNNNNNNNNNNNNNNNNNNNNNNNNNNNNNNNNNNNNNNNNNNNNNNNNNNNNNNNNNNNNNNNNNNNNNNNNNNNNNNNNNNNNNNNNNNNNNNNNNNNNNNNNNNNNNNNNNNNNNNNNNNNNNNNNNNNNNNNNNNNNNNNNNNNNNNNNNNNNNNNNNNNNNNNNNNNNNNNNNNNNNNNNNNNNNNNNNNNNNNNNNNNNNNNNNNNNNNNNNNNNNNNNNNNNNNNNNNNNNNNNNNNNNNNNNNNNNNNNNNNNNNNNNNNNNNNNNNNNNNNNNNNNNNNNNNNNNNNNNNNNNNNNNNNNNNNNNNNNNNNNNNNNNNNNNNNNNNNNNNNNNNNNNNNNNNNNNNNNNNNNNNNNNNNNNNNNNNNNNNNNNNNNNNNNNNNNNNNNNNNNNNNNNNNNNNNNNNNNNNNNNNNNNNNNNNNNNNNNNNNNNNNNNNNNNNNNNNNNNNNNNNNNNNNNNNNNNNNNNNNNNNNNNNNNNNNNNNNNNNNNNNNNNNNNNNNNNNNNNNNNNNNNNNNNNNNNNNNNNNNNNNNNNNNNNNNNNNNNNNNNNNNNNNNNNNNNNNNNNNNNNNNNNNNNNNNNNNNNNNNNNNNNNNNNNNNNNNNNNNNNNNNNNNNNNNNNNNNNNNNNNNNNNNNNNNNNNNNNNNNNNNNNNNNNNNNNNNNNNNNNNNNNNNNNNNNNNNNNNNNNNNNNNNNNNNNNNNNNNNNNNNNNNNNNNNNNNNNNNNNNNNNNNNNNNNNNNNNNNNNNNNNNNNNNNNNNNNNNNNNNNNNNNNNNNNNNNNNNNNNNNNNNNNNNNNNNNNNNNNNNNNNNNNNNNNNNNNNNNNNNNNNNNNNNNNNNNNNNNNNNNNNNNNNNNNNNNNNNNNNNNNNNNNNNNNNNNNNNNNNNNNNNNNNNNNNNNNNNNNNNNNNNNNNNNNNNNNNNNNNNNNNNNNNNNNNNNNNNNNNNNNNNNNNNNNNNNNNNNNNNNNNNNNNNNNNNNNNNNNNNNNNNNNNNNNNNNNNNNNNNNNNNNNNNNNNNNNNNNNNNNNNNNNNNNNNNNNNNNNNNNNNNNNNNNNNNNNNNNNNNNNNNNNNNNNNNNNNNNNNNNNNNNNNNNNNNNNNNNNNNNNNNNNNNNNNNNNNNNNNNNNNNNNNNNNNNNNNNNNNNNNNNNNNNNNNNNNNNNNNNNNNNNNNNNNNNNNNNNNNNNNNNNNNNNNNNNNNNNNNNNNNNNNNNNNNNNNNNNNNNNNNNNNNNNNNNNNNNNNNNNNNNNNNNNNNNNNNNNNNNNNNNNNNNNNNNNNNNNNNNNNNNNNNNNNNNNNNNNNNNNNNNNNNNNNNNNNNNNNNNNNNNNNNNNNNNNNNNNNNNNNNNNNNNNNNNNNNNNNNNNNNNNNNNNNNNNNNNNNNNNNNNNNNNNNNNNNNNNNNNNNNNNNNNNNNNNNNNNNNNNNNNNNNNNNNNNNNNNNNNNNNNNNNNNNNNNNNNNNNNNNNNNNNNNNNNNNNNNNNNNNNNNNNNNNNNNNNNNNNNNNNNNNNNNNNNNNNNNNNNNNNNNNNNNNNNNNNNNNNNNNNNNNNNNNNNNNNNNNNNNNNNNNNNNNNNNNNNNNNNNNNNNNNNNNNNNNNNNNNNNNNNNNNNNNNNNNNNNNNNNNNNNNNNNNNNNNNNNNNNNNNNNNNNNNNNNNNNNNNNNNNNNNNNNNNNNNNNNNNNNNNNNNNNNNNNNNNNNNNNNNNNNNNNNNNNNNNNNNNNNNNNNNNNNNNNNNNNNNNNNNNNNNNNNNNNNNNNNNNNNNNNNNNNNNNNNNNNNNNNNNNNNNNNNNNNNNNNNNNNNNNNNNNNNNNNNNNNNNNNNNNNNNNNNNNNNNNNNNNNNNNNNNNNNNNNNNNNNNNNNNNNNNNNNNNNNNNNNNNNNNNNNNNNNNNNNNNNNNNNNNNNNNNNNNNNNNNNNNNNNNNNNNNNNNNNNNNNNNNNNNNNNNNNNNNNNNNNNNNNNNNNNNNNNNNNNNNNNNNNNNNNNNNNNNNNNNNNNNNNNNNNNNNNNNNNNNNNNNNNNNNNNNNNNNNNNNNNNNNNNNNNNNNNNNNNNNNNNNNNNNNNNNNNNNNNNNNNNNNNNNNNNNNNNNNNNNNNNNNNNNNNNNNNNNNNNNNNNNNNNNNNNNNNNNNNNNNNNNNNNNNNNNNNNNNNNNNNNNNNNNNNNNNNNNNNNNNNNNNNNNNNNNNNNNNNNNNNNNNNNNNNNNNNNNNNNNNNNNNNNNNNNNNNNNNNNNNNNNNNNNNNNNNNNNNNNNNNNNNNNNNNNNNNNNNNNNNNNNNNNNNNNNNNNNNNNNNNNNNNNNNNNNNNNNNNNNNNNNNNNNNNNNNNNNNNNNNNNNNNNNNNNNNNNNNNNNNNNNNNNNNNNNNNNNNNNNNNNNNNNNNNNNNNNNNNNNNNNNNNNNNNNNNNNNNNNNNNNNNNNNNNNNNNNNNNNNNNNNNNNNNNNNNNNNNNNNNNNNNNNNNNNNNNNNNNNNNNNNNNNNNNNNNNNNNNNNNNNNNNNNNNNNNNNNNNNNNNNNNNNNNNNNNNNNNNNNNNNNNNNNNNNNNNNNNNNNNNNNNNNNNNNNNNNNNNNNNNNNNNNNNNNNNNNNNNNNNNNNNNNNNNNNNNNNNNNNNNNNNNNNNNNNNNNNNNNNNNNNNNNNNNNNNNNNNNNNNNNNNNNNNNNNNNNNNNNNNNNNNNNNNNNNNNNNNNNNNNNNNNNNNNNNNNNNNNNNNNNNNNNNNNNNNNNNNNNNNNNNNNNNNNNNNNNNNNNNNNNNNNNNNNNNNNNNNNNNNNNNNNNNNNNNNNNNNNNNNNNNNNNNNNNNNNNNNNNNNNNNNNNNNNNNNNNNNNNNNNNNNNNNNNNNNNNNNNNNNNNNNNNNNNNNNNNNNNNNNNNNNNNNNNNNNNNNNNNNNNNNNNNNNNNNNNNNNNNNNNNNNNNNNNNNNNNNNNNNNNNNNNNNNNNNNNNNNNNNNNNNNNNNNNNNNNNNNNNNNNNNNNNNNNNNNNNNNNNNNNNNNNNNNNNNNNNNNNNNNNNNNNNNNNNNNNNNNNNNNNNNNNNNNNNNNNNNNNNNNNNNNNNNNNNNNNNNNNNNNNNNNNNNNNNNNNNNNNNNNNNNNNNNNNNNNNNNNNNNNNNNNNNNNNNNNNNNNNNNNNNNNNNNNNNNNNNNNNNNNNNNNNNNNNNNNNNNNNNNNNNNNNNNNNNNNNNNNNNNNNNNNNNNNNNNNNNNNNNNNNNNNNNNNNNNNNNNNNNNNNNNNNNNNNNNNNNNNNNNNNNNNNNNNNNNNNNNNNNNNNNNNNNNNNNNNNNNNNNNNNNNNNNNNNNNNNNNNNNNNNNNNNNNNNNNNNNNNNNNNNNNNNNNNNNNNNNNNNNNNNNNNNNNNNNNNNNNNNNNNNNNNNNNNNNNNNNNNNNNNNNNNNNNNNNNNNNNNNNNNNNNNNNNNNNNNNNNNNNNNNNNNNNNNNNNNNNNNNNNNNNNNNNNNNNNNNNNNNNNNNNNNNNNNNNNNNNNNNNNNNNNNNNNNNNNNNNNNNNNNNNNNNNNNNNNNNNNNNNNNNNNNNNNNNNNNNNNNNNNNNNNNNNNNNNNNNNNNNNNNNNNNNNNNNNNNNNNNNNNNNNNNNNNNNNNNNNNNNNNNNNNNNNNNNNNNNNNNNNNNNNNNNNNNNNNNNNNNNNNNNNNNNNNNNNNNNNNNNNNNNNNNNNNNNNNNNNNNNNNNNNNNNNNNNNNNNNNNNNNNNNNNNNNNNNNNNNNNNNNNNNNNNNNNNNNNNNNNNNNNNNNNNNNNNNNNNNNNNNNNNNNNNNNNNNNNNNNNNNNNNNNNNNNNNNNNNNNNNNNNNNNNNNNNNNNNNNNNNNNNNNNNNNNNNNNNNNNNNNNNNNNNNNNNNNNNNNNNNNNNNNNNNNNNNNNNNNNNNNNNNNNNNNNNNNNNNNNNNNNNNNNNNNNNNNNNNNNNNNNNNNNNNNNNNNNNNNNNNNNNNNNNNNNNNNNNNNNNNNNNNNNNNNNNNNNNNNNNNNNNNNNNNNNNNNNNNNNNNNNNNNNNNNNNNNNNNNNNNNNNNNNNNNNNNNNNNNNNNNNNNNNNNNNNNNNNNNNNNNNNNNNNNNNNNNNNNNNNNNNNNNNNNNNNNNNNNNNNNNNNNNNNNNNNNNNNNNNNNNNNNNNNNNNNNNNNNNNNNNNNNNNNNNNNNNNNNNNNNNNNNNNNNNNNNNNNNNNNNNNNNNNNNNNNNNNNNNNNNNNNNNNNNNNNNNNNNNNNNNNNNNNNNNNNNNNNNNNNNNNNNNNNNNNNNNNNNNNNNNNNNNNNNNNNNNNNNNNCUUAGUGAACCGUCAAAACCAGGCCCUGGGAGAUUGUUUGAGACCAUACAAGGAUUUUUGGAGUCUACAAACCUUGUUGAAAUUUGAUGUUGUCUCAAGUCCAGCAGGAAUCUCCAUGUAAACUUCUUCCUCUAAGUCACCAUUGAGGAAGGCACUCUUCACAUCAAGUUGGUGAAGCGACCAAUCAAGAUUAGCUGCCAAGGAUAAAAGUAUACGAACAGUAUUGAGGUUGGCAACUGGAGCAAAAGUUUCUUGAUAGUCAAUGCCAUAGGAUUGGGUGAAUCCUUUGGCGACCAACCGAGCCUUAUACCUGUCCAUAUUACCAUCUACCUUGUAUUUUACUGUGAAAAUCCACUUACACCCAACUGGUUUCUUACCUCUUGGGAGGUCAGUAAUUUCCCACGUACCAUUCUUUUCUAGCGCCCGAACUUCCUCAUCGACUGCCGCCUUCCACUUAGGAUACUUGAAAGCUUCCUGAAUAUUCCGAGGAACUUGUAUCUCUGUGAUGCUAGAAGUGAAUGCACGAAACGUAGGUGAUAGCUUAUCAUAAGAAAUAAAAUUUCCAAUGGGAUGCUGAGUGCAUGAUCUAACUCCUUUCCUCCAAGCUAUGGGCAUAUUAAGAAUAUCAUUUUCUAACUCGAAAUCAACAGUACCAUCAAGAGCGUUGUUACCUGGAAGUUUGCUUGGAUUAGGACCCGGUUCAGCCUCAUGGGUUUGUUGAGAAAGUGCUCCUUCCUCCGUUUCCUCUUGGAUGUGCUCCUUAUCCCACAAGUCAACAAUGGACUCAGGCUUAUUAAAUGACUCUGGAGGAAUGUGAUUUUCAGUGGUGAUGGGUGACUCACUGAAUGACUCAAGAUCCCAAAAUUGAUAUUCCUGAGUUGAAUUCUCCCCCUGAAUAUCGUUUUUGGGAUAGUAAGGCUGGGUUUCAAAAAAUGUGAUAUCCAUUGAAUUGUAGAAUUUUCUUGUGACUGGAGAGUAACACUUAUACCCUUUUUGAUUUGAAGAAUACCCAAGAAAGAUGCACUUGAGUGACCUAGGAUCAAGUUUACUUCUUUUUUGUUGAUUGAUAUGAACAAAGACAGAGCACCCGAAAAUUUUGGGUGGGACGGUGGAGAUGAGACGAGUAGUCGGAAAGGAUUUUAGGAGUGUUUGACAAGGUGUUUGGAAUUUUAGUACCCUAGACGGCAUCCUAUUGAUGAGGUAGGCUGCCGUAAGGACAGCUUGCCCCCAGAAUAAUUUUGGAACAUUCAUGGAGAACAUUAGUGAUCUAGCCACCUCUAACAAAUGCCUAUUUUUCCUUUCAGCGAUUUCGUUUUGUUGUGGGGUAUCAACACAUGAACUUAAGUGAACUAUCCCUUCUUGUGCUAGAAAUUCUCCUAGAAUGGAGUUGAAAUAAUCCCUAGCAUUAUCAGACUUUAGAAUUUGUAUUUUUGACUGGAAUUGGGUCUGAAUCAUAUUUUUAAAAUUUUUGAAAAUUUGACUCGUUUCAGAUUUUUCUUUCAUGAGGAAUACCCAAGUUAAUCUAGUGUGAUCAUCUAUGAAUGAGACAAACCACCUAGUACCAGUUACAUUUUUUAUUCUUGACGGACCCCAGAUAUCGCUAUGAUCAUGAGAUGGACUAGACUCUUNNNNNNNNNNNNNNNNNNNNNNNNNNNNNNNNNNNNNNNNNNNNNNNNNNNNNNNNNNNNNNNNNNNNNNNNNNNNNNNNNNNNNNNNNNNNNNNNNNNNGGGAAGUGAUGAAGAAGCUUACCAAGAUAAUGAAUCUCAUGAGCUUAACUGGUUUGUAGAGCAAGAUGAUGGAUUUGAAUUUCAACGAUCUGACCGCUUAAACAUUGAUCUAGAAGUUGUUAAUGAUAAUGUUUUGAUUUUAGAGAACAUGAAUGACAAUGAUGAUAACUUCAUAUGUGAUGACAUUGAGGAAGAAGAUGAAACACUAGAUGAUUAUGCUAAUGAGAAUGAAAUGUGGCUUUCAAGUGAUAGUGAAAGUGAAAGUGAUUAAAGAGACUGGUAAGCUACAUUUUAUUUACUUUAUUAUAUGUUAAAUAACAUAAUGUAAUCUAGGUCUAGUUCUUUAAAUUUAUGUUAUGUGUUGUGAUAUUCCUUUUUUAUUAUUAUUUAUUUGUCUUUAUUGUUAUUUUAUUAUAGAUGACUCCUGGACGAAAGCGGUCACCUUCUGAGUUAACUCAACCACCCACAACAACACCCAUGACUCCUUUUUAUGUCGAUGUUCCAAUGCACACAUCCAAUGAGGGCACUAGUAGUUGUAAGAAACUUCUUACAUUUAUAUAUUUUACUUAUUAUAAUUUUGUAAGAUAUUUUUUUUUUAAAUUUUAAAUUAUAAUGAGUUGUAAUUUAAUUUUAGUCUUUUUAUUAACUCUUAUUAAUUGUUAAAGUUUAAUCAAUAAUUUCAUGGUAGCACCUAAUAAAGAAAUUUAAGAGGCAAAACUAGAGGUGUCAUUCUUGACAAACUUAUUGAAGCUAAUGGGGGCAAACCUCUUCCGAUCACAAUCAAGCCAUCUAAUGGGAAGCAAACAGGAAAAUAUUGUGAGAAAUUGUCAAAUGAGAUUGGGUUAAUAGUGAGACAACAUGCACCUGUUAGAGUGGAAAAAUGGAACCAAAUGCCUCGAGCUGAGAUCAAUACAAUGCUUGAUCGAAUCAAGGUAAAGUUGCUUGAAAUAUAUAUAUAUUUUUUAGCUUGUAAUUAUAACUAAUUGUUGGUUAUCUCUAAACUUACUUUAUCUCAUAUUAGUUCUUCCCUUGUUUGACUAUGAAGGAAAAGUUUGCCCUAGAUUUGACACAAGAGCAUGUGAAGAAAAGUUUAGAAAAACAAUUAUCUGACCGCUUUAGAAAUUGGAGAUGUGAUUUGCACAAGCACUUCAAAAAGUUCCCAACUGUGGUGGAGGCUAAGCGAAAUCCUCAUGAAUCUGUGUCAAAUCAGGAAGAUUGGGACUACUUUUGUGAUAGAUUUUCAAGUGAAGAAUUUAAGGUAAAGUUUUCAAUGAAUAAUCAUUCAAACCUAUUUCUUAUUGAAUAUUCUACUAACUAUAUUUAUAUUAUUUUCAAUAAUAACUAUUAUUACAGCGUCGUUCAGCAAUCAAUUCAGUAAAUAGAUCAAAGAUGCCUUUUCAUCAUCGAGGAGGCUCUCGUUCAUUUAUCCAACAUGGUCUACAAGUGGUAAAAUAUAAAACUAAGGUUCUUUAGUUAUUCAUAUAACUUAUAAUUCUUAAUAUUAAUGCAUAAUACUUGACAGCCAACAGAGAAUGGAGAGAUGGUUGGCCAAAUUGAACUAUUCAAACUAGUUCAUUGGAAAAGUCAAGAUGGAUGGAUAAAUCAAGAGGCUAGAUAUUAUUAUGUAAGAUUAUUUUGAUAGCUUUCUAUGUUUAAAUCAUGUUUGGGAUUAUGAAUCUUUGUGGAAGUGUCAUCGUGAUAGUUUAUUUACCAUGUUUUGAUAAAUAAGGCACUUCCUUGGUAGUUUUCAUAAAUCUAUAAAUUUUGAUUUGGUUAUUGAUUGCUUGGGUGUUCAAUGUUGUUAAAUUGAUUAAUAGCAGGGAAAAUUUGGCAAAGUCUAAAAAUUAGGAGAGACUAUGCCAAAAUUUCUAUUGAAAUUUUAUCUUACCAACUUAUUAUUAUAACUUUUCUUACUCAAAAUUACAUUUAAGAUUAUUAGUACUUGUAAAGUAUUAUUAUAUCAACUUGUAUACUAGAUUCUUAUUUCAAUUUUUAUAUUAUUUAGUGUGUGAUUACAAGCUAAUUAGGUUCUUCUUAGGUAGAAUCCUUGAAGUAAACUUUUGUUUGGGCAUUAACUAAUCAUAAAUCUUUAUUGUUAAAUAUUUGAUUAUGUGGUUGGUAAAAAUUUGUGGAAAUAGUAAAGAAUUAAAGAGGGAUUAGUAUAUUAUUAACUUGAAUAUAUAAUAGGUCAAAUUUUGGAAAAAAAACUAAGAAAUAUAAGAGAAUAUGCCAAAAUUUAAAUAGGAUUUUUAACUUGUUAACUUCUUGUUAUAAUUUUCUUUGCUUAAAAUUAAGUUGAGAUUCUAUGUACUUUUCAAUUUUUACCAUUUUAUUAUGUAUAUAAGAAUCUUGUUUAUGUGAUAACAAGUUUAGAUACUUUUUUUAGCCAUUUCUUUGCUUAAAAUGAAGUUUAGGAUUAUAUGUGCUUGUGGGGUGUUACAAUAUUUGUAUAAAAAAUAUCAUAUCCUUAUUUGAAAUCUAAUAUUAAGGGACUAUUCCAAAAUUUAAUUAGGAUUUUUAACUUAUUAACUUCUUGUUGUAAUUUUCUUUACUUAUAAUUAAGUUGAGAUUCUAACUACUUUUCAAUUUUUAUCAUUUUAGUAUGUAUAUAAGAAUCUUGUUUAUGUGAUAACAAGUUUAGAUACUUUUUUAGGCAUUUAUUUGCUUAAAAUGAAUUUUAGGAUUAUAUGUGCUUGUGGGGUGUUAUAAUAUUUGUAUAAAAAUAUCAUAUCCUUAUUUGAAAUCUAAUAUUAAGGGACUAUUCCAAAAUUUAAUUAGGAUUUUUAACUUGUGAACUUCUUGUUAUAAUUUUCUUUACUUAUAAUUAAGUUGAGAUUCUAACUACUUUUCAAUUUUUAUCAUUUUAGUAUGUAUAUAAGAAUCUUGUUUAUGUGAUAACAAGUUUAGAUAUUUUUUUAGGCAUUUCUUUGCUUAAAAUUAAGUUUAGGAUUAUGUGUGCUUGUAGGGUGUUACAAUGUUUGUAUAAAAAUACCAUAUUCUUAUUUGAAAUCUAAUAUUAAGGGACUAUGCCAAAAUUUAAAUAGGAUUUUUAACUUUAUAACUACUUGUUAUAAUUUUCUUUACUUAUAAUUAAGUUGAGAUUCUAACUAAUUUUCAAUUUUUAUCAUUUUAGUAUGUAUAUAGGAAUCUUGUUUAUGUGAUAACAAGUUUAGAUCAUUUUUUAGGUAUUUCUUUGCUUAAAAUUAAGUUUAGGAUUAUGUGUGUUUGUGGGGUGCUACAAUGUUUGUAUAAAAAUACCAUAUUCUUGUUUGAAAUAUAAUAUUAAGGGACUAUGCUGAAAUUUAAAUAGGAUUUUUAACUUACUAUCUUCUUGUUAUAAUUUUCUUUACUUAAAAUUAAGUUAAGAUUCUAACUACUUUUGAAUUUUCACCAUUUUAGUAUGUAUAUAUUAUUCUUGUUUAUGUGAUAACAUGUUUAUAAACACUUUUUUAGGCAUUUCUUAGCUUAAAAUUAAGUUUAGGAUUAUGUGUGCUUAUGGGAUGUUACAAUGUUUGUAUAAAAAUACUAUAUUCUUGUUUGAAAUCUACUAUUAUUUACCAUAUAAUAACAAAUUAAGGCACUUGGAUGUUUUGUUGUGCUAAAAAUCAAUUUGAUUAUUAACUAAUUUGAAAUUCCAAUGCUUAUAUUUAUUAUAUAUAGUAGGUAUAAUUUAAAAAAUAUCUACUAAAUAUGGGAGAUCAUGCCCAAAUUUAAUGGAAAUUUUAAUUUACUAACUUAUUAAUUAUGUUUUGGUUCUUUUUUUUUUGUUUUAUUUUUUAUUUUGCAUAUAUAGGAGAAGAUGUUGGAGCUUUAACGCCAGCCUAUUGCAGAAGGAGCUGUGGCUAUGACUGAGGUAGAAAUUUGUGAGAAAGUUUUGGGACAAAAAUCAGGAUAUGUCAAGGGCCUUGGUUUUGGCCCUAAACCAAUCUCAUUUUCUAAAUCUAAACCAUCAUCUUCUGAGCGUGAAAAUGAGUUGGAGCAUAGACUUAUUGAGACUCAACUACUUGUGGAGACUCAACAACAAUAACUUGAGACUCAACAAGAUCGAAUUGACCAAUUGGAGGCCUUCGUACAAAAACAAAAUCAACAACAUCAUCAACAAUUUGAAGAAAUAUUGCGUCAUCUAUGAUCAAGCCAAGGGUCCUCAUGAUCCCUUUUUUUAUGAUGUGCAUAUGAUGGACGUUCAUUUCUUUUUUUUGCCUAUGCUAAUAUAGUUGUUUUGUGAUAGACAUUUUGUUAAACUAAUACUUUAUUUUGUUUUGUAGUUAUAUUAGCGUAGAUAUUAUACUACUAUGAUCACAUGUUAUGGUUACAUAUAUUAAUUACCAAUGAAGUUAUGUGAUAUAUAUUUUGAUUUUUGUAAGCAGGUUUCAGAAUUAACCUUUCUAUUAUAAUUAAUGUUUUAAAUACCAAAUGCCAUACAUUUGUAAUAUGAAAAAUAAAAAAUGUAAAUACAUUUCCUGACAAAAAAAAAAAAUUGUUACUAAAGAUAUUUCCUGAUGAAAUAUUUUUGUUGCUGAAGAUUGUUGUAUCAUCCACAACUAAUUUAUAAUUCACUGGCAUACGUUUUAGGGACAAAAUCAUUUUGUAAAUAAAAGGAUUUAGCAACGAAAUGAAUUUGUCAGUAUUAAUGAUAAAUAUUUUAGUUCAAAAAAAUCCUUUAGCAAUGAAAUAUCUAUUUCAUCAAGAAAAACUUUUAGUGACAAAAUGGAACUUUCGUUGGGAUUGCAAAGCAUAGGGAGACGAAAUUAAAUUGUUACAAAAAAUAUUUGGCAGCAAAAUAAAUUUGUUAGCACUAAGUAUUGACGACUUUGAGGACAAAAAUUUAUAUUUUUUAGUGGCAAAAAUUCUUAUUUUUGUUAAUGAAAAAUUUCGUUGGGGAAAAUAUUUAGUAACAAAAUUUUUAUUUCAUCAGGGAAAAUAUUGGGCGACGAAAUAGGAUUUUUGUCGGGAAACUUUUAGCGACGGGUCUAAGGCAACGAAUGUGACACGAAACAUUUUUCGUUGGGAAAUAUUUUUGCAGACGAAAUUUCGACUUUUAGUGACAAAAUAUUUUAUCAUUGAAAGUUAAUUUUCUUGUAGUUAAAUGAAAACAAAUUGAAAUACUUUUGUAAAUAAAAUUGUAAUUUUUUUUUGUAAAAGCAAGUAAAAAUCAUUUUUGUUGCCAAAUUGAAAUUUUGCAAUAAAUUAUUUUGAUAUAAUAAGUGAAAAUAAAUUUUUUUGAAAAUUAAAUACAAAUGAAAUUGAAUUAAAUCAUUAAUUAAAAAUAAAUUGAAACUUCUUUUUUGGCAAUAAAAAAAAAUUAAAAUCAUUAAUUUAAAAUCAUUUUUAAUAAAUACUUUGAAAUUUCUUGAAAAUUAUUUUUUUAAUAUUUUUUUUUAGUUCAAUAAAUCAUUUUGCAUAAUUCUCUUAUUAUUUAUUUUGUGUAUUCUUGUAAUUAGAUUUCAUCAUUAUUUUUGUGUAUAUUAAUUUUCACCAUGACUUGUACAUACUCAUUUACAUGAUUAUUUUUCUUGGUAUCCAUAAUUAAUUAAUUAAUCAUCACAAUUUCCUUAAUUCAUUUAGUAGAGGGCAUACGUAUACAAGCUUAGAGGGGUGUUACAGCUCAUUACAAUACCUUCCCGAUAUGUAACGGGGGACUCAAACUCAAUUUUUCACAAACUUGUUUUUACUUCGAGAGUCACAUUUAAGGUUUUUCUUUUUUAUUUUGUUUUUCCCUUAAAAAAAUAAAACAAAAAUCAGUAACGACUUUAAGUCUUUUUUAAAAAAUCAUAUUUUUUACCAAAUAAAUAAAAAACGAGUCUCGUUGUCGAGUGGAGACGCACAUGAAAAACGUAGGUCCACACCGAUAUAUUAUAUUAUUUUUUAAUUUAUUUAUAAUUUAAAACUAAUUUCAUUUUUUAUAAGACCUCAAUUAAAUUUCUAUUAAUUAAAUUUAGAAUAUUUUUACAAAAUCAAUAUAGAAAAAUUAUUUAAAAAAAAAAAAAAAAAAACCAACUUGUAGACUCCUUCUCUUGAGCUCUAUUUUUUUUAUGGUCUGAAACAAGGGGGCAUGGCAUGACCCAAGGGAGAAAUUUUCGAUUUUUUAGUGAAGGAGGGGACACCUCCCAAGAAGGUAGCUGCCUUGGACGUGUGGCAAGGGAGAUUGGCUGCCCAUGAAAGUGGUUGCAAGCCCAUGCUUGCUGUGAGGUGAAUAGGAGAGUGGGUGGUGGCUUGCCAAGGAAGGGAAAAAGAGAGAGAAAAAAGGGGAGUUAGAGCUGAGGGCAAGGGUGGAGCCAGAGAGAAAGGAGAAGCCCGAAUGAGAAGAAGGGAGAGGUACGACAUUUACCAUGACUCUUUGGACUCACUUGAUGUAUAUAAUCUCCUUAUUUUUCUCUUAAUAGUUUCGAGUAGAUUAUUCGAACAUAUGUUUCGUUUUAUGGUUCAUAGUUAUGGUUUGGAUGCUACUAUCUCUUUCAUAUUUUUGGUUUGUUUUGAGAGCAAUGAAGCUCUGUUUUAACCUCCUCCUCAUGGCCAUUACCGUGCUCAUCAUCCACCCCCAAUACCCACAUCGUCACGCACCAAUAUACCAGCUCCAUUUCAUCACCAUCCCACGUUCCAUGCAUGGCUGUCACCCUCACCCAUCCUCCCAAUCACCUUUUCUCUCUCUACCCGCCAUACCCAUCCUUCACCCGCAUGCGCGGAACCUGGUAUAUUUGGCUGCCCACCAUGCCCGCGUUCAGCUCAUCUCCACAGGAACCCCCAAAGCCGCCCGUCUACACGCGUGUGUCCCAUGCAUGCAAGCCGCCCCAUCCCUCAUUUUUUUUUGCUGCAUGCACCGCGUCGACAAGGCGUCUGCUCCUCACCAGCCACCAUCACCCGCUCCAGCCAUGCGGGCAUUUGCACCAGCCACCAUGGCGGCAGCAUCUCUUGGAUGCCAUGGGACUACCACCAUUGCUCCUUGAAGACUUUGAAGACUAAAAUAUGAAGAAUUUGAAGACAAACUAUGGAGGAACACAGACUCAAUUCAUUCUGUGAUUCUUUUUUUUUUUUUUACAAUGAAAGAAAGCAUAAAUAAAUAGCCUACAGAUAUGAGAUAAUUCCGGAAUGGUACACUAUCACUGGACGGAAUUUCCCUUACAUGGAAAGUGUUACAUGGAAAGUGAAUAAACUACCUUGCUAGAAUUACUCCUAAAUCAAUUAUAAUAAAGGUUGUACAUUACACUAAUUCAGGGAAGUAAACAGAGGAUGCUAAAUAUGGGGAGGAACAUGCACAGGCAGGAAGGCGACGUGGGCUUGAUUUCCAACACUCCCCCUCAAGCCGCGUUGUAGAUGUUGAUCAUUCCAAGUUUUUCUGUCAGAUCUUCGAAGUUAACUCGAGCAAGAGCUUUUGUGAGAAUGUCAGCCGUUUGAUAGUUUGUCGGAGUGUAGCUGACUUUGAAAACUCCUUCUUCAAUCUUUUCCUUGAUAAAGUGUCGAUCUAUCUCCACGUGCUUAGUUCGAUCAUGAUGAACCGGAUUCUUAGCGAUACUGAUGGCAGCUUGAUUGUCGCAGUAUAACACCAUGGGAUGCUUCAAUGGAACCCAUAAUUCUUCUAGCAGCCUGUUCAACCAGAUUUCCUCGCAGAUACCUUGUUCCAUAGCACGAAAUUCUGCCUCAGCACUGCUACGGGCUACCACUGACUGUUUCUUGCUUCGCCAUGUAACCAAGUUCCCCUAGACAAAUGAACAAUAGCCUGAAGUUGAUCUCCGAUCAGUCACUGAACCUGCCCAAUCUGCAUUUGAAAAAAUCUCAAUCUCUUUCUUUGUUGUUCUUUGAAAGAAAAGACCCUUUCCCGGUGUCAUCUUGAGGCACCUCAAUAUUCUGAUCACAGUAGUCAUGUGUUUUUCGGUUGGAUUAUUCAUGAAUUGACUUACCACACUAACGGAGAAGCCGAUGUCUGGCCUUGUAUGAGAAAGAUAGAUGAGUUUCCCCACAAGACGUUGAUAUCUUCCUUUAUCAACUGGCGCACUUCCAUCACUUUCUUCCAGUUUGACAGUUGUAUCCAUAGGUGUUUCUGCUGGCUUGCAUCCUAGCAUUCCUGUUUCAUUCAAUAAGUCCAGAACGUAUUUGCGUUGUGAGACUGCUAUACCUUUCUUUGACCUAGCAAUCUCCAUUCCGAGAAAGUACUUGAGGUUUCCAAGAUCCUUGAUCUCAAAUUCCUUUGUCAGUAAUUUUUUAAGUAAGUCAAUUUUCUCUUCAUGAUCACCUGUCACNNNNNNNNNNNNNNNNNNNNNNNNNNNNNNNNNNNNNNNNNNNNNNNNNNNNNNNNNNNNNNNNNNNNNNNNNNNNNNNNNNNNNNNNNNNNNNNNNNNNGAUAGUGCCACAACAUAAUUGCACUAUUGUUAUUUUGACAUGAAACCGAAAAAGAAUUACUACCAACUGCCAUUUGAGGUUGUUCUUGUGGAUCGUGGCGCUCCUUAAGGAUGUAGAGUCCAGAGCAUUCCUCAGCAUUGCCAAUCGUCUUCCCCGAAUCCAAAUCCUGAAAUUCACAGUGAGUGGAGGAAAAAUUAGUAAUACACCUCUUUUCCUUAGUGAGUUUACUAAUUGACAAUAGAUUACAGUCCAAGUUAGGAACAAGGAGAACAGAGUUGAGAGUAAGAUCCCUUGAUAGCACAACUGAACCUGUUCCGGCAACCUUUGAUAGUGAACCAUCUACUAUUCGGACUGUUAAAUUAUUUGGACAUGAGCUAUAUGUAUCAAAAAUUGUCGCAUCUCCCGUCAUAUGAUCAGAUGCUCUUGAAUCCACGAUCCAAGGUUUUUUACGUUUCUUACCAGCAGUGAAGGCACUCAAAAAAUUACCUUUGUGAGCCAAGGUUCCGGAACCAAUGACCUGGUUGGAAGAUGAGCCAGUUUGUGACUGUACUGACAAAAGAGGAGACAGUAGUUUCUGAAGCAUCUCCAUUUGCUCCUUAUUAAAAGGGCUAGCUUCAGGUUGUGGCGAUUGUUCAUCGGUAGCCACAUGAUUGCCUCGUCCUUCUUUCUCAGGUGGUUGACGUGGCUUCCAAUCUACUGGCUUUCCAUGAAUCUUCCAACAAGUUUCUCUUGAGUGUCCCGGCUUUCUGCAAUGAUCACACCAAGGUCUACCUCCUUUAAUUUUUUGACGGUUGUCAAAAGGAGCGAAUUGAGUCUUAAGAGCCGAGCUUUCUGCCAUAUUCAAUUGUUGAUGGGAUCCCAUCAUGAGAUUUUUCCGACUUUCUUAGCAACGGACUUCAGAGAAUGCCUCUCUGAGGCUAGGUAGAGGUUUUACUCCCAUGAUUCUUCCUCUAAUUUCAUCAAGAUUUUUGUUCAAGCCUAACAAAAAUUUAAACACACGUUUCCCUUCGACAAUCUUUUUAUACAACAAACCAUCUGUAACACAAUUCCAGUUAUGAACCUCAAACGUAUCAAGUUGACGCUGAUUCGUCCCUAGCAGUGGAAGUGGCAAUGACACCAUUUGAUUCGAGGUUCGAUCCCCGGCAACGGCGCCAUUUGAUUCGUCCCUAGCAGCGGAAGUGGCAAUGGCACCAUCUGAUUCGGGGUUCGAUCCCCGGCAACGGCGCCAUUUGAUUCGUGCCUAAUUGGUGUCUCAGCUGAUUCGUGUCCAGCUGGUGCUCCUUGAUUGAGGGAUUAAUCAACAAAAUUUAUAACCUAUUACACCAUAUACUAGGGUAGCAAAGACAAAGCUACUAUAGCAUAGUGGCUCUAGGAUCGUUCACUAGGAUGGGUUUUCACUUCACAAAUGAUGUUAAUUCAAAGUUGAAUUGGUGCCUUUUCAUUUCAAGGUUAGCUUUAAAAGAAAACAUAAAGAUGCUUGAAUGAAAAAAAUUUGGUUUUAAACUAACCAAAAAUAGUAACUGAUUUUACUUAUAAAGAAAAGUGUUUCUUGGAGUUCAGAUCACUAGGCUCGUUCCUCAUACAAAAUGGAGAGUUCCGGUCACUUGUUUAUUUUCCUCGCAUUAGAGAAUUAACAUAUAGUUCCUUCUCCAACCGGUGUUGUACAGAUGCUUCCCAUUAAUGGGUUCAAACACUAAAUCUCUCUCACUGAUGCAUCUUGCAAUGGUUCAUGCCUCUCACGAGCACUUACCAUUCAAGAUGAUCUUUAACCUUGGAUUUCCCUUCUCAAACUCGCAAGAGAUAACUAAUGGAUGUCUCCUUGGAGUCCAAAAGCUUACCAAGUGUUGGCUAUUCUAGAAAAUCCUACCUACAAGUCACCUCCCAAAGGCUCGCAAGGGGUAAACUAGUGCAUUUCCAUGGUUGGAAAUCACUUGCCUUACCAAGUGUUAGCCCAGGUGACUCUAAGGUGUUUUAAGUUAACUAAAAACAUAGAAAUCACUAACGGGUUACACUUUCUCUUCAUUAAAAACUAAAACAACAAAACUUCCAAAUUAUGCAUGUGGAAACUUACCCGGCUUUCCUCACUCCAAGAGACAAAAAGCUUAGCCUCUCAUCCUCUGUGGAAAAAUCCUCAGAGUUUGGUUGGCUAGAAAAUGAAAAUGAAAGAGAAGACAAGAAUAUAUAUCAAAAACAGAGCAAGUGCUCUGUUCGUUGAUUCUAUAUAUUGGAUUACAUGAUAUAUCUGAUUACAUGCCCCUCUUACAGUGGAUGCAAGAGAGUUUAUAUAGGAAUGUUUUUCCAACCUUCCCAACUAAGAAAUCUUAUGGUUGGUGGAUUACAAGGAGAGGAAUGGAAAUUUAUACAAAAAUAUCUUAAGAAAAGAUCUAAAAGAGUCGGUGGCAAAUAUCGGGAAGCAUUAAGGACCAUUUCGCAGGUGAAAAUGGUGUCUGCGAGAUUUCGCAGACACUCAAGAGGGCUGCGAAAUAUUUUCGCAUCAACAAGCUGAACUCGCAGGACUGCGAAAUUGGCUUCCACCUUGAGGUUCUCAGAGUUCCAGCUUGUGGCAUGUAUCGGGUAGCUUCAGGAGGAAUUCCAUAGCACUGUACAAAAAGGCUGCGAAAUUCUCGCAACAAAAGGCUGAAUUCGCAACACUUUGGAGUGAUCUGCUUGCAAUGGCUGUAACUCCUUCGUUUCAACUCCAAAUCGUGCACCGUUUGAAGCAUUGGAUUCUUGACUUCCUGAGCUUUGAAAUGGUAUAUAGAAUAUAUAAAAUGGACUUCGUGAAGUGUUCCAAAAGUGCGCAAGAAGACUGCAGUUGGCUUUCCUCUGUUUUCUUCACUCUGUUUUCCUCUUCUCCUUGCUUCUCUCCUUGCAUACUUUGAACGACUUUGGCAAAGGGCUAUGGAGCUCCAAAGCUUGGUUCUUCAUGAAUUUGAGCUCUUCAUUGCUUUGCCAUGGAUUCCAAAUAACUCUCCUCAAUCUUGGAUUGUUUUGGUGAUCAAAUUACUAACAAAAACACCAAAACUUACACAAUUUGAUUAGAAAUGAUUGCAAGGGUCCUUAACAUGUUAAUUGAGUUAAAAGGCAAUAACUACUACUCAAAAGUGUUUAAAAGGAUUAAUUACAAGCUACAAAAUAGCACUUUUUGAGUAGUAAUCACUCCCCCCAACCGACAUAUUGCUAGUCCCUUAGCAAUGAAGGUGAUAAAAACUAAGUAAACUAUAAUAAUAUACAUAAAAUGGAUCAUGCAAAUCACUCCAAAAAAUGAUAUGAGUGGCAUGAUGGACAUCCAUGGAUCAAUAAAGAUGUGAAACUCAACCUAUAAUAAGAGUUGUCAAAGCAUUCACUUGAUCAUAGAGUACAAAGAAUGGAUAUUAUGCAGGUUUAAGCAUCAAAAGAAUUUCCACUCUCAAAAGAUCCAAAUCAAAUUCUUCCACUAAAAGCUAAGUGUUAAUGUGAUUAGCUUCCGAGUAUAGUAUGGAUAACUAUCAUCUCCCCCCAACCUAAGUCUUUCUUUAAGCUUAGCAAAAUUAACCAUCUCUUGAUAGGCUAGGAACGCACCUCUUAUUCACAAUUCUUUUCACUUACUAAACUUAACCAAUUCACCCAUGUAACAAGCAGAGGAUCGGUGACUCCCAACCAAUAAAGGCUUAGGGCACCAGGCUUUAAAGGCUUUCGCCACCCCUUCGGACCAUGCUCAGGUUUCAAGGCAAGUAAAGAAGUUUAUUCUUUUUUUUUUUUUUCUUUUUCUUUUUUCUUUUUUCUUUUUCUUUUUCUUUUUCUACAAAGACUCAUUGGUCUUUAUGAGGUGUCCCAACACUAUUAAAGAGAGGUUAAGGGUGUCAAAUUAUGAUUUCUCAAGCUUAGAGGGUGAGAUAGUUUCACAUCUUAUAACCGGAAUCUAAUGUAUGUGUGUGCGAAUAGCUUAAGGUGGAAGAGAUAAGUUUGCAUGCAAUGGGAGUUUCAACAAUUCAUCAACUUUUAGAAGAGCAUAAUACAAACUCUAAGACUCAUGUAAUCAAGUUGAAACUCGACUUCUCUCAUUUAAUUUUGAGAGUUAAUCCUUAAUAUCCAUGGAGUUUAAAGCAAAAAUUUUAAAAAUUAAGCAAAAAACAACUAAAUUACCAAAAUAACUUAGCAUUAUUAACAAUACUUACUUCCUCAACUCUCCCCCCAACCAAGCUGAACAUUGUCCUCAAUGUGACAAAAGCGAUUAAAAAAUAGGGAGGAAGUGGUACCUCCUUAGUGACAUGGAGUCUGAGUCGUAUAGGAGAAACCACAUGUUUCAAAGAAAACAUAAAAGAGUUAGUGAGUAGAGGAAAUAAAAAAAUGCCAAGUUUAAACAAAAAAUGAUGUCUAUGUAUGAUGCAUCAUCAGUAAUACAUCCAAUCCCAGAAUAUAAGACAUCAAAACAUGGAAUUAUCUAUACUAAUAUAAUAUGUAAAGACAAAAAGUAAAGAGAUGAUCAUGUAAUGGUAAGGUCCUGUGGAGCUGAUGUGUCUGUGGUGGCCUCUUGAAUGGGUUGGAUCAGGAUUUUGGCCUCUGUUCUGGUAGUCUCCUUAAGUGGCAUGGUCUCCUCAGCUGGAGCUCUCAGUUAGAGCUAUGAGCUUUGAUGGUUUAAGGAGGUCAGAAAUGGAGUGAGAGGCUUGGUGUGUGUGAUCUCAAGGUGUGCGGGGCUCUCCUCUUCAGAUGCAUGGUUGCAGAGCUCUAUUGGCAUUUUAGCAACUUCCCUUGGCUUUGCAAAGUGUUUUUGCAAAUCACCCUCCAUUUUGCAAGUCAAUUUCGCAAUUUGAAGGCCCUUUCUAAGCUUGGAGGUGAUUUCAUAGCCAUUUCGAAGCUUGGAGAUCAUUUCGCAGAAAAGUGGCAUGUUCACAGACCAUUUUUUAAGCUUGGAGCAUUUUCGCAGCUCAUAGGUGAUUUCGCAGCCAUAUCGAAGCUUGGAGAUCAUUUCAUAGCCAUUUCAAAGCUCAAAAGUGAUUUCGCAGGUGUAUCGCAGCUUCAAAAUGAGGGGAAUUGUGCUGCAAAUGGCACUCGUGUGCCAAAAAGUGGUUUCGCAGCUGCGAAACACCCUUCCAAAUGGCGUCUCGGCUGCGAAAUUCCCGUUUAGCUUUGCGCGCUUGUCUUCAAACGGCCAUAACUUCUUCAUUUCAAAUCCAAAUCGAGUACCGUUUGAAGCUAUGGACUCCUGACUUCUCAAGAUUUGAAACGAGAUAUCAUGUGCAUAAUUUGAGCUCCAGAAAGUGCUUCAAAAAUGUGUCCAACAGUAGCGAAAUUGAGGUGCGACAUUUCCGUUCAUAGUUUGCACAGUCAUCUUCAAAUGGCCAUAACUUUUCUGUUUCAAAUCCAAAUCAAGUACCGUUUGAAGCUGUGGACUCUUGACUUCCCAAGCUUUCAAAUGAGAUAUUGUAUGAAUAAUUUGAACUUCGGGAAGUGAUCGAAAUGUGUCCAACAAUUGCCAAAAUGGGGGUGCGGCUGUGAAAUUGGGAUUUUUCAUGUUUUGGAACUUCGCAGCCGUUUCGUAGCUGCGAAAUGAGGGUUACUGUGCUGCGAAAUGGCACUCGUGUACCAAAACCGGCUUCGCAAUUGCGAAAUACCCUGCGGAAUGGAGCUUUGGCUGCGAAAUUGAGAAUUUUCACGCUUUGGAGCUUCGCAGCCGUUUCGCAGCUGCGAAAUGAGGGUCACUGUGCUGCGGAAUGGCACUCGUGUGCCAAAAGUGCUUUCGCAGCCGCGAAAUCCUUUGCGAAAUGGGACUUUUGUUGCGAAAUCAGCCUUUUUCACUUCGCAAUGCGUUUCGCAGCUGCGAAACAUAUGCUCCUGUGCUGCGAAGUGGCACUCGUGUGCCAAAAUGGGUUUCGCAGCUGCGAAAAUUUUCGCAGAGACUUCUACAGUGUUGCGGAAUGGUUUGGCAACAAAAUGCCGAUUUCGCAGAGGCUGCGAAAUCUCGCAGACCCUUGUUUUUCCCCUGUUUUCGCUCCGUUUGACUCCGAUUUUGCUCUGAUUUUUUUUCUUCAAUUUCUUUGCAAUUCCUCUUGAUUUUGAUCAUUCAAAAACCUAUAUUACAUCAAAACAAAUUAGAAUUAAAGCAUUGAAAUCAAAAUUAAAGCAUUGAAAUCCAAAUUAAAACAUUGAAAUCAAAAUUAAAACAAGAAAUUAACAAAACAAAAAGAUAUGGACUAGCUAGUCUUUAAAAAGACUAAGUCCAUCAAAAAAUUUGCUCAUGAUUUAGCUUGCCCGGAUCCCAUAUGAAGCUUACAUCCCUCACUUGAGACUUGGUUUGUAUGAUUUUGCCAUACAAAGCUUGGAGAAAAGGUGGAGGCAUGCGUUUCAUCAUUUCUUCCUUGAUGACUAUCCUCUGUGGUUCUCUUUGUACAUUAAUAUCAUAGCCAUCAUUCUCUAUGCUUUCCCCCUUUUUCUUUCCUUUGAUUUCCUCCCUAUUUUCUUUCUCUGUUUCACUCUCUUCCUUAUGCUCUAGCUUGCAUGUGGGCAGAUCAACCUCUUUACCACUCCUCAGAGUGAUCACUUCUUCAAUUUCCUUCACCAUUGAAGAUUCUCCCUCUUGAGCCUCCACUUCAUGGAUGCCCUUGGAAUUUUGACAAGGUUGAGAAGGAGAGUUUUCUUUCUCUUGCACUAUGUUGAGGUUGGCAAGCCUUGAGAUUGAAUCUUGGAGAAUAUCUAACUUUUGAGAUAGAUCAUUUUGCAUUUCAUCCAUCCUUUUAUUCAAAGUACUCUCCACUCUAUCAAUUCUUUGAUCGACUCGAGCAUUGGUGGCUUCUUGCUUUUCAAUAAAAUCUCCCAUGACCUUGCAAAGAUUCACCAUAGCUUGUUCAAGGUUUGAGGCUUGCUGUGGUGCUUGAGCAGGUUGCUGAUACUGAGGUGGCUGUGGUUUCCAAGAGAAAUUUGGAUGGUCCCUCCAAUUGGAAUUGUAGGUGUUGCAAUCACCAAACAUUUCCCUCUCGGCUGGAAUGGUAGGACACUCAUCCACCAAGUGCUCAUAUGAUAGACAAAUGGCACAAGGCAUAGCUUGCAAUGAUGACUGAGAGAUGGCUUGCACUUGUUGCAUAUUCGUCAUUUCUAGCUUUUCCAAUCUCCUUUCCAUAGCUGCAAUCUCUGCCUUCAUGUUCAUACCAUCAUUCAAAAUAUACAUCUCACCCUUAGCUUUAGGUUGAGAUGUCAUUCUUCCCAUAUCUCUAGCAUUUGGUUCAUUCCAUCCUCUUGAGACUUCAGCCACAUAACUCAUGAAGUUCAUGGCUUCCUCUGCUAUGGUAUUCAAUAUGGCAUGCACAACUAGCAAUUUAUGAAUUAAAAACAGAGAACACAAAAGAAAAUAAAAGAAAAACAAUUCAAAGAAAGAAAAUUAAGGUAAACUAAAAACUAAAUAAAAGGUAUACUAAAAUAUGAACAAUAAAGAAAUAAAAAGAGUUAGUAAAAGGAAAAGAAAAGUCACCAAACUUGUGAUGAAGAUCACAAGUACUCUAGAAAGGUGAUAUCACUGUAAAGUGGCACCAUCCCCGGCAACGGCGCCAUUUGAUUCGUCCCUAGCAGUGGAAGUGGCAAUGGCACCAUUUGAUUCGAGGUUCGAUCCCCGGCAACGGCGCCAUUUGAUUCGUCCCUAGCAGCGGAAGUGGCAAUGGCACCAUCUGAUUCAGGGUUCGAUCCCCGGCAACGGCGCCAUUUGAUUCGUGCCUAAUUGGUGUCUCAGCUGAUUCGUGUCCAGCUGGUGCUCCUUGAUUGAGGGAUUAAUCAACAAAAUUUAUAACCUAUUACACCAUAUACUAGGGUAGCAAAGACAAAGCUACUAUAGCAUAGUGGCUCUAGGAUCGUUCACUAGGAUGGGUUUUCACUUCACAAAUGAUGUUAAUUCAAAGUUGAAUUGGUGCCUUUUCAUUUCAAGGUUAGCUUUAAAAGAAAACAUAAAGAUGCUUGAAUGAAAAAAAUUUGGUUUUAAACUAACCAAAAAUAGUAACUGAUUUUACUUAUAAAGAAAAGUGUUUCUUGGAGUUCAGAUCACUAGGCUCGUUCCUCAUACAAAAUGGAGAGUUCCGGUCACUUGUUUAUUUUCCUCGCAUUAGAGAAUUAACAUAUAGUUCCUUCUCCAACCGGUGUUGUACAGAUGCUUCCCAUUAAUGGGUUCAAACACUAAAUCUCUCUCACUGAUGCAUCUUGCAAUGGUUCAUGCCUCUCACGAGCACUUACCAUUCAAGAUGAUCUUUAACCUUGGAUUUCCCUUCUCAAACUCGCAAGAGAUAACUAAUGGAUGUCUCCUUGGAGUCCAAAAGCUUACCAAGUGUUGGCUAUUCUAGAAAAUCCUACCUACAAGUCACCUCCCAAAGGCUCGCAAGGGGUAAACUAGUGCAUUUCCAUGGUUGGAAAUCACUUGCCUUACCAAGUGUUAGCCCAGGUGACUCUAAGGUGUUUUAAGUUAACUAAAAACAUAGAAAUCACUAACGGGUUACACUUUCUCUUCAUUAAAAACUAAAACAACAAAACUUCCAAAUUAUGCAUGUGGAAACUUACCCGGCUUUCCUCACUCCAAGAGACAAAAAGCUUAGCCUCUCAUCCUCUGUGGAAAAAUCCUCAGAGUUUGGUUGGCUAGAAAAUGAAAAUGAAAGAGAAGACAAGAAUAUAUAUCAAAAACAGAGCAAGUGCUCUGUUCGUUGAUUCUAUAUAUUGGAUUACAUUAUAUAUCUGAUUACAUGCCCCUCUUACAGUGGAUGCAAGAGAGUUUAUAUAGGAAUGUUUUUCCAACCUUCCCAACUAAGAAAUCUUAUGGUUGGUGGAUUACAAGGAGAGGAAUGGAAAUUUAUACAAAAAUAUCUUAAGAAAAGAUCUAAAAGAGUCGGUGGCAAAUAUCGGGAAGCAUUAAGGACCAUUUCGCAGGUGAAAAUGGUGUCUGCGAGAUUUCGCAGACACUCAAGAGGGCUGCGAAAUAUUUUCGCAUCAACAAGCUGAACUCGCAGGGCUGCGAAAUUGGCUUCCACCUUGAGGUUCUCAGAGUUCCAGCUUGUGGCAUGUAUCGGGUAGCUUCAGGAGGAAUUCCAUAGCACUGUACAAAAAGGCUACGAAAUUCUCGCAACAAAAGGCUGAUUUCGCAACACUUUGGAGUGAUCUGCUUGCAAUGGCUGUAACUCCUUCGUUUCAACUCCAAAUCGUGCACCGUUUGAAGCAUUGGAUUCUUGACUUCCUGAGCUUUGAAAUGUUAUAUAGAAUAUAGAAAAUGGACUUCGGUAAGUGUUCCAAAAGUGCGCAAGAAGACUGUAGCUGGCUUUCCUCUGUUUUCUUCACUCUGUUUUCCUCUUCUCCUUGCUUCUCUCCUUGCAUACUUUGAACGACUUUGGCAAAGGGCUAUGGAGCUCCAAAGCUUGGUUAUUCAUGAAUUUGAGCUCUUCAUUGCUUUGCCAUGGAUUCCAAAUAACUCUCCUCAAUCUUGGAUUGUUUUGGUAAUCAAAUUACUAACAAAAACACCAAAACUUACACAAUUUGAUUAGAAAUGAUUGCAAGGGUCCUUAACAUGUUAAUUGAGUUAAAAGGCAAUAACUACUACUCAAAAGUGUUUAAAAGGAUUAAUUACAAGCUACAAAAUAGCACUUUUUGAGUAGUAAUCAGACGCCAUAGACGAGUAAGAGUAUUGAAAUAUUCAGUUAACGUAAGGUUUCCUUGACGCAAAUCGUGGAGGAUGCCUUCAAUCUGGAUGAUUUCAGAUGUGUUUUCCUUGUCUGAGAAAGUUUCUUUUGCAGUGUCCCAGAUUUCUUUGGCAGUAUCAAAUGAUAGAAAAUUUUCACCAAUAUCAGUGGUCAUAGAGUUGACUAGCCAGGACAUGACCAUAUUAUUUUCUGCUAUCCACUUUUUGUAGGUUGAUGCUGUGGUUUUUGGUGCCACCGAAGCUCCGGUGAUGUAGUCAUCUUUCUCCUUUCCCUGUAUAAACAUUAAUAUGGACUGAGACCAUUGCAAAUAAUUUUGCUCAUUCAGUUUAUGGGCUGUGAUUGGAAGAUGAGAGGUUUCCAUCUGAUGAGAGGAUGAAGACGAUGAGAUGAUGAUAUCAGAAGUAGAGGAUGAUGAGUUGGUAGCCAUUCCAAAGGCUGGACCGUAUUUAGGCAUAAACUAGAAGAAUAGAAUUGAGUAGGAAAAAAAAAUACUGACUAAAGAUGAAGACGAUGAGACAGGAUUAAACCUGCUCUGAUACCAUGAAGAAUUUGAAGACAAACUAUGGAGGAACACAGACUCAAUUCAUUCUGUGAUUCUUUUUUUUUUUUUUUACAAUGAAAGAAAGCAUAAAUAAAUAGCCUACAGAUAUGAGAUAAUUCCGAAAUGGUACACUAUCACCGGACGGAAUUUCCCUUACAUGGAAAGUGUUACAUGGAAAGUGAAUAAACUACCUUGCUAGAAUUACUCCUAAAUCAAUUAUAAUAAAGGAUGUACAUUACACUAAUUCAGGGAAGUAAACAGAGGAUGCUAAAUAUGGGGAGGAGCAUGCACAGGCAGGAAGGCGACGUGGGCUUGAUUUCCAACACUCCUCUCUCCAUGGUGUCGCCGGUGGUGGGAGCUUCCUCUAAGGAUGAUAUCCAGGCGGAGAGGCAAGCUAUGAAGGAGAUGAAGUCUUGGGCUUGAGAAGAAGCCCAACCCAAGCAUGUUGAUGGAGCCAUGCCAUCUCAAAUAAGUGGGAUGUGAGGGGAAAUGAUGCCUUGGGCUUGCCCAUGGUGGGAAUGGAUUUGGGCUUAAGUUGAGGCACCAGGCCCAAGCUAUGAUGAUGAUGGUGCCUUGGGAAGAGAAUGUGUGAAGAAGAACCCAGCAUUUUGGACAAAUCCCUCAUCAUUAUCAAAAUCUGAGCCAAUCGCCAUGAAUCAAUGGAAAAAAAAUGCUUUAAAUCAACAGCAAAGACAUACCUUCUUGUCUACGUAGUCCGCCCAGAACCUGGCCUGAGCUCUCUGGUAUGGGUCACUAGGCAAAAGCGGAGAUUUAUCGUGCCAAACCUCAUCAAUAUACUGAACUAUUAUCAGAGACUCACAAAUGGGCUUUCCAUUGUGGAUCAGAACCGGGAUUUUCUUAUGAACUGGAUUCAUCUCAAGAAGCAGAGGGCUCUUAUUCCUAAGGUCCUCCUCUUUAUAUUCAUACUUGAGGCCCUUCUCUGCCAGGGCAAGUCUGACCCUAAUACCAAACAUGCUAGGCCAAAAAUCCAACAAGAUAAUCUCGUCUGUCAUUGCUCCUACUGUGAUCAAGUAUUGAUGAACAACCCAAGGGAUAUUGUCAAGUAUUUAUAGCAAAUCUCAGAGAGUGAGUCAAAACCUUGGACAUUUCUAGGAGGUGGUGAUGGCGUGAUGCUCAUUCCUUAUCUCAGCAUACACUUUCCUUCCAUAUUAUAUCCUUAUCUCGGUUUUCUUUCUCUCUCCAGAAUUCCAAAAUUUUAAGUUUUUCUAUAUUUUUUUAUCAGUCUAGAAUUUUUUUUUAUCAAAUCUCAGUUUAAUGUAUUCACUUUUUUUAUUAAAAAAAAUUAAAAAUGUCAGUUGAGAUAUUCUUAUAUUUUUAUCAUUUGUACAAAAAUAAUUUAAUUUUAAAAUUAAUAUCAUAUUUAAAUCCAAAAAUAUUAUCAGAUAGAAAGCAAUUUAGCGUUUUUUUAUAUAUAUAAUAUCUGCAUUCAAAAAAAAAAAAUCAGCACAUUUAUUUAUUUUUAAAAACUUAUUAAAUUUUAAUUUUACUAGUAAAUAAUAGAAAUUAAAAUAAUGAACUUGUGCCAUAAGUUUGUGAGAGAAGUAAACUUUGGUUAUGGAGCAUCCAAUGCUCUGGUUGCUUCCACGAGAGGUCAUUGCUGUCGUCAGCCCUGGUCAACUAAGUACACUUGUCCACUCCAUGAAAUAUAUUUAUGUUAUUUUUUAUUUUAAAUUUUUGGUAGGAGAACUCUUCGCUAUGAGAAAAAAACACACUCUCAAAUGUGGGAGAUUGUCAUAAAAAAAAAAUUAAUAAUAAAUAAUAAUAAAUACGGGGUGAUCUCACCACUUACAUAUCUCCUCCGUCAUAAAACCAGAAUCAUUGAAUAUGGUUCUAGUUUACUAUGGUUCUAGCUUUAUGGCUUGAUUAAAAUUUACAAUUUUUUGUUUGUAUUAAAAUAAAAUAGAUAUAUAUUUUUUCAUAAAAAAAUCAUAUUAAAUAUUUUAUUUUAAUUUUAAAAUAUUUUUAUAGUUCUUUGCUCUUAAUAGAUAAAGACAAAAGAUUUAUACUCUAUUUAGUAAUUAUUUUUUGAAAUAAUUUUCUGUUUUUGAAAACCAAAAAAGAAAAAAAAAAAACAAGAAAACAAGAAAACAAAUUUGACAAUUUUAAAAAAAAAAAAUUGAUCUUAAAAGCAAAAAUAUGGUAUUUUUGAAAACAUAUUUUAUUGGUUUUCACUUGAUUUUUUUAUGGUUAUUUAAAAAGUAAACAUGCAACAUAAAGAGUGAUUAAAAAUAAAACAUUACACAUAAAAUUUAUUAUUAAAAUAUAUUUAAAAAUAUAGAAAACAACUUAAAAAUAUUUCUAUUCCAAAACAAAUUUUUUGUCUAUAAAAUAUCAAAAAAGAAAUUUCAAAAACUAUUUUUAAAAAUUUAUUUUUCAGAAUUGUUUUAAAAAUAAGUACACCAUAUAUAUAUAUAUAUAUAUAUAUAUAUAUUAUGUAUGUGACUCAUUUGCUCUAAUUGGACAUGAUCUUCCAUUUUUGUAGGCCUAGGCUGACAUAAAGGGCUUUCACUUUUUUUAUGGGCUUGAGGCUUUCACAUAUCCCAUUCUACAUCCUAGAACCCUACGUACAUCAAUUGAAAAAAUAGAUACGUCGUAUUAAAAAAUAAGCACAUCUUAAAAAAUAAGUACAUCUAUACUUGACUCAUUUGUCCUAUUUUGGACAUGAGCUUUCAUUUUUAUAACUGACUCAUUUGGCCAAUUUUUUGAGGUCUUUGCAUAUCCCAUUUUGCAUAGAAGAACUUUGGGUAUAUCCUUCAGAAAAAAUAAAUACAUCAUAUUGUAAAAAUAAGUACAUUCCCUUAAAAAAUAAUUGGUACAUAUUAUUUUCAUUGUAUAGGUGACUUGUUUGGCUUAUUCUUGUUUGGCAUGUCUUAUCCAACUUGUUUUAAUACUUGUUUAUGUGACAUGAAACGAUGGAAUGGACUAGAAUCUCCCCUGUGACAUUUAGUCAACUUCAAAUAUCUUAGUAACUCUAGUUAGAAUUGUUGAUUAGGUCAUCUAUUUGAACUUUUAUGCACCCUAAUAUCUUGUGAAACACCCUCUAGGCUCUAUUAUAUGGUAGAUAGCUUUAGAAAAUGUCCCUUUUCUUUUUCAUAUGUAAAUUUUUGUCCUCAUCUGGAACCUCCUACAAACCCUUUCCAAUCCUUUACCACUUGGGCAAGCCUCAAGUGGUACCAUUAAAGUGAUAAGCUUUAGAAGAUGUUCUUAUCACUCUUUACUUCAAUUUUUCCUAGGUUUUUGCCAUAUCUAAGGAUGAAGCAACCAAAAUCCCUAAAACUUUUAAAAUUAGCUAGGCUUCUUUUAUUGUAAAGAGUUUGAGUAGCAUCAAUUUUAUAGUAAAUCUAUUAAUUAUGUAAUAAGUUGUAUUAACUUCCUCUACUCAAAACUGUUAAACUAAGCCAUUUCCAUUAAGCAUCUGGAUGCCAUAUGUUGAAGAGUUAUACUUUCUCUUUGUAAAUCUAUUUUGUUAUUAGUUUCUUGUAGGUUUUUAAAGGCAUAUGUACAUUAGAAGUUACUCAUUCAUUCAAUCCGUCCAUCUCCAAAGAACAUGAUGCUUCCUUCAUAUUCAAGAAGGCUUGUAAAUUUUGUUUCAUCACUGUGUUAAGCAACUAUGAUAAAUAAAUAAAUAAAAAACAGUAUGAGUUUUCUUCUAUUACCCAAAUUCUAUGAAAUUAUUUAGAAGCUCUUUUUGGGGUAAUUCAAUUUUCUGCUUUGUUCAAGGGGCUUUUUAUUUUCUUUCAUUUUAUUUUGAAAAUCAUUAGGUUUUCUUUUCUUGAUUCCCUUUUCCACUGUCCUGUUAAUCUGCAUUGAUAUUAUUUAUCUUAAUUAAAUUAGCAUCACAAAAAAUACUUUUAUUUACGUACGAUCUUUAUUAGAGAAUAUGAUAUAUAUUAUGAGUCCAAAUCUUAAUGAUACAAGCUUUUAGAAAAAUUGGUUUUGUCAAUAAGAUAUUAAAAUGUCAUUUAGUGAAAGAUCAUGAGUUUGAAUAUGUUUAUUUCUCUAAUUAAGCUUUUAAUUUUUUUUUUAAUAUAUAGGUUUAUGAGUUUGUUUUAAUACUUGUUUAUGUGACAUGAAACGAUGGAAUGGUAGUUAAAAACUCUUUUAUUUCUUUAAUACAAGAACACAGCUCAGCAAACCCACCAACCCUCAGAAAGGGAUUUCAACCGGAAAGAUUAACGAUACAAUUUCAAAGAAAAAACUUAAGCAAACAGCCAAACACUCAUAUAUAUUAUCUAAUAUUAACUAAACAACACUACUCAAUAGCCCAUGAUGUUUCCCUUUUACUCUAUACCAAGCUUCUUUCUUAUCCUCACAACAAAUCCAUGUGCCCCUUCUACUCUAUACCAAACCUCUUUCUCAUCCCCAUGAUAAAGCCAUGGACCUUGUGUGGGUCUUCCAGAGAAGACGACACGCUCUCCUUUUCCAUGCACCUCUUGGUCCAAGCUACCAACUUGGGGCACUCCGCCUCUAUGCUGAAGUUGCCAAAGGUCUCGUAUGCAUAAAACCAGCAAGAGAAGGUCACCAGGGCCACAUCCACAAACCCAAUUUUUUCACCCCCGAAGUAAGGCUUCUCUCCAAGCUCUCCUUCCAAAAGCUUGAGGCACUCUAUGAAUUCCUUCUUGCCUGUUUCCUGCUCUUCUCCUUUGGUUGACCAUAUCUUCCCUCCAAGUUCAUAGAGCUGUGGAAAACAAUAAAGUCAAAAGAGAGAAAAGGGUUAUUUUUUUGGAGCAUUUCAUCAAGUUUCAACUUUCCGUAUAGUUGGACAAGUUUAUUAAGGACCCUUCAGCAUAGAAAUCUCANNNNNNNNNNNNNNNNNNNNNNNNNNNNNNNNNNNNNNNNNNNNNNNNNNNNNNNNNNNNNNNNNNNNNNNNNNNNNNNNNNNNNNNNNNNNNNNNNNNNAAAAAAAAAAAAACAAAAAACAAAAAACAAAAAAACAAAAGAAAAUGCUUUAAAUCAACAGCAAAGACAUACCUUCUUGUCUACGUAGUCCGCCCAGAACCUGGCCUGAGCUCUCUGGUAUGGGUCACUAGGCAACAAUGGAGAUUUAUCCUUCCAAACCUCAUCAAUAUACUGAACUAUUAUCAGAGACUCACAAAUGGGCUUUCCAUUGUGGAUCAGAACCGGGAUUUUCUUAUGAACUGGGUUCAUCUCAAGCAGCAGAGGGCUCUUGUUCCUCAAGUCCUCCUGUCUAUAUUCAUACUUGAGGCCCUUCUCUGCCAGGGCAAGUCUGACCCUCAUACCAAACAUGCUAGGCCAGAAAUCCAACAAGAUAAUCUCGUCUGCCAUUGCUACUACUGUGAUCGAUAAGAUUCAAACUCAGUUAUUCAAGUAUUGAUGAACAACACAAGGGAAAUUGUCAGGUAUUUAUAGCAAAUCCCAGGGAGUGGGUUAAAACCUUGGAACUUCUAGGAGGUGGUGGUGCUCAUUGCUUAUCUCAGCAUUCAUUUUCCUUCCAUAUUAUGUUCUCAUCUCAGUUUCGUUUCUCACUCCAGAAUUCCCAUAUGUAUUUUUUUAUUAAAUAUAAUGCUUCCAGAGAGGUCAUUGCUUUGAUCAUUCCACGUCGUUGCUGUCGUCAGCCCAAGUCCAUUAAGUACACUGGUCCAUUCUUGCAUCCUUUUGGGCGGACAAGUCAAACUAUUUUAAACUUUGUGUUUAUUAUAACUCCUUAAAAUUUCUGUGAUGUUUGUAUUUUUAUCUAAGCUCUAAACUUGUUUUUAAAUUCCAAAUCUACUUUAUUUUUACGUAUGAAAAAUAUCUAUAAAAUUAAUUAUUUUAUUUCUUUUUAAAUUAAUUUGCAAUCUAAUAUAUUUUUUUAAACAUUUAAUUAUUAUAAUUUAUCAACAUAAUAAAAUUUUUAUAACAAUUAAUUAUAUAAUCAAUAAAAAAAAUAGUAAUAGGAUAGUAAGUACAAUUUCUAAUUAUAUGUUUAAAAAAUUUUUAAACAUCUUGAAAGUUGUGUGGUUUGAUGACAGUCAAAUACUUGUAAGUGUUUGUAUAAUAUUAAUAAGCAGUUGAUAUGGCUUAAUUUUCUUACAUCAUUAUAUUAUAGCUUCCUAUUAGCGCUNNNNNNNNNNNNNNNNNNNNNNNNNNNNNNNNNNNNNNNNNNNNNNNNNNNNNNNNNNNNNNNNNNNNNNNNNNNNNNNNNNNNNNNNNNNNNNNNNNNNGAAUCUUGUUUGACCUAAACUUCACCACCACAUCCAGGCAGCUUGCUUGGGCUGAGAUUUGGUGCAGGGAUGGGAGCCGAAGUGCUCCUGGAGAUGCAUCUGCAUAGACUGUCUUAUUUAGCUGUGAAUUUGUAAUAUGUAACUCUACUGGCAGCAAAGAUAAACAAUAAUGAUGAUGAUAACAAUGAUAUAAGGAAAAGGGUUCAAACUUCAACUCCCCCUCCAAACACUAAUCCCAUAAAUAUUACUAUACUCAGAUGGUUACAACUUAUUUUCGACACAAUAACAAAAUUAACUGAAAUAAAAUUAUUCUGGGACAUAUUCCUAAAUAAUAGAAAACGUUUACUUCUAGACUUCUUAGUUGAAAGCAAUACAAAAACCCAAAAACAACAAAUCAAUCUUUCAUGUUCUUAACAGUUACUGUUCAAACACUUUUUGUGAUCAAUAAAAUAACAAAAAACAAACAAAAAACAAAUAUGGAAAAUAAAAUAACUGAUUCUACAUCUCCACUGGUUUUAGCUACUAGUCAAACACCUUCUGGACUUGGUUCUGGUUGACAUUGGCAUGUUCCAUUGAGAAAACAGAGUCAGGAACCAGGAAUUUUAAUGCUUACAUCUUCUCAAUUAUAAAACAUGGUGAGUGAAUGAAAGUGAUGUGUCCUGGGCUUGUUCUGAGGGGUAGAUGGUUUGUGAUUAUCACACAGGGACCUUGUUUUAAAUUUGUGACUUAGAGUUUGGUUAUUUGCUAAUAUUUACUUGUGGGGUUGAAGCAAGGAGAAGGUUUGUGCAAAAAUAGGAUUAUCUUCAGUGAUUUUUAUGGGGCUCCAUACUAAUGGAUGGACCUUUUAAUGGACACCUGCACAUGUUCUUUGUUUCAAGAUUGUCAAUGAGAGCUAGCACAUACAUCAUGAAUAUUUAGCAUGGACAAGGUAUCCCUAUAGUAGUAAAGAGCAUACAAUCAAUGCUUGAAAUGUCCAGAUCACGUGCCUAAAAGGAUGGGGCUUACUUGUUGAAUAGGCAGAACUACAAAAAAUCAUGGUCUGAUAAAGAGUUAAGACUGAAUUCAUGAUAGUUGACACUGUUAACGAAAGCAAUAUUUCUAGCAGUCAUUGAUCAGUCAUGACAGUAAAGAUUGCACUAAUAAACUCACACAUUGUUUACAAGGGAACACCUACCUGGGGACAUACCACUUGGAGAGAUAAAACAGCUAGAGUAUGAAAUUUAAACCACACAAAUCCCAAGGUAACAUUUUUUUGACAAACCAUAUGUAUUUUUAAACAAGGAAAAAGGCAAAAUAUUCUACAAAAUUUCCUGCACAAACAAUGGGAAGGGGGCUCCAAAAUGAGUCAAAAAGAUGGUUUUAAUUUCACCAUACACACAUAAAGCAGUUUGUACUUGGCUUGAUACUCAACCUAUAAAAUAAGAUAUAUUUUUUUUAGUCUUCUCUUUUGGAGAAUAUUAAAAAUAGACAGAAAGAUUCAGAUGAAUUAGAUGUCUUCUGCUCCAAGCGUCCAACUAUCUUGGACUUGUUCAACUCUGGAUUCUGUUUCUUUUAUGGAACUCGGUUUCCUCAGAAAGAGGACACUGGGAAAAGACAAGCAAUUAAGAAAUGCAGUAUAUAUCAGAAAAUAUCCAAAGGCAACUGAUAUUAUAUUGUUGUUUUUCAGUAAAUAUCAUUUGUCAACCAAGAAAUGCACCAUCAGUGUAGUGCUACCAGUGCAACCAAGAGGACUGAACUGACACUUAGAUAAGAUUAUCGGAUUAAAUCAAAGAAUAAGCCUAUAUUAAGGUUAAGCAAAACCAUAUCCAAAAUGAGAUUUCAAAAUUUUAUUCCAAGGGCAGAUCGUACAACCGUUCUACUUCCAGAAACACAAACUAAAAGAACAUUAUAGAAUUCAGCAUAUAUGUGGAAUUCAAAAUCAAAUCCAACUUCUUAUAAUAAAAUAAAAUCAGCUAUUGAACAUAAAAAUUUGCAACAGAACAUUAUACCAUAAUAAUAUCAGAAACCAAAUAUUAUCUUUGUUGGCCUUCAACAAUUUGAAACUUUUCCCCAUUCUUAUUUGCAUGAUUUCUAAAACCCACAAUGAUUGGUUUUAUUUUGAAUGUAUUUUACUUAGUUUUAAAGCUGAAGGUAUGUUUUAUUCAUCAUUGGUGUGUUUAAGUGCAAGUGAAGUUCCAAGUUGGUCACUUGUCUUCUUCAUCUUCAAUAUUUGCUUUACAGCAUCUUAUUAGUUUCAUCCUCACCUCUUGCUACCAGAGAUGAAAAAUAAGAUACAAAGGCAUGCCUUACCUCUUGCCUUCAAAAUUACUCAUGUCUCUGUUCCCUCAGGAAGAGCCACCAUCAUCUCAAUCUCUCGUCCAGGCCAUGCCUAUGAAAAAAUGUGAAACUGUAAAAAGAAUUCCAUAAGAUGAAUUUUUAAGGCACAAAAUUUGGAGCUGUUAGUGUAAAGAAUCUAACCAUUGUCACAAACAUGGAAUAAUUCAUUCAAUCAAACACCAGCUUCAACAACUAUGCAUACCUUAGAGUGUAACUACUGAAAACGGAAUGGUAAAAUUAAAAUUUCUGCCCAAACAAAACUAGGGGAAAGAGUAAUAAAAACCAGUUCAAACUUCCAUGACAAACAUAUUGAAGAACAACUAAUAGAUCAAUUUCAUAAUUCUUUGAUCAAUUUGAGCAUUAAGAAUCAGGAGCAACUUAACAAUAUGAAAAGGUCAUAACACACUCAGUUACAAAUAACACCCAGAUAGAAUUUUGGAAAACCAAAUACAAUAUGUAAAAAAGGUUAGAUCAAAUGUCUGCAAUAGCUGGACAUCAAAUCAUACAAAGAUUUAGAUCAGAUAUUUGGAUCAUUGCAGGUAGCACAAUUCCGACUGGCCCCGUUGCAAUGAGAGCAAUGUACAAUUAUCUGUUCUCUAAAUUUGGCCUGAUUCGUUGCCGUCGAGGUCUUCCAAGACAACGUUUUGUAACAGGAGGAUCAAGAGAAACAUGCACAUAACCAUUUGGAUCAUGCACAUUUCCAUUUGAAUGAACUGUUGGCAGAUUCUGAAACUCAAGUGGAUGCAAAGUGCCAGAAUAAACCAUUUCCUGCUUGAACAAAUGAUACCAAUCAUCAACAAAUUCAUAAAUAUCUUGGUUCAUCUUCUGUAUCAUUGCGCAUGCAUGCUCACAUGGGAUGCCCGACAUCUGCCAAGCCAAACAAGUGCAAGUAUGCUGCCUCAAGUCAACACUUAUCUUUGCCUUCCCAUCUGAAAAUGUUUCGCUUUUGGCAAUGUUAUGCAAGAGUUUAUCCUCAGUUUUUGGGCCAAUGGAUCUUUCCCAACUCUGCAUUGUGGUUUUAUGCUCAACUAACAAAGAGGCUAGCAUAUCCAUGUGCUUCUCAAUGAAACUAAAUAUUGUGUGAUGUUGUUCUUCUUUGACCCAAGCACUAAAUGACCCAAAGAUAUUAGUAUUCAUUUUGUCCCAACGCUUUUUAGGGAACUUUGACAUCGCCCAGUGUUCAGGAUUGUUAUCUUCAACCCAUUUGGCCAAGUUAGCAUCAAAUCUCCUUAAGUUCUCCAUUGCACUGUUGUAACCAAUUUCUAACCUUGCAUAUGCAACAGCAUCAAGUAGUUUAAGAGCGUUAUCUUUACCUUCCCUUCCCAUCAUCAACUGGUGGCUAAAGUCCUCCUUUAGAUGACAAUAACAAUAUGCAUGGUUUUCAACUCCAAAAACCUCUGCAACACUACGAAUAAUCGCAUGAUGCCUUCCAGAAAUGAUGACCACCUCCAUUUCACCAACUAACUGCUUUAGCCUCUGUAAGAACCAAAACCAGUUAUAAUAAUUUUCCGAACUCACAAUGGCAUAUGCUAAUGGAAACAUGUCAUCAUCAGCAUCAUAUGCCAAGGCUGAAAACAAAGCACCUUUGUGUGGCCCACUCAAGUUGGAUGAGUUAAUGGAUAUGAUAGGUCGGCAUCCCAUUAAAAACCCAUGCACAAAAUCCAUGUGCAAUGAACAAUUGCAUGAAAUUACCUUCGUCUGAGGAAGUCCAUUCAGCAAUUGUCCCAGAAUUAGUUUCCAUUAACUGCUUACAUAACCAGGGCAGCAACUUAUAUGAAUUGUGUAGAAGACCAAAUAUUCUCUCCUUCGCCUUCUCUUUACAUUUCCAAGCUUGAUUGUAGGUCAAUUUCACUCCAUGCUGCCUUUCAAAAUCUUCACAGAUUUGACGGGGCAGGUAAUCAGGGUUAGCCCUUAUCAUAUCAUCAAUUAGAAGAGCCGCUUUAUUUGGUCGUAAUGCAGGCACUGAUGAAGACUCCUCCUGUGCAGAAUGAUUAUGUUAGUUUUCAAAUGUGUGCACUCUCACAAUUUUGGUAGCCCCAACACCACGAGCAGUUAUCUUCCAAGGACAUCCACCAGCUGUGCAACAUGCAGUCAUGUGCUUUAAAGAAUUCCUCUUGAACUUGUAGUUGAAUCGUCCAGCUAAGGAGGUAAGGUAUAGUGCAUUCCGGAAUUCAUCAGCAUUUGUAAAAAUUUCCCACUACCUGAUAUAGCCUUUCCAAGAGUACUUGAAACUGGAGGAAUUGCUUCUAACUCUAUGCAUCUUGAUGCAACUUCAUGUCUCUGAAUGAUGUUAUCAUCAUUUACACCUUGAGAUGAUGAUGAUGGCGAUGAAAAAUGAUUGUUGUCCACAUUAACACUGCACGAUUAACAUAUUCAUGUAAAGUUAGAAUAAAAAAGGAGGAUAAAAUUUAAUCAUGCUGAUAAGCAAGAUAAUAUGCAGGUGUGACUUACAAAGUGCUUUGUUCAUCUAUUACUCCUUGCUUUACUCCUCCAUUAUGAGCUUCAAAUGCAUAGACUCUUGAGAAACCGUCAUUGAAGAGGACCAUGCUAUAUAUGUCAUCAUCAUCAUCCAAUGGCUGGAGUAAAGAUUUAUCAAACUUCAAGGUGCACUUAAAUGACAGACUAGAUGGGUCAAUUUGGACUUUCUUACUUGCUUUAAAAACAAAUUCAGCAUGUGAGAUUCCUUGAUUAAUACAUAUGCCAUUAGUACAUCCACCUUUAUAAUUGAUGGACCCAUUGUCAGCCUUUAUGAUCUCCCCUCCAAAAUAAAGAUAGCAAUAUAUUGAUAUUACUUUCCAUUUACCUACUAUAAAAUAAUGCAACCAAUCCAUUAGUAUGUGCUAUACUUGUUCAAGCCUUCAAGGUAAAAACUACACUUAAUUUUGGUUCCAACGGUGAAAACUAAGUUCAAAUCAUGUAUAUAAGAAGGUUUAAAACAACACAACAUCCCAAAAAGUCUAAUAUAUGAUAACACUACACCCCAUAAUUUAUACCUUGUGCCUUUUUAGGAACUAAAGUUCCCUAGAAUUGAGGUAAGACGGUACGAAAAUCAAUUGGAAAUGAAAGCAAAGAGAUAGCAUAGAAUUUAAGAGUAGCAUAAAUCAUAAGUAAAUAUUAUUUAUAAUUUUGUUUUUUUUUCGAUAACUGAGGAACCUUCUAUGGCCAAGCCCUUAAGACUCUCCAUGGGGACCCAAACCUUGGGGUGUUGACCACACUCUAACAACCAGCACCAAGUAAAUCAAGGUAUCAUCAGUAGCAAGAUUCAGGGACCACACCUCCCAACAUUCGCCCUGACCAACUGGGCUACUCUGGCAGACUAAAUAUUAUUCAUAAUUUAAAAAGGAAAAAAGAAUCCGAAAGAGAAAACAGUACAAAGUGCCUAUUCUGAUUUGAAGCAGAGAAAAAAAAUGGAAGUUUGACCUUUUUGUUUUCUUAAGAUGUAUAAUAGCGGUUUGACUUCUAAUUCAAAAGUGUUACAAUAGUUAAGAAAGCCUUAAAAUUGCUAAUUGAAGUAGGUUCAUUAUUGUUAUUCAUUUCAAUACAAACAAAAGGUGGUUAAAGGGAUAUUGUAACCAAGUUUUGAACAAGAUAAGAACAAAAGUAAAAUUGUCAUUCUGAAACCAGCCUAGUUUCAACACAGCCAUAUUCCUGCUCUGGUUCACUCUAAUAAAUAAAAUUUCUUGUACAAUGGAACCACAUCUCAUGAGCUAGGGAACAUCUGGUUUGAAGGAAAGAGCUGCAAAUGCUACUUGGUCAUAGCUCUAUUUUAACUAGGUAUCCCUAUUUUUGACUAAUAUAAGGGAUAAAGUAAAAGAGCAUGCACAUGUGGACAAGCGCACACACACAGAGACAGAAAUUUAUAGGAAACUGCAUCAAUUCUACUAGAUUAUUCAUAUUUGAAGAAGGGGAAUGAAGUGUGGUACCAAAGCAAUUCAAUAUGUAAAAGUUUCACAUAUUUCAAUCACAAAAAUAUUUCUACUUCAAUGCAAUUUUUAAGAUGCUAAUAAACUUUCAGAAACCUUAGCAAGUAAUUUGCCAGGCCAAAAGAAGUAAUGAAUUGCAUUUACAUCCAUAUAAUAACAAAACAUCUAAAAAUCAAAGCAACAUCCUAUCUCCAUACAAACUCAUCCAGCUUGUAAUAGCAAUGACGAAGGAAGUUAAAGGAAUUAAAUCAAAUUUAUUAAUUCCGUUGAGAACAUAUAACAAAUGCAUGAGAGAGAGAGAGAGAGUAAAAAAACUUAUUUAAUAAAUGAAACUUUUUAAGGCCAUUAUUUAUUUUUCCCUGAGUAAACAAAAAUUUAGUAGCAUAAAUCAUGGACGGAUGCAUAUGUAUCUAUGUGUAUACAACCAUCAACUAAUAUUUAUCACUUAUCAGCACAAACAAUAAAAAUCUAGAACCAUGAUUCAUACACUCAAAACCCCAAAUCUGCAGGGGAAAAUGAUAGCAAAGCCUGCCAACUUUGUCUCCGGAUGAAACUCCUGAUAGAUUGCAACUUUUAGCAUACAUCUGUAUGAAGGCCCAAAAGAAAUAAUAUAAAAUCGAGUCCAUCGAUAAGGUAACAUGUCACAUAUGAAUCAAUCCCUUGAAAGUUAUACAUGGGACAAAUUUCAAAAUUCAUUCAUUUCUUGUAGCUACAAUUUGAACAAAAACUCGGGUUUCAUCUACUUGAUUCAGUAAAUACAACAAUAUUUAUAUCUCACAUGGGUCAAUGCAGUUUAAAACAUAUUUCUUAACCAUUAAAUUGCUUUGGGGUUCUGUUAUACAUACUUCAACAAAACUUUGUCUUAAAAAAUUUCUAACUCGUACUUUGUACACAGAAUAUAUGGUUACUUCAUUCUUUAUAUAGCCAAGAAGUAUUGUAGACAAACUAUAGCAGAUACAGCAUUAUUUUUAUGCAAUUAACUAGAUACAAUAAUUUAUAUUAAGCAGAAAGCCAUGGUCACCAAAAAGAGGGGACCAAAGAAAGAAUUAGGUCUCUAAAAUUACAGGCGAAAUUGCAUAAAACUUAAUGAAGUUCCUGAAAGGACGAAAUCGUGGCGAAAUUGUUACUGUGAUAAAUCACAUAAAUUAGGAAAUCAAACACCUCACAGGAACAACAAAUCUACCAAAAAGAGCAGAGCCAAAUAGUGAAAUUGAUAAUCUUUAUCAUUCAUUUUUUCAGUAGAAUUGAAGCUCUCACUACAAAAUUUUCCCUGAAGUUUGAUGGAAUUAAAGUCCCUGAAACUGGCAACAUUUUAGCAAAUGAAGCCUCCUCACGAAGACAAAAUGCACAACGAGGGUGUCUUUGAACUCGAAACAAAUUGAAGGCUAAAAAGAACAUAAAAAAUUACAGGGCCCUUCAAAAUCAUUAAAAAAAAAUUAUAUUAAAAUAGAAUCCAGUCCACAGCUGAUAAUGUACGAUAUUGGGCUGUUUGGAUGGUGAGAAGGUUAAAUAAAUAGGUGUUGGAACAUUUACCUAUAAGAGAAAGAAAAUGGGUAAACUUGGGUGACGGGCCUAGAGCCUCCUUUCAUUCAUGGUGUUUGAGUUAAGAAAUUUCUGAGGACUGUCGGAGAUUUUCCGAAAUUUUCCCGCCUUUAGGGUUCUGCUUUACAUGCAGGAGAGGUGAGAGGGUGCACGGAUGUCUAGUGUGGUGCAAAAUCCAGCAGCACUAUGCGUGUGUUGCGUUUUUGCUAAUUAAUAUAAUUAUUUUUUAUUCAAUAUUCAUAAAAAGUAAUAAAGGAAAAAAAUAUCAAUCCAAAACUACCCUACUCGCUCUUAUUUUAACCCAAAGUUUGAAAUCCAACAAAAUUGAUGUCAAAGUAUAAUUUGAAUACAAAAGUCAUUUUUACUAAAAUUAUUAUUAUUAUUUUAAAUAAUGUUAGAUUAGGUUUGACAGUGAUUUUAUAAAAUAUUUAUAAUCUUUUUAAUACUUUAAAAGAUAAAAUUUUUUUAAGUGUUACAAAGUUCAGAAACACUUCCUAAGAUUACUAUCAAACGCAUUUUUAAUAUCUAUGCUUGUUCCAUAUGGUAUAAGUGUCACAUUUUUUUUUUCUUUUUUAUAAAUUAUAAUUAAAAUAGUAAAAAGAAAAUCUUUGUUACUUCUAAUAGAGAUUAGAUAUUGAAAUAUUAAGUAUGUUUGUUAAUCUCUCAAUUUAUUUAGAACACAAAAAAAAAACAUGUUUAAUAAUAUAAAAUAGAAAACAUCAUGGUAUUUUUUGAGAAUAUCUUUUGGUUAUAUUCAAUUUUUUUCAUUAUUUGAUGAGAAUUGUUUUAAAAAAUAAUUAUACAAAUAUAAAAAAAAUGACUAAAGAUAAAAUAUUAUAAAUAAAAAUUAUUUUAAAACAUUUGAAGUUUUCAAAUAAAUUUUUAUUUUACAAAAUAUCAAAAAAUUAUUUUCAAAUUAUUUUCGAAAACACCUUGUAGAUAGUUUUUAUAACAAAGCUUUUUUUUUUUAUGCCUAAUGAAUACAGACAUUUGAAAAGGAAAAAAAAAAACUAUACAGUACUCAAUUUUUGUGAGAGUAGAGUUUGAGGUUAAAAUACCAUUUAAUUUAUUUAUUAAAACUAGUAAAAUCAAUUAUUAUUUUUAAAAAAAAAUUAAAAAAAUAUUUAUUUGAUAAUAUUAUAAUAAUUAAUUAAAAAAAAUUGUAAGAUAUUUAUUUUAAACAAAAUAUUUAUUUAACAUACAUGGUCACUAAUGUUGGACACCUUCCCACUUAGUAGAGUAACCUAGAAUAUUAAUACAUUAUAAUGAGAGUAGAUGAUAAAAAAAUUUGCAAAAGGAACUCAAAAUAAGUGACUUUCUACUACAAAGGGUGCUCAACAACAAGAGAAACCCAAAAGAUGGAAAACUAGGGCUAAAUUAUGAAGACUCUAUCAAAUCUACCAUGAAGCUGGAAUUUGCCUUUUCAAAAUUCAAUCCAUUCAAGGGCAACAACUCAAUUGCUCAUGAAAUGUUAUUGAAUUCAAAGACAUUAUUCAUUGAAGUAGUGAAAAAUACAUUGUUGAUCUAUGUAUCCCAAAUAUUAAGUGAUGGGAAGUAGUGAAAGUGCAUUGUUGAUCUAUGUUACCCCCAAAAAAUAAGUUGACCAUCACCUAGGAACUUUGGAGUCCUUAAUAAGAGCAUUAUGUCACAGACUUAGUCUUUUCCUAAGCUUGUGCAACACUUAGACAAGUCAAGACACUUGAUCUUGCUAAGUCAGCCUAUCUCCUAAUGUUUAGCUUGCUAGGCUAAGAUGCUCACGACUCGGAAGCUUGAGAAGGCGUAGUAGGCAACUCUUAAAGAAUGGAAGUUGUUAUUACUCAAGGAAACCUUUACAAGUGCUUUUGGGAACUCACUUGCUUGGUUAGGAAGUGAUUUGGGUGGUCCAUUGGCCAAAUGAGGCCCUCACCUAUUUAUAGGCACCAAUGGAACUCUCUGGAACCUUGGAGGGUUCCUUACAAAUUAAGAAGAUUCUAGAAUACCCUACACAAUUCUAUGUACAACCCUAUGUACAAGAGAUCUCUAGAAUUCUUUAGAAAGCCUUGGACUCCUCUCAUGCCUUCCACCAUAGUGUAGAGAUGUGUGGACAUCUAUAGGCAUCUCUAGAACCUUCCACACUCUUCCCUCUAAUAGCUUAGUGUAGAUGGCUCCAAGAGUCUCUAGAAGCUUCUUGGGCUCUAUAUAAAUCCAUGAGGAGGCUCAUUUGAAGCAUCCUAUGACACUCUCCCCAUCCUAUUCCGUUGACGUCUUUUUUGUUGCCUCUUUCUGAAACCUCUCGAUGUGUUUCCAGAACCUUCUCAAGGCAUCCGCAUAUUCCCAGCUUACAUGCCUCCUAGGUAGUCCUUUCCAUCGGACUAGAUACUCUAUCACAGGAGGGACCCUUAUUCUCCUGGUGACCCAUUCAACCAGGAUAUUUUUCACCUCCUUUUCUUGUGAGGCCUCGGAUGGAUGCAGAUCCUUGCACUUUCGAUGCUUGGAGUGCUGCUUCCUCUUACCCAUCAAGUUCACCUUUCCCUUGGUGACCUUGUCGAUGUAUGUGCGGGCUACCUUAGCUUGCUCCCCUUUUGCCUCCUUUACUUGCACCCUUGAUAGUAAGGAGGUCUUAGGCGUACUAGACUUUGGGUUGAAUUGGAGGGCACCUAGUAACUGCAUCAAGCCCAUAUGUGCUUCGUCCUCCUGUUCCCUCUCCUUGAUCAUGGCAUUGAGCGCCUUUCUCUUUGGACAAUCCCGUGCCCAAUGUGGAUCGUCACAUAGGAAGCAUUUGAUUUUAGGCGUAAACUCCUUCCUUUCCACCUUACCCCUUCCUUCUCGAACAUUAAGCGUCUUGCCUAAUCCCAUUCUAAGAGCAUUGUGGUCCCUUGAGACCUCAUCUCCCCCACCCGUGGCGUGGCUAUCCUCCAAAGACUCAACCUUGGAGGAGUCUCCCCUUUUGUAGUCCGUUAAAGACUCUGCUACUGCCAUAGUAGUGGCUAAGUCUUGAACACCUCGACGCCUUAAUUCCUGCUCGGCCCAUUCUUGUAGGUUAUCCAUGAAGUUGAAUAGCAACUCCUUCUUAGUCAUAUUAGGAAUCUCAAGCAUGAGUGAAGAGAAUUCCUUAACAUAGUCUCAUAUCGAGCCUAUAUGCUUGAGACGCCUCAUGUUUUUCCUAGCCAAGUAGGCCACGUCCUCAGGGUAGAAUUGCCUUUUGAUUUCCCUCUUGAAGUCUUCCCACGUCUCUAUGGUGCAAAUGUCUUUCUCCAUAUCGGCAAACCUCUAAUGCCACCAUAGAGUAGUUGUGUUAGUGAGGUAGAGGGUUGCAAUCCUUACCUUAGCCGCCUUAUUAUUUAGUGCGAUAGCCUUGAAGUAUUGCUCCAUAUGCCAUAAGAAGUUGUCCAACUCCUUAGCAUCCCGCUUGCCACUAAACCAUUGUGGCUUCAACACCUCCACCCUAGAUGCCUCUUAGGUGGCCAUGACUUGUGCCAACACAACAGCCUUAUAGAUGGCCAACUCCUGCCUAACCUCAUGGUCUUGGGACUCCAUUCAAGUGGCCAAGGCCUUUAUCCUUGACUCCAUGUUAGCAAGCAUGCUAAAGACCUUUUCUUGGAAAGACAUGAACUCCUCAUGUGACACCGGUUGAACUUGUGAGCCUAGCACCCCCUCACGAAGGUCUUAGAUAUGCUCCCUUAGAUCCUCAAUACCCUUCUCCAUGCCUUGCUCGAUCAAGUCCACCCCUUCCCGGGUGUCUGCCAUGGCUAGCUCCACCUUGGCUAGCCUUGCCUCCAUGUUGGCUAUGGCAUCACGAGACUUAUCCUUCCUGCCCUUGCCCCGUGCAGUAGGCUCGAUCUCCCUUCCACGGGUUUGCUCGCUAGUCUCCUCCAUGUUAGAGCCCAACAUGCUUUCUUUACUAUGCUCGUUUCAUAGCCGCGCUCUAGUAUCACUUGUCACAGACUUAGUCUUUUCCUAAGCUUGUGCAACACUUAGACAAGUCAAGACACUUGAUCUUGCCAAGUCAGCCUGUCUCCUAAUGUUUAGCUUGCUAAGCUAAGAUGCUCACGACUCGGAAGCUUGAGAAGGCGUAGUAGGCAACUCUUAAAGAAUGGAAGUUGUUAUUACUCAAGGAAGCCUUUACAAGUGCUUUUGGGAACUCACUUGCUUGGUUAGGAAGUGAUUUGGGUGGUCCCUUGGCCAAAUGAGGCCCUCACCUAUUUAUAGGCACCAAUGGAACUCUCUGGAACCUUGGAGGGUUCCUUACAAAUUAAGAAGAUUCUAGAAUACCCUACACAAUUCUAUGUACAACCCUAUGUACAAGAGAUCUCUAGAAUUCUCUAGAAAGCCUUGGACUCCUCUCAUGCCUUCCACCAUAGUGUAGAGAUGUGUGGACAUCUAUAGGCAUCUCUAGAACCUUCCACACUCUUCCCUCCAAUAGCUUAGUGUAGAUGGCUCCAAGAGUCUCCAGAAGCUUCUUGGGCUCUAUAUAAAUCCAUGAGAAGGCUCAUUUGAAGCAUCCUAUGACAAAUAGCUCAAAAUAAAAGAGGAAAUCCAAGUAUUGAAAAAAAGGUUAGUUUUCUAAAUGUAGUUGACAUCAUUUGAUAAGGUAGUGCCUUAAAAUUAUGCUAGUUCUAAAUAAUUUGAGAGGGCAUAUGCUCUAAAAAUGCAAAUGAUCUAAAUAUAGGAAGAGAAAUCCAAUGAGAAAAAGAAAAAGAAAGAAGACCGUUAUCAAAAGGAAUUUUGGAAUUCAUGAUAAAAAAAAAAGAAGGAAAGUGGCCUACUCACGUAAUCCAUUAUGCAACUCUACUAUGCCUACCUAUGGUCCACUAUAUUUGAUGCUAUUAUAGUUAAGUUAACCCUUGACACUACUAUAAUUGAGUUUGCUAUUGACAUUGUUGCAACUAAGUUCACUAUAUUACAACCAUACUCACUAUUAUAGUCUUCUUACAAACAUACUCAUUAUCCGUACAUCUUUCGAAGGAACCCUUCAAGAUCUCAACUCUUUUACCUAUUAAGUGUAUCUUAAAUGAGCCUUCUAACUAUUGAAUUUUGAAGGUAAGACAUUAAUUCUCUACAACAUCAUCGAGAUUCAUCUCCAAUAAGGGUGGAUCUACCUUAAGAAUAGUGUUUUCAUCAUGGAUCUACUUUAAGAAUAGUAUUUUCAUCAGACCUUAAUAAUUCUAAUAUGAUAAGUACCUAAAUUCCCUUUUGUUAUUUCAUUAUUUGUUGAUGUUUUGUGUUCAACUUAGUUUAGACUUAGUUUCAACCUUCUAGAAUAUUUAAAAACAACCACGGUUGAAAAUUUCUCUUUUUUUGUUGAAAUUUCGAUGAAAUAUCGGUUUCGGCGAUCGGCGAUACGAAAGAAGGGAGCGAAAUGUCGAUGGAGAAAUUUCAGCAAAUUUUGGUUAAAAUCGUCGAAAAAUUGGCUCAUAGCGAAAUUUCGACGAUUUUUCUUAACUUUUUCGAUUGGUCAACACGGGUUAACAUGCUACAGUGCUUCUGUUACAGUGAAAUGCUACAAUAUGCCAUUACAGUGAAAGCUUGAUAAAAAUCCAAAAUGCUAUAGUGUGCUACUAUAGUGAAAGCUUGAUAAAAAUCCCUUUUAGUUUGUUGUUGGGGAGACAAAAGCUUCAAUUGAGGUGUGGUGAACCAUUAGGGCAAGUAUGCCCUUUGUUAAAUAUGUUGCACCAAACAUAUUUAUAUUAAAAGUCAUCAAAUAAACAAAAUAUUAAAAGAACAUUUUAAAUAACAAAUUAAUUAUAAUUAUUUGGGAAAAUUGUGUUUUGGGCCUAGCUAGGCCCAAAAAUUAAUGUAUGGUCCAUAUAAGUUUCAUAUUUAAGCCCAACACCCAAUAAAAGAGUGGAAAUUGAGAGUAAGGAUAUUGUCUUUAAAAAAUCCCUAAAAUACCCUUGACUAUUAAAUGAAAAAACUAACCAAUCACCUCACCUUUCUCAUUCUCUCUUUGACUUUUUUGCCCUUCUCUCACCUAUUUAAUAGUGGAACCAACUUGAAUAAUUUUUCUUCAUCAAAUAUGAAAGAUGGUUAAAAAUUAUUAUUACCAAAUGUAUUUUUGAAGUGAAUAACUUUUAAAUACCUUAUCAAAUAUUAUUCUUUUUUUCAAACUUACAUAAUAUAUAAUAAAUAUCAUUCUUUAUUUCAAACCUAUAUUAUUUCUUUAUGUAUAUUAAAUAAUUUUUAAACACCUAAAAUAUUAGUAUUAUUUGUUUACUCUAACUUGUAAAUUAGAUAUUAUCAAAUAUUAUAUUUUUUCAAAUUUAUAGAACAUAUAAUAAAUACUUUUUAAAUACCUCAUAGAAUAUUAUUAAUUUUUUUUUCUAACUUGCAAAUUAGACACAUGGUGUUUAUUAUUAUUUUGAAUAUAAUGUAAAUACUCACAUGCAUAUAUAUAUAUAUUAAUCAAGAAGACAAUAUUUAUAAGACUAAUUUACCAACCUUCCAAUAAUUUUGAAAAUGUAAAUAGAGUAAUUGUCCGAAUUAAAGUCUUCAAAAAUAUUCAAAAUUUCUCCAUUCCAAAAUUACCUAAUUGCUCUCCACACUAAUCCUAAAUAUUUUUGAAUAAAGAUUUAAAUAUUUAAAACCAUUAAAAUAAAUACUUUCUUAUUAAAGCAAUUUUUUCAAAGUAAUAAGAUAAAAAUCAUGAAAUCUUCAAAACUAUAAUUACAACAAAUAUUUUUAACUUUAAAACUAAUUUCAUAAUUUAAAUUAAUGAUUUUAAAAAAUAAAAAUGUUAUAAAAAUAAUUUUUUUAUUUUUAAUGCCAUUUAAAUAUGAUUUUUUUAAUCUCUAUUGAUAACAAUGAAAUUAUAUUUACAAAGGCAAAAUAGUAAAAAUAUAUAUUUCAUUUAGUUUACUUAUAAUGAACAAUUCAAACAUGAAUGAUUUUAAUUUUAUUUCCUAAGUGUUAAUUUUUGUAGAGAAUGUCUUAAUGACAUAGUUUGGUAAAAAAAGAAAAACAAAAUUAUCAAUAAUCGUCUUAAUGUCAAAUUCAAGUUAUUUAAAAAUCGUAUAAAACCUAUUAGAAGUCUUGUACACCCUUGUACACUUAGCACAUUUCCCUUGUACAGUUAGUGUAAUAUCCUUGUACAGUUAGUGUAAUACCCUUGUACAAUGACACAAAUUUCAUAUAUCUCCUAAUUUAUAUAUCCAUGUAGGUGUAUUAAUCAUAUUUUCAAUGGUUUGGUUGAGAAAAUGGUGGAUGACUUAGGGUCAAAUUUUUUCCCCAAAUAUCAUUAUUGGGAAAAAUAUUAGAAUUUUCAUGUAAGAAUUAAAUAAAGUGCAUGACAUAGGUGUACAAUCAUUGGGUGACAAGGAAAAUAAAAAAGUAGUUUAGAGUCAAUUAAAAUCAUUCACAAAGGGUAAUAUUGUACACUUUUGUACAAUUAGUACAUUUCCCUUGUACAGUUAGUGUAAUACCCUUGUAUAAUGACACAAAUUUUAUAUCCCUCCUAAGUUAUGUGUCCACGUAGGAGUGUUUAACCAUAUUUUCAAUGAUUUAGUUGAGAAGAUGGUAGAUGAUUUAAGGUCAAAAUUUUUUUUCUCCAAAUAUUAUUAUUAUGGAAAAUAUUGGAAUUUCCAUGCGGGAAUUAAAUAAAGUGCAUGACAUAUAUGUACAAUUCAUGAGUGAUAAAAAAAUAAAAAUAAAGGAAUGACUCAUAAUCGAUUAUAAUAUUUCACAAAGGGUACCCUUGUACACCUUUGUACAGUUAGCACAUUUCUCUUAUACAGUUAGUGUAAUACAAUUGUACAGUGACGCAAUAAAUAAAUAAAUAAAAUUUAUUACUUUUUUAUUUUCAUAUAAAAAAAAUAGUACUAAACAAGGUUUUCAAUUUCAUUUUAAAAAAUAGUUUUCAUUUUUUAAUUAAAAAUAUUUUCAAAAGGAGACAAUAUAGAAAAUAAAAAUUAUUUUUAAAAAUAAAAAAUAAAAACUAGAAAAAUAUUUUAAAACCAAACUCAAAUAUAAUCUAUAUAAUAAUAAACAAAUUUGUAACAUUUCAUAUAACUUAUUACUAAAAAUCAUGUUCAAAAAGUUAUUAAAAUAAGGAAGAAAGAAGAUUAAAAAAAAAAUAAACAUUUUAUUUUAUAAUAGUAAAAAAAAACUUUAAAAUACAUUUUAAUAUAAAAAAAAUUAAAAUAGUGAAUAUAUUUAUUUUAAAUAGUUUUUUAUUCAUUAAAUUAUUUACUUCUAAAAUAUAAAAGACAAAAAUAAAUGUAAAAUGUAAUUUUUAUUUAUUUAAAUUAAUAUUUUUUUAGAAAGUAUUUUUCAAAAUAGUCUUUGAAUCAUUAAUAUAAUUUUUUUAUUUAUAAUUUAAAAAUAAAAAAAUAAUUUUGAUUUUUCAAUUAUUUAUAAAAGAGUUUAAAAAAAUAAUGAAAAAUCCAAAAAUGAUUAAAUAAGAAAGAAUAGUGGCAUGUGAAGAGUGGUAGAAUAAAGACAAAAAUGAGUCAAGUGGGUAUUUUUGUCUAUUCCUAUCUCAUAUCCUUGAAAUCAAUUAUAGGUGUUUGAAGGACUCUUUAUUAAUUACCAAAGCCAAAUGGGUCUAAAGCCCAAUUCUCCCUAAUUAUUUUAUAAUUAAAUAAAAUUUUUUCAUUUAAUUGAUUACCAAAAAUAUAAAAUUAUUAUGAUAAUUUUCUUCAUAGUGUUUUUAAUAUCAUUAAUAAAUUAAUUAAAUAUUAAAAAGUUAUACAUAUAUCACAAUUCAUUUUAUAUAAUUUAAUACAAUUGAAUUAAAUGAAUCAUAAUUUUAAUAUUAAAUAUAUUUUAAAAUUAGGCAUAUUAUAAUCAAAUAUCACAAUAUUAUUAUGAAAUAAUAUUUGAUAUAAUUUAAUAAUAAAUGUACACUUAUCAAAUUCUUCAGCAAAACAAUUUUGAAAUGUCUAUUAUAUUUCUAAUUACAUUUUUAUAAGGUUUUUCUUACAUUCCUAUGAAUUUUGAUUAAUUUUAGGUCUAUCGAUAUUUUUUUUUCCAAAAUAUCUGUCGAUAUAUCUCUGAUAUAUCCGUAAUUACCAAUAUUUUUAUCCUUAAAAACAACACAACACCACUUGUACCAAAGGCAUAACACCCACUAAAUUUAGUUAAGUCAUUGAGGGACCCCCAAUUACUUUGAAAGAUUGGAAUGACACGUGGAACCACUUAUAUUCCAUGGAUUUCUUAUGUUAAUGGGAUUUUUUAAAAUUUUUAUUUGGUAAUUGUUGUGAGUAUUAAGUGGUAAGGUAUGACAAAUUUGAUGAGGACAUUCUUUACAUUUAGAGAUCCUAGCAUAUGGGUUCAAUUUGUCUUACUCUUCAUUAAGAAUUAACUUUCAAGGAAAUGUAGUUAAGGAUAUCAAAUGGAGGUAUUCUACAUCAAUUUUGAUCUAAAAAUUUAAGGUUCUAGUCAGGCUGAGCUUUUACCUAAAAUUAUUUAAAAACGUUUUAGGAUCAUGAAAUUAUCAAAAAGUUUAAGCUUUACUUUGAUUAUGACCAUCAUUACAAGUAAUUAUAUAGUACAUGUCUUUCAAAAUUUGUGAUAAAUCAAUAUUUCUUGAAUAUGUUUAUUAUAUUUGCUUCUUAUUAAAAUGCAUUAUAUAUAUAUAUAUAUAUAUAUUAUUUGAAUGUUUUGCUCAAAACUAGAUUUUUCUUUGGAUAUUGGUACUUAGGUAGUUAAUUAACUUCUUGUUAAAUCUUGUAAAUGGCAUGAUUAUGAAUGAUGAAUGUAUUUACUUUUAACGUUAUAAUACACCCUAGACCAAAUUUUUAUGAGACGAGGUACAAUUGGCAUCCAAAUAACCUAGUUAAUGUGCCAUGUGAAAAAAGGGUUGCAACACUAGCAAGUAGCUAAUAUAUAAUGUGAAUGUGCUUAGUAUCAUGUGAGGAAGGACACUCUUAUUGAAUUGCCAUGUGAUCAAUUAUGUUGAUGGCUAUGAUGAUGGGCACAUAUCAUUAUGUGUAUGAUAAUUUUUUUUAAUGUAACUAUGAUUUUUGAAGAUUUGAUUAGGCUAAUUAAUUUGAGAAGUUAAGGACACAAGUCCAUGAAAACCAAAAACUCACUAUUCACCUUAGCACUAUUUAUCAAGCUUAGAUUUACAAUUACAAGAGAAUUAUACAUUAUUAAUACGAUAAUGAUAUUUAAUGUCAUCAAUCUUCACUUAAUUAGAAUGAUUAAAGGUUGUUUACAUAGACUUCUUGUUUUUUAUUUUAAAAUUUGAGAUGGUACACUUUUUCUAUAUCUUAAUUUUUAAAAAUUCAUUAUCCUUUUAAGCUAAAUUUUUAAAAAUUCUUUGAUUUUAUAUUUCAUUUGUUUUAUGAAAGUAAAAAACAAGAAAUGCAUCCAAAUAACAUAUUUAUUAUUCACUCAUAACUGUUCUUUCCCAAAGUAUUAAAAAAAUUUGGAUUCACUAGAAUCAAUAAAUAUGGUAUUUUAAUCGUAAAUUUCAUAGGUCUUGAAUCAAUUUUUAAAGUAAUCAAUGAAUUAAAAUAACAAUGAAUUCAUUGCAAACUCAAGUCAAUGCUUAAUUAACCUCAAUUUGAAUAAUUAUUUUGAAUAUAUUUAAAUGAGUCACAAAAUUCUAAUAGCAAGUACAAACAGACCAUCAUCAAGUUGAAUGUAUUCAAGCCAAACAACCUCCAAACUUCCUUUCUCUUCUUAAUCUAUUUUAGAAUCUAAGGAAGAUAACAUUUCAUUAAUCUAUUUCAGGAACCCCAAAAUAUUGAAGAGUGAAAAUAUGCUUGCUUUCUUAGCAAAUACUGAAUCCUAAAUCUAUGCAUAUCUUAACUACAAAAGAUUUUAUUAGUGCUUUAAAUAAUCUUAAUUGCCAUAUAUUUAGAUUGUGAUGUUAUAUCAUUCAUCUUUUGUUUAUUAUCUUCCUCUCUGAUUUAAAUUACUUAUUAUUUUUAGCAAUUUUUUUUACAAUUAAUUUUCAUUUUUAUUAUCGAAAAAAUAAAGUAUUUUUAUUUUAAUACAAUGAGAGUAAAGUUCCCAUACUAAAAAAGUCUACAUAAACUUUAGGUAUACUGGACUCUUAGAAAGGCCUCUAUAUAAAUGCUUAGCCCAUCACUCUUAUUUUCUUGCCUCUAAAUUGCCAUGGAUGUAGGGCAUAGGAAGCCACAAGAAGCUAUUGGAGAUGGAGAAAACAAGACUUCUUCCUAGAAGAGUCUUUUUAGGACAUGACUUCAUACAUAAAUAUAGUAUCCUAGGCAUUUUUAGACUUAAGGACUGCCUUUUGGAUUGAUCAAUCGAGACAAGUGAGAUUCACCUUCUCCAAGAGAAGAGCGAGACCACCAUGAAAAGGCAUCUCACUUGGUGGGACUUGGUGUGGAUAAGGUUUAGAUCAGUCGUAGGGUUUUGCAUAUUCAUCAUCACUUGUUAGGAAGCUUGUAAUAGUGUAAGACUCGCCAUAUAUAGUAUUAUCUUAUGUCGCUUUGGGUCUCUCAUAUCGCUUUCCCUACUUUAUUACACAUAAUUCACAGUUGAAAUACCAGUCGUAAGAGAUCCUUUCUUUUAUCUUGAGUAGAAUUAAGUGAUUUUGUUACUGUAGAGAACCUUAAAUUACUUCAUUCCCUGUCCUAGUAUUAGGUUAGGUGCAUAUUCCUAAUACUCUAGAUCUAAGCACAAUGGAAACAUGGCAUUAAAAAACAAUAAUAAAUAUAGAUCUAAAGAUAGUGAAUCUUUACCUAAGAUUUAGAUAUUCCCAGACUGAUUCCUGUUGAUGUGAAAAACUCUAAAUCCAUAGAAGAUCCUGUAAACCCCCAAUCUCCCACCCUACUACUCUUCCUUGAAGCUUGAUACUCAGAUGGUAGAAGUCUCUAGAAAGAAGAAUGGUGGUAGAAGAUUGAAGCCUUAACCUAUAAGGGGUAUUUACAUGGUUCAUAUUGGGUUUAAGUAAUUUGAACCCAUUUUAAGCUUGAGUCACUUAAUCUAACCCAAAAAGGUCUUAAUUGAUUAAUUAAACCAUUAAAUAUUUAAUUAAUCAAUUAGCCCAUUUCAAAUAUGUCGUCUACUUAUUCCUAUGCAACCUUAUGUAAUUACCAAUAUGCCCUUAUGCACAUAGGUGAACUAAGAGCUGAUCCAACCCUCAUAAGUUGUGUUAUCAAGGUUAUGAACUUAAAUUAGGGACUAUUGGAACCCAUAGAAUAGUAUUUUCAUGGCUCUCUUAGAAUCAUACUUUAAAGUUGACUCAACAUCUCACUACAAUGAGUCAACUGCAAUCCUAUACCCCAUGUAUAGUAUAAUGAGAUACUAUAUGCUUGGGUUCGUGACCUACCAUCCACUAUAUAUGGUUUCCCCAUUAAUUGAUAUCUGUAAUCUAACAAGGUGAAAGUUAUUAACUUCUCAAAAUUACCUCUACUAUCCUUCAUUUAGAAGUCCUCAUAUUAUGUGAUCAACUAACAUGUCUUAACUCAUAAAGAGCUCAAGUUCCAAUUAAAGAACUACUAUGGUCAUAGUUGAUCUAAACGCAUGUCCUUAGGAUAACCCAAGGCAACACACUAUCUCAAUCCUAUGAGAUAUCAUGGUGCCUUAUUGAGAAUAUUGGUCGCUAUUGACUUAUAUCAAUUGUGACCUAAUCCCUAAGGAAUGUAUGAUUAUUUUAGGAUCUCAUCUAUAGGUUCAAGCAUAUGCUAACAGUGAUACCGACUCAAUAUUCUUUUCAAGUUGAGAUAAAUACAAUACAAUACAACAACUUAAUGAAAUUAUAACUACUAGAUAGCCUUAUGUUAUAACUCAUCGUAGGCUCUGUCCAAUAUAUAAUCUAUACACACUAAUGCACUCGUCAUAGGAACCACAUCCCGUUGACUAAGACUAAUCAUCCCUUUAAUUAGGAGGUAGUACACUACAACUUCAAAUAGAUUGCCUAAGUUCACAAAUUGAUUGUGAACAAAUCAUUUACUUGCAACAAGCUCAUGACUUGGAUCUUCUGUACAACUUUUAAUGCACCUAAGUCAUGUACAAUAUAUGAGAUGCAAGUCAAAACACUUAUAAAGAAUAAUGAAUGGAAUAAGGAUAGAUGAAAGUGCAACUGAAAUAUAAUAUAAAUAAAUAGUCAAUUCUAAAGUUUGUUACAUCAUGUAAUGCUUUGAAGGGCUCUAUCUUAAUAGUUGGGUUCAUUAUAGCUAGGAACAUUCUCUUAGACGCCAUUCUUGGGGCAACUAGGUGGGUGAUUAUUAAUCAUUUGUUGCUCACAUGCAGUAACCUUUAUAUUAUCAUGUAUUGCUUUAUUUUUUACUAUUGAUAAUGAUGUUAGUUGAUUGAGGUUUGUAAACCUCAAGUCAGUUGUGUGAGGCUUUACCUUUUAUUUGGAUCAUGAUCUUAUAUUGAGCAUGCUUAUUUUUUAAUACAAGGUUAUAAUAGUUUUAGGUUAUGUUUGGAAACUGUCUUUGGUUAGUGCAUUGAUAUUGAUGGGAGUGUUGAAAGUGGAAGUAGGCUAGAAGGUUGAACCACAAUAAAUCUUAGUGUUAUGUAAUUAAUUUUGUUGAAAUUGUUUUAAUUGCAUUUGGGAGCUUUCUUCAUAUUAUACUUUAGAUUAGCCCUAGGCUCUGGCUUCAAGAGAAAAAGACCUCUUCUUUUGUACUCUAUCUACCAAUGUGGCUUAUUGCACAUCUACUUCAAAAAACUCUAACCAUAGUUCAAAUUCAUAAUCAUAUAUAGAACAUAAUAGAUGAAUAUUAUUUAUUGGUAUUGCUAUUAUUAUUCCUUCCACAUUAUUAUUAUUAUUAUUAUUAAGCAUUUACAAUAUCAAUUCAUAAGCAUGUCCAUGGUUUUGCAUUUUCAUUCCAUGCAUUGGAAAUGAUAAAUCAACUUUCCUUAAUCUUUCAUUUUGUUUCACAUUUUAUUGGAUUGAAAAAUAUGUUAAUUUGAGCAUGGACUUAUUUAUUUAUUUAUUUAUUUUUUUUGCAUUUCUUAUUAAAAAUCUUGUAAAGAUAAAUAGCUAUCUGAAGUAAUAUUUAAGAAAAAAAAAAGAGAAAAAAAAAAAGCAUUCUUCCUUAUGAAUAUUAUAUACCUCUUUAACUUCUUCUCAAGAUUAUAUUCAUAUCUUUUUUAACUCAAUCAUAAAGGAAAAGUUGACUCCACUCUAAAUAUCUAUCAAUCAUAUGAGGAAAAAUUGACUAUGAUGAUGAAAAUCAUAGCUAAAUAUCCAAAAAUUACAUUAUUAACUUGCAAAAUUUAUCGUGCACUCACUAAAUUUUUUAAACAUUGAAAAUGUUAAUUUCAUGGUGUUAUCCUAUUUAAUUAAUUAACUAUUUCAUCAUAUAAACUUCUUAAAUAUAGAAAGAAGAUCAUUUCCUACCAUUAUCCUACUUAAGUACCAUAAUUUUUUAUCCUAUAAUCUUUUUUAAACAUAAUAAUCGCAUGGCGCUGUCCUAUUUAAUUAGACCACCAUUAAGCUGCCCAACAUCUCAUUCCUUUCAUUUCUAUCUUCUGAAAUAUUUUUUGUUCAUAAAGAUUUUUGGCCAUGUAGAAGAAGCGAGCCAAAAGCCAUGAAAAGGUUGAGAUGAGAAAGAUGAAUAAUGAAGAAGAUCGCCUUGUUUCCUUCUUGAAGCAUAGAUCUGGGAUCUACAGAAAGGCAAGUGAGCUUUUUACCCUUUGUGGUACAGAAGUUGGUAUUUUAGCUUUCUCCCCAAAUGGGGAGCCAUUCUCAUUUGGUCAUUGAUGCGACUCAUGGUAGCUUAGCUUUAAAGGCGUAUCAACAAAAUUUAUACCUUGAAUACUAUUACUAAAGUAGCCAAGCUACUAUAGCAUAGUGGUUCUAGGAUCAUUCACUGGGAAGGGUUUUCGCAAACACAAGUGAUAUUCAAAUUAGGAAAAUAGGUGAUUUUCUUAUGGAUGUUAGCUUAAAAAGAAGAUGUAAAUGUUUUAGAAAGAUUUAAACUAAUCUAAGCUAACAUUAAAGACUAAAAUGAAAGGGUGUAAAAACAAGUUUCUCAAAGAUAGGAUAGCUAUGCUCUGGCUCUUAUGCAAAUUGGAAAUCUCAGGAUAGGCUCCUCGCGUUGGGGUUGCAACUAUGGUGAUGCUUGCUUCCCGAACCGGUAUGGAUUUAGCAAAUCAAGUUUUAAUCCUUUAAAAUGACAAAACAGAUGGUAGUGAAUUUCAUCCAUGGUUAUUCACCUUAGACUUCCUUUGAAUGGCUCGUAAGAGAUAACUAAUGGUCUAAAGCCAAAAGCUUAUCAAAUAUUGGCAACUCAAAGUCAUUCCAGGUGAUAAACUCACCUUUCAAUGGCCAUUGAAAUUGGUUCUAACGGAUUAAUACAAAACUUGGAAUUGAAAACCUCACCUUCCAAUAGCUCGUAGGAGAUAACUAAUGGAUAGAAAUCCAAAAGCUUAUCAAGUAUUGGCCGUUGGAAGUUGUCCAAAGGAAAUAAAAACCAAACUUUGCAUUAAUGAACCUUUAAUGAAAAAGGACUACCUUACCUUCCGGGUGCGAGAAAUUUCCAUGGGAUUGCAUUCAAGUCAUCACAUAACAUCCAUACUUUGAGAAACUAAAAGUUUUAGCCAAUCAUCCUCUGAGGAAAAGCCCUCAGAGGCUGUUUGGCUUCCAAGAAAAUAGAAAUGGGGAAGAGAAAAGAGAAAUGAGAGAGCUCUGUAUAUAUUCUCUAAGUGUUAAACGUAAUAUCUAUUCUAUAUGAUCCAAGAGGUGAUUUCCACCCCUUAUAUAGUCUUUACAAAAGCAAAAGCUUGUGAUUGGUUAGUUACAAGGAUAAGAAAGGAAAUUACAUCACAAAAUACAAAGGAAAAUAUCUAAAGUGGAGUCGGCAAAAGCAGAGGAAAAUUCGCAACACGCAUGGGUUAUGCGAAUUUUGAAGGUGUUAUGCGAAAUUUUCGCAUAACCUGGAGCAGUUGGCUUCCGAAGGCCAUAUCUUCCUCAUUUCAGCUCCAAAUCGUACACGGUUAGAAGUGUUGGAUUCUUUACUUCCAGAGCUUUGAAAUGGUAUAUAGCAUAUAAAAAAUGGACUUCGGAAAGUGCUCCAAAAGUGUGAAAGAAGACUGCAGCUGCUGUCCUCUGUUUUCCUCUUCUCCAUUGUUCUUUCCUUGCAUACUUUGAACGACUUUGGCAAAGGGAUAUGGAGCUCCAAAGCUUGGUUCUUCAUGAAUUUGAGCUUCCAAAAGCUUUGCCAUAACUUGUCCAAGUAUCUCCUCCAUCAUUUGGCAUGCUUGAAUUGAUUCAUAAGCUGAUAAAAACAUGUAAACUUGCCACAAAAUGGUUAAAACCAAUUACUAAGGACCUUAAUGAAUUAAUUGGGUUAAAUGAAUAUGAUUACUACUCAAAGGUGCUUAAAACCAUUAUAAUUAGGUCUACAAAAUAGCACUUUUUGGUAGUAAUCAGUCAUCCAUGUAUCAAGUCAGUUACUAAUAAGCUUUUAAGUGAAAUACCAUACACCAUGUGAUGGAACCCAAAAUCUUCUUGAGCCUUACCAUCGUGUUAGGCUUAAUGAGCUUCACCAUAACUAUAAAGAAGCUUGCAAGCAAAAGAAAGCAGCCAAGGAGCAAGAAAAAAAAAAUCAAGAAAAAAAGCCUGAUCAAAGGCUGGUGGGAAGAACCUAUUAUUGAGCUUGAUAUGGAUGGUCUCAGGCGAAGGUCAGAUCUAAUUCAAAAGCUUCAUAAGCAUGUGCAACUCCAAAUCAAGGAGCUAUAGACCAUGGAAUCAUGUUCAACUUUACCAUCUAAUACCCAAACAGUUGGCCAUGGCCAUGCUAAAUAAAUGUGCUUUGUAUUAUUGAGAGUCUUGAACAUUUCAGUAUCAAACGAUAAUGGUUCAAUGCUUUUAUUUUUGAGUAAUGGGUUUUGUGUUGGAGUAGCCAAAAAUGUGAUAUUGAUUGAUUAAGCUUCCUUUUUCCCCACCGAAAAGAAGUCUUUUAAUAGUUGAUGUGGGUGACAUAUCAUGUGAUUCUUGUGUAGAUUCCUUAUCUUCAUAAUAGUAGGGUCGUUUUAUAUUUGUCUGGUUUUUGACCCUUGACUCUUGUGUGAUUUCCAUCUUAAUGAUCCUAGUAGAAACAGAUGAGCAUGAUGCUCUUGAGGGUUCAUAUUUUGAAAUUUUAGGAAUUCGAGAAUGACUGAAUGAAUUUGUUAAGCCCCAAAUUCUAAAAUUAAAGUUUAAUUAAAUUAACAUAGGCCAACUCAGACUUUUUGCACUUGAGAUGUGAAUUAAGGAAGAAUUUGGUGAAGUUUAAAGUUUGAGGGCAAACCUAAUUCACCUGUGUUAUUUAAGUUUUUGAACAAAGAAGUUCCCUAUAUUUGGAAGAAUUCAUGUUUUUCCUAUUCAUGGACUUUGUGUAUCGGAAAACUUACACAUUUUAACUCCAUGGCCAACCUUUGUAAAAAGAGUAUGCUUGUAUGGGUAUUUUUUUAAAUCUCUCAGAAAAAUAAGCAUCCAUAUGACUAUACUAAGCUCUCAGAGCUUGUUUUAGUCUAUAUAGUGCCUUUUUAUUUUUAUUUUUAUAAUUUAUGAACUUUAUGCUCACUUUUAGGCUUCGCAUACUCAAGAGGUUUAUCGAUAAAAACCUGUUCUUAUAGAUCACCAAGCAAAAAUACUGAUUUUACAUCUAGUUGGAAGAUAGACCAUGAGUUUUAAGAAGUCAAUGUAAUAAAUAGCUCGAUUGCAUCAUGUCUUGCAAUAGGAGUAAAAACUUCUUUAUAAUCCACACUAAACUCUUGUUUAUAGCCUUUAGCUACUAAGUGCACCUUAUUCUUGCCAUCUUUGUCAUUCUCCUUCAAUGUUGUCUUGUAUACCCAUUUGACACCAAUUUUUUGUGGUCUCUUGGAAGAUCAAUUUACUCCCAAGUGCUAUUUUGGUUAAUAAUUUCAGUUUGUCUUUCAUAGCCUUCCUCCACUUUGAAAGUUGUAGGAUUGAAAUAUGAAAAUAGAGCAAAAUGUGUAAGCAGGUUCUCAAUGGGUCAAUUUCUAUUUCCUUGUAAUCAAUCAUCCACAUAGGUCUUCUUCAACCAUGUUUUGUCCUUUGUUUAUCACCUCUUUAGCUGCAAUUGGGCUUUGAGCAUCAACAAGGACAUUUUUGGGUAACUUCGAGUUAUUGAACAUUUCCCAUAGGUUGUUGCCUUAUGCCAUCAUCAUCAAAAUCUAUUGGAAUACGUUUUUCAACACCAUUCUUGUUCCAAAACCAAGUUCAUUCUUAAUAAAAAAAAUAUCGUGACUAAUAAUGAUUUUCUUUAUGCUAAGAUUAUAUAGCUUAUAAGCCUUUGACUGAUCAUUAAUACCAAGACAAAUGCAUAUUUCUCCCUUGUCAUCUAGCUUUUUCCUCUUCUCAUCUAGAACAUGGACAUGGGUAUAGGCUAUGCAACUAAAAAUUCUAAAGUGUUAGGGUCUUCAUCUGUUCCAUGUUUCCUAUAGUGUUAUAUUUUGAACAAUAAAUGUUGUACUUCUCUUCAAAAUAUGAAUGCUCCAGUUGAUAAUGUUAGGCUAGAAACUCUUCAAAACUCUAAUCCUUGCCAAAAGACUUCACACCUCGUUAAGAAUCGUGCAAUUAUUCCUCUCGCAUACAUCAUUUUAUUGAGGCUAAUAGGCCUCUAUAAGUUGUCUUUUGAUGCCAUGAGUCUCAUAAAAAUUUGCAAAUUCAUAUGAGUUAUAAUCUCCCCCAUAAUUAGUGUACAAUAUUUUUAUUAAGCUAUUGACUUCUUUCUCAACAAGUGCUUUAUAAAGUUUAGAUGCUGCAGACACCUCAAAUUUUUCCUACAAAAAAUACACCUAAAAUUUUCGAUUAAAAUUAUCAAUGAAGGUAAUUAUGUAUCUUUUACCUCCAUUAUUUGGAAGAUGGAUUUAUUUGUCCAUAAAAGUUAGAAUAAGCCAACUCUAACGUCUUCUUUGUUCUCCAUGACUUUCCUUAUGGAGAUUGAUUGUGGUGUUGUUGGCUAACAACACAUAUUCAACAAAAACUUGUUGAGAGCAUUCAAUUUGAGAAAGCUUAAUCACCAUAUUUUUUUGCUGCAAUGUCUUGAGACCAACAAAGUUUAGACGCCCAUAACAAAAAUGCCAAAGCCAUGCUACAUCCUUCAAUUGAGUAGACACUACAAGAAAUUUCACCCUCUACCACAAAAUUUUUGGCCAUCAAUAUAAUUUCAUCUCUAAAGAUGAUAUUGGGAGACAAAAUUCAAGUUUGUUAUGAAAAUUUGUGUCUAAAGUUUUAAUUGAAUGUGACAUGAGGCCAAAUUAUUUGUGACGACAUCAUAAAUUUUAACAACAAAAUAUUUCAUGGUGAAAAAUAUAUUGGGAGACAAAAACCUAGUGUUGUCCCAAAAGGUAAAUAAUGGGUAACAAAAUUAUGUUGUUGUAAAAUAGUUUUGGAGAGAAAAAUCUUAACAAUGGGAGACAAAAAUAUUGUCCUAAUAUCACUAGAUGAAGGAACAAAGAAAAUUAUUGGGGAGGAAAUUGUUUUAUUGUAAAAACUCAAUAUUGGAGACAAAACUAUUUCAUCCCCAUUAAAAUGCAUUUUCCUUUUUCAAAAUGAAUUUAUCAUUUUUAAAUUUAUUUAUACUAUUGAAUACUUAACAUGAUUUAUUUGUUUUUUGAGAAAGUUUCAUAAUACUUUAAUAUUUAUGAAACAACACAAUUAUUAUUAAAGAAAGUAAAUAUUAUUUAGAAAUAAUGUGAUAUUGUCAUAUUAUAAUAUUAAUAUAAAUAUAAAUAUAAAUAUAUAUAUAGUAUUAAAAUUUAAAUAUAAUGACAAUUUUUAUUAUAUUUAAAUUUUAAUAUAUAUAUAUAUAUAUAUAUAUAUAUAUAUAUCAAUAUGUAAUAAUAUUUAAAUUUUAAUACUAUGUGUAAUAAAGUAAGAAUUUAAAAUUUUUUUAGCUAAUGUUGAAUCUUCAAUUCUGGAUAUCAUACUCAUGAUAUGUGAAAUGUAAUAUUUGUUUAAUAAAAAUAUUAUUUUAUUUAGUAUAUAACUUGAAAUUAUAUAUAAAAGAAUUUAAUAUGGAUUAAAUUAAUUACCUAAAAAAAAAAAGGGUUACAAUGUUUGGACCAUAAUAUUAUUAGUCUUCUUCUUGUUCUUGAGUACAAAAACACAAAGAUUAAUCUAGAAUGUAUAAUAUGGUAAAAUUCUAAUCAUAAUAUAUUUUAUUUUUAUAAUAUUUUAUUUUAUUAAUGAAUUUAUAAGAUAAUAACAUUUUUUUUGUAAAUUCUAUUAUAAUAUAACCAUCUAUUAUUCUUCUAAUCUUAUACUUCCUAUAAAAUAACUUUUUUUCUUUUUCUCUAAAUAAUAAUUUCAUUUUCAUGUAAAUACUUUGAACAAUCCUUAAUAAUAUAUAAUAAAAUAAAACAAAAAUAGAUUGAGAUUCAUUUCCAUGUUUAUAACUUGAUAUUUUAUAUAUCUAAAAAUGUUCAAUUAGGAAUUAGGAUUAAAUUGAUUAUAUUAUGCAAAAAUAAAAAAAUUAGUUACCAUGUGAGAACCCUAAUUUUAUUAAUCUUCCUUAUGUUAUUUACAGAUAAAAAUCAAUCCAAAUUGCGAAUGUACAAAUAAAAUAAUUUUAGUUAAUAGUAUAAACAUUUAUUACUUACCUACUUUUGUUGUUCCCAUAAAAUCAUCUCAUGUCUUUAUUUGUAAGUAAUUGAUUUCAAUGUCAAUAUUCUAAAUUAAAGUAUAAAAUAAAUUAAAAAAUAUUACAUUAAAAUAACUUAUUUUGUAUAUAAAUUUUUAUUUUAUAUAUCUAUAAAAGUCAAAUUUGGAUUAAAUUGAUUAUACAAAAAUAUAAAAAGGGGUUUGACAACCAUAACACUAUUAGUCUUCUUCGUAUUAAAGUAGAAAAAUGAAUCCAAACUCUAAAUGUAAAAGAUAAUGAAAUUUUAAUAGUAAGUUACAUUGGCUUUUUCAUAAUAUUAUAUUUUAUUAUAAUUCAUAUAUGAAUUUAUAAGAUAAUGACAUUUUAAUAAUGAUUUAUUUCAAUUCUUCUUUUUUUUUUCUUCUUAAUUUUCUAAUUGAUUUUUUUUUAAAAGAAAUAUAAAAAUUUAUAUAUGACUUAAAGUUGAUAAAAAAAAUUCAUUUCUCUUUUAAUAAUUUAACAAUAUAAUGUUUUACCAAUCUCAUCUUUUCUAUAAAAUCAUCUCAUUUCCUUAAUUUUUUUAUAGAUAUUUCUUAUGGUUAUUCUUUAGAAAAAAAAAUUCUAAUGUUAACUAUAUAAGACAAUAAACUUAUAUUUUUAAAAAUUAAUCCUUUAUAAAAAAAGACUUUUAUAAAAGUUUUAGUUAAUUCUAUAAUAGUAUAAGUAUCUAUUAUUUACGCAAUCUUGUUGUAGACCCCCUUUGGUGGUAAAAGGCUCGGGGGGAGGUGAUUUCGAAAGACUUCUCAUUAUAUUUAGAAGGGGUAGGGGACCCCUAGCGGCUGAAGGAUGGACCCCUUCUCUAGGCACGGACGUGCAGCUGCAGGGGGGCGGUUGCAAGCCCAUGCUUGCUGAUGCAUGAACAGGGGAGGUGGGUGAUGGUUGGCUGAAGAGAGAAAACAGAGAAGAAGACGUCUACGAGGGGGGUGGUUUUUGCAGGAGAGACGACUAGUGAAGGAGGAGGAAGGAUCUUUCUGCUGAUAGCUUGUAAGUAUUGCUCUGUUUCAACUCCCUUUCACAUUUCCUUAUUCUUUUGUUGCAAAAUGAUUCAUGUUUGGUCCCAAGGUGGUGAUUGAUAGUCAUGCAUUAGUUUAUUUUCCGUUCGUUCUAUUGGUUUUUCAAUCUGUUGAUGAUGCAUGAAGUGAGGUUACAACAAUUAAAUCCUCAGACCUCUCAUCCUUGCUCGGUUUCUUAGCGAUCUCUUUCUCCAUACUUCUUAUGCUACCAACCCCCUGCUCAUGCACACGUGGACUGCACACCCACUCCUACCCUCCAUUUUCCCUUCUCAUUUUCCUCUCGUUCUUCUCACUCCUCAAAACACCAGAAGUAGACGUCUACCAGGAUAGCAGCCGAAGAUGCUCAAAACUUCAAUCCCCAUUUCGAGCCUACCGCCAAAGCUCCAAAAAUCCUAGCAAAUGGAGAGCCUCCGAUGCAGUUCUGAGAGCACGAGGCUCUCUUGCGGCGCUCCGGCGAGUCCCAUGCAUCUCGCGUUCCACGUGAAGGCGUCGCCAUCAACUCUCCCCUCACCGUCGCCGCCCUUUGAAAACACUCUACCCAGCCCGCCCGCUACACACUACAAGGAAAAUGUCAAAAGAUGACGCUUUUUAAGUGUCAAGAUAGAUAUAAGAUGACGCUUUUUAAAAGCGUCAUAUAUUAGACUGUCAUCUUUUUAAAUCGCAUACGUUGACACUUUUUAGAAGCGUCAUCUUCUUUGCACGUCAACCAUGACGCUCAUAGUAAGUGUCAUUAUUUGAAAUAUUGACGCUUUAUAAGUGUCAUCAUAUGUUAAUAAUUUCAUUCAUGUCAAUAUUGACACUCAAUGAAGUGUCAUUGUAUAGGUAGAAGCAACAUUGACACUCAAUAUAAGUGUCAUCUUAUAACUUUUUAUUUGUAGGAGCAACGUUGACACUUAAUAAAGCGUCAUUGUAUAAGUAGAAGCAACAUUGACACUCAAUAUAAGUGUCAUCUUAUAGCUUUUUUAUUUGUAGGAGCAACAUUGACACUCAUAAUAAGUGUCAUCGUAUAGCAUUUUAUACCUUGACACUAAAAAAAAUGCCAUGUUUUUUUAACAUCAACCUUGACGCUUUUGAGAGGUGUCAUCUUCUGUUUAUUCAAGUAAAGCAUGAUGCUUUAAAAAAGCGUCAUCUUAUCUCAUAUAAAAUUUUAAUAGCCCAGAAAUUAAAAUGUCCUAAUUAUGCCCUGUUUUAUAAUUUUCUAUCAACAAUUAAAUUAAUAAUAAAAACUUAAUUUAAGAAUCUCCAUUGACAAAAAGGAUCAAAUAUGGUCUUCCUUUUUCACUAUUACAAUUUAUCCAUAAACAUCAUAUAUAAUCAACAACUAAAACCAACAAUUUUACAACUUCUUCUUCUCAACUUUGAAUUGUUCAUAACCUUCACUACAUCUAGUUUUACAUCAUUUUUCUUCCAAGUGCAAAAGGAUGGUUGUAACUCACUUUCUAGAUGCUCAAUCUGCAAAAUAAUUGAGAGGGUUACAUAUUUAUUAGUAUUAACAAAUAGUUAAGAAGCAACUUUGUAAAUGAAAUGUGUAUAUGCCAAUUUUUAAAUUUCCAAAAUAUCUUUCUUCCAUUGCAAUAAAUUUCAAAAUAUCAAAAGAACUCAACAAACUCCAAUAAUUUUAUUACACCAAAUUUCUAAAUAUUUUAGAACUCUCAUUCUAUUUUUUUUUUUUAAAAAAAAGUUUUUAUCUCAUUGACUAUUUUGGUAUGAUUUUUAUCUUAUUUAUGAAACUUCAACCAUUAACAUCUUCUCAUUCUUCUUAUAGGUUGUACAAGACAUUAGAUGUUUUGCAUGAGAAGAAACUAAGGAAUGAAAAAAAAAAACAAAAAAAACUAGAAGUCCGAAAAAUUGUAAAAUUGUAAAUUAACAUAUUUAUGUAAAAUUAUAAAAUUGUGUUAAAAUAUCUAUGUUCUUCUUAUUGUAUUAGUAUAUCAACAUUUAAUAACAUGAGGAUAUCUAUUAUCUAAAUAUGGAACUUGCAUGAAAUGAUCUCUAAACAUGGAAUUGAUUCAUAAAACUUACAAUAACCACAUGUUACCUCAAAAUUCUUUUGAUGAUAUAUUUUGAAUUGUUUGUGGGUGUCCUUCAUCAAGAGUAGAAGUGAUGUUGUUAAUAGAAUGACCUAUGCCUUUUUGUACAACCUGAAGAAUAUAUAAUAAACAAUUUAACAACCAAUUAGUAAGAGGUGCUAUUUCCUUCCAUAGGCUUAUUUGUAAGAAGUCUUAAACUAACUUCCUAUUUUUUAAGUAAAAGAAAAUGGAAGUACAAGAUAUUAUAGACUUUAAGCCCAUUAGUAUAGUAGGAGACCUUUAUAAAUUUAGAUUAAAGAAGUUUAUAAAGCUAGUAAUCUUAAAGACCAAAAAUGCUUUUGUAGAGAAUAGACAAAUUCCUAAUUCAUGCACAUGUAAUGAAACUAAAGGCUCUACGAAAAUGAGCUUGGACAUGUAGGAAUUUUUGUAGCUAUGCUAUUGUAGGAUUUCUCCAAAUCUAACUGAUAAUAAUUUGUAGAGGAAAUAUACAAAAGUUGUUACACCUACCAUGUCUACUUGGCUUCACCUCUCAAUAUGCCAACUAUACAUCAAUCAUAAUAGAGCAACCCCCAAAAUGAUCCAUAUUGAAAACACUGCCAACUAGAAGUACAAAGAUAUACAUUAACAAAUUAUCAUUGUGAAUAAAUCCAUUAUAAAAUUAACAUUAACAAAAUAUUGACUACAUCUUUAAAAGAAUAUGAAGUUGUAUUAGACUAUAAGUUAUAAGAGGUACCUUCAAACAUGAGUAAUGAUUAACUGAGUCACUAACAUAACCCAAUCUGAUUGAACUUCAUUAAUUUCCAUUUCACUAUAUGAUUUCUUCCCGCAAAACUGAAUUGGAGUGACAUAUACAAUUCACUAAGUUCAAUUGACCAAAAAAAAAAAAAAAAUGCUAUAGUAAAAUGACCAACCAUAUGAAUUGAAUUGAGUGCAAACCUUUGAUGUUAGUUGGUUUGGAUUAGCAAUGAUUUCCUUCAUAUAUCUCAUCACGUAAUACCCACAUUCCACACUACCUGGUUGUCUUGGGCACUAUGGGAAAAGUAUCAACAAUUGCAAUAAACACUAGAAUGAUGUUCUUACUUCUUUAGCAUCUUAUUGAUGAUCAUAUUAAUAACCAUCCAUUUUCUAAUUUUGUCAUAAAUUAAGUGGUGAAGCAAUAUAUUUUAAUCUAAACAAAUAAGUACUUACAACCACUUUCACCCAAGUUGGCUCCCUCUUUGAUGUUUUCUGUUUUUCCGGUGGGUUGAUUCUCAUUGCCCUACAAAAAGAAUUAAAAAGAUGUUAUAUAGACACUAUCAAUUGUAUUAAAAUAGGAGAAAAUAUAUACUUACAUGUUAACUAUGUCCUUAAGAUCAUCACAUGGUUGACAGGCCAUUGGAUUAAGGUAAUAUGCAAUCAUUUUCUUCAUCUCCAAUGCCACUAACACCCAAUGGAAACUAAAGAAAAGAAAUGAAAAUUGUAAUAUAGUAUCCACAAAUUCAAACAUCACAAACUAACUUACAAACACCAUAUUGAUAUUUAGGAUAAAAGGUUACUCUGGGUUGUAUGGAAUAAGCAUAUAUUCAGCAUGCUUUGUAUUCUUUAGUCGAUCUGCAAUAACCCUUGACCUGUUUUCCUUGCUUCCCUCUCCCAUUCCAGCUUUUGAGACCAAUACUGGAUUGACAAAAACAUAUCGUUCGGCCUGCUAUGCAUCAAUCAACUUUCUAUGCAAAUGCUUGAUUAUAACCCACAUGACAAGUUAUCAACAAUCAUUAUAGGUCAUUAGAAAAUAACCUUCUAUCUCAUAAUCUUGUGAAAAGUCAUUCAAAAAUUAUAAAAUCCCUUACCAAAUGUAGUAUAAAAUACAAUUGGAUGACACUUCUUUUGAUGAUAUUAUCAUUUCCAUAUCUUCUUUCAUCAUGAAGGUCUUGAAACUCUCACCAAAAACAUCAUCUGGGAAGUUUAUAGGGUAUGUUCUUGAUGUACUCAGAAUGAGGCCAACCAAUGUCUCAAAAUUUUUCAUAUCUUGUGGUUUUUCACCCUUGGAUUUGACUUCAACUUCAUUUACUUUUUGUUUCUUUGCUUUCUUAGAUGCUUGUACAAUUAAGAACCAUGGUACAAAUCAAAUUAACUAGUUUAUAUAUAUAUAAAGUCACUAUAAACUUUGGUAAUUAAAUUUACUUACUAAGAUGGGAGUACGGAUGAUGACCAAAUUAGUUGGCCACAAAACUUGGUAACCAAUUGCAGCCCCAACAGUAGUAGUUUGUCCAGGAAUAGGAAUGGGAAGGGGUGCACUUGAAUCAUAAGGAGCAUCAACAACUACUAAAUAGUUGGGACCACAUUCAAGUAUAAUUGUUCCACCUGCCACUAUAUUUUCCUUGGUGCCUAUGGCUGUAGACCCCCAUUUUGGGAACCUCACUUUUGUGCAUAUUUUGCAGCUCUUUUUGCCAGGUGUCGCAGCUGUGAGCAGCCACGUGUCGACUCCCGUCUGGUUGCUAUGGCAUCAGAUGGUGGAAUCAAGGAGCAAAUAAGAGGUUGACACGUGUAAAGGAGAUUUUGCAGGCGGUUAGGAGGAGCGUAUGAGAGAGGGGAUAUUCUGCAGAAAGUGAGGUUGCUUUUGGGAGGUUGGUUAGGAGAUAUAUUCUAGGAGGGCAUAUCCGGGAGAGAACAAAAAUAAGAGAAAAGGGGAUUGGUUGGUGGAAAGGGGCUGCAGAGUGUAGUGGUGCUGGUGGCUGUUGCUGCAAAGAUGGUUGGAGGGGCAAAUCCGGGAGAGAAAAGAGAUAUCGCCUAGAAGAGGAAGGCAGCUAGGAAGGGAUGCAGGGGGGUGGAGAGUCUGUUAGAGGGGGAGCGUCUCUUGCAAGUGGGCAGGAUUUUCAUGCUGGUCUGAGAGAUUUUUCAGGCAGGGUGAGUGGAGAUAUUGAUUUUUGAGGGGAAGAGGAGAAGAUCUUUUGAGCUGAGGAAGGUAGCAGGCUGCUAAGGAUUUGGAGAGGGGAGAGCUUUUGUUUGGGUGUUUUUUUUGGGAGAAAGGAUUCUGGAGAGGAAGCAGUAAAGCUUCUUUUGUGAGAGAGAACGAGGGAGAGAGAACAGAGAAGGUGGGGGCAAAGAGCGAGAGGGGGAGCUUGGGAGAGUAUUCGUUUGGUGUGGAGCAGCAAACUGUGAGGGAGAAGUUGGAAGCUGCAAGAAAUGUGAGUUUUUGGAGAGCUUAGAGAGUGAUAUUUCUUUAGGGCAUUGCUUGACAAGCAAGCCGGACAGGAGAAGAAGUUUUCUUAGAGCUUGAGGAGAGCUCAGAGAGAAAACCAGAGGGAACUUGCUGGUGAGAAUAGGAGGGGAUAUCUUUUUCUUUUCUAGAGGUAGCAGAGUGGAGAGGAAACAAGUUUGAAGGUAAGCAUCUCGGGAGUAAAAGGACUUCCUCAGGUAUGAUUGCUAUAGGCUUAUUGAUUGUUUUUGGCUGUUUAUCACUCUCAUAUGUCUCUUGUUGAUAUUUGAAUAUUUGUUGAUUUGCUUGGGGUGGAUAAUGGAGGCCACUUAUUGCUUGUUGAAAUAUAAUCCUGCCUACAUGUUUACCACUGUUAACCUUAGUGUGUUUUGCUCCUAUUAUGAAAAUGCCCAUAGUUGCCUUUGAAAUGUUGUUUCUCACCUAAUCAGAGGGUUCACGGAUGACUCAUGAAGUGAAACCUCUGAAAAUCACCUUUACUCAUUUUCUUUUGCGUUCUUUUCAAUGGCCUUUUUCUUUGUUGUGACCAAUACUUUGCUUCUGGGCCUCGUUCAAUGUAAUGGUUGUAAAAAAAAGUAGAUCUGGGUCUGGCUGUGUACUCAUUCAGAGAUCAAAUAUGUUGGGAAGAGACUAUGAUUGGGUGAUGAGAUUCUACUAUGAGGUUCAAGGGAGGUUCAAUCGGUUCAAUGAUGCCACUCUGAAUUUGUUGAUAUCCUAUGUGUGUAGAAGAGAUGCUCAGUGGGACUCCUUUGGGUAUCAAAACUCUGUUUCUCCCAGAUAUCAGUGGCAUGCUUAAAGGUAUAUUAUCAAGUCCUGGCCUGGUUGUAAGUAUAUCUAUUUCAUCUGCUGGAUUCUUGCGAAGAAAUCUCCCUCUAGUAGUUCUGGGAAAUGGGAAGACGUCAAUGGGAAUGUGUCUGUGGUUUCUGCUCAUGAGAAUAUAUUGAGUGAUCAGCCUGAGUUGCUGCAGCGACUUGGAAAGGACCUUUCUUUUGUUCCAAUACUGAUCUAUGACCCAUUGAUAGAAGUCUACUUGGCAGAUUUUUGAAGAUGGAGAGGCUCGAAAACCAUCUAUGCAUACUGAUGUAGGUCCCGUGUCUGAGACAAGAGGUGCAGAAAAUACCGAUUAUGCUGAUUUUAAUAAUAAAAACGGUGGGAUUUCUUGGGUCUUUAUUGUGAUGGUUGCCCUAUGUCACUCCCUCAUGAGGAAGAAGACACCAAAACAGAAUAUCUCGGUGAAAUGAAUUAUGGUAUCAGCAGGGAAUGUCUCAAUGUCGUUACUGAUGAGUAAACUGACAUGGUUGCUGAGAAAGGCGUUUGUUUCGACAAGUCAACAACAGUUGAAAUCCUGGAAGCUGUUCAUAAUCCCUGUCCCGUGGCAUUUGAAUACCCAAGGCACCUGUCACUAAGCCAACCUCAUGACUCCCCAUCCGUAGUCCUACAGCCGCAAGUGUUGUUCCAUUCUUGCAUGGUCACUCACCAAAGUUUCCCUCUCCAUUGAAUCCAAAUAUCCUCACACCAAUCAAGCCCACCCACUAAUCCAAUCCAUCUUUCAUCCAUCCCACUCUCUACCCUACACGCAUGGCAAACCCAUUUUUUUCUUAAUAUCCAUCUAAACCCAUCUCUCACUCAUGUUCGUGUCUUACCCACGUUCCAGCUCACUACAUUUCUUCAUACCCAUUGCCUAUAGCCAUACCCAUAUUUCAUAAUCUCCCAUGCAUGUUCAUUUCUUGAAAACCCAUUAAACCCUCUGAACCCAUAUUUGUUUGGCCAUGUAUGGCCAUACAAGACGUUUCCACCAAGCUCAUUAUCCCUGGAUAUUCAUAUCCGUUUCCUGUAGUUGGGCACUUGUCCCAAUUCACGUGACUUCAAUGGAGGCUGUGUUGAUGGAAGAUGUCAUUGCUUUCUUGGAUUUCAUGGUCAUGAUUGCAGUGUAUACGAAUGGAUGCUUGGGCAUGAUAACUGCCUAUAGAAGGUCUAAGCCAUAUGCAGAUCCUGAUGCAAAGAAGAUUGAUGAUCAGGGUGAUGAGGAAGUGCCCAACAAGAUGCCGAGGAAUCCAAGAAGCUGCUACCAUACCCAUGUCACCAUGCCUUACAAAUCCACUCCGUUUCUCCACCACCUUUAUGGAUUCUACACCAUCACCUAUCUAUACUCAAACCGUUGCCCCAUUUCUCUCACUAAAUCCCGCCACCCAGUCCACUCAUUGAUUGAGGAGACCAUACCCAUAUGCAUGAUCGUUUUAACGCAUGCAUGACCUUCUUGAAAGACACGAAGAUGUUUGGCGCGCCUAGAGCUUGACUGGCCACAUGUGAUGAGAUUCUUCUUUGCUGCCUUCGUCACGAUGAAGCUGUGAGCAUGAUGAGAAACCUCUUUGAUCAGCGCGAAUUAGUUAGAUAUGAUGACGAGUGUAGUCUAUCACACAGAGCAACUUGUUAUUCUAGUUUGUACAAAUCGUAACAUCAAUAUGGGAAGGUAUUUAUGUGAAAGGAAGCUGCAGGUUGUGAAAUAUUAACAUUGGUCCAAAUGUAAGUGAUCCUGGCUAUUUAGAUUUGGUAAGAAUCCGCUUGCUUCAAAAGAUACAGGUGAGGGAAUGUGCUGAGUUACUUGGGAUAAGUCUAUCAUUUAGAGUCCCAUUUGAGAUUGUGGGUGAUGUCAUGCUUAUGCAACUCUCCUGCAUUCAGCAAAGAGACAAAUCAAUUGUGGAAACUCCAAGGUAGACGUCACGUGGCGCAUUGAUAGAUAUUUGUGGAGUUUUUCAACUAGUUCAAAGGUGUCAUUGCAUGAAGAAUAACUGUAGCCAAGGAAAGGGCUGAUCUGGACGUUCUCUAUAUCAGAGCAUCAAAAUGGGAAUAUCAAGGUGCCGCUAACACACUCAUCACUAUCAUGUUUGCACAAUCAAAAGAGGAUGGAGUCGACCUAAUCGAACACGGACAGACCCAGACUGAAGACUUGCUGAGAACAGAGGCUCAGGCUUUGGGGUUAAGGUAAUUUCAAUAUGCCUAGGGAUUCUCAUUUGUGCCACUCAGACUCAAAAUAACCUCUGUAAGAAAGGAAGAGGGAUGAGAAAGCUGGCUACAGAGAUUCAAAGGAGAGUCACUACGAUUCAAGCUUCUUGGAUAACAUGCUGUUCAGAGAGUUUGCCAUAGAGUUUUGAGUUUUUGUUGUGAAAAGAUGGAUGAGAAUAUGUCGGUUGGUUGUGAGUAAGAAUUUCUAUGCUCGGCAUGCCAAGUCAGUAAUAGUUGAAGAUGGGAUCUAAAGGGCAAGCAAGGCUCAUAGCAUCGUGGCCUGAUUCAGUGACUAUUCUGGCAUCCAGUCAAACCUUCAGGGCAUGUAUCGCAUGGUCACCUUCAGGCAUACUACUUUGCCCAUGUGUCCUUCUCACUUCCUCCUUUCAUCUAUUUUAAAAAAAUAAUUUCCCACACUCUCAUUCCUCAAAAAUAAUUUUUCAAUUUCCAUUUUGUAAAUAACUCUUCAAAUUUUGAUUUUCAGAUAAAUUUCAACUCUCCUCCUUCAUCCUUAGAACCCCUUUGGUUCCAAAGUCUCUUUUUCCAAUAAAUCUUUGUUGCCAUAUUUCCUUUCGGCAUACAAUUUUCACAAUUCUUUUGUUUUUUAAAAUGUUUUAAAAUAAGCUAAAAUCAAAUUCCAUAAUUCUAAGUGAUAGAGUUUGCGGAAUUGAUUUAUGCAAAAAUGAAUCGGGCUUUGAUGGAGGCCCCACAUAUUUGACUUCAUGAUUGAUUGACUGAUUGAUAGAUUUAUUUGCCAUGCUUGAUUGGUUUACUCUAUUCCUUGAUAUGCGCUUAAUUAUAUCUGUUCAUUGUUCACUAAUCAUGUUUCAUGAUAGCGCGUUCGUGAUUGCCGCCCAGGUGCGCAUCUAUUCAUAUUUCGCCUAUUCUUUAUACAUGCUUUACUUCUCAUAUUGUGCAUGAUCAAUUUGAGUAUUCAUCAAUUUUCUCAUUGAUUGCCAUGUUAGCUUCAUUCUAUUAGUAGAGACCCGACUUUAGGGACUUAGAGGGGUGCUACGGUUUUUACCGUACCUUCCCGAUAAGUAACCUGACCCCCGAACCCGAUCCGGUUUUUCACAGACCGCCUUUUCCAAAAUAAGGAGUCACACUUAGGGUUUUUCUUUCUUAUUUUGUUUACCCUUUAAAAAUAAAACAAAAAUAAGUGGCGACUCCAAGUCAUUUUUCUUAAUCAAAUAAAAUCAAUUUUUCAAAUAAAAAUCGAGCUCGCCAUCGAGUGGGAAACGCAUUGAGCCGAAAAUGCGGGGUCCACAAUGGCCAGCUCACAUUUUCUAACCUACAAAACUCAAUUCACAAUAAUCACUUCAAUAUUAGUGGGUUUAUACAAAACUAACAUAAAUGCAUUAUCAUCAUCAAUCACCUUAUAGCUCCUAUUACAAUGAUAAAUGCAAUUUCAUUUACAUUCAAUUGCAACAAACUUGCAUGAUAACAUUUCAGUCCAUUGCAUAUAACUCAACCCAUAAUUUAGACAUAUCCUAUUAUAUGUUGCCACAUCAAAGAAGACCAUAUAUGUUGCCACCAACAUUUGAAGUCAAUUCAAACAACAAAAUUAAAUUAAAUUAUUUCUCGUAUUAGAGGAAACUUUGUCAUCAAAUUAGCUUAAUUGAAUAAAUACCUUCUUCUGUGGUUCUAUUGCUUCUGGUGGGGUCACAUCUUCAACUUUACGGAUUGCCUUAUCCACUGCUUCUGGUAGGAGAAGUUGUUUUUGCUUCAUGUUUGAACUACUAACAUCAGAUUGGGGAGUAACAACUCCUACUUGAGUCAGUUUUGCUAGCACUUCUGCCUGAAAUAUUCUUUGUUCUUCUUUAGAUGCUGCUAUGAAAUCCCUGACAGCACGAUCUACAGCACUAUUGAAAUAUUGGCGAGGUGUGUAGUGCUUCCCUUUGGCCCUAACUCGACCACUAUACUCAGGAGUACCCAAUGCUUCCACAAGUAUAUCAUUACUUCCACUAACACUUCUACCAUUCUCUUGAGACACUUUCAAUAGCUUGUCCUUAAAAAAUAUUAAUUAUAAAGUUAAAUUGCAAAUUUGUUAUUGUAAAUAACUUAUUAUAAAUAUAUGUAAUUAAAAUUGAAAAAUAUUCACUUACUAUUUUCUCAAUUACUGGUAUGGCCACUUCAUCAAAGGUGUCGUCCUUUUUUUCCCUUGCUUUCUUCCAUAAUAUGCUUCGAUCAAUAGUUUCAGUUGAUCCACUUGCAACCAUCUUUCAAAAUAGGACAAUGUAUAAUAUAAUUAUCAUAUAACCCUAUUAUGUAUUAUGCAUAAAAUAAAUAAAAAACAAUUAAUAGGCUUAUACUUACCAUCUCUUCCUCAAGACCGGCAUAUCCUUUCCUACUUAGAUGGUGAUUAUAAAUGUUUCUCUUUCUUCUUUCUUUUUGAAUUUCUCGAUAUUCCUAUAAAUUAAAAUUUUAUAAUUAAUGAAUGUGAAUAAGAGGUAUGUAAAGAGUCUUAAUUAUACCUUAAAGUUGUCAGACAAUCUAUCUUUGACAAAUAUUGUCCAAUCUUCAUCCUCAAUAAAAGUAUAUUGAAUUGGUGGUCUUUUGAGGAGCUCCGGUUGGUCUUCGAAAGGAAGAAUGUACUUCACUGUUAGCAAGUUCUUAAAGGACCAAAAGCAUUUUCCCAUUGUUACCAUACAAUUCCUCCUGCUUUUAUGAUUUAAUGAAAAAGCAGUUUGCACAUUAAUACCAAACUUUAGUAAUUUCAAGAGGUUAAGAAUGAUAGACAUUUUGCAUCAAAGUGAUUUAAAUAAGAAAUGGUUACCUCAAUGUUGUCCCAUAACUUAUCCUUCAACUGUUUAGGUACAACAUGCCAAUUUUUAUAUCUUAUUGGCACCAUAGUGCGUGCUAACACGCCUAAGUAGCUUGUUAGAUGAACUGCUGAUUCUCCUAUGAAAAUGCCAUCAAGAUUGUACUUAACCGGCAACUUAACCCCCUUGCUUCUGUUUUUUAUAAUCAUAUGCUUCUGUGUCAUCCCUCUGUACUUCCUUUUUAUGGGUUUUUCUCCUUUCUUUGUCUCCAUUCUUGUAACAAAAAAAAAAUAAAAAAUGAUAAAGAUUAGUUAAAAUUAUAUUGCAUAUAACCUAGUCAAAGAAUAAUUGUAAAACAUAACUUUUCAAAGAAACAAAUCCAUAAUCAUUGUACAAUGAAAUGCAAUAGAUCAUGAAUUCAAUAGAUCUUUUUAGAAUUGUUCAUCAUAUAACAAGGAUAACACUUCAUUUAAACUUUUUUUUGUCCCGUUUUGUUUAACAUUUCAUUUAUUUUAAGCAACCCAAGGGCCUUUGUAUAAGAAAGCUAAAUUUGCAGUAGGAAUUUCCUAUAAGAAUCAACAUGGAAGGAGCACGUGGUUUCAACAAGUUCAUCAAGUCCAUAAGAACUUAUGAAAGCUUUUGGACUAUCGGUUUGCGUUACAUUAAGUUUGGAAAACACAACAUGCAUAUUGAUAAUAAAAAAUUUCAUAAUUUUUUUACUCACAAACAUAACUAAUUUAGUAUCUUCCAUGCACAAUUUAGGGAAAAGGUUUUAGUAAAUAUGUUAUUGGGAGAUGUUAAAGAAUGGUCAAUAUUUUGUGCAAAAAAAUAAAGAAAGGAUAAAAAUUACCUAUUUUGUGGCUGUUGCAACCCAUUCCAUGGCCUUUAUUCAUACAUUAGCAUUAAAAUACAGCUACAUAGAGGAUUUGUUCUCAAUCCAAAUCCCCUCACAAUCGCCUCGCAUACAUGUUGCAUCUGAGUCAUCCAUUACAUCAAGCGCUUCAAUUUGUGGCAAUGCCCCUAUAAAGGGAUGGUGUUUAAUCGAAUUGUCAACAAAGUCUUCACCUCCUUCCAUAUCCAAGAAAUCUUUUUGAGGAGUUGACAAAACAACUGACCAUCUUGGAUCAAGUUGGUCUUGCACAUAAAAUACUUGCUUAGCUUGGGAUGCCAAAAUGAAAGGAUCUGAUUUAUGAGCAAUUUUGCUAAAGUCAACUAAUGUAAAGCCAAGAUCAUCAACUUUUAUGCCAUUUUUAUUAUCAACCCUAUCACACUUGAAAACUGGUAUCCUAAACAUGGUAUAAUCAAGGUCCCAGAUCUCGGUAAUAAUGCCAUAGAAACAAAGCUCACCAAACACUGGAUUUUGAUCAUUUGCACUUGCGAUUUGCAUUGUUGAAGCUACAAUACUAACUCCACUAUUUUGGGUAGUUCGUAAGUCAUCUCGUUCCUUGGUAUGGUAUCGACACCCAUUAAUGACAUAUCCAUGAUAUUUAGAGACAUAAUAGCUAGGACCAUGAGCUAUCCACUUAAGGGUUUCAGAUAUAGGUUCAUUAUUACCAAUUGCAGCUUCAAUAUGUAAUUAUAAAUAAUAGUUAUUAUGUAUGUUAAACAUUAGUAAAAAGAAUACUUCACAUUUUAACACCAUUCCAAUACCUUUUUUCUCAACCAAUAAGUAAAAGUCCGCAGGUGUUCAUCCUGGAGCCACUUUUGUCUUUUUGAUUGACGAGGAUUUUUCAAUUUCAACCAUUCCAUGUGCUCUCUAUGUAAUUAUUUAUAAGAAAUUCAAAGUUAAUGUCUUAAAGUUAUUUUAAGUAUCAGACACAAAUAUUAAGUGUUAGUGGUUCUUACUCAAUAUAAGGUUGAACAAUAGUUGUAUUCUUUAAAACAUAAUGAUGUGCAUGUAACCACAAAUUGGAAUCAAUUGUCACAACUUGACCUCCAAGUAUUGGUGCCCCAACUUUUUGGUCAAUGUUUGCACUAAUAGGAAUCCCAAUCGCAUCCACAUUUGACAAAUACUCUAUACAAAAUUCAACAGCUUUCUCUGCAAUAUAGCAUUUAGCGAUACAACCUUCGGGCCGAUUACGGUUUCGUACAUACCCUUUCAAAACUUUCAUGAAUCUUUCAAAUGGGUACAUCCACCUUAGGUAAACUGGUCCACAAAGUCUCACCUCCCUUACAAGAUGUACAGUAAAAUGAAGCAUGAUAUCAAAGAAGGAAGGUGGAAAGUACUUCUCAAGCAAGCAUAAUGUCACCACCAAAUCAUUUUGUAACUUAUCCAGUGCAGACACAUCAACCACUUUGCUACAUAGAGCAUUGAAAAAAAACUCAAUCUACAAAUAGCAUGCCUUACAUGCUUUGGAAAAAGGGAUCGUAAUGACAUUGGCAAUAACUGUUGCAUUAAUGUAUGAUAGUCAUGCGAUUUAAGACCAUAAAGCUUCAAGUCUUCCAUUGACACAAGGUUUCUCAUGUUAGAGCAAUAACCUUCAGGAACCUUUAAUUGUGAUAAAGUUUGGCAAAAAACCUUUUUCUCCACUUUAGAUAACGUAUAACAUGCAGGUGGGAGAUAAGUUCGAUUUGAUUCAAACCUUGGCCCUAAUUCACACCUUAAGCCCAUCUCUAGCAAGUCUAGGCGAGAAUUAAGUCCAUCUUUCGUCUUACCUGGAAUGUUGAGUAAGGUACCAAUGAUGCUUUCACAAACAUUCUUCUCUAUGUGCAUUACAUCCAAGCUAUGACGAACAUGUAGGUAUUUCCAAUACUCAAGAUCAAAGAAUAUGGACUUUUUUUUCCAACAAUUUGUAGUAUUGACAUUCAACUUGCCUCGGGAGUUUUUAUUUUUUCCCCAUGAAUUAGAAAUGACAUCAAUUUUCCUUAGGAUUUCCUUUCCACUCAAUGGUUGCGGAGGUGAGCUAAACUCUUGUUUACCAUUAAAUGCCUUCUUUUGUUUCCUAAAAGAAUGGUUGCAAGGAAGAAAUCUUCUGUGACCUGUAUAUGAGUUCUUUUUCCCAUGCUUCAAUAUGUGAGAGAAUGUAUCUUGCCCACAUAUGGGACAUGCAAAAUAUCCUUUAACUACACAACCAGAUAAGUUUCCAUAUGCAGGAAAAUCAUUGAUUGUCCAUAGUAGAACAACUCUUAAUGUAAAGACCUUUUGCUGAUGCACAUCAUAACAUUCAACCCCUACAUUCCACAACAUUUUUAAGUCAUCCAAUAAUGGUGCUAAAUAAACAUCAAUGUCAUUUCCAGGUUGUCGUGGACCUGAUAUUAAUAAAGAUAGCAUCAUAAACUUCCUUUUCAUGCACAACCAAGGAGGAAGGUUGUAAAUGACCAUUAUAAUAGGCCAACAACUAUGUCUACUGCUCAUUGAACUAUGAGGAUUUAUACCAUCUGCUGAAAUGGCAAGUCUAAGGUUUCUAGGUUCUGAAGCAAAAUCAGGCCAUCUGUGAUCAACUAGCUUCCAUGAUGGGGAGUCAGAUGGAUGACGUAUUUUACCAUCAAAUUCUCUUUCUUGAGCAUGCCAUAUGAGGUCUUUUGCAAUUUUUGGGGACUGAAACAAUCUUCUAAAUCUUGGAAUAGGAGGAAAAUACCACAUUACUUUUGCAGGGACUCCCUUCCUCUUUUUAGUACCUGUUCCAUCUAACUUCCACCUUGAAGUUCCACAAGUAGGACAAGAAGUUGCAUCAUUCAACUCAUUUCUAUACAAUAUGCAAUCAUUGGGACAUGCAUGUAUUUUCUCAUAUUCCAUUCCCAAUGUAUUCAAUGUUUUUUUUGCUUCAUACAUAGAUAGAGGCAACUCAUUAUUUAGAGGCAACAUAUCUCCAAGAAUACUUAAAAGCUCUGAAAAGCUUUUAUCAGACCAUCCAUAUCGUGCUUUUAGGUUGUAUAAUUUGACCAAUGCAGAUAACUUUGUAAAGUUUCUACAACCAGGAUAUAAAGGUUUUUGAGCAUCUUCAAGUAAUGUUUCAAACAAUUUUGGGUCAUUCUUACGAUCAUCAUAUGCAACUUGAACUGUUUCUAUUGUACUAUCCACAUCGUUAAAUUCAACUGUAUGAUGCCAUUCUGCCCUACUAGUUGGUGGUCCACUUGGAGCAGCGUCUCCAUGCCAAUACCAUGUAUGGUAACUCUAAUCAAUUCCAUAGAAGAAUAAAUGUUCUCUAAUUUUUUGAGGAGUGUGGAAUAUCGUAUUACCACACUGAAGGCAUGGACAUUUCAUGGAGUUUUUAUAUGUGGAAUAUUGUAAUGCAAAUGCGAUAAAGCUUUCUACCCCAUCUGCAUAAUCCUUUGAUCUCCUAUCCUUUGACAUCCAAGAACGAUCCAUUUGAUGUACAAGAGAUAAACACAACUCCUAGAUACCACCAACAACUAAAGUUAUUAAUAAAAUCCUAUUAACAGGCUUAAAAUAUAUAAUCUACCAAAUUAAAAUUUCCCACAUUGUCACAAAACUUAGACCAAUCCAAAAAACGACAAUGUGCAAGUCAUCUAACAAUAAGCAAUAUGACAAGAAACAUAAUUAGUAUAUUAGGUUAUUCAAUAUUAGCAUAAAAAAUGGAUCUUAGUUCAUUCAUGAUGUUUGCUUUAUUCAUGAAUAGGAAUGAAAAGCAAGAUCUAACUUUUAGUCUUCUCUUAUAUUAUUGAAUACACUAAGUUUGAAAAUUUUAAAAACACAUAACCACAUGAGACAAUGAUACCAUGAACUAAAACAAUUAACGAAUGGAACUAAGAUUCGAAUGAAUAGAAGCAAGUGAUUUAUACAUGAUUUAGGCAUUCUAACAUCUCCAACAUCCUUAAUUAGGUGGUGGUUCCUAUCCCAUAUAGGAAUACAUAAUCCCUGUGUCAAUUGCCAAUAUACUUAAAUUCAUUUUAAAGAAAUUUCGGCAACAUUUCCCUAUAGUUCUCCAAGUACACAAAAUGGAUAAGGCACAAUAUGUGACCUUGUCCAAAUAUGCACCCAAAGAACAAGAAGAAAGACUACCAAAUUUUCUAAAAAUUGAAUUAAGAACAAGCAAUUAACUUCAUAGAUAUCAUGUUUUCCUAUACUGUCCAACUGGACAAUUCAAACAUCAUUUGCAGAGAAAAGAUCUUUAUCACAUGGAAGACAAAUUUAGUAGUUGUCAACUUGAAACUGGCUUAAAUAUACCCACAUUUCACAUUUUGACAACUUAUUGUCUUAGUAUGUAAUAAGAGAAACUUCUGUCUCACAAUGAUACUUGAAUGGGAAUUCUAAGGUUUCAUGCAUGCAUAGUUGAUUAAAACUAAAACAUAAAUACUUAUUAAAAUAUUACAUCUAGUUAUGUAUUAUAAAUUAUUCAUAUCAAUUGCAAUGGUGAGAAUAGGAAAAUAUUGUUUGUAAGCAUCACAUUUUAGGCCUAAGUUCACAAACUUUGCUAAAUCCAUUAAAGACCCACUACAUAAAGUUCAUGUUAAAAUUGGUUCAUCUCCAACCCCCAAAAUGAUUUAUCAAAGUUACUCAUUUUUUAGAGUCUUGAUUAAUUAGAUAAUCAAUAUAGAUACAUAUAAUUUGUAUUAAUAUAAUAUCAUGAUAUUUUUUUCAUUUUGUUAUUAGGCUUAGACUUGGGUAGAUUUCCCAAGUAAGGCUAAAGUAGAGCUAAGCUGCACCUUGACAUGUGUUCUACUUAUGUUGGGGGUGACCAUUCUAGUUUGGUGGAACAUCCAUGAAUGUUAUCGGUGGAACAUCCAUGAAUGUUAUCUUCUUGAUUUGGAGUAAGAACUUCAUUUUCUCAAUCGAAAUUGGCUGGAGCUUGCUGGUUCAGUUAGAGACAGAUUUGGUAAUGAAACUUGAGUGUGGGCAUCGGGUGAGGAAAAGGCUUUAUUACAUUUAUCUCUUUUUUUUAAUUGAAAAAUGUGAGUAAUUAUAAAAUGAACAGAAAAUGUCGCUUUUAAAAGCACCAAGGUUGAGGUUCUCCUACAAUGGCACUUAAAAAAGCGUCAUUAUUUGAAAUGCAUUGUACAAUGACGCUUUUAAAAGCGCCAAGGUUGAGGUUCUCCUACAAUGACACUUAAAAAAGCGUCAUUAUUUGAAAUUCAUUGUACAAUGACGCUUAAAAAAGUGCCAUUAUUUAAAAACGUCAUUAUUUCUCCCAUUAAAGCGCCAAGAUAAUGCAAGCGUCAUUAAUACCCAUUUUUGAGAAUAAAUAAUAGCACUUUAUAUAAGCGUCAAGAAAAAAAGCGUCAUAAAUUACAUUUUUUGUAGUAGUGACAAGAACUUGAUGGUCGCGGCAUUGUCGGCGACGCACGUGGCGGAAAGUCGACAGCCUGGACUAACUUUGAGAACCUUCGGCGAUGCCUCUCUCACCUCCGCUUUCUCCGUCAUAGUCUUCCUGAGGUGAAGAAGAAGAGCACAUGGCUGAAAGGCCCAAAGAGAAUGAGAAUGGAUUUGGGUUUUAGUAAGUUGGACCCAAAAGAGAAGCCCAAGUUUGUGAAGGCUUUAAUUGCCUUGGGCUUGCCCAUUGAUAUCUUUGGACCUGAGCUUGAAUUGGGGCACUAGGCCCAACUUGGUGAUGGAUUAUUGUAUUAGGUUUGCCCAAUGAAGACAUUGGACUUGGGCUUGAGUUGGAGCCCAAGCCCAGUUCGUGUGGAUGAUAGGCUCCAUGCCAAUCCUUCAAAUCAUUAUCCCAUAUUUAUUAUUUAUUCAAAGUCCAAUCUAUAAAAAAAGGUCACAUGUUUUAAUUUAAUUCUUCGAAUACUCUUUUAAAUCUCAUAUUUAUCAAUUAGAACUACUACCCUAUAUUCUCCUAUCUAUCUAUGUCAAUCCUUCAAAAAUCCUAAGAUUUAAUUUAAUUCUUGUUUAAAUCAUAUUUUCAUAAAUCAAAUCAUUAUCCCGUAUUUAUUAUUUAUUCAAAGUCCAAUCUAUAAAAAGGGUCACAUGUUUUAAUUUAAUUCUUUGAAUACUCUUUUAAAUCUCAUAUUUAUCAAUUAGAACUACUACCCUAUAUUCUCCUAUCCAUCUAUGUCAAUCCUUCAAAAAUCCAAAGUUUUAAUUUAAUUCUUGUUUAAAUCAUAUUCUCAUAAGUCAAAUCAUUAUCCUGUAUUUAUUAUUUAUUCAAAGUCCAAUCUAUAGAAAAAAGGUCACAUGUUUUAAUCUAAUUCUUCGAAUACUCUUUUAAAUCUCAUAUUUAUCAACUAGAAUUAUUAUCCUAUAUUCUCCUAUCUAUCUAUGCCUAUUCUUCAAAAACCUCACACUUUAAUUUAAUUCUUCAAGUACUUGUUUAAAUCUUAAUCUCAUAAAUCGAAUCAUCAUCCCGUAUUAUUAGUUGUUCAAAGUCUAAUCCAUUAAGAAAAUCCCAUGCCAUAAUUUAAUUCUUCAAAUACUCGUUUAAAUCUUAUGUCCAUCAAUGGGAAUUAUUAUCUUAUACAUUCAUUUAUUAUCUAGCCUAACCCUUCAAAAAUCCCAUGUUUUUUAAUUUACUUCUUCAAAUACUUGUUUAAAUCAUAUUUUCAUAAAUCGAAUUAUUAUCCCAUGUUUAUUUAGUUAUUCAAAGUCUAAUCCCUCAAAAAUCCCCUGUCUUAAUUUAGUUUCUCAGUAAUUCGUUGGAAUCUUGUUUUCAUCAAUUAUGAUUAUUAUCUCAUAUUCGUCUAUUUAUUUAAAAACUAGUUCUUCAAAAAUCUCAUGUCUUAAUUUAAUUUUUCAAUCCUAAAAAUUCUGCAAUUCAUCUAAAUUUUAUCCUCACUCAUUAGAAUCGUUAUUCCAUAUCUAUUCAAAGUCCAAUCUUUUGAAAACCCCCUGUCUUAAUUCAACUUUUGAUCCCAGAAAUGCCAUUAUUCGUCAAAAUUUUAUUCUUGUUAAUUAGGAUUCUUGUUCCGCAUCUAUUUAUUUAUAUAAGGUCCAAUUCUUGAAAAAUCUAAUUUCUGAAUUAAAACUUCAAUCCCAAAAAUUCUACUACCCAUCUUUAUUCGCCUAAAUAUUAUUCUCGUUAAUUAGUAUUAUAAUCUCAUACCUACCCAUUUAUUCAAAGCCUAAUCCUUUAAAAAUCCAAUGCCUUAAUUCAAAUUUUCAAUUAGAAAACUUCCACUAUUUUAUUCGUUCAAACAUUAUUUUUGUUAAUAAAUAUCAUUAUUCCAUAUUUGUUUAUUUAUUUAUUUCAAUCAUUAAAAUUCAACUCUUCAAAACCGGAUUUCCAAAUUUAACCUUUAGACUAAAAAACAAAAAAAUUCCACCAUUCACUUUUAUUAAUUUAAAUAUCAUCUUUGUUAUCGUUAUCAUAAAUUCCACGUUUACUUAUUUCUUUCUUCUAAAAAUUCCAAUAAUUAGAGUUUAAUUAUUCAGAGGUCCGACUUUCAAACUUAAUUCUCAAAAUCCCACUAUUCACUAUUCAUCCGUCCAAAUAUCGUUUUGAUUAAUUAGUAACAUUACUCCAUACUUACCCAUUUGUUUCUCUUAAAAAUCUCAAUCAUUAAAGUCUAAUUCUUCAAAUUCCGAUUUUUAAAUUUAGCUAUUUGAAAUUCCAAUUGUCCUAUCUCCGAACUUAAUUUUCAGUUUCCCAUGCUCCAAUUCCCGUAUUUAUCCCGCUACUUAUUAUUAUCAUUAUCACUAUCAUCUUAUUCAUUAUUUCUAUAAAUCCUACCUUCGAAUGAUUUCCAAGACCUCUAAUUUUUAUACAUCAACUUUCAUAAUUUCUACUUCUCAAAUAACUUACGAUUCUGAUCCCUUUCAAAAUUUAACUCCCAUAAUCCCAAUUUUUGUAACUUAGUUUUUCUUAAAAAUCCCGAACUUUCAAAUAAUUCUUCAAAAUCCCAAUUUUAUUUCAAAUUUAAUUUCUAAAAGUUCUCAUUCUUACAUCUAAUUCCUAAGAAUCCAAUUUUCAAAUAAUCUCUAAGAUUCCGAUUCUCAAAUGAAUUUCAAAAACCCAGUUUUCCUUCGAACAAUUUUAAUCCCUGUUUAGUGAUGCAUGUGAUAUGUUUUGUGCUCUAUAUGGUGUACUAACCCUCUCUAUUGAUAGCGCAUGGUGACUCGUUGCCCAGGUAUGUACCCAUUUUCCCUCUAAUCGUUGUCUAUGCAUGUCUCGAUUUUUAUGUGUGCAUGAUCAUUCAGAAUAUUCAUUGAUUUACUUAUCAAUUGCCACGUUAGCUUCAUUUUAUUAGUAGAGCCCCACUUUAGGGACUUAGAGGGGUGCUAUGGUCUUCACCGUACCUUCCCGAUAAGUAACCUGACCCCUAGCCCGAUCCGGUUUUUUAUAGAUCACCUUUUCCAAAAUAAGGAGUCGCACUUAGGGUUUUCUUUCUUAUUUUGUUUACCCUUUUUUUAAAAAUAAAACAAAAAUAAGUGGUGACUCCAAGUCAUUUUCUUAAUCAAUUAAAUUCUUUUGUUCAAAUUAAAAUCGAGCUCGCCAUCGAGUGGGAAACGCAUGAGCCGAAAUGUGGGGUCCACACUUGUACAUCCCAUAAAAUGACAUUAUGCUUUUAUCUAGAAGUAUUUGAUUUUAAUGUCAAUAAUUUAAAACCAUCCUUAAUAAUUAAUAAUAAAAUAAUAUAUAAUUAUAAAAAAAAUAAAUUUUUUAAAUUAAAAUCAUUUAUUUUGUUUUUAACUUUUACUUUAUAUAUAAAAGAAAUAAAAAAAAUUGAAUUUGGUUUGUAUUGAUUAUACAAAAUAUAAAAAUAGAUUUAUCAUGUACAACCAUAACAUUGUUAGUCUUCUUAUGAAAGCCUAAAAAUAAAUCCAAAUUCUAAAUGCAUAAGAUUAAAAGAAAAAAAACAAAAAAACAAAAAAAAAGCAUGAAAACAUUUGAGAACCAUAGUAUAAGUCUUCAUCAUACAAAAACAUAAAAUUUAAUCCUAAUUGUAAAUGUAUAAGAUAAAAAAAAUAAAAAUCAUACUUUUUUAAUAAUAUUAUAUUUUACUUUUAAUAUGUAUAUGAAUUUAUAAUAUAAUAAUUAACAUUUUAAUAAUAAUUUUCUUCGAUUCUUCUUCUUUUUUCUUUUUGUUAAUUUUCUUCUUAAUAUUUUUUAGAGAUAUACAAAGGCUAUGGAUCACUUCAAAGAAAAUAUAUAUUUUCAUAAAUUAUAUUAGUAAUUAUUAUAAUUCUAAAUAUAAUCUAUUAUAACAUUUUUUUCUUUUUAAAACACCAUAUAUUUAUAAGACCAAAAGAGAUUGGUUUCUUUAUAUUUAUCUUAUUUAAAAUAUAAAAUAUUUAAUCAAGUAUUUUUUAAGUAAUCUUGAAAUUUUUUUAAAAGAAUAAAAUCUCAAAAUAAAAACUUGUCCUAAAACUUGUUGUUUUAUACUUGGAAACUUUAAACCAAUUAUCAAAGUUUUAAAUAAUUAAUCUUUUAUAACAUUUUUACUUCUUAUAUAAAACACUAGAUAUCUAUAAAACUAGAAGAAAUUGAUUUCUUUAUAUUUAUCUUAUUUAAAAUUAAAUAAUAUUUAAUUAAGCAUUUAUGAAGUAAUCUUCAAAAUUUUGAAAAUAAUAAAAAUUAAAAAUAAAAAACUAUCCCAAAAUUUUUUACUUCAGAAUUGGAAAAUAUUUAAAGAAUUGGUAAGUAAUAUUGUAAAAUAUUAAAUGGAAACAAAAAUAAAAAAAGAAAUCAAAAUAAAAAGUUUUCCUAAACUCUCCACAAAAAUCCUCUAUUCUGUUUCUCCUUAAAUAGCAUCUCCAUUAUUUCAAGCCCAUCACCAUAUUCAUUGUCCAUCACCACAGACUGCCAUCAACUACUGUUGUUGAGCAUGGACUACUGUUGUUGCUGACCAUGGACUGUUAUGGAAUACUACUAUUGCUGAUUGUGGACUGUUGUUGUUGCUGACCUUGGACUGCUUCUAUUGAUCGCUUGUUAUCGUGGUCCCAUGGUGCUUUACAACAUUGCAAAAAAAGCAAAUCAGGUAUGUUAUCACCACUUUAUAUUUUUAUUUUAUUUAUUUUUAGAAUUUCUUGCUUAUUAAUUAAUUAGAUACAGAAAAAUAUUCUAUGAGCUUUUGAUUUUUACCUUUUCUUGAAUAAAUACUUUGUUGUGUUUUGAGUUAUGUAAUAGGAGUUGUUUGUGGCCUAUUAUUAAUGAAUUCAUCAAUGCUGUUAUCAACUUACCACCAAUUAUUCAGCCCUAACCAAUAUUUAAGAGAGUGAGAUCUUGAUUAUACAUCAUAAUAUCUAUCAUUAAAGUUGUUACAUACACACAAAUUUAUAUAUUAUUCUUUUAAGGGAAUUCAAUUAGCGAAAAUGAAAUAAAGAAAAUUAAAUUAAUAUCAUGUGUGAAAUAUUUUUUUUUUAUAUGGUUAUAGAUGAAAUGAAAAAUAUAAAGUUUUGUUAUUUUAUUAUUGUAGUUAUAGUUCAAUAUAUAAGCUCAUAGAAAAAUAUUCUAUGAGCUUUUGAUUUUACCUUUUCUUGAACGAAUACUUUGUUGUGUUUUGAGUUAUGUAAUAAAAGUUGUUUGUGGCCUAUUAUAAAAGAAUUCAUAAAUGCUGUUAUCAACUUACCACCAAUUAUUCAACCCUAACCAAUAUUUAAGAGAGUGAGAUCUUGAUUAUACAUCAUAAUAUCUAUCAUUAAAGUUGUUACAUACACACAAAUUUAUAUAUUAUUCUUUUAAGGGAAUUCAAUUAGCGAAAAUGAAAUAAAGAAAAUUAAAUUAAUAUCAUUUGUGUGAUAUAUUUUUUUUAUAUGGUUAUAGAUGAAAUGAAAAAUAUAAAGUUUUGUUAUUUUAUUAUUGUAGUUACAGUUCAAUAUAUAAGUAUAUUUAGAAACCCACUUUAUAAGUUAUUUAAAACAUUAAACCAAUUUUCCAUUAGAAUUGGUAAUAAGCGUAAAGAAUGAAUAAAGUAAAAAGUGUAAAUAAGGAAUAGGGUUGUUCGAAAUAUGCAUAUAAAAACAUUAGUAGGUCAAAAUAUAUGACCAACCAUGACUAGCUAUCCUUUUAUGUAAGUUAAUUUAUUUAUCUUGGAUAUUGAGCCAAUUGUCAAGGAAAAUAUAAAAUAUUUAUAUUUAGUUAUAAAGUAGUAAAUAAUGAAAUUCAUAUUUUAAGAUUGGAGUAAAAUGAAAUUUGUAUCAUUUUUACCUCAACUAUAUUGUUUUGAUAUUUAUAUUAAAUAUUGACACUAAUUUUGAAAAUUGUGGAUUUGAGAAAAAAAACUUCACUUUUUCAAAGAGGUUAUUUGUAUCAAAUUACAAUAAAAAACUAUUUAAUUAUUAUUUAUAGGCAUAAAAAAAAAUAUUUAUUGAAUAAAAAUUAAUUUAUCACCAGCUUGUUUGGCAUUUUAAUGCUCCUAUAAUUUGGGCUUGACAAAAAUUUACCUUUUAUUCCUUGUUUUAUAUAUACGUUUUUUUAUUUAUGUAUUGAUUUUUAUGAGAAAAUAAUUCAUAGACAUAUUUCCUACUUAUAAAUUCAAGAUAUAUAACAUAGAUUCAUAGUAUAGUUUAGACAUUUCAAAAGUUAAGAUUGGGGUAAAAUAAAGUUUUGUAUCAUUUGUACCUCAACUAUAUUAUUUUGACAUUUAUAUUAAAUAUUGACACUAAUUUUGAAAAUUAUAGAUUUGAGGAAAAAACUUCACUUUUUCAAAUAGGUUAUUUGUAUCAAAUUACAAUAAGAAACUAUUUAAUUAUUAUUUAUUGGCAUAAAAAAAAUAUAUUUAUUGAAUAAAAAUUAAUUUAUCACUAGCUUGUUUGGCAUUUUAACACUCCUUUAAUUUGGGCUUGACAAAAAUUUACGUUUUACUCCUUAUUAUAUAUAUAUAUUUAUGUAUAUAUAUUUAUUUAUGUAUUGAUUUCUAUGAGAAAAUAAUUCAUAAAUAUAUUUAUUUAUUUAUGAUUUUAAUUUAAAAUUUUUAUUUCUUUUAUAAUUAUAUAUUAUUUUAUUAUUAAUUAUUAAGGAUAGUUUAAAAUAUUGACAUUAAAAUCAAAUACUUCUAGAUAAAAGCAUAAUGUCAUUUUAUGGGAUGUACAAGAUUACGUAAAUAAUAGAUGCUUAUACUAUUAUAGAAUUAACUAAAACUUUUAUAAAAAUCUUUAUAAAGGAUUAAUUUUAAAAAAUAUAAAUUUAUUGUCUUAUAUAGUUAACAUUAGAAUUUUCUCUCUCUAAAGAAUAACCAUAAGAAAUAUCUAUAAAAAAUUAAGUAAAUGAGAUGAUUUUAUAGAAAAGAUGAGAUUGGUAAAACAUUAUAUUGUUAAAUUAUUAAAAGAGAAAUGAGUUUUUUUUUUUAUUUUUAUUUUUAUCAACUUUAAGUCAUAUAUAAAUUUUUAUAUUUCUUUUAAAAAAAUCAAUUAGAAAAUUAAGAAAAAAGAAGAAGAAUUGAAAUAAAUUAUUAUUAAAAUGUCACUAUCUUAUAAAUUCAUAUAUGAAUUAUAAUAAAAAUAUAAUAUUAUGAAAAAAUCAAUGUAAGUUACUAUUAAAAUUUUAUUAUCUUUUACAUUUAGAGUUUGGAUUCAUUUUUUCACUUUAAUACGAAGAAGACUAAUAGAGUUAUGGUUGUCAAACCCCUUUUUAUAUUUUUGUAUAAUCAAUUUAAUCCAAAUUUGACUUUUAUAGAUAUAUAAAAUAAAAAUUUAUAUACAAAAUAAGUUAUUUUAAUGUAAUAUUUUUUUAAUUUUUUUUAUACUUUAAUUUAGAAUAUUGACAUUGAAAUAAAUUACUUACAAAUAAAGACAUGAGAUGAUUUUAUGGGAACAACAAAAGUAGGUAAGUAAUAAAUGUUUAUACUAUUAACUAAAAUUAUUUUAUUUGUACAUUCGCAAUUUGGAUUGAUUUUUAUCCUUAAAUAACAUAAGGAGGAAGACUAAUAAAACUAGGGUUAUCACGGUAACUAAAUUUUUUAUUUUUGCAUCAUAUAAUCAAUUUAACAUCGAUGGUAAGAGUGGUAGGAAUGAUGGCUUCAGCAUCAGCAUCAAUCCAGAAGUCUAAAUCUCAGUAAGAGUGACAGCGAUGAUGGCUUCAACAUCAAUAGUGGCAAUCUACCCUCCUACUAAAACUCCACCAUGACUCGAUUAGUAACACCAUCAAGAGUAGUAACAUGAUCUUCAGUAGCUAGCUACACAAGCAAUUUCCAUUGAUUGAGCCUUUUCACCCUUCAUCACUUCUGUCUUAUCAACUACCUGAUGAUCUUUAGGUCCAAGCAUUGACUCCCAAUGAGAAGAAUCUGAGUCUACCUCAAUAAUAAUAACUGAGUCAACUUCCUUUGCAUGCUGCUCUUGCUCUCUAGUCUAAUUAGUACCUUCUUGAUGCUCUUCCUCUUCUCAUCUUCUUCUUCAGCUUCUUCCUUAGCUUGCACCUCAUUAACAUCAGCAGUAACAACAUCUGGAAUUCCCCCCACCUGAAGGUCUAUAUCAAAUGAAGGAACCUCAUGUCCUUUCCUUUAGCGAUAAGAGCUUCACACAGUCAGUUAACAGCUCUAUGGCCUGUCCAUCCUUUGCAUAAAUUGGAGCUUUACUUACAUAAAAUAUGGAAUAUCUCCUGAAGAUAAAGUGGGGACAGUAGAAAUAGUCGAAGGACCUUGUGUAGAACUUGUGACUAAAGGUACAUGAGCAACUGCCUCUUCAACUAUUCUGACCAUCUGCCUCAUCCUUUUCUUUGUACUUCUUUCCAUGAAAAUUCUGUAAAAUUUCCAAGCUUCCACUUUGUAAAAUUUUGUAGCGUCAUAUUUUUCCUCAUUCCCACUGAAUUUAAAACUCUUUCUAAUUGAAUAGCCAGUGAAAAACUUGGACAAUGCCAAUGCAUACUUCUUGCUGUGAGAAGUCUUGUUUUCAUUCACUUUUUCCACAAUAUAUAAAAACGUAUCCACCAUCAAUACAUGAGAUCACCAUCCCCCCUUACAUAAACAAUACAAUUCCUCUAAAGGAAAACCUCUCCUUUCUGUGACAUGUCUAUAAGGAGAGAAAUUGGUUCUAUACACCUGAUCCACAAACCAUAGCUCCUGUGAUGCCUCUAGUCUUCUGGCAGUUGUGGGAGAGCUAAAACCACAAGGCACUGAAGUGGCCACCAUCCUCUGGGAAGUAGGGUUAGUGUAAGGUAGAAAAUUUCCUCCUUAAGAUGGCAUUGUAGGCAACCCAAAAGCCUAUGCCAAAGAUUUUUCAGUGAUCAUCCCCUCUCUUUCAUUAAUGGAAAAAUGUAACACAGAUUUUCCAGGGGCUCUCCUCUCAAAGAUAGCAUAAAAAUCUCUCACCACAAUAGGAUAAACAUAAUCUAUGGAAUACACCAUAGGCUCUAUCCCAUAUCUCCUCAUUAGCUCCAUUGAACUCAUUGUCUCUGGAAAAGUAAUGUAUUCAUCAGGCACCAAAUAAUCACUGUCUGCCAAUAAGAAUGCAUUCCGGUUUCCUUUAGACUGGUAACUACAGCUUUUCCCUUCUUUUUUUCUGUCAAUUUCUUUGGCUAAACUUUUUCUAUUUCUUUAUCCUUCUUCUCAUCUCUUUUAGCUUUCUUUAUAGCUUCCUCUGGAGUCAUUUCAGUUCCAGGCUCUUUCUUCUGUCUGUUCAUAGUCUCUUUAUUUGGCUUCUUACUUGGUGUGGUUACUGCCACAUUCUUCUCCAUAGGAGACUUCCCUUUCAAAGGAGAUUUAUCCUCAGAUUGCACCUCUUUUUCUUUCCACUUUUUAUUCUUCACAGCUUGUAGUGAUUGUUCACUAGCUAUCAUCAGUCUAGGUGAUCCAUCAAUAAUGAUUCUUCCUAUCUGCUCAAUGACAGGUUGUACAUCAAUCCUUUUCAUAGUUGGGGCAUCUAAAUCUGAAUCAGUGGAUUCAGAUUCGUAGACCAUUAGUGCCUAACCCUUAUCUUUAUCCUUUUUUUCAUUCUGCAUUUUCAGAGUGCAAACAAAAAUCCGAAAACAUAUUACAAACAAGCUUGACAUUUCCAAAAACAGUAUAUAUUCAUUCAGAGUCAACAGAUAUUCAUAGAAAAUAAUUAAGGCAUAUUAAUGAAGAAAGGAUACAAAUGGCAGAGUUCAUCCAAACAUUCAUUCAAAGACGCAAAAUCUAUCCAGAAGGAUCAUUGCACAUGCAUAUGUUAACUUUGAUAUAUCCAUGUACAGAUUCUCAAACAAACAUCUGUUAUAGUAAAUAUAAGGGGUGCAAGUUAAAAACACUCCAAAAUUCAAUUUUAAGCACUGCAAGAUGACAAGUAGGAAAAAGCGCGACUAUAAUAUUUAGGUACAAAUCAAGUAGACAGCAGCACAUAGUAACUAUAAGGGGUGCAAAUAAAUCCUAUAGUUGCAGCCACGUGUAAACAUGGGACUAGAGGGUGUGAAACUGUAGCUGCGACCAUGUAUUUUCUUCUACUAAAGGUUCUAUUAGCUGCAGCUUCUCGUGGCCAUGACUACAAGGGUGUGAUGAAUAGGAAACUUAAAAAUAUAUUGUUUAUACACACGUGAUUUGAAAUUCAUUUCUAUGGUGAAAAAAUUUAUUAAAAUAUAAUUAUGUGAAGAAAAGAAACAAUAGUAAUUGUGAACCCAUUUUUAUUUAUAAAUUUCUGUUAUUAAUUAGUUCACUAUUUGAGUUUCAAACUAUUAUUUAAAGAAUACUAGACUCGUUAAUAAAUUCAAUGCAUGAAGUUUUGUUUUAUUUAAAGUUUAUUUAUCUAGUGAAAAAAAAAAAUUUUAAAUUGGUUUUAUGUAUAAGAAAAAAAAUAGUCAUUUUUGACAAUUUUUUGUCAAAAAAUUUCUAAUAUUAAUUUGAUCACUAUUUGAGUUUCAAGUUAUUUAUAAAAAUUAUUAGUUAUUAGCAAAUCUAAGCAUCAAGUCUUGCUUGAUUUGGACUUUAUUUGGGUAGUGAAUUUUUUUUUUUUUGCAAAAAUAUGAUUAUAUGUAAAGAAGAAACUAGUCCAAGUCAUUCAAAAUAAAUCCUAAUUUAUGACUUUAUAAUGUUAUUGGGUUCCAUGAUUAGUAAUUAAAUUGGGUUUUAACUUUCAAAUUAUUUUUACAAAUUAAUAAAUUUUAUAUAUAAAGUGUAAUUUGAUUUUGAAUUUAUUUAUUUAAUGGAAAGUUUUUAUUAAGGUAAAGGAAAUGUUGAAGGAGUCAAUGUUUUUGUUAUGGAUCUGUUGGGUUGUCCUAGUCUCAAGGUUAUCUAUUUUUUUGUUCUUUUGAUUUGUUGCAAAACAUGGUUGAAUUUACGUAGUUUAUAGGAGUUAGUCUUUACAUGGUUCAUGGUCUUAGCUAGUGGUUAAAAGUAGUGGAUUAGAGGUCUUUAUUUUCUUAGCAAUUUCCCAUUGGUGUACUGCCUCUUUAAAAGGCUAUUUGGUUGAUGAGAGAAGAUCAUCAAAAGUAAUUUUCUCUUCCAACUUUUCUAUACAUUUUUUAGCUUAAUCAAUUUUUUGUACUCUUCCAAGAUUUUUCCUCUACUUGUAAUAGUGGUAUCAGAGCUGGUUGAAAAUUGAGAAAGUGAGAAAAGUUAAGAGCCAAAAUAAAAAGAAAGGACGUGAGAUAAAGAGAAUUUUAGUAGCAGUUCUUAUUUCACUUUAUUUUGUUUUUGCAACAGCAACAGUAAGGGAUAGCCUCUAAAAACUUUGUCUAACUUAUAAUCCCAUACUUUGAUGGUCACUAUAUAUGACCAUUGGAGCAUGUUGAUGGAGAAAUCCUUUAAGGUCUAAGGAGUAUUGGCAGGUUGUCUUUGACAGAGUAGCAGAAUCGACAAAUAAUUUGUAGAUAGAGUACACGGACUUUUCAAGGCUUGAGCACUUGUCCUAAGGGGGUCAUGGUAUGUUUGUCUUCAAACCCUAGUGCCCAUGACCAACUAAUUGGUACUCAUAUAUUGACAUUGUGCUUGUUAUAAAAGCUAAGAACCAGUUAGCACUCUGAGGAAAUAAAAAUCUAAGAAAUUGUACCUUGUUCUAAAGAGAUUGGGGAGAAACCUUAAAGGGUAAGUGGCCUUUCAUCAUCCUCAAUACCUAGUGUCUUGGGAAGAAUCUUAGGAGUUGUCAAUUGAUCUUUACUAAGCUACAUAGAAGGAGCUUUCCUAGGAUGGACAUGUGAAAUAAAAAAAGAAAAAAGAAAAUAGAUAUGAAAAACAAUGGAAUGAAAAAGCAGAAAAUGAGAUAAAAUGGCGCUCUUCCAAAACUAGUCAUGAACAGUUUAUCUUAGGUAGAGGAAGGAAAUUCUUAAAAUAGGUGCUCCAUGAGGAUGCUCUUAAGCUAACAUUUGAGUUUUGUUAGGAAAUCACUUGUGAAGUUGAUGUCGAAGAGACUAAUGGAUUCUAAACAUUGAGGCAUGCUUUUGUAUACAUUUAUAUGGUGAGUGAAUCUUUUUGGAGUUAUGCUAUUUGACUAUGAGCUUAUUCUUGAAGGGAUAAUAUGUUUUCAGUAACUGAAUUUAUUGAAGCUAAUUCAUGCUAUUUAGUAGUUGUUGUCUUAAUUGCUUAGGAGUUUUACUCUUUAUUUAUUUCUAGAGACCAACAAAAUUUAGGUUGGGGAGGAAAUGAUUUGUGCUUUAAGUCAUGGGUUUUUUCUAUUCCCUAAAUGGUAGAUUCUAUAAUGAAAAAGAACGUAAACUACUCUCUUCAGUUUAUAUAUAUGCUAGUACCUAACUGGUCUGAGUUCUUCAAUUUCAUGUCCAAUGGAGAAAUUAAAGUUAAGGUCAAUCUCAGGAGAUUAAUAAUUGGCUCUGGUUUCAGAGAUAUGAAUAUGCUCUAGCUUGACAUUCUUGAAGUGGAUUAGCAGAGUGGGAUUCUCUACUCAGCUGAUUGCCUUUUCACUGAGUUCCAAGGAUCAAUAGGAGAUCGUGGAUUUGUUGACAUUCUCAUUCUGAGAGCAACUGCAUCAGUAUCAUACAUGUUUGCCAGUUGGCAAUAUAAAAUUGGUAUUUUGGUUCAUAUUUUCUACAACCUGAAAGCCACUAUCACUACCACCAACUAUAUGAAUAGGCAUCAAUUCUUCAGGACGAUGAAGAAGGUAGAGCAUAUCACUAGCUCAAAUGGAGGAAUGUGGUCCCAUAAUUCUUUAGGAAAUAAGUAUCUAGAAACAGGUAAAAAGAACCAAGAAUCUUGAAAGACUUCUUUCAUCUUGUUCAUGUUGCCUAAAGGACAACCUGUGGGCCUUUGAAUUAUGUAUUGAAACUAUCAAGUCAACUGGAAUAGAUUCAUUUCUGAAGCUGCAGGGUUUAUGGUCAACCAUAUACCAAACCCAAAGUUCUUCAGUAGUCUAUUGAGAAAAUCCCAUUUGGAACCUAACCAUGAGAAAGUCCCAGGUUUGUUUAAGGCUGGGCUGAACCUAUGUGCAACCUUCUGUCUUCUGGGACCUUCUCUAACUAUAGUUUCAUCAACACAACACAGCUAGCCUUGUCCCAGCUACUAAGGCUGGGUAAAACUAUUCUGAAUUAUUGUUCCAUGCAUAUCUUGUUUGUGAAUGAUCUCCACUAGGAUCGACUCUUAAGUAUGUACCGAUCAAGAAUCAAAUCUUGUUUGUGAAUUAUUGCUCCAUACAUUCGCCUGACCGUUGGAUGGGUGAAGAGGCAAUGCAGAUACUUGUCCUAUAUUCCCAUAGGUAUCAAACUUCAGUGCAGUAGUUGACACAUUGACUACCUUUCUGAGGUUAGGACAAGAUAAACUCAUUAGUGGAUGGAGAAUAGAAGACCAUAUACUAAUUUAUGUGGUUCAGAAUUUGAAUAAAGAUCAUGAUAAUAAGUGCGAGAUUCGCGCAUCUUUGGAGUGUUUCAAGUUGCAGCUAGAUUGCCUAUAUAAAGAGCAUGGAGGUUUAUAAUUUCCAGUAUCAGCAACAAAGAGCAGGUGUGAAUUAUAGAGAGUAAAUAGGGAAGUUGUCAACCUCCCUCAAAGGCUUCCAAUUUUCCUGGCUAAUUAUCAAGGUAAGAAAGUUGGAAGCCGGUGGGGGACCUUGAAAGCUUACCCCAGAAUCAAUAUUACUCAUCUGGUUAUUUGGUAUCAGUUUCCCUGAUCAUUAGGAAGACAGUAAGAUUGAUUUCAGGUGAGAUGUUUCCCCUUCUUCUCAAAAAAACUGCAAACUUUUUAGAGAUUUAUGCUUAUGGUAUUUUAAGAUCCCGUUUGAUAGUAAUUUUAAGAAGUGUUUAUAAUAUUUUUAACACUUAAAAAUUAGUAUCAUUCAAGUGUGAGAAAGGUUAAAAACGUUUUCUAAAAUCACUAUCAAACGCAAUUAAUCUAAAUCAUUUAUUAGAAAAUAGAUUUGGGAUAAGGUGGAAAACUCUUAGUACCACAUUAUUACCAAUCUUAUUUCAUUGCUCCUUUCACCCACACCCUCAAGAGUGUCAUCACUAGUUAUAGGGCAUUUUUAUCCUAUCAACUAAUGAUCAGGGUUUAUGAAGCAUUUUAAACACUGCCUUAUUAUGCAAUUAUUUAGAACCAUACCUUCUAUGGAUGAUCCCACAAUUUUGAUAGGGUGUUGUUUGGUUUUUGGGGUAAGUGAGGAGAGAAAAAAAUAAAUUAAAUUUUGGAGUUUAUGUUCUUACAUUUGGCAUUAUGUUUUAAUUGGUAUUAUUAAUAGAAAAAUAUUUAAGGACAUAUAGUGGAAUUUGAUUAGUUGUUUGUUUGAUCUAUGGGAGAAACGAGGAGAUAAGAAAAUAAAAUUAGAUUUUGGGGUAUAUUCUUAUUCUUACAUUUCGCAUGAAAGUAUAAUUUUUUUUCUUCUCUAGUUUCUCCAUGUUUGAAAUUGGUGUUUUAUUAGAAAAAAUGAAUUUAAGUUGAGUUUUGACCAAUUGUUGUUUGAUUUCUAGGAAAGGGAGGGAGACUAGAAGAAAGAAGGAUUUUGAAGCUUUCAUUUUAAGUAAUGCUAAUUUUACAUUUUUUAGGCAAACAAAGAAUUUCUAUAGGUGAUAUAAAUUCCUUAUUUGGUUGCUGAGAAAACAGAGGGAAGGAAGAAACAACAUAUAUACAUUUUGGAGCUUAUUUUCUUGUCCUAUUCUUGUUCUUACAUUUUCCAAGCAAGCAAAAAGGGUGUAUUUUUAUCUGGGCAAUAGAAGUUCAUCCUUUUUGUUUUUUUUUUAAUGUUUAUUUUGUUGUAACAAGUUCAACUGGAGUUAAAAAGGAGGUGUUUUGUGUGCAAUCCUGCACAUGUUUUGAGCUCUCUAAGAAUUUUGUGGCCUCUUUGUGCGAUUAGUAUUGGAAAUGAGUUAAUUAUAUUAUGCUUUGUUUGGAUGGGGAAAACUACAAGAGAAACAAAGCAAAUAUUUUCCUGAGUUCUAGGGCUUGUUUGUUGUCUUAGUUUUCAAAAGAUGAGAAGUUUUUCCUUCCUUGACUAAGGUGUUUGUUUUGAUAAUCAUAAGUGUUGAACUUUUUUUCUUUUGUUUUUUUAUCAGGUUUUGCAAGUUGAGGGAUUUCUCAUUCUUUUCUUGUAAUCUCUUAUUUUUAAAGAAUAUGUUUUUGUUUUUGAUAAAAAGUUCAUAAUUGUUGAAAAAAAAUGUGAAAAUCCCUACAAUCCAUUUAGUGCAUUUGAUCUAUGUAAAUAGAUUUAAUAGCUCCUUUUUCCUUUGAAAGCUCAAACUCUAGUGUCUCUUCUUAAGAUUUUUCCUUUUUAUUAUUUAAACUUCUCUUUUUUAAAUUAUUUAUACAUUUACAAUAUCAAGUUAGUUGAACAAAACAUUCAAUUUUUCUAUAACUCAACCAAACAUGUUUUUGUUGUUUUCGAGAACAAAAACUAUUUUCCAUAAUUUAGUUCCUAAACACAACUUUUUUUUUUUUUUUUUUUCUGAAAACACAAAAAACUGUUCUUAAAAACUAUUUUUCAUAAUAGUUUUCAAAGACACCAAUCAAACAAACCCUAAUAUUUUGACUUUAAGCAAGAAGAGUACCAAUCUCCACAUUUUGUAAUUUAAUAUCUAGGAGUUGCUAGAAACUUUUGCUCUGAUAUUUACAAUCAACCCUUGAGAAAUUGAGAUCUAUUUGGUUACCACAUGACUCAGGAGGUUUAUUAGGAUUUGGAUUAAGGUUGUUAUGGUUGAUAGCAUUGACUUAUCCUCAUGCAUAAUUGGCUUUGCUUGCAUCUAUUGACUUAUUGUCAUACAUAAUUGCCUUUGUUUGCUAGAAAAUUUUGCUGUAAUAUUUAUAAUCAACCAGUGAGAAAUUGAGAUCUAUUUGGUUACAUGUCUCUGGAAGUUUAUUAGGAAUGGGAUUAAAGUUGCUAUAGUUAAUAACAUUGACUUAUCCUCAUGCAUAAUUGGCUUUGCUUGCUAAACACUUUUGCUCUGAUAUUUAUAAUUAAUCCUUGAGAAAUUGAGAUCUAUUUGGUUACCACAUGGCUCAGGAGGUUUAUUUGGAAUUGGAUUAAAGUUGCUAUAACUGAUAACAUUGACUUAUCCUCAUGCAUAAUUAGCUUUGCUUGCAUCUAAUUUUUGUAAGUUAAAUAUUUUUUCAUGUUGAAAAGUUGGGUGCAUAGUUGCCUUUCAAAUAUAUUUGAAUAAAUAAAAAAUUUGAUAAAGCUAGAAAGGGUAGGCAAAAGGAAAUAAGAGGUUAUAUAAUACACCAUGGAAUAAUUAAAAUAUUCAAUAAAAUAUUUUUUUAAAUCCCCAAAUUUAGGUUUCAUAUCCACAUGGAAAGUUGUCAGAAACAACUUUAAUGUAAAAAAAAUUUAAGAAAAAUUACAAAAAAUUAUGUAAAUGUGAAAUGGAAUAGUUAUUUUAAAAAUAUGUUUACUACAAAUGGAGUUAGAAAGAAAAAUUAUUGUAGUUACAACAAUAAAUUGCUAUCAGGUUUUUAAAAAACUCAAAUUAUUAGGAUAUAAAUCAAACAAAAACAUAGUGAAUGAGGACAAAAAUUACAUAUUUAGUUAUAUUCAUUAUACUCAAAUAUAUCAAUAAAUUGUUUAAUAUUAAAAAUUUCUAUUUAUUAUUUAAGAAUACAAAAUAAUAUUUGAGUUGAAAGAAGAUUUUUGUAUUUCUUUUCUUUUUAUCUCAUUUAUGUAGAAUAAAAAUGGUAAACCUUACAGUGGGGGCUACUUGUGGCAUGUCUCAUAAAGUUGUUAUCUAUAUUUUUUUUCUCUCUUGGUUUGUUGAGGAGAAAGGACUAUAUCUAGUAUUGCAUCCCUAUCUAAUAGGAAUAAUAAACUUCCUUUACCCAUAUUGAAAAUCAAUCAAAUUUGAUGACUGUUUGAGAAUCAUAUAUAUAUUAAACAAUAUGAAAAACCAUAAAUGUAGGUGAAAGUAGGCCAAGAAGGUGAUGACCUAUAUAUGACCACAAAGACAAUAUAAUUAUUUUGCAAUUUUUAAUAAUAACACAAUUCCACCACAACUUGAAAUUAUUAUACAAGAGAGACCAACUUUACUAUAAAAUUAUAGAGAAGCAAAUUGGAAAAUGUGUACACAGCCACAUCUAAUCAACAUGAAGCAUUUUUUUUAUUGGAAACUAAUAGUCAAUUAUGAGUAGAAAUUUUAAUUUAUUAACUUACUAGUUGUAACUACUUUUCUUGUUAAAAUUUAAGUUUGGGAUUAUGAGUGCUUGUGGGUUGUUAUAAUGUUGGCAUAUAAAUGCUAGAUUCUUGUUUGAAACUUAAUAUUAUUUGUUGUGUUGUGACAAAUUUGCAGAUGAAAGUUUCCUUACACUAAAACUAAAUUUGGUUAAAUUUGAAAUUCAAAAUUUAAAUUACUUAUAUAUUACAUUUAUAAUUUGAAAAAUGUCUUAAAAAUGUAAGAUAUCUUACGAAAAUGUUGAUAGAAAUUUUGAUUUACUAACUUAUUAGGUUUUAUUUAUUUUUUUUAAAAAAUGGUUUUGUUUUAUUGUUCUUUUUCAUUCAUAUAUAGAAGAAGAUACUAGAGCACCAACACAAACCAAUAGAAAAGGAAGUUGUGAUCAUGACUGAGUUAGAAAUUUGUGAGAAAAGUGACCAAUUGGAGACCGUCCGUACUACAACAGUAAGAUCUACAACAUCAACAACCUUGCAUCAUCUAUGAUUAGACUAAGGGCCUUGAUUAUGCAUAUAAUGGAUCUUCCUUACCUUUUCUGUCUAUGUUGAUAUGGUUAUUUUGGGAUGGCAUUUUAUUAACCUAAUAUUUUAUUUUAUUAACAUACACAUUCUAAUCUUAUAAUCAUUUAAUAUUGUUACAUAUAUUAUCAACGAAGGUAUACAAUACAUAUUUUGAUUUUUGUAAGCAUAUUUUUUAAUGAAAAUUUUCAUUACAAUGUAUUAAUUGGGUACAAAUAGUACUAAAAAUAUAUAUAAUUACACUAUUGAAAUGAAGUAAUCCAAGUAUUCCAACAACUCCCCACUAACUUGCAAGGGCAUGAUAUGAGAUUUUAUUGAAUCCUAUUUAAACCUAUUACUUGUGGCCUUAAAGUUUUCUCAUUAAUUGUUCUUCUAAUUUUUUUAAUUUCCUUUUAUCACAAGGAUAUUGUUUGAAUGCUGCCAAAGCGGGAUAUGAUGUCUUGUUUCCUUUUGUAUGGUGUUGACCUAAUGUGAUCUCUAUUUCACAAGAUUAGAAGAAUGAUUAAAAUGUAUGCUGUUUUUCUCUUGCUUCACUUUUAAUGUGUAGCCUAUAUUGUACUCAAUCUUAGGUGGUGUUUGUUUUUUUACUUAAUUCUAAAUAGAACCUUAAUGCUUAAUAGUGUUAAAUAUUAGGUUGUUUGUUUUUAUAGUAUUUUAUUUCUAUUAAGUAUUAAAAAGUAAAAAAAAAACCAAUAUGUUAUUUUUUCUAUUUAGAAAAAACUACAUAUUUUGGCUUUUUCUAUUUAGUAAAAAGUUUAUAUUAAGUCAUGAAAAAGUAGAAAAACAAAUAAUCUAAAUUCUGAAAACAAAUUGCUUUCAGCAAAAAGCCAAAAAAACAAACACCACCUUAAUGUAAAUCUCAACCAUCAAUACAUCAUUUUAAUUUGUUAGAUAGGUUCAUGAAAAUUUCAUACGAGUUGCUAAUACUAUCGAUAUCUCUUGUACUCAUUUCAAUAUUCUUCAAUUUCUUUAUAAUUGGAUUCCAUUAAUAUACUCAGUAAGUCAUCAUUGACAGUUUCACCCACCUUCAUAGCUUUCUCUCUUUGGUCAAUAAUACCCCUUAACAAUUCUUGUAUCUCUUCGUCAGCUUUCUUUAUUCUUUUGUUUCCUUUCUUUUCGUAAAAAUCUACAUGUAAACAGUCUUGGUUGUAAAUGUCAUGACAUUAAAUAAUAAGAAAAGAUAACUGGAAAGAAAAUUUAUGGUAGUUGUUUAUCCAUUGCUUUAAUUUCUUCUUUUUUUUUCCUCAAUUUUCUUGGAAAUUUCAGGAAGCUUUAAAUUUGUUGAAACAUUUUAUGCUCACCACAACCCUGGGAUGUAAACUAUCAAAAAAAUCUUGAUGGUAAGCUAUGCUAGUUCUUCUUGGAGUAGUAAUAUCCUUCUUCCUUCUUCAUAGCUACUACCAAAUGUUGUUCAAGAAAUGAUAUGACCUUCCAAAUUUUGAAUAUGGAGCCAUACAUUCAAUUAACUUACCUGAACCUUUUGUGGAGACAAUCUCCCAUUUUCUUAUCGUAUUGCUAAAGCUUAAAAGAAAUGUAGGUAAAUAACAGUAAAAAAAAUAUUUAGCACCCAUAUUUUCAUGGUUGGAGGACCAGUCACUGCACAUUUGAAAUAAACAUCUUUAUCUAUGCAAUAUAACUUCCAAACAAUUUUCUUUUUAAAUAGCAUAAAAUAUAAUGUAUAUGAUUAAAAUUAAGAUGGAUAAGAAAACUAAAGAUGAAACUAAAAAGAUUAUAUAAUUUGAACUCUAUCUAUUAGGAUCUCCUUACAAGUAGGCUAAAAGGAAAAAAAAAAAGAAAGAAUACUUCAGUGAUCUUAGGAUGAUUCACAAGCUAAGGUUAGCUAGACGAUCAUUGCAAAGAAAGGAGCAUAAAAAAGAAAAUCCCUAAAACACAUUUUGAAUACAAUUUCAAACACUAUAGAGAACAAAGGCAAAAAAAAAAAAAGUUAGGAUUUCAGAUCCAAAGCAAGGAAAGGAAGAAAAGAAGUUAUUUUUUUCUUUUUUCAGGGAAAACUUCAAGUUGAGAGUUUUAUUUCAACUUAUUUUCCUUUUCCUUAGAGUAUAAUCGUUAGUUUCAUUUCCCAAAGAAUAAAAAAGAAAUAAUUAAUAGAAAAGUAUAUAGAUAGAUAAAUCGGCGUUUUAAUAAAUAUAGAAUUCAUAAAUCUUAAACCUGGAGUUUUUUUGAGGUUUUGAUAAUAAGAAAUUAACACUAUGGUGAAAAUAUCCUAUGGAUUUGUAUUUUUUAUUUUAGAGUGUUUUAAAAAAAGUGUUAGCAAUAAAAGCAAAUCCCACAUUCAUUGAUGUUUUGUUAUUGUGAUUAAAGCCAUAAGGCACUACAAGUGGAGACUAAGAUCAAAUCUCAUACUCAUUGAUGUUUUGUCAUUGUAAAGAAAUCCAUAGGAACUGUAUAUGAAGAUUAUAGGGUUAUUGUGGGGAAACUUUGAGAAUAGUACAAUAUGGUUACGAAAAUUUUUGAAAGUAUAUUUUUGAGGUUGGAAAAUAAUAAGAUGUUUCUUGGGAAUAAUAUGUAUUUGUAAGCCUAGUAGGUUGCACAAGUGUUUUUGGUGUGGUUUUAAGGUAUAGAAGAAUUAAUCUUAAUAAAACGUUAAAUAAAUGAUUUGGAUAGUUGGAUGCAAAAAAAAUUAGGAAAGCAAGUUAAGUCAACCUAAGUACAUGAAAUUGGAUAUUUCCCUAGAUGAAUUAGGGUUAAUUAAUAAAUAAAUAUACACUUAGAGCAGUAUUUAUCAAAACUUUAAUUUGAAUUAUUCCUUUAAAUCUCUCAAUUGAUUCAUAAGAAUUUUCCACAACUCUAUUCCUUUGGAUUUAUCUAUCUUGAGUAUAGGGAUUUUUUGUAAAUAUGUUUUUUUUUGUUAUAAAUAUUCAAAUGUAUUUUUUUUUGUAAAUUCUGAAACUGUUUAAAUACGCUUGAAAUACUAAACUUGAGAAUUAUUUUUAUUUGACUAUAUUUUUUUUCCUUAUAUGUGCAUUCUAGUUAUCUAGCCUAGUUAACAAGGGAAAAAAUGUUGACCUUUGUUACCCUUGGUGGGGCUAAAGAUGAUGUUAAAACCAAGUCAAUAGGGUGUUUAUCAACUUAUGAUAUACCAUUAGAUUGGUUCUGGUUCCAUUCACCAACAUGUAAGGAAUGUCUGAGGUUAGCCACUUCUAUAAGUCCCACUAUGAUGGGCUUUGUUAGGAAAUCGAGUCUUGUUUAUAUGUUGACAAUUUUGUUCCUUUUUAAUUUUGACCAUAGAAGUCUCUUUAGAUAGUGACUUGCUCUCCAUUGAAGAUCAAGAGUUGUUGUUUGUCCAACUGGGAAGUCACAGAUACAUUUAAAAAGGUUUGACUUGUGACAAUUUAGGCUCCUUCGAGGUAGCUACUUGGAGUGAAACGGACUUUGAUGAUAGUGCUUCCAUAGCUUUUGAAGAUGCAAGGUACGAUCUUAAUGACUUCUUAGCUUUUAUUGCAUCUGUGGAAUCUGUGCAUGAUAGUGAUUAUAAUAGUGAUAGUGAUGAUGAGUUUAAUGAUGAACAAAAGGCUGAAUUCUUGAGCAAUCUUGUUAUUGAGCAUGAAAAACUAAUUAAGAAUUAUUUAAAAGAUCAUGAUAUUCUUGAAGCUCAUAAAAACAAGACUGACAUUCUUAAUCUAGAAAAAAUUAAUUUACUUGAGAAAAUUAGAUUUCUUAAGUCUAAGGAUCAUUCUCUUCUUAUGAAGAACAAUACUCUCACUCUAAAGAUCAAGAGUAAUAAGCCUUCUUCAUUUGUAAAUGAAAUAUUUCACCCUAGAACUAAAGUGCUUAAUGAAAUUCUUGAUAAAUGUAAAACCCAUGGUGAUAAAAGAGGUUUUGGGGUAUAUUAACAAAGAUGAAACUCCCUCUAGUGGAGAAACUAUGUUUGUCAAAGGUAAAGAUGAAACCCUUAACCAAACAACAUCUCCUAAAAAGCCAUCACUAUGCAUACACUGUAACAAAACUAGACACUCUCAGUUUAGAUGCUACACUAGGUUCCUAGAAAGGUUUGAAUCUCAAAUGAGUAUGCUAAUGAAUGAUUUUAACUCCCUUAAAAAUAAUAUAUUGAAUAAUGGGAAAGGGAAUAAAACUAAUCAAAAGCUUAGAAGUCAACCUAAUUCCUUUAAGCCACCACCUAGGACUAAACAAGUUUGAUCGAGAAAUGAUAGGGUUAAAUGUCAAGUUGUGUUCAAUGCUCUUAAAGCUAAAUCUUCUUAUGACUGGUACUUUAAUAGCGGCUACUCAAGACACAUGAUUAGAGAUAAAACCUUUUCACAUCUCUUGAGGAUUAUAAUGGUGGGACAGUUACUUUUGGAGAUGGGCACUUAUCAUGUGUGAAAGGCAAGGGAAGUUUAUCUAUCCUUGGUUGUCCUAAGUUAGAUGAAGUUCUCUAUGUUAAUGGACUUAAGGCAAAACUACUAAGCAUUAGUCAAAUUUGUGACAAGGAGCAUAAGGUGAAUUUUUUCCAAGACUUAUGCAAGAUAGUUAGCAAAGAGGGAAAGGUCAUUGUCACAAGACAUAGGAUAGUUGACAACUACUAUGCAAUAAAUCCUAUAUUUAGAACACCUCUUAUGUGCAGUAGGACAAAGGUAGAUCCUAUUGAACUUUGGCAUAGAAGGUUAGGUUGCAUAAACAAUAGGGACCUUGUGCACUUAGUGAACAGUGAAAAAGUUAGAGGCAUCCUUAGACUUAGUGAUGAACGUAAACCCAUUUGUGGUGAGUGUAUGAAAGGUAAACAAACUAAGAGUUCACAUAAAAAGGUUAACCAAAUUAGGAUCGGUAGGCCUUUAUACCUUCUAUAUAUGGAUCUUAUGGGUUUAAUGCGGACUAAGUAGAGGUGGUAAGAAAUAUGUCCUGGUUGUUGUGGAUGAUUUUUCAAGAUACUCCUUUGUGAGUUUUCCUAGGGAAAAGUCAGAGACCGUUGAACAUUUGAAGUCACUAUUCAAUAGAAUACAACGAAAAAUAGGUCAUCCAAUUAUAAGGAUUAGGAGUGAUAGGGGGAAGGAGUUUGACAAUGUGGAUGGCCUCUUUUGCGAGUCUAAAGGAAUUAAACAUGAGUUUUCAACCCCUAAAACUCCUCAAUAGAAUGGAGUGGUUAAAAGAAAGAAUAGAUUGUUACAAGAAAUGGCUAGGGUGAUGAUUCAUAUGCAUAACACCCCUAUGCAAUUUUGGGUAAAGGCAAUUAAUGAAUCCUGUUAUACUACUUAUAUGGUUUUUCUUAUAAUUAUGGACUAGGAGAAAACAUAACCUUAAGUAUUUUAGGACUUUUGGCAGUGAGUGUUAUAUACUCAUGGAUGGGAGAACCUUGGAAAGUUUGAUGCUAAAUCUGAUGUAGGUAUCUUCUUAGGCUAUUCUAUUACUAGUAAAGCCUAAAAGUUUAUAAUCAAAAUUCAUAGAUUAUCUAUGAAUCCUCUAAUGUGGUUAUAAAUAAUGCUAGGUAUGAUCAGGAUAUAAUUGAGAGUCAAAUUUUAACCUAGGAUUUAAUUGAGUAACCCUAAAUAUGUGAAGAUCACGAAAGACAACCCUAAUGAUAUCCCUAAAAGAGACAUUGAUCCUAAUAAGGAUGAAUAUGUACCUCUAAAUGACACGUCUAAUGAAAUGAGGAAUAAGCAUAGAUCUAAAGUACUCAAGAACCACCUAAUUUAAAAUGUUAUAAGUAAUGUAAAUGAACGUGUGACAAUUGAUUAGGUACACAUUUGAUGAACGUGUACCUCUAAAUGAACAUGUACCCAAGAGCUACAUAGGUCUAGCUCGUAUACCUACGGUCUCUACUAAGCGAAUGGAGGAAAUCAUGACAAUUGAUUAAUUAAUCAAGGAUACCAAUAAUAGGACAACAAGACACAUAUAAGUCUUGAGGUGAAAAAAGUGUACAUAAGAAUGUACACAAUUAAUGAAUGUGAAAUGCACAAAAUAGAAUUUAAUUAUUUGUUAAAGUUGCAACAUUUCAAAGGAAGUUCAAAAGAAAUUUAUUUAUAUUGGGAACAAUUUUGAAUUAAAUUUUUCAAACUUAUUUAUUCACAAAGUUUCAAUUUAUUUACAAAAGAUUAUAUUUUUAUUCACAUCCAAAAUUAAUUAAAAAAAAACUUUUCUUGAUUUUAUUAAAAGAAUUUUGAUUGAAUUUGAAUUUAUUAAAGGGAAAAGCUCAAUUUGACCUUCUAUUUAUAAAGAAAUGAUUUUGGCUUACACUUUAUUUAAAAAAAAAAGAAAAAGAUGCCAUAAUUAUAACGAAACAUCAAUUCUAUUUUUGGAAAAGUGAUUUUUACAAGGAAAAGGGGGUUUACUUAUUUUAAUUAUAAGAACCAAAUUUCAAUUUACUAAGAAAAUAAAUUUUUAUAACUUUUAUUUACGAAAAAUAUUUCCAAAUUAAAUUUAUUCAAAAAGAGAUAUUUUUACAACUUUUAUUUUCUUUAGAUUUUUAUUAAAACAAUUUUCAGGAUUUUUUAUUAAAUCAAAAUUUGGAACUUUAUUAAAACUAUUUUGGAAUUCUUUAUUAAAAGAAAAUUUUGAAACUCUUAUUAAGCAAACUUUUGGAAAAUUUUAUCAGACACAAACUUAGAGAACUUUAACUUAAAAUUUUAAGAACUUCAAUUUAAAACACAUUUUAGGGAUUUUGAUUAAAAAACCAACUUUUAGAAAAUUUAUUAAAACACUGAGGAUUUUGGAAACUAACUUUGGGGGUUUUUAUUAAACAACUUUUAGAAGUUAAUAAGACAAACUUUGGGAGUUUAUUAAAAACAAAUUUUGUGAAUUUUUAAGAUUUAUUUUGAGAGUUUAUUAAGACAUGUAUUAAAACUUUUAAGACUUUUAUGGAAACAAACUUUAAGUAAAUUUAAAAGACAUACUUUGAGAACAACUAUUAAAAUAUUUAUUUUGAAAUCUUUAAUUAAGCCGAAUUUGAGAACUUUUAUGAUUUUUACGACUUUUAUGAAAACAAACUUUAAGAAUAUUUGUUUAAACACUUAUUUUGAGAAUUUGCAUUAAACAAACUUAUGAAAAAAAAUGACUUCCUAAAGAACAUUUAUCAACAAAUAAUUUUCAAUUAACAAACUUAUUAAAAUAAAAUGACUUUCUAAAGAAAAUUUAUUAAAACACACUUUUCAAAUAACAAACUUAUUCAAAAAAAAAAAAAAAAAACAACUUUCUAAAGAACAUUUAUAAAAACACAAUUUUCAAUUAACAAACUUAUUAAAAAAAAUGAUUUUUUAAAGAACAUUUAUUAAAACACAAUUUUUAGAAUUUUCAUUAAACAAACUUUUUAAGGGAAUUUCUCAAAUUUUAUGCCUCUUUGUCUUUCAAAGAAGAAUGUUUGAAAUUUUAUGCUUCAUUGGCUUUCAAAGAAUACUUUCACAGUGAGAAAAAUUGUAGAUAUCUAACUUUAAAUUUUGAAAGAUUUGAAAAACAAAUUUAAAAGUUAAAAAAAGAAAAGAAUUUCCCAAAUUUUAUGCCUCUAUCGCUUUCAAAAAAUAGUUUCAGACUUUGUUACAUAAGAAAAUUAGAGUGUGUUCGGCAAUAUUUUCAUUUUUUUUAGUGAAAAUAUUUUAUCUAAAAGUGUUUUCAAGGGAAUUAUUUAUAAAAUACUACAAGUGACUUUUCAAUACUAUAAGUAAUUUGUCAAUGCUACAAAACUGUUUCUUAACUUUUGUCAAACACCUUAAUUUUUUAUUUUUUUAUAAACACUUCUUAGGUUAGAAGUGUUUUUCAAAAACACUGUUAAACAAACUAUCUAACUUUAAAUUUUCAAAUAUUUGAAAAGAAAAAAGUUCAAAGAAUAAAAUUUAAAAGUUUGGCAAACAAGUUAGAAAUGUAAUCAAUUUGAGAUCAAGUAUUAAAGUGCUUCUUGCUCAAGCAAAGGACUAAGUCCUAGAUCAAGGCUUAGGUCCAAAGGUAAGCUAAUGUCACAGACUUAGUCUUUUCCUAAGCCCAUGUGGCACUUAGACAAGUCAAGACACUUUAUCUUGCUAAGUCAGCCUUACUCCCAAUGCUUAGCUUGCUAGGCUAAGAUGCUCACGACUCAGAAGCGUUAGAAGGUGUAGUAGGCAACUCUUAAAGAAUGGAGCUUUUAUUGCUCAAAUGAAGCUUUACAAGUGCUUUUGGGAACUCACUUGCUUGGUUGGUUAAAUUCUUGGGUGGUGCCUUGGCCAAAUGAGGGUCUCACCCAUUUAUAAGCACCAAUGGUACUCUCUAGAACCUUGUAGGGUUCUUUACAACUCAAGAAUAAUCUAGAACUUCCUACACUAGUCUUAUGUAAGGGUAUGUACAAGAUGACUUUGGAAUAUUCUAGAACACCCUACACAAUUCCAAUUCUCUCUUAGCCAAGUGUAGAGAUGUGUGGACAUCUCUAGCCCUCUCCAGAAGCUUCCAUACUCUUCCACUUUGUAGCUAAGUGUAGAUGUCUCCAAGGGUCUCUAGAAGCUUCCCACCUCCUAUAUAAGACCAUGGGAAGGGUCAUUUGAAGCAUCUUGUGACACUCUCCCCCACCUAUUAUUGUGCGAGCAAAAGCUUUGAUGCCAACAAUCACACAUAUGGUACACAAGGUUUUAACGUGGUUCGGCCAACCAUGCCUACGUCCAUGGAUGAGAGAGAAUGAUUCCACUAUACAAUAGAGAAUAUUAUAGAGGACAGAAUCAGAUACAACUUUUGGGUUCCCGCAACAUCCCAUGUUUCCCCACUCCUUGUAUCCAUACCCUACUACGAGCUCUCUCGCUCUACCGAGUACCUCCCGUUCUUUCUCACAUCUCUAUCCAACUCGUAUAGUCUCUACAUGUCCAUCUCCAUCUCAUGACUUUUUCCCCUUAUGACCUAGAAUAUUUAUAAAGAUAUUUUCAACAACCUUCCUUAUUCUAUAUGGAAGUCUAAUAUUACAAUAAUAUAUCAACCUAGAAAUAUUCUAUAUAAUAUUCUUUACAAAAAAAGGAAUCUAUACUAAUUAGGAAUUUGGGACACUUCCUAACAAUCUCCACCUUGGACCAAAUUCCAUGAAGUUAAUCUUCAAUCUCUCCAUGAUACAAACCUUUUUGUAUCAUAUCACCACAAAAGAGCAAUUGACUCCACCUUCAGUGAAAAUUCCUUUUGUUUUCAUUUUGUGUGCUUUGUGAUCUUUUACUCUUCUAGAAAUCUUCAACCCAAGACCAUACUAAAAAACCCUAAUUACAAAAAGCGGUUCCACAAUGGGUUAAACGAGUCUAUCGGCCCAAGCCUUUGCUCCAUGGACUAAGCCUCAAUAAAUCUCCCAUUAAAAAACCAUGCAAUAUUAUUCGGGUCAGGUCGUCAAACCAGAUCAAACAAAACUAAGCUCCACAAAGCCUAACAAAUCUCCCACUUGGAGACUAGUUCAAUCACCAACAUCAAACCGCUAUCCUCCAAGAGACAAUCCCUCAUCCCUGCAACUCAUCCUCCUAUCCUCAAGCUAGAAGACCAAUUGAAGUUGUGCACAACUUCAACUUCUCAAUAGUGACACCCUUAGUCAACAUGUCUGUCGGGUUCUUAAAUCCACAAAUCUUCUCAAGUAUUACUAGUUUAUCUUCAACAAGGUAACGGAUAAAGUGGUAUUUUUUUGUAUAUGCUUCAACUUUGAAUGAAAAGUCGAAUUUUUGGCAAGAAAAAUUGCACUAUGACAGUCACUAUGUAGAAUGUCCAUCUUCUACUUCUUACCCAAUUCAUCUAAGAAACCAUGUAGUCAAAUCAUCUCCUUUCCAGCUUCAGUUGUUGCAACAUACUCAACUUCUGUAGUAGACAAAGUAACAAUCUUCUGUAGAUUUGAAGCUCAUAAUAUAGUUGUACCACUUAGAGUAAAAACAAAACCAGUAGUACUCUUUCUACUAUUAAUAUCACCAGCAAAAUCAACAUCUACAUAACCCUGCAGUUUCAAACUUGCACCUGUGAAGCGAAGACAUGUAUCCAAUGAACCCUUCAGAUAUCUUAAUAUCCACUUGACUGCCUCCCAAUGCUGCUUUCCAGGCUUACUUAUGAAUUUGCUCACAACUCCUACUGCAUGUGCAAUGUCUGGCCUUGUACACACCAUAACAUACAUCAAGCUGCCAAUAGCUGAGGCAUAGGGCACCUUGCUCAUAUGACCCCUUUCUUCUUCCGUCUUCGGUGACUAUUCUUUGCUUAGUUUGAAAUGACUCCUCAAGGGUGUGCUCACUGGUUUAGCUUCAUUCAUGUUGAACAUGCUGAGAACUUUCUUCACAUACUCUGACUGUGAAAGCUUCAAUGUACCAUUAGCCUUGUCUCUAAUGAUUCUCAUACCAAGGAUUUGCUUUGCAACUCCCAAAUCCUUCAUUGCAAACUGUUUGGACAAUUGCUUCUUCAGAUUAUUAAUCUUCUCAAUGCCAGACCCUGCAAUAAGCAUAUCAUCCACAUACAAUAGUAAUAUGAUGUAAGAGUUAUCAAAAAACUUAACAUAGCAACAGUGAUCAGCUUCACAUCUCUUGAACCCAAUUCUAUGCAUAAAACUGUCAAACUUCUUGUACCACUAUCUAGGAGCUUGUUUAAGGCCAUACAAGCUCUUUCUCAGUUUGCAAACUAGAUUCUCUUGUCCUUGAACAAUGAACCCUUCUGGUUGAAUCAUGUAAAGGCCUUCCUCCAAGUCACCAUGAAGGAAUGUUGUCUUCACAUCUAAUUGCUCAAGAUGUAAGUUUUCUGCAACCACCAUUCCCAGUACAAGUCUGAUUGUUGACAUCUUCACAACUGGAGAAAAUAUCUCUGUGUAAUCAAUGCCCUCAUUCUGCUGAAACCCUUUAACAACUAAUCUGGCCUUAUAACGUUUGCUACCAUCAUGCUCAUUCUUUAUUCUGUAUACCCACUUGUUAUGCAAAGCCUUCUUUCCUACUGACAAUUCAGUCAGUUCCCAUGUCUGAUUCCCCAACAAGGAAUCCAUCUCAUCCUUCAUGGCUAACUCCCACUUGCUUGAAUUCUCAUCUUGUAAAUCUUCAUCAUAACACUUUGGCUCACUACCAUCACUCAACAGGAGAUAAUUUAAAACAGGUGAAUAACGCUGUGGAGGUCUAAUGUUCCUGGAAAAUCUGCGAACUUCAGCUACAGGUGUACUCAAAUCUACCUGAGAAUUUACAUUCUCCUUAUCUUCUUCACCCCCUUUUUGGACAGUACUUUCAGUCAAUUCAUCUAAGUUGAUAAACUCAGAUUUCUUUUGAUCUAUCUCUGUAACAUCUGACACUACAAUUGACAUGUCCUUGUACAUAACCUGUUCAUUAAAUAUCACAUUUCUACUUCUGAUGAUUUUCCUGUUUUGUUCAUCCCAAAACCUAUAGCCAAAUUUCUCAUCACCAUAACCAAUGAAAAAGCAUAUUUUAGACUUUGCAUCAAGUUUACUACGAGCAUCAGAAUCAAUAUGAACAUAAGAAACACAACCAAAAACUUUUAAAUGUGAAAACUUUACCUCUUUAUCGCUCUAAACCUCCUUAAGAAGUCUGAACUCCAUGGGAACUGAUGGUCCUUGGUUUAUCAGGUAGGCUACAGUGCUAACAGCAUCAGCCCAAAAAGUUUUUGGUAGUCCAACAUGCAACCUCAUACUUCUAGCAAGCUCAUUGAGAGUUCUGUUCAUGCGCUCAGCCACACCAUUUUGCUGUGGUGUCCCAAGAAUGGUCUUCUCCAUCCUAAUUCCCUGUGCAACACAAUACUCACCGAACCCUCCAUCUAUGUACUCUCCUCCAUUAUUUGACCUCAAACAUUUUACUUUCAAACCUAUUUCUGUCUCAACCAUGGCCUUCCAUUUCUUAAAAUUUUCAAAUACAUUAGAUUUAUUUUUCAGAAAAUAAACUCAUACCUUUCUGCUUGAGUCAUCAAUAAAACUGAUGUAGUACCUUGAACCUCCAAGGGAUGCAACCGGAGAAGGCCCCCACAAAUCAAUGUGUACUAGUUCUAAUUUUUUAGCCUUCAGUGUCCUGCCAGUUUUCAAGAAGCUCACAUUUUUUUUGCUUUCCUAAGAUGCAACUUUCACACAUGUCAAAAUCAAUGGACUUUAAUUCUGGUAGUUUUCCUUUUGACAACAACAUCUUCAUCCAUUUCUCACUCAUGUGACCAAGUUUGCGGUGCCAUAGGCUUAUAUCAGUACUUGCAUUAGCAACUGCAAUUGUGUCUCUUGGACAUGAGGUCAUAUACAGAGUACAAGUCUUCUUUCCACAAGCCAAUACCCUAGCUUCCUUUGUAACCUUCUAAGUACCACCAACAAAUAGUAUUGCAUGUCCUUCAUCAUCAAGUUGUCCAACAGAAAUCGGAUUCCUCUUCAGGUUAGGAAUAUCUCAAACCUUCUCCAGUAACCAAAUAAACCUAUUGGGCAACAAUAUUCGGACGUUUCCCAGACCCACAACAUCCAAGGCUGAACCAUCAGCCAAAUACACCUUACCAAAAUCACCCGCAACAUAAUUCUGUAUGAUUUCUCGAUGUGGAGUGGUAUGAAAUGAAGCUUCUGAAUCCAAAACCCAAUAAUCAAGUAGACUGUCUACUGCAAGAAGUAAUGCAUCUUGUACCUCUUCUGUUACAGCAUUAGUAGAAUCAUCUUCAUUCUUCUUCUUAAGACUUUUGUAUUGCCUUCUAAAGUGACAUGUUUUCCCACAGUUCUAUCAUAGUACUUGUUGGCCUGAUCUAGAUUUGCUUUUAUUUCGAUUAGAAUUUUUGGAUUUUGAUCUACCCCGGUUUGAAUUUUUUUCAUUACCUCUGUCUCUUGUCUCAAGGUUUAGGACAUAACUAGAUCCUGAGGUUUCGCUUGCAUCUCUUCGACGAAUCUCCUCAACUAGAAUUAAAUCUCAUAUAUCAUUGUACUUGAGUUUUUCCUUUCCCGUAGAAUUGCUUACUGCCAUCCUCAUUGCCUCCCAACUGUUUGGCAAAGAAGCCAAGAUGAUCAGAGCACGAAUCUCAUCAUCAAAAUCAAUUUCUACAGACGACAAUUGAUUUGUGAUUGUAUUAAAUUCAUUUAGAUGUUGUGCUACUGAGAUAUUUUCUACCAUCUUCAAAUUGAAUAAUUUCUUCAUCAGAUGCACCUUAUUGUUUGUGGACAGCUUUUCAUACAUACCAGACAAAGCCUUCAUCAGAUCUACUGUGGUCUUCUCUUUUACAACGUUGUGUGCAAUAGACCUAGACAGAGUUAACCUAAUAACUCUUGGAACCUGUCUGUCAAGAAACGCCCAUUCCUCAACCUUCAUACUCUCAGGUUUUGUCCCCAAAAGAGGCAGAUGCAAUUUCCUCCCAUAGAGAUAAUCUUCAAUCUACAUCCUCCAAUAUGCAAAAUCUGUGCCAUCAAAAUUUCUAUUAUAGACGCCUUUCCUGCUUCCUCUGCCAUUGCUCCCACUCAAACCUAACCCUAGGCUCUGAUACCAGUUGUUGUGCCAGUGAAAGCUUUGAUGCCAACAAUGUUAGUUCAAGAACACAAAGAUAAAACAAUCACACAUAUGGUACACGAGGUUUUAACAUGGUUCGGCCAACCAUGUCUUGAUUCAUGCCCAGUCGAUGUAUCAGUUGACUUAUGUCCAGCUGGUGCUCCUUGAUUGACGUAGUAAUCAACAAAAUUUAUAACCUAUUACACCAUGAACUAGGGUAGCAGAGACAAAGCUACUAUAGUAUAGUGGCUCUAGGAUCGUUCACUGGGAAGGGUUUUCAACUCAUAACUGAUACCAAUUCAAAGCUGAGUUGGUGCUUUUUCAUUUCAAGGUUAGCUUUAAAAGAAAACAUAAAGUUGUUUGAGUGAAAAGGGUUUGGUUUUAAACUAACCAAAAAGAAAGUAAUGGAAAUUACUUAUGAAGAAAAACAUUCCUUGAAGGUUUAGGUUCACAGGGGAGAUUCCUUAUACAAAACAGAGCUCCGGUCAUUUGGUUUGUUUCCUCGCAUUAGAGAAUUAACAUAUAGUCAAUUCUCUAACCGGUGUUGUACAGAUGUAACCUUUAAAUAGAUUCCAGCUCUAAUUCCCUCUCACUGAUGCAACUUGCAAUAACUCGUGCCUCUCAUCUAGCAUUUGCCAUCAAGGUGAUCUUUAACUUUGGAUUUCCCUUCUCAAGCUCGCAAGAGAUAACUAAUGGAAGUCUCCUCGGAGUCCAAAAGCUUACUAAAUGUUGGCAAUUCUAGAAAAUCCUACCUCCAAGUCACUUCCCAAAAGCUUGCAAGAGAUAAACAAGUGCAUCUCCAUGGACGAAGAUCACGUGUCUUACCAAGUACUGGCUCAAGUGAUUUGAAGGUGUUUUAAGUUAACUAAAAACAUAGAAAUCAUUAAAGGAUCAUACUUUCUCUUCAUUAAUCACUGAAACCACAAAGCUACUAAUUCUUGCACUUAGAACCUUUCCCUACAACCUUAACUCCAAGGAAUUAAAAGUCUAGCCACUCAUUCUUUGAGGAAAUUUCCUCAGAGCUUGUUUGGCUAGUAAGAAAACUAACAAGAAAACAAAUAUAUGAUAGAAAACCAGAGCAAGUGCUCUGGAAAUAUAUUUCUUGCUUUUCUUGAUUACAAUAUAGAUCGAUACUCUUUCGAUUCGAUAUCCUCUGUAAAGGAAAUUACAAACUAUUUAUAUGGGUUUAUUCACCCUUUUUAUUUACUUAAAAACUAAGGAAUCCCAUGAUAGGUGGAUUACAAGGAGAGUUUGGGAAUUUAGACAACAAAUAUCUAAAGCAAAAUAUCCCAAAAUAUCGCUCGAAAAUGUCAGGAAGGUUCAGGAGAACACCAUUGCACUAUACUGAGAGAAAAACUUUGCAGGUAAGCGUUAUCAGAAGGUCCGGAUAUGUAUAUCCGGAGAAGUCGAAGCGUCCUCCUCUCCCAUCCGGCUAUAGGAUAUUCGGAUGUAAAAUGUUGGCGCACGGAACGUCCUCCUUUCCCAUCCGGAUGUGAGAUAUCCGGAUGAAAAAUGUCGGCGCACAGAACUCGUGAAAAUCACACCCGGCUGAUAGCAUAUCUUAUUUGAAUAUGUUGUCCGGAUGCCCUUCGAUGGUAUAUCCGGACGCCCUGUCCGGGUAUACUCCUUGUAUGGAUUCCAAAGAACUCUCCUCAAUCUCAGAUUUGCUUUGGUGAUAAAAAAGCUAUCAAAACACCAAAACUUAACACAAUUUGAUUAGAAUUGAUUGCAAGGGUCCUUACUAUGUUAAUUGGGUUAAAAGGUGAUAACUACUACUCAAAAGUAUUUAAAAGAGUUAAUUACUGGUUAUCAAAUAGCACUUUUUGAGUAGUAAUCACUCCCCCCAACCGACAUAUUGCUAGUCCCUUAGCAAUGAAGGAGAGAAAAAAAAACAGUACUAUAAUUUACAACAUCAUGCUGAACAAAAAACAAUUUCCUAGCGGCAUGAUGAUCUAACUCUCACAUGGAACAUUAAAGAAAUAAAACUCAAACUUCAACAAGAGUUAUCAAAUAACUUGUCUAAUCACAAUUCUUAAAGAGAAGGCUUUAUGCAAAUUUAAGCUUUAAAAGAGUUUCCACUCCCAAAGGGUCAAACCUUACUCUUCCACAAAAAUCUAAGUGUUAUUUAUUAGCUUCCGAAUAUAGUAUGUAGAACUAAUCUCUCCUCCCAAUCUAGUUUUUUUUUUUCAAAGCUUAGCAAACUGGUCAACCUCCAAUAUGCUAAGAACGCACCUCAUUUUUUUCACAACAAUUUUUUUUUCAUUGUAGGAGUACAAGGCUUAAAGGUAUUAUUUUCUAACUUGUCCAUGUAACGGGGGUCCAUCGAUGACUCCCAACCAAUUAAGGUUUAGGGCAUCAAGCUUUAAGGAUAUUUCAACCACUAGCUCCUCGGAUUUUACCCCGGACUUUUGAGAAUGAAUUUUAAUACCCCAGCACCUACAGUAUGUUAGACUCCACCUAUCCACCCUUGUUACGAGCAUUGAGGUCGGUGACUCCCAACCAAUGAAGGCUUAGGGCACCUGGUUUUAAAGAUUUUCACCAUAUAUCCCUCAGACCUUGCUCGGGUUUCAAGGCAAGCAAACAUUUUUUCUUUCUUUUUCCAAAGGCUCAUUGGCCUUUUACAAGGUGUCCCAACACUAUUAAAUGAGGUCAAAGGUACCAAGUCUAAAAUUUUCCUAAGUCAAGAGGGAAAUAGUUUUUCAUCUUAUACUCGGAACCUAUUGUGCACAGUGUGUGAAUAGCUUAAAGUGGAAGACAUAAGCUUGACUUCAAUAGAAGUUUCAACAAUUCAUCAACUUUAAUAAGCAUAAUACAAACUCUAAGUCAAGUGAAAAGAUAAAAAUUCAAUUUCUCCCAUUCCAUUUUGAAAAUUUUUCCUUAAUAACCAUGGAGAGUAGAAUAAAAACUUUUAAAAAUUUUAAAAUUUAAGCAAAAAGCAACUAAAUUACCAAAAUAACUUAGCAUUAUUAAUAAAAACUUCCUUCCUCAACUCUCCCCCCAACCAAGCUCAACAUUGUCCUUAAUGUGACAACAGCGAUUGAAAAAUAGGGAGGAAGUGGUACCUCCUAAGUGACGUGGAAUGAUGGCUCAGCGGCUUCUCCUGUACUCCCAUUCCAUUUUGAAAAUUUUUCCUUAAUAAUCAUGGAGAGUAGAAUAAAAACUUUUUAAAAUUUUAAAAUUUAAGCAAAAAGCAACUAAAUUACCAAAAUAACUUAGCAUUAUUAAUAAAAACUUCCUUCCUUAACUCUCCCCCCAACCAAGCUCAACAUUGUCCUCAAUGUGACAACAGUGAUUGAAAAAUAGGGAGGAAGUGGUACCUCUUGAGUGACGUGGAAUGAUGGCUCAGCGGCUUCUCCUGUAGGAGGCUCCGGAUGAGGUGGGAAUGGUAUGCUCAGGAGCUGAUGUACUGUCAAGAUGAUGCUGAAUCUGCCUCAGGACGGCAGUGUGCUGGGCCUGAGUGGCAAGAAUCUGCUCCUGCUGAUUCUAAUCAUUCAAAAAGCUAGUUACAAUUAACAUAAUUUAAAACCAAAAUUACAAUCCAAUAAUUUACAAAACUUAAAAAUUAACAUAUUUAACAAAAUUAUGGACUUUGGUGAAACCAAGUCCAUCUAACCCUUCUCUGUUCAGGAUUUCUAUGGCUCAAGGAGGUUGAUUUCCUCCUUUUCUGGCUUGAACGGCUCAAUGUAUGGCUUGAGACGAUGCCCAUUCACUUUGAAAGUUUGAGUGCUCUUGAAGUUGAGUAGUUCCACUACUCCAUUUGAUUGCACGUCAUGAAUUAUGAAAGGACCCGUCCAUCUUGAUUUCAAUUUUCCCGGAAAAAGAUGGAGUUUAGAGUCAUAAAGCAAGACUCUUUGUCUCUUGAUAAAAUUCUUCUGAUUUACCAACUGAUCAUGCCAUUUCUUCAACCUCUCUUUUGCAAUUUUUGAAUUGAGGUAAGCAUCAUUCCUCAUUUCCUCCAAUUCGUUCAAAUGCAAAUAUCUCUUUAACCCGGCACUUGUCAAAUCCAUGUUGAGCUUCUUGAUCGCCCACCAUGCUUUAUAUUCAACCUCCACUGGGAGAUGGCACGCUUUGCCAUAAACAAGGCGGUAAGGAGACAUUCCAAGAAUGGUCUUAUAAGCAGUCUAUAAGCCCAUAAUGAAUCCAGGAGCUUAGUAGACCAAUCCUUCCUAUUCACAUUCACCACCUUCAUCAGGAUAUUCUUGAUUUCCCGGUUGGCUAACUCAACUUGGCCACUUGUUUGAGGGUGAUAAGGUGUAGCUACCUUGUGCUUGACCCCAUAUUUGGCUAGAAGAGUCUCAAACGACUUAUUGCAAAAGUGGGUUCCUCCAUCACUGAUAAUGGCCUUAGGCACUCCAAACCUUGAAAAUAUGUUCUCCUUGAGAAAUUUGAGAACCACCUUAUGAUCAUUGCUCCUACAUGGGAUUGCAUCUACCCACUUAGAGACAUAAUCCACUCCCACCAAAAUGUAGGAGUGUCCAAAUGACAUUGGAAAUGGUCCCAUGAAGUCUAUCCCCCAAACAUCAAAGACAUCCACUAUCAAGAUGGGGUUCAAGGGCAUCAUAUUCCAGCGUGUUAGCUUCCCAAGCCUUUGACACCAAUCACAUCCCUUGCACAUAGAGUGGGCAUCCUUGAAAAGAAAGGGCCACCAAAAACCUGAUUAGACCACUCUCAUGGCUGUUUUCUGGGAGGCAAAAUGACCUCCACAUGCACUAUCAUGACAAUGGGAUAGAAUUCCUGAUUGCUCUUGUUCAGGAACACAUUUCCUUAUGAUUUGAUCCGCACAAUAUUUGAAGAGAAAAGGCUCCUCCCAAUAAUAGGCAUGGAUCUUAGCAAAGAAAUGCUUCUUGUCUUGGGCACUCCACUCACUUGGAACUUCUCCAGUAACCAAGUAAUUUACAAUGUGAGAAUACCAUGGAGUUACCUCUAUUGACAUGAGAGACUCCUCAGGGAAGUCAUCAUUAAUAGGUAGACCAUGUGAGUCAUGUGCUAUCACAAGUCUGGACAAGUGGUCAGCUACCACAUUUUCUACUCUCUUCUUAUCCCGGAUUUGGAUAUUGAAUUCUUGAAGCAGAAGGAUCCAUCUUUUCAAUCUUGCCUUGGCAUCUUGCUUGGUUAGCAAGUACUUUAGAGCAGAAUGGUCAGUGAACACCACUAUAAAGGACCCUACCAAAUAGGCACGAAACUUAUCCAAGGUAAAAACUACUGCCAACAACUCCUUCUCAGUAGUUGUGUAGUUCCUUUGAGCCUCAUUCAAAGUUUUGCUUGCAUAAUAAAUCACAUAGGGCUUUCCAUCUUCUCUUUGCCCCAAAACAGCCCCCAUAGCAAAAUCACUUGCAUCACACAUUACCUCAAAAGGUAAUUUCCAAUUUGGGGCUCUCACUAUUGGUGCAGUUGUAAGGAAUUGCUUCAGUUCCUCAAAACUCUUCUGGUAUUUCUCAUCCUACACAAACUUGACAUCCUUUACCAAUAGUUCACAAAGAGGUUUUAAGAUUUUUGAGAAAUCCUUAAUGAACCUCCUAUAGAACCCGACAUGUCCUAGGAAUUGCCUAAUUCCUUUAACAUUUGUGGGAGGUGGCAACUUAACAAUUAGCUCCACCUUUGCCUUAUCUACCUUAAUGUCAUUCUUGGAGAUUAUAUGUCCUAAGACAAUUCCUUUUUGUACCAUAAAAUGGCACUUCUCCCAAAUUAGCACUAGGUCUUUCUCAAUACAUCUUUGGAGAACAGCUUCUAAAUGCAACAAACACUCCUUAUAAGAACAUCCAUAAACAGUGAUGUCAUCCAUAAAGACUUCCAUGAUGCGUUCUACCAUAUCACUGAAGAUGCUUAGCAUACAUCUUUGGAAAGUUGCAGGUGCAUUACAUAGACCAAAGGGCAUCCUCCUAUAGGCAAAAGUACCAAAGGGGCAAGUGAAGGUUGUCUUUUCCUGAUCUUCCAAAUCAAUUUCUAUUUGGAAGUACCCCGAGUAACCAUCUAGAAAACAGUAGAAAGGAUGCCCUGAGAUUCUCUCAAGGACUUGGUCCAUGAAAGGCAAUGGGAAAUGGUCCUUCCUAGUCGCUGAAUUUAACCUCCUGUAGUCUAUACACACCCUCCAUCCGGAGGUAAGACGUGUAGAGACUUCCUCCCCUUUUUCAUUCUGGAUCACAGUAAUUCCAGAUUUCUUUGGAACUACUUGGGUUGGGCUCACCCACAAGCUGUCUGUAAUGGGAUAUAUGAUCCCUGCUUGAAGUAGCUUCAAAACUUCACCUCUUACUACCCCUUGCAUGUGAGGAUUCAACCUCCUCUGGGGCUGCCUCACUGGUUUUGCAUCUUCCUCCAUGUAGAUAUGGUGGGUGCAUACCAAAGGGCUAAUCCCUUUCAGAUCAGAAAUUUGCUAUCCAAUGGCCUUUUUGCAUUUUAUGAGGACUCCCAAAAGGCUAUCCUCUUGAUCAGUGGUGAGCUUUGAAGAAACCACCACUGCACAUUUCUCAUCUUUCUCCAGAUAUGCAUACUUCAAAUCAACAGGAAGUGGCUUCAAAACUGGUUUUGGAGGGUCCUCCGUAGCUGCUCCUUGUGAGUCCUCCUUAUUGAACAAGGGCAAGAUCUCUUCCCUUCUCCUCCAAGGAGACAUGAUGGCUAAUGGUUCAAAGGGUUCAGGUAACCCUGCUUCAAGCACUCCAAUGCUUUCAUUCAAGCUUUCUUCUAAAUUCUUGUCACAAUGCUCUUCAACCAACGUGUUGAUCAAGCACACCUUCUCCAAUCCUUCCUCCUCUUCGGGUUGAAGAUGCCUCUUGCAUAGGUGGAAUAUGUUUAGUUCCAAGGUCAUGUUCCCAAAUGUGAGCUGCAUAACCCCAUUCCUAUAAUUGAUGAUGGCAUUGGAGGUAGCUAGGAAAGGUCUCCCAAGGAUGAUUGGCACAUAAUUUGGUUCCUUAAUAGUGAGAUCAGUAUCAAGCACCAAAAAAUCCACGAGAUAGUAGAAUUUGUCCACUUGAACUAGAACAUUCUCAAUCACCCCCCUUGGGAUUUUGACCGACCUAUCAGCUAAGGAGAGAGUGAUGGCUGUGGGCUUCAAUUCUCCAAGUCCCAGUUGCUUAUACACAGAGUAUGGGAGCAAAUUCACACUUGCCCCCAAGUCUAAUAGAGCCUUCUCCACAUGUGUCCCUCCAAUGUUGGUUGAAAUGGUGGGACAUCCCGGAUCUUUACACUUAACUGGAGACUUACUCUGAAUGAUGGCACUUACUUGCUCAGUGAGGAAUGCCUUCUUUGUCACAUUUAACCCUCUCUUAACCGUGCACAAGUCCUUUAAAAUUUUUACAUAUGUGGGGACUUGCUUGAUCAUAUCAAGUAAGGGUAUAUUCACCUUCACUUGUCUCAAAACUUCAAGAAUUUCUGAUGAAUUCUUGAUUCCCUUCUUUCCAUGUAAAGCUUGAGGAAAAGGGGGAGGCAUAUGUUUCUUCAUCAUAUCCUCUUUAAUCACUAUCCUUGGCUCUUCUUCAAUGCUUGAUUUAGAUGCAUUUUUCUUCCCACUCUCCUCUUCUUGGUUAUUGCUCUCUUUAACCAAGGUUUUCCUUGACAUGAAUUCUUCGUCUUGUCUCACCUUAGGCAAGGGUUGAUCAACCUCCUUCCCACUUCUCAAGGUGAUCACAACUUUGACCUUCCUCAACUUUGAAGACUCUCCAUCUUGGGUUUCAACUUCAUGAACACCCUUAGGAUUUUGGCUUGGUUGAGAGGGGAACUUUCCCUUCUCAUUCACUGUGUUGAGGUUGGUAAGCCUAGAGAUGGAGUAUUGACUAUUAUCUAUCUUCUGAGAUAGAUCAUUCUGCAUCCCAUCCAUUCUCUUAAUUUGAGAACUCUCAACAUUUUCAAUCUUUUGGUGCAAUUGGGAGUUGAUUGCCUUUUGUUCACCCACAAAGUCACCCAUGACUUUACUUAGGUUUACAAUGGCUUGCUCCACUGAAGAGGUUUGUUGAGGUGCUUGGGUUUGGGCUUGUGGUUGGUAUGGAGGUGGCCUUGGUUUCCAAGAAAAAUUUGGAUGGUUUCUCCAGCUUGAAUUAUAGGUGUUUCCAUAAGGUGCAUUGUUGUUGGGCUUAAAUUGCCCCACAACAUUGGCUUGAUCACCUAAGAUCUCCCUCACAGCUGGGAUGGUUGGGUACUCAUCUACCACAUGAUCACAUGAUUGGCAAAUGGUGUAUGGCAUGACAUGGACUUGUGUCUUUGAAAUGGCUUGGACUUCAUGCAUUUUUUUCAACUCAAGUUCUUCCAACCUCCUUGCCAUUGUUGCCACCUUAGUUUUCAUGUCCACGUCUUCACUUAACAUGUACAUUCCACCCUUUGGAUUUACAGGAGCUUUCAUCCUUCCCACUUCUCCUCUAUGCGGUUCAUCCCAUCCCCUUGAGACUUCAGCUACAUAACUCAAGAAAUCCAUAGCUUCCUCAGGAUUCUUACUCAUGAAAUCCCCUCCACACAUUGUUUCGAGGAGCUGCUUCAUUGAGGAAGACAUCCCAUCAUAGAAAUAACUUACCAACAGCCAUGUAUCAAAGCCAUGGUGAGGACAAGCAUUAAUGGCUUCUAUGUAUCUUUCCCAACACUCAUAGAAUUUCUCAUUCUCUUUAGCUAAGAAGUUUGAAAUUUGUCUUUUCAAGCUGUUUGUUCUGUGAGUAGGAAAAAAUUUCUUGAGGAAUUCUACUUGUAAAUCAGUCCAAGUACGGAUACUCCUUGGCCUUAAAGAAUUAAGCCAAAUCUUGGCCUUAUCCUUUAAAGUAAAAGGAAAUAGUUUAAGCCUCAUCAGGUCAAUAGAAGCUCCUCCCUCUCGGAAUAUAUUACAAACAUCUUCAAAUUCCUUGAUAUGGGAAUAAGGAUUCUCACUUUCCAUUCCGUGGAAAGUUGGCAGAAGUGGCACAAUAUAGGGUCUGAUUACUAGCUGUUCUGUAGGAGGCACUAUACAUGACGGUGCACUCAUACGAGGUGGAUGCAUAUGGUCCCUCAUUGAUCUGAAUUCAUUGGGAUUGUCCUGAUGAUCAUGGUGACUAUGCUGAUCCUCAGGUGUAGUUUCCAUGAUGUUCAAGAUUACUUCCAACUCCUUGUUAUGAGGUGUUUCAAUUUUAACAAGCCUUCCUCCACAAUCUCGUAUCCACUUGGGCAUACACAACUAGUAUCAACUGUAACAAAGAAAGAAAAAGAAAAACAGAGGAAAACAAAAAAACAAAACUACCAAAAAGAGUUCAAUUAACUAAAACUAAAUUCAAAACUAUGCUAGAAUAUAUAAACUAGUAAAAGAGAAAAAAAAAAAACUAAAAGAGUUAGUAAAAUGAGAGAAAACUCACCAAACUUGUGAUGAAAACCACAAGUUCCAUGAAAUAAUAUCAAUAUGAAGUUGGCACCUUCCCCGACAACGAAGCCAUUUGAUUUGUGCCCAGUCGGUGUAUCAGCUGACUUAUGUCCAGCUGGUGCUCCUUGAUUGAGGUAGUAAUCAACAAAAUUUAUAACCUAUUACACCAUGAACUAGGGUAGCAGAGACAAAGCUACUAUAGUAUAGUGGCUCUAGGAUCAUUCACUGGGAAGGGUUUUCAACUCAUAAUUGAUACCAAUUCAAAGCUGAGUUGGUGCUUUUUCAUUUCAAGGUUAGCUUUAAAAGAAAACAUAAAGUUGUUUGAGUGAAAAGGGUUUGGUUUUAAACUAACCAAAAAGAAAGUAAUGGAAAUUACUUAUGAAGAAAAACAUUCCUUGAAGGUUUAGGUUCACAGGGGAGAUUCCUUAUACAAAAACAGAGCUCCGGUCAUUUGGUUUGUUUCCUCGCAUUAGAGAAUUAACAUAUAGUCAAUUCUCUAACCGGUGUUGUAUAGAUGUAACCUUUAAAUAGAUUCCAGCUCUAAUUCCCUCUCACUGAUGCAACUUGCAAUAACUCGUGCCUCUCAUCUAGCAUUUGCCAUUCAAGGUGAUCUUUAACUUUGGAUUUCCCUUCUCAAGCUCGCAAGAGAUAACUAAUGGAAGUCUCCUCGGAGUCCAAAAGCUUACUAAAUGUUGGUAAUUCUAGAAAAUCCUACCUCCAAGUCACUUCCCAAAAGCUUGCAAGAGAUAAACAAGUGCAUCUCCAUGGACGAAGAUCACGUGUCUUACCAAGUACUGGCUCAAGUGACUUGAAGGUGUUUUAAGUUAACUAAAAACAUAGAAAUCAUUAAAGGAUCAUACUUUCUCUUCAUUAAUCACUGAAACCACAAAGCUACUAAUUCUUGCACUUAGAACCUUUCCCUGCAACCUUAACUCCAAGGAAUUAAAAGUCUAGCCACUCAUUCUCUGAGGAAAUUUCCUCAGAGCUUGUUUGGCUAGUAAGAAAACUAACAAGAAAACAAAUAUAUGACAGAAAACCAAAGCAAGUGCUCUGGAAAUAUAUUUCUUGCUUUUCUUGAUUACAAUAUAGAUCGAUACUCUUUCGAUUCGAUAUCCUCUGUAAAGGAAAUUACAAACUAUUUAUAUGGGUUUAUUCACCCUUUUUACUUACUUAAAAACUAAGGAAUCCCAUGAUAGGUGGAUUACAAGGAGAGUUUGGGAAUUUAGACAACAAAUAUAUAAAGCAAAAUAUCCCAAAAUAUCUCAAAAAUAUCGGUCGAAAAUAUCAGGAAGGUUCAGGAGAACACCGCUGCACUGUACUGAGAUAAAAACUCUACAGGUAAGUGUUAUUAGAAGGUCCGAAUAUGUAUAUCCGGAGAAGUCGAAGCGUCCUCCUCUCCCAUCCGGCUAUAGGAUAUCCGGAUGUAAAAUUUCGGCGCACGGAACGUCCUCCUUUCCCAUCCGGAUGUGAGAUAUCCGGAUGAAAAAUGUCGGCGCACAGAACUCGUGAAAAUCACACUCGGCUGAUAGCAUGUCUUAUCCGAAUAUGUUGUCCGGAUGCCCUUCGAUGGUAUAUCCGGAUGCCCUUCGAUGGUAUAUCCGGACGCCCUGUCCGGGUAUACUCCUUGUAUGGAUUCCAAAGAACUCUCCUCAAUCUCAGAUUUGCUUUGGUGAUCAAAAAGCUAUCAAAACACCAAAACUUAACACAAUUUGAUUAGAAUUGAUUGCAAUGGUCCUUACUAUGUUAAUUGGGUUAAAAGGUGAUAACUACUACUCAAAAUUAUUUAAAAGAGUUAAUUACUGGCUAUCAAAUAACACUUUUUGAGUAGUAAUCAUGUCUACAUCCACGACUGAGAGAGAACGAUUCCACUAUACAAUAGAGAAUAUUAUAGAGGACAGAACUAGAUACAACUAUUGGGUUCCCGAAACAUCCCAUGUUUCCCCACUCCUUGUAUCCAUACCCUACUACGAGGUCUCUCGCUCCACCGAGUACCUCCCGUUCUUCCUCACAUCUCUAUCCACCUCGUAUAGUCUCUACAGGUCCAUCUCCAUCUCAUGACUUUUUCCUUUUCAUGACCUAGAAUACUUAUAGAGAUAUUUCCAACAACCUUCCUUAUUCUAUAAGGAAGUCUAAUAUUACAAUAAUAUAUCAACCUAGAAUUAUUCUAUAUAAUAUUCUUUAUAAAAAAAAGAAUCUAUACUAAUUAGGAAUUUGGGAUGCUUCCUAAUACCUAUGCCAUCGACGUCCCCAUUGUGGCCUCUUCUUGAAACUUCUUGAUGUGUUUCCAAAACCUUCUCAAGGCAUCUGCAUGUUCCCAGCUUACUUGCCUCUUAGGUAGUCUUUUCCAUCGAACUAGAUACUCUAUCACAGGAAGGACCCCUUAUCUCUUGGUAACUUGUUCAAAUAGGAUAUUCUUCACCUCUUUCUCUUGUGAGGCCUGAGAUGAAUGCAAACACUUGCAUUUUCGAUGCUUGGAGUGCUGCUUCCUAUUGCUUAUUGAGUUCACCUUUUCCUUAGUGACCUUGUCCAUGUGUGUGUGGGCUACCACAACUCGCUCCUCUUUUGCCUCUUUUACUUGCACCCUUGAUAGUAAGAAGGUCUUAGGAAUACUAGGCUUUGGGUUGGAGGGUACCUAGUAGCUGCAUCAAGCCCAUAUGUGCUUCGCCUUCCUAUUUCCUCUCUUCGAUCAUGGCCUGAGCGCCUUCCUCUUUGGGCAAUCCUAUGCCCAAUGUGGAUCGUCACACAGGAAGCAUUUGAUUCUAGGCGUAAACUCCUUCCUUUUCGCCUUACGUCUUCCUUCCCGGAUGCUAGGCAUCUUGCCUGAUCCCAUUUUAGGAGCAUUAUAGUCUCUUGAAACCCCGUCUCCCCCACCCGUGGCGUGGCUAUUCUCUAAAGACUCAACCUUGGAGGAGUCUUCCCUCUUGUAAUGCGUUAAAGACUCUGCUACUACCAUAGCAGUGGCUAAGUCUUGAACACCUUGGCACCUUAAUUCUUACUCGGCCCACCCUUGUAGGUUAUCCAUGAAGUUGAAUAGUAGAUCCUCUUUAGUCAUGUUAGGAAUCUCAAGCAUAAGCGAAGAGAAUUCCUUGGCAUAGUCGCGUAUCGAACCUGUGUGCUUGAGACACCUCAUGUUUUUCCUAGUCAAGUAAGCCACGACCUUGGGGUAGAAUUGCCUCUUGAUCUCCCUCUUAAAGUCCUCCCACGUCUCUAUGGUGCAAAUGUCUUUUUCCAUAUCGGCGAACCUCCGACUCUACCAUAGAGUAGCUGUGUUAGUAAGGUAGGGGGGUUACAGUCCUUACCUUAGUCGCCUCAUCAGAUAGUGCGAUGGCCUCGAAGUAUCGCUCCAUAUGCCAUAAGAAGUUGUCCAACUCCUUGACAUCCCGCUUGCCACUAAACCCUUGUGGCUUCGGCACCUCCACCCUAGAUGCCUCUUGGGUGGGCAUGACCCAUGCCGACACAACAGUCUUGUAGAUGGCCAACUCCUACCUAACCUCCUGGUCUUGGGACUCCAUUCGAGUGGCCAAAGCCUCCAUCCUUGACUCUAUACUAGCAAGCAUGCUCAAGACAUUUUCUUGGAAGGACACAAACUCCUCGUGCGACACUGUCUAAACCUAUGAGACUAGCAUCUCCUCACGAAGGUCUUGGAUCUGUUCCCUAAGAUCUUUCAUACCCUUCUCCAUGCCUUGCUCAAUCAAGUCCAACCCCUCCCGAGUGUCUGCCAUGGCUAGCUCCACCUUAGCUAACCUUGCCUCCAUGUUAGCAACGACAUCAUGAGAUUUAUCCUUCCUACCCCUGCCCCGUGCAGUAGGCUCGGUCUCCCUCCCACGGGUUUGUUCACUAGUCUCAUCCACGUUGGAGCCCGACAUGCUUCCUUUACUAUGCCCACUUCAUAGCUACGCUUUGAUACCACUUGUCACGGACUUAAUCUUUUCCUAAGCUCGUGUGGCACUUAGACAAGUCAAGACACUUUAUCUUGCUAAGUCAGCCUUACUCCCAAUGCUUAGCUUGCUAGGCUAAGAUGCUCACGACUCGGAACCUAUUUAUAGGCACCAAUGGAACUCUCUGGAACCUUGCAAGGUUCCUUAAAACUAAAGAAUAAUCUAGAAAUUCCUACACUAGUCUUAUGUACAAGGGUAUGUACAAGAUGACUUUGAAGUAUUCUAGAACACCCUACACAAUCCCAAUUCUCUCUUAGCCAAGUGUAGAGAUGUGUGGGCAUCUCUAGCCCUCUCCAAAAGCUUCCAUACUCUUCCACUUUGUAGCCAAGUGUAGUGUCUCCAAGGGUCUUUAGAAGCUUCCCACCUCCUAUAUAAGCCUAUGGGAAGGGUCAUUUGAAACAUCUUGUGACACUAAGCUCAACUUAUGUUGGGCCUAAGUCCAAGCCUAAUAGCAUGUUUUAUAAAACUUAAUAUUUAAUACUUAUUACUUAAUGACUUAUGUUGACUUUAAGUUAAAUUGUUUGAUAAAAUUAUUUUAAGUUAUUAAAUUAACAUAUUUACCCCAUUGGUUGUAAUUAAUAUUUAUUAUUAAAAUUUUAACUAAUAUUUAUUUUUAUUAAUUUUAAGUAAUAAAUUUUUUUAUUAAACAUCCAUACUUGAAAGUAUUGUAGAUUUAUGUAAUAACUUUAAAAUAUUUAUUAGAAAAAAUGUGUCAUGGAUUUGGUUGUUAAAUAUAUUUUCAUUAGAUAUGAGCAAAUAAGACAAUAAAAAUUUAGGAUUAAGAAUAAGUUAACUAUUUUAACUUAAUAUUUAAAUUUAUUUUUAAUUUUAGGUUGUGAUAUGAAGUUGUAUUUAAAAGACAUGUUUAAUCUACUUAAUAACUUAAAUUAAAUUAUUAUGUCACUUUAAGGCAUUAAGUUAAAUUACCAAUUAAACAUCCUAUAAGACCAAAAUAAGACUCUAAUCAAAUAUAUAUAUAUAUAUAUAUAUAUAUAUAUAUAGAGAGAGAGAGAGAGAGAGAGAGAGAGAUUAUCAUUUAUAUUUGAUUACUAUAUAUACAAUAAAAAAUCAAUUUAGUUAUAAUUUUGAGAAAUUCAUGCAUAGAUUAAGGUGAUGUUUGGUAAAACUUAAUACCUAUUACUUAAUCAUUUAAGUUGACUUUAACUUAAAUUAUACUUAAAUUGUUAACUUAAAACUUAUUAUUUAAGUUUUACUUUAAGUAUUAAGGUUAUUUGAUCAAAUUAACUUAAAACUUAUUCUAAAUUAUAAAAUUGACAUAUUUGUACUCAUAAAUUAAAACUAGGGCAAAAAAGAUCGAAUAAUAGCGGAUGUUGUAGAGUAGCAAAAGAGAUGGUCUAGUUAAUUAGGAUAAAUAAGAGUAAAAAAGCAAAAUAAAUAUACGAACUUAAUUAUUUUUACUUAUUACUUAAAGUUAUUUUUAACUUUAUAUCACACCAUUAAAUUAUUUUACUAAUAAAUAAGAGCAAAAAAGCAAAAUAAAGAUAUGAACUUAAGAAUAAGUUAAUUAUUUUUACUUAUUAUCUAAAACUGUUUUUUACUUUAUGUCACAUUAUUAAAUUAUUUUUCCAAAUAUAAUUAAUGUAGUUAAUGAAUUAAAUUAAGUUAUCAAGUUAUUUUAAGUUAUUAAAUUGAUUUAUGAAACACACACUAAAUAAAAAACUUAAAUUUAUUUAUUUAUUUUUUUGUUGUCUCUCAUGAAUAAUUAAAAGAAAAGAAAAAGUAAAAUAUCACAUUUCCCAAAAUAAAGAAAUAAACAUACACUCCAAUAUUUUUCUUUUCACUUCAAUAGGCCCUCAAUAUAUCUUAAUCAUAUUGUCCAUUGUCUACUCUCUUCAACCCUUUUGGGAUAAUAUGUGAUGUCGGACAAUUACAUGAGUUGGGUUUUCACCGGGCAAUCAACUAUUUUAUAAUGGCAAUAGACCUCUGUCUUAAUUGAGGACAAAGCCUUGCACUUGGGAUCUUUUCCAAGGGAUCCUUCUAAGAAUCCAAUGAUUUCUAAACCAUUAACUUUUAUUAUAAGGAUAACCCAGUUCAUGACAAUGGGAUAUGGGCUACUUGGAUGUCUAUUUUUUUUCCUAAUUUCCACAUGCAAACUGACAAAUAGAAUGUGAACAAAAUAAGGAUAACCCAGUCCACGACAAUGGGAUAUGGACCACAUGGAUGUCUAUUUUUUCCUAAUUUCCACAUGCAAACUGACAAAUAGAAUGUGAACAAAAUAAGGACAGCAUGGUAAUAAUGAUUGAAGAAUAACAAAUUUAGUAUUCGAUGGAAUAUAUUUUCUUUUUUUUUAAAAAAAUACAAUAAUUUCUAUGUAAAAUAUAAUAAUUUUUUUAUUUAUAAAAAGGUUUAAAUUGAAAAUGUAAUGAUUUUUAAAAAUUAAUUUAAAAAAGUGAAGUGUUAAAAGCUUUUUACUACUUUAAAUUUUGAAAAAAAUCAAGGAUAUAAAAGUUAAUAUUUUUUUAUUAGAGUUUUUAUUUUUUAAAAUAAAAAAUAAAAAAUUAUAUUUAAAGAAAGCUUUGCUUUAUAAAUUAUUAUAAAAAGCCUCAUUUUUUAAAUAAUAAGAUCAUCUGGUCAUUCCAAAGUGUAUAUGGAUUGUACGUUCUUGAUGGUUAUUCUUCUUGGAAGAUAUCAUCCAUACAAACCACUGCCAAUUUUUACAAUGGCUUCGAGUGAUAAAUGACAAAUACAAGAAUGACGAAUAAAACUAUGUUAUAUAUAUAUAUAUUAUUAUCAAAAUUUUGUUUUGUCAUUGCCAGCAUUUAUCUGCUGGUGGUAGAAACUAAGUAUACAAGUGCCUCUUUUCUUUGUCACGGCUUAAAAAUUUUUAAAAAUAUUUAAUUUUUUUUCGAAAACAUUUUUUUAAGUUAAAAACCUUUUCUAGAAUUACUAUUAAAUGACUCUUAAAGUCCAUUUAGUAAUGAUUUAAACAUUUGUAAUUAAAAAAUAAAAAUUUUCAAAUGUUAAAGGUAAUAAAAAUACUUUUUAAAAUUACUACUAAACGUAUUUUUGGAGUCUGUUUAACAGUAAUUUUAAAAAGUUUUUUUAUUUUAAAAAACAUUUUUGAAAAGAAAUUAAGUAUUUGAGAAAAUUUAGGAAACAAUUUUAAAAAUCUAAAAAAUUACUUAUAUUUCUAAUUUUAUAUUUACGGUUUCAAGAGAGCCUUAGGCAUCGUUUGUAGUAACCAAUGACAUAAGCAAAGAUGGUGGUGAUACUACGAAAUUUUUGGAAUACUGAGAAGUUGAAAAGCUAAUAUUGAUAGAGACCAUUUAAGACAUAGUGUACAGGCUUUGAAAUGAUAACACGUGUUCCUAUCGUGAGGCAAUAAAAAAGUGGUGUAUAUUUGCCGGCCAUUCCUCGCCAGUGCAUAGGAUAAGAAGUGAUGGGGCUACUCGUAUAAAUUGGUUCUCUCAACUAUGAAGUAAUUCAGAGGUCGCUCCUUGAAGUCUCUUCCAAAGCGGAAAUGAAGCUUAGCUCAGUUGCAAUCUCCUUUGUUUUUAUUACUCUCUUGAUAUAUGCAUGGAGGUUAUUGAAUUGGGUGUGGUUGAGACCAAAGAAGCUAGAGAGAUGCCUCAGGCAGCAAGGUCUGACUGGGAAUUCCUACAGCUGCUUGUAUGGGGACUUUAAAGAGAUGUCGAGAAUGAUUAACGAAGCAAAUUCCAGACCCAUCAGCUUCUCUGAUGAUAUUGUGCAGCGAGUUCUACCAUUUCACGAUCAUUCCAUCCAGAAAUAUGGUAUGAAAAUGAGCUACUCUUUAUCAUUGCACUAAAAUAUAUUUAUUUGUGGAAUUUUCCCCAAGGGAUUGUUGGUCUUUGGUUUUUUUUUUAUUAGUUAUUUUUCCUAUCCAUUUUUUUUCUUCUCUAAGAAGUUAUAGCCCAAUGGAAUUUCAAUGGUAUUUCAAAUUUCUUUUUUCUACGUCGGAGUGUAAUUUUUAAGGUUUAUUUGAUUAAAAAGAAUAAAAUAAUCCCAAGUUUAGAAAAAUAUCGUUAUGAUAAAAAAAAAAACUCAUUUUCUAAAAAUAAAAAUAAAAAUACUUAUUGUUUUUCUUUUCAACCUAAAAAAUGACCUUUUUUUUUUAAUAAAAUCAUACCCCAAAAAAAUGUGUUUUCAUAUGGUAAAAAAAAAAAAUUACAAAAUAGGAACUCAAAUUUAUAAAAUACAAAUUUCAAACAACUAUCUAAAAAUAAUUACCAUUUUAUGAACUUUUUUAUCUAAUGUGCUACCUUUGAUCAUCCUUAGUACUAUCUUUGAUAGGUAUAGAGGAUUCCUAUUUUAUAAUCAUUUUUGCCUGAGUGUGUAAAAACUCAUUUGUUCGAAUAUACUUAUUGUUUUUCUUAUAAAAAUAACAAUUUUUUUUUUAAAAAAAUGUACAAAUAAAUUAUCAAAAUAUUAAGAGAUGUUUAUAUAAAAAAUGAACUAAUUUUUAAGUUGAAAUAUGAGAGGUGUUAGAUUUACAAAUUUAGGAUUAUUUUAUCCCUUUUAAUUGUGUAAUUCAAUUUUUUUAUAAGCUAUAUGUAGGUAUAUAUAGAUGUCAACUUUGAUAAAUUGUUUAAUCAUUGGGAAAUGUGAAUAGUCUUUAAAUUUUUAUGCUAAUUGUUUCUCAUCUUUUCAAAUUUUGCAUGAACUUCUGACUUUUGAUAAUUAAUCACAUCAGUAUACUUUUCUUUAGAUAUUUGAGCUUCUUCAAUCAGAGAGCCUUGCAUUUGACUCCUUGAGUAUUCAGGUCCUUUAGAUCCUUUCUGACAUUUAUCCAACAAUGGGCAUUAAAAAUGCAGGUAAAAAUAGUUUUACAUGGUUGGGCCCAAAACCAGUGGUAAACAUUAUGGAGCCUGAGCUGAUAAGGGAUGUUUUCUUAAAGCACAAUGCCUUCCAAAAAGUACCGCCACACCCUCUCGGCAAGCUGCUGGCCACUGGUGUUGUUGCAUUGGAAGGUGAACAAUGGACUAAACGUAGAAAGAUCAUAAACCCAGCUUUCCAUCUAGAGAAGUUGAAGGUAGUUUUAAACUUUUGAGGCACUAUUUUUUUGGUUAUGCAGCCAGACCCCAACUUGUUGCCUGGUUUCUCUGCAUAGCCCUCUUCUUAUAGGAAAGAAAAUAAAUUUCUGAAUGUUCCAUAAUUUAGUAGACAUAUUCACAAUUUUACUGCCUCUUGUAAUCUUUUUUCUUAUGCAUGAUAAAUUUUUUCUAAAUUUAUUAUUUGUGUUUGAAUUUGUAUAGCACAUGGUAUCGGCAUUCCAAUUGAGUUGUAGUGAUAUGGUCAAUAAAUGGGAGAAGAAGCUCUCCCUGGACGGCUCAUGUGAAUUGGACGUUUGGCCCUAUCUUGAAAAUUUGGCGGGAGAUGUGAUUUCUAGAACUGCAUUUGGUAGUAGCUAUGAGGAAGGAAGAAGGAUAUUCCAACUUCAGAGAGAGCAAGCACAUCUUGCAAUCCAGGUUACUCGGUCAAUCUAUGUUCCCGGAUGGAGGUAGGCAUAAAAUAUUUCAAGGGAUUAAUCUGAACCUCAGUACUAAUACCCAAAUGCUAUAACUUUCACAGUAUCAUCAACAACAACAGUAAUAAUAAAAAUAAAAAUAAAAAAGAAGAAGAAGGAGGGUUUGAUCCAGCAUGGGACAAAAGCAAGAAUAAAAUUAAUAACUGUUAUAGCAUUUAAGAACUGUAUGAUGUUUCAUUUAUUUUGUUAAUAUGGCUCUCGACUAAUUUUUGUUUUCCUUUAAGAGCUUUCUUUUUGUACAAAUUAAAGAAUAUAGCUGUGUCUUCAAAACAAAAAUCAAGUUCAAGUAUCCCCUUUUCUUUUAUUGGCAGAACAUCUUAGCAAGAUGCAUGGUGAAAUACUACUAUAAAAUAUAUGUAGACUCAAUGAAGUCAUGGAUGAAAAUGCAUUAGUUGUUUCCUGUAUUUCAUUGAUCUUCAUUUACUUGGAUUACUUCCAAGCAGGUUUUUCCCAACAAAGACAAACAGGAGAAUGAGGCAAAUUAGCAAUGAAGUCAAUGCAUUGUUGAAGGGUAUCAUUGAGAAAAGAGAGAAGGCAAUGAAAGUUGGCGAAACUGCUAAUCAUGAUUUAUUAGGUCUACUAAUGGAAUCCAACUACAGAGAUAUGCAAGAAAAUGAUGAGAGGAAGAAUGUUGGAAUGAGCAUCAAAGAUGUCAUUGAGGAGUGUAAGCUAUUCUACCUUGCUGGCCAAGAGACUACCUCGGUUUUACUUCUGUGGACGAUGGUUCUAUUAAGCAAGCAUUCAAACUGGCAAACUCGCGCAAGGGAAGAGGUUUUACGGGUUUUUGGUAAUAAAAAACCAGAUGGUGAUGGCUUAAAUCACCUCAAAAUUGUGAGUAUCAAUCCAAAAUAUAUUCAAUUUAGUAACUCUUCUUGAAAAUAAUAUAUUACUCUUUUCUUUUUUUUUUCUUUUUUUUUCAAUCUUGAGGCAAAAUAUGUUUUGUUUCUGUAUCCUUUUUACUUUAAUUGAAAACUAUAUGCAGAUACUUGGUAUCCCCAAUGGAAUUUUUCUUUCCUUAUCUACGCGCACAAUGCAUCAGCACUGGCCAAUUGACUUUACUGAAGAAGGGGCGGACUAUUCUUUUCUUUGCGUGAAUUUUUUAUUUGCUUGUUAGGUUGUUUUGAGUGUGGUGAAAACUUUAUGCAAAUACUUAGUAUCAAUCAUUUACAAUACUUUAUGAUAAUCUUGAUAUUUCCUCUUGCCAAGCGUGUUUUCUUGAAAUUGGAACUCUGGGCUAUAAUAAAUUUUCCGGGGGUUCUUAGUUUGUAUUCACCAGUUACUGUAUGGCCCUAUAUGUACAUGAAAGUAUGUCAUGCAAAAAUUUAAACAAUCUCUCUCAUUACUAUAUUCGAAAAGUUCUUUCAUGGUUUGAUGUAUGCUUCUUAGUAAUCAUUUAGUGUAUUUCAGUAAUGAAUUUUCAUGAUAAAAAUAUUUUCUAUAUUGCAGGUUACUAUGAUUUUUCAUGAGGUCCUUAGGUUAUAUCCACCAGUGUCCAUGCUUCUUCGAACUGUUUUUGCCGACAGCCAAGUGGGAGGAUUGUAUUUACCAGAUGGAGUGCAGAUUGCUUUGCCAAUCCUCCUACUUCACCACGAUCAUGAAAUUUGGGGAGAGGAUGCAAAGGAAUUCAACCCGGGGAGAUUUUCAGAAGGAGUUUCUAAGGCAGCAAAGACCCAAGUUUCAUUUUUUCCAUUUGGUUAUGGUCCUCGGAUAUGCGUUGGACAAAAUUUUGCAAUGAUGGAAGCAAAAAUGGCUUUGGCAAUGAUCUUACAACGUUUCUCAUUUGAACUUUCCCCAUCCUAUGCUCAUGCACCUAUUAGUCUUAUAACUAUGCAACCCCAGUAUGGUGCACACCUGAUUUUACAUGGACUUUAGCAUCAGAGUUCUUGUUAUCAGUGAGAGUUAGCAAGACCUUUAAACCUAGAUAGUGUUGAAUUUAAAAUGCCCACACUUCCUUUCACUUGAAAUGAGUGCUCUUUAAAGCCAUUAUAUUAAUAAAAUUCUCUUUUGUAUGUUUGUAAGAGAUCAUAUAUAAAAAUGAUCACUUUACAAGGAGAUGCAUUUUUCUCUAUUCUUGUCCCCCCAAAAUGAAAAGAAAAGAAGAACUGCUGACAAUCUAUAUUUGGAGAAUGGACAUACAUUGAAAUUAUUUCUGAUGGGUGACCAUGCAUGUUGUGAUAUCUACAAGGAAACUACCAUUCCAAUAAUAGGAGAAAUAUUCUCAUUUGUUCUUAUCGUUAUAGAGUGGUGUCUCAUUCACUAUAAUUGGGUAGUAGACUCUUACGGAAUUUUAUGGCUAGGUAUCUGUAAAGAAGUUCGUACUAAAUUGGGUAGCAAGAUAAUACAAUUUUGGAGUUACUACCUCUAAGAAGUUGUCUGCGUACACUUGAUUCCAAUCCAUGUAAUGACAAAUUAUAAACCUCAGGGGCCCGGUCCACCCCCUAUUUUUAUUGGAUCUACAAUUUUGCCAUUCUCCAAGAGUUUUAGACAACUUCACAAUGUUCCACAACCUUAACGAACCUUUUGGAUGAGCUUGAUGUGGUUGCAGUAGCUUUACAUGAUUGCUAUAAUCCCAUAUUGGAAGCUUAAGAAAGAGGAACCUCUCCUAGUACCUAUAAAAAGAGGACCUUGUAAUUUAUUGUUGAUAAGAGAUCGUAUAGAGAAGUUUCUUAUUGUUAUUUCACUUGAUUUCUUCAAGUGUAGUAUUCUUAUUUUCUUCUAGUUUCACUUCUGCAGCAAGCCAAACUCACUGGGAUGCUCAGAGUUUUUAGGUGCUCAAACACUACAUGGAUUUUUAGGAGAGAUCUUGGUCUACCAAAAGUGGUGGACUUGUUAGAAAGCACUAGCAAAAUAAAAAUAAAAAUAGAAAGAAAGAAAGAAAAGCGAAGAAAUCAUUGAUAAUAAAAUAUUCACAACUGAUCUUGACAUGUGGAUAAAUGAUUUCAUAAUCAAGAAGUAUUCACAAUUGCAAAACCAUCCACAAGCUUACAUGCAUGCCCUUUUAGCUUUGUGCUAUAUAUUUAGAAUUUUGGGAGAAGCAAAGAAAGAAAAAUGAAGAAUAUUUUUUAACAAUUGAAUUUAAAAUCAUGAUGCACUUUCAUCUAUUUAUAGCUAGGCAUAACAAUAAAUUAUAACAUUUUAUAUAUUUUAACUUUACAAAGUCUACCAAUGACUUUACACCUAUUCUAACAUUACAAUUUAUUUGUGAAUUUAUAAUGUAACUUCACAAUUAAUUUGUAACUUUAGAACUUUUGUUUCUAACUUCAUAAUCGAUUAUAAAUUUACAACUUUUGCAACUUCACAAGUUAUUGGUGUCUAUCUACUACCUUUUGUAACUUUAUAAUUCAUUGUACAUUACAAUAUUUUAAUUUAUAAAGUAAAUGUCUAUGAUUAAUUAACUUAUUUGUAUGUUAUGAACCCUUUAUAUUUCAAAGUUAAUUGUCUCUUAUCAAUAAGUUAAGGUGAGGACAUAUGGUAUGGGACCUUUGUGGGAUCUUUAAUUACAUCCUUAGUAAGUUUGUUAUGUUUGUUCCAAAUAAAUUUAUUAAUUAUAAUUAUAUUUAAAACAUAUUAUAAUUUCACCCCAAGAAUAGGAGAUAUAUAAGUCAACUUCCCACUUAUAUAUAUACAUAUUAAUCCUUCCAUUAAUUAAUAUUCAUAACAAGUUUAUUAGGUUGAACCAAGAUGACUGUCAUUACCCAAAUUACAAGUGCAUCACCUCUUAUAAUUGGAUCUUUAAGAAAAACAAUUUAAAAAUUCCUAAUAAACAAUAUACUAUAUUAUAGAUAUGUACACUUGAUAGAAUACUUAUUCUAAAUUGACCAACUGAUAUUUUAAUAUAUUUUGUAAGUGACACAAUAUUGAAUAUUCUCUCAUAAUAUAGUCUAUUAUUAGACAUCAACAACUAACAACAUCAAAGCUAUAUUUACAUAACUUGAUGACAUCCUUAAGCCAAAGGACUUUAUGCAACACUAAACAAAACAAGUUUUUGUUGGAAUAUCUAGAUUACUCCAUUCCAAGCAUCGUCUCAUGGAGUGCAUACUACUACAAUCCUAAGGAUACUAGAUUUAAUGCAAUGGAAGCAACAAAAACAAAAAUGUUAGAUUUAGGUGCUCCAGAAAACAAUACUUAUGAUUUGAACAGUCCUAAAUCAACUCUAGUUGGUCAAUAGUAUGAUUUAGAUCUUGAAAACAUUGCAAUUUUUUUUCUAAUGGCUCUCUCCUAAACCUUACAUGUGAGAAUGGUGGAAUCCUUUCUAUGGAGAUGAAGGCUAAGGCUCUAUCUUGUUUAAAGGUUGAAUAAUUGAAGUUAUAAGCCUUAAACCCUCAAUAGGAUUUAUAUAGUCUUUGUCUAUGGGCUUAAGUGGCUUGUGCCCAUCUUGGGUUUAGGUCGGUUAAUCUAGCCUAUUGGUUCCUAAUUAAUUAAUUAGUCAUAUUGGGAUACAAUUAUGCAACCUUGUGUAUUUAUCAAAAUACCCUUAUACACACAUAUGAACAAAAAACACCCUAAUAUCCUUCAAAUAAUUAAUGUGCCACCAAGGAAUAUGAACUUGAGUAGGGACUAUAAGGACCUAUAGGAAAAUAAUGGCCUUUUCAUAAUCUAAUUAUGAAGUUAACUCAACACUGUCAUGCUUCCUUGCACCCUUCUAUACACAUAAGGUUCAUUCUUGUUUUGACCAAAAUCAAGGGUCUUAAUUUCAUGUUCUAAACAUUUGUUCCAUGAGCAAGAAGCUUGAAUUAAUCCAAAAAUAGACUUAUGCAAUUUGCAUACUAGAUGCUCUCUGCCCUUUGCUAUGAAAACAUCUGGUUGUAUCAUAUAAAUGCUCUCAUCAAGGUAGUCAUUUAAGAAUAUUGUCUUGACAUCCAUAUGACAUAUCUCAUAAUUGAGAUAAACUGCAAUGUAUAUGAGUACUUCGAUGGAUUUGAGUAUGGCUACCAUAGAAAAAGUUUCCCAUAGUCAAAACUAGGUUUCAAACUAUAAACCUUUAGCUAUAAGCUUAGCCACAAAAGUCUCAAUUGUUAGGAUAAAGCCUCAAAAGCAUGAGAAGAUGUCAUAAAAAAAGUUUCCAUUUCUAUCAUUGAUUGCAUUAAUUUUUACCCGAGCAUUCAAAGCUCGUAUGAUUACUAGUCAAAAAGUGUUAUUUCAUAGCUUGUAAUUAACUCUUUUAAACACUUUUGAGUAGUAGUUAUCACCUUUUAACCCAAUUAACAUAUUAAGGACCCUUGCAAUCAAUUCUAAUCAAAUUGUGUUAAGUUUUGGUGUUUUGAUAGCCUUUUGAUCACCAAAGCAAUCCAAGAUUGAGGAGAGUUCUUUAGGAAUCCAUGGCAAAAGAUGUCCGGACAGGGUGUCCGGACACACCAUUAGAGAGCGGCAGAACAUGGGCUGUAGCAAGGCUUGCUCACUUUAGUCAAUGUUUUCCAUCCGGACAACAUAUCCGGAUAGGAUAUGCUGUCAUCCGGGAGAGGGGUCCCUAUACCUUGCACACGCAGACGGUCCCCCUUGCGCAGCAUAGCUCAGUCCACCCGGGGAGGAAUUCCGUCCGUCGACAUUUCACAUUCGGAAUUCCAUGCGCCAACAUUUUACAUCCGGAUAUCUCACAGCCGGAUGGGAGAGGAGGACGUUUCAACUUCUCCGGUCAGACAUAUCCAGAUCCUCUGAUAGCGUUCACCCGGAGAGCAUCUGCGGUCGACAUUUCAGAUUACCCGGAUUUUGCACAAUGUUGCAGUGUUCUCCUGAAGCUUCCCGAUAUUUGCCACCGACUAAGAUUUUUUCUCUUAAGAUAUUUUGUGUAAAUUUCUAUUUUCUCCUUGUAAUCAGUCAAAGAUAUUAUUGGGAUAUUUCUUAGAAAAUAACUUCUCUAUAUAUAUCUUUGAACCAUUGUAAAGAGGAGAGAUAUUAUAUAUAUAUAUAUGAAACCGAUGAACAGAGCACUUGCUCUGUUUUUGUUCUUCAUAUUUUUGUUUUCUUGUUAGUUUUCUUUCUAGCCAAUCAAACUCUGAGGAUUUUUCCUUAGAGGAUGAGAGGCUAGGCUCUUUGUCUCUUGGAGUGAAGAAAGCCGGGUAAGUUUCCUCAUGCAUAAAUUGGAAGUUUUGUUGUUUUAGUUUUUAAUGAAGAGAAAGUGUGAUCCGUUAAUGGUUUUUAUCUUUUUAGUUAACUUAAAACGCCUUUAACUCACCUAGGCCAACACUUGAUAAGGCAAGUGAUCUCCAUCCAUUGAGAUGCACUUGUUUAUCUCUUGCGAGCCUUUGGGAGGUGGUUUAGAGGUAGGAUUUUCUAGAAUUGCCAACACUUGGUAAGCUUUUGGACUCUAAGGAGACAUCCAUUAGUUAUCUCUUGCGAGCUUGAGAAGGGAAGUCCAAAGUUAAAGAUCACCUUGAAUGGCAAAUGCUAGGUGAGAGGCAUGAGCCAUUGAAAGUUGCAUCAGUGAGAGGGAUUUAGUGUUUGAACCCAUUAAAGGGAAGCAUCUGUACCACACCGGUUAGAGAAUUAACUAUAUGUUAAUUCUCUAAUGCGAGGAAAAGAAACAAGUGACCGGAACUCUCCUUUUUGUAUGAGGAACCUGAGCCUAGUGAUCUAAACUCCAAGAAACACUUUUCUUUGUAGUUAAAAUUAGUUACUAUUUUUUGUUAGCUUAAAACCAAACCUUUUUCAUUCAAACAUCUUUAUGUUUUCUUUUAAAGCUGACUUUGAAAGGAAAAUGCACCAAUUCAUCUUUGAAAUAAUAUCAAUUGUGGAGUGAAAACCCAUCCCAGUGAACGACCCUAGAGCCACUAUGCUAUGCUAGCUAAGGCUAUCCUAGUAUGAUUCAUUCUCAAUUGGUGUCUCAGCUGAUUCAUGUCCAACUAGUGCUCCUUGACUGAGGAAGUGAUCAAUAAAAUUUAUAACCUAUAUCACCAUGCAUUAGGAUAGCUUUAGCUAAUAUAGCAUAGUGACUCUAGGAUCGUUCACUGGGAAGGGUUUUCAACUCACAACUGAUACCAAUUCAAAGCUGAGUUGGUGCUUUUUCAUUUCAAGGUUAGCUUUAAAAGAAAACAUAAAGAUGUUUGAGUGAAAAGGGUUUGGUCUUAAACUAACCAAAAAGAAAGUAAUGGAAAUUACUUAUGAAGAAAAACAUUCCUUGGAGGUUUAGGUUCACAGGGGAGGUUCCUUAUGCAAAAACAAAGCCCCGGUCAUUUGGUUCAUUUCCUCGCAUUAGAGAAUUAACAUAUAGUCAAUUCUCUAACCGGUGCUAUACAGAUAUAUCCUUUAAAUGGAUUUUAGCUCUAAUUCCCUCUCAUUGAUGCAACUUGCAAUGGCUCGUGCCUCUCACCUAGCAUUUGCCAUUCAAGGUGAUCAUUAACUUUGGACUUCCCUUCUUAAGCUCGCAAGAGAGAACUAAUGGAUGUCUCCUUGGAGUCCAAAAGCUUACCAAGUGUUGGCAAUUCUAGAAAAUCCUACCUUCAAGUCACUUCCCAAAAGCUCGCAAGAGAUAAACAAGUGCAUCUCCAUGAACGGAGAUCACUUGCUUUACCAAGUGUUGGCUCAAGUGAAUUGAAAGUGUUUUAAGCUAACUAAAAACAUAGAAAUCAUUAAAGGAUCACACUUUCUCUUCAUUAAUGAUUGAAACCACAAAGCUACUAAUUCUUGCACUUGGAACCUUUCCCGGCAACCUUAACUCCAAGGAACUAAAAGUCUAGCCACUCAUUCUCUAAGGAAACUUCCUCAGAGCUUGUUUGGCUAGUAAGAAAACUAACGAGAAAACAAUUAUAUGAAGGAAAAACAGAGCAAGUGCUCUGUGAAAUAUAUUUCUUUCUUCCGUCGAUUACAUAAUAGAUUGUAAAGAAAAUUACAAACUAUAUAUCAGGUUAUUCACCCUUUGUUCUUACUUAAAGACUAAGGAAUCCUAUGAUAGGUGGGUUACAAGGAGACUUUGGGGAUUUAGAAAACAAAUAUCUAAAGCAAAAUAUCUCAAGAUGUCGGUCGGAAAUAUCAAGAAGCUUCAAGAGAACACCGCGGCACUGUAUACUGAGAGAAAAACUCUCUUAGUAAGCGCUAUCAGAGGAUCCGGAUAAGUCUGACCGGAGAAGUUGAAACGUCCUCCUUUCUCAUCCGGCUGUGAGAUAUCCGGAUGUAAAAUGUCGGCGCACGGAAUUCCGGAUGUGAAAUGUCNNNNNNNNNNNNNNNNNNNNNNNNNNNNNNNNNNNNNNNNNNNNNNNNNNNNNNNNNNNNNNNNNNNNNNNNNNNNNNNNNNNNNNNNNNNNNNNNNNNNAAAGCUGAGUUGGUGCUUUUUCAUUUCAAGGUUAGCUUUAAAAGAAAACAUAAAGAUGUUUGAGUGAAAAGGGUUUGGUCUUAAACUAACCAAAAAGAAAGUAAUGGAAAUUACUUAUGAAGAAAAACAUUCCUUGGAGGUUUAGGUUCACAGGGGAGGUUCCUUAUGCAAAAACAAAGCCCCGGUCAUUUGGUUCAUUUCCUCGCAUUAGAGAAUUAACAUAUAGUCAAUUCUCUAACCGGUGCUAUACAGAUAUAUCCUUUAAAUGGAUUUUAGCUCUAAUUCCCUCUCAUUGAUGCAACUUGCAAUGGCUCGUGCCUCUCACCUAGCAUUUGCCAUUCAAGGUGAUCUUUAACUUUGGACUUCCCUUCUUAAGCUCGCAAGAGAUAACUAAUGGAUGUCUCCUUGGAGUCCAAAAGCUUACCAAGUGUUGGCAAUUCUAGAAAAUCCUACCUUCAAGUCACUUCCCAAAAGCUCGCAAGAGAUAAACAAGUGCAUCUCCAUGAACGGAGAUCACUUGCUUUACCAAGUGUUGGCUCAAGUGAAUUGAAAGUGUUUUAAGCUAACUAAAAACAUAGAAAUCAUUAAAGGAUCACACUUUCUCUUCAUUAAUGAUUGAAACCACAAAGCUACUAAUUCUUGCACUUGGAACCUUUCCCGGCAACCUUAACUCCAAGGAACUAAAAGUCUAGCCACUCAUUCUCUAAGGAAACUUCCUCAGAGCUUGUUUGGCUAGUAAGAAAACUAACGAGAAAACAAUUAUAUGAAGGAAAAACAGAGCAAGUGCUCUGUGAAAUAUAUUUCUUUCUUCCGUCGAUUACAUAAUAGAUUGUAAAGAAAAUUACAAACUAUAUAUCAGGUUAUUCACCCUUUGUUCUUACUUAAAGACUAAGGAAUCCUAUGAUAGGUGGGUUACAAGGAGACUUUGGGGAUUUAGAAAACAAAUAUCUAAAGCAAAAUAUCUCAAGAUGUCGGUCGGAAAUAUCAAGAAGCUUCAAGAGAACACCGCGGCACUGUAUACUGAGAGAAAAACUCUCUUAGUAAGCGCUAUCAGAGGAUCCGGAUAAGUCUGACCGGAGAAGUUGAAACGUCCUCCUUUCUCAUCCGGCUGUGAGAUAUCCGGAUGUAAAAUGUCGGCGCACGGAAUUCCGGAUGUGAAAUGUCGGAGCACGGAUUUCCAGAUGUGAAAUGUCGGCGCACGAAAUUCCUCCCGUGUUGGACUGAGCUAUGUUGCGCAAGGGGGACCGUCUGCGUGUGCAAGGUGUAGGGACUCCUUUCCCGGAUGACACAGAGUGCGCAAGGCUAUCCGGAUCAACUCCAUCUGGAUUCCCCAAGAAGACAUGUGGUGCGCUCCCCUAUCCGGACUCCCUCAGGGAGAAGCACACGACACUCAUGAAUAUCACACCCAGACGAUAGCAUAUCCUAUCCGGAUAUGUUGUCCGGAUGGAAAACAUUGACUAAAGUGAGCAUGCCUUGCUACAGCCCAUGUUCCGCCGCCCUCCGAUGGUGUGUCCGAACGCCCUAUCUGGACAUCUUUGCCAUGGAUUCCAAAGAACUCUCCUCAAUCUCUGAUUGCUUUGGUGAUCAAAAAGCUAUCAAAACACCAAAACUUAACACAAUUUGAUUAGAAUUGAUUGCAAGGGUCCUUAAUAUGUUAAUUGGGUUAAAAGGUGAUAACUACUACUCAAAAGUGUUUAAAAGAGUUUAUUUCAAGCUAUCAAAUAGCACUUUUUGAGUAGUAAUCAUAGUACAUGGUGUAAUAGGUUAUAAAUUUUGUUGAUUGCUCCCAUCUGAGGACUGAAAUCAAGACACCAGUUGGACACGAAUCAAAUGGCACCACUGUCAGGGACCAUUGAGAGGACACGAAUCAGCUGAGACACUAAUUGGGAAUGAAUCAAAUGGCGCCAUUGCCGGGGAUGGUGCCACUUUACAGUGAUAUCACCUUUCCAUAGUACUUGUGAUCUUCAUCACAAGUGUGGUGACUUUUCUUUUCUUUUUACUAACUCUUUUUAUUUGUUUUUGUUUUUUUUCUUUGUUCAUAUUUUAGUAUAUCUUUUAUUUAGUUUUUGGUUAAUAUUAAUAAUUUUCUUUUUUCUUUAGAUUUUUUUUUCUUUUAUUUUCUUUUGUUUUCUCUAUUUUUAAUUCACAAAUUGCUAGUUGUGCAUGUCAUAUUGAAUAUGAGAUAGCAGAGGAAGCCAUGAACUUCAUGAGUUAUGUGGCUGAAGUUUCAAGAGGAUGGGAUGAACCAAAUGCUCGAGAUAUGGGGAGAAUGACGUCUCAACCUAAUGCUAAGGGUGAGAUGUAUAUUUUGAAUGACGACAUACACAUGAAAGCAAAGAUUGCAGCUAUGGCAAGGAGAUUGGAAGAGCUAGAAAUGAAGAAGAUGCAAAAAGUGCAAGCCAUCUCUCAGACACCAUUGCAAGCUAUGCCUUGUGCCAUUUGUCUAUCUUAUGAGAACUUGGUGGAAGAGUGUCCUACCAUUCCAACGGUGAGAGAAAUGUUUGGUGAUUGCAACACCUAUAAUUCCAAUUGGAGGAAUCAUCCAAAUUUUUCAUGGAAGCCAAGAGCACCUCAGUACCAACAGCCGACUCAACCAUCUCAACCAUCCCAACAAGCUUCAAGUCUUGAACAAGAAAUAGUGAAUCUCAGCAAGGUUGUGGGAGAUUUUAUUAAAGAACAAAAAUCCAUCAACUCUCAACUCAGUCAAAGAAUUGACAGUGUAGAGAAUAGGAUGGAUGGGAUUCAAAAUGAUUUAUCUCAGAAGAUAGAUAAUCUCCAAUAUUCAAUCUCAAGGUUUGCCAACCUCAACAAAGUGCAAGAAAAAGGAAACUCUCCUUCUCAACCUCAUCAAAAUUCAAAGGGUAUCCAUGAAAUAGAGGCUAAGGAGAGAGAUAAAAAGGUUGAUCUGCCCACAUCCAAGCUAGAGCAUGAGGUAGAGAGUGAAACAGAGAAAGAAAAGAGGGAGGAAAUCAAAGGAAAGAGAGAGGGGAAAAGCAUAGAGAAAGAUGACUAUAUAGAUGAAGAACCACAGAGGAUAGUCAUCAAGGAAGAAAUAAAGAAACACAUGCCUCCACCUUUCCCCCAAGCUUUGUAUGGGAAAAACAUACAAACCAAGUCUCAAGUGAGAGACACAAACUUCAUAUGGGAUCCGGGCAAGCUAAAUCAGGAUCAAAUUUUUUGAUGGACUUAGUCUUUCUAAAGACUAGCUAGUCCAUACCUUUUUGUUUUACUUAUUACUUGUUUUAAUUUUGAUUUCAAUGCUUUAAUUCUAAUUUGUUUUGAUGUAAUAUAGGUUUUUGGAUGAUCAAAAUCAGAACGGAAAUGUUGCAUUUUGCUACUGUUGGACACAUUUUUGAAGGCCUUCAUGGAGCUCAAAUUAUGCAUACUAUAUCUCUUUUUUAAUCUUGGGAAGUCAGGAGUCCAUAGCUUCAAACGGUGCUCGAUUUGGAGUUGAAACGAAGAAGUUAUGGCCGUUUGAAGACGAUCGCGCAAAGCACCAACGGGAAUUUCGCAGCUGCAAAAUGGGCUACAAAAUUCCCAUUUUGUUGCAGGAAAGCCCUCUCACUGAGAUCACACACACAAAGCCUCUUAAUCCAUUUCUUACCUCCUUAAAACCAUCAGAGCCCAUAGCUCCAGUUGAGGAGACUACCAAAGCAGAGGCCAAAGUCCUGAUCCAACCCACUCAAGAGGCCACCACAGAUGCAUCAGCUCCACAAGACCUUACCAUUACUUGAUCAUCUCUUUACUUUUUGUCUUUACAUAUUAUAUUAAUAUAAAUAAUUCCAUAUUUUGAUGUCUUAUAUUCUGGGAUUGGAUGUAUUACUGAUGAUACAUCAUAUAUAGACAUCAUUUUUUGUUUAAACUUGGCAUUUGUCUAUUUCCUCUACUCACUAACUCUUUUGUUUUUUUUGAAACAUGUGGUUUCUCCUAUACGACUCAGACUCCAUGUCACUAAGGAGGUACCACUUCCUCCCUAUUUUUCAAUCGCUUUUGUCACAUUGAGGACAAUGUUCAACUUAGUUGGGGGGAGAGUUGAGGAAGGAAGUUUUUGUUAUUAAUGCUAAGUUAUUUUGGUAAUUUAGUUGCUUUUUGCUUAAUUUUAAAAUUUUUUAAGUUUUUAUUCUACUCUCCAUGGUUAUUAAGGAAAAAUUUUCAAAAUGAAAAGAGAGAAAUUGAAUUUUUGUCUUUUUCACUUGACUUAGAUUUUGUAUUAUGCUUACUAAAGUUGAUAAAUUGUUGAAACUUCUAUUGAAUUCAACCUUAGUUCUUCCACUUUAAACUAUUCACACAAUGUGCACAAUAGGUUCCGAUUAUAAGAUGAAAAACUAUUUCCCUCUUGACUUAGGAAAAUUUUAGACUUGGUACCUUUGACCUCAUUUUAAUAGUGUUGGGACACCUUAUAAAAGGCCAAUGAGCCUGUGAAAAAAAAAAAAGAAUAGAGAAAGAAAGAAAAAAAUGCUUGCUUGCCUUGAAACCCGAGCAAGGUCCGAGGGGUAUAUGGUGAAAAUCUUUAAAACCUGGUGCCCUAAGCCUUCAUUGGUUGGGAGUCACCGACCUCAAUGCUCGUUACAAGGGUGGAUAGGUGGAGUUUAACAUACUGUAGGUGCUUAGGUAUUAAAAUUCAUUCUCAAAAGUCCGGGUUAAAAUCCGAGGAGUUAGUGGUUGAAAGAUCCUUAAAACUUGAUGCCCUAAACCUUAAUUGGUUGGGAGUCAUCGAUGGACCCCCGUUACAUGGACAAUUUAGAAAAGAAUACCUUUAGCCUUGUACUCCUACAAGAAAAAAAUUGUGAAAUGAGAGGUGCGUUCUUAACCUAUUGGAGGUUGAUCAGUUUGCUAAGCUUUGAAAAAGAACUAGGUUUGGGGGAGAGAUUAGUUCAACAUACUUGUAAACUCCCAUUUGGGGCUCAUUCCUUUGCAUCUCUACAGGUUAUAAUUUUUUGCAAGUGGAGGGCUCUCAAGGAGCCACGUGCCCAUUCAUGGUUGGUUGCUGUGGAAUCAGCUUAGUGGAGUUGAUGGACGAAUGGGAAAGCAACACGUAUGAAAGGAUAUGCUGGGGAUUUUGCAAGCCGUUAGAGGGAGCAGGCCAGCGGUAGGAGAGGGGAGGCGUUUCUGUUGAGGGGCAGCAGGCCAGCUGCAGGUGGUGCGUUUUUCUGGAGGUGGAGUGCUUUUCAGGUGGGGCUUUUCCAUUAGAGGGAGGCUGCAGAGAUCUUUGAGAGGGAGCUUUUGGUUUGGUUGUUUCGGGGAAGAAAGCUGGUGGGAGAGAGGGGAGGCCUCCAUUGACGAUUGCGAGAGAUAUUUUUGGGGCCUCAGGGAAAUCUUGACAGGAGGGAGCUUUUUUUUAUUUGGUGGUUUUUGAGCUUAGGCUGCCGGAGAGAUAUUAGAGGGAGAGUGUUUUCCUUCUGCAGAAGGAGGAGUUUUUUUUUUAGAGAGGAGAACGAGAGAGAGAGAACAGGGAGGUUUAAGGUUGGAGCAGAGAGGUGAGUUUUGGAGAGCUUAGAGGAGAGUAGAGAGAAACCCAGAGCAAAAAGGAAAUGACAUUUUGGUGGUUGUUGUAGUACAAGGAUGUUUUUGAGGGUGUUCAUUGGGCUUGAGGGGCAAGUUUGAGGGGAAGAGAUGAAAGAAGAUGCUGGAGGCAAGUCUUGCUGAGGGUUAUUUUUGUGAGAGGAAAAAGUUUUGAGGUUAAGGAAGGAGCCAUAGUCUGGAGCAGAGAUCUUGAGGAAAGUAAAUGAGCAGAGGAAGGAUAUCUUCAGCUGUUUAGAGAGAGUUCAUGAAAGCUGUUUGAAGAAAGACACAUAGGAAUAGCCUUGGAAGAGGGUGAUACAGGUAUUGUUCUUGUAAUAUGAGGAUUCUUUUGUGUUCAUGGCAUUUUAUUAUGUUUACUGGUUAUCAUGAGAUUCUAUCUUGACAUAUGAAUGCAAGCAGGUGAAACUCCUACCUAUGUUCUCUCAAUAUUUGUGUUCGCUCACCCUCAUCCUGCGUUUGGUUUCUAACUUGUCAUCUGGACUCUGUUUUAUGAGUUGUCGGUCAUUUUGAUUUAAUUUCUCUUUGCAAACUAUUUGAAACCUAUUUUUUUUCUUUAUCCACCUCUGCGUCGUGAGCUCGUUAAUUGAAAUAUGAAACGCAGCUUUCAUGAGCCCCUUUUUGUUCCUGCUCUGUGCUCUGUUUUUGCCACCCUCCUCUGUUCUUGGUAUUUGAUCAUGGGAGGUUGCCCCUUAUGUGUGAAGAAGAGAGUAUUGGCUUGAUAGGUCUGGAUUCUCAAGUCGUCCAUAGUGGUAGAGGACGUAUUCUGGGGAUCAGAUCCAUGACUUUGUUGCGUUUUUGUUGAUUGGAGGAGUGACAAUUUCCCAAGGGCAUGUAACGCAUGUGCUGGUGACUAUGGCAGAUGACAAUGAUGACAUUAACGGACUAUGACCACUAUUUUGGAGCCAUGGCUUGACACAUGGCAUCGCGUAGUGGAUUGGUUGAUACUAUUGAGUGGCCCAUUAAUAUCGAUUAUCCUGAUCAAUAACAAAGGGAAACUGAGCAUAUCAACCAGCUUAUCUCUUCUCUGUCUGAUGAGAUACCUCAUAUACAGACCUUCAAAGGGAAAUGGGCAGUUAUCAGAGGCAAGCUGAGUGAUCUCAGGACCCAAGUGGCUGAUUUUGGUGACUUUCCUGGGUUCAAGUCCAAUCCUCUUUCUAUGGAACUCAUGCAGUCCAUUUCGCAGACCCUACAAGACGCCGUUUUGGUGGCUUCGAGGUGUAGAGAGUCUGAGUUGUCUCAGGGGAAGCUCAAGACCCAAAGCGAUAUAGACUCGAUUUCCGCGAAGCUGGACCGUUUGAUCAAAGAUGGUGAGAUCUUGAUAGGGAGUGGAGUGCUUCAAGAUGGGGUAUUAGUGGGUUCGAAGAAAGAAGUAGUGCGUCACUUACAUGAAGACAUGCCUCAAAUUGUUGACAUCUAGCUCAUUGGGGAGACUAUCCGAGUUUUUGAGACUUACCUAGCUGAGUAUUGAUGUUGAAACGGAGAUGCGGUUUAGUAGGAGCGGCAGUCAUGAUUAGCAAGAAGGUGUGGUAUUGUCAUGCAAGUUCCCUGGGUUUGAGUUUAUGCUUUCUGAAAGGUGGUUGUUUAAUUAUGAUACUGUUCCACCAUGGACUCUUAGAUCUGGUGCAGUGAUAUCUGCUGCUUUUCUUUGGUUGAGCUUUUAGCUCAAUUAUUCAAGGAGUGAGAUGGGAUUGGACUUUAAAUUCUGAUUUGACCUUCUAUCCAUCCCAAUCAUGCAUGCAUAUAGGGCCAUCCUCCAUAAUACCCGCAUUCCCAUUCUUCAAAUAUCCAUUAUUCCACCCUUCCCACUACCUAUUCCACCCAUGACGCCCAUUUCCUCCAUUCAUUACACCCAUCUGCUAUAACCCAUUCCACAUAGCCAUAUCCUUUAUGCCCACCUUCUCACUACCCGUAUAUAUGCUUCAUAGCCUUCAUCCCUAUUCCCAUGCAAAUGCCUCACUAACUCUCUAAUGCCCAUCUCACUCAUUCUUUUCAUCACCACCCCACCUUCAUUAUUUCAUACCCAUUUCUAUUAUCACCAUUCUCUCUCUACACCACCAUGCACCAUGUCAUUCCUCAUCUGCUCAUCAUAUCCAUGUACCAUAGCUAACCCUACAACCAUAUUCACGUCAAAUUUUCUUCCAUGCAAACCCAUUUUCUAUAAAUCCCAUGCGUGUUGCUACCCUUACUCACCUACAUCAAUCUCUCCCCCUCAUUGUCAACACUGGUCAUCUGGAGUCUGUUGGUCCAUGUUCUUAGGCAGCCUUUCAUCACCGGAGUGUCACGGGUCUGGAAGUUGUUUCCCUUAUCACUCACAUUUGGAAAGGUAUAUGUAUUGGGCUACUUCCAUCUUUGUUGCAUUGGGCCUGUGUUGCUUCUUCUAUAUUUUGGGCGCAUGGCAACGAUGUGGUUUCGGGAAGGGAGACAGCAUGGACAUUGAAGUCACCAAACAAGCGGACUGCCGUUUCUCUCCAAUUUGAAUUUUGAGACUCGUCAUGAAGAUGAAGCAGGAGAAUGAUUGCUGUCGUACAGGGUGAAGUAAGCUCCUAAAAUGAAUCCAGUGUUUUAGGAUAGAUAUUGUUGUUGACGGGGUGGCAAUUAGAUGUAGUUGCGGAACUAGCUGCUCCCAAAGAAGAUAUGAAUCUGACUUGUUUGUUGAAUCAGCAGCUUGUGUAGCAACAGAACAACCCCUUGCUUGCUCUAUUAGGUCCAACUGGAAACAAAUUGAAGAGUAAGGGUGCUACUUUAAUCCUCAAAGCAUUGGAAGGAUACCAAGCACAGUUCGGCAAGAUCAGUUGCAAGCAAUCAUGGAUUUGACCUACUAAACAUCAAUGGUGAUUCCGCCAAAGUGUCAUUGUGUGAAAUAUAGGGGGAUGACUUGAGUCAAUACCUGGGCAACCUAUUGUUAAUCCACCCUCACCCCAUGCAAGUCUGGGCUCGUCUUUUAAUCCUGAAUAUAUUUGGGUCAAUGGACGCCUCCAGGGUAUUUUGAUGUACCCAUUAAUGCGAGCUGAUCAUCCACUCAAAGUCUCGAGAUGGCGGGUCAAUUUCUGGAAAGGGUAAUUGAAGAGGAAACUUGUGCAUAUAUAGACAGAAUGGGACUCUGUUGCAAGGAAAUUUAAUGAGGACGUGAACGUUAAGUUCCUAGGCUUCAAAGGAUUUGGAAACUUAAGUUGUGCAGAGAUGACACCCCCUAUUUGCCAGCAUUUUGAGACCAGAGGCACAAAAUCAAGGCGGAAUUGGAAAGUCUUUUAUUAGUGCCCAAGUCAAGGACAGUUGACAGUUAUUUGAUAUUCCGAGAAGCUUGGGAUAGGAUUCUUCCCUCAUGAUCUUGAAUGGGUACAUGACAAUAGUACCAGUCUUCAACCCCAGGGUAUUCUUACCCUGGACCCACUCUUUAAGCUUCUUAGUUGCAUGGCCACCUUUGGCAUGCAAUUUUGGACCACUUGUCCUUGCUCCAUUUUUUCUCUUUUUGAUUUUAAAAAUAAUCUUCCUGGAAUCAAAUACCAUCUUGUAAAUAUUUUUUUCAAAUUCUGAUUUUCAAAUGAUCCAAAAUUUCCCAUUUUCCAUCCUUAGAAUUUUUGGAUACCGAAACCUCAUUUUCAAUAAAAAUUCGGUUGCCAUUUUUUCUUCCGGCAAGCCACUUUUGCAUUUUCUUUAUUUUUAAAAUAAGUAAGAAUUAAAUUCCGUAAUUCCAAGUGAUGGAAGUUAUGGAAUUGAUUCAUGCAAAAUAGAUCGGGCUUUGGUGGGGGCCCAACAUCAAAUAAUUUUUCUUUAAAAUAAAAAUGAAUUUUGAGUGAAGUGUUAUGCGUGCCUUUGAUGAUUUUGUGCUUGAUUUUGUGACAUGUGAGUUAUGUUUAUACUCUUUGUUUUGCACUAACCCUUUCUCUUGAUAGCGCAUAGUGGCUCGCUGCACAAGUACACACUCAUUCCCACUCUGAUUAGUUUAUAUGCAUUUUCUGACUCUCGUAUGUGCAUGUUUCGCUCUGAGUAUUCAUUGAUUUCCUCAUCAUCGCCAUGUUAGCUUCAUUCUAUUAGUAGAGACCCGACUUUAGGGACUUAGAGGGGUGCUACGGUCUUUACCGUACCUUCCCGAUAAGUAACCUGACCCCCGAACCCGAUCCGGUUUUCACAGACCCCCUUUUCCAAAAUAAGGAGUCGCACUUAGGGUUUUUCUUUCUUAUUUUGUUUACCCUUUAAAAAUAAAACAAAAAUAAGUGGCGACUCCAAGUCAUUUUUGAAUAAAUAAAAUCAAUUUUUUCAAAUAAAAAUCGAGCUCGCCAUUCGAGUGGGAAACGCAUUCGAGCGAUCUAAAUGCGGGGUCCACAAUACUAUAUUUGGAAACUAAUAAAUAACACUUAGAUUUUUGUGGAAGAGUAAGGUUUGACCCUUUGGGAGUGGAAACUCUUUUAAAGCUUAAAUUUGCAUAAUGCCUUCUCUUUAAGAAUUGUGAUUAGACAAGUUAUUUGAUAACUCUUGUUGAAGUUUGAGUUUUAUUUCUUUAAUGUUCCAUGUGAGAGUUAGAUCAUCAUGGCACUUGAAAAUUAUUUUUUGAUCAACAUGAUGUUGUAAAUUAUAGUACUGUUUAUUUUUAUUUUUCUAUCCUUCAUUGCUAAGGGAAUAGCAAUAUGUCGGUUGGGGGGAGUGACUACUACUCAAAAAGUGCUAUUUCAUAGCUUGUAAUUAACUUUUUUAAAUACUUUUGAGUAGUAGUUAUCACCUUUUAACCCAAUUAACAUAUUAAGGACCCUUGCAAUCAAUUCUAAUCAAAUUGUGUUAAGUUUUGGUGUUUUGAUAGCCUUUUGAUCACCAAAGCAAUCCGAGAUUGAGGAGAGUUUUUUAGGAAUCCAUGGCAAAAGAUGUCCGGACAGGGCGUCCGGACACACCAUUGGAGAGCGGCGGAACGUGGGCUGUAGCAAGGCUUGCUCACUUUAGUCAAUGUUUUCCAUCCGGACAACAUAUCCGGAUAGGAUAUGCUAUCAUCCGGGAGAGGGGUCCUUACACCUUGCACACGCAGACGGUCCCCCUUGCGUAGCAUAGCUCAGUCCAUCCGGGGAGGAAUUCCGUGCGCCGACAUUUUACAUCCGGAUAUCUCACAGCCGGAUAGGAGAGGAGGACGUUUCAACUUCUCCGGUCAGACAUAUCUAGAUCCUGUGAUAGCGUUCACCCAGAGAGCAUCCACGACCGACAUUUCAGAUUACCCGGAUUUUGCAUAGUGCCGCGGUGUUCUCUUGAAGCUUCCCAAUAUUUGCCACCAACUAAGUUAGAUUUUUUCUCUUAAGAUAUUUUGUGUAAAUUUCUAUUUUCUCCUUGUAAUCAGUCAAAGAUAUUAUUGGGAUAUUUCUUAGAAAAUAUCUUCUCUAUAUAUAUCUUUGAACCAUUGUAAAGAGGAGAGAUAUAUUAUAUAUAUAUGAAACCAACGAGCAGAGCACUUGCUCUAUUUUUGUUCUUCAUAUUUUUGUUUUCUCGUUAGUUUUCUUUCUAGCCAAUCAAACUCUGAGGAUUUUUCCUUAGAGGAUGAGAGGCUAGGCUCUUUGUCUCUUGGAGUGAAGAAAGCCGGGUAAGUUUCUUCAUGCAUAAAAUGAAAGUUUUGUUGUUUUAGUUUUUAAUGAAGAGAAAGUGUGACCCGUUAAUGGUUUUUAUCUUUUUAGUUAACUUAAAACGCCUUUAACUCACCUAGGCCAACACUUGAUAAGGCAAGUGAUCUCCAUCCAUUGAGAUGCACUUGUUUAUCUCUCGCGAGCCUUGGGGAGGUGGUUUAGAGGUAGGAUUUUCUAGAAUUGCCAACACUUGGUAAGCUUUUGGACUCUAAGGAGACAUCCAUUAGUUAUCUCUUGCGAGCUUGAGAAGGGAAGUCCAAAGUUAAAGAUCACCUUGAAUGGCAAAUGUUAGGUGAGAGACACGAGCCAUUGCAAGUUGCAUCAGUGAGAGGGAUUUAAUGUUUGAACCCAUUAAAGGGAAGCAUCUGUACCACACCGGUUAGAGAAUUAACUAUAUGUUAAUUCUCUAAUGCGAGGAAAAGAAACAAGUGACCAGAACUCUCCUUUUUGUAUGAGGAACCUGAGCCUAGUGAUCUAAAUUCUAAGAAACACUUUUGUUUGUAGUUAAAAUUAGUUACUAUUUUUGGUUAGCUUAAAACCAAACCUUUUUCAUUCAAACAUCUUUAUGUUUUCUUUUAAAGCUAACUUUGAAAUGAAAAGGCACCAAUUCAUCUUUGAAAUAAUAUCAAUUGUGGAGUGAAAACCCAUCCCAGUGAACGACCCUAGAGCCACUACGCUAUGCUAGCUAAGUGUCACAAGAUGCUUCAAAUGACCCUCCCCAUGGCUUAUAUAGGAGGUGAGAAGCUUCUAGAGACCCUUGGAGACAUCCACACGUAGCCACUAGUGGGAAGAGUGUGGAAGGUUCUAGAAAUGCCUAGAGAAGUCCACACAACUCUACACUAUGGUAGAAGGCAUGAGAAGGGUCCAAAGCUUUCUAGAGAAAUCUAGAAGUCUCUUGAAUAUUCUAGAAUAGUGUAGGACAUUCUAGAAGUCUCUUGAAUAUUCUAGAAUAGUGUAGGACAUUCUAGAAUAUUCAUGAAUUGUAAGGAACCCUCCAAGGUUCUAGAGAGUUCCAUUGGUGCCUAUAAAUAGGUGAGGGCCUCAUUUGGCCAAGGCACCAAGCAAGUGAGCAUCCAAGCACUUGUAAAGGCUUUCUUGAGAUAAUAAAGCUUCCAUUCUUUAAGGAGUUGCCUACUAAGCUCUUAAGCUUUCGAGUCGCUAGUGUCUUAGCCGAGCAAGCUAAGCAUUGGGGAUCAAGGCUGACUUAGCAAGAUCAAGCGUCUUGACUUGCCUAAGUGCCGCACGAGCUUAGUGAACGACUAAGUCCGUGACAAGUGGUAUCAGAGCACGGUUACAAGGUGGGCAUAGCAAAGGAAGCAUGUCGGGUUCCAACGUGGAGGAGACUAGCGAGCAAACCCGUUGGAGGGAGACCGAGCCUACUGCACGGGGCAGGGGCAGAGGUAAGAAGGAUACAUCUCGUGAUGUUGUUGCCAACAUGGAGGCAAGGUUAGCCAAGGUGGAGCUAGCCAUGGCAGACACCCGGGAAGGGGUGGACUUGAUCGAGCAAGGCAUGGAGAAGGGCUUAGAGGAUCUAAGGGAGCAGAUCCAAGACCUUCGCGAGGGGGUGCUGGUCUCGCAAGUUCAGUCGGUGUCACACAAGGAGUUCAUGUCCUUCCAAGACAAGGUCAUGAGCAUGUUCGCUAGUGUGGAGUCAAGGAUGGAGGCCUUGACUGCACGAGUGGAGGCCCGAGACCAAGAGAUUCGACAAGAGUUGGCCAUCUAUAAGACCGUUGUAUCAGCUCGGGUCAUGGCCACACAGGAGGCAUCUAGGGUGGAGGUGCCGAAGCCACAUAGGUUUAGUGGCAAGCGGGAUGCCAAGGAGUUGGAUAACUUCUUAUGGCAUAUGGAGCGAUACUUCGAAGCUAUCGCAUUGACGGAUGAGGCGGCUAAGGUGAGAACUGCGACCCUCUACCUUACUGACACAGCUACUCUAUGGUGGCGUCGAAGGUUUGCCGAUAUGGAGAAAGGCAUUUGCACCAUAGAGACGUGGGAGGACUUCAGGAGGGAGAUCAAGAGGUAGUUCUACCCGGAGGACGUGGCUUACCUGGCUAGGAAAAACAUGCGGCGUCUUAAGCACACAGGCUCAAUACGCGACUAUGUCAAGGAAUUCUCUUCGCUCAUGCUUGAGAUUCCUAACAUGACUCAGGAGGAGUUGCUAUUCAACUUCAUGGACAACCUGCAAGGGUGGGUCGAGCAGGAAUUAAGGCGCCGAGGCGUUCAAGACUUAGCCACUGCUAUGGCAAUAGCAGAAUCUUUAACGGAUUAUAAGAGGGGAGACUCCUCCAAGGAUGAGUCUUUAGAGGAUAGCCACGCCAUGGGUGGGGGAGACGAGGUUCCAAGGGACCACAAUGCUCCUAAAAAGGGAUCAAGCAAGACGUCUAACGUCUGAGAAGGAAGGGAUAAGGCGGAAAGGAGGGAGUUUACGCCUAAAAUCAAAUGCUUCCUGUGUGACGGUCCACAUUGGGCACGGGAUUAUCCAAAGCGGAAGGCGCUCAGUGCCAUGAUCGAGGAGAGGGAGCAGGAGGACGAAGCACAUAUGGGCUCAAUGCAGCUACUAGGUGCCCUCCAAUUCAACUCGAAGCCUAGUACGCCUGAGACCUCCUUAUUAGCAGGGGUGCAAGUAAAGGAGAGCGAGCUGAGGUAGCCCUUACACACAUGGAAGAGGUCACUAAGGGAAAGGUGAACUCAAUGGGUAAGAGGAAGCAACACUCUAAGCAUCGGAAACGCACGGGUCUGCAUCCAUCUGAAGCCUCACUGGAGAAGGAGGUGAAGAAUAUCCUGGCUGAACGGGUCACCAGGAGACAAGGGGUCCCUCUUGUGAUAGAGUAUCUAGUCCGAUGGAAAGAACUACCUAAGAGGCAGGUAAGCUGGGAACAUGCGGAUGCCUUGAGAAAAUUCUGGAAACACAUCGAGAAGUUUCAGAAUGAGGCAACGACGAGGAUGUCGACGGCUUAGGUGGGGGAGAGUGUCACAAGAUGCUUCAAAUGACCCUCCCCAUGGCUUAUAUAGGAGGUGAGAAGCUUCUAGAGACCCUUGGAGACAUCCACACGUAGCCACUAGUGGGAAGAGUGUGGAAGGUUCUAGAAAUGCCUAGAGAAGUCCACACAACUCUACACUAUGGUAGAAGGCAUGAGAAGGGUCCAAAGCUUUCUAGAGAAAUCUAGAAGUCUCUUGAAUAUUCUAGAAUAGUGUAGGACAUUCUAGAAUAUUCAUGAAUUGUAAGGAACCCUUCAAGGUUAAUAACCUAAACAUCUUACCUCAAUAUUCUUUUAUGAAAAUUUUCAACUAUUGCAGGGUGUCCUUCAUGUCAUUGGUCAUGUUCAGGUCUGAAUAAGUAUGAGUAGUGGUGACAUACUUAAGAUAAUGACCUAUGUAUUUCAAUACAACUUGAAGAAUAUACAAUAAACAAUUUAGCAACAAAUUAGAUUCUUACAAGUUUUAACACAUUAAAUUCAAUAAGCAUAUUAAUUUCAAAGAAGGUUGGUAGCCAAAGGUAGUAAAAUAAUUGAGAUAAAGAAACGAAGAAUGAAGAGAAAUUAAUUUCAACUAAAACAUUAUAAUUAAAUUGAUCUUUUAACUUGACAUGUUAUGAAUCCAUGAAAAAUAAUACAUUGGUAAUACUUUAUUGAUUAAAAGAGUAAAAUAACACCAAAGAUAGAAAAAACUACGUGAUAUGGACAAAGGGUUUAUUUUUGUAACAAUGACCAACAGACUAAAAGUAAAAGGGCCUUGGUGGAGGAAAAAACUAUUAUGUCAAAAUGACUAGUUUCUUUCCUUACAAUUGUAUUUAGAUUAAGGAGCUAGCAUUCAAGUUGAUACCCUGUUUUAGAAAAGGAGGCUUUAGAGGCCUAUAUUAGGGAGAAUGAGGUGCUAUUUUUUUUUCCGUAGGCUUAUUUGUAAGAAGUCUUAAUCUAACUUCCUAUUUUUUAAUGUCAAAGAAAAUACAAGUAUAAGAUAUUUUAAACUUUAAGCCCAUUAGUUUAGGAGGAGGCCUCUACAAAUUUAGAUUGAAAAAAGUUAUAAAGCAAGUGAUCUUAAGGGUCCAAAAUGGUUUUUUUGAGGAUAAACAUAUUCCUAAUGCAUGCACAUGUAACAAGACUAAAGACUUUACAAAAAAGAGUUCGAAAAUGCAUGAAUUUUCAUACCAUUACAACACUAGGAUUUCUACCAAUCUAACUAAUAAGGAUGUGUACAGGAAAUACACAAAGGUUGUGACACCUACCAUGUCUAAUAGUCUUCACCUCUCAAUUUUCCAAUUACACAUCCAUCAAAAUAGAGCAACCAUUGCAUGAUCCAUAUUGAAAACACUACCAACUAGAAGUACCAAGAUAUACAUUAACAAAUCAUGACUAAGAAUAAAUUAUACAAUUAACAUUAACAAAAUAUUCACUAGAUAUUUAGAAUAAUAUGAAGUUAUAUUAGACUACAAGUCAUACAAGGUACCGUCAAGCAUGAGUAAUGAUUAAUUGACUGUUAAUUAAGAUGAGAUUGUCAAUUUGUAAUAAAUAAUAUUUAUGAUUCAAUAAUGUCACUCUUCCUAAAUUAUAGACUAAUAAAUUUUAUUCAUAAUUAAUUUAUUAUUUUCCAAAUAAAAACAAUAUGAAAUAGAAUAAAGACAAAAAGAAAAUUAGGAUUGUUGUUUAAUGUAUAAUCUAGGUUAUUUUGUCAUUUAUAAUCAUUUUAGGAAAUAAGAAAUUUUUAGAAAAAAUAAUAUUUUUUUCAAAUUCGAUAUGAUGGUGACUUCACAAAGAAAGUCAUUCUAUAAAUUAAGGGAUGACUUUAAUAGCUAUUAAUUAUCCUAUUGAUGGCUGUCAUUUCAUCACGUUUUACUAAUGAUGAUCCUUGUAGGUUUAUUUUGUCUAACAUUAAGUAUAUUUUGACAAGUUGAAAACAAAACAUAUAUAUAUAUAUAUAUAUAUAUAUAUUUAAGAAUGUAGGCAGCAUAUUAAUUACCAUGAAAAAUUAAAACCUCCAGCUCACAUCACACUAAUACCUUCACCCAUAUCUUUUCACAUUAGUAAAUACAGUUCAAAUACAAUACCAAAAAACAUGUACAUGCAUGUACUUAGCCAAUAUAAGUCAAUCCCAUUAUUUUAUAUUUUGAUCUCAUUACUUAUAUUUGAUCUUAAUUUCAUUUUGAUUAUUUUAAUCUUAUUACCUAUACCAUCAUCCAACUGUUUACAUUUUAUCCAAAAUUUUUAAUGGUUGGGAUGUAAAAUUCAAUAUGUAUUUCUUUAAGAUUUUCCUAAUAAACGCAUAAUUUCAUAAUAGUAUAGUGGAACUAUAUAGGGAUAUAAACAGGUGGCUCAUUUAGGCUCACUUAGGCCCACUUAGGCACACUCAGCCCAUUUGGACACCCCUAGGCCCUAUAGGCACAUUUGGCUCAUCUAGACUCACUUAGGUCCAUUUAGGUACACUUGGCCUAUCUAGGCUCACUUAGGCCCACUUAAGCCCACUUAGGCCCACUUAGGUUUACUUAGGCCCACUUAAGCUCACUUAGGCCCACUUCGGCCCACUUAGGCUCACUUAGGCCCACUUAGGCACACUAAGCUCAUUUGGACACUCCUAGGCCCUUUUAGGCACAUUUGGCCCAUCUAAACUCACUUAGGCCCACUUAGGCACACUAAGCCCAUUUGGGCACCCCUAGCUUUAGGCACAUUUUUUAAAUGGAGAAAUUAAGUUUUAAAUCAAAAAAUCAGGAUAUUUUUUAAACAAAGGAGUUGACACUUGAAUGUUUAAAAAUAAAAAUAAAAGAUUAAGUUUUUAGAUUGGAAAAUCAUUUUUUUUUAAUAAUGGAAAGGAUAAAUUUCAAAAUAUGAAAAUGAAAUUUUGGAAAUUUGGGAGACUUUUUUGUGGAGGGGAUAUGGAAUUCUAAGAGAGGAGGACUCCUCCAAAGAUACAGGGUUGCCAAUUGCCAUAGAAAAUGGGGGUUGGUGGUUUUGGAGAGUGGAGGAAUUUCUUUUAAAAGGGACUUUCAACACGCACGGGAGGGGGGAAUAGAAAAAAAAGGAAAGAAAAGGAGUGAGAAGACACAGCCGGGAAGAAGGACAUCUUUAAGGGUGGAGAAAACACACAGCCUACCUUGGGAACUUUCCACUACUAGCCGCCACAAGAAAAAUAAAAAAAAGAUCAGAACAUAAGACUCUACAAAAUAAAUCUAAAACAAAUAUCUAGAAGUUAAUUUUUAUCCUGAAAAUUUUCAAAGAACAUCUCCUAUAUAUCUAGUUUACCAUCUAAGUGACCAAAUCAAUUAACCAACCCUCAUUUAGUACCAGAUUUCAUAAUAAUGAUAAAUAGGUCCAGAACUGGGCAUCUUUUUAAGGUGUUCAACAAUUGAUUUUUCUAACUAAAUUCAAGAUGUCCUAAAAUCAUAAAAAAAUUUACAUAGCUAUCUUAAUAUAUAUAUAUUGUAUGAAAAAUAAUCACAGGGCAAUAUCACAUUCAUAACAUACUUAAAAAUAAAUAAACAUCUCUCCACUCCAGAAGAGCAUAUGUGUAGUGGGUGCAAGAAGAAAGAAAUUAUAUCUCUCAUUUUAGAAAUUAUUUAUUGAUAUUUUAGGCAUAAACAAUUAAAUUAAGAAGUCUAGAUUAAAAUAAAAAUAUUCAAAUAAAUCAAAUAAACCAUUUAUUAAUUUAAUUUUUCAGAACAAUACUAAGUGUAAAAAAUAGAGUGAAAAUUGAACCUUCCGAAAGAUUGAUUUAUAUCUUCUAAUUGGAAAACCAUAUUUGACCCAAGAAAUAUUCAAAAAUCAAGCUCAAGGAUUCUAGAAUGUCAUAGAAUAAUUAUACAAAUUUUAAAGGGUUUUUAAGUUACCAAAUUCCAAUUUACGAAUGCAAAAGUACAGUGAAUUAUCCAUAAUUUCAAUAAAUAAAUACAAACUUUGUUUUGAAAAAGACUUAGUAUGUAGGGAUCUAUUAAAUCCCAUUUUAAUUUCCAUGAAUUUAUCCAUGAAGACUCCAUUGAUUGGAGUUAUGAAAUUUAAUUCACGUAUAUUCAAAACCAAAAUUCAUUUUAAAUUUUCUUUUUCAAACUAUGCAUACCAAAUAAAAUUGGUUGCAUGAAUUUUUAGAAAAUUGAAUUUUCAUAACCUAAGAAUGUCCAAGACAAAUUUGGAAAAUUGAGAAUUAAUUUUUAGAAAGGUAGCUUGAUAAGAAUUUUGAAAUUACUAGCAAACACAAAUAAUCACAUAAAGUCCCACAACCAAAAGAAGAAAAUUCUUAAGGAGACAAAGUGGUGUGUGCCAAGGGUGAGUGAAGCAUGUUGACUUGUGUGUGAUGACAAUGAAAGUGUGGCUGUUGUGUGUGUGUUCAUAGUAACAACCUGGUGGUCUACUUUUCUAUGCAGCUAUGCAUGCCUUUCUUUAUCAAUUUAGCUAACGUUUGUUCUCCAAAAUUCAACUAGCGGUGUUGGUCUUCACAAGCUUAUGCAAAUUCUCAAAAUUCAGCAAUCUGAUGUGUGCUUGGGCUAGCAAUCUGGUGGUUUCAAAAUCUAAUAGUGUGAUCAUGUGUGAUACGUUCCCAAUUGGUGUCUCAGCUGAUUCAUGUCCUCUUAAUGGUCCCUAACAAUGGAACCAUUUGAUUCGUGUCCACCUGGUGCUCCUUGAUUGUGGUCCUCAGAAGGGAGUAAUCAACAAAAUUUAUAACCUAUUACACCAUGUACUAGGAUAGCCUUAGCUAGCAUAGCAUAGUGGCUCUAGGGUUGUUCACUGGGAUGGAUUUUCACUCCACAAUUGAUAUUACUUCAAAGAUGAAUUGGUGCUUUUUCAUUUCAAGGUUAGCUUUAAAAGAAAACAUAAAGAUGUUUGAAUGAAAAAGGUUUGGAUUUAAACUAACCAAAAAUAGUAACUGAUUUUACUUACAAAGAAAAGUGUUUCUUGGAGUUUAGAUCACUAGGCUCAGGUUCCUCAUACAAAAAGGAGAGUUCCGGUCACUUGUUUCUUUUCCUCGCAUUAGAGAAUUAACAUAUAGUUAAUUCUCUAACCGGUGUGGUACAAAUGUUUCCUCUUAAUGGGUUCAAACACUAAUUCCCUCUCAUUGAUGCACCUUGCAAUGACUCAUGCCUCUCACCUAGCAUUUGCCAUUCAAGGUGAUCUUUAACCUUGGAUUACCUGUCAAAAGCUCGCAAGAGAUAACUAAUGGAUGUCUCCUUGGAGUCCAAAAGCUUACCAAGUGUUGGCUAUUCUAGAAAAUCCUACCUUCAAACCACCUCCUAAAGGCUCGCAAGAGAUAAACUAGUGCAUCUCAAUGGAUGGAGAUCACUUGCCUUACUAAGUGUUGGCCCAGGUGAUUUAAAGGUGUUUUAAGUUAACUAAAAACAUAAAAACCAUUAAUGGGUCACACUUUCUAUUCAUUAAUAAUUGAAACAACAAAACUUCAAAUUCUUGCAUUUGGAAACUUACCCGGCUUUCUUCACUCCAAGAGAUGAAGAGCCUAGCCUCUCAUCCUCUGAGGAAAAAUCCUCAGAGUUUGAUUGGCUAGAAAGAAAACUAACGAGAAAGCAAAAAUAUGAAGGAAAAAUAGAGCAAGUGCUCUGUAAAAUAUAUUUCUUCCUUCUGCCGAUUACAUGAUUUUUGUCUCUGAGAAAAAACUCCUGAGAUUCGAUUAUAUAUAAGGGGUUAUUCACCCUUUGUUCUUACUUAAAGACUAAGGAAUCCUAUGAUAAGUGGGUUACAAGGAGAUUUUGGGGAUUUAGACAUCAAAUAUCUAAAGCAAAAUAUCUCAAAAUGUCGGUCGCAAAUAUCAGGAAGCUUCAGGAGAACACCGUAGUUGUGCGUGCAAGAGGGCUGUGAAAUUUCGCAGCAAAAGGACAACAUUUUCGCAGCCCAAGGCUGAUUUCACAGUCGUGCAAAAUCUGCCUUCAGCUUGGAGUGAUUGGCUUCCAAUGGCUGUAACUCCUUCAUUUCAACUCCGAAUCAUGUACCAUUUGAAGUAUUAGAUUUUUGACUUCCUGAGAUUCGAAACGACAUAUAGCAUGCAUAAAUUGAACUCCAAGAAGUGCUCCAAAAGUGGCUGACAUGACUGUCAUCUAGAAUGCUUCAUGUUAUAUUUCUCUUUGCUUCCCCUCCUUGCAUUCUGGAUUUGCUUAUGGCAAAGGACUUCAAAGCUUCGGUUCUUCAUGUUUCUGAGUUCUUCAUUGCUUUGCCAUGGAUUCUAAAGAACUCUCCUCAAUCUUGGAUUGCUUUGGUUAUCAAAUUACUAACAAAAACACCAAAACUUACACAAUUUGAUUAGAAAUGAUUGCAAAGGUGCUUAAUAUGUUAAUUGGGUUAAAAGGUAAUAACUGCUACUCAAAAUUGUUUAAAAGAGUUAAUUACAAGAUAUAAAAUAGCACUUUUUGAGUAGUAAUCAAUGUGCUUGUUGCUUUUCUCCUCACAACCAUGCACUAUCAACUUACCUUUCUACCAUUAACAAUUCGUACACAAUCAGUUUGCCUUCCCAAAGUUCUAAAGACUUCCCUUUAAAAUUUCUAAUAAUUAUUUUAUUCCCAUCAAAUUUCAAAUAUGCCACUAACUGCUACCUCUCUAAUACCUUCUCAUCUUCUUCGCUUCAAGCCAAAACCAUGCACUAAAUUUAUGUGACUCUCUAGAACCUUUUGUCAAUUUUUUUUUUUUUACAAACUGUGCACCAAACGAUCUUCAUUCUAGAAAAAACCGGUGCUAACACCAAUCCCCACCAUGUCCACAAUCAACUCGGGCGUUCCCUAUGGUGUGUGUUUGGAGCCCUUUUCAAAGGUACAAAAUUGUUUCUCUUUUAUGGCAGUAUGCUAGCGUGAAUAGAGAUGCCCUCUAACAAUCAACAAGAGAAUAGUUCCUAAGCCUUCCUAUCAAGAGUUUUCUCAAUCUACAUAAAUGGUAAUUGUCUACACUAAUUUCUAAAUACUUAGCCCCUCUGAUUAUGGGUUGAUGAACACCCAUUUGAACAUAACGACCACUUUCCCUACCUUACGUACAAUUUUGCAGUUUCCUUUCUCUAUAAAUACUAGAUUUGGACCAGAUGUGACAUUUGGCAUGCCCAAGGGCAUGGACUAGAAGCAAAGGAAAGCAACAAAAAAUAGGGCAUGAAUGGGUAAAACAAAAUGAACUAACAAAAGCCACAUUUCAUACCUAAUCAACAAAUCAAGAAUAGGUAAUAAAAACUGAGAGAAGUAAUAUGAUUAUCAAAUACUAAACCUAAAGGUAAAUUUAUCGAUUUACAAAGGGAAAUCAAAGAAUCCAAAAUGUGACCAAAACAGAGCAUGUAUGUAGACAAUUAGAUUCAGUCAAACCAACCAAAUAACUUUUGAUGUCCACACCAAAUCAACAAGACAACACUCAUAAAUCUGCAUAAAAUAAAAUAAAAUAGUAUUGAAAAUGAGGAAGAAAUGAAGAUCUUACUUGGAAGGCUCCCUCCUUGAAGUUGUUGCAUGUUGAAGAUCUUAGAGUGAGCAGUGUUUCUUCUCCACUAUAGCCCCUAUAAUUAGGGCAUGAUUUUCAAGGGGAAACUCAACCAACAUCAAAGCACUUGCAAUAAAUGAGGAAUAUGGAGUUGAAAGAGUGGAGAAUCACUUGAUUUUUUGCUCAAUGGUGGAAUUUGUAAGAGAAGAAAGGAGUUUUAGUGCUUAUUCUCUAUUAUGAGAGUCACAAAAUGGAGAUUCAAAAAUGAUUUCCAGAUUUUUAUACUCAAGAUCUCACACUAGGGCUUGGAAACGCACCGUGUGACAAGAUUUCCAGUGUCAAGAGCCUCAUCUAGAGUCAUUGAUCGAUAUUGAUUGUAGUUAACUAGGCUCCAAGGGUUUGUCGGGGUUUUGAAAAAAUGGAGGGAAUGUUUGGCGUACUAUGAAGUCGUGGGUGAGAAUGGGAAAUAUGUGAGCCAUAUAUAAAGGUGUUAUUUUGAUGUCACUUUUAUAGAGCACCAAGGUAAAAAUAAAUAAUAAAGACACUUAUAGAAAACCUCGUGCUAUAGGAAGCAUCAUUAUCCCUCAGCAUAAAGCGCCAUGGUCUAACAUUUUCCUUUUAAGCGUCAACUUCGACCACUUAUUUACUCAAUUGCCCCUCUAAAAGCCAAGUGACGACAUUUUUUUUGAAGCGCCACAAAUUGUGUUUUUUGUAGUAGUGUGGAGGUCUUCCUAUACCCUAUUUAACAUAAUAUAACCUUGCGUACAUGCUUUAGAAAAAUAAGUAAAAGUUUAGAAAAGUAUUUACAUUUGAUUUGAGUUGAAUCAUUCCCUUAUUCGACCUAUUUUGGGUCUAAACUUUAACUUAUGUAAGCCUCGUGAUGCUUUCCUAAACCUUAUUUAGCAUGGUAGAACCCUAGAUACAUCAUUUACAAAAAUAAGUACAUUCUUAAGAAAAAGUACAUCAUUUACAAUAAUAAGUAUAUUCUUAAAAUAUCUAUAUAUACAUACAUUCAUAAGGAAAAUACAUACAUUUGAUUUGAGGUUAAUCAUGACCUAAUUCAACCUAAUUUGGAUCUAAGAUUUGACUUAUGAUGCCUCAGAAUGUAUUUUAUGCCUUCCAAAACUCCGUUCAACAUGAUAGAAGUAUAGGUACAUUCUUUAGAAAAAUAUGUUCGAAAUCUGAAUUUUCCUAUUUGAGGUCUCUUAUAUAUAUUUAUGUAAUAUAUAGUUGUAAAUUAGAUUAGAAAAAUGUGUAUAACUGUAAAUUAUAUUAGGAAGAACAAUCUUUGAUUUAUAAGGAUUUACUUGAUUUAUAAGGAUUAUUAGUUUUCUUUUCCUUUAAUUUUUUUUGUAAAUAUAAGAUAUAAAUUAAGAUCGUAACAAGUAAUUGAAUAAGAAUCUUUUACCAUUUUCUCUCACAUGGUAUUAGAGCCACUUUGACAUCCUUCAUUAGCCUUCAUUGUUGAUUUUAGUUCAAGUUUUUUAGCCUUCACUGUUGAAGAUUUCAAGCCUAAUUCUUUCAACCUUCAUUGUGUGUUUUGUUUAUUUCUUUUUACAUAUUUCAUCCAUUCUACCUGCAAUUUCUGGGAUUUCACCAUGUCUAAGAUGUAUGAUAUUUCUUUUAAAACUAAUUUCAUAAUUUAAAUUAAUGAUUUAAAAAAAUAAAAAUGUUACGAAAAUAAUUUUUAUUUAUUUUUAAUUCCAUUUAAAUAUGAUUUUUUUAAUCUCUACUAUUAUGUUUAUAAGAGCAAAAUAGUAAAAAUAUAUAUUCCAUUUAGUUUACUUGUAAUGAACAAUUCAAACAUGAUUAAUUUUAAUUUUAUUUCCUAUGAGUUAAUUUAGGUAGGGAAGGUCUUAAUGGCAUAGUUUGGUUUUUUUUUUUUUUUUUUUUUUUAAAAAUGUCAAGUUCAAGUUGUUUAAAAAUUGUACAAAACCUAUUAGGAGCCUUGUACACCCUUGUACACUUAACACAUUUCCUUUAUAAAAUUAGUGUAAUACCCUUGUACAGUAAUGCAAAUUCCAUAUCCCUCCUAAGUUAUGUGUCCAUAUAGGUGUGUUAACCAUAUUUUCAAUGGUUUGGUUGAGAAAAUGAUGGAUGACUUAGGGUCAAACAUCAUUAUUGGGGAAAACAUUGGAAUUCCAUGUGGGAUUUAAAUAAAGUACAUGACAUGGGUAUACAAUCCUUCGGCGACAAGGAAAAUAAAGGAGUGGCUCAAAAUUGAUUGAAAUCUUUCAUAAAGGGUAAUCUUGUACACCUUGUACACUUAGUAUAUUUCCCUUGUAUAGUUAGUGUAACACCCUUGUACAAUGACACAAAUUCCAUAUCUCUCCUAAUUUAUCUGUCAAAGUAGGUGUGUUAACCAUGUUUCCAAUGGUUUGAUUGAGAAAAUGUUGGAUGACUUAGGAUCAAAUUUUUUUCCCUAAACAUCAUUACUAGGGAAAGUAUUGAAAUUUCCAUGUGAAAGUUAAAUAAAGUGUAUGAUAUGAGUGUACAAUUCGUGGGUGAUAAGGAAAAUAAAAUGAGUGGUUCAGAAUUGAUUGAAAUCUUUUACAAAGGGUAGCCUUGUACACCCUUGUACACUUAGUGUAAUACCCUUGUACAGUUCGUGUAAUACCCUUGUACAGUAGCACAAGUUUCACAUCCCUCCUCUUAAGUUACACAUAAGUGUGUUAGCCAUGUUUCCAAUGGUUUGGUUGACAAAAUGGUGGAUGGCUUAGGGUCAAAAUCUUUAUCCCAAACAUCAUUAUUGGGGAAAGUACUAGAAUUUCCAUGUGGGAGUUAAAUAAAGUGCAUGACAUGGGUGCACAAUCCGUAAGUGAUAAAGAAAAUAAAUAAGUGGUUCAUAAUCGAUUAAAAUCUUCCACAAAGAGUAGCCUUGUGCACCCCUUAUACAGUUAGUGAAUGCCCUUAUAUAGUGACACAAAUUCCAUAUCCUUAUAGUGAAUGUGUGCUUAUAGGUGAAUUAAACAUGACUCUAGUAGUUUGGUUAAGAAAAUGGCAGAAAACUUAAAUUCAACUUUUUGUGUGAAUAUAUUAUAUUUUUGUGAAAAAAAAAAAUACACAAUUGGCCAAUUCCUUUGUUUAAUUGUGAACAAAUUAUAUUUUUAUUUUAUUAUUAAAAUAACUAAUAAAAAAAUAAAAAAGAAUAAUUAAUAAAUGAAAUUUAAUUCUUUUUAUUGUUUUCAUAUAAAAAUAGUACUAUACAAGGUUUUCAAUUUUCAAAUUUAAAAAUAGUUUUUGUUUUUUUAAUUAAAUGUAUUUUCAAAAAGAGACAAUAUAGAAAAUAAAAAAUUGUUUUAAAAAUAAAAAUUAGAAAAAUAUUUUAAAACCAAACUCAAACAUAAUCUAUAUAAUUUUUAACUACUUGUUUUCAUCUAAAAUGAGUAAAUAUAUCAUUCAACCCUUUUAUAUAAGAAAAAAAAUCAAUCUCUACUAUACUAUAUAUUGAUAUAAUUCACUUCUAAAAUUAGGUCAUAUGAAAACAUUUUAAUUAGAUAUUUAAAAUAAAAACUCUCCAUCCAUCCUCUUUCUUUCUUUUUCUUUUUCUUAUUUUGAUAAAUUUUCAAUUAAUUCAAAUUAUUAAAAAAAAAAUCCUUAGUAAACAAAUUUGCAACAUUUCAUAUAACUUAUUACCAAAAGUCAUCUUCAAAAAGUUAUUAAAAUAAGGAAGGAAGAAGAUUAAAAGAAAAUUUAAACUUUUUAUUUUAUAAUAGUAAAAAAUAAAUUUUAAAAUACUUUUUAGUAUAAAGGGAAAGAAAAUAGUGAAUAUUUUUAUUUUAAAUAGUAUUUUAAUCAUUAAAUUAUUUACUUCUAAAAUGUAAAAGAUAUUUUUUAUUUAUUUAAAUUAACAUUUUUUGAGAAAGUAUUUUCCAAAAUAGUUUUUGAAUCAUUAAUAUAAUUUUGGUUUAUUUAUAAUUUUAAAAUAGAAAAUAAUGUUGAUUUUUCAAUUAUUUAUAAAAGAGUUUAAAAAAAUAAUGAAAAAUAAAAAAAAUGGUUAAAUAAAGAUGAAUUUGUUAAUAGUAGCAUAUGGAGAGUUGUGGAAUGAAGACAAAAAUGAGUUAAAAUGAUAUUUUUGUCAAUUACUAUUUCAUAUCCUUGUAAUCAAUUAUAGGUGAGAGGAAUACCUUACAUCAAUUAUCAAACACCAGCACAAUUCUCCCCUAGAUCUAUAUUGCCCAUAGAUUUGUAUGCUAAUACUAAAUAAAAUGAAAAUAUAUUUAUCACAUAAUUUUUAUGUUUAUGUUAUAUUCUGUUUUAAAUUUUUGUUAAAAGAAAUCAUAUUAUGACAAUAGUAAUAGAUGAGAAAAAAACCAAACAUAAUACAUAUGGUUCACUCUCAAAUGUGGGAGACUUGUCACUUUGUUGUUCCAAAAUUUCCACUAUCAUAAAAAAAAAUAAAAAAUAAAAAAUGUGUGAUCUCACCUCUUACAUGCCUCCUCUAUCAUAAAAUCAAAAUAAUUGAAUGUGGUUCUGGCUUCACCAUGGUUCUAGUUUUUUUGCUUGAUUAAAAUUUUAAGUUUUCUGUUUAUAUCAAAAUAAAAUAGAAAUAUAUUUUUUCAUAAAAAAUUGUAUUAAAUAUUUUAUAUUAAUUUUCUUUUAGUUUUAAAAUAUUAUUACAACUCUCUACUCUUAAAAAAAUAAAAGACAAAAGAUUUAGUUUCAAUUUGGUAACUAUUUUAAAAAAUAAUUGUUUUUUUAAAAGAAAAACCAAGAAAACAUGUUUGACAACUAAAAAAAAUAUGAAACAAUUUUUUUUUUUUUAUCUUAAAAACAAAAAUAUGGUAUUUUUUGAAAACGUCUUUUAGUCGUUUUCACUUGGGUUUUUAGGGCUAUUUUUUUUAAAAUAAGUAUACAAAUAUGGAGAAUGAUUAAAAAUAAAACACUACAUAUAAAAUUUAUUGUUAAAAUGUAUUUAAAAACAUAGAAAACAAGUUAAAAAUAUUUCAGGUUUCAAAACAAGCUUUUAGUCUACAAAAUAUCAAAGACCAAAUUUCAAUAACUGUUCUUAAAAACUAUUUUUUAAAUUUUUUAAAAAAAAACACUUCCUAAACAAAGCUAAUAUAACUCAAUUUUGCUUCACCAAAAUUUGAAAAAAUAAAAUAAAAAUUUUAUAUUUCAUUAAUUUUAGUUCAAAAAAUAAAUAAUUGAUUUAUUAUUAAGGAAAAAGGUUUACUAGUAAUAUUAAAUGUUUAUAAAAUGUCAACCAUUAUAAGAUAAUGAAAUUAAUUAAAAAAAAAUAUACAUCUAAUAUGUAAUUCUAAUUUGUAGAAAAUAUUUUUUAAUCAACCCCCUCUCUAUUAUUAAUUUAAAUUUUUUAAAAUUGUGUAAAAUUAUUUUUAUAAAUAAUUUUUUUCUUUAACGUAAGGGUAAGGCCACCAAGUGUUUGUUUUUUUUAUUUAUUUAAUAUUUUAUGAUUUUUUUUUUCCUUUUAAAUUAAUGGUAAAUCUUUUUUUUUUUUUUUUUUUUUGAGGUGUUAUACUUUUUUAGGGUGAGUAGUAUGAGAAAAGAAGGUUGAUCUUAAUUAGGAAAACAUUUAAGAUGGGGGGAGCAAGGUUGAAUUGAGUUUUUAAAAUAUCCUUAUUUAAACACAACAAAUUCAAGAAAAGGAAGCACAAAUAUAAAGAGAUAAAGUUAGAGGAAGCAAACAUAGAUUUUAUAGUGGUUCGACACUCCUUGCCUACGUCCACUCCCCUCAAGCUCCUAACUGAGUGAGGGUUCCACUAUCCUUGAAGCUUCAACCAAGCUUCCAACGUCUUUACACUUGAUUCCGAUUCCAAUGGCUCUUACACAAUCCUUCAAGUAUUCACUAACUUGAAGCUUUCUAUUCACACAAUCUCACUUUAAAAUAAUGAAGGAAACUCUUAACCUAGCUUAAUAAAGGCUCAAAUACAAUCGAAAUGCUAGGAAGAAUGACAAGAGUGCACUAAAGAGUAUAAAAGUAAGGAUUUAAUGCAUCAAGGAGAGAAUGAGAUCUUUUAAGAGAAGAACAUGUAGUUAAACAAUUGAAUGCAGGUGUUCUCAUGUUCAUAAAUGAAGUAAAACUCUCAAUUUAUAAGUUUCUAACCACGGGAGCCAAAACUGCCAAAAUGUUAACCUCGACUGGUCAAGUUAGGGGUCAACUGGUUGACUAGUCGUUGGGCAAUAAAUGUAUGGUAGGUGACCGACAGGCCUCGACCACACCUUAACCAGACCUCAACUAGGAAAACCUAUCAUCGAUCGGGAAUGCAUAGCUACUGGAAGAGAGAGAAUACUUUUUGCAUCCCUCAAUCAAUCCUUAACUAGGAAGGCUUAAUCGAUUGACUGGUACCCUAACCAAUUGAGCCGGUUGGAUAGUCCCUUGAUUGAUACACCUAUUUUGGUCCGAAAACCUAUUUUUUUCUAUUCCUUUCAUUUUUAACACUUAGGCAAAGUCUUUAGGAGUAUUAAUAGAUUAAAUUUAAAGCAAUUUGCAUAAGGUUUGUAUAAGAAAACUCAAGGUUUAAUGGAAAUUUAAUUUUAAUUAAUAAACCAAGUUUUUAAAGAUGCAUAAAAAGAUAUGAAAAUCCUAAGUGUACAAAUGCAUUCAUCUUACAUAUGUUUCUUAAGAUUAGAAGGCCUUCUAUAUGUUUCAAUGAUUACUACUCAAAAAGUGCUAUUUGAUAGCUUGUAAUUAACUCUUUUAAACACUUUUGAGUAGUAGUUAUUACCUUUUAACCCAAUUAGCAUAUUAAGUACCUUUGCAAUCGUUUCUAAUCAAAUUGUGUAAGUUUUGGUGCUUUUGAUAGUAAUUUGAUCACCAAAGCAAUCCAAGAUUAAGGAGAGCUCUAUGGAAUCCAUGGCAAAGUAAUUGGAAACUCAUUUACAUGAAGAACCUAACCUUUGAAGCUUUAUAGUCCUUUGCCAUAAACAAAUCAUGAAUGCAAGGAUGAAAGCAAAGAGAGAAAUCUAACAUGAAGAAUUCAAGAGGACAUCAACUGUUUAACACUUUUGGAGAACUUUUUGGAGUCCAUUUGAUGUAUACUAUAUGUCGUUUCGAAGCAUGGGAAGUUAGCAAUCCAAUGCUUCAAACGGUGUGCGAAUCGAAGUUGAAAUGAAGAAGUUAGAGCCAUUGGAAUCCGAUCACACCAAGUUGAAGGCCAAUUUCGCAGGCUACGAAAUAAUUUUGCAGCCAUCUUGUACGUCUGCCAAAUUUCGCAGCCAUUUUGUGCGCCUGCGAAAUUCUCCUGAGUGCUUCCAGAUAUUUGUGACCGAUAUUUUUUGAUAUUUUGCUUCAGAUAUUUGAUGUCUAAAUCCCCAUUUUCUCCUUGUAAUCCACCAAUUAUAGGAUUCCUUAGUUAUUAAGCAAGAAAAAAGGGUGAAUAACCUGAUAUAUAUUGUUUUUGUAAUUUUCAUUGCAGACAUCUCGGGAGCUUGUUCUCAGAGACAACUUUUUGUAUAGUUUUUGAAAGGAAGUAAAAUAUAGAGCUUUGCUCUGCCUUACCUACUCAAUUUGAUUGUAUUUUUCAUUACUAGCCAAACAAGCUCUGAGGAUGUUUCCUCAGAGAAUGGGUUGCUAGACUUUUUGUCUCUUGGAGCUAAGGUAGCCGAGGGAGGUGCCGAAUGCAAGAAUUGAGAGUUUUGUUGUUUCAGCUGUUAAUGAAGAGAAAGUGUAACCCGUUUAUGGUUUCUAUGUUUUUAGUUAACUUAAAACGCCUUCAAUUCACCUGGGCCAACACUUGGUAAUGCAAGUGAUCUCCGUCCAUUGAGAUGCACUAGUUUACCUCUUGCGAGCCUUUGGGAGGUGACUUGAAGGUAGGAUUUUCUAGAAUUGCCAACACUUAGUAAGCUUUUGGACUCUAAGGAGACAUCCAUUAGUUAUCUCUUGCGAGCUUGAGAAGGGAAGUCCAAGGUUAAUGAUCACCUUGAAUGGCAAAUGCUAAGUGAGAGGCACGAGCCAUUGCAAGAUGCAUCAGUGAGAGGGAAUUAGUGUUGAAAUCCAUAAAAGGGGAGCAUUUGUACCACACCGGUUGGAGAAUGAACUAUAUGUUAAUUCUCCAAUGCGAGGAAAAGAACCAAAGUGACCGGAACUCUGUUUUUGCAUGAGGAGCCUGACCCCAGUGAUCCAAAAACUCCAAGAAACGUUUUUCUUUAUAAGUAAUUCCCAUUACUUUCUUUUUAGUUAGCUUGAAACCAAACCUUUUUCAACUAAAGUUUAUGUUUUCUUUUGAAGCUAACCUUGAAAUGAAAAGGCACCAAUUCAACUUUGAAUUGGUAUCAGUUGUAAGUUGAAAACCCUUCCCAGUGAACAAUCCUAGAGCCACUAUGCUAUACUAGCUUAUGCUAUCCUAGUGCAUGGUGAUAUAGGUUAUAAAUUUUGUUGAUUACUCCCAUCAGGGGACCAAAAUCAAGGUACACCAGCUGGGCACGAAUCAAAUGGCGUCAUUGCCAGGGAAGGUGACAACUUCACAGUGAUAUUAUUUCAGAGUACUUGUGAUUUUCAUCACAAGUUUAGUGACUUUUCUUUCAUUUUACUAAUUUUUAAUUAUUUCUUUUACUUGUUCAUAUUCUAAAUAUCUUUUAAUUAAGUUUUAUUUCAUUUUAGUCUUUUUUGUAGUCUUUUUUUUCUUUUGUUUUCUUUUGUUUUUGUUUUAGUUACAAUUGAAACUGGUUGUGUAUGCCAAAUUGGAUACGAGAUAGUGGAGGAAGGCUUGUUAAACGUGAUACACCUCAUAACAAGGAAUUGGAAUUGAGCUUGAAAAUCAUGGAAGCUACGCCUGAAGAUCAGCAUAGUCACCAUGGUCACCAGGACAAUCCCAAUGCUUUCAGAUCAAUGAGGGACCGUAUGCAUCCACCUCAUAUGAGUGCACCAUCAUGCAUAGUGCCCCCUACAGAGUAGCUAGUGAUCAGACCGCAUAUUGUUCCACUUCUACCAACUUUCCAUGGGAUGGAAAGUGAGAAUCCCUAUGCACAUAGAAUUUGAAGAUGUUUGUAAUACAUUCCAAGAAGGAGGAGCUUCAAUCAACUUGAUGAGGCUUAAGUUAUUUCCUUUCACUUUAAAGGAUAAGGCCAAGAUUUGGCUUAAUUCUUUAAGGCCAAGAAGUAUCCGUACUUGGACUGAUUUACAAGCUGAAUUCCUCAAAAAGUUUUUUCCAACUCACAGAACAAAUGGCUUGAAAAGGCAAAUUUCAAACUUCUUAGCUAAAGAGAAUGAGAAAUUCUAUGAGUGUUGGGAAAGAUACAUGGAAGCCAUCAAUGCUUGUCUUCACCAUGGUUUUGAUACAUGGCUAUUGGUGAGUUAUUUCUAUGAUGGGAUGUCUUCCUCAAUGAAGCAACUCCUCGAGACAAUGUGUGGAGGAGAUUUCAUGAGUAAGAAUCCGGAGGAAGCUAUGAAUUUCUUGAGUUAUGUGGCUGAAGUUUCAAGAGGAUGGGAUGAACCAAACAAAGGAGAAGUGGGGAAGAUGAAGUCUCAACCGAGUGCUUUUAAUGCUAAGGUUAGGAUGUACAUCUUGAAUGAAGAUGUUGAUAUGAAAGCAAAGUUUGCAGCUAUGACAAGAACAUUGGAGGAGCUAGAAUUGAAAAAGAUGCAUGAAGUACAAGCUGUUGUUGAAACACCAGUGCAAAUACAGUCGUGUCCUAUUUGUCACUCUUAUGAACACUUGGUGGAGGAGUGCCCUACAAUUCCAGCUGUAAAGGAAAUGUUUAGAGAUCAAGCAAAUGUUGUUGGACAAUUCAAGCCCAAUAACAAUGCUCCAUAUGGAAAUACUUACAACUCAAGUUGGAGGAAUCAUCCAAAUUUCUCAUGGAAGCCAAGAGCACCUCAGUACCAACAGCCGGCUCAACCAUCUCAACAAGCUUCAAGCCUUGAACAAGCAAUAGUGAAUCUCAGCAAGGUUGUGGGAGAUUUUGUUGGAGACCAAAAAGCCAUCAAUGCUCAACUCAGUCCAAGAAUUGACAGUGUAGAAAAUACUUUGAAUAAAAGGAUGGAUGGGAUGAAAAAUGAUUUAUCUCAAAAGAUAGAUAAUCUCCAAUACUCAAUCUCAAGGCUCACUAACUUGAACAUAGUGCAAGAGAAGGGUAGAUUUUCUUCUCAACCUCACCAAAACCCCAAGGGUAUCCAUGAAGUGGAAACUCAUGAGGGAGAAUCUUCACAGGUGAGAGAUGUUAAAGCCUUAAUCACUCUAAGGAGUGGUAAAAAAGUUGAGUUGCCAACACCCAAGCCACAUGUUGAAGAGGAAGAAGAAAAAGAGACAAAGAAGAGGGAGGAAAUCAAAGGAAAGAAGAAAGAUAUCAGUGAAGGGAAAGAGGACCAUGAUUCAAUAGUGAAUGCAAAUCCGGAGAAAAUACUUAUUAAGGAAGAAAUUGAAGAAACACACCUCUCCACCUUUUUCUCAAGCUUUGCAUGGGAAAAAGAGGAUAAAAAAUGCAUAAAAAAUUCUUGAAGUAUUGAGACAAGUGAAAGUCAAUAUUCCAUUGCUGGAUAUGAUUAAACAAGUUCCAACACAUGCAAAAUUCCUAAAGGACUUGUGUACUAUCAAAAGAGGGUUGAAUGUAAACAACAAAGCCUUCUUGACUGAGCAAGUAAGUGCUAUCAUACAAUGCAAGUCUCAUUUGAAGUACAAAGGUCCGGGAUGUCCUACCAUUUCAGUCAUGAUUGGAGGAAAGGUAGUGGAGAAAGCUUUGUUAGACUUGGGAGCAAGUGUGAAUUUGCUACCAUACUCUGUCUACAAGCAAUUGGGACUUGGUGAAUUGAAGCCAACAUCAAUCACUCUAUUUCUAGUAAAUAGAUCAGUGAAAUUUCCAAGGGAGGUAAUUGAAGAUGUCUUAGUUCAAGUUGAUAAUUUCUACUAUCCAGUAGAUUUUGUUGUUCUUGAUAUGGACCCUACUGUCAAGGAAGCUAAUUAUGUUCCUAUAAUCCUUAGAAGGCCAUUCCUUGCUACCUCAAAUGCAAUCAUCAACUAUAGGAAUGGACUCAUGCAACUCACUUUUGGCAACAUGACACUUGAGCUCAAUAUCUUUUAUAUGUCUAAAAAGCAAAUCACUCCGGAAGAAGAAGAAGGUUCAGAGGAGGUAUGCAUUAUUGACACUCUAGUGGAGGAGCACUGUAAUCAGAAUAUGCAAGACAAGUUGAAUGAAAGUCAUGGGGAUCUUGAAGAAGGGUUGCCUAAACCCUCUAAUGUGCUUGCUACUCUACAAGGUUGGAGGAGGAGAGAAGAGAUUCUACCUUUGUUCAAUAAAGAGGAGGCACAAGAAGUUUCUAAAGAAGAGAUCCCAAAGCUCAAUUUGAAGCCUUUGCCCAUGGAGUUGAAAUAAACAUACCUGGAAGAGAAUAAAAAAUGCCCUAUUGUUAUAUCUUCAUCUCUUACUAGUCCUCAGGAAAAGUGUCUACUUGAAGUUCUCAAGAGGUGUAAGAAAGCAAUAGGAUGACAAAUAUCUGACUUGAAAGGCAUUAGUCCUUGAUUCGACUCAUGGUAGCUUAGCUUUAAAGGCGUAUCAACAAAAUUUAUACCUUAAAUACUAUUACUAAAGUAGCCAAGCUACUAUAGCAUAGUGGUUCUAGGAUCGUUCACUGGGAAGGGUUUUCGCAAACACAAGUGAUAUUCAAAUUAGGAAAAUAAGUGAUUUUCUUAUGGAUGUUAGCUUUAAAAGAAGAUGUAAAUGUUUUAGAAAGAUUUAAACUAAUCUAAGCUAACAUUAAAGACUAAAAUGAAAGGGUGUAAAAACAAGUUUCUCAAAGAUAGGAUAGCUAUGCUCUGGCUCUUAUGCAAAUUGGAAAUCUCAGGAUAGGCUCCUCGCGUUGGGGUUGCAACUAUGGUGAUGCUUGCUUCCCGAACCGGUAUGGAUUUAGCAAAUCAAGUUUUAAUCCUUUAAAAUGACAAAACAGAUGGUAGUGAAUUUCAUCAAUGGUUAUUCACCUUAGACUUCCUUUGAAUGGCUCGUAAGAGAUAACUAAUGGUCUAAAGCCAAAAGCUUACCAAAUAUUGGCAACUCAAAGUCAUUCCAGGUGAUAAACUCACCUUUCAAUGGCCAUUGAAAUUGGUUCUAACGGAUUAAUGCAAAACUUGGAAUUGAAAACCUCACCUUCCAAUAGCUCGUAGGAGAUAACUAAUGGAUAGAAAUCCAAAAGCUUAUCAAGUAUUGGCCGUUGGAAGUUGUCCAAAGGAAAUAAAAACCAAACUUUGCAUUAAUGAACCUUUAAUGAAAAACGUCUACCUUACCUUCCAGGUGCGAGAAAUUUCCAUGGGAUUGCAUCCAAGCCAUCACAUAACCUCCAUACUUUGAGAAACUAAAAGUUUUAGCCAAUCAUCCUUUGAGGAAAAGCCCUCAGAGGCUGUUUGGCUACUAAGAAAAUAGAAAUAGUAAAGAGAAAAGAGAGACGAGAGAGCUCUGUAUAUCCCUCAGUGUAAAACGUAACACGCAUGUUCUUUAUCUUCCAAGAGGUGAUUUCCACCCCUUAUAUAGUCUUUACAAAAGCAAAAGCUUGUGAUUGGUUAGUUACAAGGAUAAGAAAGGAAAUUACAUCACAAAAUACAAAGGAAAAUAUCUAAAGUGGAGUCGGCAAAAACAGAGGAAAAUUCGCACCACGCAUGGGUUAUGCGAAUUUUGAAGGUGUUAUGCGAAUUUCGCAUAACACCUUGUGUUGUGCGAAAUUUUCGCACAACCUGGAGCAGUUGGCUUCCGAAGGCCAUAUCUUCCUUAUUUCAGCUCCAAAUCAUACACGGUUUAAAGCGUUGGAUUCUUGACUUCCUGAGCUUUGAAAUGGUAUAUAGUAUGUAGAAAAUGGACUUCGGAAAGUGCUCCAAAAGUGCGAAAGAAGACUGAAGAUGCUGUCCUCUUUGCUUCUCUUCAAUUUGCUUCACUCCUUGCAUACUUUGAACGACUUUGGCAAAGGGCUAUGGAGCUCCAAAGCUUGGUUCUUCAUGAAUUUGAUCUUCCAAAAGCUUUUCCAUAACUUGUCCAAGUAACUCCUCCAUCAUUUGGCAUGCUUGAAUUGAUUCAUAAGCUGAUAAAAACAUGUAAACUUGCCACAAAAUGGUUAAAACCAAUUACUAAGGACCUUAAUAAAUUAAUUGGGUUAAAUGAAUAUGAUUACUACUCAAAGGUGCUUAAAACCAUUAUAAUUAAGUCUACAAAAUAGCACUUUUUGGUAGUAAUCAGUCCUUUGGUUUGUACACAUCAUAUAUACAUGGAGGAAGAAGCUAAACCAAUUCGUCAGCCUCAAAGAAGAUUGAAUCCUCAUUUGCAAGAGGUGGUGCGAGUUGAAGUGCUGAAGCUACUUCAAGUAGGUAUUAUCUACCCCAUAUCUGACAGCCCUUGGGUGAGUCCUACUCAAGUGGUACCAAAGAAUUCAGGGAUUACUAUGGUUCAAAAUGAAAAAAGAGAAGAAAUUACUACACGCCUCACUUCAGGUUGGAGGGUGUGUAUAGAUUAUAGAAAAUUGAAUGUUGUGACAAGGAAAGAUCAUUUUCCAUUGCCAUUUAUUGAUCAAGUCUUGGAGAGAGUCUCUGGCCAUCCUUUCUAUUGUUUCUUGGACGGAUACUCCGGAUAUUUCCAAAUUGAAAUUGAUGUUGAAGAUCAAGAGAAGACCAUUUUCACAUGUCCACUUGGAGCAUAUGCCUAUAGAAGAAUGCCUUUUGGUUUAUGCAAUGCACCUGCAACAUUCCAAAGAUGUAUGCUAAGUAUCUUUAGUGAUAUGGUGGAGCGAAUUAUGGAGGUUUUCAUGGAUGACAUCACCAUAUAUGGAGGUACAUUUGAAAAAUGCUUAGUCAACUUGGAAGCGGUUCUUAAUAGAUGCAUUGAGAAGGACUUGGUGCUUAAUUGGGAGAAAUGUCAUUUUAUGGUACAUCAAGGAAUUGUCCUUGGCCAUAUCAUCUUCGAGAAAGGCAUUGAAGUUGAUAAAGCAAAGGUGGAACUUAUUGUCAAAUUGCCAUCCCCAACAACUGUAAAAGGAGUAAGGCAAUUCCUUGGCCAUGCAGGGUUCUAUAGGAGAUUUAUAAAAGAUUUCUCUAAGCUUUCAAAGCCUCUUUGUGAACUUUUAGCUAAAGAUGUUGAGUUUAUAUGGGAUGAAAGAUGUCAAAAGAGUUUUGAUCAACUGAAGCAAUUCUUGACAACAACUCCAAUAGUGAGGGCUCCUAACUGGCAACUGCCCUUUGAAGUAAUGUGUGAUGCCAGUGACUUUUCUAUAGGAUUUGUGCUUGGCCAAAGAGAAGAUGGAAAGCCCUAUGUGAUCUACUAUGCAAGCAAGACAUUGAACGAAGCUCAAAGGAACUACACAACUACAGAGAAAGAAUUGUUAGUUGUAGUGUUUGCCUUAGACAAGUUUUGUGCUUAUCUAGUAGGGUCUUUCAUCAUUGUUUUCACUGACCAUUCAGCCUUGAAGUAUUUAUUGACAAAACAAGAUGCAAAAGCAAGGUUGAUUAGAUGGAUUCUCUUAUUACAAGAGUUCGAUCUCCAAAUCAGAGAUAAGAAAGGAGUGGAGAAUGUGGUAGCUGACCACCUUUCAAGGUUAGUUAUAGCACACAAUUCCCAUGUCCUACCUAUUAAUGAUGAUUUUCCUGAGGAAUCACUCAUGUUGCUAGAAAAAACUCCUUGGUAUGCUCAUAUUGCUAACUAUUUAGUUACUGGUGAAGUUCCAAGUGAGUAGAAAGUACAAGACAGGAAGCACUUCUUUGCAAAGAUUCAUGCUUAUUAUUGGGAAGAGUCUUUCCUUUUCAAGUAUUGUGCAGAUCAAAUAAUAAGGAAGUGUGUCCCUGAAGAAGAGCAACAAGGAAUCCUCAGCCAUUGCCAUGAAAGUGCAUGUGGAGGCCACUUUGCCUCUCAAAAAACAGCCAUGAAGGUGUUGCAAUUAGGGUUUACUUGGCCAUCACUCUUCAAAGAUGCCCACAUCAUGUGUAGGAGCUGUGAUAGAUACCAAAGGCUCAGGAAGCUAACAAAAAGAAAUCAAAUGCCUAUGAACCCCAUUCUAAUAGUUGAUUUCUUUGAUGUUUGGGGCAUUGACUUCAUGGGACCUUUCCCAAUGUCUUUUGGUAACUCUUAUAUCUUGGUGGGGGUGGACUAUGUUUCUAAAUGGGUUGAGGCAAUCCCCUGUAAACACAAUGAUCACAAGGUGGUUCUCAAGUUUCUCAAAGAGAACAUCUUCUCAAGAUUUGGGGUGCCCAAGGCCAUAAUCAGUGAUAGAGGUACUCAUUUUUGCAAUAGACCCUUUGAAACCCUAUUAGCCAAGUAUGGAGUGAAGCAUAAGGUAGCUACACCUUAUCACCCUCAGACUUCCGGGUAAGUUGAGCUAGCAAACAGGGAAAUCAAGAAUAUAUUGAUAAAGCUGGUGAUUACGAGCAAAAGAGAUUGGUCUAUUAAGCUUUAUGAUUCACUAUGGGCAUAUAAAACAGCUUACAAGACUAUUCUUGGCAUGUCUCCAUAUCGCCUAGUCUAUGGCAAAGCAUGACAUCUCCCUGUGGAAGUUGAAUAUAAGGCUUGGUGGGUAAUCAAGAAGUUAAACAUGGACUUGAUCAGAGCCAGGGCAAAGAGGUGCUUAGACCUUAAUGAGAUGGAGGAAUUAAGAAAUGAUGCUUACAUCAAUUCCAAAGUUGCAAAACAGAGGAUGAAGAGGUGGCAUGAUCAAUUAAUCUCCAAUAAAGAAUUCCGGAAAGGACAAAGAGUCUUACUCUAUGAUUCAAGGCUCCAUAUCUUUCCUGGGAAGCUUAAGUCAAGGUGGAUAGGCCCUUUCAUUAUUCACCUAGUGCAUCCCAAUGGAGUGGUGGAAUUACUGAAUUCCAAUAGCACUGACACUUUUAAAGUCAAUGGUCAUCGUCUCAAGCCAUUCAUUGAGCCAUACAAGCAAGAAAAUGAGGAAAUCAACCUCCUUGAGCCAUAGAAAGCCUAAUCAGAAAAGGGUUAGAUGGGCUUGGUUUCACCAAAGUCCAUAUUUUUGUUAAAUUUUGUUAAUUUAAAAGCUUUAUUAAUUCUUUUGAUUUUAAUUUUGGUCUUAAGUUUUGUUAUUUAUAUGUAACUUAAUUUUUUUGAAUGAUCUAAUGUAGGAGGAAUUGCAAAGAAAAUGAAGAAAGGUCUCUUGGAGCUAAAAAGGAGUUCAAAACCAAGGGAAAAUUCAUGGCCUGCGAGAUUUCGCAGAAAAAUGAGGCCUCUGUGAAAAUGGCCCUUGCUGCGAAAUCAUUUCGCAGCCCCAUGCCCCCUUCUGCGAAAAUUUUCGCAGUUGCGAAACCCCCUCUUGGCACACGAGUGCCAUUUCGCAACACAGUACCCCCAUUUCGUAGCUGUGAAAUGGCUGCUGAUUCGACUCAUGGUAGCUUAGCUUUAAAGGCGUAUCAACAAAAUUUAUACCUUGAAUACUAUUACUAAAGUAGCCAAGCUACUAUAGCAUAGUGGUUCUAGGAUCGUUCACUGGGAAGGGUUUUCGCAAACACAAGUGAUAUUCAAAUUAGGAAAAUAGGUGAUUUUCUUAUGGAUGUUAGCUUUAAAAGAAGAUGUAAAUAUUUCAGAAAGAUUUAAACUAAUCUAAGCUAACAUUAAAGACUAAAAUGAAAAGGUGUAAAAACAAGUUUCUCAAAGAUAGGAUAGCUAUGCUCUGGCUCUUAUGCAAAUUGGAAAUCUCAGGAUAGGCUCCUCGCGUUGGGGUUGCAACUAUGGUGAUGCUUGCUUCCCGAACCGGUAUGGAUUUAGCAAAUCAAGUUUUAAUCCUUUAAAAUGGCAAAACAGAUGGUAGUGAAUUUCAUCAAUGGUUAUUCACCUUAGACUUCCUUUGAAUGGCUCGUAAGAGAUAACUAAUGGUCUAAAGCCAAAAGCUUACCAAAUAUUGGCAACUCAAAGUCAUUCCAAGUGAUAAACUCACCUUUCAAUGGCCAUUGAAAUUGGUUCUAAUGGAUUAAUGCAAAACUUGGAAUUGAAAACCUCACCUUCCAAUAGCUCGUAGGAGAUAACUAAUGGAUAGAAAUCCAAAAGCUUAUCAAGUAUUGGCCAUUGGAAGUUGUCCAAAGGAAAUAAAAACCAAACUUUGCCUUAAUGAACCUUUAAUGAAAAACGUAUACCUUACCUUCCGGGUGCAAGAAAUUUCCAUGGGAUUGCAUCCAAGCCAUCACAUAACAUCCAUACUUUGAGAAACUAAAAGUUUUAGCCAAUCAUCCUCUAAGGAAAAGCCCUUAGAGGCUGUUUGGCUACUAAGAAAAUAGAAACGGGAGAACAGGAGAAGAGAGAAAAACAGAGCAAGGCUCCGUCUGUAUAUAUGCGUCUAUGUCUUCAAGAGGUGAUUUCCACCCCUAAUAUAGUCUUUACAAAAGCAAAAGCUUGUGAUUGGUUAGUUACAAGGAUAAGAAAGGAAAUUACAUCACAAAAUACAAAGGAAAAUAUCUAAAGUGGAGUCGGAAAAGGCAGAGCAAAAUUCGCAACACGCAUGGGUUAUGCGAAUGUUAUGCGAAUUUCGCAUAACACCUUGUGGAAUGCGAAAUUUUCGCAUAACCUGGAGCAGUUGGAUUCCGAAGGCCAUAUCUUCCUCAUUUCAGCUCCAAAUCGUGCAUGGUUUGAAGCGUUAGAUUCUUGACUUCCAGAGAUUUGAAAUGGUAUAUAGUAUGCAAAAAAUGGACUUCGGGAAGUGCUCCAAAAGUGCGAAAGAAGACUGAAGCUGCUGUCCUCUUUGCUUCUCUUCACUUUGCUUGCUUUUCCUCUUUGCUUCUCUUUGCUUGUGCUCGUGUUUCCACUUGAAAUUCAAGCCUGUAAAUGUCCAAAAUCCUUGCUUUAACUUGUCCAAGUAGCUCCUCCAUCAUUUGGCAUGCUUGAAUCAAUUCAUAAGCUGAUAAAAACAUGUAAACUUGCCACAAAAUGGUUAAAACCAAUUACUAAGGACCUUAAUGAAUUAAUUGGGUUGAAUGAAUAUGAUUGCUACUUAAAGGUGCUUAAAACCAUUAUAAUUAGGUCUACAAAAUAGCACUUUUUGGUAGUAAUCAGCUGCAAAAUCCCCAAAGCGUGAAAUCUCCAAUUUUCGUAGCCAAAGCCCCAUUUCGCAAGGUGUUUCGCAGUUGCGAAAGACCCCCUUGGCACACGAGUGCCAUUUCGUAGCACAGUAGCCUCAUUUUGCAGUUGCGAAAUGGGCUGCGAAAAGGGCCCUCCGCUGCGAAAUCCACCCUCCUCUGCAAAAAUUAAAACGACCCUUGGCAUCCAAUUUUUUAACGGUAUAAAUUCCACAUUUCUAAUAAACCGGUCAUUUGAACUUCAAACAGGUGCCAGAGAAGAGCCAAAACAGAGCAACCUUCCAUUUUCUCCCUCCUAUAUGAGCCUAAGCUACGCGUGCCUCCGCCCAUCUCCUUCGGUCAGCCAUGGCAAGAACCCGAGGAGCUAAGUCUUCGUCUCUGUCAAGCCGCAAGAGAGCCGCAAAUGAGACCCCUGUUCAAGGCUCCAUGUUCGAGCCUCCGCGACCACGAGUCGUCCCACCUCCAGUUGAGGACGCACCGAUGAGUCCUCCGGUAAGGCGCUAUCAAACCAGGUCAAGUAGCCAUCCCCCGAAGAAGAAAGCUAGGGUAUCCGAGCCAAAGCUAAUUGACUUAUCAAAGCCGUCUUCAGAGCCUCUACAAGAGCCUCACCGUUCUCAGCCACCAUCCAAAGAGCCUCAACUGUCUCAGCCACCAGCUACAAAUUCUCAGAUUCCCUCAGGCAUGACUCCUGAGAUGCUUAUUAGGCGUCCCAUGCUCACUCAGCCGCCCAUUGAGGGUAAUUUGGAUUGCAGGGCUAAGCCAUUCCACUCUGAGAUCUGCUUCGACACAGCCACUUUCAGACUUCAGCUCGAGCUCAGGGACUCCUUCCAUCUGCUACAGAGGUACCAUAUGGAGCAUUUGCUAACUCCCAAGGAUUUUUUCUGUCCCCGUGUAGCAAUGGACUUCUAUCAGUCCAUGACCACACACCAGGUCUGAGAUCUUACUGUUAUCCACUUCACCAUAGACGGACAUCAUGGCAUUCUGGGAGCUAGUACAUAGUAGAGGCAUUGCGUAUUCCCUACGAGCCAGCCCAUCCAGAGGAUUAUCGAGUCUGGACUCAUCCUGCCCAGAGCGACAUAGUUCAUAUUCUGUCCAGAGGAGCAUCCUCGCGCCAGUAUCUAUUGAGGAAGGAGCUCCCUCAUAGCAUGUUUUUCAUAGAUGCACUCCUGCGCCAUAACAUCUUUCCACUUCUGCAUUGGGUGCAGAGGAGAGGAGUUUUGCUAGAGGCAUUGUUCAAGAUAUCUAAGGGAUUCUUCUUUGGCCCUCAUCAUCUCAUUAUGGCCGCUCUUCUGUACUUCGAAGAGAAAGUCCAUAGGAAGAAGCUGCUCAGAGCGGAUGCUAUUCCACUUCUCUUCCACAGAUUGCUAUGUCAGAUUCUGGAGCACUUGGGGUAUCCAUCUGACCCUCAGCUUGAGUGCAAACGUAUUUGCCGAGAGAUAUUCACUCUCAAAAAAUGGAUGAAUAUGACAGCCUAUAGUGCAGACCAGGGAGCCCCAACUGGAGCAGAGCAUCCAGAGCAGCCAGAGGAGCCACAGCCGGUUGAGAUACCAGCUGACAUGAGAGCACCUACCCUUGCAGUGCCCUCUACAAAGCCUAUACCAGAGGUUGCACCCUCUGCUCCUCCUACCACACCACGGACUCCCCCUGUUAUUCCAGCUACAUCAGAGCCCUCUCCUUCAUCUGAGCCUAGGAUUGCUAUAUUCAUUUCCGAGUACAGAGGUCUAUGUCACACUUUACAGGCAUUGACCACUUCUCAGAGCAUCCUUACUUAGGAGAUGACAGCUCUUCGUGCUCACCAAGAGCACAUUAUCGCCACUCAGACUAAGCAUACUACCAUCUUGAGGCAGAUUCAGCACCACCUGGGUAUUCCAUCAGCUCCUGAGCACCCCAUUCCUAUCUUCUCAAAGCCCACAAAGCCAUCACAGGCCCCUCUUUUCGUAAAGCAGGCUUUUCCCUCUGAGGAGCCGACUACAGGAGAUGCAGAGACAUCCACCUGAGCCAUCAUCAUCUUCCCUCUAUCUGAUCAUUUCCAUACUUUUCUUUAUGUAUUUGCAUUUGUAAUCCCAUGCUUUUGAUAUUUUAUAUAUUGGGAUUGGUUGUAUUACUUGUUUACCUUUAUAUUGUACUUUCAUGAAGUAAUACAAAUCUAUCAAUUUUUUAGCACUCUUAGCAUUGUUUUAUUUUAAUUCCUCUACUCAUAUCUUUUGUUGUUUUUGAAACAUGUGGUUUCUCCUAAUCUAAUCGAACUUCAUAUCACUCAGGAGCUACCACUUCCUCCCUGUAAUUUCAAUCGCUCAUGUCACAUUGAGGACAAUGUUCAGCUUGGUUGGGGGGAGAGUUGAGGAAGGAAGUUUUUUGUUGUUAAUACUAAGUAUUUUCGUAAUUUAUUUUAUUUUUGUUUAAUUUAAAAAUUUUUUUGUAAGUUUUUAUUCCACUCUCCAUGGUUAUUAAGGACAAAUUCUCAAAUUAAAAUAAGAGAAAUCGAAUUUUUGUUUUUACUUGACUUAGACUUUGUAUUAUGCUUAUUAAAGUUGAUGAAUUGUUGAAACUUCUAUUGAAUUCAACUUUAGUUCUUCCACUUUAAGCUAUUCACACACUGUGCAAAAUAGGUUCCGAGUAUAAGAUGAAAAACUAUUUCCCUCUUGACUUAGGAAAAUUUAGACUUGGUACCUUUGACCUCAUUUAAUAGUGUUGGGACACCUUAUAAAAGGCCAAUGAGCCUUUGAAAAAAAAAGAGAAAGAAAGAAAAAUGUUUGCUUGCCUUGAAACCCGAGCAAGGUCUGAGGGGUAUAUGGUGAAAAUCUUUAAAACCUGGUGCCCUAAGCCUUCAUUGGUUGGGAGUCACCGACCUCAAUGCUCGUUACAAGGGUGAAUAGGUGGAGUUUAACAUACUGUAGGUGCUUGGGUAUUAAAAUUCAUUCUCAAAAGUCCGAGGUAAAAUCCGAGGAGUUAGUGGUUGAAAGAUCCUUAAAGCUUGAUGCCCUAAACCUUAAUUGGUUGGGAGUCAUCGAUGGACCCCCGUUUCAUGGACAAUUUAGAAAAGAAUACCUUUAAGCCUUGUACUCCUACAAUGAAAAAAAAAUGUGAAAUAAAAGGGUGCAUUCUUAGCCUAUUGAAUUUGGUCAGUUUGCUAAGUGUUGAAAAAUAACUAGGUUAGGGGGAGAGACUAGUUUAGCAUACUAUAUUCGGAAGCUAUCAAGUAACACUUAGAUUUUUGUGGAAGAGUAAGGUUUGGUCCUUUGGAAGUGGAAAUGAUUUUAAAGCUUCAAUUUGCAUAAUACCUUCUCUUUAUGAAUUGUGAUUAAGUAAAGUAUUUGAUAACUCUUGCUGAAAUUUGAGUUUUAUAUCUUUAAUGUCCCAUGUGAGAGUUUGAUCAUCAUGCCACUUAAAAAUUUUUGAAGUGAUCAGCAUGAUUUUGUAAAGUAUAUUACUGUUUAGUUUAUUUUUUUCUCUCCUUUAUUGCUAAGAGACUAGCAAUAUGUCGGUUGGGGGGAGUGAUUACUACUCAAAAAGUGCUAUUCAAUAGCUUGUAAUUAACUCUUUUAAACACUUUUGAGUAGUAGUUAUUACCUUUUAACCCAAUUAGCAUAUUAAGUACCUUUGCAAUCGUUUCUAAUCAAAUUGUGUAAGUUUUGGUGCUUUUGAUAGUAAUUUGAUCACCAAAGCAAUCCAAGAUUAAGGAGAGCUCUAUGGAAUCCAUGGCAAAGCAAUUGGAAUCUCAUUUACAUGAAGAACCUAAGCUUUGAAGCUUUAUAGUCCUUUGUCAUAAACAAAUCAUGAAUGCAAGGAUGAAAGCGAAGAGAGAAAUCUAACAUGAAGAAUUCAAGAGGACAUCAACUAUUUGACACUUUUGGAGCACUUUUUGAAGUCCAUUUGAUGCAUACUAUAUGUCGUUUCGAAUCUCGGGAAGUCAGAAAUCCAAUGCUUUAAACAGUGUACAAAUCGGAGUUGAAAUGAAGAAGUUAGAGCCAUUGGAAGCCGAUCACACCAAGUUGAAGGCCAAUUUCGCAGGCUGUGAAAUAAUUUCGCAGCCAUCUUAUACGUCUGCGAAAUUUCGUAGCCAUUUUGUGCGCCUGCAAAAUUCUCCUGAGUGCUUCUAGAUAUUUGCGACCGACAUUUUUUGAUAUUUUGCAUCAGACAUUUGAUGUCUAAAUCCCCAUUUUCUCCUUGUAAUCCACCAAUUAUAGGAUUCCUUAGUUAUUAAGCAAGAAAAAAAGGUGAAUAACCUGAUAUAUAUUGUUUUUGUAAUUUUCAUUACAGACAUCUCGGGAGCUUGUUCUCAGAGACAACUUUUUGUAUAGUUUUUGAAAGGAAUUAAAAUAUAGAGCUUUGCUCUGCCUUACCUACUCAAUUUGAUUGUAUUUUUCAUUACUAGCCAAACAAGCUCUGAGGAUGUUUUCUCAGAGAAUGGGUUGCUAGACUUUUUGUCUCUUGGAGCUAAGGUAGCCGAGGGAGGUGUCAAAUGCAAGAAUUGAGAGUUUUGUUGUUUCAGCUGUUAAUGAAGAGAAAGUGUAACCUGUUUAUGGUUUCUAUAUUUUUAGUUAACUUAAAACGCCUUCAAUUCACCUGGGCCAACACUUGGUAAUGCAAGUGAUCUCCGUCCACUGAGAUGCACUAGUUUACCUCUUGUGAGCCUUUGGGAGGUGACUUGAAGGUAGGAUUUUCUAGAAUUGCCAACACUUGGUAAGCUUUUGGACUCUAAGGAGACAUCCAUUAGUUAUCUCUUGCGAGCUUGAGAAGGGAAGUCCAAGGUUAAUGAUCACCUUGAAUGGGAAAUGCUAAGUGAGAGGCACGAGCCAUUGCAAGAUGCAUCAGUGAGAGGGAAUUAGUACUGAAAUCCAUAAAAGGGGAGCAUCUGUACCACACCGGUUGGAGAAUGAACUAUAUGUUAAUUCUCCAAUGCGAGGAAAAGAACCAAAGUGACCGGAACUCUGUUUUUGCAUGAGGAGCCUGACCCCAGUGAUCCUAAAACUCCAAGAAACGUUUUUCUUUAUAAGUAAUUCCCAUUACUUUCUUUUUAGUUAGCUUGAAACCAAACCUUUUUCAACUAAAGUUUAUGUUUUCUUUUGAAGCUAACCUUGAAAUGAAAAGGCACCAAUUCAACUUUGAAUUGGUAUCAGUUGUAACUUGAAAACCCUUCCCAGUGAACGAUCCUAGAGCCACUAUGCUAUACUAGCUUAUGCUAUCCUAGUGCAUGUUGAUAUAGGUUAUAAAUUUUGUUGAUUACUCCCAUCAGGGGACCAAAAUCAAGGUACACCAGCUGGGCACGAAUCAUUUAAUCUUGUAUCCAUUGGGUCCUUUGAUAAGUUUCUUGGAUAUCCUUUUGAAUUUCCAAACUAAAACUUGAAAUUCUUUUAAUUUAAAAUAAUUAGCAACUUAACCAUGGUUUGUUAUCAUUAAAACACGAUUAGGAGAACCUUUGGGCUAACAUAGUAUGUUAAUGAGCCUAUUUAUUUUUCAAAUUUUUUAUAUGAUUAUUUAAUAAGAUUAUUGUUAAAUUACUAUGGAUGCAAUUUAGGGAAGACAAAGACCCUAAUUGUUUUUUUUAUUUUUAUUGUUUGCAAACUUAAUGAAUUAUUUUGAGUUAUGUUAUUUAAAUUGUUGGAUUAAUUUUACAUAAUAUAUUAUUGUGACAUUAUAAUAUAAAAAUAAGUAAUAUCAUUUAGUUACCUUCAAUUCUAUUACUAUAGCUAUUUGAUAGACAGUAUUAAUUUAGUAAUGUUAUUUUAAUAGUUUAAACCAUAGGAAAUAUAAUCUAAGCUUAAAAUAUUAAUAUUUAUGUUUUUUAAAUGAUAUAUAAUGUACUUAUUUUUCUAAGGAAUGUAUUUAUUUUUAAGUUAAGAUGUACUUAUUUUCAAAUAGGAUGCACUUAUUUUUUCCAAUGACGUACCUAGUAUCAAAGCAUGAUAGAUGAGAUGUGCGAACAUCAUAAAUGCAUGCCUAGACCUAUAAAAAUGGAUGAUCUUGUCCAAUAUCUUGUUCAAUAUGCUUUGAUAAAAGGUACAUCAUUGGCAAAAAUAAAUGUAUCCUAUUUGAAAAUAAGUACAUCUUGUUUAAAAAUAGGUACACCAUAUGUAUAUCAUGCAUGUGACUCAUUUGCUCUAAUUUGGACAUGAUCUUCCAUUUUUGUAGGCCUAGGCAUGCAUUUAUUGACAUAAGCUAUAUUGGACAAGGGCUUUCACUUUUAUGGGCCUUGGAAUGCAUUUGAAGCUUUUAGCCAUCCCAUUUUGCAUCCUAGAACCCUAGGUACAUCAAUUGGAAAAAUAGAUACAUGGCAUUGAAAAAUAAGCACAUCUUCACAAAAAAUAAGUACAUCUCAUUUAAACUAUAUACCUAACGCAUUUGUCCUAUUUUGGACAUGAGCUUUUACUUUUAUAGGCCUCAAAAUGUAUUUAGGGUCUUCCCACAUCCCAUUUUGUAUCCUAGAACCUUAGGUACAUCCCUUGGAAAAAUAGGUACAUUGUGUUAAAAAAUAUGUACAUCUUUUGAAAAAUAAGUACUUUGCAUUUAAAUUGUAUAACUGACUUAUUUGGCCAAUUCUAAGUAUGAUUUUUCACUUUUAUAGGUCUUGAGAUGCAUUUGAGGCCUUCACACAUCCCAUUUCACAUCGUAGAACUUUGGGUAUAUCCUUAGGAAAAAUAAAUACAUCAUAUUGCAAAAUAGUACAUUCCCUUAAAAAAUAAGUACAUAUUAUUUUCAUUCUAUGGGUGACUUGUUUGGCUUAUUCCUAUCAUGCACUUUCACUUUUAUAGGUCUCAUAAUGCUUUUGAGGCCCUCACACAUCUCAUUUCUCAUUCUAAAACCUUGGGUACAUCCCUUGAAAAAGUAGGUUCAUCUUGUUGAAAAAUAAGUAUAUCAUCUUAAAGCAUAAGCACAUCGAAUUUACAUUGUAUAACUGAUUCAUUUCACUUCUUAUACACAUUCAUUAUUUAUUUGAGUUAUAGGUUCAAGUGACUAAUUCUGGAACAAGCAUAAAGCAUAAUCAAGUUGCUUAACUUUACUUAUGUACUACUAGUUAAGCAUGACACAUUAUGGUAUAUCAUUCAUGAAUAUGAAUAGGUAUAAGACUCAUCAUUCAUUCUAUAGGAAAAAGGGAACAUUUUAUGAACACUAUGUACACAAGUCAUUUGAUAGUAAUUAAGACAACAUGUAUGUUCUUUGUCCUAUCACGCAUUAAAAAAAAAUUAGUUUAGUUUUUAAGAUCAAUUUCAUUAUUAUUUGGUUUCGAUGUUAUGUAGCUAUUUUUUUCCUAUGGAUGCACAAAAGGUUCCAUGAUAUACUAAUUUUUCCUUGUCCAAAAUAGGCCAAAUGAGUAUUUUAAUUUAAUGUAAAUGCAAUGUACUUAUUUUUUAAGUGAAUGUACUUAUUUUUUAACAUGAUGUACCUAAUUUUCCAAUGGAUGUAACUAUGGGUUCUAGGAUGUGGAACAAGAUAUGGGAAGACCUCAAAUGUAUCUUGAGGCCUGUAAAAGUACAAGCUCAUGUCCAAAAUAGACAAAUGAGUCACCUAUACAAUUUAAAUAUUUAAGAGGGUGUAAUUAAUUUUCAACACAACGUACCUAUUUUUCCAAGGGAUGUACCUAGGUUCUAGGAUGCAUAAUGAGAUAUGGGAAGACCUUAAAUGCAUCUUAAGGCCUAUAAAAAUAAAAGCCCAUGUCCAAAAUAAGCAGAAUGUCACCUUUACAAUGUAAAUGCAAUGUACUUAUUUUUUAAGUGGAUUCACUCAUUUUUCAAUGGGAUUUUUUAACUUUUGUAGCAAUUUUUAAAAAUAAUUAUUAAAAAAUGGUAGUUGGGAAAAUAUUAAUAGAUCUACGGCGGUUUUGGCCACGUGGAAGGUGUCUUUUGAAGAGACACCUUCCACAAUUUUCAAAAUCAUGAUACUAAUUUAAAAGAAUUGAAUUUAAGCUAAAGGUGUCUCUUCAAGAGACACCUUCUACAAUCCCAGAAAAUUGGAUUUAUAUUAAAGGUGUCUCUUGAAAAGACACUUUCCACGUGGCAAAAAAUCCAAUAUGAAUUAAAGGUGUCUCUUCAAGAGACACCUUCUACAAUUCCAAAAAAUUUUAAUUUAUACAAAAUGUGUCACUUAAAGAGACACUUUCCACAAUUCCACAAUUCCAUAAAUUCCAAUAUAUAUUAAAGGUGUCUCUUCAAGAUACACCUUCUACAAUUCCAAAAAAUUGGAUUUAUACUAAAGGUGUCUCUUGAAAAGACACUUUCCAUAAUUCCAUAAAAUCCAAUAUGUAUUAAAAAUUGUGGAAAUGAUUUUAAAGCUAAAGAUGUCUCUCUUCAACAUAAAUUCGAAAUUUUCCACUGUGUAUGGAAAUUGUGGACAAUGUCUCUUCAAAAGACACCUUUAGUAUAAUUCCAUUUUUUGAGAAUUGUGAAAGGUGUCUCUUCCACAAAUUUAAAAAAAAUUGGGUUUAUACUGAAGAGACACUUUCCAUAAUUUCAAUUCAAACAAUGGAAAAUUUUGAAUUUAUGCUAAAGGUGUCUCUUCAAGAGAUACCUUCCACAAUUCCCAAAAAAAUGGAAUUAUACUCAGACGCCUUUCAUAAUUUUUAAAAAAUUGGGUUUAUACUGAAAGUGUCUCUUCAGAAGAGACACUUUCCACAAUUUUCAUACACAGUGGAAAAUUUCGAAUUUUGAAAAGACAUAUUUUACAAUUCCCAAAAAAUGGAAUUAUACUAAAGGUGUCUCUUGAAGAGACACCUUCCAUAAUUUUAAAAAAAUUGGGUUUAUACUGAAAGUGUCUCUUCAAGAGACACUUUCCACAAUUUCAUACACAAUAGAAUAUUUCAAAUUUAUGCUAAAGGUGUUUCUUCAAGAGACACCUUCCACAAAAGGAAAAAAAAAUUAUAUCUCUUAAUUAGUAUUACCUGCUAUACAACCAAAUGUUUAAAGUUUAUCCCCUGUAUACAUUAUAAUCAAUAUUUUGACAUUCAAUCCAAAACCAAUGAAAAUAAGUAAACCAAAUGUCAAUUAAGUCAACACAUUUCCAAAAUAGUAACAAUACUAUUUUGUGUAAAAUAAAUCCAAAAUAGAUAGAAUACUAGAGAACUUACGUUAAUAAAAAGUUAGUUUAUCCAAAAUAUAACAAGUAUAAAUAUACAUCUUGAGUAUUUGUCAAAAAUAAUGAUAUGCAAAAUACUAACAGUAUCCAAAAUACAAGUCAUAUGUAGUAACAUCCUCAAUGUGUACCGCAUGAAGGAGCCUUCCUCUUCCAUUGUGGACAUCCAUGAUAUGCAUGCUCCACUAUUGGCUCUAUGGGGCUAACAUGUACCCCUCUAUGAGCUCGACAACCACGUCUCCUACCACGUCCUCAACCAUGUCCUCGACCAUGAUCAUUCUUUUGUCCUUGUUGAUCAUCAUUUGCUAUAUGAACUAACUUCUCAUCAACCAAUGUAACCUCUAUCGAUUGUGGUGAUGAUGCAACAAGUAGUACUAUAGGUGGGUUAGAUGGCACCUCCAUAUGUGUAAUACGAGUCUCCUCAACAGGUGGCGGGCUAAUGUCAGUCGAUGGUGCAUUUCUAAGAACAAAUGUAUGCUUAGUCACUCUCGUAUAAGCCCCUCUCCCUCUAGUCCGUACACCUCAUGAUCAAGUAAUGGAUGAUAUCAGUUGCUGAUGAGGUGGUGGAUUACAAUAAAGUGGACGUACCAUUAUGGGAAAUAGCACAUCUCAUUUGAAGAAGAGAGUCCUUUUGAUAUAAUCUAGGCAUUAAAGUUUAUCAUCGAGAUCAACUCAAAUGAAUCGCUACAUGAUUUGUACGCUCCCUUAAUUUUAUUUUCCUUAUAUUUUUUUCCUUCAUAUUAAUUCCACCACCAAAUCUGAUAAAAUCAAAAUUAAGUUUUAUAAGCCUCUAAGUGAUAAAUAAAAAAAAAAAAAAAAGCCUUCUAUCGAGAAAGGGGGUUAUUUCUGAACAUGGAGAGUCGGCAUAGAAGACCUUUAUUGAAAAUGGUGUUGAUGCUUUGAAAAGUUUGAAUGGACGAGACUCUAAGUUGAGUUGAUGGGAAGAGCAAGAGACGCAGUUUAUUGGGACUUUAAGAGAAAUAUUUUUCUCUUCCACACCAUCCUUUGACAUCAGUCACUUGUAACUCAUCAAUUGACCAACUUCGUUUAUAUGAUUUAUUAUUAUUUUUUUCCAGUUUUCUAAUGAAAAUAUUUCUUUGGUUUGAAGAAAUAUUCAUGUUAAUGGUUCGGAUAGAGAAAGAUAAGAUUGAAUCAAAUCAAAUUUAUUUUAAUUAAUCAAAUUCAAUUUAAUGUAUUCAUUUUAUACAAGAUAAACUAUUUAAUUUUAACAAAUAAAAAGAUAGUAUAUCCAUUUUUAUAUAUGAUAACUUGAUUUGAAUAUAUAUAAUUUUUUUUUUUGUAACCCCUGUUUGAUUCCAAAGAAAAUCCAUCCCCCAUUCGAUUUCCAAAAAAAUUCAUCCUCAUUUGAUUUAUGAGAAAAUCCAUGCAAAACCCCCAAGGAAAACCAAAAAAAUUGCUUUUUUUAUUUAUUUUUUUGCUCUCUAUGCUUUAUGGAUUUAUUCUAGGGGUCUCUGUGGAUGUACUCAACGUCUUAUGCAAUCAUGAAAUAACAUGAAUUGAGUGGAUGUUAUUGCAUAAUAACAUUGAUAGACAAGACUAUUAGAAAAGAGAGCACCACUUUUAUAUAUAUAAAGUAACAGUUAAGUGUGCUAAAAGUACCACCAUGCUAAAAGUGUAUUACACUUUUUAUGUACUACUUUUUCAUAAAAUAAAAUAAAUGGUACCCUCUUUUCUAAGGAUUGUGUCAAUUGGUGUUAUUGUGCAAAACACCCACUCAAUUCACAUUAUUUUAUCAUCACAUAUGACGUCGAGUAUGUAACAAGCGAUAAUAGAUCUUACCCUAAACCAAAUAAGAGAAGUACAUUCUUCCCACCACAAUGAAACUAAAAAAAGAGUGACAUAUUCUUCCCACCACAGUACUACUUUUAACAUAGUACAUUUUUCAUUCAUGAGUGGUACCAUUUUUUUUCAAAGGUUGUGUUGACUGUUGUUAUUGCACAAUAACAUCCACCCAAUUCAUGUUAUUCAAUCAUUACAUAAUACAUUAAGCAUGUAACGGGUGGUAACAUACCUUAAACCAAAGAAGAGUGAUACACUAUUUCCACCAUAGUGGUACAUUUAUCACACUUCAGUGGUAUUUUCUUUUUAUAAAUAAAUGGUAUGCACUUUUCCAAAGGUUGUAUUGAUCAAUGUUAUUAUGAAAUAACACUCAUUGAAUUCAUGUUAUUUCACCAUUAAUAAGACAUCUAGCAUGCAACGAAUGGUAACAUACCUUUGCUUAAACUAAAAAAGAGAGAUACAUCCUUCUUACCACAAUAUUACUUUUAGCAUUUUUAGCAGUACUUUUUUUCAUAAAGGAGUGGUACUAGGGAAAUGCAACUUAAGUUGCGCAAUGGUUUGAGGUGCACCAACUUAGUGUUUUAGGAGGGUACACUAUUUUUUUCUUAACACAUUUAAAAGGUAUGCAACUUCAAUAUACAAAAAUUUUAAUUUUUAAUAAAAUUAAGAGAAAAUCAAUAUAAACAAUUGAAUACAAACUUUUUAUGAAAAUACAUAUUUUUAUUUUAUAUAACUAAAAAUUAAAAAUUUGAACAAAACAAAACUUUAGAAUCACAACCAUGUUUUUAUUUUAUAUAAAUUAAAAAUAUUAAACAUUUCAACCAAGAAGAAAAUUAAAACUAUGGUCAAGUUACAUCCAUAAGAAAAAAGCUAAAACCAUGAUCAUCAAUUUUGAUUUUCACAUGAAAAUUUAAAAAUUUUUAAAAAUAUAAAAAAAUUAAAUAAUAUGACAAUAUAAGAAGAUUUAUAAAAUAAAUAAAUAUUUUAUUUAGGAGGAAUAUAAAAAGUCUUAUAUCCUAAACUUCUAAAUUUGUUAUUAUGUAUUUAUUUUUAUAUUAAAUUUGUUCUUAUUAAUUAUUUAUUAUAUAUUAUUAAUUUUUAUUUAAAUAUCUAUAAAUAAUUAAAAUCAAUAAAUAUGAACAAAUGAAAUAGUGAAAAAAAAUUAAAUUAUAAAAUUUUCAUGAAGCCAAUACAUUAAAAAUAAAUAAAAAAUAAAAAUAAAAAUAAAAAUAAAAGCAAAAAUGUGGAGAUAUUAUGGAGGGAAAAAAAAUCAUGUGACAUAGUAGAUUGUUACAUAUCAAAGUUUUUUUUUUUUUUUUAAACCAACCACGAUUAGCACUUUGACUUAUCAUGUCAAAGUAUAAAAAUAAAAAUUGUGAUAAUUAAUGUCAUGAUGAGAAAAGGGUUAGUCGUUUUGAAAAUACAUGUUUUCAAGACAUAUAUAUAUAUAUAUAUAUAUAUAUAUAUAUUGUGAAAAUAAAAAACCAAUCUCCCUUUUGAAACAGCAGAAACCUUUUGGCAAAAAACCGUGUCUUUCAUUCAUAUUUGCACGAGUAUAAAUACACACAUAUAGACUAGAUUCAAGAAGGAAUUACGACUAUAAUUGUGGGUCUGACUUUUUAUAUAUAGUAGGUACAAAUAUUAUAUGGUAUAACUGCAACUAUUAUAGGAUUGAAUCAGAGGAUGAGUUGGUCAAAGGAUACGAUAUAACUGCAACAAUCACGGGCUUGUCUCAAAGUAUGAGUUGGUCAACUAUUUUCCACAAAGACCACAUGCCGAGAAAUGAACAUUUUUGAGGUGGAUGGGUCAUAACAUCUAUAGGAAUUAUGUGAGAGAAUAGCCAAGGAAAACACAGGGUCGAGACUUGGGAUCCAAUUUAUGGCAUGUGUAGGGUUUUAGCUAGGGGUAACAAAGGCAACCAAAGAUUUUAAGUUCGAGAUAGUAGGGGGAAGGGUGAAAGAGGGUCUCAAAAGGAGAUUUGUUAUCUAAAAGUGGGAUUGGCAUCUGAUUAAUGAGGUAAAUUAUCGUUUGACAGGCAACAGGCCAAAAUUGAAGACGAAUGGAGGCUUGAUGAAGAAGAGUCAAUGUCAUCUCAAGAUUAUGUCUAUGUUGUCUUUCAGCAAUCCCUACAAUUUGUGAAGUGUAUGGAGGAGAAUAGGGGUGUUAAAUUCCAUGUUUUGGAGAGUGUGGGAUGAAGACCUGCAUAUUCCCAGGAUUGGGGUUUUGAAAUAUUUUUCUACUAGUUGCUUGAAGUUUUCAAAAAUACAAGUGGUAUCUGAUUUGUUUUUUAGAGGAUAAAGCCAUAUGUAUUUGGUGAAAUGGCCAACAAAAAUCACAUAAUAUAAAAAAUUAUCAAGGAUGUGAUAGGAGCAAGUCCCCAAAUAUAAUUAUAAAUAAGUUUAAGGGGUUUAGAGCUUAUAAGAGAAGAUGCACCAAAGGAAAGUCAAUGACUUUUAUUACAUAAGCAUGAGUUACAAGAGUCUAGAGACGACUUGGACAUUGAAAGUGAAUGACUUGAGAUGACAUGUCAGAGAAUACGUCGAUUGGGAUGAUCAAGACAACGAUAACAUUUAUUUAAGGAUGUUGGACUGGUGGUGGUGUUGUAGGCCUGAGGUGUGGAGCUUGAGUAGGGAAAAGAAGUCGGACACUCAUACAGAUUUCCCUUAAACGAGUGUUGCCCCCGUGCUCAAAUCCUUCACCAAAAAGUAAGUAGGGAAAAAUUCAAUUGAUGUACAAUUAUGUUUGCAAAACUGAGAAACAAAAAUUAAGUUUUUAUGAAUAGCUGGAGCACACAAAACAUUACCAAACAUAAAAUUUGAAUUUUUAAUAAUUAAAUUAGUAGAAUCGGUAUGAGUGAUAGAAAUACCAUUACCAUCACCAAUAAUUACAUGUCUGUACCACCAUAUUCAGAAUGAAUGGAAAGAUUCUGAAGAUCUGAAGUAAUGUGGUGUGAGGCUCCGGAGUCUAUUACCUAAUUGGCAUUAUGAGUUGGUGGUUCUCGAGCCAUGAAAUUUGCUUGUGGUGUGGAAUAGGAGGAUGGGCGAGACCUGCAGACCCUGGCAGUAUGUCUAGCUUUGUCACAUAGUUGACAAACAACACAGAUUUGAGGGGGAUUGAAUGGAGGACGCCCUUGUGGACCAAGAAAUCUAUUCCCUUGGUUAGGGAACAUGUGUCCAUGAUGAUUCUUGUUGCCUUGAUAAUUAUUUCCAAAUUGAGAACUUUGUCCUUUCUUAUUGUUUGAGUUGUUCCCCUUUUUGCCAAAGUUGUUUGAGCCCUUUUGAUUAAACUGAGUUGUAACAGUAACACUAUCCUUCUUGAAUUCUUCACGUUUUAGGAACAUUUCAUGAUCUGCUAGUUUGUCAUGUAGUUCUUCAAAGGAUAUGGAAGAAUCUCAAGCUCUUAUUGUUGCACUCAAUUCCUUGAACUCAGAUCCUAAACCUUUGAGAACACUUAUCACCAUUUCUUCUGCACCAAGAGGGGAUCCAACAAUAGCCAAUUCAUCAUCGCUCAUAGUUUUGAUUACUGUCAUAUAUUCAACAACAGAUUUAUUUUCUUUGAUGAGUUGGCUCAGCAUCUCUCGGAGUCCUAAGAUCCUAGUCUUCAAUUUGCUGGCAUAUGUGGUGUAUAGACGAGCCCAAGCCUCUUGAGCAAAUGUAGUGGAUGCAACAAGAGGGGCAAUGGUGGAAUCAACUGAUUCCAUGAUAGCAUGCAGAAGUAGGCUCUCUUGGCGUUUCCAAAUUUUGUGCUCCGGAUUGGGUGUGAAAGUGUCACCCAUUUUUAUCAUUUCUAGUGGACUUGGAUAUGUUCCAUCAACAUACCCAAUCAGAUCAUAGCCAUAAAGUAGUGUUGAGAACAUUGUUCUCCAAGAGGGAUAAAUGCUGCUACCGAUGAGUUUCAAGGGGAAGUUGUGUUGCUGCAUUAAUAGACACCAGUGCGGUUGAAGGAGUGUUUCCACAUGACAUGAUGACUCUGUGAUAUGGGAAGGGCCCGGAGGAGUAGGAGUCUUCAGCCAUAGGGAUAGGAAUAAAAGGUGGUUUCAAUGAAGAGACUACAAGAUUUGGGUGGCUGCUGGAAUAGUGACUGUGGAGUUUAUGGCUUUGAUACCAUGAAACAGCAGAAAGAUUUUGGCAAGAAACAAUAUCUUUCAUUCAUAUUUGCAUGAGUUUAUAUACACACAUAUUGACUAGAUUCAAGAGGGAAUUACAGUUAUAAUUGUGGGUCUGCCUUUUUAUAUACAGUCGGUACAAAUAUUAUAUGGUAUAACUGCAACUAUUGUGGGAUUGAGUCAGAGGAUGAGCUGAUCAAUGGAUAUGAUAUAACUGCAACAAUCACGGGGUUUUCUCAAAGUAUGAGUUGGUCACGUGAGCUGUCUAUCACCUUCUUGUUAGAAUAACUAGGGACUCACAUAAAUUAAUAAUUGUUUAUGACUGACUCAUGCCCAAUUGGUGUCUCAGCUGAUUUGUGUUCAGCUGGUGCUCCUUGAUUGAGGAAGUGAUCAACAAAAUUUAUACCUAUAACACCAUACACUAGGGUAGCAAAUACAAAGCUACUAUAGUAUAGUGGCUCUAAGGAUCGUUCACUGGGAAUGAUUUGCAAGCAAUCAAGGAUACCAAUUCCAAGUGAAUUGGUUUUGUUUCAUUUCACGGUUAGCUUAAGGAAUAAAACACAAACUUUGAUUUGUAAAGGUUGAGACUUAAACUAACUAACUUAACAGAAGUUUGGAAUAAUUUAGGAAGAAAAGCAUUCCUUGGAGAUUUAGGUUCACUGGGGUGGUUCCUCAUGCAAAAGACAUAGCUCCGGUCAGAUGGUUCAUUUCCUCGCAUUAGAGAUUCAACUUAUAGUCAAUUCUCUAACCGGUGAUGUACAGAGACUCCUUCAAUUAGAUUUCACUUUAAUUCUCUCACUGAUGUAACUUACAAUGGUUCAUGCCUCUCACGAGCACUUACCAUUCAAGGUGAUCUUUAACCUUGGAUUCCCCUUCACAAACUCGCAAGAGAUAACUAAUGGAUGCCUCCUAAGAGUCCAAAAGCUUACCAAGUGUUGGUAAUUCCAGAAAAUCCUACCUUGAAGUCACCUACCAAAGGCUCGCAAGGGGUAAACUAGUGCAUUUCCACGGUUGGAAAUCACUUGCCUUACCAAGUGUUGGCCCAGGUGACUCCAAAGUGUUUUAAGUUAACUAAAAACAUUGAAAUCACUAAAGGAUUUCACUUCCUCUUCAUUACUAGCUAAAACCACAGAGCUUUGCAUUCUUGCACUUGGAACCUUCCCCGGCAACCUUAGCUCCAAGGAAUUGGAGGUUUAGUUACUCAUUCUCUGGGGAAAACUCCUCAGAGAAUUCAUAACUUAGAAAUAAAAUGAAAAUACAAAGUGAUAAGGUAAGGCAGUAGAAAGAAAAGACCUUUACUUCCUUACCAAAUGGUUACAGAAGGAACUCCUCUCUGAGGACAGGCUCCCGAGAGGUAUUUAUAGCAAACUAAUAUAAAACUAAUUCUUACAAAGAUAUUUGGUCUUUUUACUAACUUAAAAACUAAGGAAUCAUGUAAUUGGUGGUUUACAAGGAGUAUUUUGGAAUUUAGACAACAAAAAUCUAAUGGAAAAUAUCUCCCAAUGUCGGUAGCAAGCUUCGGGAGGCUUCCGGAGCCAUUUCGCAGGAGAAAAGUGAGGUCUGCGAAAUUUCGCAGACACCCAAGAGGGCUGCGAAAUUAUUUCGCAAGACCAAGCUGUCUUCAUAGGGCUACGAAGUUGGCUUCCAUCUUGAAGUUUCCAGCUCCCUUCUCGCGGCAUGGUUCGUGCAUCGUCAGAAGGAGAAACACCUUGCUGUACAAAAGUGCUGCGAAAUUCUCGCAACAAAAGGCCGAUUCCGCAACACUUUAGAGUGACUGGCUUGUAAUGGCUGCAACUUCUUCGUUUCAACUCCAAAUUGCACACCGUUUGAAGCAUUGGAUUGUUGACUUCCUGAGCUUUGAAAUGGUAUAUAGCUUGCAUCAUUUGGACUUCAGAAAGUGCUCCAAAAGUGGCUGCUACGACUGUCAUCAAGAAUAUGCUCCAUGACUGAUCCUCUUUGCUUUUUCUCCUUGCAAUCCGGAUUCACUCUUGGCAAUUGAAUUCUAAGCUUUGCCCAUGAUUCCUCAUAGUUCUCCUCAUUCUUGACUUGCUUUGGUGAUCAAAAUACUAACAAAAACACCAAAACUUGCACAAAGUGAUCAAAAUUGCUUUAAAGGAUCCUUAACAUGCCAAUUGAGUUAAAAGGCCUAAACUACUACUCAAAAGUGUUAAAAAGGAUUAAUUAAAGGCUAUCAAAUAGCACUUUUUGAGUAGUAAUCACUCCCCCCAACCGACAUAUUGCUAGUCCCUUAGCAAUAUAGGAGAGAAAAAUGAAAAUAAAUAGCUAAUUAUACUAAAAUUUACAACAUCAUGCUAAACAAAAUCAAUUCUCAAGUGGCAUGAUGAUCUAUUUCUCACAUGAAUCAUUAAAGAAAUACAAACCCAAAUCUCAACAAGAGUCAUAACACCUAUGCUAACCACUGUCAAUCAAGGGAGUGCAUUAUGCAAACUGAAGUUUUAAAAUCAUUUCACUUUCUGAGAACUAAACUUCGAUCUUCCACAAAAAUCUAUGUGUAUUGGUUCCUUAGGUUCCGAGAAUAAUAUGCUACUAAUCUCACCCCCCAACCUAUCUCUUUUCAACACUUUAGCAAACUGACCAAAAUCAAUAAGAAAAGAACACACUUUCAUCCUUUUUUUUUUUUUUUUUUUUUUUUUUUUUUUUUUUUUUUCAAGGUAGCUUUAUGGGGUACUCUUUCUGACUUGUCCAUGUAAUGGGGGUCCAUCGAUGACUCCCAACCAAUUAAGGUUUAGGGCACCAAGUUUUAAGGAUCUUUCAACCACUAACUCCUCGGAUUUUUCCCCGGACUUUUAAGAAUGAGUUUCUAAUACCCAAGCAUCUACCAUAUGCUAGCUCUACUAUUCACCCUUGUAACGAGCAUUGAGGUCGGUGUCUCCCAACCAAUUAAGGCUUAGGGCACCAGGCUUUAAAGGCUUUCACCAUAUGCCCCUCAGACCUUGCUCGGGUUUCAAGGCAAGCAAACAACUUUCUUUAUUUCAAAGGCUCAUUGGCCUUUUGCAGGGUGUUUCAAUUUUUAUCAAAUGAGGUCAAAUAUACCAAGUCUCAAAAUUAUUCUAAGUCAAGAGGGAAAUAGUUUUUCAUCUUAUAAUCGGAAACUAAUGUGCACAGUGUGUGGAUAGCUUAAAGUAGAAGAACUCAAUUCAAUUUCAGUAGAAGUUUCAACAAUUGAACCACUUUAGUAAGCAUAAUCCAUACUCUAAGUCAAGUGAAAAACAACAGUUCAAUUUCUCUUGGUUUAAUUUGAAAAUUUUUCCUCAAAAUUCAUGGAGAAUAGAGUAACACUAGUAAAAAGUAAAAACUACAACUAAUUAACCAAUAUAAUUGCAAUACCAAAAAGGUUUAGAAUACUUCCUUCCUCAUACCCCCCAACCGAACUGAACAUUGUCCUCAAUGUGAUUUGAGUGACUGUAAUAAAAGGGAGGAAGUGGUACCUCCAUGCUGAUAUCAAAUUCGAAUAUUGAUUGGGGAAAACCACAUGUUUCAAAAAGAAUAGAAUAUGUGAGAAAAGGAAAUAAUAAUAACUUAAUGUUAACUUUUAACAAGAAAUAGUCAACUUGUAUUACUUUGAGUUCAUUUGAUUACAAUACUAAAGACAAGUAACACAAGGAAUCCCAUAUAUAGUACCAAAAUAUUGGGAUUUCAUUGCAACUAAAACAAAAUAAACAUGCAUAAAAACAUAAACAGCAAAUAUAUAUAAUGUCUGAUAAGUGGGGUGAUAGUUGCUAGGCAGAAGGAUCUGCCUCCUCAGUAGGUGGAUCAGCUGGUGCUUCGGGUUCUGGAGGAUGAGACUCUGAAGGCUGAGAGUGUGGCUCUGGUGGAGUAGGAAUGAAGGGCUCUACAGCUUGUGGCAGAUCGAAAUGGACUUGAAGCUGCCUUAGGAUGGCAGCUUGUUGAGCCUGAGAGGCUAACAUCUGCUCCUGGCAUGCUUUGAUGGCUGCCAACUCCUGAGCAAGAUUGCUCUGGGAAGCUGUAAGAGUCUCCAAUGCAUGGCACAGCUCUCGAUAUUCAGAUAUAGGGAUGGCCAUCCUAGGCUCAGCUGAUGUGGAUGGUUGUGAUGGAGCAGGUGCAGCUGGUGGAGCUCGAGGGAUGGCAGGAGUAGCAAGUGUGAUAUCUUCAGGUGCAUGUCUUGGGGAGGCUCUCCUUGCUGCUGGCUGAGGCUGCCCAGGCUGAUCAAUUUUGUAGGCCGUCAUAUUAUUCCAUUUAUCAAGGGUAAAUGGCUCACGGCAUAUUCUCUUUCUUUCCUGCUGAGGCUCAGAGGGGUAUCCGAGAUGUUCCAAAACUUGGCAUAGCAGCCGUGGGAAGAGGAGUGGAAUGCAAUCUGCUCUUUGAAGCUUCUUCUUAUGAACCUUCUCCUCAAAGUAAAGAAGGGCUGCCAUGAUCAGAUGAUGAGGCCCAAAGAAGAAUCCUUCAGACAUCUUGUAUAGAGCUUCCAAGAGAACUCCCCUUCUUUGGGUCCAAUGCUGCAAGGGAUAGAUAUUAUGCCUCAAAAAGGCAUCAAUCAAAAACAUCACUGGAGGUAGCUCCCCCCUCAGCAGGUGUGAUCGAUUUGCAGCUCCUCCAGUUAGGGUGCUAACCAUCUCUAACUCAGUAGGAUUUACCCAAGCUUUAAAAUUGUCAAAUUGGGUUGGCUCAAACGGAAUUUGCAGGGCUUCAGCAAUAUGUCUUGCUCCCAAAAUACCAUGUCUUCCAUCAAUUAUGAAAUGGAUCAGAGUUGGAUUUCUUACCUCUUUGGUUGUCAUGGUCUGGUAGAAGUCUGUGACUACCCGGGGAUAGAAAAAAUCCCUUGGAGCUAGCAGAUGCUCCAUAUGAUAUCUCCUCAGCAGUUGGAAUGAUUGGGCAAGCUCUGGCCUCACUCUAAAUGCUGCUAAAUCGAAGCACAAUUCAGAAUGGAAUGCCCGAGUUCGGCAAUCCAGGUUUCCUUCGAUUGGGGGCUGGGGCAGCAUUGGCCUUCGGAUCACUUCUUCCAGAGGUGCUUCAGCUGCAAUUUGGGGCUCUGGAAUUGGCGCUUGAGGCUCCUGAGCUUUUUCUUGGGGGGCCGGAGAUGGUACCGGCGAUGGAAUUGGAGUUGCUUCUGGUGAGGGAAUUGGCGAGGGAACCGGUGACGGCACUGGAAUUUGUACCGGUGAAGGAUUUGGUGAUUUCUCAGGGGAUUGCUCAGUCAAAUCAAUUGGUUCAGAGCUCUCAACCCUGGCUUUCUUCUUCAAUGGCUGACCACCUGACCUGGUUAAAUAUCGCCUUGCCGGCGGCUUUGGUGGCGCCGGCUUCACUGGAGAAGGUUGUGGUCUCGACGGCGAAGGCUUUGGAGCAGGUUCUGGAACAGAGCCUGAACUUGGCUCCUUUCGCAGACUCCUUUUGCGGUUCGAAGGGGAUGAAGACUUUGCCCCUCGCGUUCGUGCCAUUUUGGAAUAUCGAUCUUUGGCCGGCGCUGCUAAACGGAGAAGACGACCGGAGGUUCGGACGGCGUGGCUUGGCGAAGAAGAUGAAGGGGCUGCGAGAAUGGUGCUCUGAUUUUUGAAACCCUUUUCGCAGCACUUUUGACCGGUAUAAAUAGGAAAAACGGAAGCCCAGGGGUCAGAUUACGUUUCGCAACAAAACGCCAAUUUCGCAGCAACUUGCCAUUUUCGCAGCAACUUCGCAGUGAGUUUCGCAGCUGCGAAAUUGAUGUCACUGUGCUGCGAAGUGGCACUCGUGUGCCAAAUCCACUUUCACAAUUGCGAAAUGCCCUGCGGAAUGGGACUUUUGGUGCGAAAUCACGCUUUUUCAUUUCGCAACGCGUUUCGCAGCUGCGAAAUGGAUGCUACUGUUCUGCGAAGUGGCACUCGUGUGCCAAAUCCACUUUCGCAAUUGCGAAAUACACUCGCAGAGGCUUCUACAGUGCUGCGGAGCGGUUUGGCAACAAAAAUCACAUUUCGCAGAAGUUUCCUUCACUCUGCGAAAUUUCGCAGAGCUCUGUUUUUCCCCUGUUUUUGCUCUGUUUCGGCUCCAAUUUCGACCCGAUUUUUUUUCUUUUCAAUCCCCUUGAAAUUUCUUCCACCUGGGAUCAUAUAACAUGAUUAAAACACACCUAAAAACAUGAUUUAAGAUCAAAAACUAAGAUCAAAAGUAUGAAAACAACUUGAAAAUUUACAAAAUUUACAAAAAUUUUGGACUGUGGUAAAACCACGCCCAGCAAACCCUUUUCACUUAAGCUUUUUGAGGUUCAAGGAGGUUGAUUGCCUCCUUUUCUGAUUUGAAUGACUCCAUGAACGGCUUAAGACGAUAUCCAUUGACUCUAAAGCUAUCCUUGCCAUUGGAAUUCAAUAAGUCCACCACUCCAUUGGAAUAUACUCGGUGAAUAACAAAUGGACCAAUCCACCUUGACUUGAGCUUCCCAGGAAAGAUAUGGAGUCUUGUGUCAUACAUCAAAACUUUUUGCCCUUCCUGAUUCAGUUUGCCUGGAUCCCAUUUGAAGCUUGCAUCCUUCACUUGAGACUUGGUUUGAGAUGAAGAUAUUACGACAGGACAUUGAUUAUUUUCUUCAAGAUAUGUAUAAUUCAGCUCCACAGGUAAAGGCUUCAGAUUGAGUUUUGGAAUUUCUUUUUCAACAGCUGCCUCCUCUUCCUUAUUGAACAAAGGUAAAAUUCCUUCUAUCUUUCUCCAACUUUGUAGAGUAGCAAGCCUAAUAGGAGAUUCAGAAAAACCUUCCUCAAUAUCCUCAAGACUUUCAUUCAACUUGUCUUGCAUAUGUUGAUUGCAGUGCUCCUCCACCAAAGUAUCAAUUAUACAUAGCUCUUCUGGACCUUCUUCUUCUUCCGGAGUGAUUUGCUUUUUAGACAUAUAGAAAAUAUUUAGAUCCAGUGUCAUAUUACCAAAAGUGAGUUGCAUCAGCCCAUUUCUACAAUUGAUGAUUGCAUUUGAAGUUGCAAGAAAUGGCCUUCCAAGGAUGAUAGGAACUAAAUUAGCUUCCUUUACAGUUGGAUCAGUAUCAAGAACAACAAAAUCUACAGGAUAGUAGAAAUUAUCUACUUGAACCAAUACAUCCUCAAUUACUCCUCUUGGAAUUUUCACUGAUCUAUCUGCCAAAGAUAAAGUGAUUGCUGUUGGCUUCAACUCUCCAAGGCCCAGUUGCUUGUAGACAGAGUAUGGAAGCAAAUUCACACUUGCUCCCAAGUCUAGCAAGGCUUUCUCCACUACCUUUCCUCCAAUCAUGACUGAAAUGGUAGGACUUCCAGGGUCUUUAUACUUCAAAGGAGACUUACACUGUAAGAUUGCACUUACUUGCUCAGUCAAGAAGGCUUUCUUGUUUACAGUCAACCCUCUUUUGAUAGUACACAAGUCCUUUAGGAAUUUUGCAUAUGUUGGAACUUGUUUGAUCAUAUCCAGUAGUGGAAUAUUAACUUUCACUUGCCUCAAUACUUCUAGGAUUUCAGCUGCAUUUCUAACCCCCUUUUUCCCCUGUAAUGCUUGAGGAAAAGGUGGAAAAGUUGAUUUAUUCAGCAUUUCUUCCUUCAGAAGCUCCUUCUCUGGAAUUACUUCCCUUGUUGCAUCAGAGUCCUUCUUCUCUUCACUGAUCUCACUGCCUUUAUCUUCCAUUUCCUUCCCUUUCUUCAUCUCUUCUUCUUUCUCAACAUGUGGCUUGGGUGUUGGAUGCUCAAUUUUUUUACCACUCCUUAGAGUGAUCAAAGCUUUCACAUCUUUCACCUGUGAUGAUUCUCCCUCAUGGCUUUCCACUUCAUGGACACCUUUGGGAUUUUGGUUAGGUUGAGAAGGAAAUCUUCCUUUUUCUUGCAGUGUAUUCAAAUUUGUAAGCCUGGAGAUUGAAUAUUGGAUGUUAUCAAACUUUUGAUUCAUGUCAUUUUGCAUUCCAUCCAUUCUUUUGUUCAACAUACUCUCCAUUCUGUCCAUUCUUUGAUCCACUCGAGCAUUGGUGGCUUCUUGCUUUCCCACAAAAUCUCCCACUACCUUGUUGAGAUUGGCUAUUAUUUGUUCAAUACUUGAAGAUUGCUGAGAUGGUGGAUCCGGCUGUUGGUAUUGAGUUGCUCUGGCCUUCCAUGAGAAAUUUGGAUGAUUCCUCCAACUAGAAUUGUAGGUAUUUCCAUAAGGAGCAUUGUUAUUGGGCCUGAAUUGUCCAACAACAUUUGCUUGAUCUCUAUACAUUUCCCUUUCAACUGAAAUUGCAGGGCACUCCUCCACCAAAUGUUCAAAUGAUUGACAAUUGGGACACAGCUUCACUUGCACUGGUGCUUCAGCAACAGCUUGCACUUCAUGCAUUCUUUUCAGCUCCAGCUCCUCCAAUCUUCUUGUCAUAGCUGCCAACUUUGCUUUCAUGUCAUCAUCUUCUUUCAAAUUAUACAUCCCAGCCUUUGCAUUGUAAGCAUUCAACUGAGACUUCAUCUUUCCCACUUCUCCUUUGGUUGGUUCAUCCCAUCCCCUUGAAACAUCAGCUACAUAGCUCAAGAAAUCCAUAGCUUCCUCUGGAUUUUUGCUCAUGAAAUCUCCUCCACACAUUGUCUCGAGGAGUUNNNNNNNNNNNNNNNNNNNNNNNNNNNNNNNNNNNNNNNNNNNNNNNNNNNNNNNNNNNNNNNNNNNNNNNNNNNNNNNNNNNNNNNNNNNNNNNNNNNNAACUUAUAGUCAAUUCUCUAACCGGUGAUGUACAGAGACUCCUUCAAUUAGAUUUCACUUUAAUUCUCUCACUGAUGCAACUUACAAUGGUUCAUGCCUCUCACGAGCACUUAUCAUUCAAGGUGAUCUUUAACCUUGGAUUCCCCUUCACAAACUCGCAAGAGAUAACUAAUGGAUGCCUCCUAAGAGUCCAAAAGCUUACCAAGUGUUGGUAAUUCCAGAAAAUCCUACCUUGAAGUCACCUACCAAAGGCUCGCAAGGGGUAAACUAGUGCAUUUCCACGGUUGGAAAUCACUUGCCUUACCAAGUGUUGGCCCAGGUGACUCCAAAGUGUUUUAAGUUAACUAAAAACAUUGAAAUCACUAAAGGAUUUCACUUCCUCUUCAUUACUAGCUAAAACCACAGAGCUUUGCAUUCUUGCACUUGGAACCUUCCCCGGCAACCUUAGCUCCAAGGAAUUGGAGGUUUAGUUACUCAUUCUCUGGGGAAAACUCCUCAGAGAAUUCAUAACUUAGAAAUAAAAUGAAAAUACAAAGUGAUAAGGUAAGGCAGUAGAAAGAAAAGACCUUUACUUCCUUACCAAAUGGUUACAGAAGGAACUCCUCUCUGAGGACAGGCUCCCGAGAGGUAUUUAUAGCAAACUAAUAUAAAACUAAUUCUUACAAAGAUAUUUGGUCUUUUUACUAACUUAAAAACUAAGGAAUCAUGUAAUUGGUGGUUUACAAGGAGUAUUUUGGAAUUUAGACAACAAAAAUCUAAUGGAAAAUAUCUCCCAAUGUCGGUAGCAAGCUUCGGGAGGCUUCCGGAGCCAUUUCGCAGGAGAAAAGUGAGGUCUGCGAAAUUUCGCAGACACCCAAGAGGGCUGCGAAAUUAUUUCGCAAGACCAAGCUGUCUUCAUAGGGCUACGAAGUUGGCUUCCAUCUUGAAGUUUCCAGCUCCCUUCUCGCGGCAUGGUUCGUGCAUCGUCAGAAGGAGAAACACCUUGCUGUACAAAAGUGCUGCGAAAUUCUCGCAACAAAAGGCCGAUUCCGCAACACUUUAGAGUGACUGGCUUGUAAUGGCUGCAACUUCUUCGUUUCAACUCCAAAUUGCACACCGUUUGAAGCAUUGGAUUGUUGACUUCCUGAGCUUUGAAAUGGUAUAUAGCUUGCAUCAUUUGGACUUCAGAAAGUGCUCCAAAAGUGGCUGCUACGACUGUCAUCAAGAAUAUGCUCCAUGACUGAUCCUCUUUGCUUUUUCUCCUUGCAAUCCGGAUUCACUCUUGGCAAUUGAAUUCUAAGCUUUGCCCAUGAUUCCUCAUAGUUCUCCUCAUUCUUGACUUGCUUUGGUGAUCAAAAUACUAACAAAAACACCAAAACUUGCACAAAGUGAUCAAAAUUGCUUUAAAGGAUCCUUAACAUGCCAAUUGAGUUAAAAGGCCUAAACUACUACUCAAAAGUGUUAAAAAGGAUUAAUUAAAGGCUAUCAAAUAGCACUUUUUGAGUAGUAAUCAAUGACUAGGCUAUCUAUACAUAUUUCAAUUUAUAUUUAUUAAGUACGAGUCACCUUGUGAGUAGAGCCCAAGUCACAUGUCUUACAUGAUGGGCCUAAAACACAUGAUGGGCCUAAGACACAUGUGGCCCAACAGCCCAAUGGGUAUGCUCUCCAACCUCCCAUCACAAGAGAGAAAACAGAAAAGUGGUUUCCUCCUCUAUUGCCUUAGAAGAACCAUAUUUCUUCAAAAUCAACAAUGGAUUCGCGUUUGUCUACAUUCUCUAAUCUAAUCGACAUGUUUUUUUUAUUAUUUAACAUGAGAUUUCUGGUUUUGGGUUGAUAAAGAAUUUGGUAAUCUUUAAAAAUGUUUUACAACACUUCUAUCUAUGGGGCAUGAUAUCUUUAUAGACUACGCAUCUGAUCAACUUUGUGGCAUGUCUCAUCCAACUUAUUUUAAUGCUUGUUUAUGUGACAUGAUACAAUGGAAUGGUAGUUAAAAACUCUUUUAUUUCUUUAAUACAAGAACACGUCUCUAGUCCAAAACAAAAGAAAACAAAUUGGAAACAUGUCUUUCCAGCCCUCAGGAAGGGAUUUAAACCGGAAAUAUUAACGAUACAUUUUCAAAGCAUACUUAAAGCAAACACUCCUCUCAUAUUACCAAUGCAACACGAUUCAAAAGCCCUUUUAUUCUACACGAAACUUCUUUCUGAUCCACAAGACAAAGCCAUGGACCUUCUGUGGGUCUUCGAUGGGAAGACCCCCACACAUGAUGUUCCCCUUUUACUCUAUACCAAGCUUCUUCCUCAUCUCCAUGACAAAGCCAUGGACCUUCUGUGGGUCUUUCAGAGAAGACGACACACUCUCCUUUUCCUUGCACCUCUUGGUCCAAGCGAUCAACUUGGGGCACUCCACCUCUAUGCUGAAGUUACCAAAGCUCUCAUACGCAUAAAACAAGGUUGAGAAAGUCACCAGAGCCACAUCCACAAACCCAAAUUUCUCACCACCAAAGUAAGGCUUCUCUCCAAGCUCUCCUUCCAAAAUCUUAAGGUACUCUAUGAAUUCAUUCUUGGCUGUUUCCUGCUCUUCUCCUUUGGUUGACCAUAUCCUCCUUCCAAGUUCAUAGAGCUGUGGAAAGUAAUGGAGUCAAAGAGAGAAAAGGCUUGUUUUUUUUGGAGCAUUUCAUCAAGUUUCAAACUUUCUGUAUAGUUGGACAAGUUUAUUAACGACCCUUCAGCAUAGAAAUCUCGUAUCCUAGGAAAAAUAUCAGAAUCAGCUGAAAGAAUGUAUCAUUUGCUAAAGUUUUUCCCCUCAAUUUGGGUUAAAGAAAUGAGAAGAAAGAGAUCAAAAAGACAGAACACAUAUUAAAACAACUGUUGUGCAAAAUGUUGAACAGAAGGAUAACAAAAAACCAAAAUCUGUUCUUUAAAAUCUGGUUUAUGUAUCCCCUUUCUUGGGGGAAAACGUAUUCUUGAGAUCUGCUUUUUUGGAUGGAACGAACAGACUUCGGAUUCAACAGAACAAAGAAAUAAAAACCCAUAUCAGAAAUGCAGAGUGGAGUCUUGUUGAAGAAACAGCAAAGAGAAUCAGUAAAGUUCUAGUUUGGGACACCAAAGCCAACAAAACUAAAUAUCAGAAGAGAAUAUGUGAAGAACCAGAAUUUUGGAUAAAUCCCUCACCAUAAUCAAAAUGUGAGUCAAUCGCCAUGAAUCAAUGGAAAAGAAUGCUUUAAAUCAACAGAAAAGGCAUACCUUCUUGUCUAUGUAGUCCGCCCAGAACCUGGCCUGAGCUCUCUGGUAUGGGUCACUAGGCAACAAGGGAGAUUUUUCGUUCCAAACCUCAUCAAUAUACUGAACUAUUAUCAUAGACUCACAAAUGGGCUUUCCAUUGUGGAUCAGAACUGGGAUUUUCUUAUGAAUCGGGUUCAUCUCAAGAAGCAGAGGACUCUUGUUGCUCGUGUCCUCCUCUCUAUAUUCAUACUUGAGACCCUUCUCUGCCAGGGCAACUCUGACCCUCAUACCAAACGAGCUAGGCCAGAAAUCCAACAAGAUAAUCUCGUCUGCCAUUGCUACUACUGUGAUUGAUAAGAUUCAAACUCAAGCAUUGAUGAACUCAAGGGAAAUUGUUAAGUAUUUAUAGCAAACUUCAGAGACGUGGGUUAGAUACUUCUAGGAGGUGAUGAUGCUCAUUCCCUAGCUUUCAUUUUCAUUUUCCUUAAUUAUAUUCUUAUCUCCGAUUCGUAGCUCUCCAGGAUUCCCAUAUUUUGAGUUUAUUUAUUUAUAAGCCAAGUGUUUUUAAUUAAAUAUAAUGCUUUCGAAAUUCUUUGAAAAUUAGAAAAAAUAGUCAUAUUUGAUCAUUUUAAUUUUACUACUUACUUUUAAAUCCAAAAUAGAAAGAAAUUUAGUGUUAUUUUGAAAAUUUAGUGUCAUUGUUACAUUUUUUAUUGCCAUUUUAUGAUUCAAAUUAUCCAUUUCUUUGAUGUUGCUUCUCCCUAUCCAUUUUCGACAUUGGGAUUAAAACUAUUCACUAAAAAAUUGAUUGAUAUAAAAUUACAUUAAAUUUAAAUUAAAUUCAGAUUGACGGAUUAUUUGUCACUAUGCAUGUCAUGUUGCUUGCAAAAACUAUCCAUUCGAUCUCCUUUGCGGUGGUGAUCGCGACAACAAAAACAUGGAAGGAAAGGAAAAACCUUAAUGUUGUUAGCAAGAAAUGAAAGAAUUGGGAGGUUGUGAAGUCUACUUAUGAUCUUAUGAUCUUGUCAAAUAUGAUCAUCAUACAAUACUUGGUAACAUUUAAUUAAAAUAUAUAGUAUUUUUGAGUGACAUUCCCUGCUUAUUACCAACAUAUGGUAGUCACUAAAACCAAUGUCUUUAGUAUAUUUCUUAAUUUAAAACAAUAAAAAGUUAUAAAAAAAUAAUAAAAUGAAAAAUAAAUUUAAAUUCAAUUAACAUUUCUUACAUGUUUCAACAAGACUAUCUCUUUUCUUUUCUUUUUUUUCUAUUCUACAUAAAGAUUGAAAUUUUUUUAUUAUAUUUGAUUUUAUUUUAUACCUUUGAACUAAAGAGAAUUUAGAUUUCUUUCCAUCUCUAUUUUUUUUCUUCAUUUAGUACUUUUUGUAAUCCAAUGGGCUAAAUAUAUUUGUUGCUAGAAAAUUUUACAUUCUCCGUAUUAAAAUUAUGAUCAUCACUACUAGCACUCAAGUAAAAUCUCUCACAAGAAAUAUGUGUAUUAUAAGAAACUAUCGGUUGUAGGAAUUACUCACUAAUUGGUUAAUAAGUAUGGCAAUCUUAUCUUAACACUCAUGGUAGGAUUUUACAUUCCAGUAUGGAAAAAAAACAAGUGACAAGAAAGGAUCACGUACGGAAGAUGCCCAAGCAAGUUCUUGUUGUUUGGUCUAUAUUUUUGGAAUUUUCUUUUUUCUUCUUUCAUGAUUGUGGGCUGUAGUAUAAAAACAUUACUUCUCAACCCCUUUUUCUUCUUUCAUGAUUGUAGCAUAGUUAGAAUCUUAAGAAUCCUUGCUUUGUUGCCUUCUCAUUUGUGAAAAUUUUCAAUAGUAUUAAAAACGAAAGUCAAUGGGUAUUAACGGUGUUACGAUAUUCUUUCCUUUUUUUAAUGGGUAUUGAUUUUGUCCUAAAUCAAACUUCCAAUUCAGACCAUUCAAAUGCAUAAUGAAAUCUAGGUCAUUGGGUCGGGCCGCCCAUUCCGUGGCUCGACACGCCACAAGGUCAGGCGGGGCCAUUACAGGCCAACACUGUAGCAAGCUGGGCUAGCAUGACCCAAAGGAGCAGGCCAUGCUAGGCCUAAAGAAAUAGCCCAUCGGCCCAUCGUGUUGGCCCACUUGGCCCUUUUAAAUUUCACUUUUUACUUUUAACUUUUUAUUACAUGUCAAAUGUCUAUAAUACCCAUCUCAACAACUAUAUUACGACUAGUUUGAGGGGUAAAAAAAGUAAAUCAAUAACUAUUUUUACUUUUUUUAUGUCAAACUUUAGAGGAUGAACUUAAAGAAGCCUUCAAGAAAUUGCAUCUCAAUGCAAACAAUGAUGUUCAAGAGAUUUAUGAUGAUUGAAGAUGAAAAAAUAAGAAUGAAGAUUGAAUAAGAAGACAAAAGUGAAUAUGAUAAUUGAAAAAUUAUAUGUUGUUCGUUUCUUUUAAAUCUAUUAAAUGUAGUUAAUUUUUAAAGGUUAAGUAAUGCAUAUGAUUGAUAGUUGGGUGGGUGUCAACCUGGAUGGGAUGUACUCAAACUAUAAUGACGCAAUUCUCACUUUUGUUUUUUUUUUCUCCUUAUUUUUUCAUGUAAUUUGUUGAAAUAUAGAAUAAAAGAAUUAUUUUUUUAUAUUUCAUUUCCUUUUAUAUUCCAUUAUUUUAAAUUUAUUGUUAUUUUGAUUUUAAAAAAAAUAAACAAAUUCAAAUAUAAUUUUUUUACUAUUUUUAAAAACAAAAAACUAACAUUUCUAUAAAUUUUACAAUUACAAACUCAAUAAAUAUAAAUGUAAAAAAUAAAAAGUAUAAUUAUUAGAAGUGUAUAAAAAAUAAUAUAUAUAAUUAUUAGAGGUGUUUCAAGUAACAAAAAGAAAUUUUAUUUAAUAUUAAGGAAAAAACUUAAGAAAAAAUGACUUAAAAAAUUAAAUUAAAAUUUUUAACAAAGUGAGUGGCCCAUGGGCCAUGGCCCACCGGCACAGCACGGCCUGACCCAGCACGACACGAUUAGCCCACGGACUUAUGGGUCAUGCCAAGCCACCUAUUUGGCUUGCAUGGGUCGGCCCAACCCAACACAUUGGCCCGUAAUGGCCCGAUCAAUAUUAGGCCAUGUCGGCCCAACACGACCCAUUGGGCAUCUCUAUAUACAAGAUUGAAAACCCUUCUUAUCAUGAGAUUUUUCAAAUCCGUUAUUUAUCUUUCAAAGUAAGACUUGUUUGCUAAAAAAAUUGCUCUCUUAGUCUUUAUUUUUGAACUAUCCAUAUCCAAAUAGGGGUUUCCUCCUUAUCUAAGGAGGAGAGAGCCUGAAGGACCAUCCUAGGUAUGGUGUAGUAGCUUGGAGAAGCAUCUAUACCAAAAUCAAAAUGAUAGUUCCAAAUGAAUAAGAUUCUCAUUAGCAACAACCAAUUCAAAUAUAUAAUCUUGGAAAAAUCUUUUCAUGAAAAUUUACUAAGAAUACCAAAACAUUUUUCUUUAGGUUUGAAUACUUAUUUUGGUAACCUUCUUAAUUAUAAAUUAUCUAUUAUGAAUUUUCAAAAUUAACUUAUUUUCUUUAAAUCCAAACCUUGUGCAAAAUAAGAAAAAUAUUAUUUUAUAAAGAUUUGGAAAAACAAGAGUUUUUUUAUUAAAAGAAAGAUUUUAUUCUUAGAGAUCUCGAAGAUCUAAGAAAAUUUUAAAUAAAAUUAAAAUCAUUAAGAAUUAAUUUUUAAAAGGAAUGGAAACUCUUAAUUCUUUUCUAACUUAUCUUUUCUUAAAAUAAAUUUCCUAACAAUACACAUUCCAAUUUAAAUAAGUUUUCCUAUUUUGAAAAACUCCAUCAAAAUUUAUAUCUAAUUAAGAAUACCAAAUUAUCCUAUUUUAGGUCACAUAUGCAAGUAAUAAAGAUAACAUAAAAUAAAAACAAGGAAAUAAUUAAAUAAAUAUUUCUCAUGAACUUUAGGGAUCCUAUUGCAUAUUUGGUAAUUAAAAAUUGGAUAAAAUUCAAAUUAUCAAAAUAUUCUUGCAACCAAAGAUUAGUUAGUAAAAAUUGAAAAAACUCUAAAAAGUUGAAUUUCCACAAAAAAAAAAAAAAAAAAAAAAACCUAAAAAAGAAGCCCAAAAUCAAGCCCAAAUAACCGAAAACAAUUUGGCCUGAACUCAAUUCAGAAAUAGCAUGCUCUUUGCACAACCUUACUACAAUUGACUAUAUAUUCCUCAUUUCAACUCCGAAUAGAAAAUUGUUUGAAGCAUUGGAUUCCUGACUUCCUAAGCUUCAAAAUCAUAUAUGAUUUGUUCCAAUUUUGAGUCAAAUUAGGAUCUAAAUCAAGAACUUCCAAGAAUCUUUCUUUUUUCUUAAGUCACCAUAGGAUCUCAAAAAUGAAAAUUUAAGAAUUUUUCCUUUCCUUUUGGGUCACCAUAGAUGGAUGAAAAAAAACAAAUUUUUUUACAACCAAAAAAAUAAAAAUAAAAAUCUUAUACCCCUCAUGGGGUGUACAACCCAACCUAGAGAAUAAAAUAGCAAAGAUCAUAUCCAUUCAUAUUCAUUCAUUCAAUUGAAUUAAUAAAAGCAUUUCAUUGAUUCAUCCUUAGGGUCUAUGAGAUGAAUAAAAAAACAACCCUGCAAAAUAGAUGUGAGCGCAACUUAGAAUAAAUCUAGCAUGCAAGUGUAGACCUUCCAUUUGUUCCAUUAGCACAUGCCCUAUUAAGUGCUCUUUUCAUACUUUGCAAUAGUCUCCUUUGGUGGCCCAUUUUCUACUCACACAACUUACCUUUUUUAGCCAUCUCAAAGACUCUAGUUGAGAGAUUUAUCUAGCCCCUCAUUGUGAGUGACCCUUGGCAACCCCAAGUUAGAUCUAGGAUUUUCUUUUUCUCUUUUUAUAAUAGCUCCUUUUUAAGUGCUCCUUUAGGACAACAUACUUAGACAUAUUCAAGUACACUUCUUAGGUCACUUAAACACACCCUAGGUCACCUAAGCACCUUCUACCUUAUAUAGACUCACUCUAGGUCACUUAGGCACUUUAUAAACUCACAUUAGGUCAAUUAGGCACUUUUAUGAUCACCUUAGGCCACUUAGGCACUUUUCUUAUCACUUUGGGUCACUUAGCACUUUUUUUUAUCACCUUAGGUCACUUAGGCAUUUUUUUUUAUUAUCUUAGGUCACUCAAGCGCAUUUUUGAUCACCCUAAUCCACUUAAACACAUCCUAGGUUACUUAAGCACUUUUCUUAUCAUCCUAGGUCACUUAAGCCCAUCUAGACACAUCUAGCCCAUUAAGACACACUCUGACUUAUUUAGACAUGCCUUAGUUAAUCUAGGCACAUCUAACCUAUUUAGACAUACCUUGAUCCAUAUAAGCCUAUUUGGUUCAUCUAGGCACACUUAGCCCAUCUAGGCACACCUGACCCACUUAGGUACAUACAUACUCGUCUAAGCACACACCGGUCCAUCUAGGCACACACCAGCCCAUCUAGGCACACCUUGACCCAUCUAGACACACCCUGGCCCACCUAGGGUUACUUGAGCCCACCUAGGUCACCUUUUAGGUAAUUUUUGCUUGCAAGACAUCUUUUUCUAUUUAGUAAUUUAUUUUAUUUAUUAUUUUGUGUAUUUUCUUUCUUUGUUUUUUAGUUUUUUUUUUUUUUUUAUAUUAACAUUGUAACACCUUUUUAUUCAUUUAUUAAAUCUAAUAUUUUUUGUGCUUUUGUAGGGAAAAGUUUGGAUAGGAAAGGAUCCUCUUUUGGAGAGAGAGAACUAGCCAUCUUUGAAGAUCACAAACAACCUCCUGAUAAGAUGAAAAGUUUUAGCUAUAUAUAGGGACUAGUUUUGAAAACUUGAAGAUAUACAAAUAAUGAAAGAGGUGCAUCACAUUAAGAGUCUAGAGAAGAAAGGUUUUUUUACAUAAGAAUGUAAAAAGAUAUGGAGGUAAGAGGGAUUUGGAAUAUAGUUGGUUGCUACCUUGGUUUUGGAAAGAGAUACUCAGCCAUAAUGGGCUCUUAGAAAGUCCUUGAAAGGUUAGAAUUCCGCAUAGGGAUUUUGAGGUUUUUUUUAUUUUUUAUUUUUAGGGGAUUAUGCUGGUUUUCUAGAGGGAAUAUCCAACAAUGUAAAAAAGAGGAAUCAUGUAGCGGUUUUUUUGGGAAGGAAGAUUUUAACAUGCAAAAGGGAGGUUCAGUUGCGGUCUUUGAAAUAAAAUCAUUCAGAGCGUGUGACGAACGAAAAAAGGAGAUUCGGUCCGUGGUGAGGAUGAGAGAUACAGUCCGCGUUUUGAAGACGUUUCGGGAGGGUUUUGAAAGAAUAUGGAGAUAGAGAGAUAUUCAACUCAUUUUGGGAGCACAUUCAGGCCGUGUUCUGGGGAUAUUCAGAGCGUGUUUUGGAGUCACAUUCAAGCCGUGUCUGAGAGUAAGAGGGAGCGUGUUUUCGAGGGUCACAUUCAGUCUGUGUUUUGGGAUCAUUGAGAACACGUUUUGGUUCCCAUUAGUAUGCAUCUAGUACAAAUUGAACCUACCAAUUCGCCAAUUAUGAGUUGGGCGCUUUAACCAUUCAGCCAUGGAUGCUUAGUGGGGAUCCUCGUACAUGGUGAAUAACCAAAUUCUAAUUGAAAUGAAAUCUUUAGGAUAAAUCAAUGUAAUUUAGGAGGAAUAAUGAAAGGACAUCAAUUCAAAUCUUGGAUUUUCAAAUUGAGAGAUAUUGAGAGAGAUCAAUAAUUCUCACUAUUUCUUAGAUUCAUGGACCCAAUUCACUUCAGUGGGAUAUUUCAUUCAUAUUUUUUUCCACCAAGAGAGCACAUUCAGGCUGUGGUCUGAGGGGAAGAUAAGAGAAGGUAAGAAAGGUAUCAUUUGGACAUUGUUUCAUUUUGAAAAUUUGUUUUGACUUUGUUAGUUUUUUGCGGAAUUUUGGAAUUAGGAUUAGAGAUAAGGGUGAUUUCUUUGAAAGUUUGAAUGAUUUUAAUAUCUGGACCUUUUGCUUUUAUUCAUGUUAUUUCAUUAAAAGCUUCAUCUUGAAAAUUUUGGUUAUGCUUUAAAUUUUUUUGGUUCUGAUUCAUGUUAUUAGAAUGUUAUUUCAUUAAAAGUUUCAUCUUGAAAAUUUUGGUCAUGCUUUAAAAUUUUCUGUUUAUGAUUUAUGUUAUUAGAAUGUUAUUUUAUUAAAAAGUCCCAUCUUGAAAAGUUGGUUAUAUAAAAAUUUGGUUAGGUUUUAAAUUUUUCGGAACAUAUUUCAUGAUAUUAGAAUGCUAUUUCAUUGAAAGUCUCAUCUUGAACAUUUUGAUUAGGUUUUAAUUUUUCUAGUUACUAUUCAUCUUAUCAAAAUGCUAUUUUCUUAAAAGUCUUAUCUUGAAAAUUUUGGUUUGGUUUUAAAUUUUCUAGCUAUCAUUCAUGGUGUUAGAAUGCUAUUUUAUUAAAAAUCUUACCUUGCAAAGUUUGAUAAUUUUAACGUUUAUAGGUUAUUCCCAUACUAUCAAAAUUUUCAUGUUUCAAUGAUUAGUUCUUAGGGUUUUUUUAUAUUCUCUAUUUAUUAUGCAUGUUAGUUGAUUGGGUUAUUGGAUUAAAUUGGCAAUGGUAGUUUUUAGGGGUUUUAGAUUCUCUUGUUACUAUGCAUGUUAUUUGAUGGGUUUAUUAGAUUAAAAGUUCUUAUCUUUGGAAACGGUAGUUCUUAGGUUUUUAGAUUUUUCUUGUUAUUAUGCAUGAUUAUUUGAUUGGGUUGUUGAAUUAAAAGUUGUCAUAUUUAGAAAUGGUAGUUCUCAAGUUUCUAGAUUUUGAUGUUAUUAUGCAUAUAAUUUGAUUGGGUCGUUGAGUUAAAAGUUCUCAUCUUUGGAAGAACCAAAUGAAUCAACCCAAGCUCUAAAGAAAAAUCUAAUAAAAAAUUCUUUUGAACUUUAAAAUGGGUUGGAGUUUCCUAGGAAACAAACACACCCACUCUUUGAAUGGAAGAGGAACUCAAUGGAGUUUGUCUGACUGUUGUAGGGGAGGUGUUCCCCUAACCCUAAAAAUCAAUUUUUGGUUCAAAUAGGUAAGAAAACCCUUAGGAAAUGUAAAUUUACAACCACAUGAAGUAUCAUUCUUAAUGCUACUUCAAUUUUGAGUCAAAUAAAUUUGAGUAAAAAUAAGACCAAAAUACCUACCAUGUCCUUGACUAAUUCAAAGGUCAACCUAUUCCAUAUAUUAAUGAACAACAAAUAAAGAAUGCUUGCGAUUUCUCAAAUAAUUCAAAGGCAAGACUUGACUCAAAGGAGUCAAAUGACACAUUAUUUUCUCAUAUGCAUCAUGACAAUAUUUGACACACAGAGUCAAUUGGCAUGUCUAUAUCAAUUUUUUUUUUAGUGCAAAAUGGAAUGGUGGUUAAGAACUUUUUUACCUCUUUAAUACAACUAAUACAAACAAAGCAUAUAUCAAAGUCUCACAAGAAAAAGCAAGGUAAAGCUCAUAAGCUUAUUGUGUGAACAAGUUGACAAAACAUGAAGGCCAAAAGUUUUGGCAUUACGAGGUCCAUUGGGAGGGCCCUACAAAUGCACAUUACAUUUGACCCAAAUUCUUCAAAUUUGCUUUUGAAAAGUUUAUCCAGUUAAAAUGACUACUAGCAUUGAAUAUAAAUUAAAUCAUUUAAGAUUAUCUUUUGCCAAACAUAUUAAUUAUAAAAUAAAAAAUCGUUAUAAAAGUGAUUUAAAAACCAUGCCCUAUCACAUUCUAUUCAUGGAGAAUGAUGUAAUCAUGCAACAACUAAAAAAUCCAAAAAAAAAUUUAAAGUUUUAAAUUUAAAAUUUUAAAGUACAUAGAAAAAUUAAUUCUAGAAACAUGUAUUUCAAUAGUGAAAUUAUCAAAAUUUUAAAAUUACACUGUAACCCUCGAUCUCAUUUCGCAAUUAAUUACUGCAAAAAAAUUUUAUUUUUUUCUUUUUACUUUAAUGUGACAAGUUAAAGAGCAAGUCAUUGUUGUCUUUUAAAAAACGAAAAGAAAAAAAAAUUGACUCAUGGUAACCAACCAUGUCAUAUGAUUUUUCUUUUUUCUUUUUCCUCUCCUUCGUAAUAUCUUUACCUUUCUGUUUCUUAAUUUCUAAUGUGUUGACUUCAUGAAAUCUUUUUAAUUUCAUUUUUCAUUAUUUCAUCUUCUACAUUUAUCGAUUUCAAUUAUUUAUGGAUAUUCUAGACACAAAAUAAAAAUAUAUAAUAAAUAAUUAAUGAAAACAAAUUUAAUAUACAAAUAAAUUCAUAAUGAACAAAUUUAGAAGCUUAGGACAUAAGAUUUUCUAUAUUCCUCCUAAAUAAAAUAUCUAUUUAUUUUAUAAUCUUAUUGCAUUGUCAUAUUAUUUUAUUGUUUAUAUUUUUAAAAAAAUUGUUAAAUUUUUAUGUGAAAGCACCUUUGAGUAGUAAUCAUAUUCAUUUAACCCAAUUAAUUCAUUAAGGUCCUUGGUAAUUGGUUUUAACCAUUUUGUGGCAAGUUUACAUGUUUUUAUCAGCUUAUGAAUCAAUUCAAGCAUGCCAAAUGAUGGAGGAGCUACUUGGACAAGUUAUGGCAAAGCCUUUGGAAGCUCAAAUUCAUGAAGAACCAAGCUUUGGAGCUCCAUAGCCCUUUGCCAAAGUCGUUCAAAGUAUGCAAGGAAAGAACAAUGGAAAAGAGGAAAAGCAAGCAAAGUGAAGAGAAGUAAAGAGGACAGCAGCUGCAAUCUUCUUUCGCACUUUUGGAGUACUUCCCGAAGUCCAUUUUUUACAUAAUAUAUACCAUUUCAAAGCUCUGGAAGUCAAGAAUCCAACGCUUCAAACCGUGUACGAUUUGGAGCUGAAAUGAGGAAGAUAUGGCCUUCGAAAGCCAACUGCUCCAGGUUAUGCGAAAAUUUCGCAUAACACCUUCAAAAUUCGCAUAACCCAUGCGUGUUACGUUUUACACUGAGAAUAUAUACAGAGCUCUCUCGUUUCUCUUUUCUCUUUGCUAUUUUAUUUUCUUGGAAGCCAAACAGCCUCUGAGGGCUUUUCCUCAGAGGAUGAUUGGCUAAAACUUUUAGUUUCUCAAAGUAUGGAUGUUAUGUGAUGACUUGGAUGCAAUCACAUGGAAAUUUCUCGCACCCGGAAGGUAAGGUAGUCGUUUUUCAUUAAAGGUUAAUUAAUGCAAAGUUUGGUUUUUAUUUCCUUUGGACAACUUCCAACGGCCAAUACUUGAUAAGCUUUUGGAUUUCUAUCCAUUAGUUAUCUCCUACGAGCUAUUGGAAGGUGAGGUUUUCAAUUCCAAGUUUUGCAUUAAUCCGUUAGAACCAAUUUCAAUGGCCAUUGAAAGGUGAGUUUAUCACUUGGAAUGACUUUGAGUUGCCAAUAUUUGGUAAGCUUUUGGCUUUAGACCAUUAGUUAUCUCUUACGAGCCAUUCAAAGGAAGUCUAAGGUGAAUAACAAUUGAUGAAAUUCACUACCAUCUGUUUUGCCAUUUUAAAGGAUUAAAACUUGAUUUGCUAAAUCCAUACCGGUUCGGGAAGCAAGCAUCACCAUAGUUGCAACCCCAACUCGAGGAGCCUAUCCUAAGAUUUCCAAUUUGCAUAAGAGCCAGAGCAUAGCUCUCCUAUCUUUGAGAAACUUGUUUUUACACCCUUUCAUUUUAGUCUUUAAUGUUAGCUUAGAUUAGUUUAAAUCUUUCUAAAACAUUUACAUCUUCUUUUAAAGCUAACAUCCAUAAGAAAAUCACCUAUUUUCCUAAUUUGAAUAUCACUAGUGUUUGCGAAAACCCUUCCCAGUGAACGAUCCUAGAACCACUAUGCUAUAGUAGCUUGGCUACUUUAGUAAUAGUAUUCAAGGUAUAAAUUUUGUUGAUACGCCUUUAAAGCUAAGCUACCAUGAGUCGCAUCACAAAGCCCACAAAACUCAAUAUCAGAAGGGAACGUGUGAAGAAACCCAGCAUUUUGGACAACUCCCUCGCCAUAAUCAAAAUCUGAGUCAAUCGCCAUGAAUAAAUGGAAAAGAAUGCUUUCAAUCAACAGCAAAGGCAUACCUUCUUGUCUAUGUAGUCCGCCCAGAACCUGGCCUGAGCUCUCUGGUAUGGGUCACUAGGCAAAAGCGGAGAUUUAUCGCACCAAACCUCAUCAAUAUACUGAACUAUUAUCAGAGACUCACAAAUGGGCUUUCCAUUGUGGAUCAGAACUGGGAUUUUCUUAUGAACUGGGUUCAUCUCAAGAAGCAAAGGGCUCUUCUUCCACAGGUCCUCCUCUCUAUAUUCAUACUUGAGACCCUUCUCUGCCAGGGCAAGUCUGACCCUCAUACCAAACAUGCUAGGCCAGAAAUCCAACAAGAUAAUCUCGUCUGCCAUUGCUACUAAUGUGAUUGAUAAGAUUCAAACUCUUUAAGUAUUGAUGAACAGCACGGGAAAUUGCUGAGUAUUUAUAGCAAAUUUCAGAGAGUGGGUUAAACCCUUGGAUACUUCUAGGAGGUGGUGAUGCUCAUUCCUUAUCUCAGCUUUCAUUUUCAUUUUCCAUUCUAUCUCGGUUUCGUAUCUCUCCAGAAUUUGUGAAUUAUGGAAACGUUUGUUAUGGCAUGGUAAAAUAUAGAAGCGUCCCGAUAGUUGGUUGCUUCCACGUCAUCUCAUUGCUUUGAUCAUUCCACAUCAUCGCUUUCGCCAGCCCUGUCAAUUAAGUACACUGGUCCUCUGCAUAAUUUCCACCACAAAAAUGAUGUUGCAAGGAAAAGAAAUGAUAUUGUAGGGAAAAGAAAAUAGAACUUGUAUAUUUUUAGAUCGACAAGUCACUAUUGGUCCCUUCCUUAGUUCUUAGAUUCCUGAAAUUAAAUAAAUAUUUAAACUUUAUGUGUAUUAUAAAUAUUUAAAAUUUCAGUGGUGAUUGUAUUUUUAUCUAAGAUCUAUUUUUUUUUAAUUUGAAUAAAUUAAGUAUUGUUAAAUAUUUAAAUUUUUUAUAUUUUAAUUAUUAGUAAAUGUUAAUAAAUAUUAAAUAACUGAUCUUUUACAUUACAAAAAUAUUUAUAAAAUAUAAUAUUUUAUUUCUUGUUAAAUUAGUUUGCAAUCCAACACAUUUUUGAAUAUUUAAAUAUCAUAAUUCAUUAACAUAUUAAAAUUUUAUAAUAAAUAAUUAUGUAAUUGAUAAGAAAUUGGUAGUUUGAUAAUAAGUAUAAUUAUGGGGUAUUUGGUAAAACUCAAUAAUUAUUACUUAAUGACUUAAGUUGAUUUUAAGUAAAAUUAUAUUUAAGUUAUUGACUUAAAACUUAUUACUUAAUUUUUAAUUUAAAUAUUAAGGUUGUUUAAUAAAAUUAAUUUAAAAUUUAUUCUAAAUCAUCAAAUUGAUAUACUUACCCCCAUAAAUUAUAAUGAGGAUAAAUGAGAUCGAGUAACAAUGGAAGUUGUAUAAUAACAAAAAAAAUCGUGGAACUAAGAUAAAUGAGGGUAAAAAGAUAAAAUGAAAACAUGGAUUUAAGAAUAAAUUAAUUAUUUUUACUUAUUAGUUAAAGUUGUUUUUUACUUUAAGUCAUACCAUUAAAUUAUUUUACCAAUUAUAUUUAAUUUAUUUAAUAACUUGAAUUAAGUUAUUAAGUUGAUUUACCAAUACCCACUUAGACUUGUUAGAAACUAUUAGAACUUUUCUAAGUUAGUAUAUGUUUAGAUUUGAAGAUUUGUGAUUGAAAUAUGUAUUCUUUUUAAAAUUAAUUCAUUGAUUUUUGGAAUUUUAUCUCCAAAGGAGUAUCAACUUUUAAUUUAUAUUUUUUAAAAUUAUUAAUUCUAAUAAAUAUUUAGAUGAAUGUGAAUUAUGCUUUAGAAUUUUGAUUAAAAAAAAUCUUAUUAGAAUUGCUAACUAUUUUUAUUUUUUAUAAAGCUGAAUUUUUAUUAAAUAUUUUUCGAAUUUAAAUUUUAUGAUUUUUAGUAUAAUUUAUUUUUAUUUUUGAAUGAGUAAUCAAUAAUAAUUUGUGGAAUUCAAUUUUAUUGAGAAUGGGAUAAAUUAUGGGGUAAAAAUAAUGGAAACAUGUGGGGAUUUGAAAUUUUGUAAAUUUAUCUUUUAGCUAUCAAUUUAUGAGAAAAUUUUAAAUCUGAUUUUUCUUUAAAAAAAUGAAAAAUGAAAAUGAAAAAAAAAAACAAACAAAAAAUCAAAUAUAUUUGAUGCUUUUUGUAAAUGACAACUUUGUUAAUUUAUAAUAAAUUUAUUUCUCACUCAAAUUAUAUAAAAUUAACAUAGUUUAACUAUUUUUUAAAACAAGUUAUCUAUUCUUUUUUAAAGGAAUUUAGUUUAAAUUUUUGUGAAAAUUUGUAUUUAAGCAAGUACUCUUAAUUAAUGAUUAAAAGCUUUUUUAUUUUUUACUUUUUCCCCAUAAAUAAUUAAAUAUUAUAAUUAAUCCUAGUUUUUUCAAACUCUUAUAAAUAGGAGACUUGGGUCAAUGAAAUGGAUACCUCAAAGUUAUUUUAGAACUCUAUCUCUUCUCUAAUUCUAGUCUCUCCAAAAGAAAACUCUUAUUAUAAGUUUUUGUAUAAGAUUCAAACACUAAAAGGACAAACUUAUUCUCAUAAAAUAUCUUUUUUAUCAUCUAAAAGGUAUGUGAUAAACUUCUACUUUUAUAUUAUUUUCUAUUUAAUUUAUCCUUUCGAUGAAGAAACUAGAAAAUAUUUUUUUUUAUAGACAAAAAUUAUGAAAAAAAAAUUGCAACUAGAAGUUAUAAAAAAAAAAUGUAAAAUAUGUACAAUUGUAUAGCCAAAGGUUAUAUGAGAAAUUAUAAAGUUAUAAAAAUAUAAAGAAUGACUUACAUGUAAUUUCUAAUUUCUUUUAAUCAUAAUGAUAUAACCAAAUGUUACACAAAACAAAAUUGUAUUGUCAAAAGUUAAAUAAUGAAUAUUUCAUAGCCUAAAGAUGUAUACAAAUUUGCACAUUUUUGUUAUGAUAAAAAUAAUCCAUAGCCAAAAACUAUGUAAGCAAUCAAUUCGUACUUUUUAUUUUGUUAAUGCUACAUGAUGUUCAUGCAUUUUUUUUUUACCAUAUUUAUAAUAAUCCUUUAGCAAUAAAAUAUAACAAAAUCUUAAAUCAUUAUGCUUUUAUUAAUGAAUAUUAACCUGAUAAAAUAUUGUUAGAUAAUUUUAUUCAUUUAUUUUGGUAAAUUGAAAUAUUAUUCUAAUUAAAUUAUUUCAAAUAUAGUUUUCAAAUAAUGUCAAAUCUUACCAAGUUUGAGUUUGUUACAUUCCCUAUUUCGGGCAAAACUAUUUAUCUAGAUUCUAAAUGCUAAAAUUCACCUAAACGAUAUGAAUCUUGAAUAGACCAUUAAAGAAUAAAAUGAGGCAUCCUCACAAGAUCGCACUAGAGCAUUAAUAUUCCUUCAUUAUCACAUUGAUGAAGGAAUAAAAGGUGAAUUCCUUACAAUCAAAGAAUUUUCAUUCUUUGAAAUAAUCUAACGGAAUGAUACUUUGAUCCUUUGGAAUAAUAUAACAAAAUGAUAUGGCCACCACGAGAUUAUAAUCCUUCCAAAAGAACAUCAUGAUUGGAUGCACUUGAGAUUACAAAAUUUCAAGUUUGUCAAUGACCACAACUCGACUUUAUUCAAAAGUUGUUCACAAUUUAUAUGGAGAAAAAAUCAUUAAAGAAUAUAUCCUUGAAAAGACAUUUACUAUUUUCCAUGCCUCGAAUGUACUCCUAUGGCAACAAUAUCAAGAGCAUAAUUUCACUAAAUAGUUUGAAUUAGUUUAAUGUCUUCUUAUGGCUAAACAAAAUAAUGAACUUCUACUAAAGAAUCAUCAAUCUCAUACUAUUAGGUCUAUGUCAUUGCUUGAAGAAAAUGUCACAUCCGUCCAAGCUCCUAGACAUUGAGUUGGACUUGGACAUGAACAAGGCUAAGGACACAGUCAUGGUCGUGGUAAACAUAAUUCUUGGUACCAUGGUAAUUAUAGUCAUUAGAAUAGAAAAAACAAUUCAAACCAUUAGAAGUGGAAUAAUUCAAAGGUACAACCUAAAAAGGAUAUAUAUAUAUAUAUAUAUAUAUAUAUAUAUAUAUAAUCACAAAACAAACAUGAUAGUAAGAAUGAAUGCUAUAGAUAUGGUAUGAAAAGACACUAGUCAUGUACCUAUCAUAUUUCCAUAUGUUAAAAAAAUUGUACAUAGGUUUUAGAAAUGCCCAAUCGGGUAAGGGAAAGCCUCAAACAUUCCAACACUUCCUUAUGUUAAUAUUUAAAUCCUAAUAAGGAUGUAUAUUGUCAUGGUUCACCUUAAAAAAAUUGCAUGUAUGUUUCUUAAGGAUGUAUGUAGGAUUUAGAAAUGACCUACGACGAACAGGAAGGCCUCAAAUUCAUUAUGAGGCUUCUAUAAUUUAAUAUUUAGACCCAAAUAAGAAUGACUGGAACUAUGGUCCACCUUAAAAGAAAAGGUUUUUUUUUUUUUUUUUUUUAAGAAUUUACAUACUUUUCUUAAGAAUGUAUGUAUUUUUCUUAAGGAUGUACGUAGACUUUGAAAAUAACCAACGAGGAAUGGGCAGCCUCAAAAUUAUUACAAGGCUUCCAUAAAUUAAUAUUAAAACCUAAAUAAGGUGAAAUAAGGUCACAAUCUGCUUUUAAAAAAACGCACAUAUUUUGUUUUUUUAAGAAUGUACAUGUUUUCCAUAAAAAUAUAUGUAUUUUUUCUUAAGAAUGUUCUUAAGGUUUAGAAAAACCUAACAAGGUAAGGAAAGACCUCUAAUUCAUUCUCAGGCUUCCAUAAGUGAAUACCUAGACCUAAAUAAGGUCAAAUAGGAUUAUAGUCUUAAGAUAGAGUUCUUAAAAGCAUAACAUGGUGUAUUAAAUUUGAAAUUCAUUAUUUAUUUAAUGAUGUUCCCAUUUCACUUUUAUCUAUCUUUAUUCCAUGUAUUAUAUUUUAUGAGAAGUCUUGUCAGCAUCUUUUGCAUUGUACAUGACUUAGGUGCAUUAAGAGUUGCACAGAAGAUCUUUAAGCCAUGGGUUCCUUGCAAAUAAUUGACUUGUUCACAACCAGUUUAUGGGUCUAGGCAACCCAUUAGAAGUUGUAGUGCACCACCUCUUAAUUAGAGGGAUGGUUGGUCUCCGUUAUCGGGAUGAGUUUCCCAUGGUGAGUACACUACUGUGUAUGAUUUACACAUUAGACAAGACCUACGAUGAGUCAUGACUUAAUACUAUCAAGUAGUCAUGACCUCACCAAGCUACUUCAUUGUGUUAUCUCUCAACCUUGAGAGAAUAUCGAGAAAAUUAGCAAUGAAUUUUACCUAUGAGUGAGAUUGUAAGUUGAUCAUAUAUUCCCUAUGGAUUGGGUCACUGUUGAUGGAAGUCAGUAACAAUAGGUAUUCUUAAUAGACACCAUGAUAUCUCAUGGGAUUGAGACAACAUGUCCCCUUGGGUGAUCCUAAGGGGAUGUGUUCAUGGAAACUAUGGCCAUAAUAGUUCCUUAAGUAGAACUUGACAUAGGCUCUUUGAGAGCUAAGACAUGUCAAUUGAAUAUACAAUAGGAGGAUUCGUAACUCAAGGAUAGUAGAGGUAGUCUUGAAAGGUUGAUAGCUUUCACCUUGUUAGGCUAGAACACCAGUUCAUGGGGAGACUGAACACAAUGGAUACUAGGUCACAGACCCGAGCACGUAGUGUCUCGUUGUUAUUUACAUAAGAUAUUGGAGUUUAGUUUAUUCUUUGUAAUAAGAUGUUGAAUCAACUUCAUAAUUGGAUCCUGAGGGAGUUAGUACUCUUAUAGAUCCUAAUGGUCCCUGCUCUGAGCUUAUAUAUCUUUUUGGCAUAGUUAUGAGUGUCGAAUUGACUCUAGGUUCACUUUUGUGCAUAAGGGCAUUUUGGUAAUUAUGCAAGAUUGCAUAAGGGUAAGUGAACAAAGUCUCUAGAUUGAGCUAAUUAAUUAAUUAGUAGGCCCUAUUGGGUUAAUUAAUCAAUUAGGAUCCAUUUUGGGCUAAAUUAAGUUACCCAAACCCAUGUGGGCUCAAGUCACUUAAGCCUAGUUAGGAACCCUAUAAAUACCCCCUAGGGGUUAGAGUCUUCAUCACUUUUGUCUUCCACCAUUUAGAGAGAAAGAGGGCAAUAGCCUCCACCUUUCUUUCUUCCCUAUCGAAAGUGUGCCAAGAAUAAAGUUGAGUCAUUAGGCAAAAGACCAUGGGUUUACAAGACUUCCAACAACUUCAAUGUCAUCUUCAACACUUGGAAUUUAAGGUUUGAAAUAUCCAAACCUAAAGGUUGCACUUUAACCCUAAAGAUCAAUUUUAAAAAAUAAAUAAAUAAAUUGGUAUUGUUUCCAUUCCUUAGAUCUACUAUGCCAAUACACAAUUCGCUUGAAAAAAAUGUAAGUAUUUUCUUCAAAAUAUAUAUAUUUGUUAAGAAUGUAUGUAUUUUUGUAAAAGAUGUACCUUAGGUAGGGUUCCACCAUGUUAAAUGAGGUUUGGGAAGCUCUCAAAUACAUUUCGUAGAGUACAUAAGCCAAAUCUUAGACCCAAAUGAGUGUGAAUCUAUCAUGUUAAGUUGAAAUCAAAUGUACAUAUUUUUCUUAAGGUGUUAUAUUUUUCUAAAAAAUGAACUUGUGAGUGUUUAGCUAGGUUGGAAAUUCCAAAAAAAAUUCCAAAGGGUCCCCUAACUUGGUUUACCAAUCCCUCUUUGGACUACUUGACCUUUGAAGAUUAAGACUUUGCUAAGAGGUCGAGGUAUGUAGCUGAAUCUAUGGUGAUUGAAUGUGAAUCAACCCUAUUUUUUCAUUUUUAAAUGAGUAAAGAAAGCUAAGAGAAAUAUUGUUGGUGCAAGGCUUUUGUUCCCUUGUUUCUGGAUCGAUCCAGGUAUAGGGGCAAAUCGAUCCAACUAACCUGUUUUUCAGAUCAAUUUUCAACAUUUGGAUUAAGGUUUCACUCUCAUUUAAAAUCAAAUCUCCCCCAUUUUUGGAAGUGGUGACUGUAGUAUCCGUGAGAGAGUUUUUUCUUUCCUCACUAUUUAGAGGGUGUUUACCUAUGAAGAAAAUCCAUCCAAGUUUUCCAAGAAUUUUUUUUUAAAAUGGAUUUUCUGAAAAUGAACAUGGGUUGAUUUCUAAAACAUUCAUAUCUCGUUCUCUUGGUUUUGUGCAAAAACCCAUUUUCUUCUUGUCUAAAUUCAAGAGGAAAUCGAGCUUGGUGCCAAACUCCAAGUGUGCCCCGAAAGAAGAAGCUAAGAAGCUGAAAAUGAAUGUACUAGUCAAGUGGUUUGGGAAAGAUUGGUUGGUUUGAGCAAGGUAAAACUUUGUAUUCAGAUUUUAUUUUUCAUAGUGGAUGUUUUCAAUCAGUAAUAGGCCCAUGGUUUUUUAUCUCUUCGGAGAUUUUUCAUGUAAAUUUAUGGUGUCUCAUUGUCUCUCUUUCUCUUCUUAGCAUCAGUUUUCAGUUUCAACAAUUUAUUAUAAUUUUGAUUGUCUACUAUUUGAUUGAAUGAUGAAGAGAAAUGACUAUGAAUCAUCUUUGAAGCUGUUUCUAAUUGUUAAUCAUUGAUAUUUUGAGGUAUAUUGAUCUUGCUUUUAUCAGAAUUUAGUUUAAGUUGAUUUGGGUUUGGGAGCGUUAGAUCAUGUGCAUGUGAAUUACAUUUGAAUAUUGUUGGGGAGUGUUGUUGCAUUCAUAUAUGCAUGUGAUUUAUAAUUUGUGUUUUUGAGAUUGUGUGAAGAGAAGAAAAAUAUUAAAAAAGUUUUAAGGUUUUCUAAUUUGAGUUGAGAUUUUGUUUAAUUAGUCAAAACACCUAUUCAACCUCCCUUAGGUGUAUUCUAUUGAGAUUCACCUUUUCAAUUGGUAUGAGAGAGGGUUUUUAAAGCAAAAAUCAUUUUCAAUCCUUAAAUCUCAAUCAUGGAAUCUCAUUAAGAGGGAGCUUCCAUUAGGAGACCACCAUUCUUAACCAGUGAAAAUUAUUCUCAUUGAAAAGUGAGAAUGCAAUAUUUUCUCAAAAUGCAAAGUGACAAAAUUUGGAAUGUCGUUGAAUUUGGUUAGUCUCCACCUAAGGUGUUAGAUAGAGAAGGUAAACUAACAAAUGUUAUCAAGCCAAAAUUGGAAUGUGAUAGAAGUGAAAAUGAAGCAAGUGAGAAUAAAGCUAGAGCCAUGUACUCCAUCUUCAAUGCCAUUAGUACGAAUGAAUUUUGUAGGAUUGCCACAUGCACUUUGGUUAAAGAAGGCUUAGGAUAUCCUCCAACUGACUCAUGAAGGAACUAAUGUUGUGAAAAUGUCCAAGCUUCAAAUGUUGACAUCUAGGUUUGAGACCAUUAGGAUGAAUGAUCAUGAAACUUUUGGAGAAUUUCAUGCAAAAUUGAUGGAUAUAGUGAAUUCUAACUUCAAUCUAGGUGAAUCCAUCUCUAACUGUAAGGUGGUUAGAAAAAUUUUAAGAUCUCUUCCAGAUAGAUUUAGAGCUAAGGUUACCGCCAUUGAAGAGUCUAAGGAUGUGGAUUCCUUGAAGAUAGAUGAACUUGUAGGUUCUCUCCAAACCUUUGAGAUGAUGCUUGUAUCACCUAGAAAAGCUAAGGGAAUUGCUUUAAAAGCUAUUAAAGAAGAGUCCCUAAGUUCCGAAAGUGAGGAUGAUGAGAAAAUGUCAAAGGGUGAGCUUACUAAGUUUACUAAAAAAAUUAAGAAGUACAUGAAAUUCAAAAAAUUCAAGAAAGAAUCAAAUGAUGGUAAAAAUGGAGGAACUCUAUUAGAAAAAAAAAAAAGAAUAUGGAGAAAUGUGUGAAAAAAGAGUUGGAGAUUGAGUGCUUUAAAUGUGGAGGAAAUGGGCAUUAUGCCGCCAAAUGUCCCUCAAAGAAAAAAAAAAUGAAAGAAGGUCAUGCAAGUCACUAGAAGCAACAUAGAAUCUUGGCAAUCAAGUGAAAAAGAAUCCAAUGGAAGUGAAGAAUACACUAACUUCAUAGCCUUUGCUGCAAGUGUCAAUGAGAAACCACUUAAGAAAGAGGUCUUAAGUGAGUCGUGAGUCAAGUGACUCCAAUGAUGAUGACAUGAAUUUUGACACAGCAUAUGAGACUUUGUAUAAGGAGUGCUUGAGCCUUAAACAAGACCAAGUCAAGUGGAAGGCUUCUAAGAAUAUUCUAAUCAAUGAGAUUGAUGUCUUGAAGGGAGAAAAGAAGGCUUUGCUUGACAAAAUUGGAUUUCUUGCAAAUGAACACUUGGAAGUGAAAAAAAAAAUAUUAUGUAUUGAAAAGUGAAUCAAAUGUUCAAGGAUGAGUUUAAGUCUUAAGAAGGAAGAAUCACAUCCUAGCUCUAAGAGACUUAAUGAGUUUAUCAAUUUAGGGCGUAAAUCUUUUGAUAAACAAGGCUUAGGAUUUGUUGAUGCAAAUACUACUCCAAGUAGUGGUAAAACAAUUUUUGUUAAGCCUUGUGAAAAAUAAUAUCCUAAGAAAACUCAUUCUCAAAUCAAGUUUCAUUGCAAUCAUUGUGGCAAAAUGGGGCACACUUUUGAUAGAUGUUGUGCAAGAUUGUUUGAUAAUUUUCAAAGGAAGUUGACCAACCUAAUGAAUGAAUGUUAUUCUUUGAAGAAUAGGUUAUUGAAUGAGAACAAGAGAGUGUCCAAGAAGUGCUCAAAGAUCCCUCAUAAUGGUGAGUUGAAAGGAAGCACUUUGAAUGAAAAGACAAGUCUCAAAUGUUAAACAAAUUUGGGUGUGAAUGAAUGAGUUGAAGUGUUUUGUUGUCCAUACCGCACUUAGAGCUAGUGAGUCACACUCAUGGCAUCUUGAUAGUAGAUGUUCACAUCAUAUGACUAGAAAUAAAUCUUUGUUCACUUCAUUCAUUGAAUUUCAUGGAGGAAAUGUGACAUUUAGAGAUGGUAAUGUGGCUAGGGUGAAAGACAAAGGUACCAUUUGUGCCCCUAACAUUCCUAAUCUUGAAGAGGUCUUAUAUGAAGGUUUAAAGGCUAACUUAAUUAGCACAAGCCAAAUGUGUGGGAAUGAGUUCAAUGUAAAAUUUUCACAAACUUUUUGCAAGGUGUUUGACUUGAAUGAUGUAUGUGUGAUAAUUGGCUUGAGAACUUGUGAUAAUUGCUAUGUUGUUAGUAAAAAAUCUCCUUCAUCCUCUUCUCUCGUGUGUAGAAGUUCUAAAAUUGCAUAUGUUAAUCACUUGUUGCAACAUAGAUUGUUGCAAAAUGAAAAAGAGCAUCCCAUUGUAAAAGUUAGGAUUGGUGGGGGGGAUUUGAUGAUGCCAAUGUUAUUGAUAGGCUAAAGAACCAUGUUCUUCAUUAUAGACAAAAAUAUGUGGACAUUAAGCAUCACUGCAUUCAAGACUUGGUAGAAGACAAGGUUGUUUACAAGAGGUUUACCCUAUAGAGAGUCAAAUUGCUAACAAUGUUACUAAACCUUUGGACAUUUCUAGGUUUGAAUCACUUAGGAACCCCAUAGGUUUAUAUACUCUCUGUUUAACUACCUCUAGAACUUGUCUAGGACUCCUCUUGCAUAUCCUUGAGUCCUAGUUGUCUUCCUAAGUUCCCAAAUAUCAUCAACUUGAUGUUCUUUUUGUUUUGGUUCAAUAUUUUCUCCAUUUUUCAUAAAUUUUCAACAAUUGUUGAGUUCAUGAGAGUGAUAUGCUUAUUCAUUUUGUUUAAAAGUUAAAUUAAAUCAUAAUGAUCUUAAAAGCUUCAAGAUGUAUUUAUCUUCAUGGCUUGUUUGAUAAACAUGAUAUUGAAUCCUUGCUAUUUUGAUUUGGUUAGAUAAACUACAAAUGAUUAGCUUCAUUUCUAUUAAGUGAGUAAGAGCUCAUUGUUGGACCUUGUGUUUGCAUAAUGGUGAAUAAUGCACUUUAAAGUCUAAAUGUAAACUUAUACCCAUUUAAUGAGCUUUAAAGAGUGAGUAAAGACACCUGGAAUAUCCUUGAGAGGUUGAGAUGAUCAAUCCUUGAUUGUUUGUCCUCUCUUUGAAAUUAAAUUUGUUUAAAAAUGAAAAAGAAAAGAAAAAGAAAAUAUGAAGUUUCCCGAAAUGGAUAUGGCUAUGUGGAAAUGUUUCAAGAAUUAAAAAGCCUCAAUUGCAAGAGUGGGACAUCCCUUAUGUUGUUAUGUUGUAAAGGCAUCCUUCGAGAUCCUCAAGUCAAAAAUUGAUCUUAAGGGUAAAACAUAAAGCUUUGUAUUACUUUCAAUGCUAAAUGUGAAAAGCAAAUAGUGUAUGAAUUUUAUUAAAGGGAUGUGAUUAGGUCAUGUUAAACAGAAAUCUAGCCAAGAGAGAUGCAAAUUGACUUUGAUUACUAAUCAAAAAGUACUCUUUUAUAGCUUGAAACUAACUGUUUUAAACACUUUUUGAGUAGUAGUUAAUACCGUUUAACUCAAUUGGCACAUUAAGGAACCUAGCAAGGGUUACUAAUAAGUUUUUCGCAAGUUUUGGUGUUUUUUGUAGCUAUUUGAUCAUUGAAACAAGCCAAGAAUGAGGAAGAAUUUUGUGAAAUCCAUGGCAAUGUAAGUUAAAGCUCAAAUACAUGAGGAAUCCAAGCUUUAGAGCACUUCAUAGCCCUUUGCCAAGCCAAUCAAAGAUGUAAAGAAGAAAACCAGAGGAAGAAAUCCAACAACCAGCAUUUCCGCAUGGUUGUGCGAAAUUUCGCACACCAUGCAAAACCACUUGAGGCAGCCAAAGAAUUUCGCACAACAUGCGAAAUUUCGCAUGGUAUGCGAAAUCUUCCUGUGCACCGACUCCGUUAGAUUUUUAUCUCUAGAUAUUUUGUGUAAUUUCCUAUUUUCUCCUUGUAAUCAACUUCGAUAUUUUCAUAUAUAUUUUUUUAUAUAUUUGGUGUGUGUAACAUCUUUUGAUAUAGACACACAGGGAUGUAAUCAGAGAACACUUGUAAAUUCCCCUUUAUAAGAAAUAUACAGAGCUUUUGCUCUACCUUUUCAUCUCAUUUUGUUUUCACUCUUCUUUCUAGCCAAACAACCUCUGAGGAUGAUUUAUCAAGGGAUGAGUGGCUAGGUUUUACGUUUCUUGGAGUGAUGGAAGCUAGGUGAAGGACCCGAAUGCAAAGAUGGGAGUUGUCCUUGCUUUAAAUGAAAGUAGUUGUUAACCAUUAAUGGUUUUUAUUUUAAGAUUUAGCUUUAAAUCCCUUAAAAGCACCUUGAAUGGCCAAUACUUGGUAAGCUUUUUGGAUUCUAUGGAUGCUUAUUGCUAGAUCCAUGGAUGUCUAUUAGUUAUCAUUUAUGAGCCAUUGGAAGGUGGUUCAAAGUGAGAGUCUUUAGUGUUUCAAGCCAUUAAUGGGAAGCAACUAUUAUUUUUCAUGAACCCUUUGGAUCAAAUCUUAAUAUCUAAAUAUAAAACCGGUUCGGGAAAUAACCAUCCUUUAUAUUAUUGUCCCCAAUGUGAUGAGAAGAUCCGGAAUCUCCCCCUUUGUCUAAGGAACCCGAUCCUAGUGACCUAAAGCUCUAAGAGACCUUUUCUUUGUAGUUAACUUCACUUAUUAUUUUUGCUUAACUUAAAAUCGAUCUUUGCAAUCACAAUUCCAUUUUCUUUAAAAGCUAAUUUUCAUAACGAAAAAUAUUAUUUUAUUUCCUUCACUAAAGUCAAUUGUACAAUGAAAACCCAUCCCUGUGGACGAUCCUAGAGCCACUAUACUAUGUUAGUUAUGCUACCCCAGUGUGAGGUGAUUUAGGUUUUAUAAAUUUUGUUGAUAACACCUAUCUGAGCCAGAGUCAAAUGGCAUGACUACAAUGGGGAUGAAUCAAAUGGCACCGUUGCCAGGGAGAUGAUGCCAAAGUACAUUGACAUGACUUUUGGUGAACACUUGUGAUCUUCAUCACAAGUUUGGUGAUUUUUCUUUUACUAAUUCUUUUUCUUUAUCUCUAUUUUAGCUUAUCUUUUAUUUAGUUUUCAGCUAACCUUAACUUUUUCCUACAAUUGUAUUUCUUUUGUUUUCUGUGUUUUUGUUUCAGUAAUUUUUAGUUGUGCAUGCCUUAUUGGAUAAGAGAUAUUGAGGGAAGACUUGUGAAGAUUGAAACUCCUCAAGAAACUGAGUUGGAAGUGUGCUUGAACAUCAUGAAUGUUCCACCUAAAGACCAAAAUAGCCAACAUGGUCAAGAGGAUAAUUUCAACGCAUACCGAUCCAUGAGGGAUCACAUGCAUCCACCUCGUAUGAGUGCACCAUCAUGCAUAGUGCCUCCCAUUGAGCGACUAGUAGUCCGACCUCACAUUGUGCCACUCUUACCUCCUUUCCAUGGGAUGGAAAGUGAGAAUCCCUACUCGCAUAUUAAGGAAUUCGAGGAGGUUUGUAAUACAUUCCAAGAAGGAAGAGCUUCAAUUAACUUGAUGAGGCUCAAGCUAUUUCCUUUCACCUUGAAGGAUCAGGCCAAGAUUUGGCUUAAUUCUCUAAGGCCAAGGAGUAUCCAAACUUGGACUGAUUUGCAAGCCGAGUUUCUCAAGAAGUUCUUCCCUACUCAUAGGACUAAUGGUUUGAAAAGGAAAAUUUCAAAUUUCUCGACUAAGGAGAAUGAGAAAUUCUAUGAGUGUUGGGAGAGGUACAUAGAACCUAUUAAUGCUUGUUCUCACCAUGGCUUUGACACAUGGCUCUUAGUGAGCUAUUUUUACGAUGGUAUGUCUUCUUCAAUGAAGCAACUCCUAGAAACUAUGUGUGGAGGAGACUUCAUGAGUAAGAAUCCGGAGGAAGCCAUGGACUUUUUGAGUUAUGUGGCUGAAGUUUCAAGAUGAUGGGAUAACCAAACGCUAGAGAAGUGGGAAGAAUGAAGUCUCAACCUAAUGCUAAGGGUGGGAUGUAUGUUUUGAAUGAAGACAUUGACAUGAAGGCAAAGGUUGCAGCUAUGGCAAGGAGAUUGGAAGAGCUAGAAAUGAAGAAGAUAUAAGAAGUGCAAGCUAUUUCUGAGACACCAGUGCAAGCUAUGCCUUGUUCCAUUUUUCAAUCUUAUGAGCACUUGUUGGAGGAGUGUCCUACAAUUCCAGCAAUGAGAGAAAUGUUUGGAGAUCAAUCAAAUGUUAUUGGUCAAUUCAAGCCCAAUAACAAUACUUCAUAUGGCAACACCUACAAUUCAAAUUGGAAGAACCAUCCAAAUUUCUCUUGGAAACCAAAGCCACCGCAGUACACACAACCUGCUCAAGCACCUCGGCAAGCCUCGAAUCUUGAACAAGUUAUUGUGAACCUUUGCAAGGUUGUGGGAGACUUUGUGGAAGAUCAGAAGUCCAUCAAUGCUCAACUAAAUCAGAGAAUUGACAGUGUGGAGAGUACAUUGAACAAAAUGAUGGAUGGGAUGCAAAAUGAUCUGUCUCAGAAGAUAGACAAUGUCUAAUACGCAAUCUCAAGGCUUACCAACCUCAACACAGUGCAAGAGAAAUUAAAGUUUCCUUCUCAACCUCAUCAAAAUCCCAAGGAUAUCCAUGAUGUGGAGGCUCAAGAGGGAGAAUCUUCAAAGGUAAGGGAAGUCAAAGCAGUUAUCACCUUAAGAAGUGGUAAAGAGGUUGAUCUGCCCACAUCCAAGCCAAAGCAUGACGAAGAGAGUGUAGCAGAAAAAGAAAAGAGUGGAGAAAAUAAAGGAAAGAGAAAAGGGAAAAGUACAAAGAAAGAUGACCAUGAGUCUAGUGUGGAUGAAGAACUCGAGAAGAAAGUGAUCAAGGAAGAUAUGAUGAAGAAACACAUGCCUCCAUCUUUCUCCUAAGCUUUGCAUGGCAUAAAGGGAACCAAUAAUGCAUCAGAAAUUUUUGAAGUGGUGAGGCAAGUGAAGGUCAAUAUCCCUUUGCUAGACAUGAUCAAACAAGUGCCGACAUAUGCAAAAUUCUUGAAGGACUUGUGCACUAUAAAGAGAGGGUUAAAUGUGAACAAGAAGCCUUCUUGAUUGAGCAAGUGCCAUCAUACAGUGCAAGUCUCCAGUGAAGUACAAAGAUCCGGGCUGCCCUACCAUCUCAGUGAGUAUUGGAGGGACUUGCGUGCAGAAAGCUUUGUUGGACUUAGGAGCAAGUGUAAAUUUGCUACCCUACUCUGUCUAUAAGAAGUUGGGACUUGGAAAGUUGAAGCCAACAUCCAUCGCUCUAUCUCUAGCAAAUAGAUCAAUGAAGAUUCCAAGAGGGAUGAUCGAAGAUGUCUUGGUUCAAGUUGACAAAUUCUACUAUCCAGUGGAUUUUGUUGUUCUUGAUAUGGAUCCAAUUGUCAAAGAAACUAAUUAUGUUCCUAUCAUACUUGGAAAACCAUUCCUAGCUACAUCAAAUGCAAUCAUCAAUUGUAGGAAUGGAGUCAUGCAACUCACGUUUGGCAACAUGACAUUGGAGCUCAACAUCUUCCAUUUGUGCCAGAAACAUAUCCAUCCGAAAGAAGAAGAAGGGUUAGAGGAAGUAUGCAUGAUUGACGCUUUAGUGGAGGAGCAUUAUGAUCAGAGAAUGCAGGAGGAUUUGAUUGAGAGUUUUAGGGAUCUUGAUGAAGGGUUACCUGAACCCUUAGAUUUGCUUGCUACCCUGCUCCCUUAGAGGAGAAGAGAAGAAAUUCUACCCUUAUUCAAUGAGGAGGAAACGCAAAGAACUGCUAAGGAGGAGUUCUCAAAGCUUAUUCUUAAGCCACUACCCACAGAGUUGAAGUAUGCAUACUUGGAAGAAGACAAGCAGUGUCUUGUUGUUAUAUCUUCAGAUCUUACCAUUCAUCAAGAGGAUUGUCUACUUGAAGUCCUUAGAAGAUGUAAGAAAGCAAUAGGCUGGCAAAUUUUUUAUUUGAAAUGGAUCAUCCCUUUAGUCUGCACCCAUCAUAUUUACAUGGAGAAUGAAGCUAAGCCAAUUUGUCAACCUCAGAGAAGGUUGAACCCUCACAUGCAAGAGGUGGUGCGAGUUGAAGUCUUAAGCUACUUUAGGCCAGUAUUAUUUACCCUAUAUCAGAUAGCCCAUGGGUGAUUCCUACUCAAGUUGUGCCAAAGAAGUCUGGGAUCACGGUGGUGCAAAAUGAUAAGAGAGAAGAUGUCUCUACGCGCCUCACUAUAGGUUGAAGGGUGUGUAUCGAUUACAGGAGGUUGAAUGUAGUGACAAGAAAGGACCAUUUCCCAUUGCCCUUUAUUGAUCAGGUACUUGAAAGGGUCUCUGGGCAUCCUUUUUAUUGUUUCUUGGAUGGCUACUCCAAGUACUUUAAGAUAGAAAUUGAUGUUGAAGACCAAGAGAAGACCACUUUCACGUGCCCAUUUGGCACCUAUGCAUAUAGGAGAAUGCCUUUCGGCCUAUGCAAUGCACCUGCAACUUUCCAAUGAUGCAUGUUAAGCAUUUUCAGUGAUAUGGUGGAGCAUAUUAUGGAAGUCUUUAUGGAUGACAUCUUCAUAUAUGGAAGUGCAUUUGAUUAAUGCUUAGUCAACUUAGAAGUUGUUAUGAACCGAUGCAUUGAGAAAGACUUAGUGCUUAACUGGGAGAAGUGUCAUUUCAUAGUACAAUAAGGGAUUGUCCUUGGGCACAUCAUCUCCAAGCAAGGCAUUGAAGUUGACAAAGCAAAGGUUGAACUCAUUGUCAAGUUGCCAUCCCUAACAAAUGUCAAAGGAGUAAGGCAAUUCCUUGACCAUGUCGGGUUCUAUAGGAGGUUUAUCAAGGAUUUCUCUAAGCUUGCAAGGCCUCUUUGUGAAGUAUUGGUGAAGGAUGCUAAAUUCAUAUGGGAUGAUAGAUGCCAAAGGAGUUUUGAAGAAUUGAAGUUAUUUCUAACAACCGCACCAAUAGUGAGGGCUCCCAACUGGAAACUGCCCUUUGAGGUAAUGUGUGAUGCCAGUGACUUUGGAAUAGGAGCUGUUCUUGGGCAAAGAGAAGAUGGAAAACCCUAUGUGAUCUACUACGCGAGCAAGACAUUGAAUGAGGCGCAAAGAAACUACACAACCACCAAGAAAGAAUUGUUAGCUGUAGUUUUUGCUUUGGAUAAGUUUCGUGCUUACUUGGUGGGGUCCUUCAUUGUGGUUUUCACUGAUCACUCUGCUUUGAAGUAUUUGUUGACUAAGCAAGAUGCUAAAGCAAGGCCAAUUAGAUGGAUCCUCUUGCUUCAAGAGUUCAAUCUCCAUAUCAAAGACAAGAAAUGAGUGGAGAAUGUGGUAGUAGACCACCUUUCAAGGCUAGCUAUCGCACAUAAUUCCCAUGGUUUGCCCAUCAAUGAUGAUUUUCCAAAGGAGUCUCUCAUGUUGGUGGAAGUUGCUCCUUGGUAUGCUCACAUUGCUAACUACCUAGUCAUAGGAAAAGUUCCAAGUGAGUGGAAAACACAAGAUAAGAAGCACUUCUUUGCAAAAAUUCAUGCCUACUAUUGAAAAUAGUCAUUUCUAUUCAAGUAUUGUUUCGAUCAAAUAAUAAGAAAGUGUGUUCUUGAAAAAGAGCAACAAGGGAUCCUCAGUCAUUGCCAUGAAAAUGCAUGUGGAGGCCACUUUGCUUCUCAGAAGACAACCAUGAGAGUAUUGCAAUCGGGUUUCUGUUGGCCAUCACUUUUCAAAGAUGCCCACACCAUGUGCAAGAGUUGUAAUCGAUGUCAGAGGCUUGGGAAGUUGACACGCAAGAACAUGAUGCCUUUGAACCCCUUUUUGAUAGUUGAUCUUUUUUAUGUUUGGGGCAUUGACUUCAUGAAACCUUUCCCUAUGCCUUUUGGCUACUCUUACAUCUUGGUGGGAGUAGAUUAUGUUUCUAAGUGGGUUGAGGCAGUCCCAUGCAAACACAAUGACCAUAGAGUGGUUCUCAAGUUUCUCAAGGAGAACAUCUCCUCAAGAUUUGGGGUGCCCAAAGCCAUAAUUAGUGAUGGGAGUACUCAUUUUUGCAACAAGUCUUGUGAAACUCUCCUAGCCAAGUAUGGGGUGAAGCAUAAGGUAGCUACACCUUACCACCCUCAAACUAGUGGGCAAGUUGAGUUAGCAAACAGGGAGAUUAAAAACAUAUUGAUAAAGGUGGUGAACACAAAUAUAAAAGAUUGGUUAGUCAAGCUCCUCGAUUCACUAUAGGUAUAUAGAACAACUUACAAGACCAUUCUCGGGAUGUCUCCUUAUCGCCUAGUCUAUGGUAAAACAUGUCAUCUCCCUGUGGAAUUGGAAUACAAGGCUUGGUGGGCAAUCAAGAAGCUCAACAUGGAUUUAAGCAGUGUUGGGUUGAAAAGGUUCUUAGACCUUAAUGAGAUGGAGGAAUUGAGAAAUGAUGCCUACAUCAAUUCAACAAUUGUAAAAGAGAAAUUAAAGAGGUGGCAUGAUCAGUUGAUUUCCCGCAAGGAUUUUAAAAAGGGAAAAAGAGUCUUGCUCUAUGACUCUAAGCUCCCCAUCUUUCCAAGCAAGCUAAAAUCAAAGUGGAUAGGUCCUUUUACCAUUCACCAAGUUCAUUCAAAUGGAGUAGUGGAACUACUCAACUCCAAUGGCACCAGGAGCUUUAAAGUGAAUGGCCAUCAUCUCAACCCCUUUGUGGAGCCUUUUUCUCGCGACAAGGAGGAAUUCAUCCUCCUUGAUGCACAUCAAGCUUGACAAGACCAGUUUUCUUAACGGACUUAGUCUUUCUAAAGACUAUUGAGUCCAUAUCUUUUUAUUUUAUUUUUUAUUUAAGAGUUUUCCUAUAUUAUUACUUGUUUUGAUUUUGAUUUCUCGUUUUAAUUUUAUUUUAGUUUGAUUUAACUUAGGUUUUUGAUGAUCAAUUGCAAAAGGGGCCUCAAAGCAGUUGGGUGUGUCCUUAAAGACUUCAAACAGAGGAAAAACCAAGAUAAUUCAAGCACCCUGCGAAAUUUUUGCAGGGCAUGCGAAAUUAAUGAAUCAUUUUGCAUGGGGUGAGAAAAUUUCGCACACCCUGCGAAUCAAUUUCACACACUAUACGAAAAUGAAAAGACCUUGCUAAAUCAUUUCAAACACUUUGCGAAAUUUUCGCAGAGCAUGCGAAAAAUUUUGCACACCCAACACCGUUUCGAAUGCUGUGCGAAACCCUAAGGGGUCUACAAAACCAUUUCGCACCUCCAAAGCCAUUUCGCACGCUGUGCAAAAAUCAAGAGGCGUUGUGCGAAAACGAAAAGUAGCCUUACUAUCCCUUUUUAAACCCCGAGCUCUAACUUCUCCAUUUCGCAAACACCAAACACCCUGCAAAUCCCUCAUUUUCCUCUACCACCUUGUGACCUCGUCCCUCUCCAUUCAACACCCCGUCCCGCACAUCUCAUUUUGAAGACUCGCACUCUGCGGCCCCUUCGAGCACGGCUCACUUUCCAUUUUCUACAUGGCGCUAACUCGAGGAGCCCUUCCCGCCCCUUCACCGAGACACACUCCGAGGCAGAGAGCCUCCUCUACUUAAGUGCCUAGUGAUUCUCCAUCUUAGGCCGCAGAGGCCUCGUGGAUUCCACCUCCUGAGAAUGGAGUAGCCAUUGGUCCUUCCUCUCCUGCUCCUCAGCGCAAAUAUGAGACAAAGAGACCACCUAUUACACCAAGGGCAACUACUUCGCUCCUUGAGAGUUCAGUAUGAUGUCCUCCUGCCAAGAGAGCCAAGACUUCAGGCCCAAGCGAGUCAUCCAGAGUUUCAUAGCCUAAGGCUCUUGCAGAUUCUGAGGUUCCUUCUGACUUAUCACCGGAGUCUAUUAUCUGACGCCCGAUGCUCACAGCACCACCCAUUAAGGGCAACUCAGAUUGCAGAGCAAGACCUUUCCUCUUGAAGCUAUAUUUUGAUCAAGAGGCCAUGCAACAGCAGCUUGAGCUCCGAGACUCUUACGGCCUACUGUAGAGGUACCACCUUGAGCACCUUAUAACUCUUUGUGAGUUCUUUUAUCCUAGAGUAGCACUAGACUUCUACCAGUCCAUGACUACUCUUGGCGUCCCGAGUCUUACUGUGAUUUACUUCACCAUUGAUGGACAUCAUGGUAUCCUCAAGGCUAGACAUAUUGUAGAGGCUUUACAAAUUCCUUUCAAGCCAGUGGAUCCAUCUGCUUUCCGCCAGUGGUCCUAGUAUCUCAGAGGGACAUGGUCCGCAUUUUAUCCAGGAAGACCUCUACAGAUUCGAUCCUUCUACGGAAGGAGCUUCCACCUAGGAUGCUCCUUGUAGAUAUGGUGCUACGCUCCAACCUCUUUCCCUUACAGCAUUUAGUACAGAGGCGAUGAGCUAUUUUGGACGCUUUAUUCUGUAUAUCGGAGGGCUUCUACUUUGGCCUGUUCCACUUGAUCAUGGCCUCCCUCAUCCACUUUGAGGAGAAGGUCCAUAGGAAGAAGCUUCAAAGGGCGGACACCAUUCCAUUACUAUUCCCGAGGUUGUUGUGCCAAAUCUUGGAGUAUAUGAGCUUUUCUAUUGAGCCUCGGCUCGAGCGUCACCGCCUUUGUCGAGAGUGAUUCACUCUGGACAAAUGGAAUCAAUUGACGGGCUAUUAUGCACCUCUAGGAGCCUUUCCUAUGGUAGCACCUCCAGUGCUCCUAGAACCAGAGCAAGGCGAGCUCCCGACAAAGACUGCACCACCAGUGCCCACACCUGAGGCUACUUCUACUGCUCCGCCUACGACUCUUACUGUUACACCAGUCGCGCCUACUACAUCCGAGCCUUCCAUCACCAUAUCGGCUUUAGAGUUUCGCUCCCGUGUGCAUACUUUUUAGACACUUACCACCACACAUGCUACUCUCUUUCAGCAAAUGGCUGAGAUGCGUGCCCAUCAGGACCAGCAGACUGCUAUACUUCGCCAGAUUCAGCAGCACUUGGGACAUCUACCUCUGCCUCAACCUGACCUUUCUGCAUCAUUAGAGCCUUUAGCUCCAGCUAAGGAUACUAUUCCACCUGAGGACACUACCACAGUAGAGGUCCGGAUUUCGCCACCUCAGAAGGCCACCACAGCUACACCAGAGGAUUCUUCAUUUCUACCUGAGGCUCCCACUACUUGAUCAUAAGAAAUCUCUUUAUCUUAUUGUAUUUACAUAUUAUAUUACUAAAGAUUUGUCCUUGUUUUGAUGCUUUAUAUUCAGGGUUGGAUGUAUUACCUGAUCAUAUCUCAUAUUGUACUUUCUCAUAUUAAUAUAUAGACAUCACAUUUUUUUAUUAUAUUUAAAAUUUUUCUAUUUAUUCUACUUGUCACUCUUUUGUUUUUUGACUCAUGUGGUUUCUCCUAUACGAAUCAGACUCCAUUUCAUUCAGGAGGUACCACUUCCUCCUUUUAUUUUCAAUUGCUCUUGAAACAUUGAGGGCAAUGUUGAUCUCAGUUGGGGGGAGAGUUAAGGAAGGAAUUUUUGUUAAUAAUGCUAGAUUAAUUUGUUAAUUUAGUUACUUUUUGCUUAAUUUUAAAAGUUUUUUACCCUACUCUUCAUGGUUAUUAAGGAAAAGUUCUCAAAAUGAAAUGGGAGAAAUCGAAUUCUUGCAUUUUUACUUGAAUCUUAGAGUUUGUAUUAUGCUUAUUAAAGUUGAUGAAUUAUUGAAACUCCUAUGGAAUUCAACCUUAUUUCUUCCACUUUAAUCUUAUCACACUAUGCACAUUAAGUUCCGAUUAUAAGACGAAAAACUAUCUCACCCCCUAAACUUAGGAAAAUUUCAACUUGGUACAUUUGACUUCAUUUUAAUAGUGUUGGGACACCUUAUAAAAGGCCAAUGAGCCUUCGAAAAAAAAAAAAAGAACAAAGUGUUUCGCUUGCCUUGAAACCCGAGCAAAGUCCGAGGGGUAUACGACGAAAGUCUUUAAAACCCGGUGCCCUAAGCCUUUAUUGGUUGGGAGUCACUGGCCUCAAUGCUCGUUACAAGAGUGAAUAGGUAGAGUUUAACAUAUUGUAGGUGCUUGGGUAUUGAAUUUCAAUCUCAAAAAUCCGGGGAAAAAUAUGAGGAGUUAGAGGUUGAAAAAUCCUUAAAGCUUGAUGCCCUAAACCUUGAUUGGUUGGGAGUCAUCAAUGGAUCCCCAUUACAUGGACACUUUAGAAAACAAUACCUUUAGCAUUGCACUCCUACAAUGAAAAAAAUUGUGAAAUAAAAGAGGUGUGUUCUUAGCCUAUUGGAGGUUGGUCAAGUUGCUAAGGUUUGAGAAAAAACUAGGUUGGGGGAGAGAAUAGUUUGACAUACUAUAAUCAGAAGCUAAUAAGCUUAACACUUAGAUUUUUGUGAAAAAAUAAGGUUUGAAUCUUUGGGAGUGGAAAUUCUUUUGUUGCUUAAAUUUGCAUAAUGCCUACUCUUUAUAAAUUGUAAUUUGGCAGGAGAUUUGAUAACUCUUGUUGAAGGUUGGGUUUUGCAUCUUUGAUGUUCCAUGAGAGAGUAUAAUCUGCAUCAUGCCACUUGAAAAUUUUUUGGAGUGAUUAGCAUGAUUUUGUAAAUUAUUUUACUAUUUAUUUUUCUUUAUCUCUCCUUCAUUGCUAAGGAACUAGCAAUAUGUUGGUUGGGGGGAGUGAUUACUGCUCAAAAAGUACUCUUUUAUAGUUUGAAACUAACUGUUUUAAACACUUUUGAGUAGUAGUUAAUACAUUUUAAUUCAAUUGGCACAUUAAGGAACCUAGCAAGGGUUACUAAUCAAUUUUUCGCAAGUUUUGGUGUUUUUGGUAGCUAUUUGAUCAUUGAAACAAGCCAAGAAUGAGGGAGGAUUUUGUGAAAUCCAUGGCAAUGUAAGUUAAAGCUUAAAUACAUGAAUAAUCCAAGCUUUUGAGCACUUCAUAGCCCUUUGCCAAGCCAAUCAAAGAUGCAAGGAAGAAAACCAGAGGAAGAAAUCCAACAUCCAGCAUUUCCGCAUGGCUGUGCGAAAUUUCGCACACCAUGCAAAACCACUUGAGGCAGCUAAAGAAUUUCGCACAACAUGCGAAAUUUCGCAGGGUAUGAGAAAUCUUCCUGUGCACUGACUCCGUUAGAUUUUUAUCUCUAGAUAUUUUGUGUAAUUUCCUAUUUUCUCCUUGUAAUCAACUUAGAUAUUUUCAUAUAUAUUUUUGUAUAUAUUUGGUGUGUGUAACAUCUUUUGAUAUAGACACACAGGGAUGUAAUCAGAGAACACUUGUAAAUUCCCUGUAGUAAAAAAUAUACAGAGUUUUUGCUCUGCCUUUUCUUCUCAUUUUGUUUUCACUCUUCUUUCUAGUCAAACAACCUCUAAGGAUGAUUUAUCAAGGGAUGGGUGGCUAGGUUUUACGUUUCUUGGAGUGAUGGAAGCUAGGUGAAGGACCCGAAUGCAAAUAUGGGAGUUGUCCUUGCUUUAAAUGAAAGUAGUUGUUAACCAUUAAUGGUUUUUAUUUUAAGAUUUAGCUUUAAAUCCUUAAAAGCACCUUGAAUGGCCAAUACUUGGUAAGCUUUUCAGAUUCUAUGGAUGCUUAUUGCUAGAUCCAUGGAUGUCUAUUAGUUAUCAUUUAUGAGCCAGUGGAAGGUGGUUCAAGGUGAGAGUCUUUAGUAUUUCAAGCCAUUAAUGGGAAGCAACUAUUAUUUUUCAUGAACCCUUUGGAUCAAAUCUUAAUUGCUAAAUAUAAAACCGGUUCAGGAGAUAACCAUCCUUUAUGUUAUUGUCCCCAAAGCGAGGAGAAGAUCCGGAAUCUCCCCCUUUGUCUAAGGAACCUGAUCCUAGUGACCUAAAGCUCUAAGAGACCUUUUCUUUGUAGUUAACUUCACUUAUUAUUUAUGCUUAACUUAAAAUCAAUCUUUGCAACCACAAUUCCAUUUUCUUUAAAAGCUAAUUUUCAUAAGGAGAAACACCAUUUUAUUUCAUUCACUAAAGUCAACUAUACGAUGAAAACCCAUCCCUGUGGACGAUCCUAGAGCCACUAUACUAUGUUAGCUAUGCUACCCUAGUGUGAGGUGAUUUAGGUUUUAUAAAUUUUGUUGAUAACACCCGUCUGAGACAGAAUCAAAUGGCAUGACUGCAAUGGGGAUGAAUCAGACUUAUUGGAACAUUAUCUUGAAUUUCUUUAGGAAGGAAGAGUAUCUUGAAAAUGAUUUUUGGCUCAUAAAUGAAUAUAGGUUUCUAAGUGGAAAUUAUUUAACAUUCUCACCGUUUUAUGGUGUCAUGAGUGAGUUUUUUUUAGCUUAAGCUUCCUUGUUAGAGUGUUGAUAAUCAUUUGUUUUUUACCUAUUCAUUUGAUAAAUUUGGAAAGUACUUCAAUCUCUAUGUUUAUUAAUUUUGUCUAUUGUUAAGUUCUUGGAAGCAUUUUUGUUCAAUGUGAAUCAAUUCUAACUCAUUAAUUGAAAGAUAAGUAUGUCAUCCUAUUGUAUCUCAUCUUUGGUCGAUCAAUUUUCAGUUUUUGGAAAGCUUAUUGGUGUAUUUCUUGUGAUUUUUCGAUAGUUUUUGCCUAAGUCAUUUUUCAAUUGGGUGUCGAUCGAUCUACUGAAUUUGUGGAUCGAUCCAUUGUGUGCACAAUGUAGUGACCGAGAGCCCUUGAAUGAAUCUUGGAUCGAUCCACCAAGAUCGAUACCACCUAGUCCUUGUCUCUCACACACUUAGCCAUUUUUUUCAAAUUUGGUCUAUUCAAACCUAUGUGACUAUGUAUCAUCGAGAGCACAAUUGAAAGCUGGAUCGAUCCACCCAGAUCGAUACCACUUAUGCAUUUGUGAAAAAUUCCAUUUUUGCCCCCAACUAGUUAUACUCAUAUGGUUUAAUGGAUAAGGGGUAUUUUCAUAAUUAAAAGUAAAAAAUUGAAAAUUUGAAAAAGUCAAAAUCCCUAAAUCAGUUUUUCCCAAUUCAUUUCUUUCAAAAACCCUAGGUUUUUUGUUCCAAAGAAGAGAACUUCUCUACUCUAAGCUUCUCUUUAGCCAUCAUUGUCAGUCCAUCAUUCCUACCACUACCAUCAAAAGUCUCUACCACUGGAAACCUUUAUCGUUAGACUUCCCUAUCUGGUGAGCGUUUCAAGUCUGGCCAAUCCCACUAGACAGCCUCGUCAAAUAGCCUAGAAUUGUUGUGUUGCUCAGCUCAUGUCGUCGGCCUGUGUGUCUUUUCUUAAUGCGUCGAUGUUUUAGAAAAUUGUCUUCUACAUAGUAUGUGUUGGCUAGGACCUCCUGUGUGCAUCACUAGAUUGUAUCUUGUGCAAUUAGGAUUUUGUUCCAACAGUUGGAAAUUCCAAUCUGCCCUUAGGACUGUGUUUUUCACCGCACAAUCAACACAACGCAAUCUACACUUCUGGAAAUUGUGUUCUACAUAGCCCAUUUCUCUUGUUUUUUGCUCUACUAUUUUCCAAUGUUCGUGUCUUUAAUGCAACUUAUUUGCAAGAGUUCUCAUUUUUGGCAACCAUUAUUGUUUGAUUUAUCCAUUCUUCUCUCUUCUAUUAGUCUCAUUUGGAUUUUUUAUUUUUUAUUUUUUUAUUUUUUUUAUAGAGUCCUCUCACAAUAGUUUUAAUAGUUUGAGAUUUCAUUUUUGCCUUGGAGUGUUCCUAGUUUCUAGGAAUGCUAAUCCUAGGCUUUGGUUAUUCAUUUUGAGUGGUCUUCAUACAUUUUCAUGCUUGAAAUCUAUUUUCAUGGUGAUAAAGCAUUUUUUGAAAGUUUUUAAUUGAAACCAUGUGAUAGGAUUUAGGAGGAGAUUCUUAUAUCCUGUGAUGGGAGUCAAGGGGAGAUUCUUGUAUCCUAUAUUUUUUUUUUCUAGAAUGUUGAUAUGGAUACUUGGUGAUAUGUGAAUAUUUGAUUUUUGGGUAUUUGACAUUUUUGUUGAAAAGUAGAUGUUUGUUGAUUUGGAUGUGAGAUAUUCUGCUAUUGAAUUCUCAUCCAUUUAUCUUUUUUAUUGGAUAGAAAAUGGGAGAUUAUGACUUUUUGUCUCCUAUUGGGACAAAAAGGAGAAAACAUUUUACAUGGAUGUUGAUAUGACAUGUAGUUGAUCAUGACGGUUUCUUUGUGUUUUGUUGCUUUGGAUAUUUGAUAUGUUGAUCAUGAUCACCUUUUUUGUAUAUCGAUGGAUAUUUGACACGUUUUUGAACUCAUGAAUGCAUAUUAACUAUCUUUAGACAAGUUAUUUUUGUGGAUAUAUGUGGAUAUUUGUGUGUCAAUUCAUUUGAAACUUAUGGAAUUGUCUUGGUAAUAUGUGCAAGUGCUACUAAUGUUUUUUCUUGAGAUUUAUUUACAGGAUUGGUAGUACCUUUGGUUAGGUUUUGAGUGAGUGAGUGAGUGGCCUUGUAUGAGAGUUGGGUGGGACUUACUUGUAUUCAUUCGUGUUGUAAAGGGUUUUGUCCCAGAAUUUCCAAAUGGGGAGAUUGUGAGUGUUUAGCUACGUUGGUAAUUCCAAACAAAAUUCCUAAGUGUCCCUUAACUCGGUUUACAAAUCCCUCUUCAAACUACUUGACCUUUGAAGAUUAAAACUUUGCUAAGAGACCGAGGUAUGUAGCCGAGUGUGUGGUGAUUGAAUGUGAAUCAACCCUAUUUUUUCAUCUUUAAAUGAGUUAAGAAAAUAGGGAGAAAUAUUGUUAGUGCAAGGCUUUUGUUCCCCUUAUUAUGGAUUGAUCUAGGUGCAGGGGCAAAUUGAUCCAACUAACCCACUUUUAAGAUCAAUUUUCAACCCUUAGAUUAAGGGUUUCUUUCUCAUUUAAAAUCAAAUCUCUCCCAUCUCUAGAAGUGGUGACUACAACAACUGUGAGAGAGUUUUUUCUUUCUUCACCAUUUUAAGGGUGUUUACCUACGAAGAAAAUCUAUUCAAGUUUUCUAAGAAAAAAUUUUUAAAAUGGAUUUUCUGAAAAAGAGCAUAGGUUGAUUUUUGAAACAUUCAUAUCUAAUUCUCUUGGUUUUGCGCAAAAACCCAUUUUUUUUCUUAUGUGAAUUCAAGAAGAGGCCGAGAUCGACCUUGGUGUAAACUCCAAGCGUGCUCUAAAAUAAGAAUGUGAGAAAGUGAAAGUGAAGGUACUAGUCAAGUGGUCUGGGAAGGAUUGGUUGGUUUGAGCUAGGUAAAACCUUGUAUUUAGUUUUUAUUCUUCAUAGUGGAUGUUUUCAAUUGGUAGUAGGGCCAUGGUUUUUGAUCUCUUCGAAAAAAUUUCAUGUAAAUUUAUGGUGUCUCAUUGUCUCAUUUUCUCUUCUUAGCAUCAUUUUUUAGUUUCAACAAUUUAUUAUAAUUUUGAUUGUAUAGUAUUUGAUUGAAUGAUAAGGAGAAAUGGCUAUGAAUCAUCUUUGAAGUUGUUUCUAAUUGUUAAUCACUGAUAUUUUGAGGUAUAUUGAUCUUGUUUUUAUCAUAAUUUAGUUUAAGUUGAUUUGGGUUUGGGAGUAUUAGAUCAUGUGCAUGUGAAUUUCAUUUGAGUAUUGUUGGGGAGUGUUGUUGCAUUCAUAUAUUCAUGUGAUUUAUAAUUUGUUUUUGAGACUGUGUGAAGAGAAGAAAAUAUUCAAGAAGUUUUAAGGUUUACUAAUUUGAGUUGAGAUUUUGUUUAAUUGGUCAAAACACCUAUUCAACCCCCCCUUUAGGUGUAUAUUCCACUAUUGAGAUUCACUUUUUCAGAACCUAUACUUCUACCGAGCUACAUGAAGUUUUGUAAGGCAUAAAAUACAUUUUGAGGCAUAUAUAAGUCAAAUCUUAUAUCCAAAUUAGGUUGAAUUGGGUCAUGGUUAACCUCAAAUCAAAUAUAUGCAUUUUUCUUACAAAUGUUUAUAUAUAUAUAUGCAUUUAAGAAUAUAGUUAUUAUUGUAAAGGAUGUACUUUUUCUUAAGAAUAUACUUAUUUUUGUAACAGAUGUACCUAGGGUUCUACCAUGCCAAAUUGGGUUUGGGAAUGCAUCAUGAGGUAUAUAGAAGUUAAAAUUUAGACUCAAAAUGAAUAAGGGAAUGAUUCAACUCAAAUCAGAUGUAAAUACUUUUCUAAACUUUUAUGCAUUUUUUUAAAGCAUGUACGCAAAGUUAUAUCAUGUUGAAUAGGGUAUAAGAAGACCUCAAAUGCAUUCCGAGACCUACAUAAGUGAAAUCCCACACCCGAAUUAGGUUGAAUGAGGAUAAGAAUCCCCAAUGAAAUGAAAUGUACAUGUUUUUAUACUAGAUGUACCUAUUUUUCUAAAUGAUGUACUUAUUUUUUUUAAAAGAUAUAUGUAUUUUAAGAAAUAUAAAAAUUAAUUAAAGAAAUGUUAAUACAAUUUUUAUGAAAAUAAUUUUUUUUCUAUUUUAUGUUUAUAAAAAAGUUAAAGAUUUUAACCUAGUAAAAAGUUAGAACCAUGAUCAAUUUUAAAUCAUAUGAAAAAUUAAAACAAAUGUUAAUAUGAAAGUUCAAAUUUUUACAUGCCCUUAUCAAUGUCUCAUCAAAUUUUUUUAGUACAAAAUGGAAUAGUAAGUGAAUACUCUUUUAUUUCUUUAAUACAAAAAAUACAAACCAAGCAUCUCUCAAAAUCUUGUUCCUUGCUCUUGAAUAUAAAGUAAGAUAAGCUCGUGAACUUAUUCACAGUAAAAGUUUUGCUAACCUACAGUCACGCAACACAUGAAGGCAUUAUUCGACUUUAUUUAGGCAUCGAACACAAUUCGGUGAAGCUACUAUAUGCCUUUUGAAGUGAUUUUCAUUUGUCAGCAACUUGUUGUGCAAAGCCAGCCACAAAAAGGAUCUAAUCCUUUGGGGACCCCUUCAUUUCCACAAGGCCAUCCAAUUCUUAUUCAGCUUUGUCCAGCAACUCUCUUCAAUCAGUUCGUAAGCCGACUUGGUAGUUGACAACGUUGACAUAAAGGCCAAAAAUAGUGGAGGAUUGUACAAGAGCACAUAGCACUAACCCAAAUUCUCAAAAUUUGCUAUUGAAAAGUUUUUAGCCUAUUUGGCCAUUUCAUUAAAAAAUAAUUUUUGUUUUUAAAAAUUAAAAAAAAACUAUUUUUAAAAAUUCAUAAAAUUGUUUGUUAGUUGUUUUCUAUUUGUAAUUUUUAAAAAUAAAGUGAAAUAAAAAACAUAUUUUAUAAAACAAAUAAAAAUUGUUUUCACCAAUUUUAAAAACAAAAGAAAAAUAUAGAGGAAUUAAAAAACUAUAAAAAGAAAAUUGAAGAUGAUAUCAUUCUUCUUUACCUCUUUCUACGAUCUAAUAUCGAUACUGAAAAUCUUCAAAUAUAAUAUUCUUUUAAAUUACAUGUGUUUUUAUCAAUUUCAUUUAAUUUAAGAAAAUUUUCAUUGAUAAAAUAAAUUCUAAAUCAAAUUAUACUUUAUACAUAAAAUUUACUAAUUUUUAAAAAUAACUUAAAAGUUAAAAACUGAUUUAGUUAGUACUAUAAAGUCAUGAAACUCACUAACAUUAGAAUGACAUACACCAAAAUUCAUUUGAAUGUCUUGGCUAGUUUUUUCUUUGCAUAUAAUCAUAUUUUUACAAUUUUUUUCACUUAGUAAAUAAUCACCAAAUCAAGUAUGACUUAAUGCGUUGAAUUUAUUAACAAGUCUAAGUAAUUCUAAAAAAUAAAUUGAAAUGCAAAUAGUGAUCCAAUUAAUACCAUAAAUUUAUGGACAAAAAUUGAACUUGAAUGACUUUAUUGUUUCCAAUUUUGUUUCAUUGGACAAAUAAACUUAAAAUUAAACCAAACUUAAUGUGUUGAAUUCAUUAAUAAAUUUAGUAAUUUCUAAAAAUAACUUAAAACUCAAAUAAUGAUGUAAUUAAUAUUAAAAAAUUUAUGGAUGAAAAUUGGUCUAAAACAACUUUAUUAUUUUUCUUCUACAUGGAAUCAUAUAUUCCCAAUUUUAUUUUACUAUAUAAAUAAACUCAAAAUUAAACAAGACUUAACAGUCUAGUAAUUUUUAAAUUAGAAUAAUAUUUGAAAUAAUUUAAUUAGAAUAAUAUUUUAAUUUAUUAAAAUAAAUCAUAAAUAAAUGAAUAAAAUUAUCUAACAAUAUUUUAUCAAGUUAAUAUUUGUUAAUAAUAAGGAUUUAAGAUUUUGUUAGAUUUUAUCGCUAUAGGAUUAUUAUAAAUAUGGUUUUAAAAAAAUGCAUGAACAUCAUGUAAUAUUAACAAAAUAAAAAUUACGAAUUGAUCGCUUUCAUAGUUUUUGACUAUGGAUUAUUUUUAUCAUAACAAAAAUGCGUAAAAUUGUAUACACCUUUUAGGCUAUGAAAUAUUCAUUAUUUAACUUAUGAGUGUACAAUUUUGUUUUGUCCAAUAGUAGUGCAAUUAAUAUUAAAAAUUUAUGGAUAAAAAUUGGGUUUUAAUGAGUCUACUUUUUUUCUAUACAUACUUAUUUAUUUAUAAAUUUUUUUAUUAAAGAAUGAACUUCAAAUCAAGUAAUUGAAUUUACUAAUAGGUUAAUUUUUUAGUUUUUUUAAAGUUACAACCUAGUAAAUAGAUCUAAUCACUAUAAGAAAUAAUAUAUGAAAACUAAUUGUAGACCCCAAAAUUUGUCAUAAUUUUAUUUUUACAUUGAUAUUGAGUUCAAUUUUAUCCUUAGAUUUAAAUUUCGAUUACAUCUUAAUUGUUUAACCCACUUACACUAUUUUUUUAUUUUUUUUAUUUUUUCUCUCCUCUCUCCUCUCUCUUCUCUCUUCCUCUUUCUCCUCAUUCUACCUAUUCCACCUACUUCCCUUACCCAUUUCCUUCUCGUCUAAGCCACUCCCCAUACCCCCUCCAAGUUUUUUUUUUUAAAUUUUUUAUCAUCUUUCUCUACUCUCCUCUCUUCACUUUUUUUUUCUCUCCAUCAUUUCUUCUUCGGGUUCCCUUCCAACACCACAACCACUCCACAACCCACAUACCAGACACGGUCGACUCCCCCAUCUCCUCUUUUUUUUUUUUUUCCUUUCCCCCAACUCUCACACACGACGGUCCCCAUUUUCUCUUCCAUUUUUUUUCUCUUUCCCACAGUCCUUCCCUCUACACUGCCAUUUUCCAAAGACUCCCAUUAUCACACGCUCCCCAUCUUCCUUCAUUUUCUUUUUUUUCUUUUUUUUUUCUCUUCCUUUUUCUUUUCUUUUCCCCUCCCCACACUCCAUAGCCACUACCGGCCCUCCACUGCCCGCCACUACCAGCAGCCACUGCCAACAACCACCACCCGCUACUAUCUGCCAGUCAUUGCCGGCUAGCAAUCCUACCAUCCAUAGUUCUAAAAAAAAUGGGUAAAUUUCCUUUUUACUUUAUUUUAUUUUCAUUUUUUUUAUCUUUAUAUUUUUAUUUUCAUUUGCAUAGUAAUUUAUUUAGACUUGGAUCUAUUGCUUAUUGGUUAUUUAUUUGGACUUAUUGGAUUGGGUUUGAGACAUUAUUUUCUUUGGUCAUGUAUAUUAUUAAUGUGGGUUUGUUAAUUGAUAUGAAUUUUUGACCCAUAAUGUGAGUAUGAAUUUUGGGCCCACAAUGUUGGUGGAAUUUGAUUGAUGACUUGAAUAUUUGAUAUGAGUUUGACCAAUUUGAACUAUUUAAUUUGGAUAUGGGACAAUUAUGAUGUAUAUUAAAUUAGGCUUGGAUUAUGAGAUAUUAAAUUUAGGCCUAAUUGAAUUUAUUUUAUUUUGUGAUAUUUUGGGCUUGGCUAAUUGUGUUGUAUUUUGGUUAUUAAUUUGAAAAUUUUGGAUUAAGAUUUAUAGCAUGUGAGAUGUUUUUGUUAGGUUAUAUUUGUUAAUUUAUGCCCAUUUUGAUUGACAAAAUUUAUCAGACUAAUUUGAAAUUUGAAUUUGAGUUUGAAUAUUUGUUUGGGAUUUUGUACAUCUUUGGAUAUUUACAUUUGAGCUAUUUUGUUUUUGCAUGGGUUUAUUUUGCAAAUUCUGUUGGCUGAAUACAAAUUUAUGACACGUGGAGCACGAAAUUUUAUGGAAGAAAGUGAGAAUCAAAAGGUUGUAGGAACACAUUAAACUUGUUAUAAGCUUAUUUUGGUACACAUUUUAUUUCCCACUUUUAUUUGAUUUUAUUUCUAUUAGUUCUUGUAAAUAUUCAUUUGUAUAUAUUUAUUGAGUGUGUACAGAAUUGAAUAUUUAACAAAUCAAAAUUUUCAUUUAAAUAAGAGGAAUAAUUCAGUAAAUAUGUUCUAAUAAAAUAAUAAUUUUAAAAUAUUCUUCUUCAUAAAAGAAAGUUUUUUUAUUAAUAAAAAUUCAUAAAAAUGCUUUUAAAAAAAUUCAAAAAAAAUUGUUUUUAAUAGAAUUUGAUAAAUUAUUUUUAAUAAUAAUUGUCCAAAAAUGUCUUUGUUUAAUAAAAAUUGUCCAAAAAUUGUUUUGUAAAUAAAGUUGUCCCAAAAAUUCUUUUGCAAAUAAAGUUAUAUUCUUUUUAAUAAUUUGUACAAGUCACUUUUCUUAAAUGAAAACAAAUUGAAAUACUUUUGUAAAUAAAAUUGUAAUUUUUUUGUAAAAGCGAGUAAAAAUCAUUUUUGUUACCAAAUUGAAAUUUUGUAAUAAAUUAUUUUGAUAUAAUAAGUGAAAAUAACUUUUUUGGAAAAUUAACUACAAAUUAAAUUGAAUUAAAUCAUUAAUUAAAAAUAAAUUGAAACUUCUUUUCUGUAAAUAAAAAAAAUUAAAAUCAUUAAUUUAAAAUCAUUUUUAAUAAAAUCCUUUGAAAUUUCUUGAAAAUUAUUUUUUUAAUAUUUUUUUAUUUAGUUCAAUAAAUCAUUUUGCAUAAUUCUCUUGUUAUUUAUUUUGUAUAUUCUUGUAAUUAGAUUUCAUCAUUAUUUUUAUGUAUAUUGAUUUUCAUCAUGACUUGCACAUACUCAUUUGCAUAAUUAUUUUUCUUGGUAUCCAUAAUUAAUUAAUUAAUCAUCGCAAUUUCCUUAAUUCAUUUAGUAGAGGUCGUAUGUAUACGAGCUUAGAGGGGUGUUACAACUCAUUACCAUACCUUCCCAAUAUGUAACGGAGGACUCAAACUCGAUUUUUCACAAACUUGUUUUUACUUCAAGAGUCACACUUAAGGUUUUUCUUUUUUAUUUUGUUUUUCCCUUAAAAAAUAAAACAAAAAUCAGUUGACUUCAAGUCUUUUUUUUAAAAUCAUAUUUUUCACCAAAUAAAUAAAAAAUGAGUCUCGCUGUCGAGUGGAGACGCACAUAAAAAACGUAGGUCCACACCAAUAUAUUAUACUAUUUUUUAAUUUAUUUAUAAUUUAAAACUAAUUUCAUUUUUUAUAAGACCUUAAUUAAAUUUCUAUUAAUUAAAUUUAGAAUAUUUUUACAAAAUCAACAUAGAAAAAUUAUUUAAAAAAAAAACCAACUUUAAAAUAACUUGCCAAACAUCCUUAUUUUAUAAAAUUUUUAAAACAUAUUUUUAUUUGUUUAACAUAAAAGCAACUUUCAAAAACAAACAUUAUGGAACGUGAUUGAACUUUUCUCUUAUUUCUUUUUCAUUUUCUUGUUACUUAAAAUGACCGACAAAGGAAGAUGAAUUAAAUUAUUGAAGAACAUCUUUUGCCAAACAUAUUAGUUAAAAAAAGUGAUUUAAAAAGCGGGCCCUAACCUAUUCUGGAGCCCAUGAUAUCUUUGUACGUUACCAUAAAAGGCCACACGCCACACGCCUCAGCAAACCCACCAACCCUCAGAAAGGGGUUUCAACUGCAAAUAGUAACCAUACAAUUUCAAAGCAAAAAGCCAAACACUCACAUAAAUCUAAUAUUACCACAGCAACACUACUAAAUAGUUAAUAGCCCGUGAUGUUUCCUUUUUAUUCUAUGCCAAGCUUCUUUCUCAUCCCCAUAACAAAGCCAUGGACCUUGUGUGGGUCUUCCAGAGAAGACGACACGCUCUCCUUUUCCAUGCACCUCUUGGUCCAAGCUAUCAACUUGGGACACUCCGCCUCUAUGCUGAAGUUUCCAAAGCUCUCAUAUGCAUGAAACCAGCAAGAGAAGGUCACCAGAGCCACAUCCACAAACCCAAUUUUUUCACCGCCGAAGUAAGGCUUCUCUCCAAGCUCUCCUUCCAGAAGCUUGAGGCACUCUAUGAAUUCCUUCUUGGCUGUUUCCUGCUCUUCUCCUUUGGUUGACCAUAUCUUCCUUCCAAGUUCAUAGAGCUGUGGAAAACAAUAAAGUCAAAGAGAGAAAAGGGUUAUUUUUUUGGAGCAUUUCAUCAAGUUUCAACUUUCUGUAUAGUUGGACAAGUUUAUUAAGGACCCUUCAGCAUAGAAAUCUCAUAUACUAGGAACAAUUUAAAUGAAGGGCCGGUGGAAGAAAAAUAUCAGAAUCAGUUGAAAGAAUGUAUCAUUUGCUAAAGCUUUUCCCCUCAGUGUGGGUUUUAGAAAAUGAGAAGAAAGAGAUCAAAGCAACAAAACAUGUAUUAAAAGAACUGCUCUGCAAAAUGUUGAACAUCAGGAUAACAAAAAAAAACCAAACACUGCUUUAAAAACUGGUUUUUGGAUCCCCUUUCUUGAGGGAAAAGGCAUUCUUGAGAUCUGCUUUUUUGGGUGGAAAGAACGGACUGAAAACCCACAUCAGAAAUGCAAAGUGGAGUCUUGUUGGACACACAGCAAGGAGAAUCAGUAAAGUUCUAGUUUGAGACCCCAAGGCCCGCAAAACUCAAUGUCAGAAGAGAAUGUGUGAAGAAGAACCCAGCAUUUUGGACAAAUCCCUCAUCAUUAUCAAAAUCUGAGCCAAGCGCCAUGAAUCAAUGGCAAAAAAAUGCUUUAAAUCAACAGCAAAGACAUACCUUCUUGUCUACGUAGUCCACCCAGAACCUGGCCUGAGCUCUCUGGUAUGGGUCACUAGGCAAAAGCGGAGAUUUAUCGUGCCAAACCUCAUCAAUAUACUGAACUAUUAUCAGAGACUCACAAAUGGGCUUUCCAUUGUGGAUCAGAACCGGGAUUUUCUUAUGAACUGGAUUCAUCUCAAGAAGCAGAGGGCUCUUGUUCCUAAGGUCCUCCUCUUUAUAUUCAUACUUGAGGCCCUUCUCUGCCAGGGCAAGUCUGACCCUCAUACCAAACAUGCUAGGCCAGAAAUCCAACAAGAUAAUCUCAUCUGCCAUUGCUCCUACUGUGAUCAAUAUGAUACAGACUCAAGUAUUGAUGAACAACCCAAGGGAUAUUGUCAAGUAUUUAUAGCAAAUCUCAGAGAGUGAGUCAAAACCUUGGAAAUUUCUAGGAGGUGGUGAUGGCGUGAUGCUUCCUUAUCUCAGCAUGCACUUUCCUUCCAUAUUAUAUCCUUAUCUCAGUUUUCUUUCUUGGAAAAGUUGUGUUUUCAUGGGCCAAUAUGGUAAUAAUAUUGUUUUUGGAACCCAGGUUUGUGAAAGUUGAAAAACAUUUGUUAAUGUGGAAACUUAUAUCAGAUUCAUGCACUCUGAGCCGGUUGUAUUUUUUCUACCGAAAUUGCCCCUCCAGGUAUCCACGUCAGCAGCCCAUCUCAGAACGGGCUGAAACUGAACCGGUUGUCUUGUGCAAAAUCAAAUAUUGAGCUUCCCACAAAAACACCCUAGGCGACCGACCGUUCAUCCUCCCUUUCUCUCAUUUGGUACCCAUUCCAAAUGCGUCGGAGUUUCGAGAUGCAAUCUAUUUGAUGUCUUUGGUUGGAAAAUUUUGAUAUUCUUACAAAAGGAAUAGUCCAAAACACAUGACCGUAGUAUGCACAAUUGAAGAUUGUCCUUGGAAAAUCACUACGUGUGCAAUAGGGGACUCAAACAUUGUUCAAGUACACACAUUCCGAAAUGUGCAUAACCAUUGCUUGGAAGAUGUUGUCUUAUCUCAGCCUUUAGUGAGAUCCACUCGUGCAUCGUUGGUCAUUGAUGAUGUCAUUCGAUCUACUCCUGAAUACCAACCACGCCAAAUUUGUAAGGACUUUGUAAGGCAACAUGGCAUCCAAUUAACUUACCUACAAGCAUGGCAAAUGAAGGAGAAGGCUAAGGAGCGCAUUUAUGGACAACCCAAGAAUUAUUACAAAUUGUUGCCAUGGAUGUGUGAAAGAAUGCUUGCAACAAAUCCGGGAUCGAGUGUUGAGUUGAGUUAUUUCGAUGACGACCAUUUUGAGAAGCUUUUUGUUGCUCAUUCAAUAUCUAUCGAAGGGUUUGUAAGGGGGUGUUGACCAAUCAUUGCAAUUGAUUCGGCCCAUAUGAGUGGGCCUUAUGGUGGUGCUCUAUUUUCGGCCACCGCCUAUGAUGCUAAUGACUCCAUGUUCCUCUUAGCCUUUGGAGUGAUGAGCUCGGAAAAUUAUGAAGAUUGGUUAUGGUUCUUGGAAAAACUGAAGAUAGUUGUGGGAAACAAGGAAGUUAUUAUUAUCUUAGAUAGACAUCCUGCUUUGCUUCGUAGUGUCCCUAAGGUGUUUGGCAUUGAAAACCAUGCUUAUUGCUACCGUCACCUGAAGGAGAAUUUUAGUAGUUUCUUGUCCAAGCAUAACACACGAGGGAACAAGGGUAAAGAAAAUGCAUUGCAAUUCCUAGAUAGCAUUGCAUAUGGAAGGUUAGAACAUGAUUAUAACGUUUCCAUGUUUGAACUAAAAAAAUACAACGAGGCUUUAGCCACAUGGGUGUAGACCCUCAAUUUUGUCCCUUUAGUACAUGUCUUUAAGUUCGUUUUCAGUGCUUCAAAAUAGUUCCUUGGUGGCCCAUUACUACUCGUACGACUUACCUUUUUCUGAGUCACCUCGGAGACUUUGGUUGAGGGAUUAUUUGAUCCCAUAUUGUGACCCUUGGCAGCCCUAACUUAGACUUAGGUUUUUCUUGUUUUUUUUUUUUUAGGAUAGCUUUUAGAUACACUUGGCCCAUUAGGACACACCCUAGGUCACCUUUAGAUGUUUUUGCAUGGUUUGCAUGGUUGCAUGGCUCGUGUUUUUGCAUGGUUGCAUGACUCAUAUUCUUUUGGUGGUUACAUAGCUCGUAUGGCUUGCAUGUGGUUGAUUUUUUUUAUUUUUGUUUUUAAUUAUUUUUAUUUUUUAUUUUUAUUUAUUUAUUUUAUUUUUUAGAUGUGUGAUUUAAAUUUCUUUUGAUUUUCAAUUUCAUGAUAUUUAUUGAUUUUAAUCUUUAUUCUAUUUUGUCUUUAUUUUAUUCUUAUUUCUAUUUGUAUCUUUGUUUAUUUAUUUAUUUAUUUAUUUUUUGGGCAUGAGGAAACGGACCGCCAUUUAUUUGGAAGGAAAAUCAACAGAAUUUUGAAAAGAGGAGAUUUUAUUUUUAGAGGGACAGCACAUAUACUUCUUCCAUAGGGGGAUCGGCUACAAGAAGGAAAGAAAAGAAAGAAAGGAAAGAAAGGAGAAAAGGAAGUAGGAUUUUCCUUUUCAGCAAGAUGGUUUCUUUUUGAAAAGUGGGACUGGCAGCACGCAUAGAAAAAGGGAUUUUUUUUUAAGAAAACCAGGGGCAUGCAUUGGAGAAAACGGUUGAAGAGGAGAAGAAGAAGGAAGCACAAGAAAACCAGUGGAGAUUUUCUGAGGAUAGAAACCAGUGCAGAUUUUUUUUAUUUGUCAGAAGUAAGCAUUCCCAGGGGGGGGAUUCUUUGGAUUGCUUUGGGUGAGAAGAACAGGGACUGAGGUACACGAGUUUCUAAAGGAUUUGGGAGAAGGAAUCAUAUCUAGAAGAAAGGAAUUGAGUCAAAGCUGCCGGGUAUGCUUCUUGCUACUUUUUUAUUCCCGUUUACAUUCAAUACUCCAUGAUCCUCUGACCAUUUUUGAAUAUUCAAUCUUUGCUGAUUGGUGUGGACGGUAGGUCCACAAUUAGUUCUAUUGAAAUUGGUUGUUUCUUUGUUUAUUUAAGACUUUCGUUCUUUUCAAUGUCAUUAAUUUCUUAUGAGAAUAAUAUGCAUUUGGGUCAGUCCUUGAUUCUGAUGAUGGAAAUCCUACCUUGUUCAUGUUGAAAAUCUGUUUUAAAUCACUCCUCUAUUCUAAGCCAAUGGAUUGAAAUAUGAAAUUGUGGCUUUUCUUGGUUAUUUUCCUCUUCUUUCUGUGUUUCUUUUUUUUGUUAUUUUCUUCUAUUUCUGGCCCACACCUCAACCAACCCUAUUCCCGAUCUUCAAGAUUUAUUAACGUUGAUUCAGAAAUUUUUGGAACUAUGGAAGAGAAUUUAGGAAAUAAAGAGGUUCUUGAGAACUGUUCUAGUGAGCUCGCUUUCUGCUAGCCGUCUGCAUGGGGAUGUUGUAAUUGGGGAGCUUUUGGCUAAAUGGCUUCUGAAACUUCAGCCUGUGACUACUUCUCCUUAUGUGUUAUUAUCAAACUUGUAUGCUUCAGAUAGGAAGUGGGCAAAUUUAAAGAACCUGUCAUUAGCAGGCAACAAUUUCUUUGGCCCAACUACAGACUCAACUUCGAGGUUAGAAUCAAUCCAGUCUUUAGAUUUCAGUUGCAACUCCUUUUCUGGUGAUAUGGCAGCAUCAUUGACUGUUGAGUCUGAUAUGGAAUACAAUUGGAAUGCCAACAUUGAGAUAUUUGGAAGAAGAGGUCCUGCUCCCGGAGUUAGACUUGGUGGGGUGCUUGGCGACUCACUUACCAGAGUUGCAAGAAAGCAAGCAGAUGCACUUUUGUUUGCAGAGGCCAGGAAACAGAGUCUUGAUUCUUUGAAAAGAGAAGAUGGCAUUUUGCUAUAGAAGGAAAAGAUUACAGCUCAAGUUACUAGAAGUGGACAGAGGCAAAAGAUAUCAGUAUAUGAUCUAAUUCCAGGUGAUAUUGUUCAUCUUUCCAUUGGAGAUCAGGUCCCAGCUGAUAGACUUUUUGUUUUAGGAUUUUUCUUUGUCGAUAAAUGAGUCCAGUUUGACAGGAGAAAGUGAGACGGUUCAUAUGAAUUCUGAGAAUCCUUUUUCUCUUGUUCAGAACUAAAAUUCAGGAUAGGUCAUGCAAAAUGCUUGUGACUACUGUUGGGAUGAGAACCCAAUGAGGUAAAUUGAUGGCAACUCUUAUGAAGGAUGAUAAGCCUACUGCAUCAAACUAUCUGUCCAUAGCUGCACUGCCAGUGGGAGAGACAAGGAAGGAGAUGGAUUUAAUACUUCAAAAACGGAGCAUUUAGAAGUUCGGAUGGAUCUUACAGAUGACUUAUUGCACAUGGUUUCCUUUUCUUGGACUAUAUUAAUCUUCGUCGAGCUUCUACAGUCUGUAAGUAGUGGCGAGCUGGUAGUUCUCAUGAAGACUUCUGGAGGUGUCUGAAUCUCGAAAAUCAGAACAUAUCUGAAGAACAGUUUGAGGAUAUGUGCCGUAGAUAUCCGAAUGCCACUGAAGUGAAUAUUUUUUUUGGUGCUCCUUCAAUUCACUCGCUGGUUAUGACAGCAAUAUCUUCUUUAAGGAAUCUGGAGAUCUUAACCUUGGGGAAAGGAACAUCAGGUGAUGCAAUUUUAUUUUAUUUUUAGCCUUGGCUGAUUGUUAUAUACUAAAGAGACUUGAAGCUGUUGAAUUCUCGAAUGCCCUGUACAAGAGCUUUUUGGACGAAGACCUGAUUUGACCAGAGAAGCUUUACUCCAGGACAUGUUUUCAAAUGCAAAAAGACCACAGCAAGACGAUUGCAUCUGGCCAAAGAGUUGCUUACUUUUCUUGUUGAAGCUCUAAAGUAUUUUGCUGAGACCAAAGAAGGGACUUCUGAAAAGGUGCUCCAGUUCUGUGGAGAAAGUGCAGAUCCUAAUGUCCAAACCUCUCAGUUUGUUUCCAUGAGAUGAAGGAAGAGGUGCAAGUCAAGAUUUAGUCUUGCUGCAAUUUCUGAUGUCGAAACUGCCAAUAAUUCUGCCAGCCUACAGAAAAUUCCAAUAUCUGUUUUGAAUAUUGAUGAAAAAUACAUUGCAUCAAGGUUUUGCUGUAAUCUGGAGAAGUCAUUAUCACCAUUAUUUAAGGAUGCAGCAUACAGAGAUUUUGACCUCAAUUUAUCACUCAAUUGGCAAGAGAUCGUAAGUGCCUUUGAUAACUGAUCAGUGGCUGUUUGAGGCGCCAAGUAUGUGACUAAUGAUUAUGUAUCAGUGACAGAACUGACUUCAUAGGCUACCUACAGAAUUUAACAAAGAAAAGAAAGCCGGGAGAGAAAUCUGAUGCUGAAUUCAAUGGCAAGUCCAAAGGAAUUCAGUGGCUGUUUAAGAUGACUUUUAUGGAUGAGUUCAGUAGAGAAUUGAAAAGAAUUCAAGUGGUUGCAUAUGUGGGUGAGACUCAAUUGCGUUAACGGGUACUCUUGAUGGCAGAAAUUUGAAGGGAAUGGGGAAAGCUCAUUAACACAUUGGGGAUCUGCACAUGUUCUGGCUGCUUAACUUGAUGAUCAGUUUUAUGGUGACAUUAUGAAGAAUCUAAUUGAAACAGUGGAGGAUCUUGUCAGAUGGGGGAUUUAUACAAGGCGUUUUGGACAUCAUAACAACAGGGGUUGCAGAUUAUGUAGUUGGAAGUGUCAUGGCCUGUGACAGUUCUGUUUUAACGCCAUGAUAGAGAAGAAGAUCCUUUUAGUUGUGAAUGUGGGAGCAUUGGAUAUGGUGAAUUCUGAAGCCAAGAUUACCAUACUUUCUCAUUUACUGAACAGAAAUAUUCAUGUACACAAUGAGCAAGUAUCUCUUAUUCGAACAUAUAUGUAAAAAGUCCAAAAGCUUCAAUGUUUUGACCAAAUCAAAUGCUUUUGUUUCUCCAUCAUCAGAGGCGUUGACUCUCACAAGAAGGCGCACUCAUGAACAGCAGCUUGAAUUCCAUGUCACAGAGGUUUUGGAAGAGGCUCGAAUCAUUGAGGCUAAGCACAAAAGAUUGCUGGAUUAUCUGCUGGUGCAUUACUUUUGGAGUAUCACAUAAAAUCUCACUGGGAUUUUGUCCUAUGGAAAUCAUUAAACGGCGAUAACAAGUCAAGCUGGAGUUUAUCUGCGGGUUGAUGAACUCAUUGAAAUUGCCAAACUCCUUGGAUUGAAUUCUCAGGGUGAUGUAUCAGCUGCUGAAGCUGUUGUUGCUGGUGAUCUACAAUUGGCAUUUGAUCUCUGCCUUAGUUUGGCAAAGAAAGGACAUGGUCCCAUUUGGGACUUAUGUGUUGUUAUGGCAAGGGGUCCUGCUCUUGAAAACAUGGGUAUAAACUCUCAAAAGCAGCUACUGGGUUCUGCCUUGAAUCAUUGUGACGAGGAAUCCAUUGAUGAACUGCUACACGCAUGUGAAAUCUAUGUUGUUGCACUGCUGGUGAUGUUGAACCGAGGGAAUAAAGAGUACAGGUUUAGGGAUUACUCCAACUGACUCCAUAAUCAUUUGGUGAAUGACAAGAACCAGGGCUGGAUCAAGAAUUGUUUGAUAGAUAUCGACAUUUGUAGUUGCCUCGGGAAAGAGAUAAAUGACGAUGUUGCUACAUUCCAUAGGAAGAAUUUGUUUCCAAUCCAGUCGAGUCACAACAAACCAACAGCCUAAUGUUCCUAACGUUGUGUAGAUCCCAUGGAAGAGGCACAUCCUGAAGAGCAUGAUGAGUUUACUGAGAAUGGUAAUGGUAAGGAAAAAGAUUCCAACAAUCCGGCAGAUGAAAGUUUUGAAGAGAUAGAAUCUGGACAAGUGGAUGGAAAAUUUGAGAGGGAUGAUCUGGGAAGGGUAAUGAAGACAAAGCUGACAUGGAUUUAGAGGCACCAAGGAAAGGUGUCUUGGGAUCUGAAAAUUCUAACUUCAUUAGUGAUCAUAUGUUCAAUGCAAAAUCUGUGACGCAAUCAAAGGAUGACAUGCAGGCUGCAAAUUCAAGAAACGUGACACCAGAAACCCUUUUUGCCUUCUCAAUUCUCAUGUUGGGUGCAAUUUCAAAGAGUAUUGCUACUUCUUUGACAUAUCUAGCAAUUAGGUGUAAGAUCAUGGUUCAAGCAGCAUAUCCAAAUGACGGUGAAGCCUAGAAAGCUCCACAGAAAUCCCACAAAAUAGUACAUGAUGUUCUCUAUGUUAUUUGGAAGAGAGAAGGUGGACCGGGGUUCUUUAAGAAAUUGCAAGCUUAGAUCCUGAAAACCGUACUAAACUCAGCAUUGCUUUUGAUGAUCAAGGAGAAAAUUGUAGCAGGCAUUUGAGUACUAAUACUUGCAGCCAUCCCCAACUAAGCAAGAGCCGGAAUUGUUAUUUCUUGUUAAUUUCUACUGUCACCCAUGAUCAAAUGAAGCCUUUAAGCUCUCUUCUAGCAAUGUCUUUGAUAUUAAAUACCCACCAGAAUCCCCAUUCAGUAACUGCUUCAAUUUGAGCUCAUGGAUCCGAGGAAAACAUGGAUANNNNNNNNNNNNNNNNNNNNNNNNNNNNNNNNNCAUAGACGUGUGGAUGCCCACUAAUCAGGUACGCUCUCUUUACCUCCCAACUCUAAAAUUCUAUGAAUAUGUAUGUUAUCAUGAACCAUGACCAUGUUUGAUGUCAUAAUUGAUUGUCUUGAUGCUUGUUUGAUCAUCUUUGAUAAAAUACAUAUAAUGUGUGUUAUACUUCUAUACUAACUCUGAUGUUUUAUGAUAGCGCUUGAAGAGCGGUUCAGGUACGCACCCUAACUCUCUGUUUUUGUGAUUUGAUCUUGUUUAGCAUGCAAAUCUUUUGAAAUCACCUAGCCUACUUAGGUAUCCAUAACUAACCGAUUAAUUGCCAUAUUCCCCUUAACUUAGUCAGUAGAGACCUCUUUAGGGCUUAGAGGGGUGCUACCUCCUAGAGGUACCUUCCCAAUAAGUAACCUGAUCCCCGGACCAAGACUUGGGUUUUCAAAGACACGCUUUUCCAAAAAUUAUGGAGUCAUUUUUUUUAGGGUUUUAUUUCUUGUUUUAUUUUCCCUUCAAAAAUAAAAAAUAAAAUAAGUGGCGACUCCAACUUUUUUUAAAAUUAAUUUUUCACAAAUAAAAAGCGAGUCUCGCCGAUCGAGUGGGGACGCACGUGAAAAAUGCUGGUCCACAAUGGGUUGAAGAAAAUGCGCCGCACCAUUGGGCCAUGUCAAAAUUCCCAAAACAAAGAUGGGAUAAAAUGACUACGAACCUUGCCGAGUCAUUUAAUGCUUGGUUACGGAUUGAAAGACAUCACUCUAUUUGUAACUUUUUAUUGGAGCACAUGUCCAAGUUAGCUUCUAUGCUUGUGAAGCAUCAAGAAGAGUCCAAGAAUUGGAAAGGGUGUAUAGGGCCAAAAAUUGAAGCUAAGGUGCAGGAAAAUAUUGCAAAGGGUGCGGUGUAUCCAGUCACACCGUUCAAGAAUGGAGUAUUUUGGGUAUGUAUCGGGAGAGCCUUGUUGAAUGUAGACAUUUUGAACCGUACAUGCACUUGUAGGGGUUGGCAAAUGUUGGGAAUCCCUUGUGAGCAUGCCACGGCCGUCAUUAUUUCCAUUGGUCAAAAUGUUACUGAUUUCGUCGAUGAUUGCUACAAAUACCCAAUGCAAGAGUUGAUAUAUGGGGGCUCUUUCUCCGGCAUAGAGACCCAUGACAUGCCUACUGUGGACAAUGAUGGUUUGGUUCGAUCUAUCACCGAGGAAGUGUUCUUCUCUCUAAAGCCUCCACAUACAAAGCGCGCUCCCGGAAGGCCAAGGAAGAAGCGCAUUGAGUCUCAAUUUCAAUAUAAACGGAAUAUUUAUUGCUCUCGUUGUCAUAUGUCCGGCCACAACAGAAAAACCUGAAAAAAUCCUUUGCCCUAAAUGCAUAUCUGUCUACUUAUUGCAUUAUGCUGAUCUUGUAUUACUCUAUUUCAACUAACUGGUUGUCACCCAAUCAUCGUUACUAUUUGAGUGUUUUGUGCCUUUCCAUUCACCUGCAAUGUUCAUUGAGUUACAUUAUAUUUCUCUGCUGAUUCAGUUCUUUCACAAAGUCCGAACUAUGUUUGCACCACAUCUUGUUUUAAUGGUAUUUACUCAAAUCCCAUGUAUUUGCUAAGAUUACAUUGCUUAAGCCAUUUUAACCAUACUACAGUUUGUGUUCCCAUGUAUCAUUUGGUGGCAUCAUUUAAUUAUCCGAAAAUAAAUACUUUGAAUGAGUGGCAUCAUUUGUGUUCCCAUGCACUCUAACAAAAUUUAUUUUUCACCACACUUCUUCAUGGCUUGUGCAAUACCAGCCACAACUGUACGCUAACAGUUCUUACUUUGCAGGUUUAAUUAAUUGCGCUUCCAUUAUAUCCAUCUGAACGAGAAGGUCAUCUUAUUCUAGGCAUGGCAAUGGAAAGGAGGAAAAUGAAGGAACAUGUCCUUGCAACAUGUGCACAUGUCGGCAACACGGAUUUCAUUCAACAAUGCAUUCAAUCUUCAAUUUCACCUUUAAUGCAUAUUUCCAUAUAUUCUAUUUUCCUAUCACUGACCAAUAUUUAAUUUUAACUGUAGGAAAAGCUCCCAAAGUCCCGAUGUUCUGGAAGGAAAUUCAUCACUGUGAUUGCGCGCUUACCACCAGAAAAACACCAAGCCAUCAUAGAUAUGGGAUUUGGGGGCCUGCUAACAUUUGCCUAUCGAGAGAUGAGAUAUGAGCUGUGCGGGUGGCUCAUAUCUCAAUAUGACUUUACCUACCACAGGCUUAAAAUGGCAACUGGCAGUGCUGUCAAUGUUAAUGAACAACAUGUCAGCCAAGUCAUGGGCAUCCCUAACACCGGGGAAGACUUGGUUAUUGUUAAAAGAACAGGCCCCUCCAACCGCACAUACACUCUCAGGGUUUUGGAGCAAAACCUUGACAAUCUGCCCGUUGGUGAUGAUUUUUUAAAAACAUUUUUAAUUUUUUCUUGUGCCACUCUGUUGGCACCUAAUUCCAAACUUGAAGGAAGCCAUGACCUAUAGGACACCAAAUGGGAUUCUGAUCUUGGUGUCCAAAGGAAUUGGGCUAAGUUUCUGUUGCAACACUUAGAGGACGGCAUUAGGGAAUAUCGGCAAAAGCAACCUACUUACAUCCGAGGCUGCCUCAUGUUCCUCCAGGUACAAUCAAGGGUCCACAGUAUUCUGCAAUUAGGUUCAACUUUGUUUACAUUUUAUUUUAAAACUCAUCGUUACUGCAAUUCCAUAAUUUAAUGCUUAUUGUUUCGUAUACUACCCUUGUACAGCUCUUUUAUAUGGCAUUCUUCUAUAUGCCAUCAGUUAUUGUUGAGGUGACCCGGCCGCUUGCUGCCGCAUGGAGUGACGAUGUCAUAAAGCGCCGCUUAGCGGCUGAAAUAUCAACUUUCAGUGGAUAUGGGCAUGUGGAUCUAUGCUAUAAAUGAACAUAGCUUUUCGUAUUAGUUAAAUGACCAUAGUAGCUUAUUCAAGUCAGUCCCAAUUUGUUGCUUCUCUAAUUCAACUGAUGGUGCAUUGUGCAGGCACAGGAGCAGCCACAAAGCACACCUCACAUAUUGCUACCAUCAGUAGCCUCGACCUCCACAGCCGGUGACGAUGCUACAGAGGUAUUGCAUAGCCACUAACCACUCAUACAUGUUGUUCCAUACAGACUCCAUACAAUACUAUGCUUAUAAUAUUUGUUGUUCCACUUUAUAAUAGGUUAUCAAAGCCCACAUCAAUGAGACAUCAGAGACUAUGCUUAGAUUAGCUUUGUCUUUGGUGCGGGAUGUGGGUGCAUUACGUUGCCGGCCCAGUGGAUCAGAGGGGAAUUCUUUCGUUCCUUGCCCAUCAAUAGAGCACCACACUAAAGAUCAACCAAUGCGGCCAAUACCAUUGAGGCAGCCAUCAACUGAGGAAAUUGAACCAGAAGACAACCUCGUACCAACCCCCCAUUCGCUAGUUGGAAUGGGACCAUCACCAGCUCCCACUUAUUCCGAGCCACUGGUCCCACAGUCUUAGGCAGAGGCAUCCCUUCCAGCUGAAGUGACAGUAGAGGAUGCAGAAGAUGGUGAAGGCGCAGGUGGGAGUGGCAUCCAAGCCCCUAAACCUUCAUCGAUGAAGAGAUAUAAGCAGACCGCUAAGUGGAUUGUCAAGCAUCCUCCCGCUUGCAAAAGUUCAUUUGUCGCCCAAUGUGUUAAACAAUUCCCAAAAAUACCUCAUGCAGAUCGGGUAGUAGCAGAUUAUGCUUUGGCUGAAAUGGGUGAUCCUAGGUACACUUAAGAUUUCUAAAACUCAUUCUUAUAAUCAUUUUAUAGGUUAAUAACUCUACAUCAUAAUGACAAAUUUACUUUCAUGUCAUUGUAGUGAGAUUUUGUGCGACAUGUAUGGGAUGUACAUUAGACGGGAGGAACUUUCUUGUCUAAAUGCAGGGCGGUGGGUUAAUUCAAUGGUAGGUUACUUAUCCUUAUGCCUUACUAAAUUCACAAUUAAUAAGUCAUAUGAAUCGAUAAAGUGUUGAUGGAGGUUGUAAAAUAUGUUAUUUUACACAACUUUGGCAGAUUGUUGCGAUUGUCUCUCGCAUAAUGAAUGGACAGCAAGCACCACCACCUCGCGCACACUUUUUUGAGCCUUCAUUCUCGGUGAGCCCUCUAAUAUCCUAAAUUCACUUGGUUUGAAACUAGAAGAGUAGAUGUUGAUGUUUGUAUUGAUUCACCUCACCCUUGAACAGGUUGUUCUGAGCAACCUCAAAUCUAAUGCAACCACGCAAGUCAUCUUGGAAAGAUGCGCUAUGUAUCUGGAUCCUGACACAUUGGGCCAUGAUCUUCUUAGUUCAUGUGACAUGGUAAAUGAACAUAGCUAAAGUUCAAUUCCAUAGUAAUAAAUGCAAGGGUAUUGGGAAUGACUAUAAAGUAAUGACAUAAAAGCUAAUAACUCUUGAAUUGUUAUGGAGAUGUUCAUCCCGGUUUGCGAGAAUAAUCACUGGCACGAGCAUGUUGUUAAUUUUGUAGCUGGAAGAGUUGAGAUACUUUCGUCAUUGCCCCUAAGGCGGGGCAACAACAUCAGUGCUACAACACGACGAUUAUCAAUGGCACUCCACAAAGCACUGCAUGCAUAUAGAAUCCAUAUGCAUGCGGAUGUCUCAAGUUUUGUGCAUGUCCAACCACACCUUCUCCAACAGCUGAAUGGGUAAAGUAUUCAGAUAUUCCAACGAAAACAAACAUUUCUAAAUAGUUUGAUUUAUCAGAUUUCUAUCAUCUAACACAUUUCUGAUGUGUUAUAGGUCCGAUUGUGGUGUCCUCGUUCUAAAGUUCAUGGAAUUUUGGAAUGGGACGACCUUAACUACUUCAGUGGUAGAGGUUAGAGUUAGUUUACACUGUCAAACUUGGACUGUUUUUCUUUGUUUUUUUCCCAACCGCAUGGAAUAAUUUUUUCCCAUUUCCGUAGGACAAGACGAACAUGUACAGACUCCAGCUAGUGCUGCAACUAGUGCUCAAUGAACGCAACAGUGUCAGAGAUACAAUUAUGGCCGCAUGUCAUUUGUAACUUCAUAGUUCAUGAUAAGUUUCUUCCUAUCUGCUGCUACGUACCAAAAUGACCAAGGGUUGAUUGUAGUUUGUCCAAAAUUUAUUAAUUCAUAUCAUGUUGUGUGCUGAUGUGAUUUGUUCCAAUUGUAAAACCAUUAUUUAUGUUCUAUAUGUGAUGUAUCUAAUGAAGUAUUCCACAUCCCAUUGUAACAGUGGCAGUUGGGUUAUGCUGAAUAUGAGGCCUUUAUGUACAAGAAUGGCCAACGUGUAAGGGAAAGGAAGAGUACCUGGUAAUGCUGCUGCUGGAGCAUAUGGGAUGCAGUAACAGCAAUGUAAUAGGGCUGUUCAUUUUUCCUUCAAUAUUGUAAAGGAAGGGAGUAGGAACAUGGACAACACUCAAUAUUUGUUCUUUUAUUAUAGUUAAGGGUGUUGGUCAGUGUUGUAUUGGCGACUGAUUGGACAACAACUGUGAUUGUAAGAUGUGAUCCAAAGUGAUAGGUUUAUUGUGGGAUAUGGUACUAAUUUCAUAAGAGAACAACAAACAUAGACUGGAACCUAUUUGUUUGUACACUGAUGCAGUUUUAGUUUAUCCUUCUAUACUCACAUUAGUAAAUUGUUUGACGACUUUCCUUUCAUAUUUAGUUAUUGUGUAAGCUUUUACAUAGCAUCUUCUGUUAAUGUUAUUGGUAAGUUGGGAGGUUUGUUUGGUUUGAUUUACUACAUUAAGGUAGUACCUGAAGACCAUUAAGAUAGUACCUUAUGUGCAUUAAGGUAGUACCUGAAAUUUCUUAUGAUUACAUAAGGUACCGUUGGAGUAACCUAUGAGAACAUAACAAUCUGGUUUAGGCUAGCGAACCCGAAUGGAAACGACACCUCUGAUAUAUUGGCUUCAUGAAGAAGAAAUCUGUCUUCGUCUCAUUGGAUUGCAGUUUUUCCUAACCUCCAUAUAAAAUGUGAAGGUAAUUAAUUUGUAUUUAGGGUUGUUGUGUUAAUAAUUUUUAUUUAUUUUUGUUUAAAAUGGAGUAGAGUAGUGAUUUUCGAGUGGUUGUUGUAUUAAGAACUUUUUUGUGCAUCGAUGAGGCCAUAGCUUGAGGUGCAUGUGGAUUUUGGAGCGCAUGAUCGAAAAUUCGAUCUAGGUUUUUUUGUGGUUUGGAGACUAAUGAAAUGAAAAAAUGAAAGUGAGAAUUUAUUUUUUAUUGUGAAAAGAAUGUUCUGGAGAUAUAUAGAAAUUCGGUGGAAAACUUGUGUAUUUUUUGAGAUUUUUAGAGUGAUGGUAAUUAUUGAUGGCUAUAAUUAGGCAAGAUCAACUUUUGGCAAAAAAAACUUGAUAAUUGAAUCAUAUUUGUUGAGAAUAAAAUAAUAAUAAUGAUAAUAAGAAUUAAAAUGCAUAAAUUAUGUGAUGGUUAGUAGAAAUUGUUGGUAGAAUUUGUGAAUUUGUAAUGUUUGUUGGAUUUUGAGUGUACAUCUUUCGUCAAUGAAGACAUAAUUCUUUCAUUGCAUUAUAAAUUGGAGCAUGACAUUGUUAUGUUCUUAUUGCUUACUCAUUCGAUAGCUUAUGUAAUCAUCAGAAAUUUAAGGUACUACCUUAAUGCACCUCAGGUACUACAUUAAUGACCCUGAGGUACUACCUUAAUGUACCUCAGGUACUACCUUAAUGCAUAUUGGAGAAAUGUUGCUCUUCUGUGACUUAAGCCACAAUUAGUUCAUUGCAUUACAGAGUGCAACAUGACAUUGUUCUGUUUUUAUCAGUUACUCCAUCGGUAGCUUAUGUAAUCAUCAUAAAUUUAAGGUACUACCUUAAUGAUCAUGAGGUACUACCUUAAUGUACCUCAAGUACGAACUUAAGGCACCUUGGAGAAAUGUUGCUCUUCUAUGACUUAAGUUAGAAUUAGUUCAUUGCAUUACAUAUUGCAGCGUGGCAUUGUUAUGUUCUUAUUGCUUACUCAUUCGGUAGCUUAUGUAAUCAUCAUAAAUUUAAGGUACUACCUUAAUGCACCUCAAGUACUACCUUAAUGACCCUGAGGUACUACCUUAAUGUACAUCAGGUACUACCUUAAGGCAGCUUGGAGACAUGUUGUUCUUCUAUGACUUCAGUCAGAAUUAGUUCAUUGCAUUACAUAUUAUAGCAUGACAAUGUUGUGUUCUUAUUGCUUACUCAUUCGAUAGCUUAUGUAAUCAUCAGAAAUUUGAGAUACUACCUUAAUGCAUAUGAGGUACUACCUUAAUGACCUGAGGUACUACAUUAAUGUACCUCAGGUACUACCUUAAGGCACCUUAGAGAAAUGUUGCUCUUCUAUGAUUUAAGUCAGAAUUAGUUCAUUGCAUUACAUAUUACAACAUGCCAUUAUUAUAUUCUUAUUGCUCACUCAUUCGGUAGCUUAUGUAAUCAUAAAAAAUUUAAGGUACUACCUUAAUGCACAUGAGGUACUACCUUAAUGCACAUGAGGUACUACCUUAAGGUACCUCAAGUACUACCUUAAGGCACCUUGGAGAAAUGUUGCUCUUCUAUGACUUAAGCUACAAUUAGUUCAUUGCAUUACAUAUUACAGCAUGCCAUUGUUAUGUUCUUCUUGCUUACUCAUUCGAUAGCUUAUGUAAUCAUCAGAAAUUUAAGGUACUACCUUAAUGCACAUGAGGUACUACCUUAAGACCCUGAGGUACUAGCUUAAUGUACCUCAUGUACUACCUAAAUGGACAUUCGAGAAAUGUUGUUCUUUUGUCAAUAUUUUUCAUGAGACGAUUUUAUCAGAUUUUUAUUAACUAAAAGAAAAAAAACUCGUGAUAUGUAACAAAGAAUUAUCUCAGCACAUGACAAUCUAAAAAAAUCACCAGUGCCAAUAGUCUUUAAUGAUUCAUUACGAAUACCAUCCAAUGUCUUCACCAUCACCCAUGACACCUGAAUUUGUCACCAUGGUUUGUAACAUUCUACUUCAACAAAGGAUCAUUAUUUUUUAACUAUAUUUGUAGAGGACACUGGGAUGGAACAGGGAAAAAAUUGAAAGGAUAUGUAACAAAUGCCUUAUCUCUAUUAGGAUUUCCUAUAUAAAACAAAACACAAACAUAGUCCUUGAAAUUUGUACAUCAGCAAAACGUUUCUAAUAUAGUCAACAAACCAAAGAAACCUCCAACCUACCUAUAACAUUGACAGAAGAUGCCCAAGAAUAAUGAACAACUCCUUUCCUACUCCCUUUCCUAUACAAUAUUUCACAUUAAUGAACAACCCUAUUAUAGUGAUGAAUCUCCUCAUUUGAAGAGGAUUGAAUAAUUGAUUUAUCCGUGUCCUAAUUUUGAUCAUAUGGUAAACCAAGUUUGCUUCAUACAAUCUGAAGAAAGAGGAUAACCUUACGCGUAAGCUAUAGCAACAGCAUCACCAUGCAGUCUUUCUUUCUCUUACGCGUUGCCUAUUGUUGUACAUAAAGUUCUGACAUUCAGCAUCACCAUACUGUCAUUGUUACAAUGGGAUGUUGUAUACUUAAUAAGAUACAAUAAAUAUAGAACAUAAAUAAUGGUUUUAGAAUGGGAACAAAAUCACAUCAUCACAUAACAAGAUAUGAAUUCAGUCAUCUGUGGACAAACUACAAUCAAGUAUUGCUUUAUAUGGUAAGUAGCAUCAGAUAGGAAAAAACUUAUCAUCAACCAUGAAGUCACAAAUGACAGGAGGCCAUAAUUUUAUCUCUAACAGUGUUGCAUUCAUUGAGCACUAGUUCCACAACUAGCUGGAGUCUGUACAUGUUCAGCUUGUCCUACAGAAAUGGGAAAAACUUAUUUCAUACUGUUUUUUUUUUUAAAAAAAAAAACAAAACCAAUUAGGAUGUAAACCAGCUCUAACCUCUGCCACUAAAGUAGUUAAGGUCUCCCCAUUCCAAAAUUCCAUGAACUUUAGUGCAAGGAUACCACAAUCGAACCUAUAACACAUCACAUUUAGGCUUGUCAUGUAGAUGAUAGAAAUCUAAGAAAAAAAAAUUCACCUCAAAUGUCCGUUUUGGUUAGAAUAUAUGAAUAUUUUACCCAUUUAGCUAUUGCACAAGGUGUGGUUGGACAUGCACAAAAGUUGAGACAUCCACGUCCAUAUGAAUUCUAUAUGCAUGCAGUGCUUUAUUGAUUGUCAUAGAUAAUCGCCUUGUUGCAGCACUAAUACUGUUUCCUCGCCUCAAGGGCAAAGAUGAAAGAAUUUCAACUCUUCCAGCUGAUUAACAACAUGCACGUGCUAGUGAUUGUACUCACAAAUCGGGAUGAACAUCUACAUUAUCAUAAAAGAGUUAUUACCUUUUAUGUUAUAAGAUAAUAGUCAUGUCCAAUGCCAUUGCAUAUAUUACUAUGGAAAUGAAAUUUAACAAUCGUUAUUUACCAUGUCACAUGUCCCCAAAUCAUGGCCCAAUAUACCAGCAUCCAGAUACAUGCGACAUCUAUCCAUGAUCACCUGGCUAGUUGCAUUUGUUUUCAAGUUGGUCCGAAUCACCUGUUCACGGGUGGGGUUAAUCAAUACAAACAUCAACAAAUGCUAUUCUAUUUUUAGACUAUGUCAAUUUAGGAUAUUAGAGGGUUCACCGAGAACGAAGGAUCAAAAUAGUGUGUGCGCGCUGGUGGUGCUUGUUGUCCAUUCAUCAUGCGAGAGACAAUCGCCACAAUCUGACAAAGUUGUGGAAAUGAACAUAUUUUACAACCCCAUCAACACUUUAUACAUUAUAUGACCUAUUAAUUUUGAAUUUAAUUCAACAUAAAGAUAAGUAACUUACUACUGAAUUAACCCACCGCCCUGCAUUUAGACAAGAAAUUUCUUCUCGGGUAAUGUACAUCCCAUACAUCUCGCAUAAAAUCUCGCUACAAUGAUUGAAAAUGAAUUAUGUCAUAAUGAUGUAAAGUUAUUCACAUAUUAAAUGAUUGUAAGAAUUAUUUUUAGAAAAAUGAAAUGUACCUAGGAUCACCAAUUUCUGCCAAAGCGUAAUCCGAUACUACCCGAUGAGCAUGGGGGAUUUUAGGGAAUUGUUUAACACAUUGGGUGACAAAUGGACUUUUGCAAGUGAGAGGACGCUUCACAAUCCUCUUACCAGUCUGCUUAAAUCUCUUGAUAGAUGAAGGUUUAAUGGCUUGAUUACCACUCCCACCUACCCUAUCACAUUCUCGCGCUUCUUCUAUUGUCACUUGUGGUGGAAGCAAUGCCUCUGCAUGAGACUGUGGGGCCAUUGGCUCGAAAUGAGUGGCUUUUGGUGACGGUUCCAUUCCAAUUGGAGAAUGGGGGGUUGGUGCGAGGCUAUCUUGUGGUUCCAUUUCGUCAGUUGACGUCUGCUUGCCAGGUGUUUCGCGUAUUGGUUGAUAUUCAGCGUGGUGCUCUGCUUUUGGGCAAAGGAUUGAAGAUAUCCCCUCUGAUCCACUUCGGCGGGAACAUAGUGCAGCAACAUCCCGCGCUAGAGAGGAAGCUAAUCGUAGCAUACUCUCCAAUGUGUCAAUGACACGGGCUUCAAUAACCUAUUACAUAGUGGAAAAUAGAAUAGUUUUAGAAUAGUAUUGUAUGCAUUGUAUAGAAGAACUUGUAUGAGUGGUUAGUGAAGAAGAACUACCUCUGUAGCAUCGUCAUCAGCUGUAGAGGUUGAGGCUAUUGAUGGUACAUUCAUAUUGGCUGUGCUUUGUGCUCGCUCUUAUGCCUGUGUCUUGCAUCAUUAUUUCAAUGAGACAAUCAACAAAUUGGUUAUUACUGGUGCGAGGCUAAAUGGUAAUUUAACUAGUAGGGAAAGCUUUGUUGAGUUAGAGCAUACAUGCACAUAUCCAUAACCACCGAAUGUUGAUAUUUCAGCUGCUAAUUGGUGUUUCAUUACAUCGUUAGUCCAUGCAGCAGCUAGCGGGCUGGUCACUUCAACAUUGACUGAUGGCAUGUAGAAGUAUGCCAUGUAGAACAGCUGUCCAAGGGUAGUAUAUGAAACAAGGAGCAUUAAAAAAGCAAAUUGCAGUAAGCAUGACAUUCAAAUUAAAAUGUAAACUAAGUUCAUACUAAUUGCAAAAGGUGUUGGAGCCUAAACUGUACCUGGAGGAACAUGAGGCAGCCUUGGAUGUAAGUAGGCUGCUUUUGUCGAUAUUCCUUGAUUCCAUCUUCUAAGUGUUUCAGCAGAAACUUUGCCCAAUUCCUUUGGACACCAACAUCACCAUCCCAUAUGGUGUCCCAAAGGUCAUGGCUUCCUUCAAGCUUUGAGUUAGGUGCUAGUAGAGUGGCACAUGAAAAAAUUAAAAAUGAUUUUAAAAAAUCAUCACACACGGGCAAAUUCUCAAGGUUUUGCUCCAGUACCCUGAGAGUGUAUGUGCGAUUGGACGAGGUUGUUCUCUUAAGGAUAACCACAUCUAGCCCGGAGUUAGGGAUGCCCAUCACUCUGUUGACAUGUUCUUCGUUGACAGUGAUAGCAUUGUCAGUUUCCAUAUUAAGUCUAUGGUAGGUAAAGUCAUAUUGAGAUAUGAGCCACCCGCAUAGCUCAUAUCUUAGUUUGCGACAACCAAAAGUCAGUAGGCCCCCAAAGCCCAUCUCUCUAAUGGCUUGCUGUUUUUCAGGGGCUAGGCGUGCAAUGGCAUUUAUGAAUUUCUUCCCAGAACAUUGGGACUUAGGAAGCUUAACCUACAGUUAAAAUGAAAUAUGGGUUAGUGACAAAAAAAUCCAAUAUAUGCAAAUUUCCAAUUAAGCUGAAUUUGAAGAUUGGAGCCAUUGUUCAAUGAAAUCUGUUUAGCCGACCUGUGUGCAUGUUGGUGGAACAUGCUCCUUCCUUUUUCUCUUUUCUGUUGCCAUGUGUAUAAUCAGUAUGUUUGGAUGGCGAUACUGAAUCGACGAGUUUCGAAACCUACAAAGUAAUCAAUGGCCUUAUGAACAUUGAAGCCUAUGGAUAUGAAAGUUGUACAAAGGAGUAAAAAUGAGACACGUAUGACUUCAAAUAGAUUAUUGUGAUAUAUAUUAAUGUCAUUGGUUUAGCACAAGAUCAACAGCUCUAAAACAUGAAGAAGAAAACUAUGAACAGUGAUGGAAAAAAAUGUUUCCCAAAUUUUCAACACGCUCCUAUACAAUUAGUUUCAAGUCAGUAUGCACUAAUGAACAAAUCAGAAUUGUCAAAACUAUGAGAAGACUAACAAACAAGUGAAGAUAAGUUGUGGUGGCAAGAGAAAGGGGAAAUGAGGGAAAAACUAAGAAUAACAAAAUACAUUGAUUCAAUGGUAUACAAUUCAUGUUAUUGCGUAGGCGUACUAUAUUGUACAACAAAGCAGUAGUCUUUAUACAUGGAAACAUAUACUGCAGUUUGGUUAAAUUGGUUUAAGCAAUGUAAUGGGAGGCAAUACAUGUGGUUGGAGUAAAUACCAAUAAAACAAGAUGUGGUGCAACCAUAGUUCAGACAUUGUGAAAGAAAUUAAUAAUCAAAGCAAUAUAACUUAACUCAAUGAACAUAGCAAGUGAAGGCAAAGGUACAAAAUAUUGAAAUAGUAACGUUGAUUUGGUGACAACCAAUUCACUAAAGAUACUUGAAAUAGAGUAAGACAAGAUCUACAUAAUGCAAUAAGGUGACAAAUAUGCAUUUAGGGUAAAGGAUUCCUGCAGCUUUUUCUGUUGUGGCCAAACAUAUGACAACGAGAGCAAUAGACAAUGCGUUUAUCUUGAAAUUGGGACUUAAUGCGCUUCUUCCUCGGCCUUUCGGGAGCGUGCUUUGUAUGUGGAGGAUUUAGAGAGAAGAAAACCUCUCCAGUGAUAGAUCGAACCAAACCAUCAUCAUCCACACUAGGCACAUCAUGGGUCUCUAUGCCGGAGAAAGAGCCCCCCGUAUAUCAAUUCUUGCAUUGGGUAUUUGACUAGAUAAUUUUCACUGCUGAAAACCCAUAUCAUUUUUUCUAAGGCCUAAUAGUUAAAGUAAUUUUAUAUAAAUAUAUGAAAAUCAAACUGAUAAAAUUAUCAAAUCUACAUCAUUUUGUGCUAAAUGGGAGUAGUCACAGACAAACAAAACAAACAAUAUAUAGAUCAAAAUGCAUUUCAUCCAUUCUACUUACAUUCCCUAGUUCCAAAUAUAUUAUCAAGGAAAUUAAACCACUGCAUGGAUACCAAUAGUUCCUAUAUAGCAUUUCCUAUUUCCAUCUUCUAAAAGAGAUCUCUAAAUCAAUAUCAAUUACUAAUCAACAAGAAGAGUAACAUAUACUAACCAAAAAUAUUUGAAGAAAUGGGCCGUGAAUUUAACCUAUACAUAUCAAACAAAUACAAAAAAAAAAAAAACAACAACGAAAACGUUAGCACCCACCAACCAUGAAUAUCCCAAAAACCCAAAAACCUGAGUAAUUUCGAAUCUAUAAAUCACCAUUUCAGAAGCACUUAUUUCGCUCUCAGAAGAAAUACAUCAUCCCCAAAAAGUGUUCUCUUUUGGUAAUCCACUGCAUAACCCAAUCCAAAAACACAAUCCAAUAAAUGGGUUUCACUAAAAAUGCAUUGUUUCCCAAUACCCAAAAACAGUUUGGGAAAAAAAAUUCCUUUUUUGGCAAACCAAUUCAAAAUAUGUUUUUCCCAAUUCUAAACCACAACAAAAACAAAUGGGUUUUUUAGAAAAACAAUUCCCAACCCAUAUUCUUGCCUUCAUUUUAUAUCAAAACAACAGAUUUUCGAGAAUUUGCCAAUCCAAAUAAAACAGUAAAAACUCAGAAAACGCAUGGAAUUGAAAAAAAAUGAUGGUGAUUUAUUACGAACAGAUUUAAAAAUUUAGUACCAACUCCUAAAUGCCAACAUUUGAGCCACACCUAGUUCAUAAAAAACCCACACAAACAACAUAUUUACGUGAAUGUAAAUGCGAAUGCAAAAUAAGGAAGGAAUGGGUUACCUCGAGACAGAAAAUCUGAUAUGAAACAAAUGGGAUUAAGCCCUUCUCAACUGAAAUGACAUAACUUUUUUAACACUCUACAUGGUUCUCUGCUUCGGCUCGGUGACAAAGUGAAAACAAAUGAGAGGAACGGGUAAGGAAUGAGAGAGAGGGAAGAAAGAACCGUCGACUACACCGUUUUUCUGGGAAGCUCAAAUCGCCGCGAUGACGAAGUGAAGACAGAUGAGAGGAAUGGGUAUGGAAUGAGAGAAAAGGAAGAAAGAACCGUCGGCAAGGGUCUUGAAGCGUCGGCUACAUCGUUUUUCUGGGAAGCUCAAAUCACCUUGGUGACGAAGUGAAGACAACUGAGAGUAAUAGGUAUCAAAUGAGAAAGAGGGAAGAAAGAACCGUCGGCUAGGGUGUUUUUGUGGGAAGCUCAACAUUUGAUUUUAGAGUUUUCAACCAGUUCAGUUUCAGCCCGUGCUGACGUGCCCUUCAGUUGUUGCUGACCUGGAUACUAAGAGGGGCAAUCUUGGUAGAAAAAAGACAACCGGCUCAGAGUGCAUGAAACUCAUAUAAGUUUCCACAUUGAAAGAUAUUUUUCAUAUUUCAUAAACCUGGGUUCCAAAAACCAUAUAUUUAACAAAUUGGUCCAUGAAAACACAACUUUCCCUUCUUUCUUUCUCCAGAAUUCCAAAAUUUUAAGUUUUUCUAUAUUUUUUUAUUAGUCUAGAAUUUUUUUUUAUAUCAAAUCUCAAUUUAAUGUAUUCACUUUAAAAAAAAAAAAAAUUAAAAAUGUCAGUUGAGAUAUUCUUAUAUUUUUAUCAUUUGUACAAAAAUAAUUUAAUUUUAAAAUUAAUAUCAUAUUUAAAUCCAAAAAUAUUAUCAGAUAGAAAGCAAUUUAGCGUUUUUAUAUAUAUAUAUAUAUAUAUAUAUAUAUAUAUAUAUAUAUAUAUAUAUAUAUAAUAUUUGCAUUCAAAAAAAAAAUCAACACAUUUAUUUAUUUUUAAAAACUUAUUAAAUUUUAAUUUUACUAGUAAAUAAUAGAAAUUAAAAUAAUGAACUUGUGCCACAAGUUUGUGAGUGAAGUAAACUUUGGUUAUGGAGCAUCCAAUGCUCUGGUUGCUUCCACGAGAGGUCAUUCUGUCGUCCCUGGUCAACUAAGUACACUGGUCCACUCCAUGAAAUAUAUUUAUGUUAUUUUUUAUUUUAAAUUUUUGUUAGGAGAACUCUUCACUAUGAGAAAAAAACACACUCUCAAAUGUGGGAGAUAUGUCAUAAAAAAAAUAAUAAUAAAUAAUAAAAAAUACAGGGUGAUCUCACCUCUUGCAUAUCUCCUCCAUCGUAAAACCAGAAUCAUUGAAUAUGGUUCUAGUUUACUAUGGUUCUAGCUUUAUGGCUUGAUUAAAAUUUUACAAUUUUUUGUUUAUAUUAAAAUAAAAUAGAUAUAUAUUUUUUCAUAAAAAAAUCAUAUUAAAUAUUUUAUAUUAAUUUUAUUUUAAUUUUAAAAAUAGAGGUGAAUAGUGGCAUCAAUAGGAAUAUCAAUCAUGGAAGCCAAAGUAGCUAAGGCAUCAGCAAACUGGUUCUAUGCUCUAGGCAUAUGUGUGUAUCUCAAAUCAUCAAAUCUCCCAACUAGUAGCUCCAAAUAUGCGUGGUAAGGCCUAAGCUUCACAUCCCUAAUCUUCUCCUUGCCUUAAAUCUAUCUCAAUACCAUAUUGGAGUCACCAAACACCUCCAUCUAUCUAAUCCAGAGCUCGAGAGCCGUCUCUAAUCCCAAGAUACAAGCCUCAUACUCAACAAUGUUGUUCGUGGUAAGAUGUCGAUCUAAGAAUGCCAAACGAACAGAUCUGGGAAUGUGAUCACCAUGAGGGGAUAUUAACAAGACACCUAUCUCGUAUCCAGAAUGGUUGGCUGCACCAUCAAAGUACAUGCGCCAGCCUGAUAAACUGGUCACAGCAGCGACAUCCUCGUCUGGGAAGUCGUCAUCAAUGGCUCUGCCAUCGGAAACUGGUAAAGAAACUAGGUGAUCCACGACAAUGCUCCCUCUAAUGGACUUUUGAGUGACAUAAUGGAUGUCAAACUUAGUCAGAAGUACCAACCAUCUCAUGAGGCGACCGACCAAAGAGGGCUUGUUAAACAAAUAUCUCAGAGGAUCUAGACGGGAUAUCAAAUGCACUAAAUACUCGAUCAUAUAAUGUCUCAAUCGGCAAGUGGCCCAAACCAAUGCCAAUCAGUAACGCUCAAUCACGACAUAUCUCGUCUCGUAGUCUAGCAUCGUCUUACUCAGAUAAUAAAUGGCUCGCUCCUUGCCUGAAUCAUCGAACUGAGCCAACAUACAUCCCAAGGCUACGUCUGAGACGAAUAGGUAUAGGAGUAAAGGACGGCCUGGUGUAGGAGGUGCCAAGGUUGGAGGUGACAACAAGUACUCUCGAAUCCUCUCAAAUGCACGCUGACACUGAUCAUCCCAAAUAGUAGGUUGACUCUUCCUCAAGAGUUGGAAAAUGGGCUCACAGAUGUCUGUCAAUCUAGCGAUGAAUCUACUAAUGUACUGAAGUCUACCCAAGAAGCCUCUGACCUCUCUCUCUAUCCUUGGUGCAAGCAUGUCAAGGAUGGCUCUGAUUUUAUCCGGAUCUACCUCUAUGCCUCUCUCACUGACCAUAUACCCCAAGAGUUUCCUAGAAGUCACUCCGAAAGUGCACUUCUUAGGAUUCAGUCUCAAUCUGAACUGUCGGAUCCUGUCAAAGAACCUCUCAAAAGCUGCUAGGUGAUCCAAUCUGUCUCGGGAUUUCACUAUCAUGUCGUCUACAUAUACCUCGACAUCCCGAUGCAUCAUGUCAUGGAAGAGGGUGGUCGUUGCUCUCUGAUAGGUGGCCCCUACGUUCUUCAAUCCGAAUGGCAUGACUCUAUAGCAAUAAGUACCCCACUCGAUAAUGAAGGACGUCUUCUCCAUGUCCUCUGGACCCAUCAAGAUUUGACUAUACCCGAAAAAUCCGUCCAUAAAAGACAACAUCGAAUGACCUAUCGUAUUGUCAACUAGCAUGUCGAUGUGUGGGAGAGGAAAAUCAUCCUUAGGACUGGCCUUAUUAAGAUCUCGGAAAUCAACACAGACUCUCACCUUGUCGUCAUUUUUGGGAACAUGGAUGACAUUGGCCAACCACUCUAGGUACUCAACCACUGACAAAAAUCCUACACUGAGCUGCUUCCGGAUCUCCUCUUUCACUUGCAAACUCCAACGAGGGUGCAAUCAUCUCAACUUCUGCUUAACCGGUCUAGCAUGGGGCAGAAGUGGCAAACGAUGUUGGACGAUAGAUGGAUCAAGGCCUGCGAAAAGGUCCAAGUAUGCUUUGAGCAACUAGAUGAGGCUAUCCUUCUCAUCUACAGAUAGAUCUGAUCCGAUCCUCAACUCCCUAGGCUGAUCUGCUGUGCCGAAAUCAACAAUCUUUGUGUCCCCUACAGCCGGUGAAACUCUUUUAUCAACGGGAUCCGAAUCGAAAACAGAAAAUGAGUCAUCGUCUGAAUCAUGCUGUGCAAUCUCAUCAUCAAUGUCAAAUAUAUGUGUUGUGGGUGAAGGUGGUGCAGAUAAAUCAAUAUCACAAGAGAUAGGCAAAUACUCAAAAAUGCUCAAAUCCAUAGAUGAAAAGUCAAAAACAUAGUCAUGAUAGGAGACAAAUCUCGAUAAGACAUCGAAUGAAAGAAGUGAGUCCAUAAAGUCAAACACUCCCUCAACAAGGCUAACAGUGCCAUCAAUUAAAUCAACAACAGCUAUAGCAUCCUCAGCGAUCUCGAUGAAAGAUACCCCAAAAAGAUCGAAUGGUGAAGUGAGCUCAGGCUGGACUAUCUCCUCAAUUUGGCUCAAGCUCAACGCAAGCAUCUCAUCGACGUACUUGUCACAUGGCGCAGCUCCGUCCACUAUGUCGCUGAUCUCGGAAAAUGUCCCGUGAUCAUCGAUCUCAUCCAGGAAGCAAAACGUCAUAAGGCUCGUGUGAUCUGGAGAGGAAGGAGUGAUCAACGCAGGAGUCGAAGUACUCAGGGCUCCGUCACUCAAUCGUAACUGCUGGACGAGGUGUUGAAGCUCAACCUCCUGGGUGGUGCUGAGUCCUCCAAUGAUCUCAUCAAAUGGUGCAUGGGGCUCCGAUGCCCUCAUAAAGUAAUCUAUUAGGCUCAUGGUAUAUGGGUGAACAAGAUAAUAAAAGGGUGUAUGAGUUAGUCGAGCCCUCAUCAUCUCCUUGCGCAAUCGCACCAUAUAACGAUAAUCGGCCUUAGUGGGGAUGAACCCGAGUCCGAAUGGUACGUCGUGAUCAAGGAUGGCUAUGAACUCACUAGGCUCGUGCUGACACCGCCCUAACCCCAUGCCGGGAAGAUAAGACAUACUCCGCAUCAUAUCGAGCACCACCGUGCUACUGUGCAAGUCAAAGGACAUGGCUACGAAAUCUCGAUAGAAAUCCUUUAUCUCCACGGUCUGCACCUCAUCAAAUGUGAAUCCGGUCAGAAAAAGUUCGUCAUCAGUGCGACUAAUCUCAAGUACAGGCUCAGCAGAAAUGAACAUAUCUUCCACAGACUGCACCAUGACGACCUAACCAUCAUGAAUAAACAUCACCUUCUGAUGAAGGGAAGAAGGAAUGACCCCAGCUCUGUGGAUCCAUGGUCGGCCCAAAAGCAAGUUAAAGGAUGUAGGAAUCCUCAAAACUUGAAACACGGUGACAAAAGCGGUUGGACCAAUCAGUAGCUCAGUCUCUAGUGUGCCCAUGACCUCCCUCUAAGUACUGUCAUACGCGCGAAUAGUCUGAGUGGAAGGACCGAAAUCAGAUGGUGCAUAGCCGAGGGCAAUGGCGGUGGCCAGAGGACAAACGUUCAGGGCCGAGCCAUUGUCUAGAAGGAUAGAUGGGACUCAGCAACCUGAACAACCAACAGAUAUAUAUAGGGGACGUGUGUGGUCCGAGCCCUCUAGUGGCAAGUCGUCAUCCGAGAAUACAAUGCAUGUGGCUCUGUCGACCGUCAUCAUAUGAAUCAAACCCUCAGGAGUGGUAGUAGUCUCGACUCUGAUUUGGCUAAGGGCUCGAAUCAGAGCAUUACGGUGAGUGCUCGAGGAUGGAAACAGGCUCCAUAUGGAAAUAUGAGCCUGAAUGCUCUGUAGCUACCUCAAAAUCUCGUCGUCCUCUACUCUGACUUUCUCGGGAGCAGAUGUACCCUCAAUUGGCCUAGUUGUUGUGGGAGGUGGCUGUCGCAUCACUCUACCUCCUCGGAGAAUAUACUAAACAUCCAGAGUCUGCGAAUUAUCAACAUGCAGAGCUUAAACCUUUUCAACAUCCAGGAUCAAGAUGAAUGGCGUCUGGACGCUGUAAUAUGGCAAAAUCAAUGGCUCAACAGUGGAAGUCUGUACUGAUGCCGCCUCGAGAACUAACCCGAAUGAAACAAGCAUCCAAGGCCCUAAAGUCACUCUGUCCAUCUCCUAAAUCCAAUCUGACAUGAUAGGCUCUGGCUCAGUGUCAUCCCAGCUUAACAUAUGGAUGUAGUCAUCAUGAUCAGAGAACUCCAGGAAAUGUAUGCCAUCGGCCAGUGGGGAAACCGCAUGUGUAGUGUGGGUAGGUAAUGGGUUUGUGGUUACACUUGGCUAACCCAAGUGCACCAAACCCUGGUCGAUCAAAUCCUAAAUGGCAUGCCUCAAAGCGGUACAGCGAUUAGUCUCGUGUCUAGGCCCUUGAUAGUAUGUACAAUGCAGAUCCAUCCUGAACUGAGGUGGAAUCGGCUGAGGUGGCGGCCUGGGAGUGAGAGUAGUCAAUAACUCGGCCUCUGUAAGCUUCCGAAGAGCCUGGCUCAACGGCAUGCCUAACUGCAAGAAUUGCCUCUAUGUCCUCAAAGCAAAUGGAGCAAACGUCUGCUGAGCUUUAGGUCAGGGAUAAGGCACUAUGGGUCUUGCAGUGAACUGAGUAGCAUAGCAUGGAUGUCAUACGGCUAUGUAGGAAACUGAGGGUCUCUUAAUGCCCUGGGUGGCAUAAUAAGGUAAAGCCAAAGUCUGUGGCAUGUAGGACUGAUCAUAAGUCAGACGAGGCGCCCGUGGUCUAUACUGUUGAGGUGGAUAUGAAGAAUGAGCCUCGAGAAGCUAUGAGACCGACUGAUGACGUCUAGGAGGCCUCUGACUGGAAGAACUAAUGGCACUGACAUCCACUGACCUCUGUUCCCCAAAAGGCUUCUUCCCCUUAACAUCACUAGGGGAAGAAUUUGUCCACAAUCCUUUCGAGAUGCCGUCCUCGACAUUGUAUAAAGCCAAAACCAAUGAACCAAAAUCUGUGAAUGGUACCCCAACCACGUGCCUGGCGAUCCUGGGCUAUAAACUCCUCAAGACCCUCUAUAUAUGAUCUCUCUCUGAAGGUCUAUCAAUGAUCUCGAUAAUCUUUCCAUGCUAACGAGAAAUGAAUGAAGAAACUGACUCGUCUGUCCUCUGCCUCAGAGCCUCGAGCUCUCUACUCGAUACAUCUACGACAAUGUUAAAUGAAAACUAUCGUAAGAACUCCUGGGCCAAGUCGUCCCAUGUCCGACGUCGUGAAGACUCCAGGGAUGCAAACCAGCGUUGGGCUGCCCCACUCAAAGAUAGCGAGAAUAGAGUGAUCAUCUGCGACUCGUCCAGACUAUGAGCCCUCAUCACUGUGCUAUAGAGUCUGAGGUGAAUACGUGGACAACCAAUGCCCGUAUAUCUCUUAAUGUCUAGCAUCCUAAACUUAGCUGGCAAACUGGCUACCGGCAUAUCCUCGAAAUCAUCCCAAACAACUGAUCCAUCUGACACUCUCAUCUGCCUCAUACGCUACUCAAGACGGUCCAUACGUGCAUGAGCGUCAUCAACAACAGUGGUUUGGACAACAGCGGGUGAAGCGAUCUCAGAAUGUCCGUGUAAUAUAUAGGGUGAGGCCUAAGGCACUGAAGGAACAAGUGGUGGUGGCGGAAGUGGAUGCGAGUCAUACGGCGUCUUAUCCUAAACUAUUGGUGGUCUACUCUGCUGACCAUCGAUCUCCUGCCUGAGGCUAGCCAAAGCCUCCUAGAUAGAAGUCAUGACGGUCGUAAACUGAUCCACUGUAACAACCUGCCGAUCCAUACUCGGUCUCUCUGAAUACUGGACUAAUUUCCCCUCUACUCUGACCCAAGAAGGUGUAUCCAGACUAUGAACAAAGAUCUGAUCCUGAGAAGAUGAGAAACGGAAUGAGGAUACGAUAUAGGGAAAGUACGGAAGAAAUGAUAAUCUGAACUGAAAUGAGCAAGGCAUCCAAGACGAAGACGGAUUGUCUGACCAUACUCAAACUCGCACUGAUCUCUAUGCACUCUCAACUAGAGACUAAAGAGAGGGAGUGUCGAAUCCAAAACGUGACCACAGAGGCUCCGAAGGCCCUUAGAUGCACCCAUGUGUAAGGAGGGAGUCCUAAUCGAAGGAUCUACAGCUCAACCUACGAGGUGAAGGUGGCUCUAAAUGGAUAUGGGUGGACUUUAAAAACUCCCUAGCAGAAGCGAUCAUACCCUCCGGCGAUAUGCAACCCUCUGCACGCCUCCGAAGAGAUGGGGCGCUUCCAUGCAAGGUGGUCAUCACCUCCACACAUGCACUACCUCAACAUCCCAGGGGAUUUCCUAUGGUGAAACCUCUCAAAACUCUCAGCACUCGAUGGUCAACUAAAGUGCGCAGUGAUGGCGCGGGUGCAUUCGAAAAUCCUAGGAAGCUAAAACGGAAAAGAAAACACGUUGGCCACACAAAUAUCCAUGAAACCUAGCUCCGGGCUAUACAGGUCUUGAAUGAUCGAACUCCUCCAGAAUGCUCUCGUACAUCGAUAUAGCCCAUUGCUAGACCCUACUCCUAAUCUUUGGCUCGGUCAAAGAACAAGCACACAGAAGGCAUCACACUUGCAAUAGUGAGGACCAGAAUGAAGGGUUUGACCGAGAUGAAGAGAGUUGGAGGUAGGGGGAUAGAAGUGCAACCCACAUAAACAAGCGACAUGCAAUCAAGCAGAAGAAAGACAGUCAUGCGACAUGCAGUCAAGCAGCGGACAAAAUAUAUCACUCAUACACACAUACAAACUAUGAUAAUUAGAUAAAAAGUGAUACAAAUUCAUGCUUAAAAGCGAUCAGGAUAAUAUACAAGCCAGAGAAAACAACACAGCAAGUCAAACGAUGUACAAUAGUGAGUCUAUGCGUGUGAAGUGAGUAGAAUGAUAAUGGAAAAAUCAGAAUCGCUAUACCAAGCAAAACAAGAUAAGCAACCUAUGAUAAUCGGCAUGUCAAUGUACCAAAGUAAUAUAGCAAUGAAGCGCAGAAAAAAACGACAUCCGAAACCCCAAUCAAGAUAAUCGACAUAUUAAUGUCCCAAUACAAUAUCCAAGCAUGCAUAAAAAACUCUCAAUGUGUAAUCAAAAGAUAGGUACUCGCUGAUCGACCCAUCAAAUGCCACAUUUGCUUCAUCCUAAGUUCAAGCUUGACCCUCUAAAUCAUCCCCAGUAGAGUCGCCAUUUUGUGGACCCCAUAUUUCAUGCUCAUGCGUUUUCCACUCGAUGGCGAGCUCGAUUUUAUUUGAAAAUGAUUUUUAUUUAUUAAGAAAAUGAAUUGGAGUCGCCACUUUUUUUUUUCAUUUUUUUUAAAGGGUAAACAAAAUAAGAAAGAAAACCCUAAGUGUGACUCCUUAUUUUGGAAAAUGUGGUAUGUGAAAAACUGGAUCGGGUUCAGGGGUCAGGUUACUUAUCGGGAAGGUACGGUAUAGACCGUAACACCUCUCUAAGUCCCUAAAGUCGGGUCUCUACUAAUAAAAUGAAGCAAUCAUGGCAAUUGAUGAGAGAAUCAAUGAAUACUCAGAGUGAUCAUACACAUGUGAGAAUCUAAACAUGCAUAUAGAAAUACCAGAAAGGGAGUGGAUGCAUACCUAGGCAACGAGCCACCAUGUGCUGAAAAUGCACUAGCUGUCUUCCCCCCCCCCCCCCCUCCAGCCUCCUCUCAAGCUAAACUAUCAACCUCUGAAGCUCCCGGAAUCUCCUCCCCCCGUCUGGCUUGCUGCCCAAGAAAAGGAUCUCUUCCCCUCAAAAUAUCUCACAACCCAGCAUGAAAAGCACCCAUUCUCUGCCAACAAAUUCUCUCUCUCCUCUACUCCUCCAAUGACCUCAACUUUUUCCCGAAUCUUCUUAACACGUGUCAACUUCUUGUUUGCUCCUUGAUUCCACUACUUGACGCCAUAGCAACCAAACGAGAAGCAAUAUGUGGCUACUCACAACUGCGACACCUAGCAAAAAAAAAAGUAAUCUGUAGAAACAACAAAGAGAAAAAAAUGAACCAUGCCUAAAUGGGGGUCUACAAUUUCAUAUUUCAAAACAAAUUUUUGGUCUAUAAAAUAUCAAAAAACAAAUUUCAAAAACUAUUUUUAAAAAUUUAUUUUUCAGAAUUGUUUUAAAAAUAAGUACACCAUAUAUAUAUAUAUAUAUUAUGUAUGUGACUCAUUUGCUCUAAUUUGGACAUGAUCUUCCAUUUUUGUUGGCCUAGGCAUGCAUUUACUGACAUAAGCUAUAUUGGACAAGGGCUUUCACUUCUUUUAUGGGCCUCGGGAUACAUUUGAGGCUUUCACAUAUCCCAUUCUACAUCCUAGAACCCUACAUACAUCAAUUGAAAAAAUAGAUACAUCGUAUUUGAGGCUUUCACUUUUGUAUAACUGACUCAUUUGGCCAAUUUUGAGCUUGACUUUUCACUUUUAUAAGCCUUGAGAUGCAUUUGAGGUCUUUGCAUAUCCCAUUUCGCAUAGAAGAACUUUAGGUAUAUCCUUAAGAAAAAUAAAUAAAUCAUAUUGUAAAAAUAAGUACAUUCCCUUAAAAAAUAAUUGGUACUGUGGACCCUGCAUUUUGCUCGAUGCGUUCCCACUUGAUGGUGAAACUCAUUUUUUUAUUUGUUUGGUGAAAAUUGAUUUUUAGAAAAGACUUGGAGUCGCCACUUAUUUUAAUUUUUUUUUAAAAGGAAAAAAAAAAACCCUAUGUGACUCCUUAUUUGGAAAAGACAUGUCUGCAAAAACAGAAACUGGGUCCGAGGGUCAGGUUACCUAUUAGGAAGGUACGGUGGUGAGUCGUAGCACCCCUCUAAGCCUGUAUACAUACGGUCUCUACUAAUCGAAUUAAGGGAAUUGUGGCAAUUAAUUAAUUAAUUAUGGAUACCAAGAAAAAUAAUCAAGAAAAUAAGCAUGUACAAGUCAUAGUGAAAAUCAAUAUUCACGAAAAUAAUGAUGAAAUCUAAUUACAAAAAUACACAAAAUAAAUGAUAAGAGAAUUAUGCAAAAUGAUUUAUUGAACUAAAAAAAAGAUAUUAAAAAAAAAAAGUUUUCAAGAAAUUUCAAAGGAUUUUAUUAAAAAUGAUUUUUGAAUUAAUGAUUUGAAUUUAUUUAUUUACAAAAAAAAAAAAAGAAUCAAUUUAUUUUCUCAAUUUUAUUUGUAUUCAAUUUUCAAAAAAAAAUUAUUUACACUUAUUGUAUCAAAAGAAUUUAUUACAAAAUUUCAAUUCGGGUACAAAAAUUAUUUUUACUUGCUUUUACUAAAAAAUAAUGAAUUUUUACAAUUUUAUUUAUAAAUGUAUUUCAAUUUGUUUUUAUCUAAGAAAAGUAAUUUGUACAAAUUAUUUUUAAAAAAUAGCUUUAUUUGCAAAAGAAUUUUUAAUUAAAAAGAGGAAAAUAUUCAAUCUCUUAUUUCUAAAAAUUGCUUUUAAACCUAUUUUAAUUAAUGAAAAAGAAUUUAUUUAAAAACACAUUUUUUGGACAAUUUUAUUAAAACAAUUUUUCAAAUUCUAUUAAAAACAAUUCUUUUGGAUUUUUCUAAAUACAUUUUUAUGAAUUUUUAUAAAUAAAAAAAUCUUUUAUUAAACAAAACAUUUUAAAAUUAUUAUUUUAUUAAAACAUGUUUAUUGAAUUCUUUCCCUCAUUUAAACAAAAUUUCUGAUUUGCUCAAUAUUCAAUUCUGUACAUAAUAAGUAAAUAUACACAGAUAAAUGUUUACAGAAAUAAAAACUGAAUAAGAGUAGGAAAUAAAAUAUGUACCAAAACAAGCUUACAACAAGCUCAAUGCUCCAUUUACAACUUUUCGAGUCUCGCUUUGUUCCAUGAAAUUCCGUGCUCCAUGUGUCAUAAAUUUGUACUUUGCCAACAUGUUUGCAGAAUGAGCCCAUGCAAAAACAAAAAUAGCGCAAAUGAGUAACCAAAAAGUAAUAAGCCCAAGUCCAAAUAAGAUAAACAAUAUGCAAUUGACAUAAUCUAAAUGUCUCAAAUUAAUCACCAACAAUAUAUCAGCCCAAGUUUCAUAUUAAUUUACCACCAACAAAUUAACUCAAAUUUCGUAUUAAUUCAACAAUUCAAAUAUCACAAACAACAAUUACUAUUAUAAUCAAAUCAAGAAAAAUGAAUAAUAAUAAUAAUAACAAUAAUAAUAAUAAUAAUAAUAAUGGGAAACAAAUGAGAUGGGAAGGGGGUCGCCGGUCGGCAAUGGCUUGCCAGCGGCGACUGGUCGAUGGUCCAACCGGCAACAAUGAGGGUUGACGGAUUUUUAGGAAACAAAACAAAACAAAACAAAAUAAAAUAAAAAUAAAAAUGGGAAAAAGAGAAUGGGAGAAAAUGGGAAGGAAAGAGGAGAGAAAAUGGAAAGGAAAAGAAAUGAGGAAGAAAAAAAAAAUGGAAGAGAUGAGAUGGGAAAAUCGGCCAAUGUGUGCAUUUGGGUGGAAGAAAAAAAAAUGGAAAAAGAAAUGAGGGAGUCGUGGUCUGUGUAGAAAAAAAAAUGGGGAGAAGAGUUGAGAAAUGGAGAGAAGUUGGGGAUGCUCCAACCGUGAGUGGAGUGUGGGGAAAAAAAAUGAAAAAGAAUGGGAAAUGAGGAAGAAUAUAUAAAAAAAUAAAAGAAAAAAUGUUGAAGAGUGGAGAUUUUGGGGUCUUGGACGUGGGGUGAUGGGGGGUAGGUGAGGGUAGGUAGGGGAGAGAGAGGAGAGAGAAAUGAAGGAAAUAAAAGGAAAAAGAAAUAAUAAUAAUAAUAAAAUAAUAAUAAUAAUAAUAAAUAAAAGAAAAGAAAAAGUAAAAUAUAAUAAUAAUAAUAAUAAUAAUAAUAAUAAUAAAAUAAAAAAAAUAUACAAAAUAAUAAAAACUAAGAAAUAAAUGGUAAGUGAGUCAAAAAACACAUGUAAUCGGGAUUUAAAAUCUAAGGACAAAAUUGGGCUCAAAAUCAAUGUAAAAUAAAAAUGAGACAAAUUUUGGGGUCUACAAAUAUGUCCCUCUUCGGUAGAGUCCACGAGUAAAGUGAGUGUAUACACAAACGAAACGAAAUGGACUUUACUGAAGAAAAAGAAAGACCACCAAAUUUGUCUCAAUAUGACAUGGGCUCUCUUAAACCAAAACAAGAACAAAGAGGUUCUAAGACCCUACAAAAAUAGCAAGAACUAAAACUCCUAAGGUGCCCUUAAAGAUACACUAUGGAUCCAGACUCCCUUAGAAAUGUCUCUAAAAGUGACUUGAAAAUUGAUGUCGAAGUCGAGUAGCAGCUGAACCACCGAGGAACACAAGAAUAAAUGUGUAUAAAGGAAGAAAUUACUCAUCUAUAUACGAAAGUAGGAUGGAAUAUGAAGCUGUGAGGACAAGGUGUGCAAAGACUAGUGUCACCUAAAUCUAAAGUAAAGGAUGGGACACGACUGUAAUGACCAAAAUCACCUAAAAUAGAGGAAAGAUCGAACGCGGUUGCCAUGACAAAAAACACCUGAAUCAUAUGGGACACUGUCACAAUGACCGAAAUCACCUUAAACAAACGGGACGUGAUCGCAAUGACCGAAAUCACCAAACUAAAGGAAAAGACGAAUAUGCGACCAAUCGUAUAGGUGCGAUCUACGCUGGAAACUCAAACUGAACAUAGGGUGAAUGACCGAUCGAUAAAGGUGCGGUCCCAAAAACUCAAACUGAACUCAAACUGACAAGACAAAUGAUCGAUCGAUAUGGGUGCGACCCUGACUCGAACUCAAACCGACAAGAGAAUGGUUGAUUGAUAUAGGUGCGGUCCCAAAAAUUGAAAUCAAAUUGAUAAUACAAAUGACCGAUCGAUAUAGGUGCGGUCCCAACUCGAAACUGAACUGACAUGAUAAUGACCUAUCAAUAAAGGUGCGAUCCUAACUCGAAAGUAAACUAACAUGACAAGACAAUGACCGAUCGAUAUAGGUGCGGUCCCAAAACUCAACUUAAACUCAAACUGACAAGGAAAUGAUAGGAAGAUGGCCGAUCGAUAUAGGUGCGGCCCCGAAAACUCAAACUAAAACUGACAAAACGAUAAAUGACCGAUCGAUAUAGGUGCGGCCCCGAAAACUGAAACUGAAACUGACAAGACGAUAAAUGAUCGAUCGAUAUAAGCGCGAUCCCGACUCAAAUUGAACACAAAUUGAUAGAAAUAUGGUCGAUUGAUAUGGGUGCGGCCCCCAAAACGCAAACUCAAACUAACAGGACGAUAAAUGACUAAUCGAUAUAGGUGCGGUCCCAAAAAGCUCAAACUAACACGGAAAUGAUAGGAAGAUGGUCGAUCGAUAUAGGUGUGACCCUAACUUAAACUGAACAUAAGCUGAUAGGAAUACGGACGAUCGAUAUGGGUACGGACCCCAAAACGCAAACUCAUACUGACAAGAUGAUGACCGGUCGAUAUAGGUGCGGUCCCAACUCAAACUGAACACAAACUGACAAGAGGAUGGCCGAUCGAUAUAGGUGCGACCCCGAAAACUCAAACUGACACAGAAAAUGACCGAUCGAUAGAGGUGCGGUCCUGAAACGAAAAGUGAUAGGAAAAUGAUCGAUCGAUAUAGGUGUGGUCCCGACUCAGACUCAAACGGACAAGAUGAAUGAAAAUAACCGAUUGAUAUUGAUGCAGUCCCGACUCAGACUCAAAUAGACAAGAUGAUGACUGAUCGAUAUAGAUGCGGUCCUGAAACUCAAAAACUGACAUGAAAAGUGAUAGGAAGAUGACUAAUCGAUAUAGGUGCAACCCCGACUCAAACUGAACACGGAAGAUGACCGAUCAAUAUAGGUGCAGUCCCGACUCAGACUCAAACAGACAAGAUGAAUGAAAAUGACCGAUCGAUAUAGGUGCGGCCCCUACUCAAACUGAUUAACAUGGAAAUGAUAGGAAGAUGACCGAUCGAUAUAGGUGUGGCCCCGACUCAAACUGAACACGAAAGAUGACCGAUCGAUAUAGGUACGGUCCCGACUCAAGCUAAAAUGACAUGAUGGUGAUCUGAUCAAGUGACCUAAAGCCAAAGGAUAACCAGGAUAACAAUGCAAGCAAACUCAGUAGGAGGGAAUAUGCCCUAGUAUGACAACUCAUAAGGAUCGACAAUUAGAUCAAAAAAUAAUGAAGCAUGUGCAAGGUCUGAUGAUCCUAGGGAAUGAGGGUAUGCCCCAAUAUGCAACUCGUAGGGGUCAACAACUAGAUCCAAAGGUGAAUGAAAGUUUGUUGAAAGGUUGGUGCUCUCGGAGAACGAGGUAUGCCCCCGCAUGUGACAAUGAACAAACUGAGAUACAAAAUGCUCCAAAACUACUGUGCUCUAAAAUAUGCUCAUCCAUCAUGCAAUGAAAAUGUCCAACCUCAUAUAGGUAAUGCCAAAUAGGACCAUGUAUCGUGACACCAUACUGACAAAGCAAAACUAACUGAUGAAUAAUAACAAUAAUGAUCAGUGCUCAAAAUGCAAAGAGCAAACAAAUCAACACUCAACAUGUCAACUGUCAAAGUGAAAACAUAGUCACUAAUAAGUCAACAAUCUGUCAGGCCUUUCCAUCAUGGAAGAUGUUGAACCUAAAGUCCAAAAGAUGUAUGAAAGCACAACCAAAGUGAUCGAGGACUGGUCUACACUUCUCCUAACUGAGAGAGGAGUGUGAGGUCAUGUGUCACGGUGAGAUGUGUGGGAUAAAAAAAGGUGAUGAUCAGGCUCUAGUAAGAUAGAAAGUAUGAAAGUAUCAAGGGUGGAAUGUCUGAGUACAAGCUGAAAGGUAUGUAGGUAACCGAGAUCAUCCAAGUAUGCCGAGAAGACUAAACCCAAGGUGUCAAUAGCUCCAUAAUCCAUCAAAAGCAGCAAUCACAAAAUAAAAAGUCAAGUCUCGAUAUCAAAACAUCCGGUUAGGUGGCUAUACCCCAAUAUGCAAUGAGGACAACAUGAAAUAAUCCAAUGAUCUCCAUAUCACUCGUCAGAUGCUCCAAUGUCAAGAAUCAAUAUGAUUUCCCUCCACAAGAUGGAUACGCCCUAGUGUAAAGGAUCCAAUAGUGUGGUUAUGCUCCAAUGAAAAAUGCUCUCCAUCCCGAUUAUGCCCCAAUGUAAAGCAGUGCAUCCGAGUCAACAAUUGCUAAGUAGGACCAUGCCUAGUACGGGUUAACAAAUUGAUCAAUCUCUAUUCCUGGUGCCAAAAAUGAAAGCAUCUCAACAUAAUCCAUAUGAAUCAGAAUCCUCGUGCUCUAUGAAUGUGAAUGAAGUGGCUAUGCCCUAGUAUAAACCAUCUGAAGUGUCUAUGCUACAAGAUAAAUCAAAGUCCAUCAUCGAUGAGAGGGCUAUGCCUCAAAACAAAUCAUCUCAAAAAUCAACCAUCAAUGAGUGGAGUGUGUCCCAAUGCGGAAUAUCAAGUAGAGUGAUUGUAUCUCUAAUAAAAGCACUUUCUAAAAUGGCUAUGCUCCAAUGUAGGAUCAUCCCACAACUCCUAAUCCAUCAUGAUCCAAACAAAAACUGACUAUGCCCCAAUGCAAGGCAUCAUCUCAAAAGAAACUGCCAUCGAUGAGCGGGGUAUGCCCCAGUGUAGAUCAUAUCACCUCUGAAAAUCCAUCACUGAUAAAAAGGGUAUGCCCCAGUGUAAAUCCAUCGCCUCAACUCCCCAUUUGUCAUGCUCCAAGAAAUAAUCUCCAACAAAUCUCAAGUAUUGCCCAUGUGUGAGCCAUCAAGCAUAACGUGUGAAGUCAUGACCAUAGGGUGGUCUUAAGAUGCGGGACGUAACGUAGGUUAAGGUAAUAGGGUGAAAGAAACGAAAGGAAACUAGGCUCAAAUAUCCCAAUGAUAUAAUCCCCAUACCCCUCAUGCAUGAGAUGCAAUGCGUAGAAAAUGUCAUGAAUCCUGGACCUAAGGGUCUCCACACAAAAAGUGAUGAUAAAGGAAUGGACACAUCAAAUAAGCAAGAAUAAAGUGUGGAGGCUGAACCCAAGUCAAACAUUAAGUAGGACGAGAAAAGAAAGAAAUCAAAUGAGAUAAGGUGAAAUGAAGGAACAGAACAAAGAUAGAAGAAAGCAAAGAGAUAGAAAAGUGAGUGAUAGUCAACCUAUAUCAAAGUAUGAAAAAUAGUCACAUCUGAAAUAGAUGGAAUGAUGGAUAGAGUAAGGAUCUAGAGAUACCAAAGAAAUGUCACACGCCAUCUCACAAAAGAAAUGAAAAAUGUGACUCAUACUCUCGCUCAAAAUAUACAUCAAGAUGAAUCUAAAAAAUAAGCUCUCAUACGAACUCUCUCUAACACAUAAACUGAAUGAAGCAAACUAGCACAUCCAUACAUGUGCUUAAUGGAAAACCGUAUAAUGAACAAUGCACUUUUUUUUUUCUCUUUUUCUAUUGUUUUUUUUUUUUUUUUUUUUUGUGGAUACUCUGAUCAAUAAUGAAUGAACUCCCAUGAAAAUACAUACUCAAAUGAUCAAAUCCUCUCCACAUACAGAUGUAACAUAAAUUCUCACUAACAAAACAACCUCUCAAACUGAAAUCUCUAAACCACUACCUAUGGGGUGAACGGGGGGAAAGAAUGUGACAAUCCUCUAUGUAAUGACGUGUGAAAAACCACUACUCAAGGUGAAACAAGGACAAUGUUGAGCAAGCAAUGAUGAAGGAAAAGACAAAGAACGAAUAUCACAAGUGGUGAUAUGUGAUGCCAAAAAAAGUGAUGAGAUGAUGUCAAAGAGGAAAAUAUCACAAUGAAGAGUGAGGAAUGAGGCCUGAAUAUGUAUGUCAGGUCUAGAAUUCAUGAUGUAUCCAAUCAAAGCAUGCAAACACUAUAGGGUCCCUAACCCGGUGCAAUAGGUAAAUGAGGUGAUGAAAGAAAAGGCUAUGGUGCUCGUGUGAGACUCAAUGGGCUAGCAACGGGUAACUCUACAUGUAAGGGUGAUAGGGUAAAUGGGCUCAUGAAAUGAUGGUCACCUAUCCUUUAACCACAACCUCGAACAUCAUGCUUUCAAGAUCUCACAUGGCUAAUACUAAAGACUGGCAUCCGUCCAACAUAGUUGUAUCAACCUCUCUGAAAUCGUGUGACAGCUCCCACUGAUGCUUUGUGAUAAUCAUGAAAGCCCUUUUUAACAAUCACCUCACUCUAUCGUCAUGAGCCACCCACCAUCAUCUCAUAAAAUCACCAUCUCUAAUCAUCCCGACUCUCUGAAGCCAUGUGCAAUGGCUCAGAUCUGGAUGCUCCAUGAUAACUCCUCUGCCUCAACAACGUCAUCAAGCAAUCAAACCACUCUCACAUCGUGAUCCAUCUAUCAUCAUGCAAAGCUCACCUCGGGUCUAACCAUCUCGGACUUUACCUGGUCAGAUCAAGGAAAUGAUGGAAAGAAUAGGCAAUGGUACUAUAGUAUACAAAGACAAAUAGGGAUGGAAGGUCGUAUAAUGGUACCAAGGGGUGGUGUCAUGUCAGGCUCAAAAUGGGUAGGUCAUCAAGCCUACCAAGUCAGGAUAUGGAUAUAUAUAUAUGGUGCUGCUCUGAUCAAAAGGUGAAAUGGGUCACAGUCUCGAACUCCCUAGGUUGAUCUCCUAAUCCUAGGUCAAUAGGCUCAAUAUCCUCCAUGAUAGGUCAGGUCAAAGUGAUCAUGAUGUGCAAAUGUAUAGAUGUCCCAAGUCAAAAGUACAACACAUCAUAUGAUAUACGGUCAUGUGAUAGCAAACUAAAACUGGAAAUAUGACAGAAACCCUAAGAUCAUAAAGGUGUCUACUAUGAUAUGGUUACAAAUGUGACUAAAGAAUUUCUAUCAACGAUCCAGAAAAUGAAUGAGGUGUGAAAAAAAACACUGUCAUGAGAUCGAUACUCCAUCUAUAACAAAAUACCUCUGAUUCACUUUCAACCCAAGCUCAAUAAAAAAAAUGAUUGGGUGAUAAAGGCAAACAUCUCAAUAAUGGUGUGAAUGUGAAAACCUGCCUUUCACCUUUCUAUAAUGAAAAUAUCUAGUUGAAAAUAGAAUCAGGUGAGUCGACCAAAUAAUGAAGUAUCAAACCCAUGAUAGGUGAAGAAUAUAAAAAUGUGAGCAUAAUCAAUGAGCAUAUCCCAAAGUGUCAAGUAAAAAGUGACAACAAAUUGAAAGAAAGUGUCAACUUAAGAAAAGAAGACCAUCUAAAGCUCUAGGGAGAAAGAGUGCUAGACUCAACUAGCUACAAGAAGAAACCAGAACCAUAUAGUAAAGGGUGGUCCGACUAAUACUCAAACUCGCACUGAUCUCUAAGCACUCUCAACUGGAGACCAAAUGAGGAAGUAUUGGAUCCGAAUUGUAACUAAAGAGGCUUUGAAGACCCUCAGAUACACCCACGUGUAAGGAAGGAAGUCCUGAUCGAAGGAUUUAAGGCUUAACCUACAAGGUCAAGGUGGCUGUAAAUAGUAAAGUGGUGGAUCUUAAAGGAUCCCUAGCAGAAGCGAUUAUACCCUUUGGUCGUACGCAACCCUCUGCACACCUCCGAAAAGACGGGGUGCUUCCAUGCAAGGUGGUCAUCACUUCCACACAUACACUACCUCAACAUCUCGGGGGGUUUCCUAUGGUGAAUGCUCUUCUAAUGGUUGUCGUAUCUCACAACUCUAUCCACUCAUUAAUGAUCUAAGGUGCACAGUGAUUGGUGUGGGUGCAUCCGAAAAUCCUAUGAAACUAAAAGAAAACACACUGGUCUCACAAAUAUCCUGAAAUCUAGCUCUGGGCUAUACAAGUCUUCAAAGGUCGGACUCCAAUCAACAUCAACGUGUCGGCCACCUCCAAGAUGCUCCCAAACAUAGAUAUAGCCCAUCGCUAAACCCUACUCCUAAUCACUAGCUCAGUCGAAGAGCAAACAAAGUAACAAGUCUCAUAUCAAAUACAAGAUCAAGGGGAACAAGGUCGACCAAGACUAGGGAAUUGGAGAUAAAGGGAUAUAUGUGUGUCCCACAUAGAUAAGCAACACAUGCAUCACACAAAAGAAGAGUAGUCAUGCAACAGACAUUCAUGCAACACACAUGUAUAUAUCAUCCAAAUCUACACACAAGCUAAGCAAGAAGUAUGAUAAUAGAGAUGGAUAUAACAAGAAUAAACAAUAUGUUGAGACAAACAAGAUAAUAUACAACAAAUAGAAUCAAUCAUGUCAAGAUGAAUGAGAUAUACAAAAAUAAGAAUAUAAAUGUCCAAGAAAGCAAGACAAUCAUACAACAAGAAGAGUCAUUAUACUAAAGUAGGUAAGAGAAACAAUCAAUGUAAUCAACAUGUCAACAUCACAAAUGAACAUAACAACCAAACAUGUAUCAUAGAUAAACAUAUCAAAGCUCUCAAUGUGUAAUCAACAACCAAUCAUACCAAGACACAUUGAGAGGGGUAUCCAUUGAUCGACCAAUCAAACGCCACAUUCCCCUUAACUUGAGUUCAAGUCUGACCCUCUAAAAUUCCCCAAUGGAGUCGCCAUUUUUUGGACCCUGCAUUUUGCUCGAUGCGUUCCCACUCGAUGGUGAAACUCGUUUUUUUAUUUGUUUGGUGAAAAUUGAUUUUUAGAAAAGACUUGGAGUCGCCACUUAUUUUAAUUUUUUUUUUAAGGGAAAACAAAAUAAGAAAGAAAACCCUAUGUGACUCCUUAUUUGGAAAAGACAUGUCUGCAAAAACAAAACUGGGUUCGAGGGUAAGGUUACCUAUUGGGAAGGUAUGAUGGUGAGUCGUACCACCCCUCUAAGCCCGUAUACAUGCGGUCUCUACUAAUCAAAUUAAGGAAAUUGUGGCAAUUAAUUAAUUAAUUAUAGAUACCAAGAAAAAUAAUCAAGCAAAUGAGCAUGUACAAGUCAUAGUGAAAAUCAAUAUUCAUGAAAAUAAUGAUGAAAUCUAAUUACAAAAAUACACAAAAUAAAUGAUAAGAGAAUUAUGCAAAAUGAUGUAUUGAACUAAAAAAAAGAUAUUAAAAAAAAGUUUUCAAGAAAUUUCAAAGGAUUUUAUUAAAAAUGAUUUUUGAAUUAAUGAUUUGAAUUUAUUUAUUUACAAAAAAAAAAAGAAUCAAUUUAUUUUCUCAAUUUCAUUUGUAUUCAAUUUCCAAAAAAAGUUAUUUACACUUAUUGUAUCAAAAGAAUUUAUUACAAAAUUUCAAUUCGGGUACAAAAAUUAUUUUUACUUGCUUUUACUAAAAAAUAAUGAAUUUUUACAAUUUUAUUUACAAAUGUAUUUCAAUUUGUUUUUAUUUAAGAAAAGUAAUUUGUACAAAUUAUUAAAAAAAAUAACUUUAUUUGCAAAAGAAUUUUUAAUUAAAAAGAAGAAAAAAUUCAAUCUCUUAUUUCUAAAAAUUGCUUUUAAACCUAUUUUAUUAAUGAAAAAUAAUUUAUUUAAAAACACAUUUUUUUGGACAAUUUUAUUAAAAACAAUUUUUCAAAUUCUAUUAAAAAAAAUUCUUUUGGAUUUUUCUAAAUGCAUUUUUCUGAAUUUUUAUAAAUAAAAUAAAAAAAAUCUUUUAUUAAGCAUAAUAUUUUAAAAUUAUUAUUUUAUUAAAACAUGUUUAUUGAAUUCUUCCCCUCAUUUAAACAAAAUUUAUGAUUUGCUCGAUAUUCAAUUCUGUACAUAACAAGUAAAUAUACAUAGAUAAAUAUUUACAGAAUUAAAAACCGAAUAAGAGUAGGAAAUAAAAUAUGUACCCAAACAAGCUUACAACAAACUCAAUGCUCUAUUCACAGCUUUUCGAGUCUCACUUUGUUCCAUGAAAUUCUGUGCUCCACGUGUCAUAAAUUUGUACUCAGCUAACAUGUUUGCAGAAUGAGUCCAUGCAAAAACAAAAAUAGCACAAAUGAGUAACCAAGAAGUAAUAAGCCCAAGUCCAAAUAAGAUAAACAAUAUGCAAUUGACAUAAUUCAAAUGUCCCAAAUUAAUCACCAAUAAUAUAUCAGCUCAAGUUUCAUAUUAAUUUACCACCAACAAAUUAACUCAAAUUUCGUAUUAAUUCAACAAUUCAAAUAUCACAAACAACAAUUACUAUUAUAAUCAAAUCGAGAAAAAUGAUAAUAAUAAUAACAACAACAACAACAACAACAAUAAUAAUAAUAAUAAUAAUAAUAAUGGGAAACAGAUGAGAUGGGAAGGGGGUCGACGGCCGGAAGUGGCAUGUCGGCAGCGACUGGUUGAUGGUCCGAUCGACGAUAGUGAGGGUUGACGGAUUUUUGGGAAACAAAACAAAAUAAAAUAAAAUAAAAUAAAAUAAAAAUGGGAGGAAGAGAAUGGGAGAAAAUGGGAAGGAAAAGAAAUGGGGAAGGAAAAAAAAAAAUGGAAGAGAGGAGAUGGGAAAAUCGGCCAGUAUGUGUGUUUGGGUGGAAGAAAAAAAAAGAAAAAAAAAUGGAAGAAUAAAUGAGGGAGUCUUGGUCUGUGUAGAAAAAAAAAAGGAGGGAAGAGUUGAGAAAUUGAGAGAAGUUAGGGAUGCUCCGGUCGUGAGUGGAGUGUGGGGGAAAAAAUGAAGAAGAAUGGAAAAUGGGGGAGCUGGCCGUGAGUCCAAUGUGGUGAGUCGUGUUGGAAAAAAAAAAAAGGAAGAAGAAAAAUGGGGGGGAAAUGGGGGCAGCCGGCCUUGGGAAAUAGGGGUAAAAAAACUAAAAAAAGAAAGAGAGCUUGUGAAUGGGCCGCGGCCACCAUUUUUGAGAAUGGGGGAGAAAAUAUUAAAAAAAAAAUGAAAGAAAAAAUGUUGAAGAGUGGAGAUUGGGGGUCUUGGACGUGGGUUGAUGGGGGUAGGUGAGGGUAGGUAGGGGAGAGAGAGGAGAGAGAAAUGAAAGAAAUAAAAAAUAAAAAAAAUAAAAAUAAAAUAAUAAUAAUAGUAAUAAUAAAUAAAAUAAAAUAAAAAGUAAAAUAUAAUAAUAAUAAUAAUAAAAUAAUAUAAUAUAAAAAAUAAUAAAAAUUAAUAAAUAAAUGAUGAGUGGAUCAAAUAUAUAAUCGGAAUUUAAAAUCUAAUGAUAAAAUUUGAUUCAAAAUCAAUGUAAAAUAAAAAUGUAAUAAAUUUUAAUAUUUACAAGUACAUAUUAUUUUUAUUGUUUAGGUGACUUGUUUGACUUAUUCUUAUUAUGCACUUUCCCUUUUAUAGGCCUCCGGAGGCCUUCACACAUCUCAUUUCUCGUUCUAGAACCUUGGGUACAUGCCUUGAAAAAAUAGGUUCAUCUUAUUGAAAAAUAAGUACAUCAUCUUAAAACAUAAACACAUCAAAUUUACAUUGUAUAAAUGACUCACUUCACUUAUUAUACAUAUCCGUGAUUUAUUUAUAAGUUACAUGUUCAAGUGACUCUAAUUAUGGAACAAGCGUAAAGCAUGAGCAAGUUAUGAAUAGGUAUAUGACUCAUCAUUCAUUCUAUAGGAAAAAAGGUACAUUUUAUGAAUGUUGUGUACAGAGUACACAAGUCAUUUGAUAGUAAUUAAGACAACGUUGUGUACGAUGGAAUGGUAGUUAAAAACUCUUUUAUUUCUUUAAUACAAGAACACAGCCCACCAGGCACCAAUCCUCAGAAAGGGAUUUCAACCGGAAAGAUUAACGAUACAAUUUCAAAGAAAAAACUUAAGCAAACAGCCAAACACUCAUAUAUAUUAUCUAAUAUUAACUAAACAACACUACUCAAUAGCCCAUGAUGUUUCCCUUUUACUCUAUACCAAGCUUCUUUCUUAUCCUCACAACAAAUCCAUGUGCCCCUUCUACUCUAUACCAAACCUCUUUCUCAUCCCCAUGAUAAAGCCAUGGACCUUGUGUGGGUCUUCCAGAGAAGACGACACGCUCUCCUUUUCCAUGCACCUCUUGGUCCAAGCGAUCAACUUGGGGCACUCCGCCUCUAUGCUGAAGUUGCCAAAGGUCUCGUAUGCAUAAAACCAGCAAGAGAAGGUCACCAGGGCCACAUCCACAAACCCAAUUUUUUCACCCCCGAAGUAAGGCUUCUCUCCAAGCUCUCCUUCCAAAAGCUUGAGGCACUCUAUGAAUUCCUUCUUGCCUGUUUCCUGCUCUUCUCCUUUGGUUGACCAUAUCUUCCCUCCAAGUUCAUAGAGCUGUGGAAAACAAUAAAGUCAAAGAGAGAAAAGGGUUAUUUUUUUGGAGCAUUUCAUCAAGUUUCAACUUUCCGUAUAGUUGGACAAGUUUAUUAAGGACCCUUCAGCAUAGAAAUCUCAUAUGCUAGGAACAAAUUAAAUGAAGGGCCGGUGGAAGAAAAAUAUCAGAAGGGAAUGUGUGAAGAAGGAGAAACCCAGCAUUUUGGACAAAUCCCUCACCAUUAUCAAACCAAAAAAAAAAAAACAAAAAACAAAAAACAAAAAAACAAAAGAAAAUGCUUUAAAUCAACAGCAAAGACAUACCUUCUUGUCUACGUAGUCCGCCCAGAACCUGGCCUGAGCUCUCUGGUAUGGGUCACUAGGCAACAAUGGAGAUUUAUCCUUCCAAACCUCAUCAAUAUACUGAACUAUUAUCAGAGACUCACAAAUGGGCUUUCCAUUGUGGAUCAGAACCGGGAUUUUCUUAUGAACUGGGUUCAUCUCAAGCAGCAGAGGGCUCUUGUUCCUCAAGUCCUCCUGUCUAUAUUCAUACUUGAGGCCCUUCUCUGCCAGGGCAACUCUGACCCUCAUACCAAACAUGCUAGGCCAGAAAUCCAACAAGAUAAUCUCGUCUGCCAUUGCUACUACUGUGAUCGAUAAGAUUCAAACUCAGUUAUUCAAGUAUUGAUGAACAACACAAGGGAAAUUGUCAAGUAUUUAUAGCAAAUCCCAGGGAGUGGGUUAAAACCUUGGAACUUCUAGGAGGUGGUGGUGCUCAUUGCUUAUCUCAGCAUUCAUUUUCCUUCCAUAUUAUGUUCUCAUCUCAGUUUCGUUUCUCACUCCAGAAUUCCCAUAUGUAUUUUUUUAUUAAAUAUAAUGCUUCCAGAGAGGUCAUUGCUUUGAUCAUUCCACGUCGUUGCUGUCGUCAGCCCAAGUCCAUUAAGUACACUGGUCCAUUCUUGCAUCCUUUUGGGCGGACAAGUCAAACUAUUUUAAACUUUGUGUUUAUUAUAACUCCUUAAAAUUUCUGUGAUGUUUGUAUUUUUAUCUAAGCUCUAAACUUGUUUUUAAAUUCCAAAUCUACUUUAUUUUUACGUAUGAAAAAUAUCUAUAAAAUUAAUUAUUUUAUUUCUUUUUAAAUUAAUUUGCAAUCUAAUAUAUUUUUUUAAACAUUUAAUUAUUAUAAUUUAUCAACAUAAUAAAAUUUUUAUAACAAUUAAUUAUAUAAUCAAUAAAAAAAAUAGUAAUAGGAUAGUAAGUACAAUUUCUAAUUAUAUGUUUAAAAAAUUUUUAAACAUCUUGAAAGUUGUGUGGUUUGAUGACAGUCAAAUACUUGUAAGUGUUUGUAUAAUAUUAAUAAGCAGUUGAUAUGGCUUAAUUUUCUUACAUCAUUAUAUUAUAGCUUCCUAUUAGCGCUAGUAUCAACUAAAUACUACAGAUUUGGUAGGUUGAUUCCUUCUAUAUGCUCAAAUGCAUGAAGUGCAUGCAUGUUUAAUCUUAUGCAAAGAUUUGAUGAAAGUUAAAUGAUUUUUCAUGUGCAUACUGAUAUGCUCGAUUCAUAUCAAUGAUGCAUGCUUGCUUUUAUAUAUUUUUUUCAAUCUUUUUACUAUGUCAUUCCAAAUGAAUCCACCCCUGGUCAAUUCGCAUUAAAGGGAAUGAAAUUGUGGUACAAAGGGAGUGAGAAUUGAUGAAAAGGGAAGCAAAAGAAUAGACUGUUCAGGGGAGAUACACAGGAAGGGGGAGCAUCUUUUGGACCUGGUUGUUGCAGAAACCAUCAGAUUGAGGUAUCUAUAACAUGCAACAGUAUCAGUUUUCAAUUAGUUCACAUUAUUCAAGUUCCAUAUGCUUCAUUAAACACUAAAUGAUCACCAUUUAACCAGUAGUUGAAUUUCCAAAGGCCAAUUCCAUUUCCUAAAAAUCAUGCCAAAAUGCAUUCUGUUCACAAUUGAAGAAGAAAAUGUUCAAACAGAUUUGAUGGCUAAUGGCCUAUAGUAACAAUUCUAAAGCAUACAAAUUAGUACCCACUUCUAAGUUUCAAUUAAGAACCUGGAAUCUUGUUUGACCUAAACUUCACCACCACAUCCAGGCAGCUUGCUUGGGCUGAGAUUUGGUGCAGGGAUGGGAGCCGAAGUGCUCCUGGAGAUGCAUCUGCAUAGACUGUCUUAUUUAGCUGUGAAUUUGUAAUAUGUAACUCUACUGGCAGCAAAGAUAAACAAUAAUGAUGAUGAUAACAAUGAUAUAAGGAAAAGGGUUCAAACUUCAACUCCCCCUCCAAACACUAAUCCCAUAAAUAUUACUAUACUCAGAUGGUUACAACUUAUUUUCGACACAAUAACAAAAUUAACUGAAAUAAAAUUAUUCUGGGACAUAUUCCUAAAUAAUAGAAAACGUUUACUUCUAGACUUCUUAGUUGAAAGCAAUACAAAAACCCAAAAACAACAAAUCAAUCUUUCAUGUUCUUAACAGUUACUGUUCAAACACUUUUUGUGAUCAAUAAAAUAACAAAAAAGAAACAAAAAACAAAUAUGGAAAAUAAAAUAACUGAUUCUACAUCUCCACUGGUUUUAGCUACUAGUCAAACACCUUCUGGACUUGGUUCUGGUUGACAUUGGUAUGUUCCAUUGAGAAAACAGAGUCAGGAACCAGGAAUUUUAAUGCUUACAUCUUCUCAAUUAUAAAACAUGGUGAGUGAAUGAAAGUGAUGUGUCCUGGGCUUGUUCUGAGGGGUAGAUGGUUUGUGAUUUUCACACAGGGACCUUGUUUUAAAUUUGUGACUUAGAGUUUGGUUAUUUGCUAAUAUUUACUUGUGGGGUUGGAGCAAGGAGAAGGUUUGUGCAAAAAUAGGAUUAUCUUCAGUGAUUUUUAUGGGGCUCCAUACUAAUGGAUGGACCUUUUAAUGGACACCUGCACAUGUUCUUUGUUUCAAGAUUGUCAAUGAGAGCUAGCACAUACAUCAUGAAUAUUUAGCAUGGACAAGGUAUCCCUAUAUUAGUAAAGAGCAUACAAUCAAUGCUUGAAAUGUCCAGAUCACGUGCCCUAAAAGGAUGGGGCUUACUUGUUGAAUAGACAGAACUACAAAAAAUCAUGGUCCGAUAAAGAGUUAAGACUGAAUUCAUGAUAGUUGACACUGUUAACGAAAGCAAUAUUUCUAGCAGUCAUUGAUCAGUCAUGACAGUAAAGAUUGCACUAAUAAACUCACACAUUGUUUACAAGGGAACACUUACCAGGGGACAUACAACUUGGAGAGAUAAAACAGCUAGAGUAUGAAAUUUAAACCACACAAAUCCCAAGGUAACAUUUUUUUGACAAACCAUAUGUAUUUUUAAACAAGGAAAAAGGCAAAAUAUUCUACAAAAUUUCCUGCACAAACAAUGGGAAGGGGGCUCCAAAAUGAGUCAAAAAGAUGGUUUUAAUUUCACUAUACACACAUAAAGCAGUUUGUACUUGGCUUGAUACUCAACCUAUAAAAUAAGAUAUAUUUUUUUUAGUCUUCUCUUUUGGAGAAUAUUAAAAAUAGACAGAAAGAUUCAGAUGAAUUAGAUGUCUUCUGCUCCAAGCCUCCAACUAUCUUGGACUUGUUCAACUCUGGAUUCUGUUUCUUUUAUGGAACUCGGUUUCCUCAGAAAGAGGACACUGGGAAAAGACCAGCAAUUAAGAAAUGCAGCAUAUAUCAGAAAAUAUCCAAAGGUAACUGAUAUUAUAUUGUUGUUUUUCAGUAAAUAUCAUUUGUCAACCAAGAAAUGCACCAUCAGUGUAGUGCAACCAGUGCAACUAAGAGGACUGAACUGACACUUAGAUAAGAUUAUCAGAUUAAAUCAAAGAAUAAGCCUAUAUUAAGGUUAAAUAAAACCAUAUCCAAAAUGAGAUUUCAAAACUUUAUUCCAAGGGCAGAUCAUACAACCGUUCUUCCAGAAACACAAACUAAAAGAACAUUAUAGAAUUCAGCAUAUAUGUGGAAUUCAAAAUCAAAUCCAACUUCUUAUAAUAAAAUAAAAUCAGCUAUUGAACAUAAAAAUUUGCAAGCAGAACAUUAUACCAUAAUAAUAACAUCAGAAACCAAAUAUUAUCUUUGUUGGCCUUCAACAAUUUGAAACUUUUCCCCAUUCUUAUUUGCAUGAUUUCUAAAACCCACAAUGAUUGGUUUUAUUUUGAAUGUAUUUUACUNNNNNNNNNNNNNNNNNNNNNNNNNNNNNNNNNNNNNNNNNNNNNNNNNNNNNNNNNNNNNNNNNNNNNNNNNNNNNNNNNNNNNNNNNNNNNNNNNNNNNNNNNNNNNNNNNNNNNNNNNNNNNNNNNNNNNNNNNNNNNNNNNNNNNNNNNNNNNNNNNNNNNNNNNNNNNNNNNNNNNNNNNNNNNNNNNNNNNNNNNNNNNNNNNNNNNNNNNNNNNNNNNNNNNNNNNNNNNNNNNNNNNNNNNNNNNNNNNNNNNNNNNNNNNNNNNNNNNNNNNNNNNNNNNNNNNNNNNNNNNNNNNNNNNNNNNNNNNNNNNNNNNNNNNNNNNNNNNNNNNNNNNNNNNNNNNNNNNNNNNNNNNNNNNNNNNNNNNNNNNNNNNNNNNNNNNNNNNNNNNNNNNNNNNNNNNNNNNNNNNNNNNNNNNNNNNNNNNNNNNNNNNNNNNNNNNNNNNNNNNNNNNNNNNNNNNNNNNNNNNNNNNNNNNNNNNNNNNNNNNNNNNNNNNNNNNNNNNNNNNNNNNNNNNNNNNNNNNNNNNNNNNNNNNNNNNNNNNNNNNNNNNNNNNNNNNNNNNNNNNNNNNNNNNNNNNNNNNNNNNNNNNNNNNNNNNNNNNNNNNNNNNNNNNNNNNNNNNNNNNNNNNNNNNNNNNNNNNNNNNNNNNNNNNNNNNNNNNNNNNNNNNNNNNNNNNNNNNNNNNNNNNNNNNNNNNNNNNNNNNNNNNNNNNNNNNNNNNNNNNNNNNNNNNNNNNNNNNNNNNNNNNNNNNNNNNNNNNNNNNNNNNNNNNNNNNNNNNNNNNNNNNNNNNNNNNNNNNNNNNNNNNNNNNNNNNNNNNNNNNNNNNNNNNNNNNNNNNNNNNNNNNNNNNNNNNNNNNNNNNNNNNNNNNNNNNNNNNNNNNNNNNNNNNNNNNNNNNNNNNNNNNNNNNNNNNNNNNNNNNNNNNNNNNNNNNNNNNNNNNNNNNNNNNNNNNNNNNNNNNNNNNNNNNNNNNNNNNNNNNNNNNNNNNNNNNNNNNNNNNNNNNNNNNNNNNNNNNNNNNNNNNNNNNNNNNNNNNNNNNNNNNNNNNNNNNNNNNNNNNNNNNNNNNNNNNNNNNNNNNNNNNNNNNNNNNNNNNNNNNNNNNNNNNNNNNNNNNNNNNNNNNNNNNNNNNNNNNNNNNNNNNNNNNNNNNNNNNNNNNNNNNNNNNNNNNNNNNNNNNNNNNNNNNNNNNNNNNNNNNNNNNNNNNNNNNNNNNNNNNNNNNNNNNNNNNNNNNNNNNNNNNNNNNNNNNNNNNNNNNNNNNNNNNNNNNNNNNNNNNNNNNNNNNNNNNNNNNNNNNNNNNNNNNNNNNNNNNNNNNNNNNNNNNNNNNNNNNNNNNNNNNNNNNNNNNNNNNNNNNNNNNNNNNNNNNNNNNNNNNNNNNNNNNNNNNNNNNNNNNNNNNNNNNNNNNNNNNNNNNNNNNNNNNNNNNNNNNNNNNNNNNNNNNNNNNNNNNNNNNNNNNNNNNNNNNNNNNNNNNNNNNNNNNNNNNNNNNNNNNNNNNNNNNNNNNNNNNNNNNNNNNNNNNNNNNNNNNNNNNNNNNNNNNNNNNNNNNNNNNNNNNNNNNNNNNNNNNNNNNNNNNNNNNNNNNNNNNNNNNNNNNNNNNNNNNNNNNNNNNNNNNNNNNNNNNNNNNNNNNNNNNNNNNNNNNNNNNNNNNNNNNNNNNNNNNNNNNNNNNNNNNNNNNNNNNNNNNNNNNNNNNNNNNNNNNNNNNNNNNNNNNNNNNNNNNNNNNNNNNNNNNNNNNNNNNNNNNNNNNNNNNNNNNNNNNNNNNNNNNNNNNNNNNNNNNNNNNNNNNNNNNNNNNNNNNNNNNNNNNNNNNNNNNNNNNNNNNNNNNNNNNNNNNNNNNNNNNNNNNNNNNNNNNNNNNNNNNNNNNNNNNNNNNNNNNNNNNNNNNNNNNNNNNNNNNNNNNNNNNNNNNNNNNNNNNNNNNNNNNNNNNNNNNNNNNNNNNNNNNNNNNNNNNNNNNNNNNNNNNNNNNNNNNNNNNNNNNNNNNNNNNNNNNNNNNNNNNNNNNNNNNNNNNNNNNNNNNNNNNNNNNNNNNNNNNNNNNNNNNNNNNNNNNNNNNNNNNNNNNNNNNNNNNNNNNNNNNNNNNNNNNNNNNNNNNNNNNNNNNNNNNNNNNNNNNNNNNNNNNNNNNNNNNNNNNNNNNNNNNNNNNNNNNNNNNNNNNNNNNNNNNNNNNNNNNNNNNNNNNNNNNNNNNNNNNNNNNNNNNNNNNNNNNNNNNNNNNNNNNNNNNNNNNNNNNNNNNNNNNNNNNNNNNNNNNNNNNNNNNNNNNNNNNNNNNNNNNNNNNNNNNNNNNNNNNNNNNNNNNNNNNNNNNNNNNNNNNNNNNNNNNNNNNNNNNNNNNNNNNNNNNNNNNNNNNNNNNNNNNNNNNNNNNNNNNNNNNNNNNNNNNNNNNNNNNNNNNNNNNNNNNNNNNNNNNNNNNNNNNNNNNNNNNNNNNNNNNNNNNNNNNNNNNNNNNNNNNNNNNNNNNNNNNNNNNNNNNNNNNNNNNNNNNNNNNNNNNNNNNNNNNNNNNNNNNNNNNNNNNNNNNNNNNNNNNNNNNNNNNNNNNNNNNNNNNNNNNNNNNNNNNNNNNNNNNNNNNNNNNNNNNNNNNNNNNNNNNNNNNNNNNNNNNNNNNNNNNNNNNNNNNNNNNNNNNNNNNNNNNNNNNNNNNNNNNNNNNNNNNNNNNNNNNNNNNNNNNNNNNNNNNNNNNNNNNNNNNNNNNNNNNNNNNNNNNNNNNNNNNNNNNNNNNNNNNNNNNNNNNNNNNNNNNNNNNNNNNNNNNNNNNNNNNNNNNNNNNNNNNNNNNNNNNNNNNNNNNNNNNNNNNNNNNNNNNNNNNNNNNNNNNNNNNNNNNNNNNNNNNNNNNNNNNNNNNNNNNNNNNNNNNNNNNNNNNNNNNNNNNNNNNNNNNNNNNNNNNNNNNNNNNNNNNNNNNNNNNNNNNNNNNNNNNNNNNNNNNNNNNNNNNNNNNNNNNNNNNNNNNNNNNNNNNNNNNNNNNNNNNNNNNNNNNNNNNNNNNNNNNNNNNNNNNNNNNNNNNNNNNNNNNNNNNNNNNNNNNNNNNNNNNNNNNNNNNNNNNNNNNNNNNNNNNNNNNNNNNNNNNNNNNNNNNNNNNNNNNNNNNNNNNNNNNNNNNNNNNNNNNNNNNNNNNNNNNNNNNNNNNNNNNNNNNNNNNNNNNNNNNNNNNNNNNNNNNNNNNNNNNNNNNNNNNNNNNNNNNNNNNNNNNNNNNNNNNNNNNNNNNNNNNNNNNNNNNNNNNNNNNNNNNNNNNNNNNNNNNNNNNNNNNNNNNNNNNNNNNNNNNNNNNNNNNNNNNNNNNNNNNNNNNNNNNNNNNNNNNNNNNNNNNNNNNNNNNNNNNNNNNNNNNNNNNNNNNNNNNNNNNNNNNNNNNNNNNNNNNNNNNNNNNNNNNNNNNNNNNNNNNNNNNNNNNNNNNNNNNNNNNNNNNNNNNNNNNNNNNNNNNNNNNNNNNNNNNNNNNNNNNNNNNNNNNNNNNNNNNNNNNNNNNNNNNNNNNNNNNNNNNNNNNNNNNNNNNNNNNNNNNNNNNNNNNNNNNNNNNNNNNNNNNNNNNNNNNNNNNNNNNNNNNNNNNNNNNNNNNNNNNNNNNNNNNNNNNNNNNNNNNNNNNNNNNNNNNNNNNNNNNNNNNNNNNNNNNNNNNNNNNNNNNNNNNNNNNNNNNNNNNNNNNNNNNNNNNNNNNNNNNNNNNNNNNNNNNNNNNNNNNNNNNNNNNNNNNNNNNNNNNNNNNNNNNNNNNNNNNNNNNNNNNNNNNNNNNNNNNNNNNNNNNNNNNNNNNNNNNNNNNNNNNNNNNNNNNNNNNNNNNNNNNNNNNNNNNNNNNNNNNNNNNNNNNNNNNNNNNNNNNNNNNNNNNNNNNNNNNNNNNNNNNNNNNNNNNNNNNNNNNNNNNNNNNNNNNNNNNNNNNNNNNNNNNNNNNNNNNNNNNNNNNNNNNNNNNNNNNNNNNNNNNNNNNNNNNNNNNNNNNNNNNNNNNNNNNNNNNNNNNNNNNNNNNNNNNNNNNNNNNNNNNNNNNNNNNNNNNNNNNNNNNNNNNNNNNNNNNNNNNNNNNNNNNNNNNNNNNNNNNNNNNNNNNNNNNNNNNNNNNNNNNNNNNNNNNNNNNNNNNNNNNNNNNNNNNNNNNNNNNNNNNNNNNNNNNNNNNNNNNNNNNNNNNNNNNNNNNNNNNNNNNNNNNNNNNNNNNNNNNNNNNNNNNNNNNNNNNNNNNNNNNNNNNNNNNNNNNNNNNNNNNNNNNNNNNNNNNNNNNNNNNNNNNNNNNNNNNNNNNNNNNNNNNNNNNNNNNNNNNNNNNNNNNNNNNNNNNNNNNNNNNNNNNNNNNNNNNNNNNNNNNNNNNNNNNNNNNNNNNNNNNNNNNNNNNNNNNNNNNNNNNNNNNNNNNNNNNNNNNNNNNNNNNNNNNNNNNNNNNNNNNNNNNNNNNNNNNNNNNNNNNNNNNNNNNNNNNNNNNNNNNNNNNNNNNNNNNNNNNNNNNNNNNNNNNNNNNNNNNNNNNNNNNNNNNNNNNNNNNNNNNNNNNNNNNNNNNNNNNNNNNNNNNNNNNNNNNNNNNNNNNNNNNNNNNNNNNNNNNNNNNNNNNNNNNNNNNNNNNNNNNNNNNNNNNNNNNNNNNNNNNNNNNNNNNNNNNNNNNNNNNNNNNNNNNNNNNNNNNNNNNNNNNNNNNNNNNNNNNNNNNNNNNNNNNNNNNNNNNNNNNNNNNNNNNNNNNNNNNNNNNNNNNNNNNNNNNNNNNNNNNNNNNNNNNNNNNNNNNNNNNNNNNNNNNNNNNNNNNNNNNNNNNNNNNNNNNNNNNNNNNNNNNNNNNNNNNNNNNNNNNNNNNNNNNNNNNNNNNNNNNNNNNNNNNNNNNNNNNNNNNNNNNNNNNNNNNNNNNNNNNNNNNNNNNNNNNNNNNNNNNNNNNNNNNNNNNNNNNNNNNNNNNNNNNNNNNNNNNNNNNNNNNNNNNNNNNNNNNNNNNNNNNNNNNNNNNNNNNNNNNNNNNNNNNNNNNNNNNNNNNNNNNNNNNNNNNNNNNNNNNNNNNNNNNNNNNNNNNNNNNNNNNNNNNNNNNNNNNNNNNNNNNNNNNNNNNNNNNNNNNNNNNNNNNNNNNNNNNNNNNNNNNNNNNNNNNNNNNNNNNNNNNNNNNNNNNNNNNNNNNNNNNNNNNNNNNNNNNNNNNNNNNNNNNNNNNNNNNNNNNNNNNNNNNNNNNNNNNNNNNNNNNNNNNNNNNNNNNNNNNNNNNNNNNNNNNNNNNNNNNNNNNNNNNNNNNNNNNNNNNNNNNNNNNNNNNNNNNNNNNNNNNNNNNNNNNNNNNNNNNNNNNNNNNNNNNNNNNNNNNNNNNNNNNNNNNNNNNNNNNNNNNNNNNNNNNNNNNNNNNNNNNNNNNNNNNNNNNNNNNNNNNNNNNNNNNNNNNNNNNNNNNNNNNNNNNNNNNNNNNNNNNNNNNNNNNNNNNNNNNNNNNNNNNNNNNNNNNNNNNNNNNNNNNNNNNNNNNNNNNNNNNNNNNNNNNNNNNNNNNNNNNNNNNNNNNNNNNNNNNNNNNNNNNNNNNNNNNNNNNNNNNNNNNNNNNNNNNNNNNNNNNNNNNNNNNNNNNNNNNNNNNNNNNNNNNNNNNNNNNNNNNNNNNNNNNNNNNNNNNNNNNNNNNNNNNNNNNNNNNNNNNNNNNNNNNNNNNNNNNNNNNNNNNNNNNNNNNNNNNNNNNNNNNNNNNNNNNNNNNNNNNNNNNNNNNNNNNNNNNNNNNNNNNNNNNNNNNNNNNNNNNNNNNNNNNNNNNNNNNNNNNNNNNNNNNNNNNNNNNNNNNNNNNNNNNNNNNNNNNNNNNNNNNNNNNNNNNNNNNNNNNNNNNNNNNNNNNNNNNNNNNNNNNNNNNNNNNNNNNNNNNNNNNNNNNNNNNNNNNNNNNNNNNNNNNNNNNNNNNNNNNNNNNNNNNNNNNNNNNNNNNNNNNNNNNNNNNNNNNNNNNNNNNNNNNNNNNNNNNNNNNNNNNNNNNNNNNNNNNNNNNNNNNNNNNNNNNNNNNNNNNNNNNNNNNNNNNNNNNNNNNNNNNNNNNNNNNNNNNNNNNNNNNNNNNNNNNNNNNNNNNNNNNNNNNNNNNNNNNNNNNNNNNNNNNNNNNNNNNNNNNNNNNNNNNNNNNNNNNNNNNNNNNNNNNNNNNNNNNNNNNNNNNNNNNNNNNNNNNNNNNNNNNNNNNNNNNNNNNNNNNNNNNNNNNNNNNNNNNNNNNNNNNNNNNNNNNNNNNNNNNNNNNNNNNNNNNNNNNNNNNNNNNNNNNNNNNNNNNNNNNNNNNNNNNNNNNNNNNNNNNNNNNNNNNNNNNNNNNNNNNNNNNNNNNNNNNNNNNNNNNNNNNNNNNNNNNNNNNNNNNNNNNNNNNNNNNNNNNNNNNNNNNNNNNNNNNNNNNNNNNNNNNNNNNNNNNNNNNNNNNNNNNNNNNNNNNNNNNNNNNNNNNNNNNNNNNNNNNNNNNNNNNNNNNNNNNNNNNNNNNNNNNNNNNNNNNNNNNNNNNNNNNNNNNNNNNNNNNNNNNNNNNNNNNNNNNNNNNNNNNNNNNNNNNNNNNNNNNNNNNNNNNNNNNNNNNNNNNNNNNNNNNNNNNNNNNNNNNNNNNNNNNNNNNNNNNNNNNNNNNNNNNNNNNNNNNNNNNNNNNNNNNNNNNNNNNNNNNNNNNNNNNNNNNNNNNNNNNNNNNNNNNNNNNNNNNNNNNNNNNNNNNNNNNNNNNNNNNNNNNNNNNNNNNNNNNNNNNNNNNNNNNNNNNNNNNNNNNNNNNNNNNNNNNNNNNNNNNNNNNNNNNNNNNNNNNNNNNNNNNNNNNNNNNNNNNNNNNNNNNNNNNNNNNNNNNNNNNNNNNNNNNNNNNNNNNNNNNNNNNNNNNNNNNNNNNNNNNNNNNNNNNNNNNNNNNNNNNNNNNNNNNNNNNNNNNNNNNNNNNNNNNNNNNNNNNNNNNNNNNNNNNNNNNNNNNNNNNNNNNNNNNNNNNNNNNNNNNNNNNNNNNNNNNNNNNNNNNNNNNNNNNNNNNNNNNNNNNNNNNNNNNNNNNNNNNNNNNNNNNNNNNNNNNNNNNNNNNNNNNNNNNNNNNNNNNNNNNNNNNNNNNNNNNNNNNNNNNNNNNNNNNNNNNNNNNNNNNNNNNNNNNNNNNNNNNNNNNNNNNNNNNNNNNNNNNNNNNNNNNNNNNNNNNNNNNNNNNNNNNNNNNNNNNNNNNNNNNNNNNNNNNNNNNNNNNNNNNNNNNNNNNNNNNNNNNNNNNNNNNNNNNNNNNNNNNNNNNNNNNNNNNNNNNNNNNNNNNNNNNNNNNNNNNNNNNNNNNNNNNNNNNNNNNNNNNNNNNNNNNNNNNNNNNNNNNNNNNNNNNNNNNNNNNNNNNNNNNNNNNNNNNNNNNNNNNNNNNNNNNNNNNNNNNNNNNNNNNNNNNNNNNNNNNNNNNNNNNNNNNNNNNNNNNNNNNNNNNNNNNNNNNNNNNNNNNNNNNNNNNNNNNNNNNNNNNNNNNNNNNNNNNNNNNNNNNNNNNNNNNNNNNNNNNNNNNNNNNNNNNNNNNNNNNNNNNNNNNNNNNNNNNNNNNNNNNNNNNNNNNNNNNNNNNNNNNNNNNNNNNNNNNNNNNNNNNNNNNNNNNNNNNNNNNNNNNNNNNNNNNNNNNNNNNNNNNNNNNNNNNNNNNNNNNNNNNNNNNNNNNNNNNNNNNNNNNNNNNNNNNNNNNNNNNNNNNNNNNNNNNNNNNNNNNNNNNNNNNNNNNNNNNNNNNNNNNNNNNNNNNNNNNNNNNNNNNNNNNNNNNNNNNNNNNNNNNNNNNNNNNNNNNNNNNNNNNNNNNNNNNNNNNNNNNNNNNNNNNNNNNNNNNNNNNNNNNNNNNNNNNNNNNNNNNNNNNNNNNNNNNNNNNNNNNNNNNNNNNNNNNNNNNNNNNNNNNNNNNNNNNNNNNNNNNNNNNNNNNNNNNNNNNNNNNNNNNNNNNNNNNNNNNNNNNNNNNNNNNNNNNNNNNNNNNNNNNNNNNNNNNNNNNNNNNNNNNNNNNNNNNNNNNNNNNNNNNNNNNNNNNNNNNNNNNNNNNNNNNNNNNNNNNNNNNNNNNNNNNNNNNNNNNNNNNNNNNNNNNNNNNNNNNNNNNNNNNNNNNNNNNNNNNNNNNNNNNNNNNNNNNNNNNNNNNNNNNNNNNNNNNNNNNNNNNNNNNNNNNNNNNNNNNNNNNNNNNNNNNNNNNNNNNNNNNNNNNNNNNNNNNNNNNNNNNNNNNNNNNNNNNNNNNNNNNNNNNNNNNNNNNNNNNNNNNNNNNNNNNNNNNNNNNNNNNNNNNNNNNNNNNNNNNNNNNNNNNNNNNNNNNNNNNNNNNNNNNNNNNNNNNNNNNNNNNNNNNNNNNNNNNNNNNNNNNNNNNNNNNNNNNNNNNNNNNNNNNNNNNNNNNNNNNNNNNNNNNNNNNNNNNNNNNNNNNNNNNNNNNNNNNNNNNNNNNNNNNNNNNNNNNNNNNNNNNNNNNNNNNNNNNNNNNNNNNNNNNNNNNNNNNNNNNNNNNNNNNNNNNNNNNNNNNNNNNNNNNNNNNNNNNNNNNNNNNNNNNNNNNNNNNNNNNNNNNNNNNNNNNNNNNNNNNNNNNNNNNNNNNNNNNNNNNNNNNNNNNNNNNNNNNNNNNNNNNNNNNNNNNNNNNNNNNNNNNNNNNNNNNNNNNNNNNNNNNNNNNNNNNNNNNNNNNNNNNNNNNNNNNNNNNNNNNNNNNNNNNNNNNNNNNNNNNNNNNNNNNNNNNNNNNNNNNNNNNNNNNNNNNNNNNNNNNNNNNNNNNNNNNNNNNNNNNNNNNNNNNNNNNNNNNNNNNNNNNNNNNNNNNNNNNNNNNNNNNNNNNNNNNNNNNNNNNNNNNNNNNNNNNNNNNNNNNNNNNNNNNNNNNNNNNNNNNNNNNNNNNNNNNNNNNNNNNNNNNNNNNNNNNNNNNNNNNNNNNNNNNNNNNNNNNNNNNNNNNNNNNNNNNNNNNNNNNNNNNNNNNNNNNNNNNNNNNNNNNNNNNNNNNNNNNNNNNNNNNNNNNNNNNNNNNNNNNNNNNNNNNNNNNNNNNNNNNNNNNNNNNNNNNNNNNNNNNNNNNNNNNNNNNNNNNNNNNNNNNNNNNNNNNNNNNNNNNNNNNNNNNNNNNNNNNNNNNNNNNNNNNNNNNNNNNNNNNNNNNNNNNNNNNNNNNNNNNNNNNNNNNNNNNNNNNNNNNNNNNNNNNNNNNNNNNNNNNNNNNNNNNNNNNNNNNNNNNNNNNNNNNNNNNNNNNNNNNNNNNNNNNNNNNNNNNNNNNNNNNNNNNNNNNNNNNNNNNNNNNNNNNNNNNNNNNNNNNNNNNNNNNNNNNNNNNNNNNNNNNNNNNNNNNNNNNNNNNNNNNNNNNNNNNNNNNNNNNNNNNNNNNNNNNNNNNNNNNNNNNNNNNNNNNNNNNNNNNNNNNNNNNNNNNNNNNNNNNNNNNNNNNNNNNNNNNNNNNNNNNNNNNNNNNNNNNNNNNNNNNNNNNNNNNNNNNNNNNNNNNNNNNNNNNNNNNNNNNNNNNNNNNNNNNNNNNNNNNNNNNNNNNNNNNNNNNNNNNNNNNNNNNNNNNNNNNNNNNNNNNNNNNNNNNNNNNNNNNNNNNNNNNNNNNNNNNNNNNNNNNNNNNNNNNNNNNNNNNNNNNNNNNNNNNNNNNNNNNNNNNNNNNNNNNNNNNNNNNNNNNNNNNNNNNNNNNNNNNNNNNNNNNNNNNNNNNNNNNNNNNNNNNNNNNNNNNNNNNNNNNNNNNNNNNNNNNNNNNNNNNNNNNNNNNNNNNNNNNNNNNNNNNNNNNNNNNNNNNNNNNNNNNNNNNNNNNNNNNNNNNNNNNNNNNNNNNNNNNNNNNNNNNNNNNNNNNNNNNNNNNNNNNNNNNNNNNNNNNNNNNNNNNNNNNNNNNNNNNNNNNNNNNNNNNNNNNNNNNNNNNNNNNNNNNNNNNNNNNNNNNNNNNNNNNNNNNNNNNNNNNNNNNNNNNNNNNNNNNNNNNNNNNNNNNNNNNNNNNNNNNNNNNNNNNNNNNNNNNNNNNNNNNNNNNNNNNNNNNNNNNNNNNNNNNNNNNNNNNNNNNNNNNNNNNNNNNNNNNNNNNNNNNNNNNNNNNNNNNNNNNNNNNNNNNNNNNNNNNNNNNNNNNNNNNNNNNNNNNNNNNNNNNNNNNNNNNNNNNNNNNNNNNNNNNNNNNNNNNNNNNNNNNNNNNNNNNNNNNNNNNNNNNNNNNNNNNNNNNNNNNNNNNNNNNNNNNNNNNNNNNNNNNNNNNNNNNNNNNNNNNNNNNNNNNNNNNNNNNNNNNNNNNNNNNNNNNNNNNNNNNNNNNNNNNNNNNNNNNNNNNNNNNNNNNNNNNNNNNNNNNNNNNNNNNNNNNNNNNNNNNNNNNNNNNNNNNNNNNNNNNNNNNNNNNNNNNNNNNNNNNNNNNNNNNNNNNNNNNNNNNNNNNNNNNNNNNNNNNNNNNNNNNNNNNNNNNNNNNNNNNNNNNNNNNNNNNNNNNNNNNNNNNNNNNNNNNNNNNNNNNNNNNNNNNNNNNNNNNNNNNNNNNNNNNNNNNNNNNNNNNNNNNNNNNNNNNNNNNNNNNNNNNNNNNNNNNNNNNNNNNNNNNNNNNNNNNNNNNNNNNNNNNNNNNNNNNNNNNNNNNNNNNNNNNNNNNNNNNNNNNNNNNNNNNNNNNNNNNNNNNNNNNNNNNNNNNNNNNNNNNNNNNNNNNNNNNNNNNNNNNNNNNNNNNNNNNNNNNNNNNNNNNNNNNNNNNNNNNNNNNNNNNNNNNNNNNNNNNNNNNNNNNNNNNNNNNNNNNNNNNNNNNNNNNNNNNNNNNNNNNNNNNNNNNNNNNNNNNNNNNNNNNNNNNNNNNNNNNNNNNNNNNNNNNNNNNNNNNNNNNNNNNNNNNNNNNNNNNNNNNNNNNNNNNNNNNNNNNNNNNNNNNNNNNNNNNNNNNNNNNNNNNNNNNNNNNNNNNNNNNNNNNNNNNNNNNNNNNNNNNNNNNNNNNNNNNNNNNNNNNNNNNNNNNNNNNNNNNNNNNNNNNNNNNNNNNNNNNNNNNNNNNNNNNNNNNNNNNNNNNNNNNNNNNNNNNNNNNNNNNNNNNNNNNNNNNNNNNNNNNNNNNNNNNNNNNNNNNNNNNNNNNNNNNNNNNNNNNNNNNNNNNNNNNNNNNNNNNNNNNNNNNNNNNNNNNNNNNNNNNNNNNNNNNNNNNNNNNNNNNNNNNNNNNNNNNNNNNNNNNNNNNNNNNNNNNNNNNNNNNNNNNNNNNNNNNNNNNNNNNNNNNNNNNNNNNNNNNNNNNNNNNNNNNNNNNNNNNNNNNNNNNNNNNNNNNNNNNNNNNNNNNNNNNNNNNNNNNNNNNNNNNNNNNNNNNNNNNNNNNNNNNNNNNNNNNNNNNNNNNNNNNNNNNNNNNNNNNNNNNNNNNNNNNNNNNNNNNNNNNNNNNNNNNNNNNNNNNNNNNNNNNNNNNNNNNNNNNNNNNNNNNNNNNNNNNNNNNNNNNNNNNNNNNNNNNNNNNNNNNNNNNNNNNNNNNNNNNNNNNNNNNNNNNNNNNNNNNNNNNNNNNNNNNNNNNNNNNNNNNNNNNNNNNNNNNNNNNNNNNNNNNNNNNNNNNNNNNNNNNNNNNNNNNNNNNNNNNNNNNNNNNNNNNNNNNNNNNNNNNNNNNNNNNNNNNNNNNNNNNNNNNNNNNNNNNNNNNNNNNNNNNNNNNNNNNNNNNNNNNNNNNNNNNNNNNNNNNNNNNNNNNNNNNNNNNNNNNNNNNNNNNNNNNNNNNNNNNNNNNNNNNNNNNNNNNNNNNNNNNNNNNNNNNNNNNNNNNNNNNNNNNNNNNNNNNNNNNNNNNNNNNNNNNNNNNNNNNNNNNNNNNNNNNNNNNNNNNNNNNNNNNNNNNNNNNNNNNNNNNNNNNNNNNNNNNNNNNNNNNNNNNNNNNNNNNNNNNNNNNNNNNNNNNNNNNNNNNNNNNNNNNNNNNNNNNNNNNNNNNNNNNNNNNNNNNNNNNNNNNNNNNNNNNNNNNNNNNNNNNNNNNNNNNNNNNNNNNNNNNNNNNNNNNNNNNNNNNNNNNNNNNNNNNNNNNNNNNNNNNNNNNNNNNNNNNNNNNNNNNNNNNNNNNNNNNNNNNNNNNNNNNNNNNNNNNNNNNNNNNNNNNNNNNNNNNNNNNNNNNNNNNNNNNNNNNNNNNNNNNNNNNNNNNNNNNNNNNNNNNNNNNNNNNNNNNNNNNNNNNNNNNNNNNNNNNNNNNNNNNNNNNNNNNNNNNNNNNNNNNNNNNNNNNNNNNNNNNNNNNNNNNNNNNNNNNNNNNNNNNNNNNNNNNNNNNNNNNNNNNNNNNNNNNNNNNNNNNNNNNNNNNNNNNNNNNNNNNNNNNNNNNNNNNNNNNNNNNNNNNNNNNNNNNNNNNNNNNNNNNNNNNNNNNNNNNNNNNNNNNNNNNNNNNNNNNNNNNNNNNNNNNNNNNNNNNNNNNNNNNNNNNNNNNNNNNNNNNNNNNNNNNNNNNNNNNNNNNNNNNNNNNNNNNNNNNNNNNNNNNNNNNNNNNNNNNNNNNNNNNNNNNNNNNNNNNNNNNNNNNNNNNNNNNNNNNNNNNNNNNNNNNNNNNNNNNNNNNNNNNNNNNNNNNNNNNNNNNNNNNNNNNNNNNNNNNNNNNNNNNNNNNNNNNNNNNNNNNNNNNNNNNNNNNNNNNNNNNNNNNNNNNNNNNNNNNNNNNNNNNNNNNNNNNNNNNNNNNNNNNNNNNNNNNNNNNNNNNNNNNNNNNNNNNNNNNNNNNNNNNNNNNNNNNNNNNNNNNNNNNNNNNNNNNNNNNNNNNNNNNNNNNNNNNNNNNNNNNNNNNNNNNNNNNNNNNNNNNNNNNNNNNNNNNNNNNNNNNNNNNNNNNNNNNNNNNNNNNNNNNNNNNNNNNNNNNNNNNNNNNNNNNNNNNNNNNNNNNNNNNNNNNNNNNNNNNNNNNNNNNNNNNNNNNNNNNNNNNNNNNNNNNNNNNNNNNNNNNNNNNNNNNNNNNNNNNNNNNNNNNNNNNNNNNNNNNNNNNNNNNNNNNNNNNNNNNNNNNNNNNNNNNNNNNNNNNNNNNNNNNNNNNNNNNNNNNNNNNNNNNNNNNNNNNNNNNNNNNNNNNNNNNNNNNNNNNNNNNNNNNNNNNNNNNNNNNNNNNNNNNNNNNNNNNNNNNNNNNNNNNNNNNNNNNNNNNNNNNNNNNNNNNNNNNNNNNNNNNNNNNNNNNNNNNNNNNNNNNNNNNNNNNNNNNNNNNNNNNNNNNNNNNNNNNNNNNNNNNNNNNNNNNNNNNNNNNNNNNNNNNNNNNNNNNNNNNNNNNNNNNNNNNNNNNNNNNNNNNNNNNNNNNNNNNNNNNNNNNNNNNNNNNNNNNNNNNNNNNNNNNNNNNNNNNNNNNNNNNNNNNNNNNNNNNNNNNNNNNNNNNNNNNNNNNNNNNNNNNNNNNNNNNNNNNNNNNNNNNNNNNNNNNNNNNNNNNNNNNNNNNNNNNNNNNNNNNNNNNNNNNNNNNNNNNNNNNNNNNNNNNNNNNNNNNNNNNNNNNNNNNNNNNNNNNNNNNNNNNNNNNNNNNNNNNNNNNNNNNNNNNNNNNNNNNNNNNNNNNNNNNNNNNNNNNNNNNNNNNNNNNNNNNNNNNNNNNNNNNNNNNNNNNNNNNNNNNNNNNNNNNNNNNNNNNNNNNNNNNNNNNNNNNNNNNNNNNNNNNNNNNNNNNNNNNNNNNNNNNNNNNNNNNNNNNNNNNNNNNNNNNNNNNNNNNNNNNNNNNNNNNNNNNNNNNNNNNNNNNNNNNNNNNNNNNNNNNNNNNNNNNNNNNNNNNNNNNNNNNNNNNNNNNNNNNNNNNNNNNNNNNNNNNNNNNNNNNNNNNNNNNNNNNNNNNNNNNNNNNNNNNNNNNNNNNNNNNNNNNNNNNNNNNNNNNNNNNNNNNNNNNNNNNNNNNNNNNNNNNNNNNNNNNNNNNNNNNNNNNNNNNNNNNNNNNNNNNNNNNNNNNNNNNNNNNNNNNNNNNNNNNNNNNNNNNNNNNNNNNNNNNNNNNNNNNNNNNNNNNNNNNNNNNNNNNNNNNNNNNNNNNNNNNNNNNNNNNNNNNNNNNNNNNNNNNNNNNNNNNNNNNNNNNNNNNNNNNNNNNNNNNNNNNNNNNNNNNNNNNNNNNNNNNNNNNNNNNNNNNNNNNNNNNNNNNNNNNNNNNNNNNNNNNNNNNNNNNNNNNNNNNNNNNNNNNNNNNNNNNNNNNNNNNNNNNNNNNNNNNNNNNNNNNNNNNNNNNNNNNNNNNNNNNNNNNNNNNNNNNNNNNNNNNNNNNNNNNNNNNNNNNNNNNNNNNNNNNNNNNNNNNNNNNNNNNNNNNNNNNNNNNNNNNNNNNNNNNNNNNNNNNNNNNNNNNNNNNNNNNNNNNNNNNNNNNNNNNNNNNNNNNNNNNNNNNNNNNNNNNNNNNNNNNNNNNNNNNNNNNNNNNNNNNNNNNNNNNNNNNNNNNNNNNNNNNNNNNNNNNNNNNNNNNNNNNNNNNNNNNNNNNNNNNNNNNNNNNNNNNNNNNNNNNNNNNNNNNNNNNNNNNNNNNNNNNNNNNNNNNNNNNNNNNNNNNNNNNNNNNNNNNNNNNNNNNNNNNNNNNNNNNNNNNNNNNNNNNNNNNNNNNNNNNNNNNNNNNNNNNNNNNNNNNNNNNNNNNNNNNNNNNNNNNNNNNNNNNNNNNNNNNNNNNNNNNNNNNNNNNNNNNNNNNNNNNNNNNNNNNNNNNNNNNNNNNNNNNNNNNNNNNNNNNNNNNNNNNNNNNNNNNNNNNNNNNNNNNNNNNNNNNNNNNNNNNNNNNNNNNNNNNNNNNNNNNNNNNNNNNNNNNNNNNNNNNNNNNNNNNNNNNNNNNNNNNNNNNNNNNNNNNNNNNNNNNNNNNNNNNNNNNNNNNNNNNNNNNNNNNNNNNNNNNNNNNNNNNNNNNNNNNNNNNNNNNNNNNNNNNNNNNNNNNNNNNNNNNNNNNNNNNNNNNNNNNNNNNNNNNNNNNNNNNNNNNNNNNNNNNNNNNNNNNNNNNNNNNNNNNNNNNNNNNNNNNNNNNNNNNNNNNNNNNNNNNNNNNNNNNNNNNNNNNNNNNNNNNNNNNNNNNNNNNNNNNNNNNNNNNNNNNNNNNNNNNNNNNNNNNNNNNNNNNNNNNNNNNNNNNNNNNNNNNNNNNNNNNNNNNNNNNNNNNNNNNNNNNNNNNNNNNNNNNNNNNNNNNNNNNNNNNNNNNNNNNNNNNNNNNNNNNNNNNNNNNNNNNNNNNNNNNNNNNNNNNNNNNNNNNNNNNNNNNNNNNNNNNNNNNNNNNNNNNNNNNNNNNNNNNNNNNNNNNNNNNNNNNNNNNNNNNNNNNNNNNNNNNNNNNNNNNNNNNNNNNNNNNNNNNNNNNNNNNNNNNNNNNNNNNNNNNNNNNNNNNNNNNNNNNNNNNNNNNNNNNNNNNNNNNNNNNNNNNNNNNNNNNNNNNNNNNNNNNNNNNNNNNNNNNNNNNNNNNNNNNNNNNNNNNNNNNNNNNNNNNNNNNNNNNNNNNNNNNNNNNNNNNNNNNNNNNNNNNNNNNNNNNNNNNNNNNNNNNNNNNNNNNNNNNNNNNNNNNNNNNNNNNNNNNNNNNNNNNNNNNNNNNNNNNNNNNNNNNNNNNNNNNNNNNNNNNNNNNNNNNNNNNNNNNNNNNNNNNNNNNNNNNNNNNNNNNNNNNNNNNNNNNNNNNNNNNNNNNNNNNNNNNNNNNNNNNNNNNNNNNNNNNNNNNNNNNNNNNNNNNNNNNNNNNNNNNNNNNNNNNNNNNNNNNNNNNNNNNNNNNNNNNNNNNNNNNNNNNNNNNNNNNNNNNNNNNNNNNNNNNNNNNNNNNNNNNNNNNNNNNNNNNNNNNNNNNNNNNNNNNNNNNNNNNNNNNNNNNNNNNNNNNNNNNNNNNNNNNNNNNNNNNNNNNNNNNNNNNNNNNNNNNNNNNNNNNNNNNNNNNNNNNNNNNNNNNNNNNNNNNNNNNNNNNNNNNNNNNNNNNNNNNNNNNNNNNNNNNNNNNNNNNNNNNNNNNNNNNNNNNNNNNNNNNNNNNNNNNNNNNNNNNNNNNNNNNNNNNNNNNNNNNNNNNNNNNNNNNNNNNNNNNNNNNNNNNNNNNNNNNNNNNNNNNNNNNNNNNNNNNNNNNNNNNNNNNNNNNNNNNNNNNNNNNNNNNNNNNNNNNNNNNNNNNNNNNNNNNNNNNNNNNNNNNNNNNNNNNNNNNNNNNNNNNNNNNNNNNNNNNNNNNNNNNNNNNNNNNNNNNNNNNNNNNNNNNNNNNNNNNNNNNNNNNNNNNNNNNNNNNNNNNNNNNNNNNNNNNNNNNNNNNNNNNNNNNNNNNNNNNNNNNNNNNNNNNNNNNNNNNNNNNNNNNNNNNNNNNNNNNNNNNNNNNNNNNNNNNNNNNNNNNNNNNNNNNNNNNNNNNNNNNNNNNNNNNNNNNNNNNNNNNNNNNNNNNNNNNNNNNNNNNNNNNNNNNNNNNNNNNNNNNNNNNNNNNNNNNNNNNNNNNNNNNNNNNNNNNNNNNNNNNNNNNNNNNNNNNNNNNNNNNNNNNNNNNNNNNNNNNNNNNNNNNNNNNNNNNNNNNNNNNNNNNNNNNNNNNNNNNNNNNNNNNNNNNNNNNNNNNNNNNNNNNNNNNNNNNNNNNNNNNNNNNNNNNNNNNNNNNNNNNNNNNNNNNNNNNNNNNNNNNNNNNNNNNNNNNNNNNNNNNNNNNNNNNNNNNNNNNNNNNNNNNNNNNNNNNNNNNNNNNNNNNNNNNNNNNNNNNNNNNNNNNNNNNNNNNNNNNNNNNNNNNNNNNNNNNNNNNNNNNNNNNNNNNNNNNNNNNNNNNNNNNNNNNNNNNNNNNNNNNNNNNNNNNNNNNNNNNNNNNNNNNNNNNNNNNNNNNNNNNNNNNNNNNNNNNNNNNNNNNNNNNNNNNNNNNNNNNNNNNNNNNNNNNNNNNNNNNNNNNNNNNNNNNNNNNNNNNNNNNNNNNNNNNNNNNNNNNNNNNNNNNNNNNNNNNNNNNNNNNNNNNNNNNNNNNNNNNNNNNNNNNNNNNNNNNNNNNNNNNNNNNNNNNNNNNNNNNNNNNNNNNNNNNNNNNNNNNNNNNNNNNNNNNNNNNNNNNNNNNNNNNNNNNNNNNNNNNNNNNNNNNNNNNNNNNNNNNNNNNNNNNNNNNNNNNNNNNNNNNNNNNNNNNNNNNNNNNNNNNNNNNNNNNNNNNNNNNNNNNNNNNNNNNNNNNNNNNNNNNNNNNNNNNNNNNNNNNNNNNNNNNNNNNNNNNNNNNNNNNNNNNNNNNNNNNNNNNNNNNNNNNNNNNNNNNNNNNNNNNNNNNNNNNNNNNNNNNNNNNNNNNNNNNNNNNNNNNNNNNNNNNNNNNNNNNNNNNNNNNNNNNNNNNNNNNNNNNNNNNNNNNNNNNNNNNNNNNNNNNNNNNNNNNNNNNNNNNNNNNNNNNNNNNNNNNNNNNNNNNNNNNNNNNNNNNNNNNNNNNNNNNNNNNNNNNNNNNNNNNNNNNNNNNNNNNNNNNNNNNNNNNNNNNNNNNNNNNNNNNNNNNNNNNNNNNNNNNNNNNNNNNNNNNNNNNNNNNNNNNNNNNNNNNNNNNNNNNNNNNNNNNNNNNNNNNNNNNNNNNNNNNNNNNNNNNNNNNNNNNNNNNNNNNNNNNNNNNNNNNNNNNNNNNNNNNNNNNNNNNNNNNNNNNNNNNNNNNNNNNNNNNNNNNNNNNNNNNNNNNNNNNNNNNNNNNNNNNNNNNNNNNNNNNNNNNNNNNNNNNNNNNNNNNNNNNNNNNNNNNNNNNNNNNNNNNNNNNNNNNNNNNNNNNNNNNNNNNNNNNNNNNNNNNNNNNNNNNNNNNNNNNNNNNNNNNNNNNNNNNNNNNNNNNNNNNNNNNNNNNNNNNNNNNNNNNNNNNNNNNNNNNNNNNNNNNNNNNNNNNNNNNNNNNNNNNNNNNNNNNNNNNNNNNNNNNNNNNNNNNNNNNNNNNNNNNNNNNNNNNNNNNNNNNNNNNNNNNNNNNNNNNNNNNNNNNNNNNNNNNNNNNNNNNNNNNNNNNNNNNNNNNNNNNNNNNNNNNNNNNNNNNNNNNNNNNNNNNNNNNNNNNNNNNNNNNNNNNNNNNNNNNNNNNNNNNNNNNNNNNNNNNNNNNNNNNNNNNNNNNNNNNNNNNNNNNNNNNNNNNNNNNNNNNNNNNNNNNNNNNNNNNNNNNNNNNNNNNNNNNNNNNNNNNNNNNNNNNNNNNAUGUCUAGUGUGAUGCAAAAUCCAGCAGCACUAUGUGUGUGUUGUGUUUUUGCUAAUUAAUAUAAUUAUUUUUUAUUCAAUAUUCAUAAAAAGUAAUAAAGGAAAAAAAUAUCAAUCCAAAACUACCCUACUCGCUCUUAUUUUAACCCAAAGUUUGAAAUCCAACAAAAUUGAUGUCAAAGUAUAAUUUGAAUACAAAAGUCAUUUUUACUAAAAAAAAAAUUUUUUAAAAAAUAAUAUUAUAUUAUGUUUGACAGUAAUUUUAUAAAAUAUUUAUAAUCUUUUUAAUACUUUAAAAGAUAAAAAAAUUUUAAGUGUUACAAAGUUCAGAAACACCUCCUAAGAUUACUACCAAACGUAUUUUUAAUAUCUAUGCUUGUUCCAUAUGGUAUAAGUGUCACAUCUUUUUUUUAUUUUCUUUUUUAUAAAUUAUAAUUAAAAUAAUAAAAAGAAAAUCUUUGUUACUUCUAAUAGAGAUUAGAUAUUGAAAUAUAAAGCAUGUUUGUUAAUCUCUCAAUUUAUUUAGAACACAAAAAAGAAACAUGUUUAAUAAUAUAAAAUAGAAAACAUCAUGGUAUGUUUUGAGAAUAUCUUUUGGUUAUAUUCAAUUUUUUUUCAUUAUUUGAUGAGAAUUGUUUUAAAAAAUAAUUAUACAAAUAUAAAAAAAAUGACUAAAGAUAAAUUAUUAUAAAUAAAAAUUAUUUUAAAAUAUUUGAAGUUUUCAAAUAAAUUUUUAGUUUAUAAAAUAUCAAAAAAUUAUUUUCGAAAACACCUUGUAGAUAGUUUUUAUAACAAAGCUUUUUUUUUUAUGCCCAAUGAAUACAGACAUUUGAAAAGGAAAAAAAAAACUAUACAGUACUCAAUUUUUGUGAGAGUAGAGUUUGAGGUUAAAAUACCAUUUAAUUUAUUUAUUAAAACUAGUAAAAUCAAUUAUUAUUUUAAAAAACAAAUUAAAAAAAUAUUUAUUUGAUAAUAUUAUAAUAAUUAAUUAAAAAAAAUUUGUAAGAUAUUUAUUUUAAACAUAAUAUUUAUUUAAUAUACAUGGUCACUAAUGUUGGACACCUUCCCACUUAGUAGAGUAACCUAGAAUAUUAAUACAUUAUAAUGAGAGUAGAUGAUAAAAAAGUUUGCGAAAGGAACUCAAAAUAAGUGACUUUCUGCUACAAAGGGUGCUCAACAACAAGAGAAACCCAAAAGAUGGAAAACUAGGGCUAAAUUAUGAAGACUCUAUCAAAUCUACCAUGAAACUGGAAUUUGCCUUUUCAAAAUUCANNNNNNNNNNNNNNNNNNNNNNNNNNNNNNNNNNNNNNNNNNNNNNNNNNNNNNNNNNNNNNNNNNNNNNNNNNNNNNNNNNNNNNNNNNNNNNNNNNNNNNNNNNNNNNNNNNNNNNNNNNNNNNNNNNNNNNNNNNNNNNNNNNNNNNNNNNNNNNNNNNNNNNNNNNNNNNNNNNNNNNNNNNNUACCCCCAAAAAAUAAGUUGACCAUCACCUAGGAACUUUGGAGUCCUUAAUAAGAGCAUUAUGUCAUAGACUUAGUCUUUUCCUAAGCUUGUGCGACACUUAGACAAGUCAAGACACUUAAUCUUGCUAAGUCAGUCUGUUUCCCAAUGCUUAGCUUGCUAGGCUAAGAUGCUCACGACUCGGAAGCUUGAGAAGGCGUAGUAGGCAACUCUUAAAGAACGGAAGUUGUUAUUACUCAAGGAAGCCUUUACAAGUGCUUUUGGGAACUCACUUGUUUGGUUAGGAAGUGAUUUGGGUGAUCCCUUGGCCAAAUGAGGCACUCACCUAUUUAUAGGCACCAAUGGAACUCUCUGGAACCUUGGAGGGUUCCUUACAAAUUAAGAAGAUUCUAGAAUACCCUACACAAUUCUAUGUACAACCCUAUGACAAGAGAUCUCUAGAAUUCUCUAGAAAGCCUUGGACUCCUCUCAUGCCUUCCACCAUAGUGUAGAGAUGUGUGGACAUCUCUAGGCAUCUCUAGAACCUUCCAUACUCUUCCUUCCAAUGGCUUAGUGUAGAUGGCUCUAGGAGUCUCCAAAAGCUUUCUAGGCUCUAUAUAAAUCCAUGAGGAGGCUCAUUUGAAGCAUCCUAUGACACUCUCCCCCUCCUAUGCCGUUGACGUCCUUGUCGUUGCCUCUUCCUGAAACCUCUCGAUUGGUUUCCAGAACCUUCUCAAGGCAUCCGCAUAUUCCCAGCUUACAUGCCUCCUAGGUAGUCCUUUCCAUCGGACUAGAUACUCUAUCACAGGAGGGACCCUUAUUCUCUUGGUGACCCAUUCAACCAGGAUAUUUUUCACCUCCUUUUCUUGUGAGGCCUUGGAUGGAUGCAGAUCCUUGCACUUUCGAUGCUUGGAGUGCUGCUUCCUCUUACCCAUCAAGUUCACAUUUCCCUUGGUGACCUUGUCGAUGUAUGUGCAGGCUACCUUAGCUUGCACCCCUUUUACCUCCUUUACUUGCACCCUUGAUAGUAAGGAGGUCUUAGGCGUACUAGGCUUUGGGUUGAAUUGGAGGGCACCUAGUAACUGCAUCAAGCUCAUAUGUGCUUCGUCCUCCUGUUCCCUCUCCUUGAUCAUGGCACUGAGCGCCUUCCUCUUUGGACAAUCCCGUGCCCAAUGUGGAUCGUCACAUAGGAAGCAUUUGAUUUUAGGCGUAAACUCCUUCCUUUCCACCUUACCCCUUCUUUCUCGAACAUUAGGCGUCUUGCCUAAUCCCAUUCUAAGAGCAUUGUGGUCCCUUGAGACCUUGUCUCCCCCACCCAUGGUGUGGCUAUCCUCCAAAGACUCAACCUUGGAGGAGUCUCCCCUUUUGUAGCCCGUUAAAGACUCUGCUACUGCCAUAGUAGUCGCUAAGUCUUGAAUACCUCGGCGCCUUAAUUCCUGCUCGGCCCACCCUUGCAGGUUAUCCAUGAAGUUGAAUAACAACUCCUCCUUAGUCAUGUUAUGAAUCUCAAGCAUGAGUGAAGAGAAUUCCUUAACAUAGUCUCAUAUCGAGCUUGUAUGCUUGAGAUGCCUCAUGUUUUUCCUAGCCAAGUAGGCCACGUCCUCGGGGUAGAAUUGCCUUUUGAUUUCCCUCUUAAAGUCUUCCCACGUCUCUAUGGUGCAAAUGUCUUUCUCCAUAUCGGCAAACCUCCAAUACCACCAUAGAGUAGUUGUGUCAGUGAGGUAGAGGGUUGCAGUCCUUACCUUAGUCUCCUCAUCAGUUAGUGUGAUAACCUCGAAGUAUCGCUCCAUAUGCCAUAAGAAGUUGUCCAACUCCUUGGCAUCCCGCUUGCCACUAAACCAUUGUGGCUUCAGCACCUCCACCCUAGAUGCCUCCUGGGUGGCCAUGACUUGUGCCGACACAGCAACCUUGUAGAUGGCCAACUCCUGCCUAACCUCAUGGUCUCGAGACUCCAUUCGAGUGGCCAAGGCCUCUAUCCUUGACUCCAUGUUAGCAAGCAUGCUCAAGACCUUUUAUUGGAAAGACAUGAACUCCUCAUGUGACACCGGUUGAACUUGUGAGCCUAGCACCCCCUCACGAAGGUCUUAGAUCUGCUCCCUUAGAUCCUCAAUACCCUUCUCCAUGCCUUGCUCGAUCAAGUCCACCCCUUCCCGGGUGUCCGCCAUGGCUAGCUCCACCUUGACUAGCCUUGCCUCCAUGUUGGCUAUGGCAUCACGAGACUUAUCCUUCCUGCCCCUGCCCCGUGUAGUAGGCUCGAUCUCCCUUCCACGGGUUUGCUCGCUAGUCUCCUCCAUGUUAGAGCCCAACAUGCUUUCUUUACUAUGCUCGUUUCAUAGCCGUGCUCUGGUACCACUUGUCACAGACUUAGUCUUUUCCUAAGCUUAUGCAGCACUUAGACAAGUCAAGACACUUGAUUUUGCUAAGUCAGCCUGUCUCCCAAUGCUUAGCUUGCUAGGCUAAGAUGCUCACGACUCGGAAGCUUGAGAAGGCGUAGUAGGCAACUCUUAAAGAAUGGAAGUUGUUAUUACUCAAGGAAGCCUUUACAAGUGCUUUUGGGAACUCACUUGCUUGGUUAGGAAGUGAUUUGGGUGGUCCCUUGGCCAAAUGAGGCCCUCCCCUAUUUAUAGGCACCAAUGGAACUCUCUGGAACCUUGGAGGGUUCCUUUCAAAUUAAGAAGAUUCUAGAAUACCCUACACAAUUCUAUGUACAACCCUAUGUACAAGAGAUCUCUAGAAUUCUCUAGAAAGCCUUGGACUCCUCUCAUGCCUUCCACCACAGUGUAGAGAUGUGUGGACAUUUCUAGGCAUCUCUAGAACCUUCCACACUCUUCCUUCCAAUAGCUUAGUGUAGAUGGCUCCAAGAGUCUCCAAAAGCUUCUUGGGCUCUAUAUAAAUCCAUGAGGAGGCUCAUUUGAAGCAUCCUGUAACAAAUAGCUCAAAAUAAAAGAGGAAAUCUAAGUAUUGGAAAAAAGGUUAGUUUUCUAAAUGUAGUUGACAUCAUUUGAUAAAGUAGUGCCUUAAAAUUAUGCUAGUUCUAAAUAAUUUGAGAGGGCAUAUGCUCUAAAAAUGCAAAUGAUCUAAAUAUAGGAAGAGAAAUCCAAUGAGAAAAAGAAAAAGAAAGAAGACUGUUAUCAAAAGGAAUUUUGGAAUUCGUGAUAAAAAAAAAAAAAAAGGAAAGUGGCCCACUCACGCAAUCCAUUAUGCAACUCUACUAUGCCUACCUAUGGUCCACUAUAUUUGAUGCUAUUAUAGUUAAGUUAACCCUUGACACUACUAUAAUUGAGUUUGCUAUUGACAUUGUUGCAACUAAGUUCACUAUAUUACAACCAUACUCACUAUUAUAGUCUUCUUGCAAACAUACUCAUUAUCCCUACAUCUUUCGAAGGAACCCUUUAAAAUCUCAACUCUUUUACCUAUUAAGUGUAUCUUAAAUGAGCCUUCUAACUAUUGAAUUUUGAAGGUAAGACAUUAAUUCUCUACAACAUCACCGAGAUUCAUCUCCAAUAAGGGUGGAUCUACCUUAAGAAUAGUAUUUUCAUCAUGGAUCUACUUUAAGAAUAGUAUGUUCAUCCGACCUCAAUAAUUCUAAUAUGAUAAGUAUCUAAAUUCCCUUUUGUUAUUUCCUUAUUUGUUGAUGUUUUGUGUUCAACUUAGUUUAGACUUAGUUUCAACUUCUAGAAUAUUUAAAAACAACCAUGGUUGAAAAUUUCUCUUUUUUUUUGUCAAAAUUUCGACGAAAUAUCGGUUUCGGUGAUCAGCAAUACGAAAGAAGGGAGCGAAAUGUCGAUGGAGAAAUUUCAGCAAAUUUCGGUUAAAAUCAUCGAAAAAUUGGCUCCUAGCGAAAUUUCGACGAUUUUUCUUAACUUUUUCGAUUGGUCAACACGGGUUAACAUGCUACAGUGCUUCUUUUAUAGUGAAAUGCUACAAUAUGCCAUUACAGUGAAAGCUUGAUAAAAAUCCAAAAUGCUACAGUGUGCUACUAUAGUGAAAGCUUGAUAAAAAUCCCUUUUAGUUUGCUGUUGGGGAGACAAAAGCUUCAAUUGAGGUGUGGUGAACCAUUAGGGCAAGUAUGCCCUUUGUUAAAUAUGUUGCACCAAACAUAUUUAUAUUAAAAGUCAUCAAAUAAACAAAAUAUUAAAAGAAUAUUUUAAAUAAAAAAUUAAUUAUAAUUAUUUUAUAAUUAAAUAAAAAAUUUUCAUUUAAUUGAUUACCAAAAAUAUAAAAUUAUUAUGAUAAUUUUCUUCAUAGUGUUUUUAAUAUCAUUAAUAAAUUAAUUAAAUAUUAAAAAGUUAUACAUAUAUCACAAUUCAUUUUACACAAUUUAAUACAAUUGAAUUAAAUGAAUCAUAAUUUUAAUAUUAAAUAUAUUUUAAAAUUAGGCAUAUUAUAAUCAAAUAUCACAAUAUUGUUAUGAAAUAAUAUUUAAUAUAAUUUAAUAAUAAAUGUACACUUAUAAAAUUCAUAUUUUUUUUAUCGAUGCAUAAAAUAUUAUUAUCAAAUAUGAUAAAUUAUAUAUAUAUAUAUAUCAAAUUCUUUAGCAAAACAAUUUUUAAAUGUCUAUUAUAUUUCUAAUUACAUUUUUAUAAGGUUUUUCUUACAUUCCUAUGAAUUUUGAUUAAUUUUAGGUCUAUCGAUAUUUUUUUUCCAAAAUAUCCAUCGAUAUAUCUCUAAUAUAUCAGUAAUUACCAAUAUUUUUAUCCUUAAAAACAACACAACACCACUUGUACCAAAGGCAUAACACCCACUAAAUUUAGUUAAGUCAUUGAGGGACCCCCAAUUACUUUGAAAGAUUGGAAUGACACGUGGAACUACUUAUAUUCCAUGGAUUUCUUAUGUUAAUGGGAUUUUUUAAAUUUUUAUUUGGUAAUUGUUGUGAGUAUUAAGUGGUAAGGUAUGACAAAUUUGAUGAGGAAAUUCUUUACAUUUAGAGAUCCUAGCAUAUGGGUUCAAUUUGUCUUACUCUUCAUUAAGAAUUAACUUUCAAGGAAAUGUAGUUAAGGAUAUCAAAUGGAGGUAUUCUAUAUCAAUUUUGAUCUAAAAAUUUAAGGUUCUAGUCAGGCUGAACUUUUACCUAAAAUUAUUUAAAAACAUUUUAGGAUCAUAAAAUUAUCAAAAAGUUUAAGCUUUACUUUGAUUAUGACCACCAUUACAAGUAAUUAUAUAGUACAUGUCUUUCAAAAUUUGUGAUAAAUCAAUAUUUCUUGAAUAUGUUUAUUAUAUUUGCUUCUUAUUAAAAUGCAUUAUAUAUAUAUAUAUAUAUAUAUAUAUAUAUUAUUUGAAUGUUUUGCUCAAAACUAGAUUUUUCUUUGGAUAUUGGUAUUUAGGUAGUUAAUUAACUUCUUGUUAAAUCUUGUAAAUGGCAUGAUUAUGAAUGAUGAAUGUAUUUACUUUUAACGUUAUAAUACACCCUAGACCAAAUUUUUAUGAGACGAGGUACAAUUGGCAUCCAAAUAACCUUGUUAAUGUGCCAUGUGAAAAGAGGGUUGCAACACUAGCAAGUAGCUAAUAUAUAAUGUGAGUGUGCUUAGUAUCAUGUGAGGAAGGACACUCUUAUUGAAUUGCCAUGUGAUCAAUUAUGUUGAUGGCUAUGAUGAUGGGCACAUAUCAUUAUGUGUAUGAUAAUUUUUUUUAUUGUAACUAUGAUUUUUGAAGAUUUGAUUAGGCUAAUUAAUUUGAGAAGUUAAGGACACAAGUUCAUGAAAUCCAAAAACUCACUAUUCACCUUAGCACUAUUUAUCAAGCUUAGAUUUACAAUUACAAGAGAAUUAUACAUUAUUAAUAUGAUAAUGAUAUUUAAUGUCAUCAAUCUUCACUUAAUUAGAAUGAUUAAAGCUUGUUUACAUAGACUUCUUGUUUUUUAUUUUAAAAUUUGAGAUGGUACAAUUUUUCUAUAUCUUAAUUUUUAAAAAUUCAUUAUCCUUUUAAGCUAAAUUUUUAAGAAUUCUUUGAUUUUAUAUUUCAUUUUUUGUUUUAUGAAAGUAAAAAACAAGAAAUGCAUCCAAAUAACAUAUUUAUUAUUCACUCAUAAUUGUUCUUUCCCAAAGUAUUAAAAAAAUUUAGAUUCACUAGAAUCAAUAAAUAUGGUAUUUGUAAAUUUCAUAGGUCUUGAAUCAAUUUUUAAAGUAAUCAAUGAAUUAAAAUAACAAUGAAUUCAUUGCAAANNNNNNNNNNNNNNNNNNNNNNNNNNNNNNNNNNNNNNNNNNNNNNNNNNNNNNNNNNNNNNNNNNNNNNNNNNNNNNNNNNNNNNNNNNNNNNNNNNNNNNNNNNNNNNNNNNNNNNNUCAAAAACCCCAAAAUGUUGAAGAGUGAAAAUAUGCUUGCUUUCUUAGCAAAUACUGAAUCCUAAAUCUAUGCAUAUCUUUACUACAAAAGAUUUUAUUAGUGCUUUAAAUAAUCUUAAUUGCCAUAUAUUUAGAUUGUGAUGUUAUAUCAUUCAUCUUUUGUUUAUUAUCUUCCUCUUUGAUUUAAAUUACUUAUUAUUUUUAGCAAUUUUUUACAAUUAAUUUUCAUUUUUAUUAUCGAAAAAAUAAAGUAUUUUUAUUUUAAUACAAUGAGAGUAAAGUUCCCAUACUCAAAAAGUCUACAUAAACUUUAGGUAUACUGGACUCUUAGAAAGGCCUCUAUAUAAAUGCUUAGCCCAUCACUCUUAUUUUCUUGCCUCUAUAUUGCCAUGGAUGUAGGGCAUAGGAAACCACAAGAGGCUAUUGGAGAUGGAGAAAACAAGACUUCUUCCUAGAAGAGUCUUUUUAGGACAUGACUUCAUACAUAAAUAUAGUAUCCCAGGCAUUUUUAGACUUAAGGACUGCCUUUUGGAUUGAUCAAUUGAGACAAGUGAGAUUCACCUUCUCCAAGAGAAGAGCGAGACCACCAUGAAAAGGCGUCUCACUUGGUGGGACUUGGUGUGGAUAAGGUUUAGAUCAAUCGUAGGGUUUUGCAUAUUCGUCAUCACUUGCUAGGAAGCUUGUAAUAGUGUAAGACUCGCCAUACAUAGUAUUAUCUUAUGUCGCUUUAGGUCUCUCAUAUCACUUUCCCUACUUUAUUACACAUAAUUCACAAUUGAAAUACUAGUCGUAAGAGAUCCUUUCUUUUAUCUUGAGUAUAAUUAAGUGAUUUUGUUGCUGUAGAGAACCUUAAAUUACUUCAUUCCCUGUCCUAGUAUUAGGUUAGGUGCAUAUUCCUAAUACUCUAGAUCUAAGCACAAUGGAAACAUGGUAUUAAAAAACAAUAAUAAAUAUAGAUCUAAAGAUAGUGAAUCUUUACCUAAGAUUUAGAUAUUCCCAGAUUGAUUCUUGUUGAUGUGAAAAACUUUAAAUCCAUAGAAGAUCUUGUAAACCCCCAAUCUCCCACCCUACUACUCUUCCUUGAAGCUUGAUACUCAGAUGAUAGAAGUCUCUAGAAAGAAGAAUGGUGGUAGAAGAUUGAAGCCUUAACCUAUAAGGGGUAUUUACAUGGUUCAUAUUGGGUUUAAUUAAUUUGAACCCAUUUUAAGCUUGAGUCACUUAAUCUAACCCAAAAAGGUCUUAAUUGAUUAAUUAAACCAUUAAAUAUUUAAUUAAUCAAUUAGCCCAUUUCAAAUAUGUCGUCUACUUAUUCUUAUGCCACCUUAUGUAAUUACCAAUAUGCUCUUAUGCACAUAGGUGAACUAAGAGCUGAUCCAACCCUCAUAAGUUGUGUUAUCAAGGUUAUGAACUCAAAUUAGGGACCAUUGGAACCCAUAGAAUAGUAUUGUCACGGCUCUCGUAGAAUCAUACUUUAAAAUUGACUCAACAUCUCACUACAAUGAGUCAACUGCAAUCCUAUACCCCAUGUAUAGUAUAAUGAGAUACUAUAUGCUUGGGUUUGUGACCUACCAUCCACUAUAUAUGAUUUCCCCAUUAAUUGGUAUCUGUAAUCUAACAAGGUGAAAGUUAUUAACUUCUCAAAAUUACCUCUACUAUCCUCAUUUAGAAGUCCUCAUAUUAUGUGAUCAACUAACAUGUCUUAACUCAUAAAGAGCUCAAGUUCCAAUUAAAGAACUACUAUGGUCAUAGUUGAUCUAAACGCAUGUCCUUAGGAUAACCCAAGGCAACACACUAUCUCAAUCCUAUGAGAUAUCAUGGUGCCUUAUUGAGAAUAUUGGUUGCUAUUGACUUAUAUCAAUUGUGACCUAAUCCCUAAGGAAUGUAUGAUUAUUUUAGGAUCUCAUCUAUAGGUUCAAGCAUCUGCUAACAAUGAUACCGACUAAAUAUUCUUUUCAAGUUGAGAUAAAUACAAUACAAUACAACAACUUAAUGAAGUUAUAACUACUAGAUAGCCUUAUGUUAUAACUCAUCGUAGGCUCUAUCCAAUAUGUAAUCUAUACACACUAAUGAACUCAUCAUAGGAACCACAUCUCGUUGACUAAGACUAAUCAUCCCUUUAAUUAGGAGGUAGUACACUACAACUUCAAAUAGAUUGCCUAAGUUCACAAAUUGAUUGUGAACAAAUCAUUUACUUGCAACAAGCUCAUGACUUGGAUCUUCUGUACAACUUUUAAUGCACCCAAGUCAUGUACAAUAUAAGAGAUGCAAGUCAAAACACUUAUAAAGAAUAAUGAAUGGAAUAAGGAUAGAUGAAAGUGCAACUGAAAUAUAAUAUAAAUAAAUAAUCAAUUCUAAAGUUUGUUACAUCAUGUGAUGCUUUGAAGGGCUCUAUCCUAAUAAUUGCGUUCAUUAUAGCUAGGAACAUUCUCUUAGACGCCAUUCUUGGGGCAACUAGGUGGGUGAUUAUUAAUCAUUUGUUGCUCACAUGCAGUAACCUUUAUAUUAUCAUGUAUUGCUUUAUUUUUUACUAUUGAUAAUGAUGUUAGUUGAUUGAGGUUUGUAAACCUCAAGUCAGUUGUGUGAGGCUUUGCCUUUUAUUUGUAUCACGAUCUUAUAUUGAGCAUGCUUAUUUUUCAAUACAAGGUUAUAAUAGUUUUAGGUUAUGUUUAGAAACUGUCUUUGGUUAGUGCAUUGAUAUUGAUGGGAGUGUUGAAAGUGGAAGUAGGCUAGAAGGUUGAACCACAAUAAAUCUUAGUGUUAUGUAAUUAAUUUUGUUGAAAUUGUUUUAAUUGCCUUUGGGAGCUUUUUUCAUAUUAUACUUUAGAUUAGCCCUAGGAUCUGGCUUCAAGAGAAAAAGACCUCUUCUUUUGUACUCUAUCUACCAAUGUGGCUUAUUGCACAUCUACUUCAAAAAACUCUAACCAUAGUUCAAAUUCAUAAUCAUAUAUAGAACAUAAUAGAUGAAUAUUAUUUAUUGGUAUUGCUAUUAUUAUUCCUUCCACAUUAUUAUUAUUAUUAUUAUUAAGCAUUUACAAUAUCAAUUCAUAAGCAUGUCCAUGGUUUUGCAUUUUCAUUCCAUGCAUUGGAAAUGAUAAAUCAACUUUCCUUAAUCUUUCAUUUUGUUUCACAUUUUAUUAGAUUGAAAAAUAUGUUAAUUUGAGCAUGGACUUAUUUAUUUAUUUAUUUAUUUUUUUGCAUUUCUUAUUAAAAAUCUUGUAAAGAUAAAUAGCUAUCUUAAGUAAUAUUCAAGAAAAAAAAAGAGAAAAAAUAAAAGCAUUCUUCCUUAUGAAUAUUAUAUACCUCUUUAACUUCUUCUCAAGAUUAUAUUCAUAUCUUUUUUAACUCAAUCAUAAAGGAAAAAUUGACUAUGAUGAUGAAAAUCAUAGCUAAAUAUCCAAAAAUUACAUUAUUAACUUGCAAAAUUUAUCGUGCACUCACUAAAUUUUUUAAACAUAGAAAAACGUUAAUUUCAUGGUGUUAUCCUAUUUAAUUAAUUAACUAAUUCAUCAUAUAAACUUCUUAAAUAUAGAAAGAAGAUCAUUUCCUACCAUUAUCCUACUUAAGUACCAUAAUUUUUUAUCCUAUAAUCUUUUUUAAACAUAGAUAGAUGAUAAUCGCAUGGCGCCGUCCUAUUUAAUUAGUCCUAUUUAAUUAGACCACCAUUAAGCUGCCCAACAUCUCAUUCCUUUCAUUUCUAUCUUCUGAAAUAUUUUUUGUUCAUAAAGAUUUUUGGCCAUGGAGAAGAAGCGAGCCAAAAGCCAUGAAAAGGUUGAGAUGAGAAGGAUUAAUAAUGAAGAAGAUCGCCUUGUUUCCUUCUCGAAGCAUAGAUCUGGGAUCUACAGAAAGGCAAGUGAGCUUUUUACCCUUUGCGGUACAGAAGUUGGUAUUUUAGCUUUCUCCCCAAAUGGGGAGCCAUUCUCAUUUGGUCAUCCAUGUAUCAAGUCAGUUACUAAUAAGCUUUUAAGUGAAAUACCAUACACCAUGUGAUGGAACCCAAAAUAUUCUUGAGCCUUACCGUCGUGUUAGGCUUAAUGAGCUUCACCAUAACUAUAAAGAAGCUUCCAAGCAAAAGAAAGCAGCUAAGGAGCAAGAAAAAAAAAAAUCAAGAAAAAAAGCCUGAUAAAAGGCUGGUGGGAAGAACCUGUUAUUGAGCUUGAUAUGAAUGGUCUCAGGCGAAGGGCAGAUCUGAUUCAAAAGCUUCAUAAGCAUGUGCAACUCCAAAUCAAGGAGCUAUAGACCAUGGAAUCAUGUUCAACUUUACCAUCUAAUACCCAAAUAGUUGGCCAUGGCCAUGGAAGAGGGCCAUGCUAAAUAAAUGUGCUUUGUAUUAUUGAGAGUCUUGAACAUUUCAGUAUCAAACGAUAAUGGUUCAAUGCUUUUAUUUUGGAGUAAUGGGUUUUGUGUUGGAGUAGCCAAAAAUGUGAUAUUGAUUGAUUAAGCUUCUUUUUUCCCCACCGAAAAUAUGUCUUUUAAUAGUUGAUGUGGGUGACAUAUCAUGUGAUUCUUGUAUAGAUUCCUUAUCUUCAUAAUAGUAGGGUCGUUUUAUAUUUGUCUGGUUUUUGACCCUUGACUCUUGUGUGAUUUCCAUCUUAAUGAUCCUAGUAGAAACAGAUGAGCAUGAUGCUCUUGAGGGUUCAUAUUAUGAAAUUUUAGGAAUUCGAGAAUGACUGAAUGAAUUUGUUAAGCCCCAAAUUCUAAAAUUAAAGUUUAAUUAAAUUAACAUAGGCCAACUCAGACUUUUUGCACUUGAGAUGUGAAUUAAGGAAGAAUUUGGUGAAGUUUAAAGUUUGAGGACAAACCUAAUUCACUUGUUUUAUUUAAGUUUUUGAAUAAAGAAGUUCCCUAUAUUUGGAAGAAUUCAUGUUUUUCCUAUUCAUGGACUUUGUGUAUUGGAAAACUUACACAUUUUAACUCCAUGGCCAACCUUUGUAAAAAGAGUAUGCUUGUAUGGGUAUUUUUUUAAAUCUCUCAGAAAAAUAAGCAUCCAUAUGACUAUACUAAGCUCUUAGAGCUUGUUUUAGUCUAUAUAGUGCCUUUUUAUUUUUAUUUUUAUAAUUUAUGAACUUUAUGCUCACUUUUAGGCUUUGCAUACUUAGGAGGUUGAUCGAUAAAAACCUGUUCUUAUAGAUCACCAUGCAAAAAUACUGAUUUCACAUCUAGUUGGAAGAUAGACUAUGAGUUUUAAGAAGUCAAUGUAAUAAAUAGCUUGAUUGCAUCAUGUCUUGCAAUAGGAGUAAAUACUUCUUUAUAAUCCACACUAAACUCUUGUUUAUAGCCUUUAGCUACUAAGUGCACCUUGUUCUUGCCAUCUUUGUCAUUCUCCUUUAAUGUUGUCUUGUAUACCCAUUUGACACCAAUUUUUUUGUGGUCUCUUGGAAGAUCAAUUUACUCCCAAGUGCUAUUUUGGUUAAUAAUUCCAGUUUGUCUUUCAUAGCCUUCCUCCACUUUGAAAGUUGUAGGAUUGAAAUAUGAAAAUAGAGCAAAAUAUGUAAGCAGGUUCUCAAUGGGUCAAUUUCUAUUUCCUCGUAAUCAAUCAUCCACAUAGGUCUUCUUCAACCAUGUUUUGUCCUUUGUUUAUCACCUCUUUAGCUGCAAUUGGGCUUUGAGCAUCAACAAGGACAUUUUUGGGUAACUUCGAGCUAUUGAACAUUUCCCAUAGGUUGUUGCCUUAUGCCAUCAUCAUCAAAAUCUAUUGGAAUACGUUUUUCAACACCAUUCUUAUUCCAAAACCAAGUUCGUUCUUAAUAAAAAACAAUAUCGUGACUAAUAAUGAUUUUCUUUAUGCUAAGAUUAUAUAGCUUAUAAGCCUUUGACUGAUCAUUAAUACCAAGACAAAUGCAUAUUUCUCCCUUGUCAUCUAGUUUUUUCCUCUUCUCAUCUAGAACAUGGACAUGGGUAUAGGCUAAGCAACUAAAAAUUCUAAAGUGUUAGGGUCUUCAUUUGUUCUAUGUUUCCUAUAGUGUUAUAUUUUGAACAAUAAAUGUUGUACUUCUCUUCAAAAUAUGAAUGCUCCAGUUGAUAAUGUUAGGCUAGAAACUCUUCAAAACUCUAAUCCUUGCCAAAAGACUUCACACCUCGUUAAGAAUCGUGCAAUUAUUCCUCUUGCAUACAUCAUUUUAUUGAGGCUAAUAGGCCUCUAUAAGUUGUCUUUUGAUGCCAUGAGUCUCAUAAAAAUUUGCAAAUUCAUGAGUUAUAAUCUCCCCCAUAAUUAGUGUACAAUAUUUUUAUUAAGCUACUGACUUCUUUCUCAACAAGUGCUUUAUAAAGUUUAAAUGCUGCAGACACCUCAAAUUUUUCCUACAAAAAAUACACCAAUGAAGGUAAUUAUAUAUCUUUUACCUCCAUUAUUUGGAAGAUGGAUUUAUUUGUCCAUAAAAGUCAUAAUGAGCCAACUCUAACGUCUUCUUUGUCCUCCAUGACUUUCCUUGUGGAGAUUGAUUGUGGUGUUGUUUGCUAACAACACAUAUUCAACAAAAACUUGUUGAGAGCAUUCAAUUUGAGAAAGCUUAAUCACCAUAGUUUUUUGCUGCAAUGUCUUGAGACCAACAAAGUUUAGACGCCCAUAACAAAAAUGCCAAAGCCAUGCUACAUCCUUCAAUUGAGUAGACACUACAAGAAAUUUCACCUUCUGCCACAAAAUUUUUGGCCAUCAAUAUAAUUUCAUCUCUAAAGAUGAUAUUGGGAGACAAAAUUCAAGUUUGUUAUGAAAAUUUGUGUCUAAAGUUUUAAUUGAAUGUGAAAUGAGGCCAAAUUAUUUGUGACGACAUCAUAAAUUUUAACAACAAAAUAUUUCAUGGUGAAAAAUAUAUUGGGAGACAAAAACCUAGUGUUGUCCCAAAAGGUAAAUAAUGGGUAACAAAAUUAUGUUGUUGUAAAAUAGUUUUGGAGAGAAAAAUCUUAACAAUGGGAGACAAAAAUAUUGUCCUAAUAUCACUAGAUGAAGGAACAAAGAAAAUUAUUGGGGAGGCAAUUGUUUUAUUGUAAAAACUCAAUAUUGGAGACAAAACUAUUUCAUCCCCAUUAAAAUGCAUUUUCCUUUUUCAAAAUGAAUUUAUCAUGUUUAAAUUUAUUUAUAUUAUUGAAUACUUAACAUGAUUUAUUUGUUUUUUGAGAAAGUUUCAUAAUACUUUAAUAUUCAUGAAACAACACAAUUAUUAUUAAAGAAAGUAAAUAUUAUUUAGAAAUAAUGUGAUAUUGCCAUAUUAUAAUAUUAAUAUUAAUAUUAAUAUAAAUAUAAAUAUAUAUAUAGUAUUAAAAUUUAAAUAUAAUGACAAUUUUUAUUAUAUUUAAAUUUUAAUAUAUAUAUAUAUAUAUAUAUAUAUAUAUAUAUAUAUAUAUAUAUAUAUAUAUAUAUAUAUAUCAAUAUGUAAUAAUAUUUAAAUUUUAAUACUAUGUGUAAUAAAGUAAGAAUUUUAAAUUUUUUUAGCUAAUGUUGAAAUCUUCAAUUCUGGAUAUCAUACUCAUGAUAUGUGAAAUGUAAUAUUUGUUUAAUAAAAAUAUUAUUUUAUUUAGUAUAUAACUUGAAAUUAUAUAUAAAAGAAUUUAAUAUGGAUUAAAUUAAUUACCUAAAAAAAAAAAGGGUUACAAUGUUUGGACCAUAAUAUUAUUAGUCUUCUUCUUGUUUUUGAGUACAAAAACACAAAGAUUAAUCUAGAAUGUACAAUAUGGUAAAAUUCUAAUCAUAAUAUAUUUUAUUUUUAUAAUAUUUUAUUUUAUUAAUGAAUUUAUAAGAUAAUAACAUUUUUUUUUUGUAAAUUCUAUUAUAAUAUAACCAUCUAUUAUUCUUCUAAUCUUAUACUUCUUAUAAAAUAACUUUUUUUCUUUUUCUCUAAAUAAUAAUUUCAUUUUCAUGUAAAUACUUUGAACAAUCCUUAAUAAUAAAUAAUAAAAUAAAACAAAAAUACAUUGAGAUUCAUUUCCAUGUUUAUAACUUGAUAUUUUAUAUAUCUAAAAAUGUUCAAUUAGGAAUUAGGAUUAAAUUGAUUAUAUUCUGCAAAAAUAAAAAAAAUUAGUUACCAUGUGAGAACCCUAAUUUUAUUAGUCUUCCUUAUGUUAUUUANNNNNNNNNNNNNCAAAUAAAUAUUUUAGUUAUAGUAUAAACAUUUAUUACUUACCUACUUUUGUUGUUACCAUAAAAUCAUCUCAUGUCUUUAUUUGUAAGUAAUUGAUUUCAAUGUCAAUAUUCUAAAUUAAAGUAUAAAAUAAAUUAAAAAAUAUUACAUUAAAAUAACUUAUUUUGUAUAUAAAUUUUUAUUUUAUAUAUCUAUAAAAGUCAAAUUUGGAUUAAAUUGAUUAUACAAAAAUAUAAAAAGGGGUUUGACAACCAUAACACUAUUAGUCUUCUUCAUAUUAAAGUAGAAAAAUGAAUCCAAACUCUAAAUGUAAAAGAUAAUGAAAUUUUAAUAGUAAGUUACAUUGGCUUUUUCAUAAUAUUAUAUUUUAUUAUAAUUCAUAUAUGAAUUUAUAAGAUAAUGACAUUUUAAUAAUAAUUUAUUUCAAUUUUUUCUUCUUCUUAAUUUUCUAAUUGAUUUUUUUUAAAAGAAAUAUAAAAAUUUAUAUAUGACUUAAAGUUGAUAAAAAAAAUUCAUUUCUCUUUUAAUAAUUUAACAAUAUAAUGUUUUACCAAUCUCAUCUUUUCUAUAAAAUCAUCUCAUUUCCUUAAUUUUUUAUAGAUAUUUCUUAUGGUUAUUCUUUAGAAAAAAAAAAUUCUAAUGUUAACUAUAUAAGACAAUAAACUUAUAUUUUUAAAAAUUAAUCCUUUAUAAAGAAAGACUUUUAUAAAAGUUUUAGUUAAUUCUAUAAUAGUAUAAGUAUCUAUUAUUUACGUAAUCUUGUACAUCCCAUAAAAUGACAUUAUGCUUUUAUCUAGAAGUAUUUGAUUUUAAUGUCAAUAAUUUUAAACCAUCCUUAAUAAUUAAUAAUAAAACAAUAUAUAAUUAUAAAAGAAAUAAAAAUUUUAAAUUAAAAUCAUUUAUUUUGUUUUUAACUUUUACUUUAUAUAUAAAAGAAAUAAAAAAAAAUUUGAAUUUGGUUUAUAUUGAUUAUACAAAAUAUAAAAAUAGAUUUAUCAUGUACAACCAUAACAUUGUUAGUCUUCUUAUGAAAGCCUAAAAAUAAAUCCAAAUUCUAAAUGCAUAAAAUUAAAAGAAAAAAAAACAAAAAAACAAAAAAAAAAAGCAUGAAAUCAUAUGAGAACCAUAGUAUAAGUCUUCAUCAUACAAAAACAUAAAAUUUAAUCCUAAUUGUAAAUGUAUAAGAUAAAAAAAAAAUCAUACUUUUUUAAUAAUAUUAUAUUUUACUUUUAAUAUGUAUAUGAAUUUAUCAUAUAAUAAUUAACAUUUUAAUAAUAAUUUUCUUCGAUUCUUCUUCUUUUUUCUUUUUGUUAAUUUUCUUCUUAAUAUUUUUUAGAGAUGUACAAAGGCUAUGGAUCACUUCAAAGAAAAUAUAUAUUUUCAUAAAUUAUAUUAGUAAUUAUUAUAAUUCUAAAUAUAAUCUAUUAUAACAUUUUUUUCUUUUUAAAACACCAUAUAUUUAUAAGAUCAAAAGAGAUUGGUUUCUUUAUAUUUAUCUUAUUUAAAAUAUAAAAUAUUUAAUCAAGUAUUUUUUAAGUAAUCUUGAAAUUUUUUUAAAAGAAUAAAAUCUCAAAAUAAAAACUUGUCCCAAAACUUGUUGUUUUAUACUUGGAAACUUUAAACCAAUUAUCAAAGUUUUAAAUAAUUAAUCUUUUAUAACAUUUUUACUUCUUAUAUAAAACACUAGAUAUCUAUAAAACUAGAAGAAAUUGAUUUCUUUAUAUUUAUCUUAUUUAAAAUUAAAUAAUAUUUAAUUAAGUAUUUAUGAAGUAAUCUUCAAAAAUUUGAAAAUAAUAAAAAUUAAAAAUAAAAAACUAUCCCAAAAUUUUUUACUUCAGAAUUGGAAAAUAUUUAAAGAAUUGGUAAGUAAUAUUAUAAAAUAUUAAAUGGAAACAAAAAUAAAAAAAGAAAUCAAAAUAAAAAGUUUUCCUAAACUCUCCACAAAAAUCCUCUAUUAUGUUUCUCCUUAAAUAACAUCUCCAUUAUUUCAAGCCCAUCACCAUAUUCAUUGUCCAUCACCACAGACUGCCAUCAACUACUGUUGUUGAGCAUGGACUACUGUUGUUGCUGACCAUGGACUGUUAUGGAGUACUACUAUUGUUGAUUGUGGACUGUUGUUGUUGCUGACCUUGGACUGCUUCUAUUGAUCACUUGUUGUCGUGGUCCCAUGGUGCUCUACAACAUUGCAAGAAAAGCAAAUCAGGUAUGUUAUCACCACUUUAUAUUUUUAUUUUAUUUAUUUUUAGAAUUUCUUACUUAUUAAUUAAUUAGAUAUAGAAAAAUAUUCUAUGAGUUUUUGAUUUUUACCUUUUUUUGAAUGAAUACUUUGUUGUGUUUUGAGUUAUGUAAUAGGAGUUGUUUGUGGCCUAUUAUUAAUGAAUUCAUCAAUGCUGUUAUCAACUUACCACCAAUAAUGCAACCCUAACCAAUAUCUAAGAGAGUGAGAUCUUGAUUAUACAUCAUAAUAUCUAUCAUUAAAGUUGUUACAUACACACAAAUUUAUAUAUUAUUCUUUUAAGGGAAUUCAAUUAGUGAAAAUGAAAUAAAGAAAAUUAAAUUAAUAUCAUGUGUGAAAUAUUUUUUUUUAUAUGGUUAUAGAUGAAAUGAAAAAUAUAAAGUUUUGUUAUUUUAUUAUUGUAGUUACAGUUCAAUAUAUAAGCUCAUAGAAAAAUAUUCUAUGAGCUUUUGAUUUUACCUUUUCUUGAAUGAAUACUUUGUUGUGUUUUGAGUUAUGUAAUAGGAGUUGUUUGUGGCCUAUUAUUAAAGAAUUCAUAAAUGUUGUUAUCAACUUACCACCAAUUAUUCAACCUUAACCAAUAUUUAAGAGAGUGAGAUCUUGAUUAUACAUCAUAAUAUCUAUCAUUAAAGUUGUUACUUACACACAAAUUUAUAUAUUAUUCUUUUAAGGGAAUUCAAUUAGCGAAUAUGGUUAUAGAUGACAUGAAAAAUAUAAAGUUUUGUUCUUUUAUUAUUGUAGUUACAAUUCAAUAUAUAAGUAUAUUUGGAAACCCACUUUGUAAAUUAUUUAAAACAUUAAACCAAAUUUCCAUUAGAAUUGGUAAUAAGCGUAAAAAAUGAAUAAAGUAAAAAGUGUAAAUAAUGAAUAGGGUUGUUCGAAAUAUGCAUAUAAAAACAUUAGUAGGUCAAAAUAUAUGACCAACCAUGACUAGCUAUCCUUUUAUGUAAGUUAAUAUAUUUAUCUUGGAUAUUGAGCCAAUUGUCAAGUAAAAUAUAAAAUAUUUAUAUUUAGUUAUAAAGUAGUAAAUAAUGAAAUUCAUAUUUUAAGAUUGGAGUAAAAUGAAAUUUGUAUCAUUUUUACCUCAACUAUAUUGUUUUGAUAUUUAUAUUAAAUAUUGACACUAAUUUUGAAAAUUGUGGAUUUGAGAAAAAAACUUCACUUUUUCAAAGAGGUUAUUUGUAUCAAAUUACAAUAAAAAACUAUUUAAUUAUUAUUUAUAGGCAUAAAAAAAAUAUUUAUUGAAUAAAAAUUAAUUUAUCACCAGCUUGUUUGGCAUUUUAAUGCUCCUAUAAUUUGGGCUUGACAAAAAUUUACCUUUUAUUUCUUAUUUUUUAUAUAUAUUUUUUAUUUAUGUCUUGAUUUUUAUGAGAAAAUAAUUCAUAGACAUAUUUCCUACUUAUAAAUUCAAGAUAUAUAACAUAGAUUCAUAGUAUAGUUUAGACAUUUCAAAAGUUAAGAUUGGAGUAAAAUAAAGUUUUGUAUCAUUUGUACCUCAACUAUAUUAUUUUGACAUUUAUAUUAAAUAUUGACACUAAUUUUGAAAAUUAUAGUGUGGACCCCGCAUUUCGGCUCAAUGUGUUUCCCACUAGAUGAUGAGCUCGAUUUUUGUUUUCGAAAAAUGAUAUUUCUUGAUUAAGAAAGAUGACUUGGAGUCGCCACUUAUUUUUGUUUUAUUUUAAAAAAAGGGUAAACAAAAUAAGAAAGAAAACCCUAAGUGCAACUCUUGGUUUUGGAAAAGGUGAUCUACGAAAAAUCGGAUCGGGCUCGGGGGUUAGGUUACUUAUCGAGAAGGUACGGUGAAGACCGUAACACCCCUCUAAGUCCCUAAAGUCGGGUCUCUACUAAUAAAAUGAAACUGAUGUGGCAAUUGAUGAGUAAAUCAAUGAAUACUCGAGUCGAUUAUGUACAUAUGAGAAUUAGAACAUGCAUAAAGAAUGACCAGUAUAGGAAUUGAUGCAUACCUGAGCCAUGAACGAGCGAUGCGCUAUCAUAAAAACAGAGUCAGUGCACAAUAUAGAGCACGAAAUAUAUCACAUGCGUUACCAAAUAGAAAUUAAAAUUGUUCGAAGGAAAACUGGAUUUUUGAAAUUCAUUUUGAAAAUCGGAGUCUUAGAGAUUAUUUGAAAACUGGAUUUUUAGAAAUUAAAUAUAAAAAUGAGAAUUUUAGAAAUUAAAUUUGAAAGGAAUUGAAAUUUCAGAGAACUAAAUUUGGGAAUCGAAAAUUUGAAGAAUUAUUUAAAGAUGGAAUUUUAAUAAAUAUAAUAAUGAUGAAAUAAUAGAGAUUCGGUAAAUAAUUGCAAAAAAUAGAAUUUUAGAGAUUGGAGAUUGAAUUUAGAAAUUGAAAUUUUGAGAAAUUAUUUGGAGAUGAGAUUUUAAAUAUAUGAAUAAGUGAAUAAAUAAAUGAACGGGAUAAUAAUAAUAACGAAAAUAAUCAUUAAACAGCUAAAUGUGAAUAGUGGAAUUUUUGAGAUUGAAAAUUAAAUUUGGAAAACGGAAUUUUCAAAAAUUGAACUUUAAGUAUUGGAAUUUGUAAAAUAAAUUAAUAGAAUAAUAAUAAUAAUAAUAAGAAUAAUAUUUAAACGAAUGAACGUGAAUAGUGGAAUAUUUGAGAUUGAAAAUUAAAUUCGAAAAUCGGAUUUUUCAAGAAUUGAACUUUAAUGAUUUGAAUUUUUAAAAGAAAUAAAUAAAUAAAUAUGGAAUGAUAAUAAUAAUAACAAAAAUAAUGGUUAAGCGAAUGAACGUGAAUAGUGGAAUUUUUUUAGAUUGAAAAUUAAAUUCGGAAGUAAGAUUUUUGAAGAAUCGAAUUUUAAUAAUUAGAAUUUUUUUUAGAAGAAAUGAAUAAACAAAUAAAUGAAAUAAUAAUAAUAACAAAAAUAAUGUUUAAAGCGAAUUAACGUGAAUAGUGGAAUUUUUGAAAUUGAAAAUUUGAAGAGUUAUUUGGAAAUAAUAUUUUAAAUAAAUGAAUAAGUGAAUAGGUAAACAAAUGGAAUAAUAGUAAUAAUGAUUAGGUAAAUAAUUGUGAAAAUUGGGAAGUGAACUUGGGAAUUAGAAAAUUGAAGAAUUAUUUAAGGACGGAACGCCGGAGAAACGAAUUUCGAAAAGUGAAAACCCAAAAAAUUAGUUUAAGGAUGGGAUGAAAAUUAAAUUUGGAAAACGGAAAUUUUAAAAAUAUUGUUUUAAAAAAAAAACGGAAUUUGAAAAAUAAAUAAAUAAAUAAAAUAAUAGUAAUGUUGGAAAUAAUAAAGAUUAAAUAAAUGAAUGAAAACAAUGGAAUCUUGGAAAUUAUAAAUUGAAUUAGGAAAUAGGAAUUAUGGAGAAUUGAACUUUAAUAUUAAAACAUGAAUGAAUAAAUAAAUAGAUAAAUAAAGUGGUGAGUGGUGGAAUAAAUAAAUAGAUAGAUAAAAUGGUGAGUGGUGUUGGCAGCUUGCAUGCCAAAAUGGCCAUGCAACGUGUUACCCAGCGAACAUUCAUCACUCUGGGACUUAUGGUAGUUUCCCAGCAAAGUGAGCAAACAAUCAUCACUUGAUCAAUCAUCAAAGACCUCCGAUAUUUACAUUACAUCAUGGACGGAAGCUAAAUCAUUCAAACUCAUCACCGCCUUAGAUGGGUUGGGACUCAAACGCUUCAUUACCGGAGGUCUCAAUGACGGCAUCCGAAGUGGGUUUGUUCAGGCUGGGUGUGAGCAUUUUCUCUGACCUCAUCACAGCUUCUAUAAGCUCAACAUGCGGCUGGUCUGGUUUAUUCACUUUAGCAGCUAAGUAGCGUGCCAAACAGUCUCACAAUGUCCACAUCAGCGCCAUCAACCGAAGCUUUCAUGGAUUCUUCAUGAGGGGUACGUGGUGUGGGAAUACGGGUAUGGGAAUACGGGUGAUGACACACAUGGGAGGUGAGAUAUGGGUGUAAGAAGGAGUGAGUGAGGACGUGGGCAUGGUGGAUACGUGGUAGGCAGGGGCGUAAUGGAAAUAUGGGUAAAAGCGUGAAAGAUUUAAUGGGUAUGAGGUAUGGUUUAGUGAGAGAAAUGAUGGUGAGAGGGUGUAGAAAGUGGCUGACAUGGGUAUGAGGGGGAUGAGCAAUGGCAUUGACGUAAUGAACCUCCCAUUAUGGCCAUACAUUGAAGUCCAACCUCGUGCAUACAUCUUGAACACGGUCGGAAUACUUUCUGUCACAGAACCAUGAACUCCUCCAAUCUCCUUGCCCAAUCAGUCUUGUCUUCAUACCCACAGCUAAUGACAUGGUUUGUCUCUCUUAAAAGGGUUUCAAGUUUAGUUGACGGAAGAAUGCCACCUCUAUGGAUAGAUUUGAGUCACCAGUACAAAACAAGCUAGAUGUCUCAUUUACAGAUGAAAUGAGUGGAGCGUAGCCCUGGCCUUUCUAGUACCCACAGANNNNNNNNNNNNACUAGCUUGUUUGGCAUUUUAACACUCCUUUAAUUUGGGCUUGACAAAAAUUUACGUUUUACUCCUUAUUUUAUAUAUAUAUAUAUUUAUUUAUGUAUUGAUUUCUAUGAGAAAAUAAUUCAUAGAUAUAUUUAUUUAUUUAUGAUUUUAAUUUUAAUUUUUUAUUUCUUUUAUAAUUAUAUAUUAUUUUAUUAUUAAUUAUUAAGGAUAGUUUAAAAUAUUGACAUUAAAAUCAAAUACUUCUAGAUAAAAGCAUAAUGUCAUUUUAUGGGAUGUACAAGAUUACGUAAAUAAUAGAUGCUUAUACUAUUAUAGAAUUAACUAAAAAUUUUAUAAAAAUAUUUAUAAAGGAUUAAUUUUUAAAAAUAUAAAUUUAUUGUCUUAUAUAGCUAACAUUAGAAUUUUCUCUCUCUAAAGAAUAACCAUAAGAAAUAUCUAUAAAAAAUUAAGUAAAUGAGAUGAUUUUAUAGAAAAGAUGAGAUCGGUAAAACAUUAUAUUGUUAAAUUAUUAAAAGAGAAAUGAGUUUUUUUUUUAUCAACUUUAAGUCAUAUAUAAAUUUUUAUAUUUCUUUUAAAAAAAUCAAUUAGAAAAUUAAGAAAAAAAAAAGAAUUGAAAUAAAUUAUUAUUAAAAUGUCAUUAUCUUAUAAAUUCAUAUAUGAAUUAUAAUAAAAAUAUAAUAUUAUGAAAAAAAAUCAAUGUAAGUUACUAUUAAAAUUUCAUUAUCUUUUACAUUUAGAGUUUGGAUUCAUUUUUUCACUUUAAUAUGAAGAAGACUAAUAGAGUUAUGGUUGUCAAACCCCUUUUUAUAUUUUUGUAUAAUCAAUUUAAUCCAAAUUUGACUUUUAUAGAUAUGUAAAAUAAAAAUUUAUAUACAAAAUAAGUUAUUUUAAUGUAAUAUUUUUUAAAUUUGUUUUAUACUUUAAUUUAGAAUAUUGACAUUGAAAUAAAUUACUUACAAAUAAAGACAUGAGAUGAUUUUAUGGGAACAACAAAAGUAGGUAAGUAAUAAAUGUUUAUACUAUUAACUAAAAUUAUUUUAUUUGUACAUUGGCAAUUUGGAUUGAUUUUUAUCCUUAAAUAACAUAAGGAGGAAGACUAAUAAAAUUAGGGUUAUCACGGUAACUAAAUUUUUUAUUUUUGCAUCAUAUAAUCAAUUUAACAUCGAUGGUAAGAGUGGUAGGAAUGAUGGCUUCAGCAUCAGCAUCAAUCCAGAAGUCUAAAUCUCAGUAAGAGUGACAGCGAUGAUGGCUUCAACAUCAAUAGUGGCAAUCUACCCUCCUGCUAAAACUCCACCAUGACUCGAUUAGUAACACCAUCAAGAGUAGUAACAUGAUCUUCAGUAGCUAGCUACACAAGCAAUUUCCGUUGAUUGAGCCUUUUCACCCUUCAUCACUUCUGUCUUAUCAACUACCUGAUGAUCUUUAGGUCCAAGCAUUGACUCCCAAUGAGAAGAAUCUGAGUCUACCUCAAUAAUAAUAACUGAGUCAACUUCCUUUGCAUGCUGCUCUUGCUCUCCAGUCUAAUUAGUACCUUCUUGAUGCUCUUCCUCUUCUCAUCUUCUUCUUUAGCUUCUUCCUUAGCUUGCACCUCAUUAACAUCAGCAGUAACAACAUCUGGAAUUCCCCCCACCUGAAGGUCUAUAUCAAAUGAAGGAACCUCAUGUCCUUUCCUUUAGCAAUAAGAGCUUCACACAGUCAGUUAACAGCUCCAUUCUCCUGUCCAUCCUUUGCAUAAAUUGGAGCAUUACUUACAUAAAAUAUGGAAUAUCUCCUGAAGAUACAGUGGGGACAGUAGGAAUAGUUGAAGGACCUUGUGUAGAACUUGUGACUAAAGGUACAUGAGCAACUGCCUCUUCAACUAUUCUGACCAUCUGCCUCAUCCUUUUCUUUGUACUUCUUUCCAUGAAAAUUCUGUAAAAUUUCCAAGCUUCCACUUUGUAAAAUUUUGUAGCGUCAUAUUUUUCCUCAUUCCCACUGAAUUUAAAACUCUUUCUAAUUGAAUAGCCAGUGAAAAACUUGGACAAUGCCAAUGCAUACUUCUUGCUGUGAGAAGUCUUGUUUUCAUUCACUUUUUCCACAAAAUAUAAAAACGUAUCCACCAUCAAUACAUGAGAUCACCAUCCCCCCUUACAUAAACAAUACAAUUCCUCUAAAGGAAAACCUCUCCUUUCUGUGACAUGUCUAUAAGGAGAGAAAUUGGUUCUAUACACCUGAUCCACAAACCAUAGCUCCUGUGAUGCCUCUAGUCUUCUGGCAGUUGUGGGAGAGCUAAAACCACAAGGCACUGAAGUGGCCACCAUCCUCUGGGAAGUAGGGUUAGUGUAAGGUAGAAAAUUUCCUCCUUAAGAUGGCAUUGUAGGCAACCCAAAAGCCUAUGCCAAAGAUUUUUCAGUGAUCAUCCCCUCUCUUUCAUUAAUGAAAAAAUGUAACACAGAUUUUCCAGGGGCUCUCCUCUCAAAGAUAGCAUAAAAAUCUCUCACCACAAUAGGAUAAAAAUAAUCUAUGGAAUACACCAUAGGCUCUAUCCCAUAUCUCCUCAUUAGCUCCAUUGAACUCAUUGUCUCUGGAAAAGUAAUGUAUUCAUCAGGCACCAAAUAAUCACUGUCUGCCAAUAAGAAUGCAUUCCGGUUUCCUUUAGACUGGUAACUACAGCUUUUCCCUUCUUUUUUUCUGUCAAUUUCUUUGGCUAAACUUUUUCUAUUUCCUUAUCCUUCUUCUCAUCUCUUUUAGCUUUCUUUAUAGCUUCCUCUGGAGUCAUUUCAGUUCCAGGCUCUUUCUUCAUAGUCUCUUUAUUUGGCUUCUUACUUGGUGUGGUUACUGCCACAUUCUUCUCCAUAGGAGACUUCCCUUUCAAAGGAGAUUUAUCCUCAGAUUGCACCUCUUUUUCUUUCCACUUUUUAUUCUUCACAGCUUGUAGUGAUUGUUCACUAGCUAUCAUCAGUCUAGGUGAUCCAUCAAUAAUGAUUCCUCCUAUCUGCUCAAUGACAGGUUGUACAUCAAUCCUUUUCAUAGUUGGGGCAUCUAAAUCUGAAUCAGUGGAUUCAUAUUCGUAGACCAUUAGUGCCUAACCCUUAUCUUUAUCCUUCUUUUCAUUCUGCAUUUUCAGAGUGCAAACAAAAAUCCGAAAACAUAUUAUAAACAAGCUUGACAUUUCCAAAAACAGUAUAUAUUCAUUCAGAGUCAACAGAUAUUCAUAGAAAAUAAUUAAGGCAUAUUAAUGAAGAAAGGAUACAAAUGGCAGAGUUCAUCCAAACAUUCAUUCAAAGACGCAAAAUCUAUCCAGAAGGAUCAUUGCACAUGCAUAUGUUAACUUUGAUAUAUCCAUGUACAGAUUCUCAAACAAACAUCUGUUAUAGUAACUAUAAGGGGUGCAAGUUAAAAACACUCCAAAAUUCAAUUUUAAGCACUGCAAGAUGACAAGUAGGAAAAAGCGCGACUAUAAUAUUUAGGUGCAAAUCAAGUAGACAGCAGCACAUAGUAACUGUAAGGGGUGCAAAUAAAUCCUAUAGUUGCAGCCACGUGUAAACAUGGGCUAGAGGGUGUGAAACUGUAGCUGCGACCAUGUAUUUUCUUCUACUAAAGGUUCUAUUAGCUGCAGCUUCUCGUGGCCAUGACUACAAGGGUGUGAUGAAUAGGAAACUUAAAAAUAUAUUGUUUAUACACACGUGAUUUGAAAUUCAUUUCUAUGGUGAAAAUAUUUAUAAAAAUAUAAUUAUGUGAAGAAAAGAAAUAAUAGUAAUUGUGAACCCGUUUUUAUUUAUAAAUUUAUGUUAUUAAUUAGUUCACUAUUUGAGUUUCAAACUAUUAUUUAAAGAAUACUAGACUCAUUAAUAAAUUCAACACAUUAAGUUUUGUUUUAUUUAAAGUUUAUUUAUCUAGUGAAAAAAAAAUUAAAAAAUUUGUUUUAUGUAUAAGAAAAAAAAAUGAAGUCAUUUUUGACAAUUUUUUGUCAAAAAAUUUCUAAUAUUAAUUUGAUCACUAUUUGAGUUUCAAGUUAUUUAUAAAAAUUAUUAGUUAUUAGCAAAUCUAAGCAUUAAGUCUUGCUUGAUUUGGACUUUAUUUGGGUAGUGAAUUUUUUUUUUUUGCAAAAAUAUGAUUAUAUGUAAAGAAGAAACUAGUCCAAGUCAUUCAAAAUAAAUCCUAAUUUAUGACUUUAUAAUGUUAUUGGUUCCAUGAUUAGUAAUUAAAUUGGGUUUUAACUUUCAAAUUAUUUUUACAAAUUAAUAAAUUUUAUAUAAAAAGUAUAAUUUGAUUUUGAAUUUAUUUGUUUAAUGGAAUGUUUUUAUUAAGGUAAAGGAAAUGUUGAAGGAGUCAAUGUUUUUGUUAUGGAUCUGUUGAGUUGUCCUAGUCUCAAGGUUAUCUAUUUUUUUGUUCUUUUGAUUUGUUGCAAAACAUGGUUGAAUUUACGUAGUUUAUAGGAGUUAGUCUUUACAUGGUUCAUGGUCUUAGCUAGUGGUUAAAAGUAGUGGAUUAGAGGUCUUUAUUUUCUUAGCAAUUUCCCAUUGGUGUACUGCCUCUUUAAAAGGCUAUUUGGUUGAUGAAAGAAGAUCAUCAAAAGUACUUUUCUCUUCCAACUUUUCUAUACAUUUUUUAGCUUUAUCAAUUUUUUGUACUCUUUCAAGAUUUUUCCUCUGCUUGUAAUAGUGGUAUCAGAGCUAGUUGAAAAUUGAGAAGGUGAGAAAAGUUAAGAGCCAAAAUAAAAAGAAAGGACGUGAGAUAGAGAGAAUUUUAGUAGCAGUUCCUAUUUCACUUUAUUUUGUUUUUGCAACAGCAACAGUAAGGGAUAGCCUCUAAAAACUUUGUCUAACCUAUAAUCCCAUACUUUGAUGGUCACUAUAUAUGACCAUUGGAGCAUGUUGAUGGAGAAAUCUUUUAAGGUCUAAGGAGUAUUGGCAGGUUGUCUUUGACGGAGUAGCAGAAUCGACAAAUAAUUUUUAGAUAGAGUUCACGGACUUUUCAAGAGAUUGGGGAGAAACCUUAAAGGGUAAGUGGCCUUUCAUCAUCCUCAAUACCUAGUGUCUUGGGAAGAAUCUUAGGAGUUGUCAGUUGAUCUUUACUAAGCUACAUAGAAGGAGCUUUCCUAGGAUGGAUAUGUGAAAUAAAAAAAGAAAAAAGAAAAAAGAAAAUAGAUAUGAAAAACAAUGGAAUGAAAAAGCAGAAAAUGAGAUAAAAUGGUGCUCUUCCAAAACUAGUCAUGAACAGUUUAUCUUAGGUAGAGGAAGGAAAUUCUUAAAAUAGGUGCUCCAUGAGGAUGCUCUUAAGCUAACAUUUGAGUUUUGUUAGGAAAUCACUUGUGAAGUUGAUGUUGAAGAGACUAAUGGAUUCUAAACAUUGAGGCAUGCUUUUGUAUACAUUUAUAUGGUGAGUGAAUCUUUUUGGAGUUAUGCUAUUUGACUAUGAGCUUAUUCUUGAAGGGAUAAUAUGUUUUCAGUAACUGAAUUUAUUGAAGCUAAUUCAUGCUAUUUAGUAGUUGUUGUCUUAAUUGCUUAGGAGUUUUACUCUUUAUUUAUUUCUAGAGACCAACAAAAUUUAGGUUGGGGGGGAAAUGAUUUGUGCUUUAAGUCAUGGGUUUUUUCUAUUCCCUAAAUGGUAGAUUCUAUAAUGAAAAAGAACGUAAACUACUCUCUUCAGUUUAUAUAUAUGCUAGUACCUAAUUUGUCUGAGUUCUUCAAUUUCAUGUCCAAUGGAGAAAUUAAAGUUAAGGUCAAUCUCAGGAGAUUAAUAAUUGGCUCUGGUUUCAGAGAUAUGAAUAUGCUCUAGCUUGACAUUCUUGAAGUGGAUUAGCAGAGUGGGAUUCUCUACUCAGCUGAUUGCCUUUUCACUGAGUUCCAAGGAUCAAUAGGAGAUCGUGGAUUUGUUGACAUUCUCAUUCUGAAAGCAACUGCAUCAGUAUCAUACAUGUUUGCCAGUUGGCAAUAUAAAAUUGGUAUUUUGGUUCAUAUUUUCUACAACCUGAAAGCCACUAUCACUACCACCAACUAUAUGAAUAGGCAUCAAUUCUUCAGGACGAUGAAGAAGGAAGAGCAUAUCACUUGCUCAAAUGGAGGAAUGUGGUCCCAUAAUUCUUUAGGAAAUAAGUAUCUAGAAACAGGUAAAAAGAACCAAGAAUCUUGAAAGACUUCUUUCAUCUUGUUCAUGUUGCCUAAAGGACAACCUGUGGGCCUUUGAAUUAUGUAUUAAAACUAUCAAGUCAACUGGAAUAGAUUCAUUUCUGAAGCUGCAGGGUUUAUGGUCAACCAUAUACCAAACCCAAAGUUCUUCAGUAGUCUAUUGAGAAAAUCCCAUUUGGAACCUAACCAUGAGAAAGUCCCAGGUUUGUUUAAGGCUGGGCUGAACCUAUGUGCAACCUUCUGUCUUCUGGGACCUUCUCUAACUAUAGUUUCAUCAACACAACACAGCUAGCCUUGUUCCAGCUACUAAGGCUGGGUAAAACUAUUCUGAAUUAUUGUUCCAUGCAUAUCUUGUUUGUGAAUGAUCUCCACUAGGAUUGACUCUUAAGUAUGUACCGAUCAAGAAUCAAAUCUUGUUUGUGAAUUAUUGUUCCAUACAUUCGCCUGACCGUUGGAUGGGUGAAGAGGCAAUGCAGAUACUUGUCCUAUAUUCCCAUAGGUAUCAAACUUCAGUGCAGUAGUUGACACAUUGACUACCUUUCUGAGGUUAGGACAAGAUAAACUCAUUAGUGGAUGGAGAAUAGAAGACCAUAUACUAAUUUAUGUGGUUCAGAAUUUGAAUAAAGAUCAUGAUAAUAAGUGCAAGAUUCGCGCGUCUUUGGAGUGUUUCAAGUUGCAGCUAGAUUGCCUAUAUAAAGAGCAUGGAGGUUUAUAAUUUCCAGUAUCAGCAACAAAGAGCAGGUGUGAAUUAUAGAGAGUAAAUAGGGAAGUUGUCAACCUCCCUCAAAGGCUUCCAAUUUUCCUGGCUAAUUAUCAAGGUAAGAAAGUUGGAAGCCGGUGGGGGACCUUGAAAGCUUACCCCAGAAUCAAUAUUACUCAUCUGGUUAUUUGGUUUCAGUUUCCCUGAUCAUUAGGAAGACAGUAAGAUUGAUUUCAGGUGAGAUGUUUCCCCUUCUUCUCAAAAAAACUGCAAACUUUUUAGAGAUUUAUGCUUAUGGUAUUUUAAGAUCCCGUUUGAUAGUGAUUUUAAGAAGUGUUUCUAAUAUUUUUAACACUUAAAAAUUAGUAUCAUUCAAGUGCGAGAAAGGUUAAAAACGUUUUCUAAAAUCAUUAUCAAACGUAAUUAAUCUAAAUCAUUUAUUAGAAAAUAGAUUUGGGAUAAGGUGGAAAACUCUUAGUACCACAUUAUUACCAAUCUUAUUUCAUUGCUCCUUUCACCCACACCCUCAAGAGUGUCAUCACUAGUUAUAGGGCAUUUUUAUCCUAUCAACUAAUGAUCAGGGUUUAUGAAGCAUUUUAAACACUGCCUUAUAAUGCAAUUAUUUAGAACCAUACCUUCUAUGGAUGAUCCCACAAUUUUGAUAGGGUGUUGUUUGGUUUUUGGGGUAAGUGAGGAGAGAAAAAAAUAAAUUAAAUUUUGGAGUUUAUGUUCUUACAUUUGGCAUUAUGUUUUAAUUGGUAUUAUUAAUAGAAAAAUAUUUAAGGACGUAUAGUGGAAUUUGAUUAGUUGUUUGUUUGAUCUAUGGGAGAAACGAGGAGAUAAGAAAAUAAAAUUAGAUUUUGGGGUAUAUUCUUAUUCUUACAUUUCGCAUGAAAGUAUAAUUUUUUUUCUUCUCUAGUUUCUCCAUGUUUGAAAUUGGUGUCUUAUUAGAAAAAAUGAAUUUAAGUUGAGUUCUGACCAAUUGUUGUUUGAUUUCUAGGAAAGGGAGGGAGACUAGAAGAAAGAAGGAUUUUGAAGCUUUCAUUUUAAGUAAUGCUAAUUUUACAUUUUUUAGGCAAACAAAGAAUUUCUAUAGGUGAUAUAAAUUCCUUAUUUGGUUGCUAAGAAAACAGAGGGAAGGAAGAAACAACAUACAUUUUGGAGCUUAUUUUCUUGUCCUAUUCUUGUUCUUACAUUUUCCAAGCAAGCAAAAAGGGUGUAUUUUUAUCUGGGCAAUAGAAGUUCAUCCUUUUUGUUUUUUUGUUUUAAUGUUUAUUUUGUUGUAACAAGUUCAACUGGAGUUAAAAAGGAGGUGUUUUGUGUGCAAUCCUGCACAUGUUUUGAGCUCUCUAAGAAUUUUGAAGCCUCUUUGUGCGAUUAGUAUUGGAAAUGAGUUAAUUAUAUUAUGCUUUGUUUGGAUGGGGAAAACUACAAGAGAAACAAAGCAAAUAUUUUCCUGAGUUCUAGGGCUUGUUUGUUGUCUUAGUUUUCAAAAGAUGAGAAGUUUUUCCUUCCUUGACUAAGGUGUUUGUUUUGAUAAUCACAAGUGUUGAACUUUUUUUCUUUUGUUUUUUUAUCAGGUUUUGCAAGUUGAGGGAUUUCUCAUUCUUUUCUUGUAAUCUCUUAUUUUUAAAGAAUAUGUUUUUGUUUUUGAUAAAAAGUUCAUAAUUGUUGAAAAAAAAAAGUGAAAAUCCCUACAAUCCAUUUAGUGCAUUUGAUCUAUGUAAAUAGAUUUAAUAGCUCCUUUUUCCUUUGAAAGCUCAAACUCUAGUGUCUCUUCUUAAGAUUUUUCUUUUUUAUUAUUUAAACUUCUCUUUUUUAAAUUAUUUAUACAUUUACAAUAUCAAGUUAGUUGAACAAAACAUUCAAUUUUUUCAACAUGUUUUUUUUUACUUGUUUUGAGAACUCUUUUCUAUAACUCAACCAAACAUGUUUUUGUUGUUUUCGAGAACAAAAACUAUUUUCCAUAAUUUAGUUCCUAAAUGCAACUUUUUUAUUUUUUAUUUUUUAUUUAUAAAAAUACAAAAAACCGUUCUUAAAAACUAUUUUUUUAUAAUAGUUUUCAAAGACAGCAAUCAAACAAACCCUAAAAUUUUGACUUUAAACAAGAAGAGUACCAAUCUCCACAUUUUUUUUAUAAUAGUUAGAAACUUAUCCUCAUGCAUAAUUGGCUUUGCUUGCAUCUAUUGACUUAUUGUCAUACAUAAUUGGCUUUGUUUGCUAGAAACUUUUGCUGUAAUAUUUAUAAUCAACCUGUGAGAAAUUGAGAUCUAUUUGGUUACCACAUGGCUCUGGAAGUUUAUUAGGAAUUGGAUUAAAGUUGCUAUAGUUGAUAACAUUGACUUAUCCUCAUGCAUAAUUGGUUUUGCUUGCUAAACACUUUUGCUCUGAUAUUUAUAAUUAAUCCUUGAGAAAUUGAGAUCUAUUUGGUUACCACAUGACUCAGGAGGUUUAUUUGGAAUUGGAUUAAAGUUGCUAUAAUUGAUAACAUUGACUUAUCCUCAUGCAUCUAAUUUUUGUAAGUUAAAUAUUUUUUCAUGUUGAAAAGUUGGGUGCAUGGUUGCCUUUCAAAUAUAUUUGAAUAAAUAAAACAUUUCAUAAAGCUAGAAAGGGUAGGCAAAAGGAAAUAAGAGGUUAUAUAAUACACCAUGGAAUAAUUAAAAUAUUCAAUAAAAUAUUUUUUUAAAUCCCCAAAUUCAGGUUUCAUAUCCACAUGGAAAGUUGUCAGAAACAACUUUAAUGUCAAAAAAAUUUAAGAAAAAUUACAAAAAAUUAUGUAAAAGUGAAAUGGAAUAGUUAUUUUAAAAAUAUGUUUACUACAAAUGGAGUUAGAAAGAAAAAUUAUUGUAGUUACAACAAUAAAUUGUUAUCAGGUUUUUUAAAAACUCAAAUUAUUAGGAUAUAAAUCAAACAAAAACAUAGUGAAUGAGGACAAAAAUUACAUAUUUAGUUAUAUUCAUUAUACUCAAAUAUAUCAAGAAAUUGUUUAAUAUUAAAAAUUUCUACUUAUUAUUUAAGAAUACAAAAUAAUAUUUGAGUUGAAAGAAGAUUUUUGUAUUUCUUUUCUUUUUAUCUCAUUUAUGUAGAAUAAAAAUAGUAAACCUUACAGUGGGGGCUACUUGUGGCAUGUCUCAUAAAGUUGUUAUCUAUAUUUUUUUUCUCUCUUGGUUUGUUGAGGAGAAAGGACUAUAUCUAGUCUUGCAUCCCUAUCUAAUAGGAAUAAUAAACUUCCUUUACCCAUAUUGAAAAUCAAUCAAAUUUGAUGACUGUUUGAGAAUCAUAUAUAUAUAUUAAACAAUAUGAAAAACCAUAAAUGUAGGUGAAAGUAGGCCAAGAAGGUGAUGACCUAUAUAUGACCACAAAGACAAUAUAAUUAUUUUGCAAUUUUUAAUAAUAACACAAUUCCACCACAACUUGAAAUUAUUAUACAAGAGAGACCAACUUUACUAUAAAAUUAUAGAGAAGCAAAUUGGAAAAUGUGUACACAGCCACAUCUAAUCAACAUGAAGCAUUUUUUUUUAUAUUGGAAACUAAUAGUCAAUUAUGAGUAGAAAUUUUAAUUUAUUAACUUACUAGUUGUAACUACUUUUCUUGUUAAAAUUUAAGUUUGGGAUUAUGAGUGCUUGUGGGUUGUUAUAAUGUUGGCACAUAAAUGCUAGAUUCUUGUUUGAAACUUAAUUGUGACAAAUUUGCAGAUGAAAGUUUCCUUACACUAAAAUUUAAUUUGGUUAAAUUUGAAAUUCAAAUUUUAAAUUGCUUAUAUAUAACAUUUAUAAUUUGAAAAAUGUCUUAAAAAUGUAAGAUAUCUUACGAAAAUUUUGAUAGAAAUUUUGAUUUACUAACUUGUUAGGUUUUAUUUAUUUUUUUAAAAAAAUUGUUUUGUUUUAUUGUUCUUUUUCAUUCAUAUAUAGAAGAAGAUACUAAAGCUCCAACACUAACCAAUAGAAAAGGAAGUUGUGAUCAUGACUGAGUUAGAAAUUUGUGAAAAACAUUUGGGGCAAAGAUCAUGAUAUAUCGAAGGCUUUUAGAGCCUCAACCACUUGAUGCACAACAAAAAAGUGACCGAUUGGAGAUCGUACUACAACAGUAAGAUCUACAACAUCAACAACCUUGCAUCAUCUAUGAUUAGACUAAGGGCCUUGAUUAUGCAUAUAAUGGAUCUUCCUUGCCUUUUCUGUCUAUGUUGAUAUGGUUAUUUUGGGAUGACAUUUUAUUAACCUAAUAUUUUAUUUUAUUAACAUACAUAUUCUAAUCUUAUAAUCAUUUAAUAUUGUUACAUAUAUUAUCAACGAAGGUAUACAAUACAUAUUUUGAUUUUUGUAAGCAUAUUUUUUAAUGAAAAUUUUCAUUGCAAUGUAUUAAUCAGGUACAAAUAGUACUAAAAAUAUAUAAUUGCAAUAUUGAAAUGAAGUAAUCCAAGUAUUCCAACAACUAACUCCCCAUUAGCUUGCAAGGGCAUGAUAUAAUGGCAAUAUACUCAGUAAGUCAUCAUUGACAGUUUCACACACCUUCAUAGCUUUCUCUCUUUGGUCAAUAAUACCCCUUAACAAUUCUUGUAUUUCUUUGUCAGCUUUCUUUAUUCUUUUGUUUCCUUUCUUUUCGCAAAAAUCUACAUGUAAACAGUCUUAGUUGUAAAUGUCAUGACAUUAAAUAAUAAGAAAAGAUAACAGGAAAGAAAAUUAUGGUAGUUGUUUAUCCAUUGCUUUAAUUUUUUUUUUCCUCAUUUUUCUUGGAAAUUUCAGGAAGCUUUAAAUUUGUUGAAACAUUUUAUGCUCACCACAACCCUGGGAUGUAAACUAAAAAAAAUCCUGAUGGUAAGCUAUGCUAGUUCUUCUUGGAGUAGUAAUAUCCUUCUUCCUUCUUCAUAGCUACUACCAAAUGUUGUUCAAGAAAUGACAUGAACCUUUUGUGGAGACCAUCUCCCAUUUUCUUAUCGUAUUGCUACAACUUAAAAGAAAUGUAGGUAAAUAACAGUAAAAAAAAUAUUUAGCACCCAUAUUUUCAUGGUUGGAGGACUAGUCACUGCACAUUUGAAAUAAACAUCUUUAUCUAUGCAAUAUAACUUCCAAACAAUUUCCCUUUUAAAUAGCAUAAAAUAUAAUGUAUAUGAUUAAAAUUAAGAUGGAUAAGAAAACUAAAGAUGAAACUAAAAAGAUUAUAUAAUUUGAGCUCUAUCUAAUAUCUCCUUACAAGUAGGCUAAAAGGAAAAAAAAAAAAAAGAGAAUAUUUCAGUGAUCUUAGGAUGAUUCACAAGCUAAGGUUAGCUAGAAGAUCAUUGCAAAGAAAGGAGCAUAAAAAAGAAAAUCCCUAAAACACAUUUUGAAUACAAUAUCAAACACUAUAGAGAACAAAGGUCAAAGAAAAGUUAGGAUUUCAGAUCCAAAGCAAGGAAAGGAAGAAAAGAAGUUAUUUUUUUCUUUUUUCGGAGAAAACUUCAAGUUAAGAGUUUUAUUUCAACUAAUUUUCCUUUUCCUUAGACUAUAAUUGUUAGUUUCAUUUCCCAAAGAAUAAAAAAUAAAUAAUUAAUAGAAAAGUAUGUAGAUAAAUAAAUCGGUGUUUAAAUAAAUAUAGAAUUCAUAAAUCUUAAACCUAGAGUUUUUUUUUUGAGGUUUUGAGAAUAAGAAAUUAACCCUAUGGUGAAAAUAUCCUAUGGAUCUGUAUUUUUAUUAUUUUUAGAGUGUUUUAAAAAAAGUGUUAGCAAUAAAAGCAAAUCCCACACUCAUUGAUGUUUUGUUAUUUUGAUUAAAGCCAUAAGGCACUACAAGUGGAGACUAAGAUCAUUUCUCACACUCAUUGAUGUUUUGUCGUUGUGUAGGAAAUCCCUAGGAACUAUAUAUGAAGAUUAUAGGGUUAUUGUGGAGAAACUUUGAGAAUAGUACAAUAUGGUUACGAAAAUUUUUGGAAGUAUAUUUUUGAGGUUGGAAAAUGAUAAGAUGUUUCUUGGGAAUAAUAUGUAUUUGUAAGCCUUGUAGGCCGCACAAGUGUUUUUGGUAUGGUUUUAAGGUAUAGAAGAAUUAAUCUUAAUAAAAGGUUAAAUAAAUGAUUUGGAUAGUUGGAUGCAAGAAAAUUAGGAAAGCAAGUUAAGUCAACCUAAGUAUAGGAAAUUGGAUAUUUCCCUAAAUGAAUUAGGGUUAAUUAAUAAAUAAAUAUACACUUAGAGCAAUAUUUAUCAAAACUUUAAUUUGAAUUAUUCCUUUAAAUCUCUCAAUUGAUUCAUAAGAAUUUUCCACAACUCUGUUCCUUUGGAUUUAUCUAUCUUGAGUAUGGGGAUUUUGUGUAAAUAUGUUUUUUUUUGUUAUAAAUGUUCAAAUGUAUUUUUUUUUGUAAAUUCUGAAAAUGUCUAAAUACGUUUGAAAUACUAAAAUUGAGAAUUAUUUUUAUUUGACUAUAUUUUUUUCCUUAUAUGUGCAUUCUAGUUAUCUAGCCUAGUUAACAAGGGAAAAAAUGUUGACCUUUAUUACCCUUGGUGGGGCUAAAGAUGAUGUUAUAACCAAGUCAAUAGGGUAGUUAUCAACUUAUGAUAUACAAUUAGAUUGGUUCUGGUUUCGUUCACCAACAUGUAAGGAAUGUCUGAGGUUAGCCACUUCUAUAAGUCCCACUAUGAUGGGCUUUGUUAGGAAAUCGAGUCUUGUUUAUAUGUUGACAAUUUUGGUCCUUUUUAAUUUUUACCAUAGAAGUCUCUUUAGAUAGUGACUUGCUCUCCAUUGAAGAUCAAGAGUUGUUGUUUGUCCAACUGGGAAGUCACAGAUACAUUUAAAAAGGUUUGACUUGUAACAAUUUAGGCUCCUUUGAGGUAUGAAGAGAAUCAAUUUUGUUUUGAACUUAAAAUGAUUUAAAAUUGGCUUUUGAAAAAUGGUAAUACCGCUCAAGUGCUCAAGAUCACUCAAGUGAACCUUAUCACUCAAGUGCUAAAGGCACUCAAGCGGUGUGUGAGUUGGCUCGAGCAAUCAUGCUAAUUUUGUUGAGAUUUUUCCCAUAAAUUUGAUUUGGAACUCUUUUAAAACCAAAACUUUUCAAGAUUUUGUCUAUAAAUACCUCUCUACUAACCCCUUGAGGGUUAGAGAUUAGAGAAGAGAUUAGAGAAGAGAUUUUGGAGAUUCAUUAAAGAUCUUUAAGUGAUUGAAAUGAGAUCACAUAUUCUUUGGAGAAGGUUUCCUAGAGAGAGAGCCUAAAGUGCCACACCAUUCCCAAUUUCUCAUUCUCCAAAAGGAUUUCAUCUUUGAAUCUUGGUUUGAAGACCUUCAUCCCUUCGACAAGGUUGAAGUGAUCCAUUGGAGUAAUUGAAGGUUAAUGCAUCACGAACAUGAAUCAAGAUAUAAAUAUUGGAGAGUAAGUCUUUAGGGUAAAGCAACCAAAUAAAUUUGUGUAACUUGAUUUUGUAUAGUAGAUUUAGAUUAUUAGGUCUUAGACCUAGUGGUUUUUUAUCUUCAUAGUUAGUGUGGGGGUUUUCUACGUAAAAAUCUUAUGCCUCAUUAUUUAUAUUUUUUAUAUUUGAUAUUAUGUUUGAAUUGCCUAUAAUUGAUAGAAUUGAUUAUCCCUAACAUCUUGUAGGGUAAAAGAAUUGGAUAUAACAUACAGAUCUUUAUUGAAAAUUUUUAAAUCACCCAUUCACUCCCUCUCCCCCCUCAAGGUGUUCCCUAUUGAAAAUUUUUAGUUUUUCAAUUGGUAUCAAAGUAGGAUAAAAAAUCGAUUCUUUAUCCUAUUGAUUAAAAAUCCAAUUUUUAUUGAUCAUAUUGAUUAAAAAUCAUAUUUUUAUUGAUCACAUAGGAUAAAAAUAAAUUUUUUAUUGAUUUUGUAAGUUCGAUAUGGAACAAUCUUAAAGUGGUGCCCUUUUGAAUAAUCCACCCUACUUUGAUGGGAAUAACUAUUCCCAUUGGAAAGCUCGAAUUAUGUUUUUCCUCAAAAUGCAAGGCGAAAAGGUUUGGAGCUUAGUAAAAUAUGGAUGGGGACCCCCAUUGAUCCUUGAUGCUCAAGGAAGAUCAACAAAAGAAUGGAAACCUAAACACAAAUAGGACAAAGUCAACAAUGAAGGAAGUGAAGCCAAUGCUAGGGCUUUAUUUAGUAUUUUUAAAGGAGUUUGUCCGAAUGAGUUUCACAGGAUAACAAAUUGCAAACGUGAAAAGGGAGCAUAGGAUAUUCUUUAAGUCACUCAUGAAGGUACGCUUUCUAUAAAGAUCUCUAAAUUGCAAACGUUUGCCACUAAAUUUGAGAAUAUUAGGAUGCUUGAAAAUUAGAACUUUUCUUCCUUCUAUUCUGAAUUAAGUGUUAUUGUUAACUAUUCAUUUAACCUUGGAGAACCUAUUCUAGAUUCAAAGGUAGUUAGAAAAAUAUUGAGAUCUCUUCCAAAGAGAUUUAGACCUAAGGUUACUACCAUAGAGGAGAGUAAGGACAUCAAUUCCAUGAAAGUUGAUGAACUUAUUAGCUCCAUACAAACAUAUGAGAUGACUUUACCUAGUUCUCAAAAGCCUAAAGACUCUACUUUUAAGGAUUUUGAGAAUGAAAAAAAAGAUAUUGAAAUGCCAUAUAACAUAACUAGGGAUGAUUGACUCAUAUGGUUGGAAGGAUUAAAAAGGUCAUGAAACUUAAUAAAAGAUUUUAUAAAAAUCAAGAAUCUAGAAAAGGAAAAGGUUCCUCCAAAGGUAAGAAAGUUGAAUGUUUUAAUUGUGGAGGUUUGGGACACUUUGCUACUAAUUGUCCCAUCCCCAAAGAUUUCAAAAAGUCUAUAUAAGCUACUUGGAGUGAUACGGACUUUGAUGAUAGUGCUUCCAUAGCUUUUGAAGAUGCAAGGUACGAUCUUAAUGACUUCUUAGCUUUUAUUGCAUCUGUGGAAUCUGUGCAUGAUAGUGAUUAUAAUAGUGAUAGUGAUGAUGAGUUUAAUGAUGAACAAAAGGCUGAAUUCUUGAGCAAUCUUGUUAUUGAGCAUGAAAAACUAAUUAAGAAUUAUUUAAAAGAUCAUGAUAUUCUUGAAGCUCAUAAAAACAAGACUGACAUUCUUAAUCUAGAAAAAGUUAAUUUACUUGAGAAAAUUAGAUUUCUUAAGUCUAAGGAUCAUUCUCUUCUUAUGAAGAAUAAUACUCUCACUCUAAAGAUCAAGAGUAAUAAGCCUUCUUCAUUUGUGAAUGAAAUAUUUCACCCUAGAACUAAAGUGCUUAAUGAAAUUCUUGAUAAAUGUAAAACCCAUGGUGAUAAAAGAGGUUUGGGGUAUAUUAACAAAGAUGAAACUCCCUCUAGUGGAGAAACUAUGUUUGUCAAAGGUAGAGAUGAAACCCUUAACCAAACAACAUCUCCUAAAAAGCCAUCACUAUGCAUACACUAUAACAAAACUAGACACUCUCAGUUUAGAUGCUACACUAGGUUCUUAGAAAGGUUUGAAUCUCAAAUGAGUAUGCUAAUGAAUGAUUUUAACUCCCUUAAAAGUAAUAUAUUGAAUAAUGGGAAAGGGAAUAAAACUAAUGAGAAGCUUAGAAUUCAACCUAAUUCCUUUAAGCCACCACCUAGGACUAAACAAGUUUGAUUGAGAAAUGAUAGGGUUAAAUGUCAAGUUGUAUUCAAUGCUCUUAAAGCUAAAUCUUCUUAUGACUGGUACUUUAAUAGUGGCUACUCAAGACACAUGACUAGAGAUAAAACCUUUUCACAUCUCUUGAGGAUUAUAAUGGUGGGACAGUUACUUUUGGAGAUGAGCACUUAUCAUGUGUGAAAGGCAAGGGAAAUUUAUCUAUCCUUGGUUGUCCUAAGUUAGAUGAAGUUCUCUAUGUUAAUGGACUUAAGGCAAGCCUACUAAGCAUUAGUCAAAUUUGUGACAAGGACCAUAAGGUGAAUUUUUUCCAAGACUUAUGCAAGAUAGUUAACAAAGAGGGAAAGGUCAUUGUCACAAGACAUAGGAUAGUUGACAACUGCUAUGCAAUAAAUCUUAUAUUUAGAACACCUCUUGUGUGUAGUAGGACAAAGGUAGAUCCUAUUGAACUUUGGCAUAGAAGGUUAAGUCGCAUAAACAAUAGGGACCUUGUGCACUUAGUGAAUAGUGAAAAAGUUAGAGGCAUCCCUAGACUUAGUGAUGAAUGUAAACCCAUUUGUGGUGAGUGUAUGAACGGUAAACAAACUAAGAGUUCACAUAAAAAGGUUAACCAAAUUAGGACCACUAAGCCUUUAUACCUUAUAUAUAUGGAUCUUAUGGGUCUAAUACGGACUAAGUAGAGGUGGUAAGAAAUAUGUUCUGGUUGUUGUGGAUGAUUUUUCAAGAUACUCCUUUGUGAGUUUUCUUAGGGAAAAGUCAGAGACCAUUGAACAUUUGAAGUCACUAUUCAAUAGAAUACAACGAAAAAUAGGUUAUCUAAUUAUAAGGAUUAGGAGUGAUAGGGGGAAGGAGUUUGACAAUGUGGAUGACCUCUUUUACGAGUCUAAAGGAAUUAAACAUGAGUUUUCAACCCUUAAAACUCCUCAAUAGAAUGGAGUGGCUAAAAGAAAGAAUAGUCUGUUACAAGAAAUGGCUAGGGUGGUGAUUCAUAUGCAUAACACCCCUAUGCAAUUUUGGGUAAAGGCAAUUAAUGCAUCAUGUUAUACUACUAAUAUGGUUUUUCUUAUAAUUAUGGACUAGGAGAAAACAUAACCUUAAGUAUUUUAGGACUUUUGGCAAUGAGUGCUAUAUACUCAUGGAUGGGAGAACCUUGGAAAGUUUGAUGCUAAAUUUGAUGUAGGUAUCUUCUUAGGCUAUUCUAUUACUAGUAAAGCCUAUAAGUUUAUAAUCAAAAUUCAUAGAUUAUCUAUGAAUCCUCUAAUGUGGUUAUAUAUAAUGCUAGGUAUGAUCAAGAUAUAAUUGAGAGUCAAAUUUUAACCUAGGAUUUAAUUGAGGGUAACCCUAAAGAUGUGAAGAUCACGAAAGAUAACCCUAAUGAUAUCUCUAAAAGAGACAUUGAUCCUAAUAAGGAUGAAUAUGUACCUCUAAAUGACACAUCUAAUGAAAUGAGGAAUAUGCAUAGAUCUAAAGUACUCAAGAACCACCUAAUUUAAAAUGUUAUAAGUAAUGUAAAUGAAUGUGUGACAAUUGAUUAGGUACACAUUUGAUGAACGUGUACCUCUAAAUGAACAUGUACCCAAGAGCUACAUAGAUCCAGCUCAUAUACCUACGGUCUCUACUAAGCGAAUGAAGGAAAUCAUGACAAUUGAUUAAUUAAUCAAGGAUACCAAUAACAGGACAACAAGACACAUAUAAGUCUCGAGGUGAAAAAAGUGUACACAAGAAUGUACACAAUUAAUGAAUGUGAAAUGCACAAAAUAGAAUUUAAUUAUUUGUUAAAGUUGCAACAUUUCAAAGGAAGUUCAAAAGAAAUUUAUUUAUAUUGGGAACAAUUUUGAAUUAAAAUUUUCAAACUUAUUUAUUCACAAAGUUUCAAUUUAUUUACAAAAGAUUAUAUUUUUAUUCACAUCCAAAAUUAAUUAAAAAAAAAAACUUUUCUUGAUUUUAUUAAAAGAAUUUUGAUUGAAUUUGAAUUUAUUAAAGGGAAAAGCUCAAUUUGACCUUCUAUUUAUAAAGACAUGAUUUUGGCUUACACUUUAUUUAAAAAAAAAAAGAAAAAAAGAUGCCAUAAUUAUAACGAAACAUCAAUUCUAUUUUUGGAAAAGUGAUUUUUACAAGGAAAAGGGGGUUUACUUAUUUUAAUUACAAGAACCAAAUUUCAAUUUACUAAGAAAAUAAAUUUUUAUAACUUUUAUUUACGAAAAAUAUUUCCAAAUUAAAUUUAUUCAAAAAGAGAGAUUUUUACAACUUUUAUUUUCUUUAGAUUUUUAUUAAAACAAUUUUCAGGAUUUUUUAUUAAAUCAAAAUUUGGAACUUUAUUAAAACUAUUUUGGAAUUCUUUAUUAAAAGAAAAUUUUGAAACUCUUAUUAAGCAAACUUUUGGAAAAUUUUAUCAAACACAAACUUAGAGAACUUUAACUUAAAAUUUUAAGAACUUUAUUUUAAAACAAAUUUUAGGGAUUUUGAUUAAAAAACUAACUUUUAGAAAAUUUAUUAAAACACUUUGAGGAUUUUGGAAACUAACAUUGGGGGUUUUUAUUAAACAACUUUUAGAAGUUAAUAAGACAAACUUUGGGAGUUUAUUAAAAACAAAUUUUGUGAAUUUUUAAGAUUUAUUUUGAGAAUUUAUUAAGACAUGUAUUAAAACUUUUAAGACUUUUAUGGAAACAAACUUUAAGUAAAUUUAAAAGACAUACUUUGAGAACAACUAUUAAAAUAUUUAUUUUGAAAUCUUUAAUUAAGACGAAUUUGAGAACUUUUAUGAUUUUUAUGACUUUUAUGAAAACAAACUUUAAGAAUAUUUGUUUAAACACUUAGUUUGAGAAUUUUCAUUAAACAAACUUAUUAAAAAAAAUGACUUCCUGAAGAACAUUUAUUAACAAAUAAUUUUCAAUUAACAAACUUAUUAAAAUAAAAUGACUUUCUAAAGAAUAUUUAUUAAAACACAAUUUUCAAUUAACAAACUUAUUAAAAAAAAAAACAACUUUCUAAAGAACAUUUAUAAAAACACAAUUUUCAAUUAACAAACUUAUUCAAAAAAAUGAUUUUUUAAAGAACAUUUGUUAAAACAUAAUUUUUACAAUUUUCAUUAAACAAACUUUUUAAGGGAAUUUCUCAAAUUUUAUGCCUCUUUGUCUUUCAAAAAAGAAUGUUUGAAAUUUUAUGCCUCAUUGGCUUUCAAAGAAUACUUUCAUAGUGAGAAAAAUUGUAGAUAUCUAACUUUAAAUUUUGAAAGAUUUGAAAAACAAAUUUAAAAGUUAAAAAAAAAAAAGAAUUUCCCAAAUUUUAUGCCUCUAUCACUUUCAAGAAAUACUUUCAGACUUUGUUACGUAAGAAAAUUAGAGUGUGUUCGACAAUUAUUUAUAAAAUACUACAAGUGACUUUUCAAUACUAUAAGUAAUUUGUCAAUGCUAACUGUUUCUUAACUUUUGUCAAACACCUUAAUUUUAUUAUUAUUAUUUUUUUAUAAACACUUCUUAGGUUAGAAGUGUUUUUCAAAAACACUAUUAAACAAACUAUCUAACUUUAAAUUUUCAAAUAUUUGAAAAACAAAAAGUUCAAAGAAUAAAAUUUAAAAGUUUGGCAAGCAAGUUAGAAAUGUAAUCAAUUUGAGAUCAAGUAUUAAAGUGCUCCUUGCUCAAGAAAAGGACUAAGUCCUAGAUCAAGGCUUGGGUCCAAAGGUAAGCUAAUGUCAUGGACUUAAUUAGUCUUUUCCUAAGCUCAUGUGGCACUUAGACAAGUCAAGACACUUUAUCUUACGGAAGCAUUAGAAGACGUAGUAGGCAACUCUUAAAGAAUGGAGCUUUUAUUGCUCAAAGGAAGCUUUACAAGUGCUUUUGGGAACUCACUUGCUUGGUUGGUUAAGUUCUUGGGUGGUGCCUUAGCCAAAUGAGGGUCUCACCUAUUUAUAGGCACCGAUUGUACUCUCUAGAACCUUGCAGGGUUCUUUAUAACUCAAGAAUAAUCUAGAACUUCCUACACUAGUCUUAUGUACAAGGGUAUGUACAAGAUGACUUUAGAAUAUUCUAGAACAUCCUACACAAUUCCAAUUCUCUCUUAGCCAAGUGUAGAGAUGUGUGGACAUCUCUAGCCCUCUCCAGAAGCUUCCAUACUCUUCCACUUUGUAGCUAAGUGUAGGUGUCUCCAAGGGUCUCUAGAAGCUUCCCACCUCCUAUAUAAGCCAAUGGGAAGGGUCAUUUGAAGCAUCUUGUGACACUCUUCCCCACCUAUUGUUGUGCCAGCGAAAGCUUUGAUGCCAACAAUGUUAGUUCAAGAACACAAAGAUAAAACAAUCACACAUAUGGUACAUGAGGUUUUAACGUGGUUUGGCCAACCAUGCCCACGUCCACGGAUGAGAGAGAAUGAUUCCACUAUACAAUAGACAAUAUUACAGAGGACAAAACCAGAUACAACUAUUAGGUUCCCCAAACAUCCCAUGUUUCCCCACUCCUUGUAUCCAUACCCUACUACGAGAUCUCUCGCUCCAUCGAGUACCUCCCAUUCUUCCUCACAUCUCUAUCCACCUCGUAUAGUCUCUACAAGUCCAUCUCCAUCUCAUGACUUUUUUCCCUCAUGAACUAGAAUAUUUAUAGAGAUAUUUCCAACAACCUUCCUUAUUCUAUAAGGAAGUCUAAUAUUAUAAUAAUAUAUCAACUUAGAAAUAUUCUAUAUAAUAUUCUAAUAUUCUUUACAAAAAAAGGAAUCUAUACUAAUUAGGAAUUUAGGACACUUCCUAACAAUCUCCACCUUGGACCAAAUUCCAUGAAGUUAAUCUUCAAUCUCUCCAUGAUACAAACCUUUUUAUAUCAUAUCACCACGAAAGAGCAAUCGACUCCACCUUCAGUGAAAAUUCCUUUUGUUUUCAUCUUGCGUGCUUUGUGAUCUUUUACUCUUCCAGAAAUCUUCAACCCAAGACCAUACUAAAAAACCCUAAUUACAAAAGGCAGUUCCACAAUGGGCUAAAUGGGCCUAUUAGCCCAAGUCUUCUCUCCAUGGACUAAGCCUCAGUAAAUCUUCCAUUAAAAAACCAUGCAAUAUUAUUUGAGUCAAGUCGUCAAACCGGAUCAAACAAAACUAGGCUCCACAAAGCCCAACAAAUCUCCCACUUGGAGACUAGUUCAAUCAUCAACAUCAAACCGCUAUUCUCCAAGAGACAAUUCCUCAUCCCUGCAACUCACCCUCCUGUCCUCAAGCUAGAAGACCAAUUGAAGCUACGCACAACUUCAACUUCUCAAUAGUGACACCCUUAGUCAACAUGUCCGCCAGAUUCUUAAAUCCACAAAUCUUCUCAAGUAUUACCAGUUUAUCUUCAACAAGGUAACGGAUAAAGUGGUAUUUUGUUUGUAUAUGCUUCGACUUUGAAUGAAAAGUCGAAUUUUUGGCAAGAAAAAUUGCACUCUGACUGUCACUGUGUAGAAUGCCCAUCUCCUACUUCUUACCCAAUUCAUCUAAGAAACCAUGUAGCCAAAUCAUCUCAUUUUCAACUUCAGUUGCUGCAACAUACUCAACUUCUGUAGUAGACAAAGUAACAAUCUUUUAUAGAUUUGAAGCUCAUGAUAUAGUUGUACCACCUAGAGUAAAAACAAAACCAGUAGUAAUCUUUCUACUAUCAAUAUCACCAGCAAAAUCAGCAUCUACAUAACCCUGCAGUUUCAAACUUGCACCUGUGAAGUGAAGACAUGUAUCUAAUGAACCCUUCAGAUAUCUUGAAAUCCACUUGACUACCUCCUAAUGCUGUUUUCCAGGCCUACUCAUGAAUCUGCUCACAACUCCCACUGCAUGUGCAAUGUUUGGCCUUGUACGCACCAGAGCAUACAUCAAGCUGCCAAUAGUUGAGGCAUAGGGCACCUUGCUCAUAUGGUCCAUUUCUUCUUCUGUCUUUGGUGAUUGUUCUUUGCUUAGUUUAAAAUAACUACCCAAGGGUGUGCUCACUGGUUUAGCUUCAUUCAUGUUGAACUUGCUGAGAACUUUCUUCACAUACUCUGACUAUGAAAGCUUCAAUAUACCAUUAGCCUUGUCUCUAAUGAUUCUCAUACCAAGGAUUUGUUUUGCAGCUCCCAAAUCCUUCAUUGCAAACUGUUUGGACAAUUGCUUCUUCAGAUUAUUAAUCUUCUCAAUGCCAAACCCUGCAAUAAGCAUAUCAUCCACAUAUAACAGUAAUAUGAUGUAAGAAUUGUCAAAAGACUUAACAUAGCAACAGUGAUCAGCUUCACAUCUCUUGAAGCCAAUUCUAUGCAUAAAACUGUCAAACUUUUUGUACCACUAUCUAGGAGCUUGUUUAAGGCCAUACAAGCUCUUUCUCAGUUUGCAAACUAGAUUCUCUUGUCCCUGAACAAUGAACCCUUCUGGUUGACUCAUGUAAAGGUCAUCCUCCAAGUCACCAUGAAGGAAUGUUGUCUUCACUUCUAACUACUCAAGAUGUAAGUUUUCUACAGCCACCAUUCCCAGUACAAGUCUGAUUGUGGACAUCUUCACAACUGGAGAAAAUAUCUCUGUGUAAUCAAUGCCCUCCUUCUGUUGGAACCCUUUAACAACUAAUUUGGCCUUGUAACGUUUGCUACCAUCAUGCUCAUUCUUUAUUCUGUAUACCCACUUUUUGUGCAAAGUCUUCUUUCCUACUGGAAAUUCAGUUAGUUCCCAUGUCUGAUUCCCCAAUAAGGAAUCCAUCUCAUCCUUCAUGGCUAACUCCCACUUGCUUGAAUUCUCAUCUUGCAAAGCUUCAUCAUAACACUUUGGCUCACCACCAUCAAUCAACAGGAGAUAAUUUAAAAUAGGCGAAUAACACUGUGGAGGUUUAAUGUUCCUGGAAGAUCUGCGAACUUUAGCUACAGGUGUACACAAAUCUACCUGAGAAUUUACAUUCUCCUUAUCUUCUUCACCCCCUUUUUGGACAGUACUUUCAGUCAAUUCAUCUAAGUUGACAAACUCAAAUUUCUUUUGAUCCAUCUCUGUAACAUCUAACACUACAGUUGACUUGUCCUUGUACAUAACCUGUUCAUUAAAUAUCACAUUUCUACUUCUGAUGAUUUUCCUGUUUUGUUCAUCCCAAAACCUAUAGCCAAAUUUCUCAUCACCAUAGCCAAUGAAAAAGCAUAUUUUAGACUUUGCAUCAAGUUUACUACGAGCAUCAGAAUUAAUAUGAACAUAAAAAACACAACCAAAAACUUUUAAAUGUGAAAACUUUACCUUUUUACCGCUCCAAACCUCCUCAGGAAGUCUGAACUCCAUGGGAAUUGAUGGUCCUCGAUUUAUCAGGUAAGCUGUAGUGCUAAUAGCAUCAGCACAAAAAGUUUUUGGUAGUCCAACAUGCAACCUCAUACUUCUAGCACGCUCAUUGAGAGUUCUGUUCAUGCGCUCAACCACACCAUUCUGUGGUGGUGUCCCAGGAAUGGUCUUCUCCAUCCUUAUUCCCUGUGCAACACAAUACUCACUGAACCCUCCAUCUAUGUACUCUCCUCCAUUAUCUGACCUCAAAUAUUUUACUUUCAAACCUGUUUUUGUUUCAACCAUGACCUUCCACUUCUUAAAUGUUUCAAAUACAUCAGAUUUAUUUUUCAGAAAAUAAACCCAUAUCUUUCUACUUGAGUCAUCAAUAAAAGUGAUGUAGUACCUUGAACCUCCAAGGGAUGCAACCAGAGAAGGCCCCCACAAAUCAGUGUGUACUAGUUCCAAUUUUUCAGCCUUCGGUGUCCUGCCAGUUUUCAAUAAGCUCACAUUUUUUUGCUUUCCUAAGAUGCAACUUUCACACAUGUCAAAAUCAAUGGACUUCAAUUCUGGUAGUUUUCCUUUUGACAACAACAUCUGCAUCCCUUUCUCACUCAUGUGACCAAGUCUGCGGUGCCAUAGACUUGUAUCAGUACUUGCAUCAGCAACUACAAUUGUGUCUCUUGGACAUGAGGUCAUAUACAGAGUACCAGUCUUCUUUCCACGAGCCAAUACCCUAGCUCCUUUUGUAACCUUCCAAGUACCACCAACAAAUAGUAUUGCAUGUCCUUCAUCAUCAAGUUGUCCAACAAAAAUCAGAUUCCUCCUCAGGUCAGGAAUAUGUCGAACCUUCUCCAGUAACCAAAUAGACCUAUUGGGCAACAAUAUCCGAACGUCUCCCAGACCCACAACAUCUAAGGCUGAACCAUCAUCCAAAUACACCUUACCAAAAUCACCUGCAGCAUAAUUCUGUAUGAUUUCUCGGUGUGGAGUGGUAUGAAACGAAGCUUCUGAAUCCAAAAUCCAAUCAUCAAGUGGACUGUCUACUCUAAGAAGUAAUGCAUCCUGUACAUCUUCUGUUAUAGCAUUAGCAGAAUCAUCUUCAUUCUUCUUCUUAAGACUUUUGCAUUGCCUUCUAAAGUGACAUGUUUUCCAACAAUUCCAACAUUGUACUUGUUGGCUUGAUCUAGAUUUGCUUAUGUUCCGAUUAGAAUUUCUGGAUUUUGAUCUACCCCAAUUUGAAUUUUUUUCAUUACCUCUGCCUUUAGUCUCAAGGUUUAGGGCAGAACCAGAUCCUGAGGUUUCACCUACAUCUCUUCGGCGAAUCUCCUCAGCCAGAAUUAAAUCUCGUAUAUCAUUGUACUCAAGUUUUUCCUUUCUCGUAGAAUUGCUUACUGCCAUCCUCAUUGCCUCCCAAUUGUUUGGCAAAUAAGCCAAGACGAUCAUAGCACGAAUCUUAUCAUCAAAAUCAAUUUCUACAGACAACAAUUGAUUUAUGAUUGUAUUAAAUUCAUUCAGAUGUUGUGCUACUGAUGCAUUCUCUGCCAUAUUCAAAUUGAACAAUUUUUUCAUCAGAUGCACCUUAUUGUUUGCGGACGACUUUUCAUGCAUACCGGACAAAGCCUUCAUCAAAUCUGCUGUGGUUUUCUCCUUUACAACAUUGUGUGCAACAGACCUAGACAGAGUUAACCUAAUAACUCUUAGAACCUGUCUGUCAAGAAGUGCCCAUUCCUCAACCUUCAUACUCUCAGGUUUUGUCCUCAAAAUAGGCAGAUGCAAUUUCCUCCCAUAAAGAUAAUCUUCAAUUUGCAUCCUCCAAUAUGCAAAGUCUGUGCCAUCAAACUUUUCUAUUCCAAACGCCUUUCCUGCGUCCUCUGCCAUUGCUCCCACUCAAACCUAACCUUAGGCUAUGAUACCAGUUUUUGUGCCAAUGAAAGCUUUGAUGCCAACAAUGUUAGUUCAAGAACUGAUUACUACCCAAAAAGUGCUAUUUUACACCUUUAAUGCAUUAUGUUUUAAGCACUUUUGUGUAGUAGUUCUCCAUCUUUAGUCCAAUUGGCAUGUUAAGGACCUAGCAAUGUCUUCUAAUCAUAUUUGUGGCUAGUUUUAAUGUUUUGACAGCUUUUUGGAUCAUUAAGACAAGUCAAGCAAAGGAGAGAAGCAAAGAGAAGCAAAGUGAAGCAAAGUGAAAAAAUCAGAGGACAGCAGCUGCAGUAUUUUUUCAUACUUUUGGAGCACUUCCCGAAGUCCAUUUUUUACAUACUAUAUACCAUUUUAAAGCUCUGGAAGUCAAGAAUCCAACGCUUCAAACCGUGCACUAUUUGGAGCUGAAAUGAGGAAGAUAUGGCCUUCAGAAGCCAACUGCUCUAGGUUAUGCGAAAAUUUCGCAUUCCACAAGGUGUUAUGCGAAAUUCGCAUAACACCUUCAAAAUUCGCAUAACCCAUGCGUGUUGCGAAUUUUCCUCUGCCUUUUCCGACUCCACUUUAGAUAUUUUCCUUUGUAUUUUGUGAUGUAAUUUCCUUUCUUAUCCUUGUAACUAACCAAUCACAAGCUUUUGCUUUUGUAAAGACUUUAUAAGGGGUGGAAAUCACCUCUUGGAAAAUACAGAAUACGUAUUACGUUUGACACUGAGAAUUUUUAUAGAGCUCUCUCGUUUCUCUUUCUCUUUACUAUUUUCUUUUUCUUGGAAGCCAAACAACCUCUGAGGAUGUUUGCCCGGAGGAUGAGAGGCUAAACUUUCGGUUUCUUGGAGUAAAGGAAGCUAGGUGAAAAGUCCAGAUGAAAAGGUGGAAAGCUUCCAUGCAUUAAAUUCAAGUAGUUGGAAUUCAUAAAUGGCUUCUAAAAUCCAAAGUUUUGCUUUAAAUCCCUUAUAAUCACUUUGAAUGACCAAUACAUGGUAAGCUUCAGGUCUUUAUGGAUGCUUAUUGCUAGAUCCAUAUUAGUCCAUUAGUUAUCAUGUACGAGUCAUUGGAAAGUGAUUCAAGGUGAAGACCCAUAGUGUCUUAAGCCAUUAAUGGACCUUGACUACCAUUUCUAUUGACCUUUUAUGGAUUAAAUCUUCAUUUUCAAACCUAUACCGGUUCGGGAAAUAACUAUAGGUUAAAUCCCCAAUGCGAGGAGAAAAAUCCGGAAUUUUCCACUUUCUAUUCUGAACUUGAUCCUAGCAACCCUUAGCUCCGGGAGACUUUCUUUCUUCCAUUUUUAAUUAGUUCAUGUUAGUUUAGUUUCAAACACUUUCAAAACAAAUUUUAUUUUCUUUUAAACUUUAAGUUUUUGAUCAAGGAAAUCAUUAAAUACAAUUUCUAAUCUUGAGUAUAUCACUGGUAGAAUGAAAACCCAUCCCAGAGUUCGACCCUAGAGCCACUAUACUAUAGUAGCUUUGCUACGUUAGUAUGAGGUCAUAGGUUUUAUAAAUGUUUUUGAUUAAAUGACCCAAUUGGAGUUACACGCGAAUCAAAAUGGCGCCGUUGCCGGGGAUGGUGCCACAAUACAGUGAUGCAACCUUUUAGAGGCUACUUGUGAUUUCCAUCACAAGUUUGGUGAAUUCCUUUUUCAUUAACUUCAUUUCCUUUCAUUUUAUUUUUGUUAGGUUUAUUUUCAUUUUCUUUCUAACCUUAACUUUUUGCUAGGUUUCUUUUAUUUUUGUUGUUUUUGUUUUAUUUCAGGUAAGUAGUAACUUAUGCAUGCCCUAUUGGAUUCGGGACCAAGAGGGAAGAUUAGUAAGGAUUGAGAAUCCUCAAGACAUAGAGUUGGAUAUUUGUGUUAACAUCAUGGACCCUCCACCAGAGGAUCAGAAUUCUCAACAAGGUCAAGGGGGUAAUCCCAAUGCAUAUUUAUCCAUGAGGGAUAGAAUGCACCCACCAAGGAUGAGUGCACCCUCAUGCAUCAUAACUCCUCUUGAGUAGCUAGUUAUAAGGCCCUAUAUUGUGCCCCUUCUACCAAAUUUCCAUGGAAUGGAGAGUGAGAAUCCAUAUGCCCACAUCAAGGAGUUUGAGGAGGUUUGCAAUACCUUUAGAGAGGGAGGAGCUUCAAUAGACUUGAUGAGACUCAAGCUAUUCCCUUUUACUUUGAAGGACAAGGCAAAAAUAUGGCUUAAUUCUUUAAGGCCGCGGAGCAUAAGGAAUUGGGUUGAUCUUCAGGCCGAAUUUUUGAAGAAAUUUUUCCCCACCCAUAGGAUCAAUGGGUUGAAGAGACAAAUCUCAAACUUUUCUGCUAAAGAAAAUGAGAAGUUCCAUGAAUGUUGGGAAAGGUAUAUGGAGGCCAUCAAUGCUUGCCCUCAUCAUGGCUUUGAUACAUGGCUCUUGGUGAGCUAUUUUAAUGAUGGAAUGUCUUCCUCCAUGAAGCAAAUUCUCGAAACCAUGUGUGGGGGAGAUUUUAUGAGCAAGAAUCCGGAAGAAGCCAUGGACUUUUUAAGUUAUGUGUCUGAGGUGUCAAGAGGAUGGGAUGAGCCCAACUCAAAAGAGAAAGGGAAGUUUCCUUCUCAACCAACCCAAAAUCCAAAAGGUGGAAUGUACGUAUUAAGUGAAGACAUGGACAUGAAAGCUAAAGUGGCAACAAUAGCAAGGAGGUUGGAAGAACUUGAGUUGAAAAAGAUGCAUGAAGUCCAAGCCAUUUCCGAGACCCAAGCCCAUGUCAUGCCAUGCACCAUUUUGCCAAUCAUGUGAUCAUGUGGUAGAUGAGUGCCCAACCAUGCCAGCUGUGAGGGAGAUGUUAGGUGAUCAAGCCAAUGUUGUGGGGCAAUUUAGGCCUAACAGCAAUGCACCUUAUGGAAACACCUAUAAUUCAAGCUGGAGAAACCAUCCAAAUUUUUCUUGGAAACCAAGACCACCUCCAUACCAACCACAAGGCCAAACCCAAGCACCUCAACAAACCUCUUCAGUGGAGCCAUUGUGAACCUAAGUAAAGUCAUGGGUGACUUUGUGGGUGAACAAAAGGCAAUCAACUCCCAAUUGCAUCAAAAGAUUGAAAAUGUUGAGAAUUCUCAAAUUAAGAGAAUGGAGGGGAUGCAAAAUGAUCUAUCUCAGAAGAUAGAUAAUAUUCAAUACUCCAUCUCUAAGCUUACCAACCUCAACACUGUGAAUGAGAAGGGAAAGUUUCCCUCUCAACCAAGCCAAAAUCCCAAGGGUGUUCAUGAAGUUGAAACCCAAGAGGGGGAGUCUUCAAAGUUGAGGGAGGUUAAAGCUGUGAUCACUUUAAGGAGUGGAAAAGAGGUUGAUCAACCCCUAUCUAAGGUGAGGCAAGAUGAAGAACUCAUGUCAAAGAAAAGCUUGGUUAAAGAGAAGAAUAACCAAGAAGAGAAGAGUGGGAAGAAAAGUGCAUCCAAAUCAAGCAUUGAAGAAGAGCCAAGGAUAGUGAUUAAAGAGGAUAUGAUGAAGAAACAUAUGUCUCCCCCUUUUCCUCAAGCUUUACAUGGAAAGAAGGAAAUCAAGAAUUCAUCAGAAAUUCUUGAAGUCUUGAGACAAGUGAAGGUGAAUAUACCCUUACUUGAUAUGAUCAAGCAAGUCCCCACAUAUGCAAAGUUUCUAAAGGACUUGUGUACUGUCAAGAGAGGGUUACAUGUGACAAAGAAUGCAUUCCUCACUGAGCAAGUAAGUGCUAUCAUUCAGAGUAAGUCUCCAGUUAAGUAUAAAGAUCCGGGAUGCCCCACCAUUUCAGUCAACAUUGGAGGGACACAUGUGGAGAAAGCUUUACUAGACUUGGGGGCAAGUGUGAAUUUGCUCCCAUACUCUAUGUACAAGCAACUGGGACUUGGAGGAUUGAAGCCCACAGCCAUCACUCUCUCCUUAGCUGACAGGUCAGUCAAAAUCCCAAGGGGGGUGAUAGAGGAUGUUCUAGUUCAAGUGGACAAAUUCUACUAUCCUGUGGAUUUUGUUGUGCUUGAUACUGACCCCACUGUGAAUGAAGCAAACUAUGUACCAAUCAUCCUUGGGAGACCUUUCCUAGCUACCUCCAAUGCCAUCAUCAAUUGUAGAAAUGGGGUGAUGCAGCUCACAUUUGGGAAUAUGACCUUGGAAUUAAACAUAUUCCACCUAUGCAAGAGGCAUCUUCACCCAGAAGAAGAGGAAGGAUUGGAGGAGGUGUGCUUGAUCAACACCUUGGUUGAAGAGCAUUGUGACAAGAAUUUACAAGAGAGCUUGAAUGAAAGCCUUGAAAUGUUUGAAGAAGGGUUACCUGAACCCUCUGAUGUUCUAGCCAUCAUGUCUCCUUAGAGGAGACGGGAAGAGAUCUUACCACUGUUCAACCAGGAAGACUCACAAGGAGCAACUGUGGAGGACCCUCCAAAGCUUGUUUUGAAGCCGCUUCUUGUUGAUUUGAAAUAUGCAUAUUUGGAGGAAAAUGAGAAAUGUCCAGUGGUGGUUUCUUCAACUCUUACUAGUGAUCAAGAGGAUAGUCUUUUGGGAGUCCUCAGGAAAUGCAAGAAAGCCAUUGGAUGGCAAAUUUCUGAUCUGAAAGGGAUUAGCCCUUUGGUGUGCACCCACCAUAUCUAUAUGGAGGAUGAUACAAAACCAGUGAGGCAGCCCCAGAGGAGGUUGAAUCCUCACAUGCAAGAGGUGGUGAGGGGUGAAGUUCUGAAGCUACUCCAAGCUGGGAUCAUAUAUCCCAUUUCAGACAGUUUGUGGGUGAGCCCCACCCAAGUAGUCCCAAAGAAAUUUGGAAUCACUGUGGUCCAGAAUGAGAAAGGGGAGGAAGUCUCUACACGUCCUACCUCAGGAUGGAGGGUGUGUAUAGACUACAGGAGGUUGAAUUCAGUGACUAGGAAGGACCAUUUCCCAUUGCCUUUCAUGGACCAAGUCCUUGAGAGAGUCUCAGGACAUCCUUUCUACUGUUUUCUGGAUGGGUACUCGGGGUAUUUCCAAAUAGAGAUUGAUUUGGAAGAUCAAGAAAAGACAACCUUCACUUGCCCCUUUGGUACUUUUGCAUAUAGGAGAAUGCCCUUUGGUCUAUGUAAUGCUCCUGCAACUUUCCAAAGAUGUAUGUUGAGCAUCUUCAGUGAUAUGGUGGAGCGCAUCAUGGAAGUCUUCAUGGAUGACAUCACUAUAUAUGGAAGUUCUUAUGAGGAGUGUUUGUUGCAUUUAGAAGUUGUUCUCCAAAGAUGUAUUGAGAAAGACCUAGUGCUAAAUUGGGAGAAGUGCCAUUUUAUGGUACAACAAGGAAUUGUCUUAGGACAUAUCAUCUCCAAGAAGGGCAUUGAGGUAGAUAAGGCAAAGGUGGAGCUAAUUGUUAAGUUGCCACCUCCCACAAAUGUUAAAGGAAUUAGGCAAUUCUUAGGACAUGCCGGGUUCUAUAGGAGGUUUAUUAAGGAUUUCUCAAAAAUAUCAUAGCCUCUUUGUGAACUCUUGGUAAAAGAUGCCAAGUUUGUGUGGGAUGAGAAGUGUCAGAAGAGUUUUGAGGAACUGAAGCAAUUCCUCACAACUGCACCAAUAGUGAGAGCCCCAAAUUGGAAGUUACCUUUUGAGGUAAUGUGUGAUGCAAGUGACCUUGCUAUGGGGGCUGUCUUGGGGCAAAGAGAAGAUGGAAAGCCCUAUGUGAUUUAUUAUGCGAGAAAAACUUUGAACGAGACUCAAAGGAACUACACAACUACUGAGAAGGAGUUGUUGGCAGUAGUUUUUGCCUUGGAUAAGUUUCGUGCUUAUUUGGUAGGGUCCUCUAUAGUGGUGUUCACUGACCAUUCCGCUUUGAAAUACUUGCUAACCAAGCAAGAUGCCAAGGCAAGAUUGAUAAGAUGGAUCAUUUUGCUCCAAGAAUUCAAUCUCCAAAUUCGGGAUAAGAAUGGGGUAGAAAAUGUGGUAGCUGACCACUUGUCAAGACUUGUGAUAGCACAUGACUCACAUGGUCUGCCUAUCAAUGAUGACUUCCCUGAGGAGUCUCUCAUGUCAAUAGAGGUAGCUCCAUGAUAUUCUCACAUUGCAAAUUUCUUGGUUACUGGAGAAGUACCAAGUGAGUGGAGUGCCCAAGACAAGAGGCAUUUCUUUGCUAAGAUCCAUGCCUAUUAUUGGGAGGAGCCUUUUCUCUUCAAAUAUUGUGCGGAUCAAAUCAUAAGGAAAUGUGUGCCUGAACAAGAGCAAUCAGGAAUUCUUUCCCAUUGCCAUGAUAAUGCAUGUGGAGGUCAUUUUGCCUCCCAGAAAACAGCAAUGAAAGUGAUCCAAUCAGGUUUUUGGUGGCCCUCUCUUUUCAAGGAUGCCCACUCUAUGUGCAAGGGAUGUGAUCGGUGUCAAAGGCUUGGUAAGCUAACACGCCGAAAUAUGAUGCCUUGAAUCCCAUCUUGAUAGUGGAUGUCUUUGAUGUUUGGGGGAUAGACUUCAUGGGACCAUUUCCAAUGUCGUUUGGACAUUCCUACAUUUUGGUGGGAGUGGAUUAUGUCUCUAAGUGGGUAGAAGCAAUCCCAUGUAGGAGCAAUGAUCAUAAGGUGGUUCUUAAAUUCCUCAAGGACAACAUAUUUGCAAGAUUUGGAGUGCCUAAGCCAUUAUCAGUGAUGGAGAACUCCACUUUUGCAUAAAUCUUUUUGAGACUNNNNNNNNNNNNNNNNNNNNNNNNNNNNNNNNNNNNNNNNNNNNNNNNNNNNNNNNNNNNNNNNNNNNNNNNNNNNNNNNNNNNNNNNNNNNNNNNNNNNGAAAUGAGGAAUGAUGCUUACCUCAAUUCAAAAAUAGCAAAAGAGAUGUUGAAGAAAUGGCAUGAUCAAUUGGUAAAUCAAAAGAAUUUUGCCAAGGGACAAAGAGUCUUGCUUUAUGACUCUAAGCUUCAUCUUUUUCCGGGAAAAUUGAAAUCAAGGUGGACGGGUCCUUUCAUAAUUCAUGAUGUGCAAUCAAAUGGAGUAGUGGAACUACUCAACUUCAAUAGCACUCGAACUUUCAAAGUGAAUGGACAUCGUCUCAAGCCCUAUAUAGAAUCAUUUUCCCGAGACAAGGAGGAAUUCAUCCUCCUUGAUCCACCUCCAACAUGAAAAUACUUGGUUUAUGGUUGAACUUAGUCUCUUCAAAGACUAAAAAGGUCAUCUUCUUUUUGUUUUCUUUUAAGUUGAUUUUAAUUUAAUCUAGUUUUUUCUUGUGUUUUUCCAUGUUUUGAUUUUUAUUUUUUACUUUAAUGCCGUUCUAAUGUGUUUUGAAUUGGUUUUUUGUGUUAACAUUCAGGUGGGAAAUCUUGAAGAAUGAAGUCAUGGUGAAAGCAAGGCAAAACAGGGGAGAAAAAACCAAGUCUCAGCCAUUUUCGCACAACACUUCCUGUUAUGCGAAAUUUUCGCAUAACACACCCCUUAUGCGAAAAUGCUUUUGUGGCAAUUUAAAAAAAAACAUGCUCUCGGUCCCUUCCCAAAAUCCCUUAUGCGAAUUUCACAGGAAUGCGAACCUUAUGCGAACCUUGUGCGAAUUCGUUUUUGGGACAAAUUUUCAAAACCAUGCUCUCUGUCUGGGUACUCACAGGAAUGCGAAAUUAAUGCGAAAUUUUCGCAUAACACAAGGUGUAAUGCGAAAUUUGCAUUUCCUCUUUAAAGACCAUGUUCUCCUCUUCCCAUGCUCACUUUCUUCUUCAUUUCUCUCAACAUCUCUCUUCCAAUCACCAAAUCCCUUCCUUAAGUUUCUUUUCUUCAUCAUUCCCCACUCUCAACACCACCAUGGCAGCCCAUCUCCAUAACUCCACCUCAUAGCCGCGAUAGUCACUAUUCAUCACCGUCCACCCCUUCAAUUUUCAGCUCUUUCCACCAUAAAAAACCUCCCAAUUCCUCACUCAACACUCUAAAUCCAUCCCUCAACCAAUUUCAGCCUUGUAUUUACCAAUCCAAAACCUCAAGCUAAGCAUUCAAGCCACGUUUUCUUCAAAGAGAACCCAUUGCCGCCGGGUAGAGGAACUCCAAUUUUCAAAAUUUCUUCGUGAAAAAACUCUAAUUUCCAAGCCUAUUCACCAUGAAAAAUCCUUUUCCUACCUUAGCCAGCAUUUCCCACCCUCAAAAGCCAAAAAUUUCCACCAUUUGAAUGAGCUUCAAAACUUCAAGUGGGUGUGUGAAUAGUGCAUGUGCGAAAUUUUCACAUAACACCAUGUGUUAUGCGAAAUUCGCAUAACAUCCCCCCUUAUGCGAAAUUUUCGCAUAACCCCUACCUUGUGCGAAUUUUUCAGUUUUUCCAUCUCUGCCCUCCCCAAUCCAAACCCUCUAAGCCUCAUUUCAUUACUUCAUUAUGCCUAAGACCCGAUGAGGACAUACCUCAGCUCCCCAGAGCAGUGAGAGAGCCGCCCCUAUGCGGGCCCCACUAGAUGUGCCGACACAUUUAGCUGAUUCUGCCUCUCAGAGCAGAUACCAUACGAGGAGAGCAUCUGCCACACCUAUGGCCCCUACUCAGAUUCCACCUCGGGGUCCUCCUACAAACAAAGCCAAGACUUCAGAGCCAGGAGAGUCCUCUAGAGCACUCAUUGAGGGCAACUCAGAUUGCCGAUCCAAAGCAUUUCAUGUCGAGGCAUAUUUUGAUCACACUAUUUUGCGCCAGCAGACUGACUUGCGGGAUUCAUACAGCCUACUUGAGAGGUACCAUCUUGUACCCUUUAUGACUCCGCCCCAGUUCUUUUAUCCUCGAGUAGUUUUAGACUUUUACCAGUCUAUGACUACUCGUGGCAUCCCGGUACCAGCCUCGAUACUUUUUACCAUUGAUGGACGCCAGGGUAUUUUGGGGGCUCGACAGAUUGCCGAGGCUUUCCAUAUCCCUUAUGCACCAGCUGAUCCCACUGCAUUUAGACGCUGGGCCCCACUUUCUGAGUGGGACAUGGUUCAUAGCCUAUCUCGAGGGACAUCUUCCUAGAGGACCAUUUUCAGGAGAGAGCUUCCCCUAGGGAUGCUCCUAGUUGAUGUGGUGCUUCGCACCAACCUUUUUCCUCUUCAGCAUACAGUACAGAGGCGAGGGGCCAUUUUAGAGGCAUUAUUUCGUAUCUCUGAGGGCUACUACUUUGGUCCUCAUCAUUUGAUUAUGGCCGCUCUCCUCCAUUUUGAGGAGAAGGUGCAUAAGCGGCGUCUUAUGAGGGCGUCUUCCAUUCAGUUACUCUUCCCUCGGCUGCUAUGCCAUGUUUUGGCACAUAUGGGUUUUCCUGCAGACCCUCAGGCUGAGCCUCGCCGCCAUUGUCGAGAGAGCUUCUCUCUUGAGCAAUGGAAUCAGCUAUGGCUCCAUCAGCAUUCACCAAAACUUCCCGAGCCAAGGGAAGUCCCUCCUGCUCCAUCCACUUCAGCUUCCUCGGAGCCUGUACCAGAGGCAGCAUCAUCUAAUGCCCCACCUGCUGUUCCUCCUACCGCAGAGCCGCCCAUCACUAUCCCUGGUUCAGAGUACCGUGCCUUGCUCGCUUCUUUUCAGACUCUGACCACUACUCAGAUGGCCAUUAUGGAGCGCAUGGACCACUUCCAGAUUCAGCAGGACCAGCAGACUCUCAUUCUCCGUGAGAUUCAGCAGCACCUCGGUCUUGUGCCACCAGCUCCACCUGUAGCGGUGCCUUCCUCAGUUCCAGCAGAGGACCCCUCCUAUCCACCAGAGGAGCCUACUACUUGAUCAUACGAUCACUCAUCUCCUUUUUUUGUAUCUAUAUUCUAUAUUUUUUGAUGUCUUAUGUAUUUUGGACCACUUUUAUACUGGGAUUGGAUAUAUUCCAUGUUUGUCUUGUAUAUUGUACUCUCUCAGUUUAUAUAGACAUCUUCCUUUUUGUGUAUUUUAGCUAUUCCUUUUUAUUUCCUCUAAUCAUCACUCUUAUGAUUUUUCUUUUCUUAUGCAACAUGUGGUUUCUCCUCUCUAUUCAGAGUACCUUACUAUCAGGAGGUAUCACUUCCUCCCUUUUAUUACCAUUUGCUUUUAGAACAUUGGGGACAAUGUUCAUCCUAGUUAGGGGGAGAGUUGAGGAAGUAAUUUGUUGAAUUUUUUUUUUUUGGUUAAGUUAUUUUGCUAACAAAUUUUUUGCAAACUCUCUUUGUUUUCUUAAAGAUAAAUUCUAAAAAAUAAAUAGGAGAAAUUAAAUUCUUAUCUUAUUGCCAUAGUCUUAGAGUUUGUAUUAUGCUUAUUAAAGUUGAUAAAUUGUUGAAGCUCCUUUUGAUUUCAAUCUUAAGUCUUCCACUCUAAUCUUUUCACACACUGAACACAUUAGAUUCCAGUUAUAAGAUGGAAAACUUUUUCACCCCCCUAAACUUAGGAAAUUUUUGACUUGGUGCAAUUGACCUCAUUCUAUUAGUGUUGGGACACCUUAUAAAAGGCCAAUGUGUCUUAUGAAAAAUUUUGCUUCACUUGCUUUGAAACCCGAGCAAGGUCCGAGGGGUAUAUGGUGAAAAUCUUUAAAACCUGGUGCCCUAAGCCUUCAAUAGUUGGGAGCCACCAACCUCACUGCUCGUUACAUGGGUGGAUGGGUGGAGUAUAUACGUUGAUAAAAAAAAAAAAAAAAAAAGAGGUGCGUUCUUAGCCUUCUAUAUAUGAGUUAGUGUUGCUGAAGUUAGAGAAAAACCUUAGUUGGGGUGAGAAUAUAGUUUGACACACUAUAACUGGAAACUAAGCAUCUUAACACUUAGAUUUUUGUGAAAGAUUAAGAGUUGGUCCUUUGGGAGUGGAAAUUAUUUUGAUACUCAAAUUUGCAUAAUGCCCGCUCUUUGAAUGUUGUGAUAGGUAAGUUAUUUGAUGACUCUUGUUGAUGAUUGAGUUUUAUAUCCUUGACUUGCCACGAGAGAGUUUGAUCCAAUCAUGCCACUUGGUUAUUUUUUGGAGUGAUCAGCAUGAUUUUGUAAAUUAUUAUAUUAUCUAUUUUUCUUUAUUUUUCUUUCCUUCAUUGCUCAGGGACUAGCAAUGUGUCAGUUGGGGGGAGUGAUUACUACCCAAAAAGUGCUAUUUUACACCUUUCAUGCAUUAUGUUUUAAGCACUUUUGUGUAGUAGUUCUCCAUCUUUAGUUCAAUUGGCAUGUUAAGGACCUAGCAAUGUCUUCUAAUCAUAUUUGUGGCUAGUUUUAAUGUUUUGACAACUUUUUGGAUCAUUAAGACAAGUCAAGCAAAGGAGAGAAGCAAAGUGAAGCAAAGUGAAAAAAUCAGAGGACAGCAGCUGCAGUCUUCUUUCAGACUUUUGGAGAACUUCCCGAAGUCCAUUUUUUACAUACUAUAUACCAUUUCAAAGCUCUGGAAGUCAAGAAUCCAACGCUUCAAACCGUGCACGAUUUGGAGCUGAAACGAGGAAGAUAUGGCCUUCGGAAGCCAACUGCUCCAGGUUAUGCGAAAAUUUCGCAUUCCACAAGGUGUUAUGCGAAAUUCGCAUAACACCUUCAAAAUUCGCAUAACCCAUGCGUGUUGCGAAUUUUCCUCUGCCUUUGCCGACUCCACUUUAGAUAUUUUCCUUUGUAUUUUGUGAUGUAAUUCCCUUUCUUAUCCUUGUAACUAACCAAUCACAAGCUUUUGCUUUUGUAAAGACUUUAUAAGGGGUGGAAAUCACCUCUUGGAAAAUAUAGAAUACGUAUUACGUUUGACACUGAGAAUUUUUACAGAGCUCUCUCGUUUCUCUUUUCUCUUUACUAUUUUCUUUUUCGUGGAAGCCAAACAACCUCUGAGGAUGUUUGCCCGGAGGAUGAGAGGCUAAACUUUCGGUUUCUUGGAGUAAAGGAAGCUAGGUGAAAAGUCCAGAUGAAAAGGUGGAAAGCUUCCAUGCAUUAAAUUCAAGUAGUUGGAAUUCAUAAAUGGCUUCUAAAAUCCAAAUUUUUGCUUUAAAUCCCUUAUAAUCACUUUGAAUGACCAAUACAUGGUAAGCUUCAGGUCUUUAUGGAUGCUUAUUGCUAGAUCCAUAUUAGUCCAUUAGUUAUCAUGUACGAGUCAUUGGAAAGUGAUUCAAGGUGAAGACCCAUAGUGUCUUAAGCCAUUAAUGGACCUUGAAUACCAUUUCUAUUGACCUUUUAUGGAUUAAAUCUUCAUUUUCAAACCUAUACCGGUUCGGGAAAUAACUAUAGGUUAAAUCCCCAAUGCGAGGAGAAAAAUCCGGAAUUUUCCACUUUCUAUUCUGAACUUGAUCCUAGCAACCCUUAGCUCCGGGAGACUUUCUUUCUUCCAUUUUUAAUUAGUUCAUGUUAGUUUAGUUUCAAACACUUUCAAAACAAAUUUUAUUUUCUUUUAAACUUUAAGUUUUUGAUCAAGGAAAUCAUUAAAUACAAUUUCUAAUCUUGAGUAUAUCACUGGUAGAAUGAAAACCCAUCCCAGAGUUCGACCCUAGAGCCACUAUACUAUAGUAGCUUUGCUACGUUAGUAUGAGGUCAUAGGUUUUAUAAAUGUUUUUGAUUAAAUGACCCAAUUGGAGUUACACGCGAAUCAAGAACACACAGAUAAAACAAUCACACAUAUGGUACACGAGGUUUUAACAUGGUUCGGCCAACCAUGCCUACAUCCACAGAUGAGAGAGAAUGAUUCCAUUAUACAAUAGAAAAUAUUACAAAGGACAUAACCAAAUACAACUAUUGGGUUCCCCAAACAUCCCAUGUUUCCCCACUCCUUGUAUCCAUACCUUACCAUGAGUUCUUUCGCUCCACCGAGUACCUCCCAUUUUUCCUCACAUCUCUAUCCACCUCAUAUAGUCUCUAUAGGUCCAUCUCCAUCUCAUGAAUUUUUCCCCUCAUGACCUAGAAUAUUUAUAGAGAUAUUUCUAACAAUCUUCCUUACUCUAUAAGGAAGUUUAAUAUUACAAUAAUAUAUCAACCUAGAAAUAUUCUAUAUAAUAUUCUUUACAAAAAAAGGAAUCUAUACUAAUUAGGAAUUUGGGACACUUCCUAACACCUAUGCCAUCGACAUCCCCAUUGUGGCCUCUUCUUGAAACCUCUCGAUGUGUUUCCAAGACCUUCUCAAGGCAUUUGCAUGUUCCCAGUUUACCUGCUUCUUAGGGAGUCAUUUCCAUUGAACUAGAUACUCUAUCACAGGAAGGACCCCUUAUCUCUUGGUAACCCGUUCAACCAGGAUAUUCUUCACCUCUUUCUCCCGUGAGGCCUGGGAUGCAAACACUUGCAUUUUCGAUGCUUGGAGUGUUGCUUCCUGUUGCCUAUUGAGUUCACCUUUUCCUUAGUGACCUUGUCUAUGUGUGUGUGGCUACCACAACUCGCUCCUCUUUUGCCUCUUUUACUUGCACCCUUGAUAGUAAGGAGGUCUUAGGAAUACUAGGCUUUAGGUUGACUUAAAGGGUACCUAGUAGCUGCAUCGAGCCCAUAUGUGCUUCGCCUUCCUAUUCCCUCUCUUUGAUCAUGGCACUGAGCACCUUCCUCUUUGGACAAUCCUAUGCCCAAUGUGAAUCGUCACAUAGGAAGCAUUUGAUUUUAGGCAUAAACUCCUUCCUUUUUGCCUUACAUCUUCCUUCUCGAACGUUAGACGUCUUGCCUGAUCCCAUUCUAGGAGCAUUGUAGUCCCUUGAAACCCCGUCUCCCCCACUCGUGGUGUGGCUAUCCUCGAAAGACUCAACCUUGGAGGAGUCUUCCCUCUUGUAAUGCGUUAAAGACUCUGCUACUACCAUAGCAGUGGCUAAGUCUUGAACACCUCGACGCCUUAAUUCCUACUCGGCCCACCCUUGCAGGUUAUCCAUGAAGUUGAAUAGCAGCUCUUCCUCAAUCAUGUUAGGAAUCUCAAGCAUAAGCGAAGAGAAUUCCUUGGCAUAGUCGUGUAUUGAAACUGUGUGCUUGAGACGCCUCAUGUUUUUCCUAGCCAAGUAAGCCACGACCUCGGGGUAGAAUUUCCUCUUGAUCUCCCUCUUAAAGUCCUCCCACAUCUCUAUGGUGCAAAUAUCUUUUUCCAUAUUGGCGAACCUCCGAAUCCACCAUAGAGUAGCUGUGUUAGUAAGGUAGGGGGUUACAGUCCUUACCUUAGCCACCUCAUCAGUUAGUGCGAUAGCCUCGAAGUAUCGCUCCAUAUGCCACAAGAAGUUGUCCAACUCCUUGGCAUCCCACUUGCCACUAAACCCUUAUGGCUUCAGCAUCUCUACCCUAGAUGCCUCCUGGGUGGGCAUGACUCGUGCUGACACAACAGUCUUGUAGAUGGCCAACUCCUACCUAACCUCCUGGUCUUGGGACUCCAUUUGAGUGGCCAAGGCCUCCAUCCUUGACUCCAUACUAGCAAGCAUGCUCAAGACCUUUUCUUGGAAGGACACAAACUCCUCGUGCGACACAGCCUAAACCUAUGAGACUAGCAUUUCCUCACGAAAGUCUUAGAUCUGUUCCCUAAGAUCCUUCAUACCCUUCUCCAUGCCUUGCUCAAUCAAGUCCAACCCCUCCCGAGUGUCUGCCAUGGCUAGCUCCACCUUAGCUAACCUUGCUUCCAUGUUGGCAACGACAUCAUGAAAUUUAUCCUUCCUACCCCUGCCCCGUGCAGUAUGCUCGGUCUCCCUCCCACGAGUUUGCUCACUAGUCUCAUCCACGUUGGAGCCCGACAUGCUUCCUUUAUUAUGCCCACUUCGUAGCCGCACUUUGAUACCACUUGUCACAGACUUAAUCUUUUCCUAAGCUCGUGUGACACUUAGACAAGUCAAGACACUUUAUCUUACUAAGUCAACCUUACUCCCAAUGCUUAGCUUGUUAGGCUAAGAUGGUCACGACUCGGAAGCUUUAGAAGGCAUAGUAGGCAACUCUUAAAGAAUGAAGCUUUUAUCGCUCAAAGGAAGCUUUACAAGUGUUUUUGGGAGCUCACUUGCUUGGUUGGUGCCUUGGCCAAAUGAGGGCCUCACCUAUUUAUAGGCACCAAUGGAACUCUUUGGAACCUUGUAAGGUUCCUUAAAACUGAAGAAUAAUAUAGAACUUCCUACACUAGUCUUAUGUACAAGGGUAUGUACAAGAUGACUUUGGAAUAUUCUAGAACACCCUACACAAUUUCAAUUCUCUCUUAGCCAAGUGUAGAGAUGUGUGGGCAUCUCUAGCCCUCUCCAAAAGCUUCCAUACUCUUCCACUUUGUAUAAGCCAAGUUUAGAUGUCUCCAAGGGUCUCUAGAAGCUUCCCACCUCCUAUAUAAGCCUAUGGGAAGGGUCAUUUGAAACAUCUUGUGACACUAAGCUCAACUUAUCUUGGGCCUAAGUCCAAGCCUAAUAGUUUGUUUUAUAAAACUUAAAACUUAAAACUUAAUACUUAUUACUUAAUGACUUAUGUUGACUUUAAGUUAAAUUGUUUUUAAGUUGUUAAUUUAAAACUUAUUACUUAUCUUUUACUUUAAGUAUUAAGGUUGUUUGAUAAAAUUUAUUUUAAGUUAUUGAAUUAACAUAUUUACCCCAUUGGUUGUAAUUAAUAUUUAUUAUUAAAAUUUUAGCUAAUACUUAUUUUUAUUAAUUUUAAGUAAUAAAUUUUUUUAUUAAACAUCCAUACUUGAAAGUAUUGUAGAUUUAUGUAAUAACUUUAAAAUAUUUAUUAGAAAAAAUGUGUCCUGGAUUUGGUUGUUAAAUACAUUUUCAUUAGAUAUGAGCAAAUAAGACAAUAAAAAUUUAAGAUUAAGAAUAAGUUUACUAUUUUAACUUAAUAUUUAAAGUCAUUUUUAAUUUUAGGUUGUGAUAUGAAGUUGUAUUUAAAAGACAUGUUUAAUCUACUUAAUACCUUAAAUUAAAUUAUUAUGUCACUUUAAGGCAUUAAGUUAAAUUACCAAACACCCUAUAAGACCAAAAUAAGACUCUAAUCAAAUAUAUAUAUAUAUAUAUAUAUAUAUAUAUAUAGAGAGAGAGAGAGAGAGAGAGAUUAUCAUUUAUAUUUGAUUACUAUAUAUACAAUAAAAAAUCAAUUUAUUUAUAAUUUUGAGAAAUUUAUGCAUAGAUUAAGGUGAUGUUUGAUAAAACUUAAUACCUAUUACUUAAUCAUUUGAGUUGACUUUAACUUAAAUUAUACUUAAAUUGUUAAUUUAAAACUUAUUACUUAAUUUUUACUUUAAGUAUUAAGGUUGUUUGGUCAAGUUAACUUAAAACUUAUUCUAAAUUAUAAAAUUGACAUAUUUGUACUCAUAAAUUAUAACUGGGGCAAAAAAAGAUCGAAUAGUAACGGAUGUUAUAAAGUAGCAAAAGAGAUGGUCAAGUUAAUUAAGAUAAAUAAGAGUAAAAAGGUAAAAUAAAUAUACAAACUUAACUAUUUUUACUUAUUACUUAAAGUUGUUUUUAACUUUAUAUCACCAUUAAAUUAUUUUACUAAUAAAUAAGAGCAAAAAGGCAAAAUAAAGAUAUGAACUUAAGAAUAAGUUAAUUAUUUUUACUUAUUAUCUUAUAAAAAUAUCUUUUUUUUAAAAAAAAAAAAUUAAAUAAAAAUAUCAAAAUAUUAAGAGAUGCUUAUAUAAAAAAUGAACUAAUUUUUAAGUUGAAAUUCGAGAGGUGUUAGAUUUACAAAUUUAAUAUCAUUUCAUCCUUUUCAAUUGUGUAAUCCAAUUGUAGGUAUAUAUAGAUGUGAACUUUGAUAAAGAGCUUUAUUUACUUUGUAAAUUGCUCAAUCAUUGGGAAUUUGUGAAUUGUAUUUAAAUUUUCGUGUUAAUUGUUUCUUAUCUUUUCAAAUUUUGCAUGAACUCGUGACUCUUCAUUAUUAAUCACAUCAGUAUAAUUUUCUUUAGAUAUUUGAGCUUCUUCAAUUAGAGAGCCUUGCAUUGGCCUCCUUGACUACCCAGGUCCUUUAGAUCCUUUCUAACACUUAUCCAACAAUGGGCAUUAAAAAUGCAGGUAAAAAUAAUUUUAUAUGGUUGGGCCCAAAACCAGUGGUAAACAUUAUGCAGCCUGAGCUGAUUAGGGAUGUUCUCUUAAAGCACAAUGCUUUUCAAAAAGCGCCGCGGCACCCUCUCCGCAAGCUGCUGGCUUCAGGUAUUGCGUCAUUGGAAGGUGAACAAUGGACUAAGCGUAGAAAGAUCAUAAACCCAGCUUUCCAUCUAGAAAAGCUGAAGGUAAUUUUCCAACAGGAAAACGUGACCCUAAUUCCCAUUCUUUCUGUGAGAGCAGAAUAAUGUUUACAUAAAUACAAACGAUAUUUCCUUUUAUAAAUACAUUAGAGGAUGGAUAUGGUUAACUUUUUGAGGCAAUAUUUAUUUGGUUAUGCAGCCAUACCCCAACUUGUUGCCUGGUUUCUCAGCAUAGCCUCUUCUUAUAGGAAGAAAAUAAAUUUCUGAAUGUUCCAUAAUUUAGUAGACAUUCGCAAUUUCACUGCCUUUGGUAAUCUUUUUCCUUAUGCAUGAUAAACUUUUUGCAUUGCCAUAUUUUGAAUUUUAUACGUUCUCAGGACAGUAACUCANAGUGCAAAUGUGAGACUGACUUCUAAAUUUAUUAAUUGUGUUUGAAUUUGUUAUAGCACAUGGUAUCGGCANNNNNNNNNNNNNNNNNNNNNNNNNNNNNNNNNNNNNNNNNNNNNNNNNNNNNNNNNNNNNNNNNNNNNNNNNNNNNNNNNNNNNNNNNNNNNNNNNNNNAUGGUAUCGGCAUUCCAAUUGAGUUGUAGUGAUAUGGUCAAUAAAUGGGAGAAGCAGCUCUCCCUGGACGGCUCAUGUGAAUUGGACAUUUGGCCCUAUCUUCAAAAUUUGACGGGAGAUGUUAUUUCAAGAACAGCAUUCGGUAGUAGCUAUGAGGAAGGAAGAAGGAUAUUCCAACUCCAGAAAGAGCAAGCACUACUUGCAGUCCAGGUUACUCGGUCAGUUUAUGUUCCAGGAUGGAGGUAGGCAUAAAAUAUUUCAAGGAAUUAAUCUGAACCUCAGUACUAAUACCCAAAUGCUAUAACUUUCACAGUAUCACCAACAACAGCAAAAAUAAUAACAAUAAUAAUAAAAAUAAAAAUAAAAAAGAAGAAGAAGAAGAAGAAGGAAGGUUUGAUUCAGCAUGGGACAAAAGCAAGAAUAAAAUUAAUAACUGUUAUUGCAUUUAAGAACUGUUAAGAUGUUUCAUUUAUUUUGUUAAUAUGGCUCUCAAUUACUAAUUUUUGUUUUCCUUUAAGUAGUUUGUCUUCCAAUUUUUGGCUUUCUAGUUUAAGAGCUUUCUUUUUGUUCAAAUUAAAGAAUGUAGCUGUGUCUUCAAAACAAAAAUCAACUUCAAGUAUCCCCUUUUCUUUUAUUGGCAGAACAUCUUAGCAAGAAGCAUGGUGAAAUACUACUGCAAAAUAUUUGUAGACUCAAUGGUCAAUUAAUGUCUGGAUGGUUUCAUCUUUGGAACACCAUGGAUAUUCCGAGAAAUUGAACAAGUACAAAGUCAUGGAUGAAAAUGCAUUAGUUGUUUCCUGUAUUUCAUUGAUCUUCAUUUACUUGGAUUACUUCCAAGCAGGUUUUUUCCAACAAAGACAAAUAGGAGAAUGAGGCAAAUUAGCAGUGAAGUCAAUGCAUUGUUGAAGGGUAUCAUUGAGAAAAGAGAGAAGGCAAUGCAAGCUGGCGAAACUGCUAAUGAUGAUUUAUUAGGUCUACUAAUGGAAUCCAACUACAGAGAAAUGCAAGAAAAUGAUGAGAGGAAGAAUGUCGGAAUGAGCAUCAAAGAUGUCAUUGAGGAGUGUAAGCUAUUCUACCUUGCUGGCCAAGAGACUACCUCGGUUUUACUUCUGUGGACAAUGGUUCUAUUAAGCAAACAUUCAAACAGGCAAGCUUGCGCAAGGGAAGAGGUUUUACGGCUUUUUGGUAAUAAAAAACCAGAUGGCGAUGGCUUAAAUCACCUCAAAAUUGUGAGUAUCAAUCCAAUCUAUAUUCAAUUUAGUAACUCUCCUUGAAAAUAAUAUACUCCUUUUUUUUGUCAAUCUUGAGGAAAAAUAUGUUUUGUUUCUGUAUCUUUUUUGCUUUAAUUGAAAGCUAUAUGCAAAUACUUGGUACCCCAACUGGAAUUUUUCUGAAUCAUGUCUGCAAAUUGAAUUGCUCUCUUUAUCGCCUUAAGCAAGUUACAAAGGCCUGGUUUGAUAGACUAUCCCAAUGUCUUCUUCAUCUAGGGUUUUAUUGUCAUAAAGCAGACUCAUCUCUAUUUAUUCUUCACAAAGGUCAGUCUAUUGUUUUGCUUCUUAUCUAUGUUGAUGAUAUUAUAGUCACAGGCAAUGAUAACAACUUCAUUAGUGACCUCGUCAACACCCUGAGUAGUGAAUUUUCUCUCAAGGACUUAGGAUCUUUGCAUUAUUUUUUAGGAUUGGAGGUUAAAUAUCUUCCUAAUGGGUUGCUCGUUUCUAAAAAAAGUACACUAGAGAUCUAGAGCACACAAAAAUGAUGGAGUGUGCUCAUAUCAACACACCCAAGGCUCUUAAGUCCAUCAUCACACCUUCUGAUGAACAAUCUAUUGAUCCUACACGAUAUAGGCAACACGUUGGAUCCCUCCAAUAUUUAACCUUCGCAAGGCCUAAUAUUGUGAAUGCAGUAAACAAGGUCUGCCAACAUUUCCAAGCACCCACUAAUUAAAGUUGACUUGUGAGCUAUCAAACGCAUCCUUAGAUAUUUGAAGGGAACAAUGGUGUAUGGAAUCAAGUUUUUCAAGCAAAGUUCGCUUCGUCUCACUGGUUUUUAUGAUGUUAAUUGGGCAAGAUGCACAAACAUAAGAAGAAGCUCAUCUGGGUAUUGUAUUUUUCUGGGAGCCAAUUGUAUCUCAUGGUCCUCAAAGCAACAACCUACAGUUUCUAGAUCAAGCACCGAGGUCGAAUAUCGACCCCUUGCGUCCAGUGCCACAAAAAUAACUUGGCUUACUUACCUUCUCCAUCAUAUUGGCAUUCAACUACGUGAACCUCCUCAAUUGCUAUGCGAUAACCUCAAUGCCCUUCACAUGAUAGUAAAUCUCGUCUUCUCUACACGUUCCAAGCAUAUUGAGUUAGACCAUCAUUUUGUUCGGGAAAAAGUUGCAAGUGGAGUUUUGAUUACUCGUUUCCUUCCAUCGUCCUUACAAGUAGUUGAUAUAUUCACAAAGGCACUCCCUAAGACUUCAUUCCAAGUCUUUCGAUUCAAGUUAGGAGUGCACAAGUAACCACUCACUAGCUUGCGAGGGACUGAUAAAGGAAACUCCAACUCAGCCAGCAUACAAUCCAUGACAAAGCAGAAUCUCUAUGUGAGAAGUUGAUAAUGCAAUCUAGCAGGAAGGAAAACUACUCUCCAUAUUUUUAAUGUGGAAAAUCAAGGUUGGAAGGAAAUCUUCACUUAUCUGUUCUAUAUAAUAUUCCAUUUUCUAUGUAAAGAAAGUAUGUAUUGUUUUUAUUUAUUUUUUUUAGAAAAAAAUUAGUAAGGUGUGGUGCAAAUUCAACCUUUCAAAAAUAGUUCAUCUUCUUUAGGACCAAAUCUUUAAUUCUAACCAAAUGUAAGGAAAAAAAAAAUUCACAAAUUUACAUCAAAUUUGAGCCAAAAAAAUAAUGCAUUCAAAUGACAUUUGAAUUUCUUAAAUAAGUCUAUAUUUAAAAUUUAAAUGAUGUAAAUUGUAGCAUCGUAGGCUAGAUCAUCAUAAGGCACAAUAAAUAGUGCAAAGUCUACAUUAAAUGUACAAAAAUUCUAGUGCAUAAAUAUUAGGGUUAAUUUCACUCACACCCUUAAGGUCCGGUAUAAAUACACCUAACCACCAUAAGUUUCAAAUUUCAUCAAUUAGCACCCUAUAAAUUUAUUUUAUUUAUUUCAUUUAUUUUUUAGGGGAAUUUCAAGUAAAAAGAUUUUAGAUAGGUGUGUUUAACAAUUCUCUAAAAAAUAUAUUUUAAAUAUGAGAUACAUUUAUAAGAAUGAUAAUUGACGAUUUUUUUUAUUUAUAAAUGAAACAAAUUUAUAAGGAUGUUAAUUUAUGAAAUUUGAAACCAAUGGUGUUGUUUAGUGUUUUCCCACUAAAUUAACCUCAGGGAUUGUGAACGAACUUAACCUUAAAUAUUAUUGUGUUUGCUUUCUUCACCAUAGAGCACAAACAUUCAUGAAAAUCAAAAUAUGAUUAAAUAAUCUUUUAUUUGUUUCAUAAGCCCAUGUAUUUGAGUUGAGGCCUUUGAAUUAAAAUAUUAAGGUCCAAAUUUUGUUUCUAUGGUUUUACUUUUCAAAUAUCUAUUAUUUUAUUUAGGAAUAAAAGAUUUGAAACACUAAUAUUUUUAGGUUUUUCCUUAGUGUUUUGGAAUUUAUUUUAUAGGGAAGUUAGUUGUGCUAAAAAAUGAAGAAAAAAGGAAAAUCAUAAUUGAUUUAUAAUAUUAAUUAAUUCAAAAUCAUAUUUAGGUCUUUAGCUUCUUGUUGAAUAGCCUUACAAUUCAUCUUCUAGAUUUUCAUCUAUUUCACUUUUAAAAUUAAUUUUUCUUUUUUAAUAGAAAUCUUUCAAUCAAGUGUUUAAAUGUUUUUUUUUUUUUUUUUUGGCUCUCCAUCCUUUCCAAAUUUUAAAUUAAUAGGAAUAGUAUUUUGUAUUAACAAAUACAUGCACUAUGCUAAAAAACUUUGGUCUCAUGUGAUUUUGCUUCUAAGAAUUCUCUUAUUUCCAUUUUUGUAAUUAAAAGGGUGUGAUUAUUUAAAAAAAAAAUAUGCUAUUAAUCUUUACUUGAAUUUCUAUAAUUACUUUUUAGAGAUAUGAAAAGCUUCAUUAUUCUUAUAUUCAACAAGACCAUGACCUUUUGGGUGAUUUUAAGCAACUAGCAAUUGUUAACAAUGCAUAAUUAGAACCCAAAUUCUAAGACAAAUUGUACAUCACAUAUUGCUCUCUUCCCUUUCUACAUAUAUAUUCUCUAAAAGUACAUGCACUUAUAAUUUUUGCUUUAUGAAAUUAAAGAGGUAAAUGGAUGAAUUGGCAAAAGAAUGUAUAUUAUUCAUUGGAUACAUUACAACUCUUAAAUAUAUACAUGACUUUCCAAAGGACAUAUGAACUAUACAAGGUAUACAUACAUCACUCCUAAACAUAACAAUUGAUCAUUAACUACUCUUGAAUUGUAGGAGAAAUUGAUUCUCUCCUAAUAGAAAUAAUGCAUUAGAGAUACACAGAAAUUUCUAAUCAGUCAUAUUGAGAGGGAUUACUCUAUGGAUCAACACAACUCCAAUGUUCGUUGAUGGAGGCAUCAUGAAGGAUCAUAAAUUGAUCAAGGUGGAUAGCACUUUUAGGACGUGAGUGCCCAUUCCCUCCUUCCCAGAUUUCCUUGUAGUUUCCUAGCAGAAUGACUCUCCAGCUGGGCAGAAGUUGAUUUGUCCAAUUACAAAACAACCAUUUAUCAGUUAUGUACAAAUUAAGUAUAGAAAAAUCAUGCAUUGAUCCUUAUCAUAAUGUCAUAAUUUUGCUUCAAAAACUAAGCCAAACAUUUGAUCCAUGACUAGGAUGAAAUUGAACUGACCAUGAUUCAAAUUGAUGUCCAUUAUGCUUGUGAGAUCUUGCUUCCUUAUUUGCCCUGGCCAAUAUUCUUGGCCAAGAAAAAGAACAAAAAGGUCUCAACACUAGAAUUCAUAUAUAAAUCAACACAUACCCAUAUGUAUCAUUUUUGGAAAUUCACAUAAGAUUUCACAUGUAGAGAACCAACCAAGAAAAGAGAGAGAAAAAGAAGAUUGCUGGAUUUUGAUCAGAUGGAAAAUAUUAUCCAACAAAGCAGUGUACUGUAGAGAUGUUUCUAGCUUGAUAAAUGUUUUCUAUGCCAUGCUAUUAUUUCAAAUCUAGAAGCAGGUUGCUAGUGUUUCAAUGCUUAGAUCAGUAAAACCAUGAAACAAGCAUGUGUAAAGAUCAAAAAGAAUUUCAUAUAGAGGAAAAACUUGUGAUGGAGAGAAAGAGAGACGUGCCUUAUGAGCAACCAGUAACACUCUCACAGGAGAUCUUUAAGUUCUGCUUCAGUAAAUAUCCGUUCAUUCUCAUUUGUGCCAGCAUCAACCACUGUAACAAAGAGCAAUUAAAAACAAUAGAAAUAUACAAUCUUCCAAUUUUGCUAUAAAGAAAAUCAUCUAUAACCCAUUGUAGGGUUCACUUGGUGAGAAAUAAAAAGGAAGAAGAAGAGGCAGUCCUCAAAACCAAAUUUUGUACUAAACUCAUCCAUGACGUCCGUAAGUACAUGUAUCGUUACAGAAUAUGUAGAAAGGGAAGAGCAGCAUUUACUAAAAUAAAAUAUUACUGCUAUUGAUUUAAAAUUUGAAAAGGUUAAACAACCCAAAAACAUAUAACAUGAUCGAAAGAUUUCUAUUCAAAAAGAAAACUAAUUUUAAAAGUAAAAUAGGUAAAAAUUUAAACGAUGAAUUAUAACGCUCUUCAAAAAGGAUAUUUGAGAAGAAAUAACAAUUCAAAAAAAAAAAAGAUAAAUGAAAGUUGCUUUUACCCUUGCUAAAUCAUUGAUUUGAUCAAUAUUAUCUUGAAUUCUUUCAUACUCUCCUUCAUCAUCACAAUUACUUUUACCUUUAUUUCACCUUCACCUUCACCUUCACCUUCACCUUUACAGAGAAGCAUCUUCAAGCGACUCAUGGCAACGAGAUAUAAGGUCCAUUAUAUAUUAUCUCACAGAGUCUUAACAUCGUUAAAGUUUAAUGUUUUAUGGGAAAAUAAUCCCAUUCCUAUCUAUUCCAAUCUAAUUAUACCAUGUUUGGAUUAUUAUAUUAAAAAAAAUUCACAAUGAUUUGUCAUUUUCCAUGUUUGGAUUUGUAUAUUUAGAAAACGUUAAUUAUGAUAAAUCCAUAAAAGAUAAUUUUUGGCAACUUUUUUUCCUAUUCAUAAUGAUAGCUCAAACAUUUAAGAAAAAUUAAGGCUAUAUUUGGUUCCCCGAAAGUAUUAGGGAAAGAAAAAAAGUGGAAAAUGAUUUUUUUCAUAUUUAGUUUUACGAUAUAAAAAAAUGCAUAGAAAGUCAAUUAUUAGAUUAUGGACACCAAAUUUUGGGAAAGUUGCAUGUAGUAGAUAGUAGGUCAUGAACUUGAAAAAUUGAUUAAAUUGAAUUUAAUCAAUUUUCAUCUCAAUAUAAUUCCAUAAUGUAUUGGAGUGCAGUUGAUUAUUGAGAAAAUAAAGGUUAAUCUUAAUAUGGAAAGCACCCAAGAGGGGGGGUGAAUUAGAUUUUAAAAAAUCUUUUUCAAAUACAACAAAUUUAAGCAAAGGAAACAAAAAUAUAAAAAGAUAAGGUUAGAGAAAGUAAACUCAAAUUUUAUAGUGAUUUGACACCCCUUGCCUACGUCCACUCUCUUUAAACUACUAACCGAGUGAGGGUUCCACUAUACUUAAAGUUUCAACCAAGCUUCCAACACCUUUACACUUGGAUUUCGACUCCAAUGGGCUCUUACACAAUCCCUUCAAGUCUUUGUUCACUUGAAACUUUUAACACUCAAAUAAUAAGUUUAAAUUUCUUAACCUAACUCAAUAAGGGCUCAAAUACAACUUAAAUGCUAGAAAGAAUCAUAAGGGUGCACUAAGGAAUAUACAAGUGGAGGUUUAAUGCACCAAGGAAAGAAUGAGAGCUUUUGAGUCAAGAACAAGUAGGUAAACAAAUAAAUGUAGGUGUUCUCUUGCUCAUAAAUGAAGUGGAGCUCUCAAUUUAUAGGUUUUUAACCUCGAAAACCAAAAUGCCAAAAAGCAACCUUGAUCGGUUGAGCUGGGGGUCGAUCAAUUGACUAGUCAUUGGGCAAUAAAUGCAUGCCAGUUGAUCAUUAGGCCUCGAUCGGUCCUUGAUCGGGAAGGCAUAGCCCUUGAUCGAGAAUGCAAAGCUAUUGGAAGAGAGAGAACAUUUUUUGCAUCUCUCGACCGAACAUCAAUCGAGAAGGUAUAACCAGUCGACUAAUACCUUAAUCGAUCAAUGGUACCCUAACCGAUUGAGUCGGUUUGCCAAUGCCUCAAUGGAUUCACCAUUUUUUGCCCGAAAACCUAUAUUUUUUUAUUAUUAUUAUUAUUUUGACUUCUAACACUUAGACAAGGUCUUUAAGUAAAUUAAUAUGUUAAUUUUGAAAUGAUUUGCCUAAAGUUCAUUUGAUAAAACUUGAGUUUUGAUAGAAAUGUAACUUUAAUGCAUAAACCGAGUUUUUAAAGAUGCAUCAAAAGAUAUGAAAUCCCUAAGUGCACCCAUGCAUUCAUCUUACGUAUGUUUCCUAUGAUUAAAGGGUUUUCCAAUUGUCUUGAUUUUGCAUCAAUUAGGUCAUUUGAUGAAUUUCCAAACUAACACCUGAAAUUCUUUUUAAUUCAAAAUGAUUAGCAACUUAACCAUAGUUUGUUAUCAUCAAAACGCGAUUAGGAGAAUUCAUGGGCUAACAAUUCUCGUUAAUGGAGUAUUUAAGUAACUUCAAAACUAGGUUUUGAGAAAGUCAAUAUUUUUCUAUGGAUCAUAGUGGUUCUUGGUUGAGCUCAUGGUCUUUGUUGAAACAAAGGUUUGAGGGAAAUUAGAAGUUUAAUCACAUAUGUGCAUAAGGGCAAUCGCUAAAAGUGUAAGGUUGUAUAAGAACUUAUGAUUAUUUAUUUUGAGGUUUUAUAUAGAAUCAUUCAUUUAUGUGUAUAAGGGUAUUUUUGCAAAAAAAAAACAAAGUAAGGUUGCACAUAAUUAAUGAAUAAUUAUUUUGGUUUUUUCCCUAGAUUGGACUAAUCAAUUAACUAGAGCCCAUAGGGCUAAUUAAUUAAUUAGGAUCCAAUGAGUUAUAUUAAGUGACCUAAGCCAAAGUUGGGUCAAAGUCACUUAAACCCAUAAGAGAGGGUAUAUAAAACCCCUUAGGGUUUUCGAAUUAGUUAACUUAUUCAUUCCAUUCUUUCAAAGAGAGCUCUAACCUCCAUCUCUCUCCCUCUUAAGUAUGUAGCCACUUUAAACAUGUGCCAAGGAUCAAAGACAAAGCCAUUGGGUGGAAGGUCCGUAGGCUUUUGAGAUCCUUACAUCAAUUGGAAUAGGAUUUGGGAACAUCUAGAUUCAAAGGUAUGAUUUUUAACACCUAAAUCUAAUUUUUAUUACUUUUGUUGUGUUUAGAUAUAGUAGCUAGCUCAAAGAACUAGAGAGCAUGCACCCUGUGAUCUUGGUGCUUCCUAUUAAAGACUUAUAGAAAUAAGACUUAGACAUAAAGAAUUGGGUUUAUGUGAUCGGGCCUCUAGCUUAUAGGUUAAUGAUGAUAUUGAUGUGCAAUUGGUCUUUUGAAGCAUCAGCUCAUGCAUUGUCAUCGAAUGGGAAAUCCAUUUCAAGUAGUCGCUAUAAGGUGAUAGCUAGCUUUUUGUUUUUUACUCUGACAACAAGUUAAAAAUUGAAAAUAAAUUUAUAUUAAUGCUUAAGCUUAACAUGAAAACAAUAAUUUUUUUUAACUUAUAUAUUAAGUUUUUUUACAAGCGACAAAUUCUUUGAUUAAAGUAAUUAAAAAAAAACUUUUAUUAUUGAUGUCACAAUCGAAAUCAUUUGACUUUUCAAAACCAAUAAGUUAGAAGUUAGCGACAUAUUUUAUCCAAAUUAAAUAUUUAUUUUCAUGUGAAAAAAUUAACAAAAAUAAUUUAUUUUUAACUCUUAUUCAACGUGUCUUUUAAUUUCUAUGUUCAUAUGCAAGAAUUGUAUUUUAAAAAUCCUUUAGUUAAUGUUAGGAUAUUUAAAAAAAUUAUAAAACCUAAAUAAAUUAUGUUUGGGCGUUGUUUAAUAUAGUUUUUAUCUUGAUACUUCUUGAAUGAGUGCUUUUACUUUCAAAUGUUGUUAACGUUUCAAAUAGGGUUUUCAUAAUUAUAUUUUUUAAAAAAUAAACAUGGGAUAAUUUUUUUUUUAUUAAUAGCAGGUGGUUUGUCUUGUCUACAUUAUUAAUUGAUUAUAAAACAGAUAAAAAAAAAGUUCAAUAGUGAAUAUAAUAAAUAAAAAAUUAAAUACCAGAGAAUUAUAAAAUAAUAAUAAUAAGACAAAAAUAGAAGGAUGAGGCAGCUCAAGUAGUUAGGCAGUAGGCGGUAGCCGCCAUCCCUCUGGUGACUCUCGUACACUCUAUAAAUAGAAGGAAGGGGGCAACACUUAUUCUUUUUCUCUCUCCACAUGACUCAUCCGUCUAGGUUCCUCGGCGGCGUGAACUCCUCGGCAAUCGUAUCGAAUGAGUCCGCCGCCGUCCAGACCGGGCUGCUCAUCAUCCUGGCCGCGCUCCUCUGCGCCCUAAUCUGCCUCCUCGGCCUUGUUGCAGUAGCUCGCUGCGCCUGGCUCUGCCGGAUCUCCGGCGCAGCGAACCUCCCGGACGGUUCCGCUCCUCAAACUCCGGCCAACAAAGGCUUGAAGAAGAAAAUCCUCCGAUCCCUCCCGAAGGUUACCUACGCCGCCGAGACCGCCGGAAAUCCAACGGACUGCGCUAUCUGCUUGACUGAAUUCGUCGGAGGAGACGAAAUCCGAGUGCUGCCGCAGUGCGGGCACGGGUUCCACGUCGGAUGCAUCGACACAUGGCUAGGAUCUCAUUCUUCUUGCCCUUCGUGCAGGCAGAUUCUGGUUGUUGCCAGAUGUCGGAAGUGAAGAGGAGCUCCAGCAAGCUCCAGAUGCACUGGAGCUGAGACGGAGUCCAGAUUGAAGGAGAGAGAAGACGAUGUGAAUAGGUUUCUACCUUAGCUGGGGGACCUCUUCCGUCAAAUUGAAUGCUUUCAACUUCCAAUCAAUCUAGGGUUUCAAAAAAUCUGUAGUCUUGUAUUUGUAAUUUCUCGGUGAUUGUUUUUCUGUGCAUGUAAAAUAUAUUACCAAUGCGUUAGAAAUUUCAAAUGAUUCACCACAGCUAACUAACCAAUUCCUCAAGUUGAACAUUUACCUUGUGAAGAGUACAGGUGACUACUACAACCACCAUCUAAAGGGAGAAUACCAAAUAAAAUUUCAGCCACUUAAAUCAAGAAAGUUGUUGACUCAGUUGCCAUUUUGCCACAUCGGAGUGCAUCUCAUAGCAAUAGAUUAAUUCAGAUUUGUCCUCUAAUCACUUCACUAAUAAAAUUAAAAUUUAGCUAAAAUUUUUAUGAAACAUCUCUCUUUUUCCGACAUCAUAAUUCAACAUGUCAUUUCUUAUACCUUUAAUCUCUUCCUAUAAUUGAGCUAAAACCAGGACAUUAUAAUUAAAAACAAGGCCAUUACGGUUAUUUAUGUAGGAAUAAAAUUUACCCAUUCGUUGAUUUUUAUGCAUCAACCAAUAACCAAUCUUUAAUUGACAUGUAUUAAAUGACUAAAUAAAAAUCCACAUUAAUAACAAAAGUUAUAAUAGUUGUGGCAAAUAAAAAGAUGUCGAGAGCAUAACUCUUGUGAUACAUAAAAUCCUUCUAAGUGUACUAUACAUCUUUGAAUAAAAUAAAGGCAUGGGGGCUACACAAAGGAGAAACUGUAUUCUAAUGAAAUAUAACUAAAUUAAUUAAUUUUAUGAUUAAGAAAUAAUAUCCACAUUUUUUUUGUAAUUAAGGUAAUAAUCUUAGUAACAAUAAUUAUCUAUAAAAAAAAUAAGGGAUAAUUCAAAGGGAAUUUCUCAAAUUUUAUGCCUCUUUGACUUUUAAAGAAGCACGUCUCAAAUUUUAUCUCUCUUUGGCUCUCAAAGAAUACUUGCACAGUUUGAUAUGUAAGAAAAAUUGUAGAUAUCUAACUUUAAAUUUUGAAGGUAUUUUGGUAAAAAAAAAAUGUAAGGUUGCACAUAAUUUAUGAUUAAUUAUUUUGGUUUUUCUUCCUACAUUGGACUAAUUAAUUAAUUAGGAUUCAGUGAGUUAUAUUAAGUGACCUAAGCCAAAAUUGGUCCAAAAUCACUCAAACCCAUAAGAGAGGGUGUAUAAACCCCCCUUAAGGUUUUCGGAUUAGUUAAAUCAUUAAAGCCCUAACCUCCAUCCCUCUCCCUCUUAAGUGUGUAGCUACUUUAAACAUGUGUCAAGGAUCAAAGACAAAGCCAUUGGGUAGAAGGUCUGUAGGUUUUUGAGAUUCUUACAUCAAUUAGAAUAGGAUUUGGAAACAUCUAGAUUCAAAGAUAUGAUUUUUUACACCUAAAUCUAAUUUUUAUUGCUUUUGUUACGUUUAGAUGUAGUAGCUAGCUCAAAGAACAUGCACCCUAUGAUCCCGGUGUUUCUAACAAAAACUAGUUUAGCAAAGCAUAACUUUAGCUAGCGGUGACUCACUUCCAAGUUGCAACAAGCUGAAACCAUGUGUCAUAUAAAAGCUAACUAAUCUAAGUUUCCUAACCAAUUCCUCAAGUUAAACAGUUACAUGCGACAGUGAAAAGUUUAAGUGACUACUACAACCACCAUCUAAUGGGAGAAUACCAAAUAAAUUUAUCAGCCACUUAAAUUAAGCAAAUUGUUGACUCAAUUGCCCUUUCCUAGUGAAACUUUGCUACUUGUGUAUAUCCCACAUCGGAGUGCUUCUCAUAGCUAUACAUUAAUUCAGAUUCGUCCCCUCGAAUCACUUCACCAAUAACAUUAAAAUUUAGCUAAAUUUUUUAUGAAACAUCUCUCUUUUUCAGACUUAAUAAUUCAGCAUACUAUUUCUUAUACCUUUAAUAUCUUCCUAUAAUUAUGCUAAAAUCAGGGAAAUUAUAACAAAAAACAAGGCCACUACGGUUAUUUAUGGAGGAAUAAAAUUUACUCAUUCAUUGAUUUUUAAGCCUCAACAAAUGACCAAUCUUUAAUUGACACAUGUUAAAUGACUAAAUAAAAAUCCACUUCUGUAACAAAAUUUAUAAUAGUUGUGGCAAAUAAAAAGAUGUUGAGAGCAUAACCCUUGUGAUACGUAAAAUCCUUGUAAGUGUAAUAUACAUCUUCGAAUAAAAUAAUUUUAUGCAUAUUUGACUUUCAAAGAAGAAUUUCUCAAAUUUUAUGCAUAUUUGGCUUUAAAAGAAUACUUUCAGACUUUAUUACAUGAGAAAAUUAGAGUGUAUUUGAAAGUAAUUAUAUUCAAAAUGUUUUUAAUGAAAGUGUUUUUUCUAAAAGUGUUUUUAGAAGAAUUACCUAUAAAACACUAUAAGUGACUAGUCUACACUACAAGUAAUUUUUCAACACAACAAAAUUGUUUCAUAACUUUUUUCAAAUACCUUAUUAUUAUUGUUGUUGUUGUUGUCAGAAACACUUUUUAGGUUAUAAGUGUUUCUAAAAAAACACAAUUAAAUAGACUAUUAGUUAUAGAUAUCUAACUUUAAAUUUUCAAAGAUUUAAAAAACAAAAAGUUCAAAGAAUAAAAUUUAAAAAUUUGGAAAAACCAAGUUCCAAGUGUCAUCAAUUUGAGAUCAAGUUCUUGGUCAAGCAAAGGACUAAGUCCUAGAUCUAGGCUUGGGUCCAAAGGUAAGCUAAGCUCAAACUUAUGGGCCUAAGUCCAAGCCUAAGUGGGUGUUUAAUAAAACUUAAUAUAUAUUAUUUAAUGAUUUAAAUUGACUUUUAAAUUAAAUUAUUUUUAAGUUUUGAACUUAAAACUUAUUAUUUAUUAUUUAUUUUAAGUAUUAAAGUUGUUUGAUAAAAUUAACUUAAAAUUUAUUUUAAGUUAUUGAAUUAACAUAUUUUUCCCAUUAGUUUUAAUUAAUAUUUUUAUUAAAAAAUUUAACUAAUAUUUAUUUUUAUUAAUUUUAAGUAAUAAAUUUGUUUAUUAAAUAUUCAUACUUAAAGUAUUAUAGAUUUAUAUGAUAUAACUUUAAAAUAUUUACUAGAAAAAAUGAGUCAUGGAUUUGGAGUUAUAGUUGUUAAAUAUAUUUUCAUUAGAUGUGGACAAAUAAGACAAAAAAAUUUGGGAUUAAGAAUAAGUUAACUAUUUUGACUUAAUAUUUAAAAUCAUUCAAAUUAUAUUUAACAAACAUGUUUAAUCUAUUUAAUAACUUAAAUUAAGUUAUUAAAUCACUUUAAAGUAUUAAAUUAAUUUACCAAACACUCAUCACUAAAAUAAGACUCCAAUCAAAUAUAUAUAUAUAGAUUGUCACUUAUAUUUGAUUAUUAUAUAUACAAUAAAAAUUCAAUUUAUUUAUAAUCUUGAGAAAUUUAUGCAUAGAUUAAAUUUUUUUUCUUUUUUUGUUGUUUCUCAUGAAUAAUUAAAAGAAAAAAAGAGAGUAAAAUAGCACUUUUUUUAAAAAUAAAAAUAAAUAAACACUCCAAUAUUUUUCCUAUCACUUCAAUAGACCCUCAAUAUAUCUUAAUCAUAUUGUCUAUUGUCUAGUCUAUUCAACCCUUUUGGGAUCCUAUGUGACGUCGGACAAUUAAUGUGUUAGGUUUUCAAUGGGCAAUCAACUAUUUUAUAAUGGCAAUAGACAAAGCCUUGCACUCGGGAUCUUUUCCAAGGGAUCGUUCUUUGAAUCCAAUGAUUUUUAAACCAUUAACUUUUAUUAUAAGGAUAACCCAGUCCAUGACAAUGGGAUAUGGACUACUUGGAUGUCUAUUUUUUCCUAAUUUCCACAUGCAAACUGACAAAUAGAAUGUUAGAAAAAGAAAUCUGAAGAAAGAAGAAUUGAGAGAAAAGAUGAAAAGAAUUCUCUUCAUUUAUCCAUUAGAAAAAUACAAGGCUGCUCUGUUAUAUAACAGAGUAAAAUGGCUCAACAAACUGAACGAGAAAAGCGGAAACAAACUAAACAAAACAACUCAAAAAUAGCUCAGCUACCAAUAAUGACAAAACUACCCUUCUAGUAAAAAACAACUAAUACAAUCAAUCCUAAUACUCCCCCUCAAGAUGGACUAAAGAUGUUCUUUAGACCCAUCUUGCCAAUAAGAAGCUUAAAAGAAGAAGGAUGAAGGGCUUUUGUCAAAACAUCUGCUAACUGGUGUUCUGUAGAAACAAACAGAGGCUUGAGAACCCCACUUUGAACCUUGUCUCGAACAAGAUGACAAUCAAUCUCAAUGUGUUUUGUGCGUUCAUGAAACACGGGAUUUUCAGCUAUAUGUAAAGCAGACUGAUUGUCACAAAAAAGAAGAGCAGGAGCAGAAUGAUCUAUACCAAAGUCCUUGAGAAGAGCAAGAAGCCAAGUAAUCUCACAAGAAGUAUUGGUCAUAGCACGACACUCAGCUUCAGCAGAAGAGCGAGAAACAAUGUGUUGUUUCUUGGAUUUCCAUGACACCAAAGAAUUCCCCAAGAAAACACAAAAACCAGUAACAGAUCUUCUCGAAUCAGGACAACGAGCCCAAUCUGAAUCAGUAUAAGCCAUCAAACAAAGCUCUGAAUUACUAGGAAAGAACAAACCCAUGCCAGGAUUACCUUUAAGGUAACGAAGGAUUCUUUGAGCAGCAUGUAAAUGGGGCAAUUUAAGACGAGAAAUGAACUGACUAAGUCGACCUACAGCAUAAGAAAUGUCAGGUCGUGUUAAUGUCAAAUAUAACAGCUUCCCAAGUAGCCUAUGAUACAAGCUAACAUCAGGAAGAUCAACCCCCUCAUCCAUGGAUAACUUGACAUUAGCUUCCAUAGGUGUACUAGCAGCUUUGCAACCUAAAUACCCGAAAUCAGAAAGCAAAUCAAGAACAUAUUUUCGCCGAGAAACACAGAUUCCAGUAGAGGAUUUAACAAUUUCAAGACCAAGGAAAUACUUGACAUCACCCAAAUCCUUCAGUUUAAAGAGUUUAUUCAACUCAGAUUUCAAAUCAGCAAUGGCCCCUUGAUUAUUACUAGCUAUAAUCACAUCAUCAACAUAAACAAGAAGAGCAAUGAACAAGCCAUCAACAUUUUUGAUGAAAAGAGAAUGAUCGGAAGGAGAUUGACUGAAUCCCAAGCCCAUAAUGGCAGUAGAAAACUUAGAAAACCACUGUCUUGAGGCUUGUUUGAGACCAUAUAAGGAUUUAUGAAGCAAACAAACAGCAUUCGAAGGCAAAGACUCCCCCUUUCUAUUAUAACCAGGAGGUAACUUCAUAUAUACUUCCUCAUUCAAGUCUCCAUGAAGGAAAGCAUUGUUCACAUCCAAUUGUGACAAAUGCCAACCUUUAACAGCAGCAAUAGCCAAAAGCAAUUUAACAGUCACUAGUUUUGCCACUGGUGAAAAAGUAUCAACAUAAUCAAUGCCUUCACGUUGAGUAUACCCUUUGGCCAUUAAACGAGCUUUAUACCGUUCUAUGGUACCAUCAGCCUUAUGUUUAAUUUUGUACACCCAUUUACAGCCAACGGGGUGCUUACCAACAGGUAAACUAACAAUGGACCAGGCCUUAUUUUCCUCAAGAGCCUCUAAUUCACAAUCCAUGGCAGCCCUCCAUUCUGGUAUUUCAGCAGCCUUUGCAAAAGAGCUGGGUUCUGAAAUAAUGGAAACUGAGAGAGAAAAAAGUUUGUAAGAAGGAGAGAGCUUAUCAUAACUCAAAAAAUGUUGUAUGGGAUGAGAAGUGGAGUGAGUUUCAACAUGAGCAACAGAGUUGAUUAAAGAGCAGUGAUAAUCUUUCAAAUAUGAAGGUUGUUUGGAGACUCUUGUUAGUCGUGAAGAAGGAGCAACUUGAAGAGGUGGCUGUGAAACAACACGAGGAAGAACUGAGGAAGAUUGAUCAUUAUCAGCAGCAAUACAAGGAAGAACUCGGUCAUGAAACAAAUCAGAAGAAAUAUCAGGAGAAGAACAGGGAUUUGUCUUUGAAAAAGGAAAGAUCUCUUCAUGAAAAAUAACAUUUCGAGAGAUAGAUAUGGAACGUGUCUCUAUAUCCAGUAAUUUGUAUCCUUUAAAACCAAAGGGAUAACCAAGAAAAACGGCUGCUUUGGCUCGAGGUGAGAAUUUUGUCCUGUUAGCUUUCAAAGUAGAAACAUAACACAAGCAACUAAAGACCCGCAAAUGACUAUAAUCAGGCAGCUUAUCAUGUAGGAUUUCAAAAGGAGUCUUAUUGUUUAGAAAAGGACUUGGUGUUCGAUUGAUUAAGUAUACUGCAGUGAGUAUAUAGUCACUCCAGUAACAGACAGGAAGGCUGGACUGAAAAAGAAGAGCACGGGCCACAUUUAGAAUAUGCUGGUGUUUCCUUUCUACCACAGAAUUCUGUUGAGGAGUUUCAACACAAGAACGAUAGUGUAUGACACCAAGAGAAUGAUAGAAAUUGGAAAGAAAUAAUUAUGGAGCAUUAUCUGAUCUUAUGGCCUUAACUUCCUUACCAAACUGCUUCUUUACAAAAGCAAAGAAAUCUGGAAUAUAUUUUUGAACUUCAGAUUUAUUCUUCAACAUAUAAACCUAAGUUACUCGACUAUAAUCAUCAACUAUAGUCAAAAAAAAUUUGUAGCCUUCAACACUGCCAACAGAAAAAGGUCCCCAUAUAUCUAGAUGCAAAAGAUCAAAAGUGGAAGAACAUCUUUUAUUAAGAGAAAUGUAAGGCAGACAACGCUGCUUAGCUAAAGGACAUACAUUGCAGGGAGUAAGAUCAAAGGAUGAAUCAAAAUCCAAUACAGAUUGUAGACCUUUUAAACGACUAAAAGAAGGAUGUCCAAGUCUAGAAUGCCACAAAGAAAGAAUAUUAGAAGUAGGAAUCCGAGAAGCUGCAACAAAAGCUUUAUCAGCAACAAAACUGUCAAAAUCCAAUUGAUAUAACUGACCUUUCCUGCUACCCUUCCCAAUCAUCUUGCCCCGAGAUGGUUCCUGAAUAAUGCAAGCAUCAGGAGUAAAAACCAUUGAAAGAGAUAAAGUGUCUGUAAAUGCACUCACAGAAAGUAGAUUAUAUCUGAAAGUAGGCACAAACAACACAUUUAGAAGCUUGACAUCCUUCGAAAGAAUGACCGAACCAACUCUAUCAAUAGGGACAGUAAUACUAGUAGGUAAAGUAACUCGAACAUUUUGAACAGCAAUAGAAGAAUCAAAUAGAGAAAUGUCAUUGCAAACAUGAUGGGUGGCCCCACUAUCAAUAAUCCAACCUUUAUUUUGGAUUUUAACUUUAUUACCAACAAAAUUAGACACUGAUGGUCCUGUUGAAGAAUUCUCUGUGGAAGCUGAAGAAGUAGAGCUUAAUUGGUUGGUUAAGAGUUGAAUCAAUUGUUGACACUGCAUGGUAGUGAGGGAAGAAACAGUGGAUUCAGAAGAACCUGCAUUCAAAGACUCAAGGACUUCUGAAUUGUUAGCCAUUGAGCUUGAAUUAGGGCCUUUAUUUUUUAAUUUCCAUCCCGGUGGAUACCCAACAAGUUUAUAGCAUUUAUCUUUGAUAUGACCUUGGAAACCACAAUAAGAACAAGUAAUUCUAUCCCUUCUAGUUUUAGAGCCACCUGAACUUCCUGCUGGUGCAUUAGAAUUAGAGCCAAAUGUCAUAGGAUCAGAAUUGUGAGAACCAGAAUAAGAAUAACCAAUAGUCCUGUGACGUUCUUCUUGAAUAACCAGAGAAAACACUUUAUUAAUAGCAGGUAAGGGAUCCAUCAUCAAAAUUUGUCCUCUAAUCUAAGCAUAAGAGUCAUUUAAACCCAUAAGAAAUUGUAAAACAUACUCCCUAUGUUGAUAAUCUGUCCAGACUCUCAAUCCACCACAAUGACAUACUGGAACAGGUUGAAACUCCCUCAAUUCAUCCCAAAGAAUCUUCAAUUUAGUGAAAUAUGAAUUGACAUCCAGCGAACCUUGAUUAAGAGCAGAUAAUUGCUUCUUAAUUUGAAAAAUUCGAGGUCCAUUACCUUGAUUAAAUCUAUCAUUCAAAUCUCUCCAGAUAUCACAAGCAGAAUCCAAAUAUAAAAGACUAUCUGCAAUUUCUCUUGAAACAACAUUUAUGAUCCAUGAAGAAAUCAUACUGUUACAUCUAUUCCAAGCACCAUAAAUCAAAUCAUGAGACAUAGGUCUAGAAAUCGUACCAUCCACAAAACCAACUUUGUUCUUCGCUGUGAGAGCCAUCAGCAUUGCUCUACGCCAGGUAUGAUAAUUCGCUCCAGUCAAAAGAUUUGAAACAAGAUUGAGCCCUGGAUGAUCUCCAUUAUGAAGAAAAUAGGGACUACUCGAAUCUUCAACAACAACAAUCUCAGAAUUCACCUGGCCACCGCGAUUACCAUUACCAGAUCCACCUUUCGCCAUGAACACGAUCGAGAACAAAGAACAGAGAAAGAGAAGAAAAAAAAAUAGAAAUUAGGGAUUUGAAACCCUAAAUGGAUCGCUCUGAUACCAUGUUAGAAAAAGAAAUCUGAAGAAAGAAGAAUUGAGAGAAAAGAUGAAAAGAAUUCUCUUCAUUUAUCCAUUAGAAAAAUACAAGGCUGCUCUGUUAUAUAACAGAGUAAAAUGGCUCAACAAACUGAACGAGAAAAGCGGAAACAAACUAAACAAAACAACUCAAAAAUAGCUCAGCUACCAAUAAUGACAAAACUACCCUUCUAGUAAAAAACAACUAAUAGCGUACGCAUCGGGACGCGUGCGGGCACUGUAGCAACGUACGUAUCGGGACGCGUGCGAUCACUAUAGCGAGCGCGACUCGGGUUGCGAGUGUGAUUGGAAUCCUGAGAUGUCGUGAGCCACCAUCUCGGGUUUCGUGUCAGCGCUGUAGCACCGUACGCCUCGGGCCGUGUGCGAUCACUGUAGCGCGUGCAACAGUGAUUGUAUCCUGAGAGGUCGGGAACCACCAUCUUGGGUUACGUCGAGACACUGUAGCAACAUACGUCUCGGGACGCGUGCGAUCACUGUAGCAACGUACGCAUCGGGACGCGCGGGGGGGCACUGUAGCAACGUACGUAUCGGGACGCGUGCGAUCACUAUAGCGAGCGCGACUCGGGUUGCGAGUGUGAUUGGAAUCCUGAGAUGUCGUGAGCCACCAUCUCGGGUUUUGUGUCAGCGCUGUAGCACCGUACGCCUCGGGCCGUGUGCGAUCACUGUAGCGCGUGCAACAGUGAUUGGAAUCCUGAGAUGUCGGGAACCACCAUCUCGGGUUACGUCGAGACACUGUAGCAACGUAAUCAAUCCUAAUAUAGAAUGUGAACAAAAUAAGGACAGCAUGGUAAUAAUGAUUGAAGAAUAAUAUAUAAAGCAUUCCAUGGAAUAUAUUUUCUUUUUUAAAAUAAGCAAAAAUAAAAAUAUAGUAAUUUCUAUGUAUAAUAUAUAUAUACAAAAAAGUCAUUUUUUAAAAAUAAAAAAUAGAAAAUAUAUUUAAAGAAAGCUUUGCUUUAUAAAUUAUUAUUAAAGUCUCAUUUUUUAAAUAAUAAGAUAUUAAUGGGAAUGAAUCAUCUGGUCAUUCCAAAGUAUACAUGGAUUGUUAUUGAUGGUUAUUCUUCUUGGAAGAUAUCAUCCAUACAAACCACUGCCAAAUUUUGCAAUGGCCUCAAGUGAUAAAUGACAAAUACAAGAAUGAUGAAUAAAAACAAGUUAUAUAUAUAUAUAUAUAUUAUUAUUAUUAUCACAAUUUUGUUUUGUCAUUGCCAUCAUUUUUAUGCCGGUGGUAAAAACUAAGGAAUUUGUCCCGACUUUAAAAAACAUGAUUACAUGAUUUUAACAUGAGUGACUAGACUGAUUAACCUAAAAUGCGUUUGAAAGUGAUUCUAGAAAAUAUUAUUAACAUUUUAAACAUUUGAAUGAUAAAAAUUUUUAAAUAUUAAAAACGUUAAAAACACUUCUUAAAAUCACUAUUAAACGAACUCUUAAUAUGAUUUUAGUAAUGAUUCUAGUAUUUUUAAUAUUUGAAAGAUAAAAAAUUUUAAGUGUGAAAAAAAAUAGAAAUACUUUUUGAAAUCAGUAUUAAACACAUGCUUAGAGUCUAUUUGACAAUGAUUAAGGGAAGCUUUUUUAUUUUAAAAAGUGUUUUUGAAAAAAAAUAAAAAGUGCAUUUGAUAGUGAUUUUGAGAAUUGUUUUUAGUUUUUCUAAUACUUAGAAAUUUUUAUUUUUCAAGUAUUAGAAAUGUUAAAAACACCUCAUGAAAUUAAUAUUAAACACACUCUAAGAAUAGAGUGCGGUUGUAAGUGAUUUUAAAAAUUGUUUUUAGUAUUUCUAAAACUUGAAUAAUAAAAUCUUUUAAGUAUUAAAAAUAUUAAAAGUACUUUAUAAAAUUAUUACCAAACGGGUUAUAAGCGUUUAACAAAAUUUAUGAAAUACUUCUAAAAAUUUGAAAAUAUUUUAUAAUAUUAAAAAAUCACUUAAAAUAUUUUUUGAGAAAAUACUUAUAUUAAAAAUACUUGCAAUGGUUUAUAGGUCCAGUUCAAAAGAGCACUUGCGGCAUCGUGUAAUAAGAAUUGACGUAAGCAAAGAUGGUUAUACAAUGAAAAUUUUUAUACCAUAAAUUACAGAGAAGUUGAAAAGCUAAUAUUGAUAGAGACCAUUUAAUACACAAUGUACAGGCUUGGAAAUGAGAACACGUGUUCCUAUCGUGAGGCAAUAAGAAAGUGUUAUAUAUUUGCCGGCCAUAGCUUGCCAACGAGUAAGACAAGAAGUGAUGGGCCUAUUAAUAUAAAUUGAUUCUCUCAACUAUGAAGUAAUUUAGAGGUCGCUCCUUGAAGUCUCUUCCAAAGUGGAAAUGAAGCUUAGCUCAGUUGCAAUCUCCUUUGUUUUUAUUACUCUCUUGAUAUAUGCAUGGAGGUUAUUGAAUUGGGUGUGGUUGAGACCAAAGAAGCUAGAGAGAUGCCUUAGGCAGCAAGGUCUGACUGGGAAUUCCUACAGGUUGUUGCAUGGGGACUUUAGAGAGAUGUCGAGAAUGAUUAACGAAGCAAAUUCCAGACCCAUCAGCUUCUCUGAUGAUAUUGUGCAGCGAGUUCUACCAUUUCACGAUCAUUCCAUCCAGAAAUAUGGUAUGAAAAUGAGCUACUCUUUAUCAUUGCACUAAAAUAUAUUUAAUUGUGGAAUUUUCCCCAAAAGAUUGUUGGUUUUCUGGUCUUUUUUUUAUUAGUUAUUUUUCCUGUCCUUUUUUUUCUUCGCUAAGAAGUUAUAGUCCAAUGGAAUUUCAAUGGUACUUCAAAUUUCCCUUUUCUAUAUUGGAGUGUAAUUUUUAAGAUUUGUUUGAUUAACAAGAAUAAAAUAAUCCAAAUUUGUAAAAUUAUCCCAAUGAUAAAAAAAAGACUCAUUUUUUGAUAAAAAAUAAAAAAAUAAAAUUACUUACUGCUUUUCUUUUCAGCCUAAAAAAUGACUUUUUUUUUAUUUAUAAAAAUAUCCUUACUGUUUUUCUUAUAAAAAUAUCUUUUUUUUUAAAAAAAAAUUAAAUAAAAAUAUCAAAAUAUUAAGAGAUGCUUAUAUAAAAAAUGAACUAAUUUUUAAGUUGAAAUUCGAGAGGUGUUAGAUUUACAAAUUUAAUAUCAUUUCAUCCUUUUCAAUUGUGUAAUCCAAUUGUAGGUAUAUAUAGAUGUCAACUUUGAUAAAGAGCUUUAUUUACUUUGUAAAUUGCUCAAUCAUUGGGAAUUUGUGAAUUGUAUUUAAAUUUUCGUGUUAAUUGUUUCUUAUCUUUUCAAAUUUUGCAUGAACUCGUGACUCUUCAUUAUUAAUCACAUCAGUAUAAUUUUCUUUAGAUAUUUGAGCUUCUUCAAUUAGAGAGCCUUGCAUUGGCCUCCUUGACUACCCAGGUCCUUUAGAUCCUUUCUAACACUUAUCCAACAAUGGGCAUUAAAAAUGCAGGUAAAAAUAAUUUUAUAUGGUUGGGCCCAAAACCAGUGGUAAACAUUAUGCAGCCUGAGCUGAUUAGGGAUGUUCUCUUAAAGCACAAUGCUUUUCAAAAACCGCCGCGUCACCCUCUCGGCAAGCUGCUGGCUUCAGGUGUUGCGUCAUUGGAAGGUGAACAAUGGACUAAGCGUAGAAAGAUCAUAAACCCAGCUUUCCAUCUAGAAAAGCUGAAGGUAAUUUUCCAACCGGAAAGCGUGACCCUAAUUCCCAUUCUUUCUGUGAGAGCAGAAUAAUGUGUACAUAAAUACAAACGAUAUUUCCUUUUAUAAAUACAUUAGAGGAUGGAUAUGGUUAACUUAUAGGAAGAAAAUAAAUUUCUGAAUGUUCCAUAAUUUAGUAGACAUUCGCAAUUUCACUGCCUUUGGUAAUCUUUUUCCUUAUGCAUGAUAAACUUUUUGCAUUGCCAUAUUUUGAAUUUUAUAGGUUCUCAAGACAGUAACUCAAAGUGCAAAUGUGAGACUGACUUCUAAAUUUAUUAAUUGUGUUUGAAUUUGUUAUAGCACAUGGUAUCGGCAUUCCAAUUGAGUUGUAGUGAUAUGGUCAAUAAAUGGGAGAAGCAGCUCUCCCUGGACGGCUCAUGUGAAUUGGACAUUUGGCCCUAUCUUCAAAAUUUGACGGGAGAUGUUAUUUCAAGAACAGCAUUCGGUAGUAGCUAUGAGGAAGGAAGAAGGAUAUUCCAACUCCAGAAAGAGCAAGCACUACUUACAGUCCAGGUUACUCGGUCAGUUUAUGUUCCAGGAUGGAGGUAGGCAUAAAAUAUUUCAAGGAAUUAAUCUGAACCUCAGUACUAAUACCCAAAUGCUAUAACUUUCACAGUAUCACCAACAACAGCAAAAAUAAUAACAAUAAUAAUAAAAAUAAAAAUAAAAUAGAAGAAGAAGAAGAAGAAGGAAGGUUUGAUUCAGCAUGGGACAAAAGCAAGAAUAAAAUUAAUAACUGUUAUUGCAUUUAAGAACUGUUAAGAUGUUUCAUUUAUUUUGUUAAUAUGGCUCUCAAUUACUAAUUUUUGUUUUCCUUUAAGUAGUUUGUCUUCCAAUUUUUGGCUUUCUAGUUUAAGAGCUUUCUUUUUGUUCAAAUUAAAGAAUGUAGCUGUGUCUUCAAAACAAAAAUCAACUUCAAGUAUCCCCUUUUCUUUUAUUGGCAGAACAUCUUAGCAAGAUGCAUGGUGAAAUACUACUGCAAAAUAUUUGUAGACUCAAUGGUCAAUUAAUGUCUGGAUGGUUUCAUCUUUGGAACACCAUGGAUAUUCCGAGAAAUUGAACAAGUACAAAGUCAUGGAUGAAAAUGCAUUAUUUGUUUCCUGUAUUUCAUUGAUCUUCAUUUACUUGGAUUACUUCCAAGCAGGUUUUUUCCAACAAAGACAAACAGGAGAAUGAGGCAAAUUAGCAGUGAAGUCGAUGCAUUGUUGAAGGGUAUCAUUGAGAAAAGAGAGAAGGCAAUGCAAGCUGGCGAAACUGCUAAUGAUGAUUUAUUAGGUCUACUAAUGGAAUCCAACUACAGAGAAAUGCAAGAAAAUGAUGAGAGGAAGAAUGUCGGAAUGAGCAUCAAAGAUGUCAUUGAGGAGUGUAAGCUAUUCUACCUUGCUGGCCAAGAGACUACCUCGGCUUUACUUCUGUGGACAAUGGUUCUAUUAAGCAAGCAUUCAAACUGGCAAGCUCGAGCAAGGGAAGAGGUUUUACGGGUUUUUGGUAAUAAAAAACCAGAUGGCGAUGGCUUAAAUCACCUCAAAAUUGUGAGUAUCAAUCCAAUCUAUAUUCAAUUUAGUAACUCUCCUUGAAAAGAAUAUACUCCUUUUUUUGUCAAUCUUGAGGCAAAAUAUGUUUUGUUUCUGUAUCUUUUUUGCUUUAAUUGAAAGCUAUAUGCAAAUACUUGGUACUCCAACUGGAAUUUUUCUUUCCUUAUCUACUUGCACACUGCAUCAGCACUGGUGAAAAAGAGGUCGAUUUUACUGUAGAAGAAGGGGCGGCCUAUUCUUUUCUUUGCGGGAAUUUUUUAUUUGCUUGUUAGGUUGUUUUAAGUGUGAAGAAAACUUUGUGCAAAUACUUAGUAUCAAUCAUUUACAAGACUGAAGAGAAUAUUGAUAUUUCCUCUUGCCAAGCGUUUUUUCUUGAAAUUUAAACUCUGGGCUAUAAUAAAUUUUCAGGGGGUUCUUAGUUUGUAUUCACCAGUUACUGUAUGGUUCUAUUUGUACAUGAAAGUAUAUAUUAUGCAAAAAUUUAAACGAUCUCUUUCAUAACUAUAUUCGAAAAAUUCUUUCAUAGUUUGAUGUAUGCUUCUUAGUGAUAUAGUGUAUUUCAAUAAUGAAUUUUCAUGAUAAAAAUAUUUUCUAUAUUGCAGGUUACAAUGAUUUUUCAUGAGGUCCUUAGGUUAUAUCCACCAGCACCCAUGCUCACACGAGCUGUUUUUGCCGACAGCCAAGUGGGAGGAUUGUAUUUACCAGAUGGAGUGCAGAUCGCUUUGCCAAUCCUCCUAAUUCACCACGAUGAUAAAAUUUGGGGAGACGAUGCAAAGGAAUUCAACCCGGGGAGAUUUUCAGAAGGAGUUUCAAAGGCAGCAAAGAGCCAAGUUUCAUUUUUUCCAUUUGGUUAUGGUCCUCGGAUAUGCGUUGGACAAAAUUUUGCAAUGAUGGAAGCAAAAAUGGCUUUGGCAAUGAUCUUACAACGUUUCUCAUUUGAACUUUCCCCAUCCUAUGCUCAUGCACCUAUUAGUCUUCUAACUAUGCAACCCCAACAUGGUGCACAUCUGAUUUUACAUGGACUUUAGUGUCAGAAUUCCUGGUAUCAGUAGAUGUUAAUUAGCACGAUCUUUAAACCUAGCUAGUGUCGAAUUUAAAUUGUCCACACUCCCUUUUCCUUGAAAUGUGUCCUCUACAAAUCCAAUGUAUUAAUAAAAUUAUCUUUUUGUAUGUCACCGUGGGUUUGAUUAUUGAUAUCAAUUAAAUGCUUUGUUUAUUACAUAUAUGUUCCUUUGUUGAGCAUGUACGGUUGGUUUGUCGCGGAGAUUGUAUCAAGAAUUUUGGUUGUAUCAAAAUUAGCGACUUUAUUAGCUUCUAAUUGGAAAAAUAGAAAUCCUACUUACAACAACUGUAUUUGGUAUCAUGACCAACAACACCAUUAUUCUCGUCCACCAGAAUGCACCUAAAAAAGUUCAUCAGAAAGGAAAAAGUGUUACUGUAACACCCCAAAAUUAACUUUAGGGGCAAAACAAUAAAUUAUAAAUUAAUUAAUUAAUUAAUUAAUUAAACUCUUUAAAGGUAAAAGAGUCUAUUUAUAAUUAAUAAUCCUAGGUAUAAAUUAGAUUUUCCUCUUGUCUUCUCUAUUCAGAAAACCUUAUUAACCAAAAAUCAGAGAAUUGGAGAAUGUAGGGUUGAAGGAUUGAAGAUUUAAGGUUUGAAGUUUAGAUUUUUCGAGGUAAAAUUCUAACCCUAAAUUAAUAUAUUAGAUUUGUUAGUUAGUUUUGAACACAAUAAAUAUUCUUUAGAAAAUUUCAAUUUAGAUUAGGUUUAAUUUUUUUAAGAUCAAAACAUUGGAAACUUGAGAUUAUGGGUUGUUUUAUUGUUGGAAAAUGAGAAAUUCUAGAAAUUUUAAGUUUUUAGAUGAAAAAAAGAAGAAGAAAGAGGAUGUGUGUGCGUGUGGGAAGAAUGAAGUAUGAUGGGAAAGAAAAGAAAAAAUAAAUAAAACAAAAACAAUAUUAAUAAUAAAGGAAGACAUGUACUGUGUGGGAGUGUGUUUGGUGGUUAGUACAUAUAUAAUUAUAUUAACAAUGAUGGGCAGUUGUUAUGUAUUGUUUGGUGGGAAAAAAAAAUUGAAACCGAGAGAAUAAAAUAUAUAAAUAGAAUGAGGUGAAGUACAAAGUUAGUUAGGUUUAUAGUAUUAUAAUUAUAUUAGUGGCGAAUGUAAUUUAAUAAAUAAAAUAGAAUUUAAUUAUUGAAAUAAAUUAUAGUUUAAUUAAAUUGUGUCCCUAUGAACAAUGAAAAUAAAAUUAAAUGUUUAUAUGAAUUAGAAAUUUAUUAAUUCCUCUAAAAUAGGAAUAGAUUACAUUAUCUUUUAUAAUUAAAAACAUUAAUUUGAAUACCUAAGAUUUUAUGAUUUGUCAAACCUAUAAUUUUAGAUAAAUAGUAAUUGUUAUUUCUCUUAUGCUUUGUUAGGUGAAGAGUAUAUUUUCUAGAAUUAUUUUUCUCCAAAGUUUUUAGGGUCUUUUUUUAAUGUAAGGGAAAUUAAUACAAAUUUGCAAAAGAAAAUAAUUUUUUUUGUUAUAUAUAUUGUUUGAAAUGUGAAAUUGUUAUUUUACUUUUGAGCAUGGAUCAAAUAUAUUGCAUGGAAAAUGUGUUAUAAUAUUUAUUUCAUUAUAACGAAACAUAUGGAGAUAUUAUGCUUUUGUAAGUUGGGAUAAAUAAAAUAAAGAAUUUGACUCUAGCUUGUUUGGCCUUUGUCAAUGGGAUAUAAUUGUUGACCUUUACAUUUUCAUAGCGGGGAAUGUAAUUGAUUUAGACCCCAACCUCUAGGAGUUUGGUUAAAGGUUAUUAGUAUUAGUAGUGUUUGAUUCCGUCCAUCUUAAAAGGAAUAUUUGAGGUUAACCACCCAUUUGUAAGGUCCUACUUAAUUGGACAUUAUUUGUUAUUUGAUAACCAGAGUAAGAACUAUUGAAAUGUAUUUGAUUUGAAAUAAAUAUGAAAUGAUUUUGAUAUAUAUGAAAAAUGUUUGGUUGAAUAGUUUAAAUGUAUUAGCAUGUUUAACUCAAAAUUAUUAUAAAUAUAGUACAUGUAUAUCUCUUGUUUCUAAGUAUAAUUGAAAAUAUUUGAUCCAUAAAACCGUGUUAAUGUUCCUUAUUAGGCUUUGAACUCAUCUCUCUUUGUUGAUAAUUUUCUAGGUACCCUCAGUAAAGGCAAGGAGUGACGGUUAGGAAAGGAAAUUGGCUUGUUAGGACUAUUGUUAACACUCUUUAUUUUGGACAUUAUUCAGAUGUUAAAAUUUAUUUCCCAUUUGAAUUAUUUGAGUUUGGAGUUAUUUGGGUAAUAACACUUGGGUUGAUGUGUCAGUUUUUAUAAAUUGAUAUCUAAAGAUUUUAGAAUUUAUUUAUUUUACUAUUCUGAACAACAAUUUGGUAAUUGGUAAUUUCUAGUUACAAAAAGAAAGUUUGUGUCAUUUCCACUUUAAGCCUUUAAGCUUGAGGUGUGAAAUGACUAUCAUACCCUUGAAGUGGGUUUUAGGGCGUGAAAGAGUGGUAUCAGAGCACUAGGUUAUAAUCUUAUUGGAAACUUGUUUUAGUUUACUCUAGGGAUAGAUGAGUGACGCAUUAAUUUAAGUUUCAGCUUUAUCUUGUAUAAAUUCCUAUUCUUCUUUAUAAUUAUAAAUUGUCUGAUUGGUUUCUUAGUGACUAAUUUAGUUAUACCUUAUUCUCUAUAGAAGAUCAUGCCACCUAGAAUAACAACAUCUUCCCAAUAUUGUUAGGCUAAUGAUGAUGUAUUGAUUACUACUCAAAAAGUGCUAUUUUGUAGCUUGUAAUUAAACUCUUUUAAACACUCUUGAGUAGUAAUUAUUACCUUUUAACUCAAUUGACAUGUUAAGGACCCUUGCAAUCGUUUCUAAUCAAAAUGUGUUAAGUUUUGGUGUUUUUGAUAGCUUUUUGCCCACCAAAGCAAUCCAAGAAUGAGGGAGAGCUGUAUAUAGUUCAUGGCAAAGCUUUUGGAAGCUCAAAUUCAUGAAGAACCAAGCUUUGGAGCUCCAUAGCCCUUUGCCAAAGUCGUUCAAAGUAUGCAAGGAAAGAACAACGGAGAGAGGAAAAAUAGAGUGAAGAAAACAGAGGACAACAGCUUCAAUCUUAUUUCGCACUUUUGGAGCACUUUCCGAAGUCCAUUUUCUACAUUCUAUAUACCAUUUCAAAGCUCAGGAAGUUAAGAAUCCAACGCUUCAAACCGUGUAUGAUUUGGAGCUGAAAUGAGGAAGAUAUGGCCUUCGUAAGACAACUACAUCCAGUUGAAGGACAAAUUCGCAUCUUGCGAAUUUGGAAUUCCAACGUGCGAAAGUGAUUUUGCAACUUGCGAACUUGGAGCUCAACGUGCGAAAAUGGAUUCUAAGUUGCGAAAUCAACUUGCGAAAUUUUCGCAAGUCACCAUGCAACGUGCGAAACUGGGAUAUUUGUGCACCGACUCUUUUAGAUAUUUUCUUCAAAUAUUUUUGUAUAAAUUUCCAUUCUUCUCCUUGUAAUCCACGAACCAUAAGAUUUCUUAGCUAGGAAGGUUGGAAAAACUUCUCUAUAUAUAUUCCCUUGCAUCCAUUGUAAUAAAUAUCAAUCAAUAUAUAGAUAUUAAAAUAUAUAGACUAUACAGAGCCUUGCUCUGUUUUUCUCUCUUCUCCUAUUCUUCCCCAUUUCUAUUUUCUUAGUAGCCAAACAGCCUCUGAGGGCUUUUCCUCAGAGGAUGAUUGGCUAAAACUUUUAGUUUCUCAAAGUAUGGAUGUUAUGUGAUGGCUUGGAUGCAAUCCCAUGGAAAUUUCUCGCACCUGGAAGGUAAGGUAAUCAUUUUUCAUUAAUGGUUCAUUAAUGCAAAGUUUGGUUUUUAUUUCCUUUGGACAACUUCCAACGACCAAUACUUGAUAAGCUUUUGGAUUUCUAACCAUUAGUUAUCUCCUACGAGCUAUUGGAAGGUGAGGUUUUCAAUUCCAAGUUUUGCAUUAAUCUGUUAGAACCAAUUUCAAUGACCAUUGAAAGACGAGUUUAUCACCUAGAAUGACUUUGAGUUGCCAAUAUUUGGUAAGCUUUUGGCUUUAGACCAUUAGUUAUCUCUUACGAGCCAUUCAAAGGAAGUCUAAGGUGAAUAACCAUUGAUGAAAUUCACUACCAUCUGUUUUGCCAUUUUAAAGGAUUAAAACUUGAUUUGCUAAAUCCAUACCGGUUCGGGAAGCAAGCAUCACCAUAGUUGCAACCCCAAGCGAGGAGCCUAUCCUGAGAUUUCCAAUUUGCAUAAGAGCUAGAGCAUAUCUAUCCUAUCUUUGAGAAACUUGUUUUUACACCCUUUCAUUUUAAUCUUUAAUGUUAGCUUAUAUUAGUUUAAAUCUUUCUAAAACAUUUACAUCUUCUUUUAAAGCUAACAUCCAUAAGAAAAUCACCUAUUUUCCUAAUUUGAAUAUCACUAGUGUUUGCGAAAACCCUUCCCAGUGAACGAUCCUAGAACCACUAUGCUAUAGUAGCUUGGCUACUUUAGUAAUAGUAUUUAAGGUAUAAAUUUUGUUGAUACACCUUUAAAGCUAAGCUACCAUGAGUCGAAUCAUGUACCUCAUCCACUUGAGGGUUUGCCUCCCAUGAAUGCAAAAGGACUUUAUAGGUAUCUUGAAACUUUAACUGGUUUUGUUGAGUGUCAAGCUAGAGUUGCUCAAACUAAAGGUCAAGGACGAUCCUCAUCUUCUAGGGAUAACUAAUUUGAUGACUUUAAGAAGCUAGGUCCUUUUUAUUUUUUUAGCACUUCAGGUCCAACAAAAGUAGAGGCUUAGAUUCUUAAGAUGGAGAAAUUCUUUGAUGUCAUAGAUUGAUCUGAGAAGCAAAAGGUCUCUUAUGCAGCAUUUAUGUUAGACAAAGAGGCAAAUCAUUGGUGGCGUAUGACCAAGAGGCUUUUAGAGGAUUAGGGACCUAUAGCAUGGAUACUAUUUAGGGAGGCUUUCUACAAGAAGUACUUCCCUGAUAGUGUUAGACAUCAAAAUGUGGUAGAGAUUGUUUGUUUGGAAAAGAUGACUUUGGGUCAUAAAUGAAAAACGACUUUGGGUUGAGUGCUCUGGGCUGUAAAUGGAAAAGAUAUGACUCUCGGUCAUAAAUGAAAAAUGACUCUAGGUCGAGAGCUCUGAGCUCUAAAUGGAAAAGAAAUAACUCUAUGUCAUAAAUGAAAAAUGACUCUAAGUCGAGAGCUCUAGGCUCUACAUGGAAAAGAGAUGACUCUGGGACAUAAAUGAAAAACAACUUUGGGUCGAGAGCUCUAGGCUCUAAAUGGAAAAUAUAUGACUUUGGGUCAUAAAGGAAAAAUGACUCGGGGUCGAGAGCUCUGGGCUUUAAAUGGAAAAGAUAAAGAAGACCAACUCGAAAGUGGAUAGGAAGCAAAUGGGUACAAAUCCAUAUACUUAAAAUGUCGAGGGUCGGACUACUAGGCUUAGGAAAGGAAAUAUGCCCCAAUACCCAAAGUGCUCACACUACUGAAACAACCAAUAAACCAAUCAACCGCUGAAAUAAAUGGGUCAGAAACUGAUGCAUCAUGACGAACCUCUGAAAAUUUGGAACUGAAAGAACUCUCUAUGUCUCAAGAGCUACUUUGUUGACGAAUCUCAAAAGGUAAACCUCAAAAUGUGUAUCAUAACUCAUCUAAAAGCAUAUCUCGAAGUGCACAAAAAAUACUGCUCAUCUAGAUAACCUAAUUUGUAAUGUAACAAUGAUGAAAACAAUCUAUCUCAUGAGCCUCUGGCUAAAGAAUCCAUCUAUGCUCCUCGAGUGAAACCUGAUUCAAUUCAUCUCUAUCUCAACAAAUCCAUGUAGGGAGGUCCCGAUACAGUCAAUCUUCGGAAGCCCUAUACUAGUACUCAAUCUAAAACCAAGCUGGCCGUUGUCCCAGUCUCAAGGAUACUCAAAGAAAAUGGAGAAAUAUGCCCCAGUAUAAGAUUUGAUGCUAAAGUCAUGAGGUAAAUAACCACUACUAAUCAUCCAUCUGUGUACCGUUGCCCAAACACAAUCUCAUCAAGGAGAGGGGAAUAUGGCCCAGUAUGGAUAUUUGAUGUAGAAUAAAGAAUCUAUCAAAAUCCAUCAAACAUCUCUAUAACCAUGAAUAAGAUAGCCACACAACCCAAUGAUGACUAGGAAUCUCGAAGAAAGGAGGAGAUAUGCCCCAGUGUGGAUAUCUAAUGCACAACCAAAUGAUGAAUCCAAUAUCAUCAAUGGAUUGUCCCCAAACUCGAAAAUCUAUCAAACAUCGAUAUGCCCAGCAAGAGAGAGCAACCAAAUGCUUCCAAAAGUAUCUCCCAAAGAGAAAGCAUAGUAAUGAAUUUACUUCAACCAAUCUACAUAAGCCCUUCCAAAUGAAAACUGUCAAAGAUAACAUCUGAUCUUGUGGCCUCAGGGUGAUCUUAAGACACGGGACGUAACGUAGGCCAGGGUGAUAAGGUGAAAGAAACGAGGGAAAACUAGGUUCAAAUACCCAAUGAUCAAACUCAUACCCUCGUGUACAAGAUGUAAUGGAUAGCAAAAAUCUCAUGAGCCAUGGACCUAAAGGUAACCAGAGGAAAUGUCGAUGAAGAAACAAGAGAAAGGAUAAGUGGUCAAACCAUCAAUGAAACAUGUGAAUGAUGUGAAGAAGGUAUCAAAUAAGAAAUGUGUAUCAAUAUGUAGGCAAUAGAUAAAAGGUGGGACGAAAAUCUAGAAAAAUGCGGUGACACAUAAAAGAAGGCAAUGAGAAAGUGGAAUGAAUGACGAUCAACCCAUAUCCGUACAAUAAAGGAAAGUCAUAUCACCAAUGAUGGAAUGGUGGGUAAGACAAAGAUCCGGAGACCUUAGUAAAAGGUUACUCAUCUCUCAUAUGUUACUCAUCUCUCAUACCUAAUACAUAUCAACCAUGAUCCAAGAAGCAUAGGAUCUCAUAGAACUCUCACAUGAACUCUUGACACUCCAAAUGCAUAACAAGAGUGACUCAAGGAACAAAAAGUCCUCAUGGAAAACUCGCACAAACUCUCAGUGAUAAACCUAAUAAACCCUUAAAUAACAACACAUGCUCAAUAGAGUAGGAUGUCAAGUACAAACAUUUCAUUGCGUUUUUUUUUUUUUUUCAUAUCCUGAUCAUCAAUACAUCAUACUCCAAUGAGACAUUGCAAGGAAUGAAUAAACUCUCUCAAAUAACUAACGAACACAUGAAACCCCAUCCCACGAGAAAACUUCUCAAGCUAAAACCUCCGAAUCAAUGCCAAAUUAUGAAAUGAAGGGAGUGAUACAACUGCCCUAUUUGCAUAAAUAUGUGAAGAAUCAUCACUCCAAGUAAAGAAAAUAUGAAAUGUGGCAACCAAUGAUAAAAAGCCAAGAUUGAGAUGAAAAUGAGAAAAUAACAUAAUGUAACAGGCAGAGUGGUGAGGUGAUGAUAGCAAGGAUGAGGAAAAUAAGCCUAUAAGUCCAAAGCUCAUGAGACUUUCCUAGCAAAGCAUAACUAUACAUCAAAGGGCCCCAACCCAGGUAUAGAAAUGAUAAGCAAUGUUAUAGAAAAGAAAAGGCUAUAGCAUACCAUGUGAGGCUCAAUGGGCUUGCAACGAUCUAAUAUAUCAAUAAAAGUAAUAAGGUGUAAGGCUAACCAAAAUGAUGGCUACCCAUCCUACGAUCAUAAUCUCUAACGUAAUACUUCUUCAAUUGAUCCACAUUGGUAGUCUUUGAAAACUGGUUUCCAUCUAAGUCGGUCAACCAUGCAACCCUUUUUGGAGUCAACUCUCAAAUAACAUAAGGCCCACUCCAACUAGGUCUGAACUUCCAUCUAGAGUCUCCAACUAAGCCUCUAAGAAUCCUCAAAACCAAAUCCCUUUUCUGAAAUGGUCUAGGCUUAACUUGUUUCCUGAAAGCACGAGUGAUUCGUCCCCAAUUGGUGUACCUUUGAUUUAGUCCUCAGACGGGAGUUAUCAACAAAAUUUAUAAACCUAAUUCACCAUAUACUAGGGUAGCAUAGUGGUUCUAGGAUCGUCUACAGAGAUGGGUUUCAUUUCACACAUGAUAUUAAUUUAAAGAAUUGGAUUGGUGUUUUUUCUUUUACAAGUUAGCUUUAAAAGAAAACAUAAUCUUUGGUUAAAAAAGGUUGGUUUUAAGUUAACAAAAAAUAGUAACUGAUUUUAAUUACAAAGAAAAGGUUUCUUGGAUUUUCAGGUCAUUAGAUUCAAGUUCCUUAUACAAAAGGGAAGAUUUCAGAUCUUUUCCUCGUAUUGGGGAUUUAACCUAUAGUUAUCCUCCCAACCGAUGUGUUACAGCUGCUUCCCAUUAAUGGUUUCAACGCUAAAUCCCUCUCACUGAAUCAUCUUGCAAUGGCUCGUACCUCUCACCUAGUAUUUAUCAAUUCAAGGUGAUUCUUAACCUUGGAUUACCCUUCAAAAGCUCGUAGGAGAUAACUAAUGGAUGUCUCUAGGGAGUCCAAAAGCUUACCAAGUGUUGGCUAUUCUAAGUAAUCCUACCUUUAAACCACCUCUUAGAGGCUCGCAAGAGAUAACUAAUGGAUCUCUAUGGAUUGAGUCCGAAAAGCUUACCAAGUGUUGGCCCAGGCGAUUAUAGGGGAUUUUAAGUUAACUAAAAAUAUAAAAACCAUUAUCGGGUCACAACUUCCUCUUCAUUAAAAACUGAAACAAGGAAAACUUCCACUUUUGUAUUCGGGUUCCUUACCUAGCUUCCUUCCGUCCAAGAAAAAAAAAGUCUAGCCACUCAUCCUCUGAGAAAACAUCCUCAGAGGUUGUUUGGCUAGAAAGAAAAAUACAAUCAAAUUGAGUAGGUAAGGCAGAGCAAAGCUCUGUAUAUUCCUUACUAAAAAAUGUACAAGUGAUCUCCAAGAAUGUCUUCCGAGAUUCUGAGAUGAUAUUACAAAUAGAUAUCUUAAGAUAUAUAAAGAGAGAUAUUUUCAAUCCCUCAAUUAGAUAUCCUAAAUAUCUAAAAAGAUCUUCAGUUGAUUACAAUGAGAGAAUAGAUAAUUACACAAAAUAUCUUGAGGUAAAAAUCUAACGGAGUCGAUGCAAAAAUAUCUAAAGAUUACAUGAAGAUUUAGCAAUUGAGAUAUGGAGCUGCGAAAAUUUCGCAAGAGGAAAAGGAGAUGCGAAAAUUUCGCAAUACUGAAAAGGAGAUGCGAAAAUUUCGCAAGUGGUAAAAAGUGGCUGCGAAAUUUCCUUCUGUCUUGCGAAAAUGUCACAAGUGGUUGCGAAAUUCUUCAGUGUUAGAUUCCUUCUCUGAUUUUCUUCCUUGCACACUUGAUUGAUUUGGCAAAGGCUUUGAAGCUCUCCAAAACUUGGAUUCUUCAUGUAAUUUAGCUUCAAUCUUGCUUUGCCAUGGAUUAUACCAAGUUCUCCAUCAUUCUUGGCUUAUUUUAAUUAUAAAAAAGCUAUCAAAAACAUCAAAACUUGCCAAAAACUUAUUAGCAACACUUGCAAGGGUCCUUAAUGUGCCAAUUGAGUUAAAAGGUAAUAAAUAGUACUCAAAAGUGUUUAAAAGAGUUUAUAAGAAGCUAUAAAAGAGCACUUUUUGAGUAGUAAUCACUCCCCCCAACCGACAUAUUGCUAGUCCGUUAGCAAUGAAGGAGACAAAAACAGUAAAAUAAUUUACAAAAUCAUGCUGAUCACUCCAAAAAAUCAUAAGUGGCAUGAUUGUAAAGCAUCUUACAUGGAACAUUAAAGAAGCAAAACUCAUCCUUCAAUAAGAGGAUAUCAAAAAUCUUACUUGAUCAUAAUUCAUACAGAGUAGGCAUUAUACAAAUUUAAGCAAUGAGAGGAUUUCCACUCUCCGAGGCUCAAUCAUUACUUUUCCACAAAGAUCUAUGUGUUAAGCUUAUUAGUUUCCGAAUAUAGUACUCUGAACUAAUCUCUCCCCCCCAACCUAGUUCUUUCUCAGACUUUAGCAAACUGACGACUUCCAAUAGGCUAAGAACGCACCUCUUUUAUUUCACAAUUUUUUUCUUGUAUUCGUGCAAUGCUUAAGGUAUUGUUUUCUAAAGUGUCCAUGUAACGGGGAUCCAUCGAUGACUCCCAACCAAUAAAGGUUUAGGGCAUCAAGCUUUAAGGAUCUUUCGACCACUAACUCCUCAGAUUUUGCCCCAGACUUUUGAGAUUGGAAUUUAAUACCCAAGCACCUAUAAUAUGUUAAACUCCACUUUUUUUACCCUUGUAACGAGCAUUGAGGUUGGUGACUCCCAACCAAUAAAGGCUUAGGGCACUGGGAUUUAAAGAUUUUCAUCAUAUACCCCUCGAACUUUGCUUGGGUUUCAAAGAAAGUAUAACACUUUGUUAUUUUUUUUAUUUUUAUUUUUUUCAAAGGCUCAUUGGCCUUUUAUCAAGUGUCUCAACACUAUUAAAACGAGGUCAAAGGUACCAAGUCUACAUUUUCCUAAGUUCAGGAGGUGAGAUAGUUUUUCAUCUUAUAAUCGAAACCUAAGGUGUACAGUGUGUGGUAAGAUUAAAGUGGAAGAAAUAAGGUUGAAUUCAAUAGGAGUUUCAAUAAUUCAUCAACUUUAAUAAGCAUAAUACAAAUUAUAAUAUUUAAAUAAAAAUGUAAGAAUUCAAUUUCUCCCAUUUCAUUUUGAGAAUUUUUCCUUAAUAACCACGGAGAGUAGAGUAAAAACUUUUUAAAAUUAAGCGAAAAGUACUAUUUUAACAAAAUAACUUAGCAUUAUUAACAACUUCUUCCCUUUACUUUCCCCCCAACCAAGAUCAACAUUGCCCUCAAUGUGGCAAAAAUGAUUGUAAAUAAAAGGAGGAAGUGGUACCUCCUGAGUGACAUGGAGUUUGAGUCAUAUAGAAGAAACCACAUGAUUAACAAAAAAACAAAAGAUUAAUGAGUAAGGGAGAUAGAAAAGAAAAUGCCAAGUAUAAACCAAAAUGAUAUGUAUAUAUUACUCUAAGAAAGUACAAUGAAAUGAUCAUGUAAUACAUCCAAUCCUAGAAUAUAAAAUAUUAACACAAGUAAUAAUGUUUACUAAUAUAUACUAAGUAAAUACAAAAUAAAGAAAUGAUCAAGGAGCGGGGUUUUCUGGUGGAGAUGAUGGCUCAGUGGCUGUCUCGUGAGUGGCCUGGGGUGGGACAUCUGCUCUGAUGGUCUCCUCAAUUGGAGCUAUAGGCUUGGAUGGUCCAGGAAUAUCAGUAUGAGGUAGUGGCAGUCCCAGAUGCUGCUAUAUCUAACGAAGGAUAGCAGUAUGCUGGUCCUGCUGAGCACGUAUGUUUGCCAUCUGUCGAAAUAGAGCAUUGUGAGUAGCAGUUACACAAAACUCCGUGCCAGAUACGGUGAUAAAGUCCUCCGAUGUAUGAGGUGCAGCUGGUGGAACAGGAGGUGUAGCAGGAGGAUCAAUAGAGGUGGCUUGAGGCAUAGAUGGUGCAGCAGGGGCGAAUGGUAUAGAACCUGUGGAAUGCUCGUCUUGUUGUGCCUAGUCAACCUGUGCUGGUAUUGGAGAUGCUGGCCUGGGUAGGGCUGCUUCAGGUGCUGAUUCCAUUGGAUUCUUACCUACUAGCUGUGUCCAUUGGUCGAGAGUGAAAUGCUCUCGACAAUGGUGGCGGUGCUCAAGAUGGGGUUCAGUAGGAUAGCCCAUAUGCUCCAAUAGAUGGUAGAGCAGCCUCAGAAACAGCAAUGGGAUAGUGUCGGCUUGUUGUAGCUUCUUCCUGUGAACUUUCUCCUCAAAGUAUAGGAGAUUAGCCAUAAUCAGGUGAUGUGGACCAAAUUAGAAGCCCUCAGAUAUCCCGAGUAACGCGUCUAGGAUGGGUCCUCACCUCUACACUAAAUGUUGAAGAGGAAAAAUAUUGGACUGCAACAAUACAUCUACCAGGAGCAUCCCAGAUGGAAGCUCCUUACGUAGAAGGAAUGAAUCUCCAAAAGUCCAUCUCGAUAGAAUACGGACUAUGUCUCGCUGAGAUAUAGGGGACCAUUGUCUAAAAUGUGUUGGAUCCUUUGGCUGAAAUGGAAUAUGGAGAGCCUCAGCAAUGUGCCUAUCCUUUAAGAUACCCUGGUGCCCGUCUAUGCUAAAACGAAUGGUUGUGGGACUCUAGGCGCCCUGAGUAAUCAUGGACUGAUAGAAAUCCAUCACCACUCUGGAGUAGAAAAACUCCCUUGGAGUCAUUAAGUGCUCGAGAUGGUACCUCUGGAGCAGUCCAAAUGAAUCCCUAAGGUCUAGUUGUUGUCGCAUAGCCUCAUUGUCGAAGUAGAGUUCAGAAUGAAAUGGCCUAGCUCUACAAUCUGAAUUGCCCUCAAUGGGCGGUGCGGUAACCAUAGGCCUCUUGAUGAUGGCUUCUGGAGCAAUGCCGGAAGGAUGUUGAGAAUCCAUUGGGCCUUGAGAAUCAGGCUGCGCAUGCCUAGAUGUCUCUCCAGGGCCUGAGGUCUUGGCUCUCUUUGGUGGAAUGCGGUGUACUGAUGGCUUUGGGGGUGGAGAAGUUGGUGGUCUCCGUGUCGAGUAUUGGCACUAAGGAGGGCUAGAGGGCACCUCACCCUCUGAAGAUGGAACGGUUGAGGCCUGAGAGGCCUGAGAUGAAUCCUAAGGGGUGGAGGCUCUUGGCCGAGCCUCGUGAGAUGCGGACGGGUUUGUAUGGCCCCCUCUGAUGCGCGCCAUGGCUGAAAUAGGCGAGAAACGAAGGUCUCUUCUUCUUUUUGGUGGCCGCGGGGUAUGGAAUGGAGAGGAAAUUGCUUCGCAAGGUGGCGGUAAUCUUCUCACAACAGAGGAUGGGUUGUGCAAAAUAAAUAGAAGCUAUGGAGGUCUUUAAAUAGGAAUUUUAAGUGAACUUUAAUUUCCCUCUUGACUGUUGGAAGUUUGCAUAAGUGACUGUUGGCAUUUCACAUGGGUUUCGCAAAGCAAAAAUGGGUUGCGAAAUUGCUGGCAGGCCUUGCGAAUAUUUUCGCAAGUGAAUUUGGUGCUACGAAAUUUUCGCAUUUGCAUUUGGCUAGUGCAAAAUUUUCGCAUUUGGAUUUGGCUGCUGCGAAAUUUUCGCAUUUGGAUUUUUGUCCUACGAAAUGCUCUAUUUUUCCUCUAUUUUGGAAUUCCCUUGUAUUUGAUCAUCAAAAAUUAAAUUAAUUCAUAAUAAAAUAAAAUUAAAGUGAGAAAUUUCAAUUUAAAACAUAUACUAAAUCAAUAAAACUUGAAUUUAAAAUUUAUAACAAAACAACAAAAAAAAAUAAAAAAUGGACUUAGUGUUUUCUGACAUAUUAAGUCCAUCUAACCAUUUGUCUUUCAAGAUGAUGUGGUUCAAGGAGGUUGAUUUCCUCCUUGUCUUUAGAAAAUGGCUCCAAGAAUGGCUUGAGACGUUGGCCAUUGACUUUGAAAGUCCCGGUACUGUUGAGUAGCUCUACUACUCCAUUUGAAUAUACUUCUUGGAUAGUAAAUGGACUUAUCCAUCUUGAUUUCAACUUUCUCGGGAAGAUGUGGAGCUUAGAGUCAUAAAGCAAGACUCUUUGUCCUUUUUGGAAUUCUUUGCGGGAGACUAAUUGAUCAUGCCACAUUUUCAAUCUAUGUUUUGCAAUGUUUGAAUUGAUAUAGGCGUCAUUUCUUAAUUCCUCCAUCUCAUUAAGGUCUAGAAAUCUCUUCAUGCCGACUCUGUUCAAGUCCAUGUUGAGCGUCUUGAUUGCCCACCAAGCUUUGUAUUGCCCUUCAACGAGGAGAUGGCACGCUUUGCCAUAGACUAGGCGAUAAGGAGACAUUCCAAGAAUGGUCUUGUAAGCUGUUCUGUAAGCCCAUAGUGAAUCAUGAAGCUUAAUAGACCAAUCUCUUCUGCUCGUAUUCACCACCUUCAUCAAUAUGUUUUUGAUAUCCCGGUUGGCUAACUCAACUUGCCCAGAAGUCUGAGGGUGGUAAGGUAUAGCUACCUUAUGCUUCACCCCAUACUUGGCUAAGAGAAUUUCGAACGGCUUGUUACAAAAAUGAGUACCCCUAUAACUGAUUAUGGCUUUGGGUACUCCAAAUAUGGAGAAUAUGUUAUCUUUGAGAAAUUUGAGAAUAACUUUGUGAUCAUUUUGCUUGCAUUGGAUUGCUUCAACCCAUUUGGAAACAUAAUCCACUCCCACCAAGAUGUAGGAAUAGCCAAAGGACAUAGGAAAAUGUCCCAUGAAGUCAAUGCCCCAUACAUAAAAAAGAUCAAUUAUUAAAAUGGGGUUCAAAGGCUUCAUGUUCUUACAUGUUAAUUUCCCAAGCCUCUGGCAUCUGUCACAGCUCCUACACAUGGUAAGGCGUCUUUGAAAAGUGAUGGCCAUAAAAAACCCGAUUGGAACACCUUCAUGGCUGUCUUCUGAUAAGCAAAGUGGCCUCCACAUGCGCUUUCGUGGCAAUGACUAAGGAUCCCCUGUUGCUUUGGCUCAGGGAUGCACUUUUAUAUUAUUUGAUCCGCACAAUAUUUGAAUAAGAACGACUCUUCCCAAUAGUAAGCAUGAAUUUUUGCAAAGAAGUUCUUCUUAUCUUGUGCUUUCCACCCACUUGGAACUUCUCUGGUAACUAGAUAGUUAGCAAUAUGAGAGUACCAAGGAGCGACUUCUAUCAACAUGAGUGACUCCUCUGGAAAAUCAUCAUUAAUUGGAAAACUGUGGGAAUUAUGUGCAAUGGCUAUCCUCGAAAGAUGGUCGGUUGCCACAUUCUCCACUCCUUUAUUGUCUUUGAUCUGAAGAUUGAAUUCUUGAAGCAAGAGAAUCCAUCUAAUCAGCCUCACUUUUGCAUCUUGUUUAGUCAAAAAAUAUUUCAAGGCCAAGUGGUCAGUGAAAACCACAAUGAAAGACCCUACUAAGUAAGCGCGGAAUUUGUCUAAAGCAAAAACUAUAGCUAACAAUUCUUUCUCUGUGGUUGUGUAGUUUCUUUGCGCUUCAUUCAACGUUUUGCUUACAUAGUAGAUCACAUAGGGCUUUCCAUCUUCUCUUUGCCCAAGAACAGCUCCUAUAGCAAAGUCACUGGCAUCGCACAUCACUUCAAAGGGCAAUUGCCAGUUGGGAGCUCUUACUAUUGGAGCGGUUGUCAGCAAUAACUUCAAUUCUUCAAAAAUCUGUUGACAUCGAUCAUCCCAUACAAAUUUAGCAUCCUUUACCAAUAGCUUAUAGAGAGGUCUUGCAAGUUUAGAGAAAUCUUUGAUAAACCUCCUAUAGAACCCAACGUGGCCAAGGAAUUGCCUUACUCCUUUGAUAGUUGUUGGCGAUGGCAACUUAAUAAUCAGUUCAACUUUUGCUUUGUCCACCUCAAUGCCUUGGCUGGAGAUAAUAUGCCCAAGGACGAUCCCUUAGGAUACCAUGAAAUGGCAGUUUUCCCAGUUAAGCACCAAGUUUGUCCAUAAAGACUUCCAUAAUGCACUCCACCAUAUCACUGAAAAUUCUUAACAUGCAUCUUUGGAAUGUUGUUAGUGCAUUGCAUAAGCCAAAAGGCAUUCUUCUGUAUGUAUAAGUACCGAAUGGACAAGUGAAAGUGGUUUUCUCCUUAUCUUCAACAGCAAUUUCAAUUUGAAAAUACCUAGAGUAGCCAUCCAAGAAACAGUAGAAUGGAUGGCUUGAGACCCUCUCAAGCACUUGAUCAAUAAACGACAACGGGAAAUGGUCCUUCCUUGUUACAGCAUUCAACUUUCUAUAAUCAAUACACACCCUCCAACCUGAAGUGAGACGUGUAGAAACUUCCUCUCCCUUAUCAUUUUGCACCACUAUGAUCCCUGAUUUCUUUGGCAUGACUUGCGUAGGACUCACCCAUGGGCUAUCUGAUAUGGGGUAGAUGAUACCAGCUUGAAGUAGCUUAAGCACUUCAGCUCGCACCACCUCUUGUAUGUGAGGGUUCAACCUUCGCUGGGGUUGACGAACUGGCUUAACUUCUUCUUCCAUGUAUAUAUGAUGAGUACAGACUAAAGGGUUGAUCCCUUUCAGAUAAGAAAUUUUCCACCCUAUCGCCUUCUUGCAUCUGCUGAGGAUUUCAAGUAGACAAUCCUCCUGAGUAGUGGUAAGAAAUGAAGAAAUAACAACAGGGCUCUGCUUAUUCUCCUCCAGGUAUGCAUACUUCAACUCCAUGGGCAAUGGCUUCAGAAUAAGCUUUGGGGGCUUCUCCUUAAUGGCUUCUUAUGUCUUCUCCUCAUUGAAUAAAGGAAGAAUUUCUUCCCUCAACUUCAAAUGAGGCAGAGUAGCAACCAAAUCAAAGGGUUCAGGUAACCCUUCAUCAAGAUCCCCAACACUCUCGUUCAAAUCUUCUAGCAUCUUCUAAUCACAAUGCUCCUCCACUAAGUUAUCAAUCAUACACACCUCUUCUGGUCCUUCUUCUUCUCCCGGAUGGAAUUGUUUAUUGCACAUAUAGAAGAUAUUGAGCUCCAACGUCAUGUUGCCAAAUGUAAGCUGCAUGACUCCAUUCCUACAAUUGAUGAUAGCAUUUGAUGUAGCUAGGAAUGGUCUUCCAAGUAUGAUAGGAAUACAAUUAGUUCAUUUGGCAACCGGGUCCGUAUCAAGAACAAUAAAAUCUACUGGAUAGUAGAACUUGUCAACUUGGACUAGAACAUCUUCAAUCAUACCUCUUGGAAUUUUCACAGAUCUAUCUGUUAGAGAUAGAGUGAUUGAUGUUAGCUUCAACUCUCCCAGUCCCAAUUGCUUAUAGACAGAGUAGGGUAGCAAAUUCACACUUGCUCCCAAGUCCAACAAAGCUUUCUCCACACAUGUCUCUCCAAUCAUCACUGAUAUGGUAGGAUAACUUGGAUCUUUGUAUUUCAUUGGAGACUUGCAUUGUAUAAUGGAACUUACUUGCUCAGUUAAGAAGGCCUUCUUACUCACAUUCAAACUUUUUUUUAUAGUGCAUAAGUCCUUUAAGAAUUUUGCAUAAGUCAGAACAUGUUUGAUCAUGUCUAGCAAUGGGAUAUUAACUUUUAGUUGCCUUAACAUUUCAAGAAUUUCUGAUGCGUUGUUGAUUCCCUUUUUUCCAUGCAAAGCUUGUGGGAAUGGUGGAGGCAUGUGCUUCUUUAUCAUUUCUUCUUGGUUGAUGGUCCUCUUCAAUUUUUCAUUCAUAGUAGCUUCAAGGUCUUCAUUCUUUGUACUAUUCCAUUUCCUCUUUCCUUUGAUUUCCUCCCUAUUCUUUUUCUCUGCUUCACUCUCUGAUUCAUGCUCUAGCUUGGAUGUAGACAGAUCAACCUCUUUACCACUCCUUAGAGUGAUCACUGCUUUGACUUCUCUUAUUUGAGAUUUUCCCUCCCAAGCCUCCACUUCAUGGAUACCCUUAGGAUUUUGAUGAGGUUGAGAAGGAAAUUUUCAUUUCUCUUGCAUUAUGUUGAGAUUAGUAAGCCUUGAGAUCUGGUACUGGAGAUUAUCUAUCUUCUGAGAUAGAUCAUUCACCCUCUCAUCCAUCCUUCUGUCUCGACUGUCAAUUUCUUGCCUGAGUUGAUCAUUGAUGGAUUUUUGGUCUUCAAUAAAAUCUCCCAUGACCUUGCUAAGAUUCACAAUGACUUGUUUAAGACUUAAGGCUUGCGGGGGUGCUUGGCCAGGUUGCAUGUAUUGAGGUGCCCUUGGCUUCCAAGAGAAAUUCGGAUGGUUCCUCCAAUUUGAAUUGUAGGUGUUGCCAUAUGAAGCAUUGUUAUUAGGCUUAAAUUGUCCAAUAACAUUUGAUUGAUCCCCAAACAUUUCUCUCACAGCUGGCAUCGUAGGACACUCUUCCACCAAGUACUCGAAAGAUUGACAAAUUGAACACAACUUAGCUUGCAUUGGUGUGUUUGAAAUGGCCUGCACUUCGCAUAUCCUUGUCACUUCAAGUUCCUCCAAUCUUCUAGCCAUAGCUGCAAAUUUUGCUUUUGUAUCGGUAUCUUCAUUCAAAAUAUACAUCCCAGCCUUAGCAUUAGAAACAUUUGGUUGAGAAUUCAUUCUUCCCACAUCUCUGGCAUUGGGCUCAUCCCAUUCUCUUGAAACUUCAGCUAUAUAACUCAAGAAGUCCAUGGCUUCCUUCGGAUUCUUACUCAAGAAGUCUCCUCCGCACAUCGUUUCUAAGAGUUGCUUCAUUAAGGAAGACAUACCAUCAUCAAAAUAGCUCACCAAUAGCCAUGUAUCAAAGCCAUGGUGAGGACAAGUAUUGAUAGCUUCCAUGUAUCUCUCCCAACAUUCAUAAAAUUUCUUAUUCUCCUUAGCUGAGAAGUUUGAGAUUUGCCUUUUCAAGUCGUUGGUCCUGUGAGUCGAGAAAAAUUUCUUGAGGAAUUCAGCUUGCAAAUCAGUCCAAGAUCGGAUACUCCUUGGCCUUAAAGAAUUAAGCCAGACCUUGGCCUUAAAGAAUUAAGCCAGACCUUGGCCUUAAAGAAUUAAGCUAGACCUUGGCCUUGUCCUUUAAAGUGAAAGGAAAUAGCUUAAGCCUCAUCAAGUCGAUUGAAGCUCCACUUUUUCGGAAAGUAUUACAAACGUCUUCAAAUUCCUUGAUAUGUUGGUAGGGAUUCUCACUUUCCAUCCCAUGAAAAAUAGGUAGAAGUGGAACAAUAUGUGGUCGGAUCACUAGCUGCUCUGUAGGUGGAACUAUACAUGACGGUGCACUCAUACGAGGUGGAUGCAUGCGGUCCCUCAUGGAUCGGUAUGCAUUGAGAUUUUCUUUUAGAGCAUGUUGACUAUGCUGAUCUUCAGGUAUAGCUUCCAUGACUUCCACUUCCAAUUCCAACUCAGUUUCAUGAGGAUUUUUUAUUUUCACAAGUCUUCCCUCACUGUCUUGUAUCUAAUAUGGCAUGCACAACUAGCAAUAUCUGAAACAAAAAUAAAGAAAAACAAAGAAAAAUAAAUAAAAGCAAUUCUAAAAAGAAAAAAUUAAGGUUAACUAAAAGCUAAAUAAAAGAUAAACUAAAAAAAAAAAUAGAAACAAAUUAACAGUUAGUAAAAAAAAAGAAAAACCACCAAACUUGUUAUGAAGAUCACAAGUGUUCUGAAAAGAUCAUAUCAUUGUGAAUGGCACCAUCCCCGAAAAUGACGCCAUUUGAUUCGUCCUCAAUUGGUGUACCUUUGAUUUAGUCCAUAGAUGGGAGUUAUCAACAAAAUUUAUAAACCUAAUUCACCAUAUACUAGGGUAGCAUAGCUAGCAUAGCAUAGUGGUUCUAGGAUCGUCCACAGAGAUGGGUUUUCAUUUCACACCUGAUAUUAAUUUAAAGAAUUGGAUUGGUGUUUUUUCUUUUACAAGUUAGCUUUAAAAGAAAACAUAAUCUUUGGUUAAAAAAGGUUGGUUUUAAGCUAACCAAAAUUAGUAACUGAUUUUAAUUACAAAGAAAAGGUUUCUUGGAUUUUUAGGUCACUAGGUUCAGGCUCCUUAUACAAAAGGGAAGAUUCCGGAUCUUUUCCUCGCAUUGGGGAUUUAACCUAUAGUUAUCCUCUCAACCGUUGUGUUACAACUGCUUCCCAUUAAUGGUUUCAAUGCUAAAUCCCUCUCACUGAAUCAUCUUAUAAUGGCUCAUACCUCUCACCUAGUAUUUACCAUUCAAGGUGAUUCUUAACCUUGGAUUACCCUUCAAAAGCUCAUAGGAGAUAACUAAUGGAUGUCUCCAAGGAGUCCAAAAGCUUACCACGUGUUGGCUAUUCUAAGUAAUUCUACCUUUAAACCACCUUCCAAAGGCUCGCAAGAGAUAACUAAUGGAUCUCUAUGGAUUGAGUCCGAGAAGUUACCAAGUGUUGGCCUAUGCGAUUAUAAGGGAUUUUAAGUUAACUAAAAAUAUAAAAACCAUUACCGAGUCACAACUUCCUCUUCAUUAAAAACUGAAACAAGGAAAACUUCCACUUUUGUAUCCGGGUCCCUUACCUAGCUUCUUUCCGUCCAAGAAACAAAAAUUCUAGCCACUCAUCCUUUGAGAAAACAUCCUCAGAGGUUGUUUGGCUAGAAAGAAAAAUACAAUCAAAGUGAGUAGGUAAGGCAGAGCAAAGCUCUGUAUAUUUCUUACUAAAAAAUGUACAAGUGAUCUCCAAGAAUGUCUUCUGAGAUUCUAAGAUGAUAUUACAAAGAGAUAUCUAAAGAAAGAUAUUUUCAACCCCUCAAUUAGAUGUCCUAAAUAUCUAAAAAGAUCUUCAGCUGAUUAUAAGGAGAGAAUAGAUAAUUACACAAAAUAUCUUGAGGUAAAAAUCUAAUGGAGUCAGUGCAAAAAUAUCUGAAGAUUACAUGAAGAUUUAGCAAUUGAGAUAUGGAGCUACGAAAAUUUCGCAAGAGGAAAAGAAAAUGCAAAAAUUUCGCAAUGCUGAAAGGAGAUGCAAAAAUUUCGCAAGUGGUAAAAAGUGGCUGCGAAAUUUCCUUCUGUCUUGCGAAAAUUUCACAAGUGGUUGCGAAAUUCUUUAGUGUUAGAUUCCUUUUCUAAUUCUAUUCCUUGCACACUUGAUUGAUUUGGCAAAGGCUUUGAAGCUCUCCAAAACUUGGAUUCUUCAUGUAAUUUAGCUUCAAUCUUGCUUUGCCAUGGAUUAUACCAAGUUCUCCCUCAUUCUUGGCUUGUUUUAAUGAUCAAAAAGCUAUAAAAAAAACAUCAAAACUUGCUAAAAAAACUGAUUAGCAACACUUGCAAGGGUCCUUAAUGUGCCAAUUGAGUUAAAAGUUAAUAAAUAAUACUCAAAAGUGUUUAAAAGAGUUUAUAAGAAGCUAUAAAAGAGCAUUUUUUUAGUAGUAAUCAACGAGCCAUCUUUCUCUGAUAGGCUUGAACAUGAUCCGCUGCUCUCAAUCUUUUCUCAUCUAAAAGGUUAGGCUGAUCAAAUCGAGCCUGCGCCCACUCUGUCUCAAAAAUCUACUGCUCGAGAGCUACUCUUAAUGAACCCAUCUCCGUGUCAAUUGGCAAAAUAGCCUUCACACCAUACACUAAAGAGUAAGGUGUAGCUCUUAUAGAGGUGUGAAAAUAGGUACGAUAUGCCCACAAUGCAAAAUGGAGUUUCUUUUACCAAUCUCAAGAGGUUUCAACCAUCUUCUUAAUGUUCUUAUUUGCGACCUAUACUGCCCCACUAGUCUAUGGCCUGUAUGCAAAAGAUCUAUGAUGUUGGAUGCCAUAUUUCUGCAACAAAGUGUCAACCUUAGCUCGAAAAUGUACCCCUCUAUCUGAAAUCAACUCAUUAGGCACCCCAUAACGACAGAUGAUGUGUGAUAUGAUGAAACUAACGACUCUAGAAGAUGCCCACCUCACAUAUGAUGCAGUUUCCACCCACUUGGUGAAAUAAUCUAUGGCAACUAGGAUAAACUCAUGACCACUGGAAGAUUUCAGUGAAAUCUUCCCAAUAAUAUCAAUACCCCAUACUGAAAACGGCCAUGGUGAGGUCAAAGCGUGUAACUCUGAUGGUGGUGCAUGAAUGAGAUCACCAUGAAUCUAGCACUCGGGACAUCUCUGAACAAAGUGACAACAAUCUGUCUCCAUAGUCAACCAGAAGUAACCUGUCCUCAUAAUCUUAUGGGCCAGCAUGUGUCUUCCCAUGUGUGGACCACAAAUUCCCGUAUGAACCUCUCUUAUCACUCGAUCUGUAAAGGUUUGAUCUAAACAUAAUAGAGCCAAAAGUGUCCUUAAACAAAUCAUCACCAACAGCAACAUCCUCCAUAAGCCUUGGAGAAAGGACUAUCUAGAUCUCCUCGGCAACCUCAAUAGCAGACACCCUGAACAGGUCGAAUGGUGAAGCAGGCUCAGGCUAAGCCAUCUCGGCGACUGACUCAUGCUCAUCAUGUCCAUCUCAUCCCGGUACUCAUCACAAGAAACAACUCUAUCAAUCACCCCAGUAGGCUCAACAUCUACUCCACAAUCAGUAGUCUCAUCUGGAAAGCACAAAGAUAAGAAGCUGUCUCGAUCUGGUGAAGAAGGAGCAAUCAUCACUUAAAUUGGUAUGCUAGAAGUCUCAUCUCCUAACUAUAAAUGGUGAAACUGAUGCUGAAGCUCAUCCACUCCCUCUAUAUCAAUCACAACAUCAAAAUCCCUUAUAUGAGGAUGAACUUAUGAUCCUCUAACGAAGUAAUCUGCCAAGCUCAUUCUAUAAGGACGAAUAGGAUAAUUGAAUGAUGUGUAGGUCAAAUGGGCUCUCUCUCUCUCUCUCUCUCUUUGUGUAGACGUUUCAUAUACCUAUAGUCAGCCUCCGUAAGAAAAAACCUAAGCCUAAAUGGUGUAUCAUGAUCGACAGUAGCCACAAACUCCAUGGGUCCAUGUUGACGUUGUCCCAACCCCAAACUAGACAUAAAAUACAUACCCCUCAUCAUGUCAAGUACCAUCGUACUGCUAUGUUGAUCAAAUAACAUAGCUACAAAAUCUCUCUAGAAGUCCCCAACCUCAAGAGUCUGCACCUCAUCAAAUGUAAACCCAAUAAAAAAUAGGUCAUCCUCACUAUGACUGAUCUGAAGCACCGACUUGGAAGAGGCAAACAUAUCUUUAGGAGACUAUACCAUGAUAAUAUACCUGUCAUGUAUAAACUUCACCUUCUGAUGAAGAGAAGAUGGAAUAGCCUUGGCCCUAUGAAUCCAUGGUCGGCCCAAAAGUAGGUUAAAGGACGUGGGAAUCCUCAAAACUUAGAAUAUGAUGGGGAAUGUAGUCGGACCAAUCAACAACUCUAUCAUCAAAGUACCCAUGACCUUCCUCUUAGUACUGUCAUAUGCUCUGACCAUCUAUGUAGAGGGACCAAAGUCUGAAGGUGCAUAACCAAGGGCGAUAGCAGUAGCUAAUGGGUAGACGUUCAAGGUCGAGCCAUUGUCCAACAAGAUGGAUGGAACUCUGUGGCCUGAACAACCAACUGUAAUAUAUAGAGGGCAUGUAUGGUCUGAACCUUCAGGUGGCAAGUCAUCAUCUAAAAACACAAUACAUGUGGCCUUGUCGACCGUCAUCAUAUGAAUCAACCCCUUUGGAGUAGUGGUGGUCUCAACUUGGAUAUGGCUCAAAGCUUGAAUCAAUGCAUCUCUUUGAGUACUAGAAGAUGUUAGCAAACUCCAGAUAGAUAUGUGGGCAUGUAUACUCUGUAACUGCCUUAGUAGCUCAUCAUCCUCUUUCCUGACCUCCUCAUGAGAAACUACACCAUCAAAUGGCCUGGCUACUAGAGGUGAGGACUGAGCUACUCUCCCACUGUGGGUCACAAUCUGUACAUCUCUCCCCUUUGAAUCAUCAUCAUCUGGCCACAGGAUAAAUGAGACUGAUGGGCCUUGACGUGCCGUAGCCAAAGGUGCAAUAGGGGUCAACUCAAAUGGUACUCAAUUUGAAAUCAAACUGAAUAGAGUAGAAGUCUGAGAACCCAUUGUGUCAACCUCAUAACCAUCAUCCAAAAUAAUUGGCUCUAGAAAUCCAUCAUCUUAACUCAACAUGUGUAUGCUAUCAUCCUCUACAAAAUCUAUGUGAUGCAUACCGCCCGGGGGUGGUGGCAUUGCAUGCAUAGAGUGAGUCGGUAGAGGCCUUGUGGUUACACUUGGUUGUCCCAAGUUAACCAGAUCUUGAUCUAUCAAGUCUUGUAUAGCAUGUCUCAAGGUGGCGCAAUGAUCCGUGUCAUGCCCUAGACCCUAAUAGUAGGAAUAAUGUAGAUCCAAUCUGAAGUGCGGUGCCACGGGCUAGGGUACAAUCCUAGGAGCCAACUGAGUCAACAAACCACCCUUCAUGAGCUUCUGGAAAGCUCAACUCAAAUGCAUACCUAGUUAGGAGAACUGUUGUGUUUGCCUCUGUAUAAGAGGAAUAAUAGUCUGUGGGGCUUGAGGCUGAGGGUAUAAGGUAGAAAGCCUCUCUGAGACCUGUGUAGCAAAAAUAGGCUCUAGAGUCUGAUGUAGGUAUGUAGGAGCCAUGGGUCUGGGUGGUCUAUACUGAACAUAACGCUGUGGGUAAUAGGCUCCUAAAGUUUGCCCAAAUGUCUGAUAGUGCUUGGGAGAUCUUGAUCCUGUUGAACUAAUAGUACCCACAUCUCCUGGUCUUUGUCCUCCUGAGGGCUUCUUCCCGUUUGAAUCACAAGGGGAAGACUUGGGCCACAAUCCUCUAGCAAUGCCCUCCUAUAUACCAUAUAGAGCCUAUACCAAGGAUCCAAAAUCCGUAUGAGGAAAUCCCAUCAAAUGUUUGGCAAAUCUGGGUUGUAAGUUCCUCAAAAUCAUACUAAUUUAGUCAUUCUCUGAAAAACGAUAAACAAUCUAGGCAAUCUUCUCUCUCCAUCGGGAGAUAAAAAAAGUCACCAACUCCUCUAGCUCUCUCUUUGAGACAUUAAUGACAGUGUUAAAAGCAAACUGUCUCAAAAACUCUUGGGCCAAAUCAUCCCAAGUCCUACGACGUGAAGCAUUUAAGGAAAAAAACCAACGUUGUGCUUCACCACUCAAGGACAUGGGAAAAAACAUAAUCAAGUGGGUCUCAUCCAACCCAUGGGCCCUCAUCACACUACUAUAUAGCCUCAAAUGAAUUUGAGGGCAACCUAUGCCCAUAUACCUCUCAAUCUCUGGCAUCCUGAACUGGGCUGGUAAAUUGGCUAUCGGUGCUCCAUCAAAAUCAUCCCAACUAAUAGCUCCAUCUGAAACCCUCAUCUGUCUUAUCCUCUACUUAAGUCUAUCCAUAUGAGCAUGUGCAUCCUCUGAGGCCAGAAUGGGAGCUACAAUAAGAGGUGGAGUAACAUCAGUCCAACUAUGCAAAAAUUAUGGUGCAUGGUGUGGAACAGACUGACUAAGUGGAGGUGGUGGUGGUACUGUAGGGUCAUACUGCAUGCUAUCCUAAGGCGGGAUCUACUGGGUUUACUGCCUAUGUAUCCUCUGGCUGAGGCUAGCUAUAGUCUCCUGAAUUGAAGCCAUGGCCGCGAAAAACUGGUCAAUAGUGACUACAUGUGAGUCCAUAUCUCUCUUAUCUGCUCUCUGGUCUGGCUGAUCUGAUGCUCUAGUCAAUCCUCUAACUCUAGUCCACGAAGGCAAAUCCAGAUUGGGCACGAAAAUACUCCUAUAAACACUGAAACACUAGAUGAGACGUUGUACAGGGGUAGCUCUGUAGGAACCGACUAAAAGGUAAUCAAGCAUACAACCCAUGUAUACUCAAACUGAUACUCGUAUCUGAUCAUACCAAAAUGAGACUAUGGAGAGGGUAACCGAACCCAACUGUAACCAAGGCAGCUCUGAAGGUCCACAGAUGCACCCACAUGUAGAAAUGAAAUCCUAAUUGGGUUUAGGUUAACCUACAAGGUUGAGAUGGCUCCAUAAGAUAAAAAUUGGUGGGUUAAAGGAUCCCUAGCAGAAGCGAUCAUACCCUCCAGUGGUACACAACCCUUUGCACACCUCUAAGGAGAAGGGGUGCUUCCAUGUAAGGUGGUCAUCACCUCUACACAUGCACUUCCUCGCGUUCCUAGAGGGGUUUCCUAAUGGUGAAGGCUCUCCCAUCUCUCAACACUCAGGGAUAAUCUAAAGUGCACAGUGAAGGAUGUGGGUGCAUCCGAAAGAAACCUAAGAUCUAAAGUGAGAUAGUAAAUAGAGACAGGAAAUCAUACAAUCAUGCAAGAGAAAGGGUUGUCAUGCAACAAGUAGUCAUGUGAAGCAGAUAAAUAUCAAACAAUCAAAGUCCUAUCUAACAUGUGUGAGAGUGAAUCAUGCUGAAGUGAGCAAGCAAUCAAGUGAUCAUUCAAGGAAAACAAGUAUAAACACAUGUUAAGAUAGCAAACUAAUCAAGCAAGCAAACCGAAUCACCUUACCUAAAAGAGUGGUACCCUCUAAUUGACCAAUUAAACGCCACAUUUUCCUUAAAUAGUGUUCAAGCUUGAUCCUCAAAGUCCCCAGUGAAGUCGCCAAUUUGUGGACCCGUAGUUUUCAUAUGCGUCCCCACCCGAUUGGUGAGACUUGCUUUUAUUUGUGAAAAAAUCAGUUUUGGAAAAGUUGGAGUUGCCACUUAUUUUAUUUUAUUUUAUUUUAAAGGGAAAAUAAAACAAGAAAUAAAAACUAAAAAAUAUGACUCCAUAGUUUUUGGAAAAGCGUGUCUUUGAAAAACCUGAGUCUAGGUUUGAGGAUCAAGUUACUUAUUGGAAAGUUACCUCUAGGAGGUAGCACCCCUCUAACCCCUAUGAAGGUCUCUACUGACUAAGUUGAGGGAAAUGUGGCAAUUAAUUGUUCAAUCAUGGAUACCUAGUUAGGCUAAGUGAUUUCAAAAAUAGCAUGCCAAAUGAGAAAAACCAAUCACAAAUCGUAAAGAAGAUUUAAGUUGCGUACCUGGACUACUUCUAAAGCGCUAUCAUAAAACAUCAAUGGUUAGUUUGGAAAUAUAACACACAACAUAUGUUUUAUCCUAGAAAAUCAAGCAAACAUCUAAGCACCUAAGGAUCACGUCAAGCAUAAAUGAAAUUCAUGACAACAUGCAUGUUCAUAAAAUUUUGAAAAGUAAGUGAUAUAGAGCGUACCUGGAUAGCAUGCAUAAUUUAUAUGAUUCCUCCAAAAAUGCUAGAGUGAUUAGGACAAGUAUGAAUUAUAUAACACACUCAUUAUGUCUAAUACACAAUACCAAAGCCAAAAUUUAGCCAAGGUAAGUCAAAUGACUCCAAAAAUAAAUAACUAAUUAAGGCAAUGUACAAGAUCAUUAGCAUGCAAUUAGAAAAGGGAGCAUAAGGAAAACAAUGUAUAAAAAAUGGCUUAAAGUGGAAUUUAAUUGUGAAAAAAUUCAAGAAACAACUCCUACACAUCUAGAUCAACAUACCGAAGGCCAAAAUCUCAUUCAAAGGAUAGAUUGCAACAAAGAGACUUAAAGAUUCUACAAAGUUCAGAUUAGAUAAGAAAAAUUGACAUGCAGAAACGAAUUGUUUAAAAAUAAUAAAUGAUCAUAUAAAAUCAUACAAAAAAUAACACACAUAGUUCAAAGUGUCUAUAUCACAUAAAAAAUACUUAAGCUAAUCAGAUGUCCAGAAUUCAGCAUGUGCAGUAGGUACAACUUUGAAAAAAACAUAUCUCCCUCAAAAAGACAUAUUUUUUAAUAUUUUAUGUUUCUAAUAUCAAUUUCAAGAAGCCUAGAAUUGAGGAAAAAUACUGAAUCAAAUUUUAAAGUAGUCUGAUAUUUUAUUUUUGAAAAAAGGUUUCGGAUGUCAAGAAUUGGGUGAAAACGGAGCCCUCCUAAAGACUCGUUUAUAUUUUAUGUUCUGGAAUUGUUUUCUAACUCAAACAAAACUUUAAAUUCAAGUUCAAUGAGUGAAGAAAUUCAUACAAGUUUUGGAAAAUUUUUAAAAACAUUCUAAAGUUGUUAAAACGAAUUUUAAAUCUAAAAGGACAGUGGCUGAGUGAAAACUGGUAGCAAGGAAGAGUUUUGAAAAAUUUUCUUAUGUAGGGGUUUCACCAAUUCCCCAAUUGGUAUACACAAAUCUAGCCUAGAAUCAUGUCAUUUAUUUGGGACCACAAGCUUUGAUCUGUGUUUUAUUCAAAACUAAAAUUUUCAAUGAAAACCAAGAAAGAUGCGAACCGAUAAAAAAAAAUGGUUGCAUGUUAUUUUAAGAAAAUGAGGUUUCGAUUCUAAGGACUCUAAAUGGAUUUUUUUUUUAUUUUUUAAAUAGACUUUUAUUAGGAACAUUUUGAGAAAGGUAUUUUAUUUUAAAAUAAAAGAAAUUAAUAUGAAAAGCAAUAGAACAUAAUAAACAAAAUACCAAGCAAAACAAAAGAAAAUGAAAUUACAAAGUAAAAUUUUUUAGUAAUCAACAAAAAUGAUAAAGGUGAGGGUAGAGGCCAAUCUUUAUGAUUUUCCAAUGGCCUCUGAAAUUGAAUUAAAGAUAAAAUCAUUAUAGCAACCAACCAAAGAUUUUUAAAUCAAGCAAACUAACAUUUUAACAAAUCUAACUUUCAAUUUAUCACCAAGAAUUAAUGACUAAUUUUCAAGAAACAUAUCAAUUAAAAGUAACAAUCAAGGAUUAACACGUGAUUAAUUAAACCCACAAACAUAUCCAGACUGAUCAAAAUGGACCAAAUUAAAUCAGGGCAAACAAUAAUUUUUCAAUCAUAAAAUUAAUUUUAUUAGUGAACUAAUAUUAUAGAAAAUACUUAAACUGAAUAGAUGAGUGAAGCUAAGUCAAAAUAGACUGAAUACAGGCACCUUCAAAUAUAGAAUUGAUUUUUUUAUUAAUAACUUAAAAUUAUAAAAACACCUAAAAUGGUUAAAAUGAAUCAAAUUAAAGGAAAUUACACUAAAAAUAAAAUAUGAAUUCAUGGAAUCAAUUUCCUAAAUAAAUUUACAUUAUUAAAACGAAAUUUAAGCUCAAAAUGAAUUAAACACUAAUUAAGGCAAAUCUAAAAAUCAAAUAUUUAACACAUAAGAUUAAUUAUUUUAACAAAAUAAAAUUUUACUUAAACCCAAAAUUAAAUUGAAAGACUAUCCAAAACAAAAUUUAAAACAAAAUUUCUAACCUAUAAAAUUAAUCUCAUUAACAAAUGGAUAAAUAGAUAACACAUAAAUAAAAUAAAUAUGACUAAAAUGAAAUAUGGACUCAUGGAAUCGAUAUUAUUUUAUUUUAUAAACUUUCAUUACUAAAAUGAAAUCUAAACUUAAAAAAGUUUUUAACAUCAAUUAUGACAAUCCUAAAAUCAAAUAUUUAACACUUAAUAUUAACUAUUUUAACGAACUAAAAUUUCACUUAAACCAUAAAUCAACUUAAAGAAAAACUAUCGAAGACAAAUUUUAAAACUAUGUCUCUAACCUAUAACAUAAAUCUUGUUAAUAAAUGGAUAAAUAGUUAGCAUAUAGAUAAAUAGAUCUCAAGUUUAACAAUGACUUAUAAUGACAUAAUAGUAAAUUCAUAAACAACUUUUAACAUAUUCUAUUGAUGGGUUAAAAAAAAUAUAAGAGGAGAAAAAUUCACCCAACUGGAUGUGUGUACGGGUGGUAGGCUUCCCAAAGUGGCAGUCGCGUGAAUAAUUCUACUAGCCAAAAUCAGUUAGCUGUGCAUGCUCCAAAACAACCCGUAAUGGUGCGUCGUUGACGUGAAAGGGUUAGCAAAUGAACUCCGACUGCUAUGCUUGAUACUAACCGGUUGUGGCGCUAUCAAAACAGCUCGUAUGUGUGCGGUUGAUGUGAUUAAAAGCAAGCAAAUGACCAGUUGCUGUGCUUGAACCAAAUUUGGAUGUGUACGACUGGUUCUUCUCUUGUCUUUCGAUGAUGAGGGUGUUCCAAAAAUUCUCUCAAUGGUGCAGCUGCACCUUUCUUCUCUUUGAUGCGUGCCUUCCUUUCCUUCCUUCACUAGUGCGACUAUUCCAAAAAUUCCCUCGAAAGUGUGACUGCAGUUUGCACCUCUAGAAGAAAUGGUUUUGAUUCUCUUCAAGAGUGCGGUUACACAUGUUCUUGCUUUUCAAUAGUGCGGCUACACCUUGCACCUUUAGAAGAAAUGGUUUUGAUUCUCCUUAAGGGUGCGGCUACACCUGUUCUUGCUUUCCAAUGGUGCGGCUGCACCUGCUCUUGCUUUCCAAUGGUACGGCUGCACCUUGCACCUCCAAAAGAAAUGGUUUUGAUUCUCCUUAAGGGUGAGACUGCACCUGUUCUUGCUUUCUAAUGGUGCGACUGCACCUUGCACCUCCAGAAGAAAAGGUUUUGAUUCUCCUCAAGGGUGCGGCUGCACCUGUUCUUACUUUCUAAUGGUGCCGCUGCACCUUGAACCGCUCUAUCGACAGAAAAACCCACCUUUCUAAUCACCUCUCUUUUGUUUUUUUUUUUUUUUUGCUCUUGGUGCGGCUGUUGAUCCUCCCUCAAUGGUGCGUCAUUCCCCUCUUUUUUCUUUUUCCUUAAUCUCUUUCCAAUCACUCUCUCAGACUCCUCUCUACUCAUCAUGAUGGAAGACACACCAGGAAAUGUUUUUUUUUUCUAUCCGGAUCACCAUCAAUCUCUUCCAAUUAUUCCUCUUUUUUUCCUUUUUGAAUUUGUGCUCUUUCAACCUUUCUUCUUUCAUGCGGCUGUUAAAAGAUUUUUCCUUCCCAAUGGUCUUUUCCUCCUUUUUUUUUUUUUUGGAUUACCACAUUCUUUUCUUCUCCAUCCCUCUCAUCAAUCACCAGCCAUCUAUUCAAGUUUCAUUUUUCGAAUGGUGUUUUUCUUCCUUUCUCAGAUUACCACAUUCAUUUUCUUUUCCAUCCCUCUCAUCAAUCACCAACCGGCUAUCCAAGUUUCAUUUCUCUAAUGGUGUUCCCUUCCUUUCCCAUACAUGCUCCCUUUCUUUUCCCAUAUGGAGCUCAUGGAAUCUCAUGCAAAACAAAUAAAAAAAUUAAUGGAAGAGAAAAAUACAAAUAGAAGAAAACCAAGGGUUAGAAUAAUAAUAAUAAUAAAAAAAAACAUGCAAGAAUUAAAAAUCCAAAAUAUGUAAUUUUAAAUGAAAUUAAAAAUAUAGAUCACAUGCAUAACUAAAAUGAAUUAUCAACUCAAGCAACUCUCUAUCAAAAUAAAUUAAUAAAUAGAUAAAUAAAAACGAAAUGAAUAUGAUUAUUAAGUUCAUGCAAUUUCCUAAAAAUAAAUAAAUAAAUGAAUAAAACUAAUAAGUAGAGAAAGAUAAAAAAGACAAAAACAAAAUCAAGCACAUGCAACCAUACGAGCUAUGCAACCAUGCAAGCCAUGCAUCCAUGCAAAAAUGUUCUAAAUGGGCCUAGGGUGCUUAAGUGGGAAUAAGGCGAUGUCUAAUGGGCAUAGGGUGCCUAAGUGGGAAUAAGGUGAUGCCUAAUGGGCCAAGUGUGCCUAAAUGGGCCUAGGAAGCCUAAGUGGGCCUUAAGUGGUGCCUAAUGGGCCUAGGGUGUCUAAAUGGGCCUAGGGUGCCUAAUGGGCCUAGGGUGCUUAAAUGGGCCUAGGGUGCCUAAAUAGGCCUAGGGUGCCUAAAUAGGCCUAGGGUGCUUAAAUGGGCCUAGGGUGCCUAAAUGGAUCUAGGGUGUCUAAAUGGGCCUAGGGUGCCUAACUGGGCCUAGGGUGCCUAAAUGGGCCUAGGGUGUCUAAAUGGGCCUAGGGUGCCUAAAUGGGCCUAGGGUGCCUAAGUGGGCCUAAAGUGGUGCCUAAUGGGCCUAGGGUGUCUAAAUGGGCCUAGGGUGCCUAAGUGGUCCUAGGGUGGUGUCUAAGUGGGCCUAGGGUGGUGCAUAAUGAGCGAGAUGUGUCUAAAUGGGCCUAGGGUGCCUUAGUGGACCUAGGGUGGUGCCUAUACUGAACCUAAGUCCAAAUUAGAGUUGCCAAGAGUCACAAUGAGGUUAGAUAAAUCCCUCAACCAAAGUCCUCAAGGUGGCUUAAAAAUAUAUAUAUAUAUAUAUAUAUAUAUAUAUAUAUAGGUUACACGAGUAGUAUUAAGCCACUAGGGAAUUGCUGUAAAGUACCGAACAAAUACCUAAUAGGAUAUGUGCUAGGAGGACAAAAUGGAGGGUCUACAGUGGAGUUUACCAUUGAUUUGGUACCAGGAGCAACUCUUAUCUCUAAGACUCCAUACAGGAUGGCACAUUUGGAGCUUAAGGAGUUGAAGGCUUAGCUUCAAGAGUUGUUAGAUAAGGGUUUUAUUAGACCUAGUGUUUCACCUUGGGGAGCUCCUGUUUUAUUUGUGAAGAAAAAUGAUGGAUCAAUGAGACUUUGUAUUGAUUAUAGGGAGUUGAAUAAGGUGACUGUGAGGAAUAAGUAUCCUCUUCCUCGAAUUGAUUAUUUGUUUGAUCAGCUUUAGGGUGCUUGUGUAUUCUCUAAGAUUGAUCUUCGGCCUAGAUAUCAUCAAUUGAGGGUCAGAGUUGAGGAGGUACCCAAGACUGCUUUUCGAACAAAAUAUGGGCACUAUGAGUUUUUGGUUAUGCUUUUUAGUUUUACUAAUGCACCUACUACCUUUAUGGAUUUAAUGAAUAAGGUAUUCAAACCCUAUCUAGUUCAGUUUGUGGUGGUUUUUAUAUAUGAUAUUUUGGUGUACUUAAGGAGUGGAGAAGAGCAUGAGCGCCAUUUGAGUAUUAUAUUGCAGACCCUAAGAUAUAAGCGGUUGUAUGCUAAAUUGAAGAAGUUUGAGUUUUGGUUAGAUAGAGUCUAUUUUCGUAGGCAUGUAGUGACUAAGGAUGGCAUCUCAGCUAACCCUGGAAAGUUAAAUGUUGUAGAAAAUUGGAGGAGACCUAGUACUGUGACUAAGAUUCGAAGUUUCUUGGGAGUUGUCGAUUACUAUAGGUGUUUUAUUAAGGGGUUCUCUAAGAUUGCCCUACCUUUGACUAAGUUGACACAAAAAGGGGUUAAGUUUGAAUGGUCUGAUGACUUUGAAUGUAGUUUUUAGGAAUUAAAGAGCAGAUAAGUGAUAACUCAUAUUUUGACUAUCCCUUCAAGUUCAGGAGGAUUUUUGGUGUAUAGUGAUGUCUCUCAUCAAGGUUUGGGUUGUAUUCUUAUGUAGCAUGGGAAAGUUGUGGCUUAUGCUUCUAGAUGGUUGAAGCCUUAUGAGCGAAAUUACCUUACUCAUUAUCUAAAGUUAGCUACAGUGAUUUUUACACUUAAGAUUUGGAGACAUUUUCUUUUUGGUGAAACUUGUGAAAUAUUCAUAGAUCAUGAGAGUUUGAAGUAUUUGUUUUCCCAUAAGGAAUUGAACAUAAGACAAAGGAAAUUGAUAGAACUACUUAAGCACUAUGAGUGUAUUAUUCAAUAUCAUUCAGGGAAAGUGAAUGUUGUAGUUGAGGCCUUAAGUAGGAAACCAGUUGGUUCCCUAGCAGCUAUUAGAGAUUGCCAGAGGCAAUUAAUUGAGGAUUUGAGGAGUUCACAAGUCCAUUUAAAAAUUUUGGACUCAGAAGCACUUAUGGAGAAUUUCAGAGUAUAACUAGAAUUAGUUAGGAGAAUUAAGACCCUACAAAAGAAUGAUUUGCAAUUAGUGCAACUUAUGGAGGAAGUUAAAUAGGGUAGUAAGCCUAACUUUGUUUUAUCAAAUGAUGGGAUCUUAAGGUUUGGGACUAGACUUUGUGUUCCAAAUGAUGGAGACUUGAGAAGGGAGAUUUUAGAGUAAGCUUAUUUGUUCUAGCCGUACGAUCCACCAAGAGGGACAAAGAUGUAUAAAGAUUUGAGACAAAAUUAUUAGUGGUCAGGUAUGAAGCGAGAUAUUACACAAUUUGUGGCUCAGUGUUUGGUGUGUCAACAAGUGAAAGCUAAGCAUUAACGACCAACAUGGUCUUUGCAACUACUUUCUAUUCUUGAGUGCAAGUGGGAACAUAUUACUAUGGACUUUGUGACAAGGUUGCUAAGAACCUUAGGGGGUAAUAAUGCUAUUUGGGUGAUUGUUGAUUGAUUGACAAAGUCUACUCACUUCCUGCUUAUGAAAGUCAAUUUCUCUAUGGACCAUCUAGCUUCUUUAUAUGUCAGGGAGAUUGUGAGAAUGCAUACUUGUUUCUAUAGUAUCUGAUAGAGAUCCUCAUUUUACUUCUAGAUUUUAGCAUAGUCUAUAGAAACCUUUGGGUACUAAGUUGAGUUUCAAUACUGCUUUACAUCCUUAAAUUGAUGGUCAAUCAGAAAGGUAAUUCAAGUUUUGGAAGAUAUGUUAAGAGCUUGUACUUUAGACGUAAAAGGUAAUUGGGAUGAUACUUACCUUUAGUAGAGUUCUCUAUAAUAAUAACUUUCAAGCUAGCAUUAGGAUGGAAACUUUUGAGGGGUUAUGCGGUAGGAAAUGUUGAUAUCCUAUUUGUUAGGAUGAUGUUACAGAAAGGAAACUUUUGGGGCUUGAACUUGUGCAUUUGAUGGUUGAAAAGGUUGCCUUGAUUAAAGAAAUAUUGAAAACGGCUCAAAGUAGACAGAAGAGUUACACUGACAAUCACAGGCGAGAUUUGGAGUUUGAUGUACAUGAUCAUGUUUUCUUAAAAGUUUCACUUAUGACGUCUGUGAUGAGAUUUGGGAGAAAAGGAAAACUCAGUCCUCAAUUUGUGGGUCCAUUCAAAAUAUUAGAAAGAGUAGGCACUUUGGCGUAUAAAGUGGCCUUGCCCCCAAGCUUGUUUAAGAUUCAUAAUGUGUUCCACGUUUUGUCUUUGAGGAAAUAUGUUUUUUGUCCCUCUCAUAUUGUGGAAUUGGAGCCUAAUAAGAUUUAUGAGGACUUCACUUAUGAAGAAGUACCAAUUCAGAUUGUGGAUGUGAUAGACAAUGCACUACGCCGCCAAGUUGGUAAAGAUCUAAUGGAGUAAUCACAGUAUUUGAGAAGCCACUAAGGAAUUAGAGGAUGAGAUGAGAGAAACAUCCACAUUUUUUUCAAGACCCAAGUAUCUCAAGUUUAGAGGACUAAACUUUUGUUAAGGAGGGAAGGAUGUAACACCCCAAAAUUAACUUUAGGGGCAAAACAAUAAAUUAUUAAUUAAUUAAACUCAUUAAAGGUAAAAGAGUCCUUUUACAAUUAAUAAUCCUAGGUAUAAAUUAGAUUUUCCUCUUAUCUUCUCUAUUCAGAAAACCCUAUUAACCAAAAAUUAGAGAAAUAAAGAAUGUAGGGCUGAAGGUUUAAAGGUCUAAGGUUUGAAGUUCAGAUUUUUCUAGGUAAGUUUCUAAUCCAAAAUUAAUAUAUUAGAUUCAUUAGUUAGUUUUGAACACAUUAGAUAUUCUUUAGAAAAUUUUAAUUUAGAUUAUGGUUAGUUUAUUUAAUUUUUUUUAAGAUCAAAAUAUUGGAAACUUAAGAUUAUGGGUUGUUUUAUUGUUGGAAAAUGAGAAAUUCUAGAAAUUGGGAAAUUUUAAGUUUUUAGAUGAAAAAAAAAAGGAUGCAUGUGCGUGUGAGUAGAAUGAAGUAUGAUGGGAAAAUAAAAGAAAAAAAUAGAAUAAAAACAAUAUUAAUAAUAAAGGAAGACAUGUACUGUGUGGGAGUGUGUGUUUGGUGGUUAAUAUAUAUAUAUAUAAUUAUAUUAAAAAUGAUGGGGAGUUGUUAUGUAUAUAGGUUAUGUUUGGUGAAAAAGAAGAAGCUGAAAGUGAGAGAAUAUAAUAUAUAAAUAAAAUGAGGUGAACUACAAAGUUAGGUUUAUGGUAUUAUAAUUAUAUUUGUGAUGAAUGCAAAUUAAUAAAUAGAAUAGAAUUUAAUUAGUGAAAUAAGUUAUAGUUUAAUGAAAUUACAUUGUGUUCCUAUGAAAAAUUGAAAAUAAAAUUAAAGGUUUAUAUGAAUUGUAAAUUUAUUAAUUUUUCUAAAAUAGGAAUAGAUUAAAUUAUCUUUCAUAAUUAAAAACAUUGAUUUGAAUACCUAAGAUUUUAGGAUUUGUCAAACCUAUAAUUUUAGAUAAAUAGUAAUGGUUAUUUCUCUUAUGUUUUGUUAGGUGAAGAGUAGCUUUUCCAAAAUUAUUUUCCUCCAAAGUUUUUGAGGACUUCUUUUGAGGUAAUGGAAAUUAAUACAAAUUUUGCAAAAGAAAAUAAUUUUUUUUUUUGUUAUAUAUAUUGUUUGAAAUGUGAAAUUGUUAUUUUUGCUUUUAAGUAUGGAUCAAAUAGAUUUUUGCAUGGAAAAUGUGUUAUAACAUUUAUUUCGUUUAUAAUGAGACAUAUGGAGAUAUUCUACUUUUAUAAGUUGGAAUAAAUAAAAUAAAGAAUUUGACUCUGGUUUGUUUGGCCUUUGUCAAUGGGAUAUAAUAGUUGGCUUUUUGGCUCUUGUCAAUGGGAUAUAAUAGUUGACCUUUACAUUUUUGUGGUGGGGAAUGUAAUUGAUUUGGGCCCUAGCCUCAAGGGGUUUGGUUAGAGGUUACUAGUACUAGUAGUGUUUGGUUCCGUCAACCUUAAAACGAACAUUUGAGGCAAGCCACCCAUUUGUAAAGUCCCGCUUAAUUGGGCACUAUUUGUUAUUUGAUAACCAAAGUGAAAACAAUCGAAAUGUAUUUGAUUUGAAAUGAAUAUGAAAUGAUUUAUAUAUAUAUAUAUAUGAAAAUGUUUGGUUGAACAAUUUAAAUGUAUUAGCAUGUUUAACUCAAAAGUUUUAUAAAUAAAAUAUAUAUUAUAUCUCCAUUUUGUAAGUAUAAUUGAAAAUAUUUGAUCCAUGAAAUUGUGUUAAUGUUCCUUAUUCGGCCUUGAGCUCAUCCCCUUUUGUUGAUAAAUUUCCAAGUACCCUCAAUUCAAGCCAAGAGUGAUAGUUAAAGGGGAAAAUUGGCUUGUUAGGACGUUUAUUAAAACUCUCUUUAUUUUGGGCAUUGUUUAGAUGUUAAAAUUUAUUGCCCAUUUAAAUUUUUUAAGUUUGGAGUUAUUUACUACUCACAACAACAAUUCGGUAAUUGGUAAUUGGUAAUUUCCAGUUACAAGAUGAAAGUUUGUGUCAUUUCAACUUUGAGCCUUCGGGCAUGAGGUGUGAAAUGACCAUCAUGCUUUUGGAGUAGGUUUUAGGGUAUGGUAGUUACUAUUAUGAUGAAGAAACAAGGAAAUAUAAAAAAGGGUAAAAUGGCUCCAACUAGACUAAAAGCACCAUAACAAAAUGAAAUUAGAAAGUAAAAAAUGAAAAUGUAUUAAUUGUUCCAAGGAAUGUGCCAAGCUUUUAAUUUAUUAUGAGCCCAAAUGAUGGAUUCAAUAAGUUCUUGCCAAUAACCACGCUCACUAAAUAGAAACAUUAAACUAAGAAAGUCCAUACAAAAUGAGCACCUAGGAAAAAAAGACCAUAUGCGGAUAAUGAAGAACCAUAAGACUAAAUUACUUGGGAUGCAUGUGCCCAUAAGGAAUCGUGGAGCCACCCAUUAAUAGUAAUAGAACUUUGCACAAAGUUUCCUCCCAUGAUAUGAGUUAACACCCCUUGAUCACUUAUACUCCCCCAAACAUUUGAAUGCAUUUUCCAACUGAAAUGGAAUAUUACUACCAAAAUUGAAUUAUACAUCCAGAAUAAGCUUAAGAAGACGUGAUCCCAAGUUGAUAUUUGACAUGUACCCUCUCUUCCAAGUUUAUCACAUGGGAAACAAAAACCAAUGUUUCCUUUAUUCGGUACCAAAUGACAGCUACAAGCAAAUAGAACACCUUUUCAGAGUAUUAAUACCAUCACAUGAAUCGUAAAUGUAUGAAUGUGAUGUGCCAAAAAAACUGUGGUUCCUAACGGAAUAGGCAACAAAGCUACUAAUGAGGUAGAUGUAGUGAUUUUUUUUCCUUUUUUCUCUUCCUAGCUUUGUUUUUCUCUCUCAAACUUAUUAGAGGACUAACUGUAAUAUGCAAGGACCAAACACAUAGAUGUGAGGUUUCACAAGAUCAAGGAAUUGGUUUCUUCUAGUGAAUUGUUACUUGAGAAGGUUCACACCUCUGAGAAUGCAGUAGACAUGUUGACAAAGCCUAUUACCACAAAAAAGUUCAAGCUGCUUGAACUUGAUUAAUGUCUCCAAAUGUUAGAUAGGAGAUGCCCCAACCUAUUGUCCCAGGUGGAGUUACAAGCUAUGUUUCACGCUUCCUAAGGGGUGAAUAUUCGCCAAGGUGGAGAUUGUUGUAGUAUGUGGCUCAUAUGGAAGGAAAGACAUAUGGAGAAAAAAAGGCAAAUGUCGGAGUGGAUACGGUUCAGGGGUAUUUUUGGAAUUUCAUUACCUGAGGGUUAGUAUAAGUACCCUUUUAUGUAACCCUAAUUUGACAUAUAGUGAAAAUCUUCUUCCCUGUUCCCAUGGACGUAGACAAUCUGCCGGGCCAUGUUGAAUAUAUGUGUUUUCUUUUUGUUUUUCUCUAAUUUUUUCACUAAGAAUCAUUGCACAAAAAUCAACACUUUCCAAGUUGUAUUCCACUAUUAUAUUUUUCUUUUAAAUAAUUUACAUGAUGAAAACAACUAAGAAAUGCCAAAACGAAGAAAGGAAGUUAUAAUGUGUAUUUUUUAAUGGAAAAUUCUAUUUUAGGCAUAUGAUACUAGGUUCUAAGAAUAAAAUUUAUGUUCUAUGUUUCAAAGAAAAAUUUGUCAUUAAUAUAUGUGAUAUGAGAUUUUUUUUAAUCCUAUUUAAUCCCAUUAGUUGUACUCAAAAGCUUGUUAUUUUCUUAUUUUCCUUUAAUCACAAGGCUAGGCUAUUGUUUGAAUCCCAUCAAAUGAGGUAAUGAUAUCUUUUUUUCUCAUAUAUUGGUGUUGACCUAAUGUAAUAUCCACUUAAUGAGAUGAGAUGAGUAAAUAUAUAUAUGCGCGGUUACUCUCCUGUUUUAUUUGGUAUUAGAGUCAUUCACUUGAAGACAUGUUUUUUGCUCAAUUCAAUGGACAAUGUGGUUGCAUAAUAAAUGCUUCAGGUCUUUUUGUUUUUGUUUUUUGUUUUUUUUUUUUUUCAAUCCAAAGUAGCGGAAAUCAUGAGACAAUGAAGUUAGAUUCAAAAAAUUAUCUUCUUUGGAGAGAUCAAUUUAUGCCCCUUCUUAUUUCCAAUGGUUUUUUAAAAUAUGUUGAUGGGUUAGAACCGGUACCACUAAAACUAUCAUACUCCAAAUACAAUGCAUGGUUUGUUACUAAUCAAUAUGUUUUAAGCUUGAUCAAAGGAUCAUUGUAUCUGAGUGCUUGUCCACAUGUCAAAGGAUCACCUCCCAACACCUAACUCACCAAGAUUGUUAAGGCUACAACCACAUUCUUAUAUUUAGGGAACCAUUUUUUUACACACGUAUACUUGGGAGCGAUCAAAAGUGGAUUUUACAUAGAUGUCAAGGAUCUUGGCUAUAUCUUAGCUUAGGUAUGAAGUGGAAGAAUAUUGAUAAAUACCUAAUUGAUUUAUUUUACUAUUAAAUGGUAUAUUCUUAAUUUUGAUAUUAUAGUAGUAUUAUUAUGAAAUAAUAUAAUAUAUAUUAUGGUAGCAAUUAAUAUUUAUAUUAUAUUAUUUUGUAUGAAUAAUAAUAAAUUAAUCGAAGAAAUUGAAAAUUAAAUACUAUAAUAUCAAUUUAUUUAAAUUUAAAUUUUUUUUAUAGAAUAAUAUAAAUAUAUGAUUUAAGUAAUUAAUAUGCGUAGUGUAAUCUGUUUUUUAUAUUACUUCAUAUAUAAUAAUAAUAAUAAUAAUAAUAAUAAUAAUAAUAAAAUAUUAGAGAUAUGCAAGAUUACAUCAUAUAAAUUUAUUACAAUUUCAACGUUUUUUUUUAUAUGGUGUUAUCCACAGAUAAGUAAUACUAUAUGAUUUUUAUUCUAUUGGCUAUGAGUAAGCUAUAGUGGUCUAAUUUUGUCUCAUUCAAUAUUGUAAUUUUUCACUCAAGAAGUGAAAUUUUUUUAUUAAAUUAUCUAGUCAAAUUUAAUUGUCAAACUUAAUUAUAAUUUCUUUAAUUAUUAUUUGGUUUCUAAAUAAUUGUUAAUAAUUGAAUUUAUCAAAUAAAUUACCCAAUAUCUAUAAAGAUGUUUUAUUGACUUAAAAUCUUUAAUAUGUCUUUUUACUCCCUUUAUUUUUAUGAUAUAUGUUCUUGCAUAGAGAUAUCACCUUUUUUUUUUUUAAAUGUUAUUUUUGAAAUCUAGAAUGUCAAAUGCUAUUUUGAAUAAAUGUGAAGAUUAGAUUGAUUUAUUUAAAAGGAUAUAGUCUAUAACCCAAGAAGAAACAACUAGUUUCAUCCCAUAAAAUUUGCUUUUAUGAACUCACAAAUUGUCCAAAUUCAAGACUUUUGUAAGGUAAUUUUGAUAGUUUAAUUAUUAUAAGGUUUUACAUAAAUUAUGACCUCUUUUAACUUAAGUUGUGGCUUUACUUAAAAUAAUGUAAAGUGAUUGUGAGGGCUUUACUUAAAAUUAAAGAUUUUGUAUACCCAUAUACUAAAGAACUCUAUUUAUUGAAUAAAAUGCUCAAUUUAUUUGAAAAGGAGGAUGACUGUUUAAUUUUCAAUUAAAAUAAUUUACUUUAGAUGAUUAUAUAUGAAUAAGACUAUUUGCUUGUACUUUAGUCAAUUAAUUAAUUUUCAACGUUGUAUUUGCUUAUUUAGUUGAAAUUGACAUAUUGCAGGCUCACUGAGUGUUUGACACCUUCUACAGAUUCUCAAACCCUUUGUUUUUAAAAAAUAAACUAUUUUUUGUUUUAGAAGUCACUUUAUUUCUUAUUUUCUUUUUCUUUUUAAAACAUAAAAUAAUCGACGACUUCAAUUGUAUUUUGGGUACAGAAGGAAGGAAAAUCAAACUAAAUCUUAUUGUUUUAUGUUUUUCUACAACUUUAUUUUGGGUAUUUAUCUUAAUAAUUGCUUAAUGUGAUUUUACAAAUGUCAUAGAUAAAUAUAAUUAUUCUUAUAGUUGUUGGCUUUUGGAUGAAGUUGUUUUGAUUUAAAUGCGGAAAUUUAUGAAGGGAUUUUGGACACUUUUAUACAGAAUAGUACUCCUUUGACCAGUGACUUAUAAGCAUUAACUUUCAUUAUUUUGGUAUUAGAGAAAAAAGAAAUUAUCUUUUCUUGAUAGUUUAGUUUUUCUAGGCUAUGUUUGGUUAAUAAAAAAUUUGAGGAAAAAUGCUAGGGAAAAGAAUAUAGAGAGAAAAAUGAUAAGGGAAAGAAAGAAAAAAGUGUAGUAAAAUAAAAAAAUAAAUUUAAAAUUAAUAAAUUUUGUUUACAUGCUUCUUUAAACUCAUUCCAUUUAUUGUACCUCUUAUAUAUAAAGAUUGAAUAAUUUAAGAAUGCAUAUUUUAAUUAGUUUUAAUUAUAUAUAUUUUGUUUUCUUUACUAUCUUUCACAAUGAAAGGAAUCAUGAGAAAAUUAUUUUUCUCAAUAUUUUUUAGUACUUUUCUAUAGCCAAACGCAAAAUUAAGCAAACAUAGUCUUGGGCAGACUUUGAGGCUUUCUAUUAGAUGUUGGCCCAUUAGGAAAGGUCAUAGGCCCUUGUAGGUGUGAAUUAGAGACUAAGGGCCUAUUUGGUUAAUGUUUUCAAGAACUGUUUUUUGUUCUUGAGAACAAAAAACACCAAAAAAACACGUUUGGAAAGUGGGUGUGCUAUUAGUUCUCAUCGGUCUCCAUGUUUUUAAAUCCCUCUUUUCAAAGAACAACAAAAUGUUGUUUCCCUUGUUUUUCCUAUUCUUCAAAGAACAAAAAAAUGGGUCAUCUCUCUAUGUUUUCAAUAUGGUAUUCUCAUGCUUUCUCUGUAAUUUUUCCUACAGCGUGUCUUCAACCUUUGAUACAUCUACAAUGAGUCUUUCCAUCAAUGAGGUUGGUUCUAUCUCCACCAACACAUCUCCUAUUUCCAUUAUUUCCAAAUAUUUUGAAUUUUUUUUUUGGUAGAUCGAAAAAAUUAGUUGGGAAAAAGUUAGAUCAUAUAUUUUUCAAUAAUUUUUAUGAAUUAUUGUUCCUCGUGGGUUUGUUCUACUCUGUUUUUAGAACAUAAUCCGAUUAUAUUUUGGAUUUUGCAAUCGUCUUUUUUCUAUAUAUCUAUGAUUUUUAUGAAUUUCUAUCAUGUUUUUUUUUUUUUUCAAAUUUGAGGAGAAAAGCAUGAAGUUUGAAGCUUUUUUUCUUUUCAUUCUCCUAGUCAUGAGUUGGUAUUGUUACUAGAAGAUUUGUUUUGGGGCUUGACUGGCCUUUUUGUUUGGUUUAUGGGAAAACCCAAGGGGAUAAGACAUUAGAAUGAAAUAUUGGAGCUUAUUCUUGUUUGUACAUUUUGCACAGGUUUUGAAAUUUUCUUUUUUUAGUUCAUUGUGUUUGGAAUUGGAAUUGUAAUUGGAAAAGACUACUUAUGGUGAAAUUUAAUUAGUUGCUGAGAAAAUGGAAUGAGAGAAGAAAAUCGAAUGAAAAAUCUGGAGCUUAUUCUUGUUCUUACAUUUUGAAUAAAGUUCAAUUUUUUUUCUUUCUCAUUUCUUUGAGUUGGGAAUUGAUUUUGUCAUUAGAAACUAUAUUGGGAUUUAUGUGUGCUUACAAAUUCAAGUGUUAUGUCACCCUUUUGUGCAUGGUCUCUAAGAAAAUGAUGUCUAAUCUCUAUAUGCUUAGUCCUAGAGUGUUGUACAGGAUUUUUUGGAAUAUUUAUGGCACUAGUUUUAUCAUACUUAAUAGGAACAUGCUAAAAAGAUAAAUCAAAAUCACUAAGUGUUUGUUUCAUCCAAAGACUUUGUGCCCAACAUAAACCAACUGCUAUGUAUUCAACUUCCGCCGUUGACAAAACUACCAAAUUUUGCUUCUUACUAUGCCAUGAAACAAGAGAGUGUCCUAAGAAAUGACAAGUGUCACUAGUGAUUUUUCUUUCAACCCUACAACCGGCAAAAUCGGAAUUCGAGAAUCCAAUUAAUUCAAAGUUAUCACUCUUAUGAUACCAUAAACCUAUGUCCAUUGUCCCUUUCAAAUAUCUAAGAAUUCGUUUUACGGCACUUAAGUGAGAUUCUUUAGGGCAAGAUUGAAAUCUAGCACACAAGCAUACACUAUACAUAAUGUUGGGUCUACUAGCGGUCAAAUAUAGCAAAGAACCUAUCAUGCCUCUAUACAUAGUUGAGUAAAUGGAUUUACCUUUCUCAUCCUUAUCAAGCUUGAUGGAUGAGCUCAUUGGAGUCUUCAUUAUUUUGGCUUCUUCCAUGUUGAACCUUUUGAGAAUAUCUCUUAUAUACUUUGCUUGAUUGAUGAAGGUUCCUUCCUUUAGUUGCUUGAUUUGAAGUCCAAGGAAGAAGUUGAGUUUUCCCAUCAUGCUCAUUUCAAACUUACUAUGCAUGCACUUAGAAAUUUUUUCACAAAGAGAAACAUUAGUAACACCAAAAAUAAUAUCAUCAACAUAUAUUUGAACUAAGAGCAUAUCCUUUUCUUUGGUCUUUAUGAAAAGAGUUGUGUCAAUUUUUCCCAUUUUAAAACCCUUUUUCAAAAGAAAUUUACUCAAUCUUUCAUACCAUGCUCUAGGUACUUGUUUUAAACCAUAAAGUGCCUUUUUAAGUUUAAAAACAUGGUUAGGAAAGUUAAAACUUUGAAAACCAAGAGGUUGUUCAACAUACACUUCUUCAUUUAUAAAGCCAUUUAAAAAAACUCUUUUCACAUCCAUUUGAUAUAAAACAAAGUCUUUAAAACAUGCAAAGGCAAGUAGCAUCCUAAUGGCUUCCAACCUUGCUACGGAGGCAAAGGUUUCUUCAUAAUCUAUCCCUUCUUCUUAAUUAAAACCUUGGGCUACUAGUCUUGCUUUAUUUCUAACAAUUAUGCCAUUUUCAUCCAUCUUAUUUCUAAAUACCCAUCUAGUUCCAAUAACACUUUGAUUUGAAGGUCUUGGUUCUAAUUCCCAUACUUCACUUCUUUCAUAUUGAUUUAACUCUUCUUGCAUAACAAUCAUCCAAUUUUCAUCAACUAAAGCAUCAUUUAUAAUUUUAGGCUCAAUUUGAUAGGUAAAAGCAAGAUUAUUGCAAAUAUUUCUAAGAGAUGAUCUAGUUCUUACCCCACUAGAUGGAUUACCUAUAAUUUGAUCUUGUGGGUGGUUGAUGACAAACUUCCAAUCUUUAGGAAGGUCUUGGCUUGAUUCACCUUGCACUUGUUGAGGAGGGAAUAAUGUCAAUGGUGAUUCUUCUUUCUUAGGAUCCUCUCCAAUUUCUUCUUGUUGCCUUAUAUCUUCAAUUUGUAAUUUCCCAUUGAGAUCUCCAAACCUAAAUCAUCAUCAAAACUCUCUCUUUCUUGGAGAGAAUUGUUAGAUUCAUAAAAAAAUAACAUGGAUGGACUCCUUUACAACCAUGGUUCUUUUGUUAAAAAUUCUAAAAACUUUACUUGAUGUUGAGUAACCAAGGAACAUUCUAACAUCCGAUUUUGCAUCAAAAUUUCCAAGAUUGUCUUUAGGGUUUAAUAUAAAACAUUUGCACCCAAAGACUUUGAAAUAGCUAAUGUUGGGUUUCUUGUUUUUCCAAAGCUCAUAGGGAGUUUUCUUAAGAAUGGGCCUCAAUAAUAUUCUAUUUAAAACAUAACAAGAAGUGUUAACCGCUUCAGCCCAAAAAUAUUUUGAUAAAUUGUUUUCAUUUAGCAUGGUUCUAACCAUUUCUUGAAGAGUUCUAUUUUCCUUUCAACUACCCCAUUUUGUUGAGGAGUUCUAGGAGCCAAAAAAUUUUGGUUGAUAUCAUGCUCAUUGUAGUAUUCCUUAAAAUCAAUAUUUUCAAAUUCUCUUCCAUGAUCACUUCUUAUACAAGUAAAUGUAAAACCUUUUUCAUUUUGAACCUUAUUGAAAAACUUUGAAAACUCAUAAAAGGCUUCAUUCUUUUGACUUAAAAACAAGACCCAUGUGUAUCUAGAGAAGUCAUCCACAAUAACAUAUGCAUAAGACUUUCCUCCAAGACUUAGUGUCCUAGAGAGACCAAAUAAAUUCAUAUGCAACAACUCAAGUGGCCUAGAUGUGGAAAUGAAGUUUUUGUUUUUGAUUUGCUUUCCCACUUGACAAGCUUCACAAACUUUGUCUUUUUGAAAAUUAGUUUUGGGAAGGCCUCUAACAAGUUCAUCUUUGUUGAGUUGGGAAAAGAGGUCCAUGUUAGCAUGUCCCAACCUCCAAUGACACAACCAACUUUGAUCAUGCAUGCUUGAAAAGGAUCUAUCAUAACCAUCAUAUUUUGAAAUAUUUAUAGCAUAAACAUUAUCACAUUUAUGGCCCAUGAAGAUGGUUUUAUCAUUUUGAAUGUCCUUGAUGAUGCAAUGAGAUGCUUCAAAAAUUACUUUAAAACCUUUGUCACAAAAUUGACUAAUACUUAAAAGGUUAUGUUUUAAACCAUCCACUAAUAAAAACUUUCAAUAAGAGAGGAUGUGUCAUUACUAAUAUUGCCUUGACCAAUGAUUCUUCCUUUUACACUGUCUCCAAAAGUAACAUAUCCUCCAUUUCUCUUUGUAAGGAAAGAAAACUUGGAUUUAUCUCCGGUCAUGUGUCUUGAGCAUCCACUAUCCAAGAAUCACUUAUCCUUCUUUGAACCAUACAAAAUAAAACUCAAGUUGAUUUAGGUACCCAUAUCUUUUUGGGUCCUUGAGGGUUAGUGACCUUGGAUUUUUCAAACCAAACCUUUUUAGCUUUUGCAUUUGAAUUCUUUUGAGAACCAAAAGUAACUAAUGUGCCCUCCUCUUCCACAAAAGUUGCAAGUAAUGGAAGGACUUGUACUUGUGGAUUCUUUUACAAAAUAGUUUUUAAAAUACUUUUGAUUUUUUGAAGAUUUCAAUCCUUGCCCUUUGUAGACCCCCAUUUGGGGCUUGUUCAUUUUUUUGGUUUUGCAGGUUAUCUUACCGGAUGUCACAACCCUGGAAGUCCACGUGUCACUUUAUGGAUGGCUGCCAAAGAAUCAUCAUUGCCUUUUGAAGUUGCAAUGGGAGGUUGACACCUGGAAAGAAGGAGCGUAUUACCGUUAGAGAUGAGCGUAUUCUGGCAGGAGGGUGGUAUUGGUGCAGGAAUAUUCUGGCAGAGAGAGGAGAGAGGAUUUGGUUGCUACAGAGGAGGUGUGUUAUGAAAUAGAGGUUUUGUUAGGAGAUAUUUUGGGGAGAGUAUUCUGGGGCUACGGGGCAGAGAUAUUUUGGAGAGGAGUUUGGCCUGAGGGGGGGUGGGGGGUGGUUCUGAGGGUUUCCAGGCUGGUUACAGGAGGAAAAACACUAGAUAGAAAACAGAGAAAAAUCAGAAGACGAGAGGGAGGUGGGCAUCUUCUGGUUAUCUACAGAGGAGAGUAUGACUUUGUGGUGAGGGGUAGCAAAGAGCUUAGGGGGAAGAGAUUCUUUUCUUGGAGAGGAAGCCAGAGGGGAGUGAGAGAGGAGAUUUUGGCGACGGAUGAGAGAGUUACAGGGAGUAUCAGACUGGGAGUUGCAGAGAGGCAUGGUGAGUUUUUAAAGAUAUUCUGUGGAGAGUUACAAAGAGAAUCUCGCUUUCCUGAGGAGUAAAUUUGAGAGGAAAGAGGUUUUCAGGUAUGGCCAUUUAUGGUUUUCCUGUAUAUUCUCAUCUUUCAUAUUUCUCCUAUCUCAUUCUCUGUGAUUUCAGCUUUGCUUGUUGGGUUGCUUUGUUUUGAUGAUUAUUGGUUUAAUAUUUGAAAAGCUUGCUGCAUUUUUAUGUUUUACCCCAGCUAACCUCUUCCAUCUUAACCCACUGAAUGUUAGACCCAUGGAUAAAAUAAUGAAAUGGGUUCUGCAUAUUUGUUAAAUAUUCCAUGCUCUGUUCCUAUUUCUAUUCUCUUCUUCCUCUGUUUUCCUUUGAAAGAGGCUUUCAAGCUUUAAGACUGGGAAUCUGGGGAGAUUGGCUGAUGGAGAAUGAUGAUGAUAUGAAGAGGAGUUUGUCAUUUUGGAUCCGGGAUUUUUCUAUAUUUAUUCCUCUACUUCUUGUGCGUUUGAAAAAUUGAGUAUCACAGUUGGUCUGACUGCUUACUGAGUUGAUAGUUUGCUGGUUGGAUAUCUUAUUUGGGGUGUUUUUGAGAAGCAUUUUGUUCAUUCAUUUGAAGAAGUGUGUGGCUGCUACGAAGCUUAUGAAAGUGAGAGGCUCGUACAAGCUUUCGCCAAGUUGACCUCUGGUUUCGGAGCCGAUGGUUGUUAACACAAUGCUCUUGAGAAAUAUGGCACUCCAAGAAUUCUAUGAAUUUGAUAGCAGCUACUGAUGUGGACAGUGAGCACCCAUUAGCCUAGGCCAUUAUAGAACAUGCUGAGAAACUCAGAGUGGAUGAAAGGAAUCACACCUAGUCAGAAGCCAACAGUUUUAUCUCCGUUACUAGGCAUAGUGUGAAAGCCAUUGUUCUCUCCAAAGAAAUCAUAGUGGGCAAUGAGAAUUUAAUGUUAGACCAUAACAUUGCCAUUCCUUCAGAAGACAUGCUGGCAAAAACGGAAAUAAUGGUUCAGACUGGGGUACCGAUGUCUAUUGAUGAGGAGUUGUCAGGAAAUACCAUAUGGGUUUAUCCAGCUUUGAUGCAGAAAAUGAUCCUAUAAGGAGGUGAAAUGCGGAUGAGGGUUCAGCAUGAGAUGUAGUAAUGCAGUCCCGUUUGUAAUCGCGAGCCCACAUGUAUAAUUGUUAUUUGCAUGGUCACUUUUUCUCACCACUCCUUUAACCACUGUACCCAUGAACAAAUCCAAUGCCUUUCAUGCCCCCAGUCACCCAUCACACUCAUCUCUAUGUUCAUGCCUCUCAUUUCCAUUCAACUACAAACCAUCAUCUAACCGACUACCAUUUUCCUACCCAUAUUCAUAUCCAUUACACCCAGAAUGCUCCACCAAAUGUCUGAUUCAUAUUGACCACAUCCAUUACCUCCCACUCUUGCAUAUAUCCGUUCUACCACCCCAUUACACCCACUUUCUCUCAUCACUUUCCCCAUCCUUCAUACCCAUUAACAUCCAUCACCACAUACCCACUUCCAAACACCCCUUCCAUUCCACCUCAUCGUCUUUCUACCUUUUAGGUCAUUCAUUCCCCAUCUUUCAUAAUACCCAUACUCACCACCCAACCUCUAUACCCUUAUCUCACCCCCCAUGCAUGUCAUCACCCUUCAAUACCCAACCUACCCAUUUUCUUCUUGCCACCCUUCUCUCUCUACACCACAUACUUUUCAUGCUCCUCAUACAAGCUUCUCCACCAUCCACUCCAUAUUGCUUCAUCAGUUAUCUUGCUCAACAAUCACAUCUCUCUCUCUCUCUCUCUAGCCAUGAGCCCAACACCAUCAGAAGAAUCUAUUGAACAAGAAAGUUCUCAGCAGAAUGUGAAGAAGGUAUCAUGUACCCUUGUUCUCACAUUGGAUUAUCAAAGUCUUGGGGUGGUUUAUGGUGACUUCAGUACCUUCCCUCUCUAUGUCUACAAGACGACCUUCUCCGGGAAGUCGAGCCUUCAUGGGAAUGAUGAAGAGAUUUAUGGGGUGCAUACAUUUUCAAGAGAAAUGUCAUAGCUAUGUCAUUUGCACCUAGGGACAAUCAUGAGGCACAGGUUCAGUUCAUUCUCGAAAAGGGUGUGCCUGCUAUUAUUAGUGUUCUUGGAACAAUAAAGCUACCAUAUCCAUCUAGAGCUUUUGACAUGGCCCACUGUUCUCGUUGCUUAAUUCCAUGAGAUGCCAAUGAUGGAAUUUACAUGAUGGAAGUUGAUAGAGAACUUAGACCUUGUGGCUACUAGGUGCUUUUGGGUCCCCCAAUUAAUUGGAGGAACAACUCUAAAGCUUGGUUGCGGCCUAGAGAGGAACUUCAGGAGGAUCAGAGAAAGAUUGAAGACAUUGCCAGACUUCUUUGCUGGGAGAAGAAAUAUGAGUAAGGUGAAAUUGCAAUUUGGCAUAAGAGAGUGAAUGCUGGUGCAUGCAGUGGCAGAUAAGAUGAUGCUCGAGCUACAUUUUGCAAAGCUGAAGAAACAGAUGAUACUUGGUACAAGAAUAUGGGGCCAUGCAUAAGUCCAUAUCCUGAUGUUAACAGUCCAGAUGAAGUUUCUGGUUGAGAACUGCAGCCAUUUCCCAAGAGGCAAAACAAUGGCGGUCACAACUUCCUUCACAGCAGCGGUGCCUUCAGCUUCAUCAUCCCUCUCUAAAACCCUAAAAUCAGACUCCAAAAAUCUUAGUCUGAACCUAAGGUUUCUAUCUUUCAAGGCCUUUUAGUCUCUCAGAGCUCGAGUAUCGCCCGUUAGCAGCGUUGGUGGAACUAGUUCAACUCUCGCUGCAAGGAUGGUGUCUAUUCCACUGAUUAAGUCCCCCGCUCCUCUCGAUUUCGAAACCUCCAUCUUCAAGAAAGAGAAGGUCUACCUCGCUGGUCACGAUGAAUAUGUUGUGAGAGGAGGACAGGAUCUGUUUCAUUUGUUGCCUGAUGCUUUAUGCCUACAAUGUGGGGGCAAGCUGGUCCUAUUGAAGAGUUUGAAAGGGUAUUAAUAUACUUGAAGAUUGCACUCCAAAAAUCUUUAGUCAUGUAUCCCAUACCUGUCUGACAGUCCCAUCAAAUCUUACCAUGUCAUGGGCGUAUAAAUGCCUAUUCCCGUCCACUGGUUCCAUGUGCGGUUUUGGGUUUUGGCGUUUCGAAUGGAUUUGUGAUGCAUGAAUUUGAAGAGUUACUAGCAAGACUGUUGGGAGGUGCGACCAGGGAUAUCCCAUUGAGGACCUGAGAUGAUGGCCAGAUUAUAAGAUUGAGAGGAUUAAGAUGCUGGAAAGAGAAGUUAGAGAGGAGAGGGAAGUGAGGAAAUGAUGGUAUCAGCAGCAGAGUCAAGAAUGCAAUUUGGGUUCGCAACAACUGAAUUGAUGGAUGAGAUAUACGUGAUUGAAGGGUGAGGAGGGCCCCACAACUCCAUUAUUUGAUCUGGUAACUAUUCGAAUACCCAAUUUCACAGCAUGGCCAUCUAUGCAUGGCCACCUUUGGGGUCACGCGCCAUCUCCUAUUUUAUCACCCUUUAUUUUGAAAAUAAUUGCCUCCAAAUCCCAUUUUGUAGAUAAUUUUUCAAAUUCUGGCUUUCCAAUAAAUUCAAGUCUCCAAAAGUUUUAUUCUUAGAAUUUUUAGGGUUUCAAAAUCUCAUUUUCAAUAAAAUUGGUUGCCAUUUUCUCUUCGACAAGUUUUUUUUCAUUUUUUCCUCUGUUUUUAAAAUGUUUUAAAACAAGCAAGGAUUAAAUCCCGUAAUUCCGAAUAAUGGAGUUAUUGGAAUCGAUUCAUGCAAAAUAAAAUGGGCUAUGGUGGGGGCCCGACAUCAAAUAAAUUUCCUUUAAAAUAAAAAUGGAAUUGAAUGAAAUGUCAUGCAUGAUAUUGGUGCUUCUUUAUCUAGUUUGGUGAUAUGAGUGACAUAUUUUAUGAUCAUUACUAUGCACUAACCCCAUUUUGUGAUAGUGCGUUGCUGCUUAUGGAUCGGGUACGCAUCUUUUCUCACUCUAACUAUCAUCCAUAUAUGCUUUGGCUUUUAGCAUGUGAUCAUGACGGUAUUCAUUGUUUUCUUUAUCAAUUGCUACACUAGCUUCAUUUUAUUAGUAGAGACCCGACUUUAGGGACUUAGAGGGGUGCUACGGUCUUUACCAUACCUUCCCGAUAAGUAACCUAACCCUCGAACUCGAUCCAGUUUUUCACAAACCACCUUUUCCAUAAUAAGGAGUCACAUUUAAGGUUUUCUUUCUUAUUUUGUUUACCAUUUUAAAAAUAAAACAAAAAUAAGUGGCGACUCCAAGUCAUUUUUCUAAAAAAAUAACAAUAAAUCAUUUUUCAAAAUAAAAAUCGAGCUCACCAUCGAGUGGAAGCGCAUGAGCCGAAAUGCGGGGUCCACACCCUUGUUUGUCAAAAACACAUUUUUGGCUAGCUAGAAUCAUUUCAAAAAAAAAAAAUUUCCACAAGAAAAUAUUGAGAGAGAGGAGGUCAACCAUUCAUUUUUCUUUCUCAAAAUCUCAUUUUCUUUUUCAAUAUGAGUUUUAGAAAUUUCAACAAUUGAAAAAAUUUCUUUUACUUCUUCAAGUUCUUGAAUUUUCUUUUUAAGAGAAUUAUUUUUCAAACUAAGUUUUUCAAAAUCCUCAUACAAUUCUUCAAAAACAUCAUGCAUAUCUACAUCACUAAAGUUAGAGUUUACCUCAUCAAGUUCAUCUAUUGCCAUGAAACAUAUGUUUGACAUUUUUUUUCUCAUUUUCUUCUUAAGAGGAUUCUUCACUUUCACUCCAAGUGGCCAUCAUUGCCUUCUUCAUUCUCCUUUUGGCUUCACUUUUGUAGAGAGGACAAUCAUAUUUAAUGUGUCUCGGUUUUUUGCAUUUGAAACACACCAAAUCUCUUUUCUCUUCCUAUUUCUCCUUGUCACCAUGAGAUGAAGAUUCCUUUUUAGAAAGGUCUCUUCUAGAGGUGAACAUUCUUCCUCUAAACCUUUCACCCCUCAUGUAUUUGUUGAGCUUUCUUGUGAUGAGGGCUAAAUCAUCAUCUUCUUCACUUGGUUUUUCUUCUUCAACAUCUUCUUUUUCCUUAGUUAUAGCUUUGAGAGCUAUGAUAUUCUUCUUUUUGUCUUCACCUUCUGGUAGCUUCUUUGCUAAAUUAAUCUCAUGUCACUAAUGACCCUAUGAGCUCCUCCAUAGGUAGCUUGGUCAAGUCUUUUGCUUCAUGAAUUGCGGUGACCUUUGUAUGCCACUUUGAUGGGAAUGACCUUAAUAUCUUCAUCACCUUUUCGGAUUCCUUAUAGGUCUUUCCCAAUGCUUCAAGACCAUUGACAAUGUCGGUGAACCUAGUGAUCAUCUCAACAAUAGUCUCAUUUUCUUUCAUCAAAAGCAAUUCAUUAUGAACAAGUAAAUUAAUUUUUGACUCUUUCACUUGAUUUGUUCCUUCAUGAGUUAUUUCAAGCAAUCUCCAAAUUUCUUUAGCCGAUUUGCAUUGACAUAUUAUAUUAUAUUCAUUUCUAUCCAUAGCACAUUGCAAUGUGGAAAUGACCUUAGCAUUUAAUUGAAAAUUUCUUCUAUCAAGCUCAUUCCAUUCUUGCUUGGGUUUUGGAACCAUGACUCCAUCAACUAGUUUUGUAGGAAAAUUUGGGUUAUCUUCAAUGACGUCCCAUACGUCUAAAUCGAUUGAUUAUAAAUACCAAGUCAUUUUAGUUUUCCAAUAGGGAUAGUUGGUUCUCGUAAAAAAUGGAGCUCUAUGUUUUGCAAAAAUUUCAAUGUGAGAUGAGCUUGAUGGAAUACCCAUUUCCUCUUAGAUGAUUAAGUCUUAAACAAGAGGCCUUGCUUUGAUAUCAAUUGAGAAAAUAAGGGCUAAACUUAAAUGAGAAAAACACCCAAAAGAUGGGUGAAUUGGGUUUUUCAAAAUCUUUUUCAACACAAAAAAUUCAAGCACAAUAGAAGCAAAAAUUAAAGAGAUAGAGUUAGAGAAAUCAAACUCAUAUUUUAUAGUGGUUCGACACUUCCUUGCCUAUAUCCACUCUCCUCAAUCUCUUAACUGGGUGAGGGUUCCACUAACUUGAAGCUUUAACCAAGCUUCUAAUCUUCUUUACCCUUGGAUUCUAGCUCUAAUAGGCUCUUACACAAUCUCUUCAAGAUUCAACUCACUUGAAGACUCUAACACUCAAUUUACAAGAGUAAUCUUUUCUCAACCUAGCUCAAUUAUGGCUCAAAUACAAAUCAAAGCUAGGAUGACUCACAAGGGUGCACUAAAAGAUAUGCAAGUGAAGAUUUAAUUCACCAAGAAAGAAAUGAGAGCUUUUAAGGCAAUAAUAAGUGGAUAUACAAUUGAUUGCAAGUGUUCUCUAUAUCGUAAAUGAAGUGGAGCUCUCAAUUUAUAUGUUUCUAACCUCGGGAGCUAAGAAAAAUAAAAAGUAGCCUCAACCGGUUGAGUUGGGGGUCGAUCGGUUCACUAGUCGUUGAAGCAUUUAAUGCUUUAGCAGGUUACCAUUGCUUCGACCGGACCUAGACCAGACCGAGAAGGAGAAAGUUACUGGAUGAGAAAGAGUGUUUUUAACACUCCUCCACCAGAUCUCUACAGGACAAGGGCAAUCGAUCGACCGGUUCCUUGGCCGGUUGGACCGGUUCCCUAGUCGGUUGAGCCGGAUGGCCAGUGCCUUGACCGAUUUAGUCUUUUGGCCCCGAAAACCUAUCUUUUUCAGUUCUUUUCUUUUUUAACACUUAGGAAAGGUCUUUAGGUAAAUUAAUAUGCCAAUUUUGAAACAUUUUGCCUAAGGUACAUUUGACAAAACUCGGGUUUUAAUGAAAUUGUAACUUUAAAGAAUAAACCGAGUUUUCCAAGAUGCAUGAAAUGAUAUGUAAAACCUAAGUGCACCCAUGCAUUCAUCUUACAUUGGUUUCCUAUGAUUAAAAGUCUUCCUAAUAUCUCUAUCUUGUAUCCAUUAGAUCCUUCGACGAAUUUCCAAAUUAAUACCUGAGAUUCGUUACAAUUCAAACCAAUUAGUAACUUAACCAUGGUUUGCUAUCAUCAAAACCUGAUUAAGAGAACCCUUGGGCUAACACUUCCCAAACCUUUUUGAAAUAUAUUUGAGCCUUGGAAGAGUGUUUUGAGUGCAUCGUUGUUCUAAAACUUGCAUAUCAUUAGUGCACCAUUCAAUCCUAGUUUUCUUGUAUCAUUUGAACUUGAAUUUUUUGUACUAAGAUUUUGUGAGAUCAAUUAUUUGUAUAUCUUUGAGAGUAAGAUUCUCAAGUGUGGGAUAUCACUUGAGAUCGAGAUUGUUCAAGAGUGGAGUAUCUCUUGAGGAUUGUAAAGGGUGCUUGGAGCCAAAAGUCCAAAAGGGUGAAUUGGAACCUCAAACUUGGGAUUGAAGCUAGAGAAGAGUGGAUGUAGGUCGGGUUGCGCUGAACCACUAUUAAAUCUUGUGUCUACAUUCUCUCUUCCCUACUCUUUUACUUUAUAUGCAAUUGUCUUUAUAUUGUUUUAUUAUAUACUUGCAUAUAUUUGUCUCUUACAUUCACAUAGUUUAAAUUUGCAAAAAAAAGACCAUCACCCUAUUCACCCCCCCUCUAGGGUGAUUACCAUAGGUUUGAUUAGCCUAAUUUUUCUAACAAUUUUAGUUCCCUAAAAGUUUAGAAAAUAGUGUAAAAAAUCCUAUUUAAAUAUGAUUAAUUUUUUUUUAUUUCUUAGAAUUUUAAGAAGAAAUAUUGUCGAACAAAUCAUAUUUAAUCAUAAUUACUAAUUUGAAAAGUAACAAAAUUGUUUAUUAAAUAAUAAAUAAUAAAUUUAAUAAUAUAUAAUUAUUUUAAUUAUGAUGAACUUAUUUAAUAUAAAAUAAUUAUUUAUUUAUUUUUAUAUUAUAUAUCAAAGUACAACCAUAUUACAAAACAUUUUAUAUCUAAAAAACUCUUACAACAAAUUUUAUUCUCUAUUAUAUUAAACAAUUAUUAAUAUUAUAUAAUAAAUACAAAUUUAUUAUUGAUUUGUUUAUUAUCAAGAAUAUGAAUUUAUUUUUAACUUAUUAUUACUAGAAUAAACUGUUUUUUUUUUCAAAUUCUUACUUUAUAAUGUUUCUAGAGAAAAAAAAUCUCAAAUAAUAAUAAUAAUAAUAAUAAAAUAUAUAAAAUGAAGGGAAAUGUCUAGGAGGAGUUUAGUUGUCCAUUGAUUUGGAUAACAUAAUAAGUAAAAUGGACAUUUUUUUGAAUAAUUGAAUGACUCAUUAAAAAGUGCAUGUAUUUCAUAUUAUUUUAAAAUAAAUGAAGAUAAUACUAAUUUAAAAAAAUUGAGGUUAUGUUUUUCAUAUAUUUUCAUAUUAGUAAAUCAAAUCCCACUUUUCCCUUAAUAAUUGAUUAUGCUUGAAGCUUUAAUUUCGUCGUUGUAAGAGUGAGAACACAUGAAGAAAGGAUUUACCAAUAUUUUGCAUCCCUUUCUAAAUCACACUUAGAAAGCACUUCCUUAUUAAUAAAACAAACUCCAACUUCACACAAGUGAAUUCAACCCAAGUGUUCUCCCCAACAUUUUAUAUGCUAGCUUGCACUGUUCUACUCUAUACCAUGCCACUUCUUCAAUUGUAAAAAGAAGUCAUAAAGCUUCUGACGAUCAGGAAGAGAAGUAGACACACUCUCCUUUUCCAUGCACCUUUUAGCCCAUGUAAUCAACUUUGGGCACUCAGCUUCUAUACUGAAGUUAGCAGCGAUCUCAAAUACAUAAAGCCAACUAAAAUAUGGCAUAAGAUUCACAUCCACAAAACCAAAAUUUUCACCACCAAAAUAUGGCUUAUCUCCUAGCUCUCCUUCCAAUAGCUUAAGGCAUUCAAUGUACUCCUUCUUGUUUGCCUCCUGCUCUUCUCCUUUGGUUCUCCAUAACCUUGCCCCAAGAAGGUGUAGCUGCAUUUCAUAUAUAGUAUCAUGCAGGUUAAUUAUUUUAUCAUAAACAAACACCAUAUGAUUUUAUAAAAGAUGAAUGGAUUCCAAGUACGUCCUGAUUAUUAAUUCUUCCCAUUUUGAUAUAAAAACAUUUUAUAGGGAAUGGGUAAUGCUAUACAUCAAUAGUGGGUUUUAGAGCCUCCUUGACAAUGAUUUUAAAAAAUAUUUUUUGUCUAAUUUUUUAUUAUUUAAAACUUAGGUAUUUGACAAAUUUUAUGAAACACUUUUAAAAUUUUAAAAAAUCACUUAUAAUGUUAUAGAAUCAUUUGUAACAUGUUUUUUUGGAGAAACACUUGGAAGAUAAUCUUUUUAAAACACUUUUUAGAUAAAACACUUUUACUUAAAAUACUUUGAGUAAAAAGACUGUCAAACAUACUCUUAGUAACAUUGUAAAUUAGUACCCUGAGUUUGCUUUUUUUCCUUAAUGAUAAAAAAUUGACCACUUAAUUUUCUUUUCUCUUUUCAUUUGUAAAUUAGUACCUUGAGUAUGCUUUCUUUCCUUAGUGAUAAAAAAUUGACCACUCAAUUUGAAUCUUGCAAUCAAGUAAAAAACAAAUUGGAUGAUAUUCCUAGGCAUUGUUUGUUUAGACUAUUUUCUCUUCUCAUUUUUCAAUGAAAAGAGAAAUCAAGGCUAAAAACAUGUUUAGAUGAUAGAAAAAUUGAAAAUACGAAUUUGAUAUUUUCAAUUUUUUUUAAGAAAAGUGAAAACUUCUAAAAUGUUUAAAACAAAAAAUGGAAUAAAUUAAAAAAAAAAAAAAAAACUUUUAGGACCCAUGAUAUAAAAGGAAUGCAAAUAUUAUAAAUAUGAAAGAAAAAUGAAUAUAAAUAAAAAGUAUCUCAUAUAUAUUUGAAAUCAAUUAUUAUCUUAAAAGUAUGAUAUAAAUAUUUUAUUUAUUUAUUAGCCUAUACAUUAUAAGUGAAUAUAUAUAUAUGUGCCUAUACACUUUUAUAAGUGAAAAUCUAUAUAUAUAUAUAUAUAUAUAUAUAUAUAUAUAUAUAUAUAUAUGUGUGUGUGUGUGUGUGUGUNNNNNNNNNNNNNNNNNNNNNNNNNNNNNNNNNNNNNNNNNNNNNNNNNNNNNNNNNNNNNNNNNNNNNNNNNNNNNNNNNNNNNNNNNNNNNNNNNNNNACUUUUAUAAGUGAAAAUCUAUAUAUAUAUAUAUAUAUAUAUAUAUAUAUAUAUAUAUAAAUAGGUGUGUGUGUGUGUGUGUGUGAAAUAAUUUAUAAAAAAAAAAAAAUCUCUUAUGUAAUUUUUCAUAAUUAUUUAAAAACACGUACAUGCAUAUUUAUUCAUUAUUUAUUAUUCAUUCUACAUGUAAAAAUGAAUCAAAUUUAAGGAUCAUGAAAAACCAUAAAUUUACAUUUGAACAUUUUUGUUAUGUCUAAUCCUUGAUCCUUAAUUUGAAAGUAUUGAGGAAAGUAAAAAUAGGUAAAAAUUGAUUUUUGUUAUGCUAGAACGGUUUCACGUGUGAUGCACGUGGAUGGUGCAUGUGAAUUAUGGGUUCCAAUACUUCACCAUAUGCAAAUGUCUCCAUGGCUAAUAAAAUUUUAGAGUUAAAAAAAAAAAAAAAAAACCAAUAUUUUGCAAAAAUAUCAUUUGACGGUCAUUUUUUUUUUCACUAUAUUUGCAUAACUUAGCUCACUACAGCACAAAAAGUAAAUAAGGUAAAAAGAAGAAAAAUGAAGUAAUAGCAUGAAAGCAACAAGAUCUAAUAUCUUAAAGGAAUUAUCCAAUUAAAUAAGUUUGAUUAUCAAACUUAGUAUUAGUGCUCAAACAAAGAGAAAAUAUUCAAAUCAUAAUCAUAUGUCCAUGACGAAUUUAUUUAGUUGCUAAGAAACAUAUAUAUAUAUAUAUAUAUAUAUAUAUAUAUAUAUUUAAAAAAAAAAGAAUAAACAGUAUGAAAAUUAAUUUCACUAAAAUUGAAUAAAAAAUAAAUCAAUAAGGGUAGAGUAAAUGAAUGGAAAAUAUAUGCAAAAACAUAGUUAUUCUACGAGGAAAAUCUGCCAAACCAUAAACCUCAUAUUACGAUGGUUAUUUUUUCUCCUCCUCUCGGCAAUCAUUAAAAAGACGGGAUUUAGAAUUACAAAAGAAGAAAGUUAACGGAUAAAUAAACUAAUAAGGAAAAUCAGAGACAAACCCAAGAAGUGCAAUCUUUAAGGAUGUGAGGAUUUCUCGAGUGAUAUUUUCUACUAUCAAUCAACCAAGAAACUAAAUCUAUUUUAGCCUAAUAAAUAAUAGAUUAUAAUAAGCAAUUGACAUCUCUCUCUUACUUUUCAUCCAUAUUCUUAUUAACCAAAAUAAGGGGCACAAGAAAAGGGAAGGGAAAAAAAGAACUUGUUUUCAUUAUUUAGACUUGGUUGUCAUUCUCUGUGUUAAGUCUACUUCGGAUCUUAUCUUGCAUGUAGAAGGGAGAGUUAAGAUUGUCCACAGGAAGAAUGGUGAGGCAUCUAAAGGGCAAUGUAUAAUUUGGAAUGAUCAUGGGAUAUGAAAGAGAUCAUGUAAAAUAUAUAGAAUUGUUUCUAAUGGGUUGUUUCUUUAAUAUAUUAAGCAAUUUUGUUUAGAAGGGAAUUAAAUUUUUUAUAGAGGUUUAUGAAGAAGGGUUUCACUUUGGGUUUCCCAUGUAUGUAUGAAAGAGAAUUAAUUUUUUUAUAGGUUUUUCUGAAGAAAAAUUAGGAAAACCAACAGAAAUUAAAAAGACAUGUUUGGGUAGAAAAGUUUUAGCAGGAGGUCGUACGUUUAGAUUUGUAAUAAAUAAUAAAUAAUAGAUAAUAAAUAUUAGAUUAUAGAUAAUAGAUUUGAAUAACAUAGGAAAGGGUAAAAAACAAUAAAAAAAAAAAGGGAGAGAGAGAGAGGUCGGAUUAGAAGUGUGUUAACAAGUGGACUAGAACUACCUAUCCAACCAUUAAACAAUUUCCAUUUAAAUUUUUAAUAUUUUCACCUCAAAAAUUUUAACUUUCGACCUCAAAUCAUUGAAUGAAUUGAAACACCAUUCAGCUACAUCCAAUUUGUUGCUUUAUAUAACAAAUGCCAGAAAUUUACUAUUUGCUAAAAAAAAUAUAAUAUUAAAUAAAAAUAAUAUAAUAUUUUUUAAAAUGAUAAAAUUAGUUAAAAUUAAAUAAUUUUUUUAUUUUUAAUAUAUUCAUAUUUAAAUAUUAUACAUAUUUCAUUCAAAAUACAUUUAUAUGUAUGCAUAAGAUAAAAAAGAAAUAUUAUUAAUUUUUAAUUUAUUUAUAUAUUUUUUAAAAAUAAAUAUAAUUAAUUUUAAUUUUAAUAAUUUAUAAAAAUAUAUUUAUGAUGUCAUCGAUUCGAUGUCGGUUCAACUACAUGAAUUGAUAAUUCUUCUAAUUCAAUGAUUAAUCCAAUUCUGAAAAUAUUGGUUAAAAGUUUUGUCUAUACAAUUUUUCUCUAAAAAAUAAUUGGGAAAUUUGAGAAAAAUACCGUCCUUAAUAAUUUAACUUUUUUUCCUUUUUAUUCAUAUGCAAUCAAGUAAAUACUCAUUGCUUUCCUUUAUCUUUUCUCUUCUUUCUCUCAAACUUUCAUAAAACAAAACGUACCUCUUUUUUAUCUUAUUUUCCUUGGUAACAUUUUCCAUCCUUUCCAAUUUUCUCCCCCUCACUUCUUUUCCCAUACUUACUGUGGUCCAACCCCAACAAAAGAGUAUUGGAGCAGUUGAACAAUUAUUAUGGGGCACCUUAAACUUACUCGUAAGGAUAUUAUGGGUAGAAGAAUGCCCCUUUCUGCUGCAUUUCUAUCGAACUUAUCUAGUUUGAUAAAAUUUUCAGAUUCCGUUAGAAAAAUCUCACAGUUAUUAUCAGAUUAUGUGAAAAAAAAAAAAAAUCAUGAUUCGUCUGUAUAGUAAAAUUAUAACAACAUAUCUGACCACAAUCAAAAUGUGAGGCAAUCAGCAUGGACAUACCUUCUUGUCUAUGUAGUCAGCCCAGAACCUUGCUUGAGCUCUAUGGUAUUGAUCCGAGGGCAAUAACGGAGAUUUAUCCUUCCAAACCUCAUCAAUAUACUGAACUAUUAUCUGAGACUCACAAAUGGGUUUACCAUUAUGGAUCAGCACUGGGAUUUUCUUAUGAAUUGGGUUCAUCUCUAGAAGUAGAGGGCCCUUGUUGAACAAGUCCUCAUCUCUGUAUUCAUAUUUGAGACCCUUCUCUGCUAGUGCAAUUCUGACCUUCAUACCAAACAUGCUCGGCCAGAAGUCCAGCAAAAUAAUCUCGUCUGCCAUUGUUACUACUCCGAUCAGAAUCAACUGAAAAAGGGAAGGAGAAUUCUUAAUAUUUAUAUAGAGAAAACCUAAGGCUGCGUUUGGUUUGAGAGACAUUUUCUAUUUUUAUUUUCUAAAAUAGCUUUGGUCUCCACUUUUUGUUUUGUUUUGUUUUAAACGUUGUUUUACAAACUGGAAUUUGUAAAACCUUGUUCGAUUUUAUUUUUUUUCAUUAGCAAAAAAAAAAAAAAAAAAAAAGUAAAAAAAAUAUAAUUAAAAUUUUAUAUGAUGAACUUAGAGACUGUUUGGCAAUAACUUUAAGAAAAUGUUUUUAACCUUUUUAAUUCUUAAAUGAUGAAUGAUAAAAAUUUUCAACAUGUUAUUGAAUAUAAAAUCAAUACAUUCUAAGAAGAAAUAUUUGAAUAUCAAUCUCAUUGAUAUCAUCAAUUUCUUAAGUAUCAUACCAAUCCUAUCAAUCCAAUCACUUUUUCAAGAAAUUCAUGAUGUCUAAGUCAUACAAAUAAAGAGAUCUAUUUAUUGAUAAGAAAAAUAAAAAUCGUAAAUGGUGAUUGGAUUGAUGAUAAAACAAAAUCCUAGGUCGCGAAUUCGAUUGAUGAUGAAGAAAGAAUUUUAGGUUCAAUACUUCACCUUUAAAAAAAAAAUGAUUGUCUUAAAAAGAUUAAAAACAUUUUCUAAAAUUACUGUCAAACAUACUCUUAUGAGAUAAUAUUUGACUUGAAAUACAUAUUAGUUAAUAUUAAUAUUUUUUUUUCAUAUUUCUUUUAUAUCUUACCAUAAGUCAUUUUUAGCUCAAUAAAUAUGGGUUUGAUUUAUGUUUUCUUUGAGUGCAAAAAAUUUUCGAAAGAGAGAGGACCUUAUAUUUUGUUAAUUUCUAAGAUUCUUAAAAUUUAAAUAGAUAUAAAAUAAGAAAUAACUAAAAAGGAAAACCAUGUGAUUUUAUAGGUAAUACAUACGGUUAAGAAAACUUGUAACCUAAAUAGGUAAUGUUUAUAUAAAUUCUACUCUACUAUUUUCAAAUUACCUCAAAGGAACUAAUUGUGCUUCCAUAGAAGAUUGUUACCAAAUUAAUUCAUAUUCCUAAAUUAUGCUAUUCUUAAAUAAAUAGAUAAUUUUUUUAUAAGCAAGAAAAGAAAAUUGCUUUAAAUUUAAAGAGUGAGAAAAGAAAAGGAAGGAAAUUUUGUUUUCUAUGAAUGCAUAUCCAUUGAAAAUCUGCUGACCUAAUUAUUGACUUAUUUAUAUUUCACUAUUAAAUAAGAAAAUAAAAUUACCUUAAAUGGAUUUUCUAGCAUAAGGAGGAUAUUAAAAACCUCCCCUUUUAAUUGGUUAUGAUCCUAAAGAAAACUAAGGGCCUAUUUGGGAAUUGUUUUUGGGAAGAAAAUUUCUUAAAAAAAAUACAAAUAUUAUGUUUGAUAAUCAAAACUGUUUUCUGUUUUCUAUUCUUAUGAAUAGAAGAUGUAGUGUUUUUAAAAAACAUAUUUUUGUUAUUUUUUGUUAUUUUUGCUUGUUUUUUUAGGACUGUUUUAAGAAAUAAUUAUACAAACAUGUACAAUAAUUAAAAUAAAAAAUUAGAUCUAAAAAUUAAUUUUAAAACAUAUUUAAAAAUAUUAAAAAUGGUUCAAACAUUUUAGGUUUUCAAACAAAUUUUUAAAAAAUCAAAAAACAAUUUCAAAAACUAUUCUCAAAAACUAUUAUUCGAAAUUGUUUUUCUUUUUUAAUUACCGAACAUGCUCUUAAUUAAUAUAUAUAUAUAUAUAUAUAGAUAGAUAGAUAGAUAUAUUUAUCUCUCAUGUUUGAAUAGAUUUUAAUUUAUUAACAUGUGAAUACAAGUUGAUGGGAAAUUAUUAUUAGACUUCAAGUUCUAUAAAAAAGUUAAAAUUUGUACAUAGAGAAAAUAUUCAAAAUAGGACUUAAGUUCAUAGAAAAUAAACAUAAAGAAAAAUAGGAAAUGAAUUUUAGAGGAAAAAAAAUUGUAUUUUUCUUGAGAUUGCCUCAAACCCAAAAAGAAAGUUGUGGAUGAGUUAACUUUAAAAUGACAAUCAUCCAUGAAAUAAGACCAAGCUCAUGAGCCUAUAAUCCUAAGUCUUUCAAAUAAGUUCACAAAAGAUGACAUGAUCAAGACCAAAAACAUGAAUUGUUUGGCGUUCACCUGAAUUCUUCAAAACUUGAUUUUGAAAAACUAUGGUUCUUAAAAUCACUAUCAUAAAAGAGAAAUUAAAUUAUUUAGUACUUGUUUGGAUAUAUUUUCUGCUUUCUAUUUUUUUUUUUAAAAAAAAGAAUUGUAACUUACACAAAAAAUAUGAGAAUUGUAAUAUAAAAGUGAAGAACUUACCUUACAUUCUUGAAAAUUGCUUUUAAAAUUUAAAUUUUUUCAAUGCAUCUAUUUUUUAAAAUAGUUUUUAAAGGUCUUUAUCUUUUUAAAAUAUGUGAAUGAAUCUCAACGAUGAUUUCCUACACCAAACAUGAUGAAUAUGCAUUUUUAAUAAUUUAAAAUGAUUUCCUAAGAAUAAUUCUCUCUUCUUUCACUAUAUCAAUUCUUCUUCACAUCCAAGCCAAAUGGCAUGCAAGAAUAGAUUGUAAUACCCCUAACAUAUAAGCCAAGGGCAUUACAUACCAUGAAAUUUAACUUUCAUGGUUUAAAAUAAUAAAAAAGAAAAAAAAAUUAAGGAGUUUUAGGUUAAAAAAAUAAAAACUAAAAAACAAAUCUCUAGAGUCAGUACAAAACAAGGAGAACCAAAGAGAAAAAGGCAAGAUAAAAGUUAAGAUUUCACCAUAAAAUGAAAUUUUGAUUGUUUUUACUCUCUAAAAAGUAAAAUAUAAGGUAAGUAUUUCAGGAUUUCUAUUUUCUAGAGUAGAUGUGUAAAACAAAUUAUUAUUAAUGAUUUGUAUAAGAUCAGGAAGUUAAAUUAACAAAUUAAUGGUAAUAAGAUAAAUGUGGUCUUUGAUUUAACCUUAAACUAAUACAAAAAAUUUGUAGGUGAGAGUUUUUAUUAUUAUUUAAGAGAAAUUGAUAUACAAUAAAAUUCUGAAAUAGAUGUGAGUAUUUGUCCAUAAGAAAAUUCUACAGAUUUAAGAAGUGAGGUUUAGUGGAAAAAUAUAAAUAUAAACUAAAAAAACACAUUUUAAUUGUUCCGUAACAGAAUGCAGUGGAGAAUGGAUACUCAAUGUGCAGAAAAUAUUUAUGACUAAAGGAAAAUUUAAAAAGUAGAUAAAUAGAAUUUAUGAUAGAAUGAAAAAGUUUUAUUUUGUAAAAGUGAAAUAUAUAUAUAUAUAUAUAUAUAUAUAUAUAUAUAUAUAUAUAUAUAUAUAUAUAUAUAUAUUGAUGUUUGUUUUGAGGUGAUUGAUGGACAAUGAUAGAAGUAAAAUAAAUAGAUAAAUAAAUUAUGAAGUGUAUCGUGGAGGAAAAAAAAUUAAUUAGGGUAGUUGGAAAUGUAAAUUGAGGAUAAUGUAUACAAAAGUAAAGAAUAAAUUAAUAGCACGUGAUAAAUUCUCGUUAAGUAAGAAAUAUUUGUUUAGGUGAAUUUGAAGUUUAAUCGACUUUAUUGCUCAAUUCAAAUGUUACAUUUGCAUUAGGUAAGAAAUCAUCACCCUUAGAUAUUUUUUUCAAUGCUAUUUUUUUUAAAGGGCAUGAAAAUAUUAUACCAUUCCAAGAAAUUUUAUAUUGUGAAAACCAUUAUUUCUGUUAUGUACUAUGAUAUCCAGCAUUAGUCAACAAGGAUUAUGUUGUUGACCCUUAUUGCCCAAUUGUAUGAGAAUUGAAAAAUCUAGUCAAUAGGGUAAUCAAUGACCUAAUUGUACCAUUUGAUUGCCUAGUCCCUUUCAAAUUGAAAGACAUGUUUCUAAGGGUCACCCUAGUUUGGUAAAAAAUUGUUCAUGUUCACUAUGUUUGAAAGUUCUGUUAUGUAUUAUGUUACUUUUAUUUGUAUAAAAAGAAAAAAAAAAUUGUUACUAUAUUCCUUGCUAAGCUAAAGCUUACUAUCUUUGCUUUUGAACCCUUUUCAAGUUGUAGAUGGCAAUGAGUGAGUUUGGGCUAGGAAGGGUUCUUAUUAGUUUAGUAUUUUUGUUUAGCCUUAAAGCCUUUGUUUAGACAUGUUGAUUUGAAUUAUAUGUUGUCUUUUAAUUUUUAGCUUGACUUGAAUUGAAUGAACAUUUUGUAAUUAUGUGAAUCAUUAAACUUCCAUCUUGGCAAGAUAGGUUUAUCUCUAUGAUUUCAUUCUAAAAGGAGUAUCUAUAACUUUUGUUCACUUUGACUAUUUCGUUAUUUUUGCAUGAAUGUGUAAAAUUGACAAGGUUGCCCCUAGUCUCAAGGUUAGGGAUGUUACAAAGUGGUAUCAAAACAACAAGAUAAGGUCCUAUAAACUUCUUAGUUAGGUUGAGGUUUAAGUUAGAUCUUGUGAGGUUUCAAAACCUGCUACUCUUGUUCUAAUAUUUUAUGUAUUACUUAUAUUACUAAUUUGUUCAAACCAUGCAAUGACUAGGUUAUAUCUCCCAUGGUAGCCCUACAUCAAGGGAGAUUGUGCCUUUUAAGACCAUUAGAAAUGAGAAUGCUCUACCUAAGGUAAAUGAAGGCUUAGAGGCACCUCAUUUGCCUAUUGAUGGGGUAACUCAACAUUUAGGUACUUGGGUUAGAUUGGUUGAGCACCAAACUCAUGCUACUAAGACUCAGACUCAAUCUAUUGAGAUACAUACAUAGUGUCGGUCGUUUUCUUCCAUUGAGGAUUCAUUUGAGUAAUUCAAGAAGAUGGGCCCUCCUUCCUUUAAUAGGGAGCCAAAUCCUUCAGAAGGUGAGGCAUGGAUUUUGGAUAUUGAGAAGCAUUUUGAUGUUUUAGGUUACUCAGAAACUUAAAAGGUGACCUUUGCCACUUUCAUGCUAGUGGUGAGGUAGAACAUUGGUGAAGAAUGGAGAAAAGGCUCAUUGGAGGUCAAGAUCCAACUUUAUGGGAUCAAUUUGAGGAAGAAUUCAACAAAAAGUAUUUUCAUGAGAAUUUAUGAUGCUAGAAGGAGAUUAAGCUUUCAUAAUUGGUACAAGGGGAUAUGUUACUGGCGAAGUAUGAGGCUAAGUUUAUAGAGCUCUCCCAAUUUUGAGAAACAUGAAAAAAAAAUCCAAAACGUGUUCUAUCUAUGGCACAUGAUUAAAGAGAUUUCACAUUGGCAUAAUUAUCAAAAUUUGAACUUAUUUUAGGAAAUGUAAAUUUACAACCACUUGAAGUAUCAUUCUUAAUGCUACUUUAGUUUUGAGUCAAAUAAAUUGGGGUAAAUUUAAGGCAAAAGACCUGCCAUGUCCUUGACUAAUUCAAAGGCCAACCUAUUCCACAUAUUAAUGAACAAUAAAGAAAGAAUGCCUUUGAUUUAUCAAAUAUUUCUCAAUACUUAAAGGCAAGACUUUACUCAAAAGAGUUAAGUGACACAUUAUUUUCUCAUAUGCAUCAUGACAAUAAUUGACACACAAAGUCAAUUGUCAUGUCUUUAUCAAAUUUUUUAGUGCAAAAUGGAAUAGUGGUUAAAAACUCUUUUACCUCCUUAAUACAAUCAAUACAAACAAAACAAUAUAUCAAAGUCUCAAAAUAUCUUGCAAGACAAAGCUCGUGAGCUUAUUGCCCGAACAAGUUGAUAAAACAUGAAGGCUAAUUGGGAAGGCCAUUGGGAGGGCCCUACAACUGCACAUAGCACUUGACCAAGUUCUUCAAAUUUGCUUUUGAAAAGCCUUUGCUUUUUUAUCUCGUUAAAAUGGCUACCAGAAAGGAAGACAAAUUAAAUCAUUUAAGAAUACCUUUUUCCAAGCAUAUUAAUUAUAAAAAAUUGUUAUAAAAGUGAAUUAAAAACCAUGUUCUAACACAUUCAAUCCAUUAAACAACAUGUAAUGAUGCACCAUAUAAAAAAUAUAAAAUAUUUGAGAGGUUUAAAUUUUAAAUUUUAAAGUACAUAUAUUUUAGAAAAAUUAAUCGUAGAAAUAUGUAUUUCAAUAGUGAAAUCAUAAAAUAAAUAAAAAAACAAAUUAAAAUUACUCUAUAACCCUCAUCUCCUCAUUUUCUGCCAACUAUAAAAAAAAUUGGGAAAGUUGUGUUUUCAUGGGCCAAUAUGGUAAUAAUAUUGUUUUUGGAACCCAGGUUUGUGAAAGUUGAAAAACAUCUGUUAAUGUGGAAACUUAUAUCAGAUUCAUGCACUCUGAGCCAACUGUGUUUUUUCUACCGAGCUUGCCCCUCCAAGUAUCCACAUCAGCAGCCCAUCUCAGUACUGGCUGAAACUGAAUCGGUUUGCUUUUGCAAAAUCAAAUAUUGAGCUUCCCACAAAACACCCUAGGCGACCAACCGUUCAUCCUCACUUUCUCUCAUUUGGUACCCAUUCCUCUCAUCUUUCUGUAGUCCGUCACCAAGGCGAAACAGAGGUUCCCACAAGAAAACCCUAGUCGAUCGACCGCUCUUUCUUCCCUCUCUCUCAUUUUGGCACCCAUUCCUCUCAUCUGUCUUCACUCGGUCACCAAGGCGAAGCGGAAAAUCCCAUAAAAAUAGUAUAGCCGAGGGUUCUUUCUUCCCUUUCUCUCAUUUGAUACCCAUUCCUCUCAUCUUUCUACAGUCCGUCACCAAGGUGAAGUAGAGGUUCCCACAAGAAAACCCUAGCCGAUCGAUUGUUCUUUCUUCCCUCUCUCUCAUUUUGGCACCCAUUCCUCUCAUCUGUCUUCACUCGGUCACCAAGGCGAAGCAGAAAAUCCCAUAAAAUAGUGUAGCCGAGGGUUCUUUCUUCCCUCUCUCUCAUUUGAUACCCAUUCCUCUCAUAUUUCUUCACUCCGUCAUCAAGGCGAAGCAGAUUUUAGUUGAGAAGGCCUUAAUCUGAUUUGUCACAUCUUAGAUUUUCUCUGUCGAGGUAAGCCAUUCGUUCCGUGUUUUGCAUUCGCAUUCUCAUUCAUGAAAAUCUGCUGUUUGUGUGGGUUUUUUCCGAACCAGGCGUGGCUCAAAUGUUGGCAUUUAGGAGUUGGUACUGAAAUUUUAAAUCUGUUGGUAAUGAAUCAUCAUCGUCUUUUUCAAAUAUGAUUUUAUAUUGUUUUAUUUGGAUUGGCAAAUUAUCGCAACUCUGUUGUUUUGAUAUAAAGUGAAGGCAAGAAUAUGGGUUGGGAAUUGUUUCGUUGAAAAAGGCAUUUGUUUUGGUUUUGGUUUAGAACUGAGAAAAACAUAUUUUGAAUUGAUUAGCGAAAAAGGAAUUUUUUUUUCCCAGUGGUGUUUUUGGGUAUUGGGAAACAAUGCAUUUUUAGUGAAACCCAUUUAUUGGAUUGUGUUUUUGGAUUGAGCUAUGUAGUGGAUGACCAAAAGGGAACAUUUUUUCGGGAUGAAGUUUUCAUUUUGAGAGCAAAAAAAGUUCUUAAGAAAUGGUGAUUUUUAGAUGAGAAAGUUGUUCCAAAUUACUCAGUUUUUUGGGUUUUUGUGAUAUUGAUGGUUGAUGGGUGCUAAAGUUUUCGUUGUGUUUUUUUGUUUUUGUUUUAUAUGUAUAGUUUCAAAUCACAUCCCAUUUCUUCAAACAUAUAGUAACAUAUGUAUGGUUACUAUAUGUUAAUGUUCUUGUUGAUUAGUAAUUGAUAUUGAUUCAGAGAUCCGUUUUAGAAGAUGGUAAUAGGAAAGGCUAUAUAGGAACUAUUGGUAUCCAUGCAUUGGUUUAAUUCCCUUCAUAACAUAAAUAAAUAGAAAAUAGGGAAUGCUGGUCAGAAUGGAUGAAAUGCAUUUUUAUCUAUAUAUUGUUUGUUUUGGUGAUAAGUUGGUUAACCUUAUUGUACUGGUAAGUUAAGCUUAUGUACUACCUCAUUAUUCCUGAAUGUACGACCUUAAUCGACUGUAUGUACUGCAUUAGUCAACAUCAGGUACUACCUGAGCCAACCUUGGGUACAAGCUGUGUGACGACUGGAAACUUCAUUUUUUAAUAUUCAAAUAAUUCAUAUGUGAAUAAAAGUUGUCUUUAUUGUUAACCCAAUGGGGUUCAGUUUGUCAAACAUAGGACCAACAGGCUGUUUUCAAGUCAUGCAUAAAUUAAAUUGUAUUCACUUCCACAUACAAGCUAUCAUGACAUUAUGUGUUUGACUACUCUGCUCAUUUGGUUUCCCUUACCUUUACUUGAGACUGUACCAUAGGUACUAUCUUACUUAACCUUAGGUCUAACCUUAGUAAUCUUUAAGUACUAGGUUAGAUAUCCUUAGGUACUACCGUAGUUGGACUUGCACACUACUUGUGUGCAUCGGCCAAUUAGCAUGUUUGAACCUUAAUUGUGUGCAUCAGCCAAUUAGCAUGUUUGAACCUUACAAUCUAUGGAAUCAACAUGCAUAAUUCCUCAAUCUUUCGUUGUUGUAUUGUUUUUAACAAAUCUUUAUAUCAAUAAGGAAAUGGAAGAGGAGAUGUUUUGUUACAUUCAUGAAGGUGGUGAGCUUGUUAAGACUGCUGUUGGGUCCGUCGAAUAUAAGGGAGGUCGGACCUAUUGCAGUGUUGUUAGCAAGAAUAUCUCACAUUCUGAAUUUGUUUCAAAAGUAUGUGGUGAACUAAACUUGGAUUCCAAUUCCAUUAAAUUAGAAUUCACAGUCAAGUUUGACCCAUCAUGUCUAUUGUCACUGCAUAAUGAUGGCGACAUAGUCAAUAUGUUCAAAUUCAACGACAUGUUUUGUCAUGUCUACAUCUCCCAGUGUACUGAAUGUGGUGAUGACCUCAUUUGCCCUACUAGGUACCUAAUGUCCUUCCACAAUAAUGUUCCCUUUUGUAUAAUCGCUUUUCACACUUAGAUUGAUGGAGGAUCAAAUUCUUUCCUUAUGUUUUUUGCAGUGGCCCAACCCCUAUUGUUGCUUCAAACUCAGCUCAUGUUUCCUCUAUUGGCGAGCCCCCAUUACACAUCUCUAAUGAGUCACCCACAAUUGAGUCAUUUGGGUUUUCCCAAAGAUGUGCUAUGACAAAUACUGUUCAACUUCAACCAAGCUGGUUCGAACAUUCAAUUGUAGGUAGUGGACAUACCUUCCCAAAUGCGUCGAAGUUUCGAGAUGCAAUCUAUUUGAUGUCUUUGGCUGGAAAAUUUCGAUAUUCUUACAAAAGGAAUAAUCCAAAACACAUGACCAUAGUAUGCACAAUUGAAGAUUGUCCUUGGAAAAUCACUGCGCGUGCAAUAGGGGAUUCAAACAUUAUUCAAGUACACACAUUCCGAAAUGUGCAUAACCAUUGCUUGGAAGAUGUUGCCUUGUCUCAGCCUUAGUGAGAUCCACUCGUGCAUCGUUGGUCAUUGAUGAUGUCAUUUGAUCUACUCCUGAAUACCAACCAUGCCAAAUUUGUAAGGACUUUGUAAGGCAACAUGGCAUCCAGUUAACUUACCUACAAGCAUGGUAAAUGAAGGAGAAGGCUAAGGAGUGCAUUUAUGGACAACCCAAGAAUUAUUACAAAUUGUUGCCAUGGAUGUGUGAAAGAAUGAUUGCAACAAAUCCGGGAUCGAGUGUUAAGUUGAGUUAUUCCGAUGACGACCAUUUUGAGAAGCUUUUUAUUGCUCAUUCAAUAUCUAUCGAAGGGUUUGUAAGGGGGUGUCAACCAAUCAUUGCAAUUGAUUCGGCCCAUAUGAGUGGGCCUUAUGGCGGUGCUCUAUUUUCAGCCACCGCCUACGAUGCUAAUGACUCCAUGUUCCCCUUAGCCUUUGGAGUGAUAAGCUCGGAAAAUUAUGAAGAUUGGUUAUGGUUCUUGGAAAAACUGAAGAUAGUUAUGGGAAACAAGGAAGUUAUUAUUAUCUCAGAUAGACAUCCUGCUUUGCUUCGUAGUGUCCCUGAGGUGUUUGGCAUUGAAAACCAUGCUUAUUGCUACCGUCACCUGAAGGAGAAUUUUAGUAGUUUCUUGUCCAAGCAUAACACACGAGGGAACAAGGGUAAAGAAAAUGCAUUGCAAUUCCUAGAUAGCAUUGCGUAUGGAAGGUUAGAACAUGAUUAUAACGUUUCCAUGUUUGAACUACAAAAAUACAAUGAGGCUUUAGCCACAUGGGUUGAAGAAAAUGCGCCACACCAUUGGGCCAUGUCAAAAUUCCCAAAACAAAGAUGGGAUAAAAUGACUACGAACCUUGCCGAGUUAUUUAAUGCUUGGUUACAGAUUGAAAGACAUCACUCUAUUUGUAACUUUUUAUUGGAGCACAUGUCCAAGUUAGCUUCUACGCUUGUGAAGCAUCAAGAAGAGUCCAAGAAUUGGAAAGGGUGUAUACGGCCAAAAAUUGAAGCUAAGGUGCAGGAAAAUAUUGCAAAGGGUGCGGUGUAUCUAGUCACACCGUUCAUGAAUGGAGUAUUUAGGGUAUGUAUCGAGAGAGCCUUGUUGAAUGUAGACAUUCUAAACCGUACAUGCACUUGUAGGGGUUGGCAAAUGUUGGGAAUCCCUUGUGAGCAUGCCACAGCUGUCAUUAUUUCCAUUGGUCAAAAUGUUACUCAUUUCAUCGAUGAUUGCUACAAAUACCCAAUGCAAGAGUUGAUAUAUGGGGGCUCUUUCUCCAGCAUAGAGACCCAUGACAUGCCUACUGUGGACGAUGAUGGUUUGGUUCGAUCUAUCACCGGGGAGGUAUUCUUCUCUUUAAAGCCUCCACAUACAAAGCGCGCUCCCGGAAGGCCAAGGAAGAAGCGCAUUGAGUCUCAAUUUCAAGAUAAACGAACUAUUUAUUACUCUCGUUGUCAUAUGUCCGACCACAAUAGAAAAACCUGCAAAAAUCCUUUGCCCUAAAUGCAUAUCUAUCUACUUAUUGCAUUAUGCUGAUCUUGCAUUACUCUAUUUCAACUAACUGGUUGUCACCCAAUCAUCGUUACUAUUUGAAUGUUUUGUGCCUUUCCAUUCACCUGCAAUGUUCAUUGAGUUACAUUAUAUUUCUCUACUGAUUCAGUUCUUUCACAAAGUCUGAACUAUGUUUGCACCACAUCUUGUUUUAAUGGUAUUUACUCAAAUCCCAUGUAUUUGCUAAGAUUACAUUGCUUAAGCCAUUUUAACCAUACUGCAGUUUGUGUUCCCAUGUAUCAUUUGGUGGCAUCAUUUAAUUAUCCGAAAAUAAAUACUUUGAAUGAGUGGCAUCAUUUGGUGGCAUUUUCAGAGGCUGGUUGUUAAUAUCAGUGUCAACUGGGCUGUUUCAUUUAAUUAUCUGCAUAUUUGUCCUUUGAUUUGAGUGCUAUUUUCUUUUAUACUCCCCAUGGUUUGAAGAGUGCGAUCAAACCAAUUUUUGCCCUAACCUUUGCUUCAUUUUUCAUGCACUCUAACAAAAUUUAUUUUUCACCACACUUCUUCAUGGCUUGUGCAAUACUAGCCACAACUGUACGCUAACAGUUCUUACUUUGCAGGUUUAAUUAAUUGUGCUUCCAUUAUAUCCAUCUGAACGAGAAGGUCAUCUUAUUCUAGGCAUGGCAACAGAAAGGAGGAAAAAGGAAGGAACAUGUCCCUGCAACAUGUGCACAUGUCAGCAACAGGGAUUUCAUUCAACAAUGCAUUCAAUCUUCAAUUUCACCUUUAAUGCAUAUUUCCAUAUAUUCUAUUUUCCUAUCACUGACCAAUAUUUAAUUUUAACUGUAGGAAAAGCUCCCAAAGUCCCGAUGUUCUGGAAGGAAAUUCAUCACUGUGAUUGCACGCUUACCACCAGAAAAACACCAAGCCAUAAGAGAUAUGGGAUUUGGGGGCCUGCUAACAUUUGCUUGUCGGGAGUUGAGAUAUGAGCUGUGCGGGUGGCUGAUAUCUCAAUAUGAAUUUACCUACCACAGGCUUAAAAUGGCAACUGGCAGUGCUGUCAAUGUUAAUGAACAACAUGUCAGCCAAGUCAUGGGCAUCCCUAACUUCGGGGAAGACUUGGUUAUUGUUAAGAGAACAGGCCCCUCCAACCAUACAUACACGCUCAGGGUUUUGGAGCAAAACCUUGAGAAUCUGCCCGUUGGUGAUGAUUUUUUAAAAUCAUUUUUAAUUUUUUUCUUGUGCCACUCUGCUGGCACCUAAUUCCAAACUUAAAGGAAGCCAUGACCUAUGGGACACCAUAUGGGAUUCUGAUCUUGGUGUCCAAAGGAAUUGGGCUAAGUUUCUGCUGCAACGCUUAGAGGACGUCAUUAGGGAAUAUCGGCAAAAGUAGCCUACUUACAUCCAAGGCUACCUCAUGUUCCUCCAGGUACAGUCAAGGGUCCACAGUAUUCUGCAAUUAGGUUCAACUUUGUUUACAUUUUAUUUUAAAACUCAUCGUUACUGCAAUUCCAUAAUUUAAUGCUUAUUGUUUCGUAUACUACCCUUGUACAACUUUUUUAUAUGGCAUUAUUCUAUAUGCCAUCAGUUAUUGUUGAGGUGACCCAGCCGCUUGCUGCCGCAUGGAGUGACGAUGUUAUAAAGCGCCUCUUAGUGGCUGAAAUAUCAACUUUCGGUGGAUAUGGGCAUGUGGAUGUAUGCUAUAAAUGAACAUAUCUUUUUGUAUUGGUUAAAUGACCAUAGUAGCUUAUUCAAGUCAGUCCCAAUUUGUUGCUUCUCUAAUUCAACUGAUGGUGCAUUGUGUAGGCACAGGAGCAGCCACAAAGCACACCUCACAUGCAGUUACCAUCAGUAGCCUCGACCUCCACAGUCGGUGACGAUGCUAUAGAGGUAUUGCAUAGCCACUAACCACUCAUACAUGUUGUUCCAUACAGACUCCAUACAAUACUAUGCUUAUAAUAUUUGUUGUUCCACUUUAUAAUAGGUUAUUGAAGCCCGCAUCAGUGAGACAUAAGAGACUAUGCUUAGAUUAGCUUUGUCUUUGGUGUUGGAUGUGGGUGCAUUACAUUGCCGGCCCAGUGGAUCAAAGGGGAAUUCUUCCGUCCCUUGCCCAUCAGCAGAGCACCACACUAAAGAUCAACCAAUGCGGCCAACACCAGUGAGGCAGCCAUCAGUUGAGGAAAUUGAACCAGAAGACAGCCUCGUACCAACCCCCCAUUCGCCAGUUGGAAUGGGACCAUCACCAGCUCCCACUUGUUCCGAGCCACUGGUCCCACAGUCUCAGGCAGAGGCAUCCCUUCCAGCUGAAGUGACAGUAGUGACAGUAGAGGAUGCGGAAGAAGGUGAAGGCGCAGGUGGGAGUGGCAGCCAAGCCCCUAAACCUUCAUCGAUUAAGAGAUAUAAGCGGACCACUAAGAGGAUUUUCAAGCGUCCUCCCGCUUGCAAAAGUCCGUUUGUUGCCCAAUGUGUUAAACAAUUCCCAAAAAUACCUUAUGCAGAUCGGGUAGUAGCAGAUUAUGCUUUGGCUGAAAUGGGUGAUCCUAGGUACACUUAAGAUUUCUAAAACUCAUUCUUAGAAUCAUUUUAUAGGUCAAUAACUCUACAUCAUCAUGACAAAUUUACUUUCAUGUCAUUGUAUUGAGAUUUUGUGUGACAUGUAUGGGAUGUACAUUACACGGGAGGAACUUUCUUGUCUAAAUGCAAGACGGUGGGUUAAUUCAAUGGUAGGUUACUUAUCCUUAUGCAUUACUAAAUUCACAAUUAAUAAGUCAUAUGAAUCGAUAAAGUGUUGAUGGAGGUUGUAAAAUAUGUUAUUUUACACAACUUUGGUAGAUUGUUGCGAUUGUCUCUCUCAUGAUGAAUGGACAACAAGCACCACCAGCUCGCGCACACUUUUUUGGGCCUUCGUUCUCGGUGAGCCCUCUAAUAUCCUAAAUUCACUUGGUAUGAAACUAGAAGAGUAGAUGUUGAUGAUUGUAUUGAUUCACCUCACCCUUGAACAGGUUGUUCUGAGCAACCUCAAAUCUAAUGUAACCACGCAAGUCAUCCUGGAAAGAUGCGCUAUGUAUCUGGAUCCUGACACAUUGGGCCAUGAUCUUAGUUCAUGUGACAUGGUAAAUGAACAUAGCUAAAGUUCAAUUCCAUAGUAAUAAAUGCAAGGGUAUUGGGAAUGACUAUAAAGUAAUGACAUAAAAGCUAAUAACUCUUGAAUUGUUAUGCAGAUGUUCAUCCCGGUUUGCGAGAAUAAUCACUAGCACGUGCAUGUUGUUAAUUUUGCAGCUGGAAGAGUUGAGAUACUUUCGUCAUUGCCCCUAAGGCGGGGCAACAACAUUAGUGCUGCAACGCGACGAUUAUCAAUGGCACUCCACAAAGCACUGCAUGCAUAUAGAAUCCAUAUGGAUGCGGAUGUCUCAAGUUUUGUGCAUGUCCAACCACACCUUCUCCAACAGCUGAAUGGGUAAAGUAUUCAGAUAUUCCAACGAAAACAAACAUUUCCUAAAUAAUUUGAUUGAUCAGAUUUCUAUCAUCUAACACAUUUCUGAUGUGUUAUAGGUCCGAUUGUGGUGUCCUCGUUAUAAAGUUCAUGGAAUUUUGGAAUGGGGCGACCUUAACUACUUUAGUGGCAGAGGUUAGAGUUGGUUUACACUGUCAAACUUGGACUGUUUUUCUUUGUUUUUUUCCCAACCGCAUGGAAUAAUUUUUUCCCAUUUCCGUAGGACAAGACGAACAUGUACAGACUCCAACUACUGCUGCAACUAGUGCUCAAUGAAUGCAACAGUGUCAGAGAUACAAUGAUGGCCGCAUGUCAUUUGUGACUUCAUAGUUCAUGAUAAGUUUCUUCCUAUCUGCUGCUACGUACCAAAAUGACCAAGGGUUGAUUGUAGUUUGUCCAAAAUUUAUUAAUUCAUAUCAUGUUGUGUGCUGAUGUGAUUUGUUCCAAUUGUAAAACCAUUAUUUAUGUUCUAUAUGUGAUGUAUCUGAUGAAGUAUUCCACAUCCCAUUGUAAAGUGGCAGUUGGGUUAUGCUGAAUAUGAGGACUUUAUGUACAAGAAUGGCCAACAUGUAAGGGAAAGGAAGAGUACCUGGUGAUGCUGCUGCUGGAGCAUAUGGGAUGCAGUAACAGCAGUGUAAUAGGGCUGUUCAUUUUUCCUUCAAUAUUGUAAAGGAAGGGAGUAGGAACAUGGACAACACUCAGUAUUUGUUCUUUUAUUAUAGUUAAGGGUGUUGGUAAGUGUUGUAUUGGCGACUGAUUGGACAACAACUGUGAUUGUAAGAUGUGAUCCAAAGUGAUAGGUUUAUUAUGGGGUAUGGUACUAAUUUCAUAAGAGAACAACAAACAUAGACUGGAACCUAUUUGUUUAUACAUUGAUGCAGUUUCAGUUUAUCCUUCUAUACUCACAUUAGUAAAUUGUUUGACGGCUUUCCUUUCAUAUUUAGUUAUUGUGUAAGCUUUUACAUAGCAUCUUCUGUUAAUGUUAUUGGUAAGUUAGGAGGUUUGUUUGGUUUGAUUUACUACAUUAGAAACAGUUUGCUGGUAUACCAAUAGUUUGCAAUGACGCCCUUCAAAUCCUGAUCUACCAGGGUUUAGGACUAUUGCGCAUCCUCAUUGGCAAUGGCUACUCAGGGUUCUUAAAUGAUUGUGCAUUUUGCUAAUUUUGUGCUUCAAACCAUGUACAGGUUGUUAUAGAAAAAAUAAAUGUGGUAGAAAACCAAUAAAUAUUUGCUUCACAUGAUCACCUUCCGUAUCCAACCAAAACCAUCGUAACUUAACAUAACUAGAAAAAUGAGAAAACAACAGUAUGACUAAAUAAAUACUGAGGUAGAAAAAUUGUCGCGAGAGCAAAAUUUAUCGAAUAUGGUUUAAGGUAGUGUCAUGUUGCAAUAGGUAAUGAAAUUAACUAAUAAAAAUCUGAAGUCACAGAAUGGCUACAUUUCUCGCAGGUGCAUUAAGGUAGUACCUGAGGUACAUUAAGGUAGUACCUGAAGACCAUUAAGGUAGUACCUGUGGACCCGCAUUUUUCACGUGCGCCCCCACUCGAUCGGCGAGACUCGCUUUUUAUUUGUGAAAAAUUAAUUUUAAAAAAGUUGGAGUCGCCACCUAUUUUAUUUUUAUUUUAAAGGGAAAAUAAAACAAGAAAGAAAAACCCUAAAAAGUGACUCCAUAGUUUUGGAAAAAGCAUGUCUUUGAGAAACCCGAGUCUAGGUCCGGGGAUCAGGUUACUUAUUGGGAAGGUACCUCUAGGAGGUAGCACCCCUCUAAGCCCUAAAGAGGUCUCUACUGACUAAGUUAAGGGAAGCGUGACAAUUAAAUGGUUGAUCAUGGAUACCUAAGUAGGCUAGGUGAUUCCAAAAACAUAGCAUAUCAAACAAGAUCAAAUCACAAUUAAGGAGAGUUAAAAAUGCAUACCUGGACGGCUUCCCAAGCGCUAUCAUAAAACAUAAGAGAUUAGUAUGGAAAUGUGACACAUUAUAUGUAUUUUAUCAAAGAUGAUCAAGCAAGCAUCAAGACAAUCAAGCAUGGCAUCAAACACGAUCAUAUCUCAUGAGAUCAUACACAUUCAUAGAAUUUUAGGGUUGUGGGGUAAAAAGGGCGUACCUGAUUAGCGAGCAUCCACACGUCUAUGGGAACAAGAGUAUCUCAAAAUAUAAAACGAAUUCAAAUUCAUGUAUAUCAUCAAGAAGAAUAAAAAAAAUCAACAUAUCAAGCAAACAAUAUUGAAGAAGGUAUCAUGAAUGUCGGGCCCCCACCAAAGCCUUAAUUAAUUUCGCAUGAAUUGAUUUCAUGAAUUCCAUUGUUUGGAAUUAUGAAAGUUUAUUCAUGCUUGUUGAAAAUCGAGAAAAUCACAAAAAUAGUUAAAAAUCAAAGAAAACAUUAAAAGUGCAUGCCCGAAAUAAAGUGGCAGCAAAUUGCAUGUUAAAAUCUGGAUUUUGUACCUAAAAGCUUCUAAGGAACCUUAGAGAAAACCAAAUUUAUUUUUGAUAGAAAAAGGUUUUGAAAUCCGACUUUAAGACGUAUAAGAUCAUAAAAAAAAAAUAAAAAAUAAAAAAAAAGAAGAAACAAUAGGAGGAGUACGACGUGAGGCAAAGUGACCAUGUUGGAGUGAGGUCGGGGGUUAUGAUCAAGUUUGCACUGUUGGUGGACACAUGAGGAGACCUUUGCAGAGUACUAUUGGAUAUCCCGUACUGUCAUUCAUUUUUGAGCUUCAAGUCUUCACUCAAAAGUUCAUCUGAUUCAUCAAUUCUCUCACGGUUCACUUCUGAAUUUUUCUGUAGUUCGGGACUGUGUUUUCUAACUCAUCAUGAACCUUAUCUUUUAUCUAUUUUCUAGUACUAACUGAUCAUCUGCAGCUCGCAUGAAGAAGUUUCACUGAUUAUUAUUUAUAUGACCCACUUCUAUUAUCUAAAGAUGUAGUUGUAGCAAAGACUUCAAUUUCUGAAUCAGAAUACUCCCAUGUUUGAAGUAGACUCUCAUUUCUGUUUAGCAUUGUUGAUGUGGCCAUUAAAACUGUCUUGACGAUAGCGAGGAUCUACUAAAGAUCACUUUCCCGACAUCGGUAGCACUACAAGAUAUCUUAAGUUGUGGCUCCAAGGAUUCAUGUUCAAGGAUCUUACUACCAGUGGUGGUUGUUUGUCUUGCUUCUAGUUCUUCAAGCGCUUUAUGAAGAUUCCCAACAUGUAGAUUUGCAAUUCGUGUCGGUCUGGUUAACAUAGAAUAGAGUUCCUUCAUGGAGAAUGUAAGUAAUGGUACCAAGGGUUUCAAAGUCGGACAAGCUUCUCUAAUCCUUAAACAACAGGACUGGUAAAUGGCUUGACCAUGAAUGGGGAAUAUUUCCAGCUUGGUCUCUCUUUCUCGAGUCAUAGCAUCAGUCUUAACUGUUGCAUCCUUAGUCAACACUGAUUCAAGUGGAAGAAGGACCAUAUUUGCCUUUGAAAGAUCUUCCAUGAGAGAAUGGUGUACUGCAGCAGCAUCCUUCCCUAAACUAUGAACAUCAUAGAGACCUUCAGUAAUUACCAGAACCUCUUCAAACGUGGAACCACAUUCAGAAGUCAAAGCAGUAUGGCCCCUCAUAACACGACUAAAAGUAGAGAGAGCAACACUGGCUUCAUAGGCACAAUCCCUCACCGCAAGAACAGUGCUUUGUAAAUCAACUGAUGCCGACUUUGCUUUAACAGGAGCAAUGCAGAGUUCAUUGUUUGCGGUAUACAAGCCAUUCGAAGCAGCUUCCACACUGCUUUGUGUAGGUUUUCAUUCUUGCUUAGUACGUAUAAAUGAAUGAUAAGUGACAUCUAGUCUUGUUAGUGCAUUGGAGUAAACUUGCUGCCAUGUACUGCCAUUACCGCCAGGAAUCUCAAAGAUGCCAUCUCUUGAUGCUUCAAACACAAAUUUUGAUCAUAUCGAAUGCCUUCUCUCGAACUUCCCAUAAUAAUUGUCUUCGCCUUGUAAGGUGAUCGUUGAAUUCAGUAGGAAUUCCAGAACUCUUAGUCAAGGUAUUUCCAGUUGCACUGGAAUUUGGGCCACCGCAGGCCCAUCCCAUGGCUCUCUCAAGCGGUCAUUCUGAUUCCAUGUUUGAUGGAGUUGGUCCAGCUGUGCCUUACAAGCUUUUUCUUGGGAAGCUAACUCUUCUACCUUUUUCUAAGAAAGAUGAUCCCUACCCUUCAAAGCAGCCUCUUCAAGAGCCAAUUAUUGCUCAGUAAUGACGCCAAUCUUAAGAAAGUAAUUCUACUCCAGGUCUACUAAAGAAGCUAUCUCGAUUUCAACCUCAACAAGCUGUUCCGGUGUCAUAUCAAUAGACCCUCGGAUUUGUGAGAGGGAUCCAGAUACACCCGUUACUUCCGAGUUAAAUGAAACAAAGGAUUUAAUUACAUCUGGUAAAAUAUCAUCAGUCAUUUUCCACACCGAGCCCUUACAGGAAAGUAAACUUGUUCUAAAAAUGGAAGCCCAGUUCUUUUCUGAAUAGUAUCUUGAAUGCUCCAUGUCUGUACAAACAGUAGGCAUAUCCCCAUUGAUAACUUGUUGCAAUUUAUUAGCAAAUCCUGCUAUAAGUAUGCAUUUCUCUACUCGCUUUUCAAAUUUGCAGAAAAUAGUUCCAUGAAGCUCCCUGGCACAAUUUGAUUCUGGCAAAAUGAUAUGGAACAUAACCAUCCUUGUAUCAUUCAGUUUGGAAAUGAAAUCACUUGAAUCAAUCGUCUGAUUAAUCGUUUUGCUAAGUUUCUGGGGCUCUUCAAGAAGUCUGUCACUGACAGCAAAUGAUGCUUUAAAGACUUGAAUUGAUCCGUCAAGAUUCUCUCCAGCAACGUCUUCAGUAGCAUGAAAAUUGUUGGGUACUUUCGAUGAAGGCGCAUGAAUAGCAGCUCUCAAUAGAGGAAUAUGUAAGCUUAUACCAACAAGCACAGCGUGGAAAGAAUCAAAAUGAAUGGGGCAAUAUGAAUGCAAUCCAAGGAAAGCUUUAGGAGGAAUCUGAAAUUCCUGAACUGAAGCAGAGCAUGCGUCCAGAGAAGCCUGUAACUCGGACCCAUUCUCCAACAUGGGAGCAUACAUAAGCUCAGACUUCAAAACAAUAGCUGAUGUUGAUAAGCCCUCAUAUUUUCUACUGUUGUGAUUGGGGGUGUCCUUUCUUUCUAGUCUUCUUCUGAUGCUCUUUUAUUGAGUUUGGGCCUGCCAAGGGUUUCUCUUCUUCUGCCUUCACUGCUGGUCACCAAUGAUGCAUUUUUACCAGAAGGGAAACUUGGAGCAGAGGAUAAAGUAUCGAAUGCUGAGCUCCCCACAAAAAUAGUAUCAAUGACCACAGAAAAUUGCUUGCUUUUUACACCAGCAACUUUCGCAUCUUCCGUUGUUAUCUCAUCGUUUGAGCAAGUCAUUACUGAAUGUACAAAAUGCAAGUAGUCCUGAAUAUGAAAGAAUUUCGCCUUAAUCUAAGAAGUCUGCUUGGUCCAUUUGCCACCCUAGUUGAAAUCUCCAAGCGUAGAUUCCUUCCCUUAAGAAUAUUUCCAACCAGAUAAACAGGGGACAAAACAUCCUUCUGAUCAAGCAUGUGUGAUCCAUAACUUACAGGUCCCAUGCUUUCAACUUUACUCACUAGUUCCAAAUUUUCUUGUCUUCUGAUCACGCUGUUCAGAGGAAAACCUGUUGGGUGAAGUGUCAUCAGUUGACAUGGUACUAUUGCUUACAAAAAAUUAUGAGCCCAGGUUCUUCUUCCUGCUAUUGUCCAAUUCUGUAGGAGUAAUCUGGCCUUUUCCAUUUUCUUAAACUCCAUCAUGCCUGCCUCAAGAAGGGCCUUUGGCGUAUAUGUCAGUAAAUUCAAGUCUGAACAGUGUCCUAGUAAACAGAUACCCUCCCUGAUCUCUAUCAGUAUGCAUCCUCUGAUUAGGAUUGAUUUCUGGACUGAUUUGAUCAAAGAUCCUCGAUAGCCCUUCCACCUAUUCCAGUGGUAUGGAAAAUCAGAGUCUCGUAUCCUUCUUCUUUUGACAGCAUAUACACAUGGAGCUGUAACUUCAAUCAUGGUUGCACUAGUAGUAAACUUCCACUGCUACUUAAGGAAUCUCUGGAUGCCAAGAGCCUUUCAAUCGCCAUCCCAGCCAUCCUGUCAUAUCCCGUGAUGCUCUGAGUUUGAGUAUUACCAGAACUGCUACUGCAACUAGGGGCAUAAAAAUUUUAAUUCCAUCCUCUAAACUGCUGUGCGGCGUAUUUAGGCAAAUCGAACAGAUUAGUUUAGAAACUCAUUAUGGAACUUUCUCGAUUAGUUGACAACUCUGGACAUCGAAUACCUGCAGUUUUCUCACUUUUAGAGACUGGAAGAGUGGCCUUUAUUGGGUUUUUGUAUUAUAUAAGGCCUCCAUAUUCUUUGCAUAACAAACACCAAUUUCAGAAAUGGCCAAGGCAUAUAAGCCUUACUUAUCUGUAUCCAAUUUAUCAAUACGCCUGCUAUCUAAGAGGAUAGCAGGGUGUCCCGUUCAGAAAUAGCUAAGAACGCAGCCAGUUGACUAUUUUUUUAUACCGUCAAUACUUCAAACUGCAAUAAAUCUUUUACCAAUAGCAAAUGAGACGAUGUACUCCCCAUCAUCAGCAGAGAUCAUACAGCGAACAACAUCAGGGUAACUUGAGAACUUUCGUAUUCUCUAGUGAUCAGAAGAAUUGGAGAUCUUUGAUUGAGCAGCUGUCAAUUUGAACCACAAGGAAUCCUCUAUGGAAUUGAAAAGAGUUGGAAGAUCUUUGAACAGGCAACCAAUAUGCCUGUGAGAACCAGAUAUGAUAGCAUAAAGCAGCAACCACCCCCUUUCUUAUUGAGCAUCCUAAUUAAAUGAUUCUCUUCCCAAUUUGUCUUUCCAGCUCAACAUGUUGUUUAGAUCUCCUAGUGAAAUCCUAACGAGCCUCCUCGAGAAACGCGAAGGAGAUCAGGGAGAUUAAAGAGGUCCUUCAGUGCGUUGAAUAUGAAAUCAUAGUGAAAUAGCAGAGCCUUUCCCCAAUUGUAGGUCUGAAAUGAUGCUGAAUCUCAACUCAGAGUUUUCAUGAUUUGUUUUUUUUUUUAAAGAAACUGCUGCUUCACACCGCUGCUUCAUAAUAAGGAGUCUUCUCUUUAUGUCAGCAUCAGGUUCAAAAUAGCUGAAAUAUCUCUUGAUAGGAAACCCAAGCAAACUAGGUUUCUGAGAAAGCAUGAGGAGUCUCAAAGGUGUUGGGCCAACAGCAUUCUGAACGGUUACUGCAGGUGACUGAAGGGCUUCAGAUCUGAACUCAUAGCUAUUUGCUAUAAAGCCAAUGAAUUUCUCAUUUUCAUCCACCGUAAUUCGAACAAGAAACACUUGCUCAUUGUGUACAUGAAUAUUUCUUUUCAGUAAAUGAGAAUGGUAAUCUUGGCUUCAGAAUUCACCAUAUCCAAUGCUCCCACGUUCACAAAUAAAGGGAUCUUACUCUCUAUCAUGGCGUUAAAAAAAAAACGUCACAGGUCAUGACACUUCUAACUGCAUAAUCUGCAACCCCUGUUGCUGUGAUGUCCAAAACAUCCUGUAUACACCCCCAUCUGACAAGAUCCUCCACUGUUUAAAUUAUGUUCUUCAUAGUAUCUAUCAUCAAGUUAAACAGCCAGAACAAGUGCAGAUCCCUGAACCCAAGCAACUCCAAACUACCAUUAAGAAAGGCAGCAGAAUUUGACGUUGCGGAAAAGCAUAGAGACAAAGUAUGAUUAAGACAUAAGCAAGGGCAGAUGAUGGCUAGGAACCCAGAACUGCUUAUCUUUCUAAUUUUACUUGAACCCCUGGUACUUCCGCAGAAAACAAUUUAGAGAUUCUCACCCAUGUUGUAUCUUUUUGCCUUCACGAAACUGUGGCUGCAUGAUCUCUUCUCCAAUUGCUAGGUUUCCGGUCACUACACCUUUCUUGAACCGAGAAAUUUGCUCCCAAACUUGAAUCUGCCCAUCUAUUUCUUUCCUCUCGUUGCGCGUUCUCUGUUUUUCUCUCUUUGUCGAAUCUAUGGAUUUCUCCCCCCUGUUUCGUGAUAACAGCACGCUUCUGAACAACACCCUUAUAAAACUAUAGAUUUUUCUCAAUGGUGGAAUCAGGCUCCUUCUCGUAGGCAUUUCUUCAAACAACCCCCAUGCUCCUCACUCUUCCUUUCGUGUAGAUACCCUGGAGUAAUCAAAUUUCUAGAAGCCACAUCUCUAACCACCACAUCAACCCAAAAACUUACAUCAUUGUAACCAAGCUUAGCGAGCACAUAAACAUAUAAACCUUGGAAUAUUCGGAUCCGGAGGAGCCACAUCUCUGAUCUCUGUAUCAACUUUCAAAGCUGUAUUACAGUACCCAGAUUUAAUGGGUGCAUAAACAGCCGAUAAGCCACUUGGACAACCCUCUCGAGACCCCUUGUUGUGAUAGCAAUUCCAGAAUUUUGGAGCGUUUAAUGCCUGUGCUAAAACUUAUGACUGCCUUCCCAAACCUUAGAGUCACCCCCAUAUGAAGAGUUGAUGGCUAUGUGACGGGUAGGAAGAAAAACAAAAACGAAUAUGGUAGAGAAUAGCAGAAAUGAUGGGAAAACAGACAUGGAAGAUUCAAAGAAAAUAAAACCACACCUCAUGAUUUUUCAAUAGGCUCAGGUUAGUGGGAACAUGCAUGGAGUUAUAUGCUUCCGAAGACAUUAAUGACAUCCAAAAUCAAAACAAGGCAAACAGGCAAGUAACCAAUCUCAACAAAGCAAAUUAUGGCCCUUUUCGUCCACACAAAAAUCAACAAAACAAUUGAAUAUUCAGGAAUCGAACACACGAAAAAAUCAAGUAUGGGUAAGAAUUCCGAGAGUGGCGAGAAUCAUACCUGGGCAGCCUUGGUUGCAAUUGCUCUCUUCUCCAAUUCCUUUGUGCUUCUCCUCCCGACGAUCCCUGAAUCCCCUCUUCCUUUCUCCUUAUCCUUUUUUAAAUCUUCCAAUUCAAAAGUAAUCUUCACAAUUUCAAAUUCCUCUCCAAAACCUUCCAAGGAGAGUCCCACCUUCCUUAAACUCCAAUAGUAAGUUUCCUUGCAAAAAAACGUGGAAUUUUUGAAGUUAAAUAAUUGAAUGAAUAGAUAAACAAGUAAAUAAAUUAGGAAACAGUAAAAAUAAAUAAAUAAAUAAACAAAAAUAAAUAAUAAAUAAAUAAAUAAGUUAAGGAAGAUAAUAUAAAGAGGAAGAUAACCAAUAAAAAGUGAAUGAUAAUCAUAAAACUAAAACUAAAAAUAAAAUAAAAUAAAAUAAAAAUAAACCGAUAAACAAAAGCCGAGCCCAAAAGCCAUGUAACCAUGCAAGUCAUACAAGUCACACUAAAAAUGUCCAAAUGGGCCAAGUGUGCCUAAACGGGCCUAUGAUGAGACUAAGUGGGCCUAGAGUGGUGCCUAAUGGGCCAAGUGUAUCUAAAAGCUAUCCUAAAGAAAAACAAGAAAAACCUAAGUCUAAGUUAGGGCUGCCAAGGGUCACAAUAAGGAAUCAAAUAAUCCCUCAACCAAAGUCUUCGAUGUGACUCAGAAAAAGGUAAGUGGUAUGAGUAGCCAUGGGCCACCAAGGAACUAUUUUGGAGCACUGAAAACGAACUUAAAGACAUGUGCUAAAGGGACAAAAUCGAGGGUCUACAAAUAUGCCCCUCUUCGGUAUGGAUCACGAGUGUAGAGAACGUGAGUAGAAAUACGAGUAAUGAGCAAAAUGAAGUGAACUAUACCGAAGAAUUAAAGAAGGACCAGAGAUUUUGUCCUAGCACAUGAAGAGGUAAGAUCAAAAGAUGGGGUCUCAAUGACAUGGAUGGGACAACUCUAUGUGGGGGAAAAUGACAAUAUAGAUGGAAAGAGGUGAAAGUGAUGACUCAAAGCCAUGGAUGAGAUGAAUGAAUCUGGGUCAGGGACAAGAUGAACGACUCUGGAUCUAAAAUAGGAUAAAAAGACUCUGGGUCAUGAGCUCAGGGCUCUAAUUGGGAAGAAUGACUCUGGGUCAGGAUGGAAAACGACUCUAGGUCAAGAGCCCUAGGCUCUAAAUGGAAAGGAAAUGACUCUGGGCGGUAAUGGAAAAUGACUCUAGGUCGAGAGCUUCAGGCUCUAAAAUAGGAAAGAAUGACUUUGAGUCAAAAUGGAAAGUGACUAUGGGUCGAGAGCUCCAAGCUCUAAAAUAGGAAAGAAUGACUCUGGGUCGAAAUGGAAAGUGACUCUGGGUCGAGAGCUCCGGGCUCUAAAAUAGGAAACAAUGACUCUAGGUCGAAAUGGAAAGUGACUCUGGGUCGAGAGCUCCGGGCUCUAAAAUAGGAAAUAAUGACUCUGGGUCGAAAUGGAAAGUGACUCUAGGUCAAGAGCUCCGGGCUCUAAAUAGAUAGCCGAUCAGGAUACUUUCCGACUCAAGAUGUCGGGUCGAGGCCACUCACAAGUGGUUAGAAUGAUGAAAAUGAAACAUCUCAAGGAUGUGAAUGAUGCAAAUGACUCCAGGUCGUGAGCUUAAGGCUCGGGGUGCUAUGAAUGACUCUGGGUCAAGAUGAAAAAUGACUCUGGGUCGAUGAAAAAUGACUCUGGGUCGAUGAAUAGCUCAGGGCUAUGAGCUCCGGGCUCUAUGACUGAUCGACUAGAAGGAGAAUGCGAUACGCAAACUCCAGGUCAAACCACUCAAGGGCGACCAACUGAUGAAAGCUCAGCUAAGAGCUGGAGAGACUCCGGGUCUAUAGGAAAUGGUAGCUCAGGGCUAGCGGGCUCAGGGCCUAAGGGAAAAGGGAUAGCUCAGGGCUAUAAGAAUCAGGGUCUAGAAGGAAUGGAUAGCUCAUGGCUACGAGGCUCAGGGCCUAAAAAAAAAAAAAAGGAUAACUCAAGGCUACUAAGCUCAGGGCCCAAGAGAAGAAGAAUGCUCAGGGCUAUAAGACUUGGGGGUCUAGAAGGAAUGAAUGACUCAAAGCUACGAGGCUCAGGGCCUAGAAGAGAAUAAUAGAGAAGACCAACUCGAAAGUGGACAUGAAAUAAAUUGGCUCAAAGCCAUAUACUCAAAAUGUCAAGGGUCGGACUACUGAAACCAAGAAGGGAAAUAUGCCCUAGUAUCCAGGGUGCUCACACUGCUGAAACAACCAGUAAACCAAUCAUCUGCUAGAAUCAAUGGGUCAAGAACCAAUACAUCAUGACAAACCUCUGAAAAGUCAAAACUGAAAGAGGCCUCUGUGUUUGAAAAACUGCUAUGUCAACGAACCUCAAAAGGCAAAUCUCAAAGUGUGUAUAUCAUGGCUCAUCUAAAAGCAAAUCUCAAAGUACACGAAAGUACUACUCAUCUGGAUAACCCAAUAUGCAAGGUAACAAUGGCGGAAACAAAUCUGUCUCAUGAAAAUUUGGCUAAAAGAUCCACCCAUGCUCCUCGAGUGAAACCUGAUGCGAUCCAUCUCUAUCUCAACAAAUCCAUGUAAGGAGGCUCUGAUACAGUCGGUCGUCGAAAGCUCUGGGCUAGUACAUCAAUCUGAAACCAAACUGGCUAUUGUCCCAAUCUCAAGGAUACUAAAAGAAAAUGGGGAAAUAUGCCCUAGUAUAAGAUCCGAUAUCAAAGUCAUGAGGUAAACAACCAACACUAAUCAUCCAUCCUCAUACCAUUGCCCAAACAAAAUCUCGUCAAGGAGAGGGGAAUAUGCCCUAGUAUGGAUAUCCGAUGUCAAAGUCAUGAGGUAAACAACAAACAAUGAUCAUCCAUCCGCGUACCACUGCCCAAACGCAAUCUCAUCAAGGAGAGGGGAAUAUGCCCCAGUAUGGAUAUUUGAUGUCGAAGUCGUGAGGUAAACAAACAACAAUGAUCAUCCAUUUAUGCACAAUCUCACCAAUGAGAGAGGAGUAUGCCCCAGUAUGGAUAUCUGAUGUCGAAGUCGUGAGGUAAAAAAACCAAUAAUGAUCAUCCAUCUAUGCACAAUCUCUAUAACCAUGAAUAAGGAUAGUCAUAUCAUCCAACAACAACUAGAAAACCUCAGAGAAAAGGGGAAAUAUGCCCCAGUGUGGAUAUCUGACGCACAAUCAAAAGGAUGAAUCCAACAUCAUCAAUCAACUGUCUCCAACUCAACAAUAAUCUGCUAAGAAGUCAGAAUGAAGUAUCGACCAAUGCCUCAAGGGGGACACUCUAAAUCUAAUCUCAAAUGGAUAGCCAAAAUGAUGAGGGAUGUGGUAAUCUCAGAAGUAGAAGCAUGUCUCUGAUGAAUCCCUGACUGAAUCUGAUAGGAAUCUGGUAACCUCCAAAUGGGGAAAUAUGCCCCAGUAUGCCUGGUCUAUACACUGCAUUGAAAAUUGCCUCCAACUCAGUAAUAAUCCACUAGUCUAUCUCAGAAGUACUCCGGGAAUGGAACCACUAGGGGCUCAACGAUGCUCCACUAGAACUGAUAUAGUCUCAACAUACCUCACUAGGGAUCUCUAAUCGGUGAAAAUACCCAGACUCAAAGAAAGUGCUCCACUAAGGGCUCAUCUCAACCAAAUGAAAGGGGAAUAUGUCCCAAUAUGGAUAUCUAAUGCACAACCAAAGGAUGAAUCCAAUAUCCUCAAUGAACUGUUUCCAAACCCAAAAAUCCAUCAAACAUCAAUAUGCCAAGCAAGAGAGAGACCAAAUGCUUCCAAAAGUAUCUUCCAUAAAAGAGAACAUAGUAACGACCAUGCUUCAACCAAUCUACUAAAAACCUGUCCAAGUGAAGACUGUCAAAGAUAUCGUCUGAUCUCGUGGCCUCAGGGUGGUCUUAAGACACGGGACGUAACGUAGGCCAAGGUAGUAGGGUGAAAGAAAUGAAGGGAAACUAGGCUCAAAUACCCAAUGAUCAAACCCGUACCCUCGUGUACAAGAUGUAAUGGAUAGAAAAAUCUCAUGAAUCAUGGACUUAGAAGUAACCAAAGGGAAUGUCGAUAACGAAAUGAGAGAAAGGAUGAAUGGUCAAACCAUCAAUGAAAUAUGUGAAUGAUGUGAAGAAGGUAUCAAAUCAGUAAUGGGUAUCAAUAUGUAGGGAAUGAAUAAAAGGUGGAACAAAUAUCUGGAAAGAGGUAAUGGGAUACAAAAGAAAGCAAUGAGAAAGUGGAAUGAGUGAUGAUCAACCCAUGUUAGUACAAUAAAGGAAAGUCAUACCACCAAUGAUGGAAUGGUGGGUAUAAGACACUCCAAAUGCAUAACAGGAGUGGCUCAAGGACUGAAAAACUCAUAAAAACUCACAAAAACCCACAAUGACAAAUAUACCCAAUAAAUGAACCUCCAAAGGUGGUAUAAAUACCCAAUGGAACGAGAUACCAUACAUGAGCAUAUCAUUGCGUUUUUUUUUUUUUUUUUUGUUUAUUGUUUUUUUUUUUUUUUUGCGCAUGCUCUGAUCAUCAAUAAAUCCAACUCCAAUGGAAAAAUAUAAGGAAUGAACAAACUCUCUCUGACCACUGAUGAAUACAUGAACCCUAACCCAUGAGACAACCUCUCAAACUAAGAUCUCCGAAUCAAUGUCAAAUGAUGGAAUGAAUAGAGUGAUAUGACUGCCCUCUUUGCACUAAGACGUGAAGAAUCAUCAACCCAAGGAAGAGAAUAGAUAAGAUGAAGCAAAUAAUGAUAGAGACAAGAAAGAGAAUGAAUAUAUGAUGAUAAUAAAAUAGAACAAAUAGGGUGAUAAGAGGAUGGUAACAAAAUGAGAAGAUAGACCUAUAAGUCUAAAGCUCAUGAGACUUUCCUAGCAAAGCAUACAUAUACAUCAAAGGGCCCCAACCCGGGUGUAGAAAUGGUAAUCAAAGCUAUAAGAAAGAAAUAAGGCUAUAACAUACCACGCGAAGCUUAAUGGGCUAGCAACGGUCUAAUAUAUAGAGGUGAUAAAGUAUGAGGCUAACCGAAAUGAUGGCCACCCAUCCUGCGACCACAGUCUCAAACAUAAUACUUCUUCAGCUGAUCCACAUUGGUAGGCUUUGAAAAUUGGUUUCCAUCUAAGUCUGUCAACCAUGCAGCCCUUUCUGGAGUCAACUCUCGGAUAACAUAAGGCCCACUCCAACUAGGUCUAAACUUUCCUCUAGGGUCUCCAAUCAAACCCCUGAGAAUCCUCAAAACUAAGUCCCCUUUUUGCAAUGGUCUAGGCUUAACCCAUUUCUUGAAGGCACGAGCCAUCUUUCUCUGAUAGGCCUGAACAUGAUCUGCUGCUCUCAAUCUCCUCUCAUCUAAAAGGUUAAGCUGAUCAAAUCGAGCCUGAGCCCACUCUGUCUCAGAAAUCUGCUGCUCAAGGGCUACUCUCAAUGAGCCCAUCUCUGUCUCGACUGGCAAAAUAGCCUCCAUACCAUACACUAGAGAGUAAGGCGUAGCUCCUGUAGAAGUACGAAAAGAGGUACGAUAUGCCCACAACACAAAAGGAAGCUUCUCUGACCAAUCUCGAGAAGUCUCAACCAUUUUCCUCAAAAUCCUCUUGAUAUUCUUGUUUGCAGCCUCUACUGCCCCGUUGGUCUGUGGCCUAUAUGCUGAAGAUCUAUGAUGUCAGAUGCCAUACUCCUGCAACAAAGUGUCUACCUCAGCUCGAAAGUGCGCUCCUCUAUCUGAAAUCAACUCAUGAGGAACCCCAUAACGACAAAUGAUGUGUGAUUUGAUUAAACUGGCAACCCUAGUAGAUGUCAACCUCGCAUAUGAUGCGGCUUCCACCCACUUGGUGAAAUAGUCUAUGGCAACUAGGAUGAACUCGUGACCACUGGAAGAUUUUGGUGAAACCUUCCCAAUAAUAUCAAUACCCCAUACUGAGAAUGGCCAUGGCGAGGUCAAGGCGUGUAACUCUGAUGGUGGUGCAUGUAUGAGAUCACCAUGAAUCUGACACUCUGGGCAUUUCUGGACAAACUGACAACAAUCUGUCUCCAUAGCCAACCAGAAGUAACCCGUCCUCAUAAUCUUAUGAGCUAGCAUGUGUCCUUCCAUCACUCGAUCUAAACAUAAUAGAAGCAUACCAUCAGCUGAUUGCCUGUAUAAGGUAUCUCCGCAAAUCGCAAAUCUAGUAGCCAAAUGCCUCAGUGCUCUCCGAUCCUUGGCAGUGGCUACCUCAGGGUAUGUGCCAGAUCUGAGGAACUGAUGAAUGUCAUGAUACCAAGGUAGAUCAUCCUGGUCCUCUAUCUCUCCAAUCAAACAACAAUAGGCGGGUGCAGACCUCGACUCAAUUAGUAAUUGACGUAUGACUACAUCAAUCGAAAUGUCCACGGAGGAAGCUAAAGUACCUAAGGCGUCAGCAAAUCGGUUCUACGCUCUAGGCAGAUGAACAUAUCUCAAGUCGUCAAAUCUCGCAACCAACAACUCUAAAUAAGCAUGAUAUGGCCUAAGCUUCACGUCCUUAGUCUUCCAAUCCCCCUGAAUCUGCCUGAGUACUAGAUUGGAGUCACCAAACACCUCCAUCUGCCUAAUGCCAAGCUCUAAUGCAGUCUCUAAACCCAGGAUGCAAGCCUCAUACUCAACUAUGUUAUUCGUGAUAGGAUGUCGAUCACGGAACGCCAAAUGAACAGAUCUCGGAAUAUGAUCGCCCUGAGGGGACACUAACAAAACACCUAUCCCAUACCCUAACUGAUUGGCUGCACCAUCAAAGUACAAGCACCAUCCUGAUAAGCUGGUCAUAGCAACAAACUCCUCAUCUGGAAAAUCAUCAUCAACUGGUCUAUCCUCAGAUGUCGGUAGUGAGGCUAAGUGAUCGGCGACAAUACUUCCCUUAAUAGACUUCUGAGAAACAUACUGAAUAUCGAACUCUGUCAAAAGUACAAGCCAUCUCAUCAAUCUACCAGUCAAUGCAGGUCUAUCAAAUAAGUAUCUCAACGGGUCCAGGCGGGAUAUCAAAUGUACUGAGUACUCUGUCAUGUAAUGCCUCAACCUCCUGGUAGCCCAAACUAGUGCUAAGCAUAGGCGCUCAAUCAUAACAUAUUUCACUUCGUACUCCAACAUCCUCUUACUCAAGUAGUAAAUAGCCCGUUCCUUCCCUAAGUCAUCAAUUUGAGCUAACAUACAUCCCAAGGCCAUGUCUGAAACUGACAAAUAUAGAAGAAGUGGACGUCCUGGCGUAGGAGACACUAAAACAGGAGGAGAAAGCAAAUACUCCUUGAUCUUCUCGAAUGCAAACUGAGAGUCAUCAUUCCAAACUGUUGGUUGGUUCUUCCUCAAAAGACGAAAGAUAGGCUCACAUAUGUCUGUCAAUCUGGCUAUGAAUCGAUUGAUGUACUGUAAUCUGCCUAGAAAACUCCUGAUCUCUUUCUCAGUCUGGUGCAGACAUGUCAAGUAUGGCUUUGAUUUUAUCUGGGUCGACCUCUAUGCCUCGCUCACUGAGCAUAUGCCCCAAUAAUUUCCCAGAAGUCACUCCAAAGGUGUACUUCUUGGGAUUCAACCUCAAUCUAAACUUCCGGAUCCUCUCAAAGAAUCUCUCUAAAGCAUCUAAGUGAUCUGCUCUACCUCGGGAUUUCACAAUCAUAUCAUCCACGUAAACCUCGACAUCCCUAUGCAUCAUGUCAUGAAACAAAGUGGUAGCGGCUCUCUGAUAAGUGGCUCCUGCGUUCUUCAACCCAAAUGGCAUAACUCUGUAACAGUAGGUACCCCACUCAGUAAUAAAGGUUGUCUUCUCCAUAUCCUCUGGAGCCAUUAAAAUCUGAUUAUACCUUGAAAACCCAUCCAUGAAAGACAACAUCGAAUGGCCUGCAGUGCCAUCAACCAACAAAUCAAUGUGUGGAAGGGGAAAGUCAUCUUUAGGGCUGGCUUUAUUGAGAUCUCUGAAGUCAACACAAACCCUAACUUUGCCAUCCUUUUUAGGAACAGGGACGACAUUAGCCAACCACUCUGGAUACUCAACUACUGAUAUGAACCCAACACUGAGUUGUUUCUGAAUCUCCUCUUUUACCUGUAGACUCCAACGUGGAUGCAACCGUCUCAAUUUCUGCUUAACUGGUCUAGCAUGUGGUAGGGUAGGUAAAUGGUGCUGGACUAUAGAGGGAUCAAGACCUGGCAUGUCCUCAUAAGACCAUGCAAAGACAUCCAAGUAUGACCUGAGUAAAUGGAUGAGUCUAUCUCUCUCAUCUGUAGAUAGGGGUGAACCAAUCUUCAGCUCUCUAGGCUGAUCCUCUAUGCCAAAAUCAACAGUCUCAAUGUCCCCUGCAGCAGGUGAAACUCUCUCAUCUAUGGGACCAAAGUCAUGAUCAAAAGAGUCCCUAUCCGAACUGGGUUGUGCAAUCUCAUCAUCUAUAUCAAAUAUCUGUGUAAUGGGUGAGUGGGGCGCAGAUGUAGAGAUACUAUCACAAGAGAUAGACGAAUACUCAAAAAUACUCAAAUCCAUAAAUGAAGCAACAGAAACAUCGUCAGAGCGGGAGACAAAUCCCGAUAAAACAUCAAAAGAAAGAGGUGGGUCCACAAGGUGGGACGCUCCCUCAACUGGGCUAACAAUGCCCUCAAACAAGCUACUAUCAUCAUCUGGAAGCUCUGGAACAGGAAGAGUCUGAGUCCCCUCAAAAACCUCAAUGGUAGACACCCCAAACAUAUCGAAUGCUGAAACAGGCUGAAGCUGAACAAUGCUGGUAAUCUGGCUCAUGGUCAUCAUGUCCAUCUCAUCUCGGUACUCAUCAUGGGAAACAACUCCAUCAAUCAUCUCAGUAGAAUCAACCAUCACCCCAUCACCAGUGAUCUCCUCUAGAAAGCAUAGAGACAACAUGCUAGCUCGAUCUGGAGACGUGGGAGUAAUCAUCAAAGGGAAAGAAGAGUCGGGAGCCCCAUCACUCAACUGUAGCUGGUGAAAUAGAUGUUGAAGGUCGGUCUCUCUAUCUGUAUGAACCACACUAUCAAUCUCCUCUAGACGAGGUUGAGUCUCUGAUCCUCUGACAAAGUAGUCAGCCAAACUCAUCGUAUAGGGUCGAAUAGGAUAAUCAAAUGGUGUGUGGGUUAAACGGGCUCUCACCCUCUCCUUGCGUAGCCGCGCCAUGUGACGGUAAUCGACCUCAAUAGGGAUGAAUCCAAGUCCAAAUGUCGUAUCAUGGUCAAUGGCAGCUAUGAACUCGCUCGGUCCCUACUGACGUCGUCCUAACCCCAUGCCAGGUAGAAAGGUCAUACCCCUCAUCAUAUCAAGGACCACUCUGCUACUGUGCUGAUCAAACGACAUAGCCACAAAGUCUCUAUGAAAAUCCUCAAUCUCGAGAGUCUGUAUCUCAUCAAAAGUAAAUCCAGUCAAAAAUAGGUCAUCCUCACUGUGACUAAUCUGAAGUACUGGCUCGAAAGAGGCUAACAUAUCCCUGGUAGACUGUACUGUGAUAACCUGCCCAUCAUGAAUGAACUUCACCUUUUGAUGAAGGGAAGAAGGAAUAACUCCAGCUACAUGAAUCCAUGGUCGGCCCAGUAGCAGGUUAAAGGAUGUAGGAAUCCUCAAAACCUGGAACAAAGUGGAAAAUGUGGUUGGACCAAUCUGCAAAUCAAUCACCAAGGUACCCAUAACCUCCCUCUUGGUGCUAUCAUACGCCCUGACUGUCUGUGUAGAAGGACCAAAAUCUGAAGGUGCGAAACCAAGGGCUAUAGCAGUGGCUAAAAGGCAAACAUUCAGGGCUGAGCCGUUGUCCAAUAGGACAGACGGGACUCUACGGCCUGAACAUCCCACUGUGAUGUAUAGAGGGCGCACGUGGUCUAAACCAUCAGGUGGCAAGUCAUCAUCUGAAAAUACAAUGCAAGUGGCUUUGCCAGUCGUCAUCAUAUGAAUCAAUCCCUUUGGAGUGGUGGUAGUCUCUACUCUGAUCUGACUCAAGGCUCGAAUCAAAGCAUCUCUAUGAGUACUGGAUGAUGCUAAUAACCUCCAGAUGGAAAUGCGAGCCUGAGUGCUCUAUAGCUGUCUCAGAACCUCAUCAUCCUCUCUCCUAACCUCCUCAUGAGAGGCUGUACCCUCAAAUGGUCUGACUGCUGGUGGUGGUGGCUGAGCUAUCCUCCCACUACGAGUCACAAUCUGUACCUCUCUCCCUACUGAAUCAUCAUCCUCUGGCCAUAAAGUGAACGGGACAAAAGCAUCCUGACAUCCGAUAACUAAGGGUGUAGGAUGAGUCAACUGAAAUGGUGCCUCGUCCGGGAUCAAACUGAAUGGUACAUGAGUCUGAGGGACCACUGAAACCCCAUCAACCUCAUAACUGUCAUGCAAAACAGUCGACUUAGGUAAUCCAUCAUCCCAACUCAACAUGUGUAUAUUGUCAUCCUCUAUAAGGUCCAUGUGAUGAAUAUCUCCUGAAGAUGGAUGCACUGCGUGUGUAGAAUGAGCAGGAAGAGGGUUGGUGGUCACACUUAGCUGCCCCAAGUUGACCAAACCCUGGUCUAUCAAAUCCUGAAUAGCAUGUCUCAAAGCGUUGCAGUGAUCCGUGUCAUGCCCUGGUCCCUGAUGGUAGGAACAAUGUAAGUCCAUCCUGAAGCGAGGUGGUAUGGGUUGGGGUAAAGGCCUGGAUGCUAAUGGAAUCAGUAAUCCACCCUCUGCGAGCUUCUGAAAAGCUCGACUCAAAGGCAUACCCAACUGAGCAAACUGACGUGGUGGCCUCUGCACAUAAGUAGUGGUCUGUGGAGCUCGGGGUCGAGUAUAUGGGGCAGGAGGCCUCUCUACGACGUGUGCAGCAAAAACAGGCUGUGAGUCCGGAUGCAGAUAAGUAGGAGUCAUAGGUCUGGAAGGAACAGGUGGCCUAUACUGCACAUGGGGUGAAGGUGGAUAGUAGUACCUAAGAGUCUGCCCAACUUUCUGAUAGCGUCUAGAAGGUCUCAUCCCUGCUGAACUGAUAGCACCAACAUCUCCUGAUCUCUGUCCUCCUGAAGGCCUCUUCCCCUUAGGAUCAAUAGAGGAAGACUCGGACCACAAUUCUCUAGCAAUGCCCUUCUCUAUACCAUAUAAAGCCUGUACCAAAGAUCCAAAAUCCGUAUGAGGAAAUCCCAUCAAGUGUCUAGCAAAUCUAGGCUGUAAGCUCCUCAUGAUCAUGCUAAUCUGAUCCUUCUCGGAAGGACGAUCAAUAAUCUGUGAAAUCUUCUCCCUCUAGUGGGAGAUAAAUGAAGUGACUGACUCCUCCGGCCUCUGUCUCAAAGCCUCCAACUCUUUCCUCAAAACAUCAAUGACAGUGUUAAAUGCAAACUGUCUCAAAAACUUCUGGGCUAAGUCAUCCCAAGUCCUACGGCGUGAUACCUCCAAUGAAGCGAACCAACGCUGUGCAGCUCCACUCAAUGACAUAGGGAAGAGCAUAACCAUCUGGGCAUCAUCCAGUCCAUGGGCCCUCAUAACUGUACUAUAAAGCCUCAAAUGAAUGCGAGGACAACCUAUGCCUGUGCAUCUCUCAAUCUCAGGUAUCCUGAACUUGGCCGGUAGACUGGCCACUGGUGCUCCAUCAAAAUCCUCCCAAGUAAUAGCUCCCUCUAAAGUCCUCAUUUGUCUCAACUUCUGCUCAAGUUUAUCCAUAUGAGCAUGUGGGUCCUCUGAGAUCGGAGUAGGCACUAUGGCAGGAGGUGGUGCAACCUCAGUCUGACUAUGCAGAGUAAAAGGUAUAGUCUGUGGUGCUGGUUGACUGUGCGGAGGUGGUGGUGGUACUGUGGUAUCAAACUGGAUAUCCUCCUGAACUGGGACCUGUCGGGCCUGCUGCCCAUCUAUCCUCUGGCCAAGGCUAGCUAUAGCCUCUUGGAUCGAAGCCAUGGCCGCAGCAAACUGGUCAACGGUAACUAUCUGAGAAUCCAUAUCCCCCUGAUCUGAUAUCUGGUCUGACUGGUUUGAUGCUUUGGUCAAUCUGCCUCCAACUCUAAUCCACAAAGGUGAAUCCAGAUCGGUCAAGGUAAACCCUCCUACAAAUAUGGAAACACUGGAUAAGGUACGGUACGAGUGUGACUCUGUAGGAAUCAAAGGCGUAGAAGCAAAGCCCAAAUAUACUCAAUCUGAUACCCUCCUCUGAUUACACCAAAAGGAGACUAAGGAAGGGAUAACCAAAUCCAAUUGUGACCAAGGCAGCUCUGAAGGUCCACAGAUGCACCCACGUGUAGGAAUGAAAUCUUAAUUGGGUCUAGGCUAACUUACAAGGUUAAGGUGGCUCUAUAAGAUAAAAUGGGUGGGUCAAAGGAUCCCUAGCAGAAGCGAUCGUACCCUCCGGCGGUACGCAACCCUCUGCAUGCCUCCAAGGAGACGGGGUGCUUCCAUGCAAGGUGGUCAUCACCUCCACACAUGCACUUCCUCGCAUUCCUAGGGAGUUUCUUAAUGGUGAAGGCUCUCCCAUCUCUCAACACUCAGGGAUAAUCUAAAGUGCACAAUGAAGGAUGUGGGUGCAUCCGAAAAACCUAAGAUCUAAAGUGAGAUAGUGAAUGAAGACAAGCAAUCAUACGAACAUGCAAGAGAAAGGGUUGUCAUGCAACAAGCAGCCAUGUGUAGCAGAUAAAUAUCAAGCAAUCAAAGUCCUAUCUAGCAUAUGUGAGAGUGAAUCAUGCUAAAGUGAACAAACAGUUAAGUGAUCACAUCAAACAGUCAUGCGAAUCAAAUAAAUAUCAAACAAACAAAGUCCUAUCUAACAUAUGCGAGAGUGAAUCAUGCUAAGUGAGCAAAACAAUCAAGUGAUCAUCCAAGGCAAUCAAACAUGUUAAGAUAACAAACCAAACAAGCAAGCAAAUCAAAUCACCUUGCUUAAAAAGAGAGGUAUCCACUAAUCGACCAAUUAAAUGCCACAUUUUCCUUAAAUAGUGUUCAAGUUUGAUCCUCAAAAUCCCCAGCGGAGUCGCCAAUUUGUGGACCCGCAUUUUUCACGUGCGCCUCCACUCGAUCGGCAAGACUCGCUUUUUAUUUGUGAAAAAUUAAUUUUAAAAAAGUUGGAGUCGCCACCUAUUUUAUUUUUAUUUUAAAGGGAAAAUAAAACAAGAAAGAAAAACCCUAAAAAGUGACUCCAUAGUUUUGGAAAAAGCAUGUCUUUGAGAAACCUGAGUCUAGGUCCGGGGAUCAGGUUACUUAUUGGGAAGGUACCUCUAGGAGGUAGCACCCCUCUAAGCCCUAAAGAGGUCUCUACUGACUAAGUUAAGGGAAGCGUGGCAAUUAAAUGGUUGAUCAUGGAUACCUAAGUAGGCUAGGUGAUUCCAAAAAUAUAGCAUAUCAAACAAGAUCAAAUCACAAUUAAGGAGAGUUAAAAAUGCAUACCUGGACGGCUUCCCAAGCGCUAUCAUAAAACAUAAGAGAUUAGUAUGGAAAUGUGACACAUUAUAUGUAUUUUAUCAAAGAUGAUCAAGCAAGCAUCAAGACAAUCAAGCAUGGCAUCAAACAUGGUCAUAUCUCAUGAGAUCAUACACAUUCAUAGAAUUUUAGGGUUGUGGGGUAAAAAGGGCGUACCUGAUUAGCGAGCAUCCACACGUCUAUGGGAACAAGGGUAUCUCAAAAUAUAAAACGAAUUCAAAUUCAUGUAUAUCAUCAAGAAGAAUAAAAAAAAAUCAACAUAUCAAGCAAACAAUAUUGAAGAAGGUAUCAUGAAUGUCGGGCCCCCACCAAAGCCCUAAUUAAUUUCGCAUGAAUUGAUUUCAUGAAUUCCAUUGUUUGGAAUUAUGAAAGUUUAUUCAUGCUUGUUGAAAAUCGAGAAAAUCACGAAAAUAGUUAAAAAUCAAAGAAAACAUUGAAAGUGCAUGCCCGAAAUAAAGUGGCAGCAAAUUGCAUGUUAAAAUCUGGAUUUUGUACCUAAAAGCUUCUAAGGAACCUUAGAGAAAACCAAAUUCAUUUUUGAUAGAAAAAGGUUUUGAAAUCCGGCUUUAAGACGUAUAAGAUCAUAAAAAAAAUAAAUAAAUAAAUAAAAAAGAAAAAAAAGAAGAAACAAUAGGAGGAGUACGACGUGAGGCAAAGUGACCAUGUUGGAGUGAGGUCGGGGGUUAUGAUCAAGUUUGCACUGUUGGUGGACACAUGAGGAGACCUUUGCAGAGUACUAUUGGAUAUCCCGUACUGUCAUUCAUUUUUGAGCUUCAAGUCUUCACUCAAAAGUUCAUCUGAUUCAUCAAUUCUCUCACGGUUCACUUCUGAAUUUUUCUGUAGUUCGGGACUGUGUUUUCUAACUCAUCAUGAACCUUAUCUUUUAUCUAUUUUCUAGUACUAACUGAUCAUCUGCAGCUCGCAUGAAGAAGUUUCACUGAUUAUUAUUUAUAUGACCCACUUCUAUUAUCUAAAGAUGUAGUUGUAGCAAAGACUUCAAUUUCUGAAUCAGAAUACUCCCAUGUUUGAAGUAGAUUCUCAUUUCUGUUUAGCAUUGUUGAUGUGGCCAUUAAAACUGUCUUGACGAUAGCGAGGAUCUACUAAAGAUCACUUUCCCGACAUCGGUAGCACUACAAGAUAUCUUAAGUUGUGGCUCCAAGGAUUCAUGUUCAAGGAUCUUACUACCAGUGGUGGUUGUUUGUCUUGCUUUUAGUCCUUCAAGCGCUUUAUGAAGAUUCCCAACAUGUAGAUUUGCAAUUCAUGCCGGCCUGGUUAACAUAGAAUAGAGUUCCUUCAUGGAGAAUGUAAGUAAUGGUACCAAGGGUUUCAAAGUCGGACAAGCUUCUCUAAUCCUUAAACAACAGGACUGGUAAAUGGCUUGACCAUGAAUGGGGAAUAUUUCUAGCUUGGUCUCUCUUUCUCGAGUCAUAGCAUCAGUCUUAACUGUUGCAUCCUUAGUCAACACUGAUUCAAGUGGAAGAAGGACCAUAUUUGCCUUUGAAAGAUCUUCCAUGAGAGAAUGGUGUACUACAGCAGCAUCCUUCCCUAAACUAUGAACAUCAUAGAGACCUUCAGUAAUUACCAGAACCUCUUCAAACGUGGAACCACAUUCAGAAGUCAAAGCAAUAUGGCCCCUCAUAACACGACUAAAAGUAGAGAGAGCAACACUGGCUUCAUAGGCACAAUCCCUCACCGUAAGAACAGUGCUUUGUAAAUCAACUGAUGCCGACUUUGCUUUAACAGGAGCAAUGCAGAGUUCAUUGUUUGCGGUAUACAAGCCAUUCGAAGCAGCUUCCACACUGCUUUGUGUAGGUUUUCAUUCUUGCUUAGUACGUAUAAAUGAAUGAUAAGUGACAUCUAGUCUUGUUAGUGCAUUGGAGUAAACUUGCUGCCAUGUACUGCCAUCACCGCCAGGAAUCUUAAAGAUGCCAUCUCUUGAUGCUUCAAACACAAAUUUUGAUCAUAUCGGAUGCCUUCUCUCGAACUUCCCAUAAUAAUUGUCUUCGCCUUGUAAGGUGAUCGUUGAAUUCAGUAGGAAUUCCAGAACUCUUAGUCAAGGUAUUUCCAGUUGCACUGGAAUUUGGGCCAACGCAGGCCCAUCCCAUGGCUCUCUCAAGCGGUCAUUCUGAUUCCAUGUUUGAUGGAGUUGGUCCAGCUGUGCCUUACAAGCUUUUUCUUGGGAAGCUAACUCUUCUACCUCUUUCUAAGAAAGAUGAUCCCUACCCUUCAAAGCAGCCUCUUCAAGAGCCAAUUAUUGCUCAGUAAUGACGCCAAUCUUAAGAAAGUAAUUCUGCUCCAGGUCUACUAAAGAAGCUCUCUCGAUUUCAACCUCAACAAGCUGUUCCGGUAUCAUAUCAAUAGACCCUCGGAUUUGUGAGAGGGAUCCAGAUACACCUGUUACUUCCGAGUUAAAUGAAACAAAGGAUUUAAUUACAUCUGGUAAAAUAUCAUCAGUCAUUUUGCACAUCGAGCCCUUACAGGAAAGUAAACUUGUUCUAAAAAUGGAAGCCCAGUUCUUUUCUGAAUAGUAUCUUGAAUGCUCCAUGUCUGUACAAACAGUAGGCAUAUCCCCAUUGAUAACUUGCUGCAAUUUAUUAGCAAAUCCUGCUAUAAGUAUGCAUUUCUCUACUCGCUCUUCAAAUUUGCAGAAAAUAGUUCCAUGAAGCUCCCUGGCACAAUUUGAUUCUGGCAAAAUAAUAUGGAACAUAACCAUCCUUGUAUCAUUCAGUUUGGAAAUGAAAUCACUUGAAUCAAUCGUCUGAUUAAUCGUUUUGCUAAGUUUCUGGGGCUCUUCAAGAAGUCUGUCACUGGCAGCAAAUGAUGCUUUAAAGACUUGAAUUGAUCCGUCAAGAUUCUCUCCAACAACGUCUUCAACAGCAUGAAAAUUGCUGGGUACUUUCGAUGAAGGCGCAUGAAUACCAGCUCUCAAUAGAGGAAUAUGUAAGCUUAUACCAACAAGCACAGCGUGGAAAGAAUCAAAAUGAAUGGGGUAAUAUGAAUGCAAUCCAAGGAAAGCUUUAGGAGGAAUCUGAAAUUCCUGAACUGAAGCAGAGCAUGCGUCCAGAGAAGCCUGUAACUCGGACCCAUUCUCCAACAUGGGAGCAUACAUAAGCUCAGACUUCAAAACAAUAGCUGAUGUUGAUAAGCCCUCAUAUUUUCUGCUGUUGUGAUUGGGGAUGUCCUUUCUUUCUAGUCUUCUUCUGAUGCUCUUUUAUUGAGUUUGGGCCUGCCAAGCGUUUCUCUUCUUUUGCCUUCACUGCUGGUCACCAAUGAUGCAUUUUUACCAGAAGGGAAACUUGGAGCAGAGGAUAAAGUAUCGAAUGCUGAGCUCCCCACAAAAAUAGUAUCAGUGACCACAGAAAAUUGCUUGCUUUUUACACUAGCAACUUUCACAUCUUCCGUUGUCAUCUCAUCGUUUGAGAAAGUCAUUACUAAAUGUACAAAAUGCAAGUAGUCCUGAAUAUGAAAGAAUUUCGCCUUAAUCUAAGAAGUCUGCUUGGUCCAUUUGCCACCCCAGUUGAAAUCUCCAAGCGUAGAUUCCUUCCCUUAAGAAUAUUUCCAACCAGAUAAACAGGGGACAAAACAUCCUUCUGAUCAAGCAUGUGUGAUCCAUAACUUAUAGGUCCCAUGCUUUCAACUUUACUCACUAGUUCUGAAUUUUCUUGUCUUCUGAUCAUGCUGUUCAGAGGAAAACCUGUUGGGUGAAGUGUCAUCAGUUGACAUGGUACUAUUGCUUACAAAAAAUUAUGAGCCCAGGUUCUUCUUCCUGCUAUUGUCCAAUUCUGUAGGAGUAAUCUGGCCUUUUCCAUUUUCUUAAACUCCAUCAUGCCUGCCUCAAGAAGGGCCUUUGGCGUAUAUGUUAGUAAAUUCAAGUCUGGACAGUGUCCUAGUAAACAGAUACCCUCACUGAUCUCUAUCAGUAUGCAUCCUCUAAUUAGGAUUGAUUUCUGGACUGAUCUGAUCAAAGAUCCUCGAUAGCCCUUCCACCUAUUCCAGUGGUAUGGAAAAUCAGAGUCUCGUAUCCUUCUUCUUUUGACAGCAUAUACACAUGGAGCUGUAACUUCAAUCAUGGUUGCACCAGUAGUAAACUUCCACUGCUACUUAAGGAAUCUCUGGACGCCAGGAGCCUUUCAAUCGCCAUCCCAGCCAUCCUGUCAUAUCCCGUGAUGCUCUGAGUUUGAGUAUUACCAGAACUGCUAUUGCAAGUUGGGGCAUAAAAAUUUUAAUUCCAUCCUCUAAACUGCUAUGCGGCGUAUUUAGGCAAAUCGAACAGAUUAGUUUAGAAACUCAUUAUGGAACUUUCUCGAUUAGUUGACAACUCUGGACAUCGAAUACCUGCAGUUUUCUCACUUUUAGAGACUGGAAGAGUGGCCUUGAUUGGGUUUUUGUAUUAUAUAAGGCCUCCAUAUUCUUUGCAUAACAAACACCAAUUUCAGAAAUGGCCAAGGCAUAUAAGCCUUACUUAUCUGUAUCCAAUUUAUCAAUACGCCUGCUAUCUAAGAGGAUAGCAGGGUGUCCCGUUCAGACAUAGCUAAGAACGCAGCCAGUUGACUAUUUUUUUAUACCGUCAAUACUCCAAACUGUAAUAAAUCUUUUACCAAUAGCAAAUAAGACGAUGUACUCCCCAUCAUCAGCAGAGAUCAUACAGCGAACAACAUCAGGGUAACUUGAGAACUUUCGUAUUCUCUAGUGAUCAGAAGAAUUGGAGAUGUUUGAUUGAGCAGCUGUCAAUUUGAACCACAAGGAAUCCUCUAUGGAAUUGAAAAGAGUUGGAAGAUCUUUGAACAGGCAACCAAUAUGCCUGUGAGAACCAGAUAUGAUAGCAUAAAGCAGCAACCACCCCCUUUCUUAUUGAGCAUCCUAAUUAAAUGAUUCUCUUCCCAAUCUGUCUUUCCAGCUCAACAUGUUGUUUAGAUCUCCUAGUGAAAUCCUAACGAGCCUCCUCGAGAAACGCGAAGGAGAUCAGGGAGAUUAGAGAGGUCCUUCAGUGCGUUGAAUAUGAAAUCAUAGUGAAAUAGCAGAGCCUUUCCCCAAUUGUAGGUCUGAAAUGAUGCUGAAUCUCAACUCAGAGUUUUCAUGAUUUGUUUUUUUUUUUAAAGAAACUGCUGCUUCACACCGCUGCUUCAUAAUAAGGAGUCUUCUCUUUAUGUCAGCAUCAGGUUCAAAAUAGCUGAAAUAUCUCUUGAUAGGAAACCCAAGCAAACUAGGUUUCUGAGAAAGCAUGAGGAGUCUCAAAGGUGUUGGGCCAACAGCAUUCUGAACGGUUACUGCAGGUGACUGAAGGGCUUCAGAUCUGAACUCAUAGCUAUUUGCUAUAAAGCCAAUGAAUUUCUCAUUUUCAUCCACCGUAAUUCGAACAAGAAAUACUUGCUCAUUGUGUACAUGAAUAUUUCUUUUCAGUAAAUGAGAAUGGUAAUCUUGGCUUCAGAAUUCACCAUAUCCAAUGCUCCCACGUUCACAAAUAAAGGGAUCUUACUCUCUAUCAUGGCGUUAAAAAAAAAACGUCACAGGUCAUGACACUUCUAACUGCAUAAUCUGCAACCCCUGUUGCUGUGAUGUCCAAAACAUCCUGUAUACACCCCCAUCUGACAAGAUCCUCCACUGUUUAAAUUAUGUUCUUCAUAGUAUCUAUCAUCAAGUUAAACAGCCAGAACAAGUGCAGAUCCCUGAACCCAAGCAACUCUAAACUACCAUUAAGAAAGGCAGCAGAAUUUGACGUUGCGGAAAAGCAUAGAGACAAAGUAUGAUUGAGACAUAAGCAAGGGCAGAUGAUGGCUAGGAACCCAAAACUACUUAUCUUUCUAAUUUUACUUGAACCCCUGGUACUUCCACAGAAAACAAUUUAGAGAUUCUCACCCAUGUUGUAUCUUUUUGCCUUCACGAAACUGUGGCUGCAUGAUCUCUUCUCCAAUUGCUAGGUUUCCGGUCACUACACCUUUCUUGAACCGAGAAAUUUGCUCCCAAACUUGAAUCUGCCCAUCUAUUUCUUUCCUCUCGUUGCGCGUUCUCUGUUUUUCUCUCUUUGUCGAAUCUAUGGAUUUCUCCUCCCUGUUUCGUGAUAACAACACGCUUCUGAACAACACCCUUAUAAAACUAUAGAUUUUUCUCAAUGGUGGAAUCAGGCUCCUUCUCGUAGGCAUUUCUUCAAACAACCCCCAUGCUCCUCACUCUUCCUUUCGUGUAGAUACCCUGGAGUAAUCAAAUUUCCAGAAUCCACAUCUCUAACCACCACAUCAACCCACAAACUUACAUCAUUGUAACCAAGCUUAGCGAGCACAUAAACAUAUAAACCUUGGAAUAUUCGGAUCCGGAGGAGCCACAUCUCUGAUCUCUGUAUCAACUUUCAAAGCUGUAUUACAGUACCCAGAUUUAAUGGGUGCAUAAACAGCCGAUAAGCCACUUGGAUAACCCUCUCGAGACCCCAUGUUGUGAUAGCAAUUCCAGAAUUUUGGAGCGUUUAAUGCCUGUGCUAAAACUUAUGACUGCCUUCCCAAACCUUAGAGUCACCCCCAUAUGAAGAGUUGAUGGCUAUGUGACGGGUAGGAAGAAAAACAAAAACGAAUAUGGUAGAGAAUAGCAGAAAUGAUGGGAAAAUAGACAUGGAAGAUUCAAAGAAAAUAAAACCACACCUCAUGAUUUUUCAAUAGGCUCAGGUUAGUGGGAAUAGGCAUGGAGUUAUAUGCUUCCGAAGACAUUAAUGACAUCCAAAAUCAAAACAAAGCAAACAGGCAAGUAACCAAUCUCAACAAAGCAAAUUGUGGCCCUUUUCGUCCACACAAAAAUCAACAAAACAAUUGAAUAUUCAGGAAUCGAACACACGGAAAAAUCAAGUAUGGGUAAGAAUUCCGAGAGUGGCGAGAAUCAUACCUGGGCAGCCUUGGUUGCAAUUGCUCUCUUCUCCAAUUCCUUUGUGCUUCUCCUCCCGACGAUCCCUGAAUCCCCUCUUCCUUUCUCCUUAUCCUUUUUUAAAUCUUCCAAUUCAAAAGUAAUCUUCACAAUUUCAAAUUCCUCUCCAAAACCUUCCAAGGAGUGUCCCACCUUCCUUAAACUCCAAUAGUAAGUUUCCUUGCAAAAAAACGUGGAAUUUUUUAAGUUAAAUAAUUGAAUGAAUAGAUAAACAAGUAAAUAAAUUAGGAAAUAGUAAAAAUAAAUAAAUAAAUAAACAAAAAUAAAUAAUAAAUAAAUAAAUAAGUUAAGGAAGAUAAUAUAAAGAGGAAGAUAACCAAUAAAAAAUGAAUGAUAAUCAUAAAACUAAAACUAAAAAUAAAAUAAAAUAAAAUAAAAUAAAAAUAAACCGAUAAACAAAAGCCGAGCCCAAAAGCCAUGUAACCAUGCAAGUCAUACAAGUCACACUAAAAAUGUCCAAAUGGGCCAAGUGUGCCUAAAUGGGCCUAUGAUGAGACUAAGUGGGCCUAGGGUGGUGCCUAAUGGGCCAAGUGUAUCUAAAAGCUAUCCUAAAGAAAAACAAGAAAAGUCUAAGUCUAAGUUAGGGCUGCCAAGGGUCACAAUAAGGAAUCAAAUAAUCCCUCAACCAAAGUCUUCGAUGUGACUCAGAAAAAGGUAAGUGGUAUGAGUAGCCAUGGGCCACCAAGGAACUAUUUUGGAGCACUGAAAACGAACUUAAAGACAUGUGCUAAAGGGACAAAAUCGAGGGUCUACAGUACCUUAAGUGCAUUAAGGUAGUACCUGAAAUUUCUUAUGAUUACAUAAGGUACCGUUGGAGUAACCUAUGAGAACAUAACAAUGUCAUGCUAUAAUAGGUAAUGAAAUUAACUAAUAAAAAUCUGAAGCCACAGAAUGGCUACAUUUCUCACAGGUGCAUUAAGGUAGUACCUGAGGUACAUUAAGGUAGUACCUGAAGACCAUUAAGGUAGUACCUUAAGUGCAUUAAGGUAGUACCUGAAAUUUCUUAUGAUUACAUAAGGUACUGUUGGAGUAACCUAUGAGAACAUAACAAUGUUAUGCUGCAAUAGGUAAUGAAAUUAACUAAUAAAAAUCCGAAGCCACAGAAUGACUACAUUUCUCGCAGGUGCGUUAAGGUAGUACCUGAGGUACAUUAAGGUAGUACCUAAAGACCAUUAAGGUAGUACCUUAUGUGCAUUAAGGUAGUACCUGAAAUUUCUUAUGAUUACAUAAGGUACCGUUGGAGUAACCUAUGAGAACAUAACAAUGUCAUGCUACAAUAGGUAAUGAAAUGAACUAAUAAAAAUCUGAAGCCACAGAAUAGCUACAUUUCUCGUAGGUGCGUUAAGGUAGUACCUGAGGUAUAUUAAGGUAGUACCUGAAGACCAUUAAGGUAGUACCUUAUGUGCAUUAAGAUAGUACCUGAAAUUUCUUAUGAUUACAUCAGGUCGAUGGAGUCACCUAUGACAACAUAACAACGUCAUGCUACAAUAGGUAAUGAAAUGAACUAAUAAAAAUCUGAAGUCACAGAAUAGCUACAUUUCUCGCAGGUGCGUUAAGGUAGUACAUGAGGUACAUUAAGGUAGUACUUGAAGACCAUUACAGUAGUACCUUAAGUGCAUUAAGGUAGUACCUAAAAUUUCUUAUGAUUACAUAAGCUAGCGAUGGAGUCGCCUAUGACAACAUAACGACGUCAUGCUACAAUAGGUAAUGAAAUGAACUAAUUGUGUCUGAAGUCAUAGAAGAGCUACAUUUCUCGCAGGUGCAUUAAGGUAGUACCGGAUGUACAUUAAUGUAGUACCUUAGGAUCAUUAAGGUAGUACCUGAGGUGCAUUAAGGUAGUAUAUGAAAUUUGUUAUGAUUACAUACGCCACCGAUGGAGUAACCUAUGAGAACAUAACAAUGUCAUGCUGCAAUGUGUAAUGAAAUGAACUAAUUGUGUCUUAAGUCACACUACAACAACAUUUCUCAAAUAUGCACUAAGAUAGUACCUGAUGUACAUUAAUGUAGUACCUCAAGACCAUUAAGGUAGUACAUGUUUUGCAUUAAGGUAGUACCUGAUGCGAUGAAACAAUUCUGUCUUCGUUGACAAAAGAUGUACACUACAAAUUCCAACAAACAUUACAAAUUCACAAACACUACCAACAAUUUCUACUAACCUACACAUAAUUUAUGCAUUUUAAUUUUUUUUAUUAUUAUUAUUUUUAUUUUUAUUCUCAACAUAUAUGAUUGAAUUAUCAAGUUUUUCACCAAUAUAUGACAUUGCCUAAUUAUAUUCAUCAAUCUGAAUAAAUACACAAGUUUUCCACCCAAUUUCUAAAUAUGUCCAUAACAUUUUUCCAUUUCAUGAGUCUCCAAUACACAAAAAUAUUGAGAUCGAACAGUCGCUCAUGUGAUCCAAAAUCGACAUUCGCCUCAACCUAUGCCCUCACCAAUGGAGGAAAGAUUGCAAAUACAACAACCACUCGAAAAUCACUCUUCUGCUCCAUUUUAAACAAAAAAAAUAUUAAAAAAACAACCCUAAAUACAAAUUAAUUACCUUCACAUUUGAUGUGAAGGUUACAGAAAAAUGUGAUCCAAUGAGAAGAACACGAGAUUUCUUCUUCAUGAACCCAAUGUAUCAGAGUUGUCGUUUCCAUUCCGGUUCGCUAUCCUAAACUAGAUUUUCAAUCAACACGUACCCUCCUCAAGCCGUCUUCUUAACUCGACCUUGUUUCAAUGAAGUGCUCCAUUUGGUUCUUCACAAUUACCACAAGCAACAAAAAUUUCGAUUCAGGUUUUCAAGUAAAGGUUUAUACUUUCAAAUGUGUGAAAUUUUGCAAAUUUUCACACCCUCUUCGAUCCAGAGGGGUGACGAAAUUGGGAUGAUCGGGUCCAAAUGGUUAGGACUUUGAGAGGAGAAGGGGCUGAAGAUAGAAAACUAGAUUGGAGUUUGGGAUUAAAGGCUUCAGAAAUUAAAUGAGAGAAAUUGUUGAAAAAUAUACAAGAUUCUCUGCUUCGCCUCGGUGACGGAGUGAAGACAGAUGAGAGGAAUGGGUGCCAAAAUGAGAGAGAGGGAAGAAAGAAUGGCUGAACGCUAGGGUUUUCUUGUGGGAACCUCUGCUUUGCCUUGGUGACGGACUGCAGAAAGAUGAGAGGAAUGGGUACCAAAUGAGAGAAAGGGAGGAUGAACGGUCGGUCGCCCAGGGUGUUUUUGUGGAAAGCUCAAUAUUUGAUUUUGCAAAAGAAAACCGGUUCAGUUUCAGCCCGUGCUGAGAUGGGCUACUGACGUGGAUACUUGGAGGGGCAAGCUCGGUAGAAAAAAUACAGUCGGCUCAGAGUGCAUGAAUCUGAUAUAAGUUUCCACAUUAACAGAUGUUUUUCAACUUUCACAAACCUGGGUUCCAAAAACAAUAUUAUUACCAUAUUGGCCCAUGAAAACACAACUUUCCCAAAAAAAUUUGUUGUUUUCUUUUAUUUUGACAUGACAAGUCAAAGAGCUUAUCAUUAUUUCCUUUCAAAAAGAAAAAUUGACACAUGGCAACCAAUCAUGCCACAUGAUUUUGAAUUUUUUAUUUCUAUUUUGUCACUAUUUCAUCUUUUACAUUUAUUAAUUUCGAUUAUUUAUGGAUAAUUUAAACAUAAAAUAAAAAUAUAUAAUAAAUAAUUAAUGAAAACAAAUUUAAUAUAAAAAUAAAUUCAUAAUGAACAAAUUUAGAAAUUUAAGACAAGAUUUUUUAUAUUCUUGCUAAAUAACAUAUAUAUUUAUUUUACAAAUCUUAUUGUAUUAUCAUAUUAUUUUAUUGUUUAUAUUUAUUGAAUACAACUUUUUAUAAGAAAAUAUAUUUAUUUUUUGUUUUAGAUAAAUAAAAAAUAAAAAAUUUAAACAAAACAAAAGUUUAGAACCACAAUGAAGUUUUUAUCUUACAUAAUUAAAAAUACUAAACAUUUUAACGAAGAUGAAAGUCAAAGUUGUGCUCAUGCAAGUUACAAGCAUAAGAAAACUAAAACUGUGAUCAUUAACUUUGAUUUUCAUAUGAAAAUUUUAAAAAUUUUAAAAAUAUAAAUACUUAAAAAAGGAUAAUGUAAUAAGAUUUAUAAACUAAAUAAAUAUUUUAUUUAAGAAGAAUAUAAAAUAUCUUGUGUCCUAUGUGUCAAAUUUUGUUUAUUAUGUAAUUAUUUUAAUCUCAAAUUUGUUCUUAUUAAUAUUUAUUGUAUAUUAUUAUUUUGUGAUUAAAACAUCCAUAAAUAAUUAAAAUCAAUAAAUAUAAAGAAAGGAAUAGUGAAAAAAAAUGAAAUAAGAAAAAUUUCAUGAAGCUACACAUUAAAAAAAAAACAAACAAAAAUAUGGAGAUAUCAUGGAGUAUAAAAAAAAAACCAAAACAAAAAAAUCAUGUGAUAUGGUUGUUUAUCAUAUAAUAAAGUUUUAUUUAAAAAGAAAAAACAAAACAAUAACAAGAAUAGUCUCUUUGGCUUAUCAUGUCAAAAUUUAUAAAAAAAAAAUGUGGUAAUUGACGUGAAGAUGAGAGAAAGGUUAGAAGAAACUUUUGAAAGGGUUAAAGGACACUAUUAAAAGUUUGAUGAUUUCAGUAUUGAAGUGCAUGCUUUCAAGAUUAUUUUAUCCCAUAUAUAUAUAUAGAUAAAACUUGUUUUAAUAGUUGUUGAUUACUACUCAAAACAUGCUAUUUUGUAGCUUGUAAUUAGCUCUUUUAAACACCAUUGAGUAGUAAUUAUUACCUUUUAACCCAAUUAGCAUGUUAGGAGCCCUUGCAAUCGUUUCUAACAAUUGUGUUAAGUUUUGGUGCUUUUUGAUAGCUUUAUGCUCACCAAAGCAAUUUAAGAAUGAGGGAGAGCUAUUUAUAGUUCAGGGCAAAGCUUUUGAAAGCUUAAAUUUAUGAAGAAAUCAAGCUAUGGAGCCUCAUAAUCCUUUGCCUUAGUGGUUCAAAGUAUACAAGGAAGAAACAAUGGAGAAGAGGAAAACAGGGGAUGAAAACAGGGGACACAGCUGCAGUCUUUCAUUGCACUUUUGGAGCACUUCCCGAAGUCCAUUUUUUACAUUCUAUAUACCAUUUCAAAGCUCAGAAAGUCAAGAAUCCAACGGUGCAAACCAUGUAUGAUUUGGAGCUUAAUUGAGAAAGAUAUGGCCUUCGGAAGACAACUGCAUCAGGCUGAGCGAAAAUUUCGCACGAUGGAAAUCAAGGUGCGAAAUCCUCAGUCCACUGUGCGAAAAUUUCGCACACCUCAAACCAAAGUGCGAAAUUGGAACUCAGCGUGCGAAAAUUGGAUAUUUUUGCCGACUCUUUUUCUUCUGAUAUUUUUGUGUCUAAAUUUCCAUUUUCUCCUUGUAUUCAACCACUCAUGUAAUUCCUUAGCUAGGAAGUAUCCAAGGAAGGGUAAAAUUACCUUCCUAUAUAAAUUCUCUUGUAAUCACUGAAAAUGGAUAUUUCGGGGAGCUUUCUCCAGGAGACCAACUUAUGUAACUUUGUUAUACAGAGAUCUCUUUUGUUUAUUUUCUCUCUACUAUUUUCUAUUUUCUUGGAAGCCAAACACCCUCUGAGGAUGUUUUCCCAGAGGAUGAGAGGCUAAACCAAAAGUUUCUUGGAGUAAAGGAAGCUAGGUGAAAAGUCCAGAUUAAAAGGUGGAAAGUUUCCAUGCAUUAAAUUCAGGUAGUUGGAGUCCAUAAAUGGUUUCUAAAGCUAAGGUUUUGCCUUAAAUCCCUUAGGAUCACUUUGACUGGCCAAUACAUGGUAAGCUUAAGGUCUCUGUGGAUGCUUAUUGCUAGAUCCAUAUCAGUCCAUUAGUUAUCAUGUACGAGCCAUUGGAAAGUGAUUCAAGGUGAUAGCCCAUAGUGUCUUAAGCCAUUAAUGGACCUUGGUUACCAUCUCUAGUGAUUUCUAUGGAUUAAAACUUCAUUGUCAAACCUAUACCGGUUCGGGAAAUAACUAUAGGUUAAAUCCCCAAUGCGAGGAGAAAAAUCCGGAAUUUUCCACUUUGCAUCUGGUACUUGAACCUAACAACCUUUAGCUCCGGGAGACUUUCUUCCUUCCACUUUUUACUUAGUUCUAUGUGAGUUUAGUUUAAAUCACCACUUUCAAAACAAUUUUAGUUUCUUUUAAAUUUCAAGUUUGUGCUAAAGGGAAUCAUUAGAAUCAAUUUCUAAUUUAGAGUCUGUCACUGAUAGAGUGAGAACCCAUCUCUGAGUUCGACCCUAGAACUGCUAUACUAUAGUAGCUUUGCUACGCCAGUAUAAGGUCAUAGGUUUUAUAAAUAUUUUUGAUUAAAAGACCCGGCUGGGAAUUCAAGCGAAUCAAAUGGCGCCGUUGCCGGGGAUGGUGCCACAAUACAGUGAUACAACCUUUUAGAGGCUACUUGUGAUUUUUAUCACAAAUUCCUUUUGUUUUUGUUGUUUUUGUCUUAUUUCAGGUAAGUAGUAACUUGUGCAUGCCCUAUUGGAUUAGGGACCAAGAGGGAAGAUUAGUAAGGAUUGAGAAUCCUCAAGACACAGAGUUAGAUAUCUGUGUAAAUAUCAUGGACCCUCCACCAGAGGAUCAGAAUUCUCAACAAGGUCAAGGGGGUAAUCCCAAUGCAUACCUAUCCAUGAGGGAUAGAAUGCAUCCCCCAAGGAUGAGUGCACCCUCAUGCAUCCUGCCCCCUCUUGAGCAGUUGGUUAUAAGACCCCACAUUGUACCCCUCCUACCAACUUUCCAUGGAAUGGAGAGUGAGAAUCCAUAUUCUCACAUCAAGGAGUUUGAGGAGGUGUGUAAUACCUUUAGAGAGGGAGGAGCUUCAAUAGACUUGAUGAGACUCAAGCUAUUCCCUUUUACUUUGAAGGAUAAGGCAAAAAUAUGGCUUAAUUCUUUAAGGCCAAGGAGCAUAAGGAAUUGGGUUGAUCUUCAAGCUGAAUUUUUGAAGAAAUAUUUCCCCACCCAUAGGACUAAUGGGUUGAAGAGACAAAUCUCAAACUUUUCUGCAAAAGAAAAUGAGAAGUUCCAUGAGUGUUGGGAAAGGUAUAUGGAAGCCAUCAAUGCUUGUCCUCAUCAUGGUUUUGAUACAUGGCUCUUAGUGAGCUAUUUUUAUGAUGGAAUGUCUUCUUCCAUGAAGCAAAUUCUUGAGACCAUGUGUGGGGGAGAUUUUAUGAGUAAGAAUCCUGAUGAAGCCAUGGACUUUUUAAGUUAUGUGGCUGAGGUGUCAAGAGGUUGGGAUGAGCCCAACUCAAGAGAGAAAGGAAAGUUUCCCUCUCAACAAACCCAAAAUCCAAAGGCUGGAAUGUACAUGUUGAGUGAAGACGUGGACAUGAAAGCUAAGGUGGCAACAAUAGCAAGGAGGUUGGAAGAACUUGAGUUGAAAAAGAUGCAUGAAGUCCAAGCUAUUUCCGAGACUCAAGCCCAUGCCAUGCCAUGCACCAUUUGCCAAUCAUGUGAUCAUGUGGUAGAUGAGUGCCCAACCAUGCCAGCCGUGAGAGAAAUGUUAGGUGAUCAAGCCAAUGUUGUGGGGCAAUUUAGGCCUAACACCAAUGCAUCCUAUGGUAACACCUAUAAUUCAAGCUGGAGAAACCAUCCAAAUUUCUCUUGGAAACCAAGACCACCUCCAUACCAACCACAAGGCCAAAUCCAAGCACCUCAACAACCAUCUUCAGUGGAGCAAGCCAUUGCAAACCUAAGUAAAGUCAUGAAUGACUUUGUGGGUGAACAAAGGGCAAUCAACUCCCAAUUGCACCAAAAGAUUGAGAAUGUUGAGAGUUCUCUAAAUAAGAGAAUGGAUGGGAUGCAAAAUGAUCUAUAUCAUAAGAUAGAUAAUAUUCAGUACUCCAUCUCUAGACUUACCAACCUCAACACAGUGAAUGAGAAAGGAAAAUUCCCCUCUCAACCAAGCCAAAAUCCUAAGGGUGUUCAUGAAGUUGAAACCCAAGAGGGGGAUUCUUCAAAGUUGAGGGAGGUCAAAGCUGUGAUAACCUUGAGGAGUGGAAAGGAGGUUGAUCAACCCUUGCCUAACUUGGGGCCUGAUGAAGAAUUCAGAUCAAAGGGACCCUUGAUUAAAGAGGGCAAAAACCAAGAAGAGCAGAGUGGGAACAAAAGUGCAUCCAAAUCAAGCAUUGAAGAAGAACCAAGGAUAGUGAUUAAGGAGGAUAUGAUGAAGAAACAUAUGCCUCCCCCUUUUCCUCAAGCUUUACAUGGAAAGAAAGAAAUCAAGAAUUCAUCAGAAAUUCUUGAGGUUCUGAGGCAAGUGAAGGUGAAUAUACCUUUACUUGAUAUGAUCAAGCAAGUCCCCACAUAUGCAAAGUUUCUAAAGGACUUGUGCACAAUCAAGAGAGGUUUACAGGUGACAAAGAAUGCAUUCCUCACUGAGUAAGUGAGUGCUAUCAUCCAGAGUAAGUCCCCAGUUAAGUAUAAAGAUCCGGGAUGUCCCACCAUAUCAGUCAACAUUGGAGGGACACAUGUGGAAAAAGCUUUAUUAGAUUUGGGAGCAAGUGUGAAUUUGCUCCCAUACUCUGUGUAUAAGCAAUUGGGACUAGGAGGAUUAAAUCCCACAACCAUGACCCUCUCUUUAGCUGAUAGGUCUGUCAAAAUCCCAAGGGGAGUGAUAGAGGAUGUUCUAGUUCAAGUGGACAAAUUCUACUAUCCUGUGGAUUUUGUGGUGCUUGAUACUGAUUCCUCUGUCAAGGAAGAAAAUUAUGUACCAAUCAUCCUAGGGAGACCUUUCCUUGCUACCUCCAAUGCUAUUGUUAAUUGUAGGAAUGGGGUGAUGCAGCUCACAUUUGGAAACAUGACAUUGGAAUUAAACAUAUUCCACUUAUGUAAGAGGCAUCUUUACCCUAAAGAGGAGGAAGAAUUUGAGGAGGUGUGCUUGAUCAACACUUUGGUUGAAGAGCACUGUGACAAGAGUUUAGAGGAGAGCUUGAAUGAAAACCUGGAAGUCCUUGAAGAUGGGUUCCCUGAACCCUCUGAUGUGCUAGCCAUUAUGUCUCCUUGGAGGAGACGGGAAGAGAUCUUACCACUGUUCAACCAGGAAGACUCACAAGGAGUUGCUGUGGAGAACCCUCCAAAGCUUAUUUUAAAACCACUUCCUCUAGAGUUGAAGUAUGCAUACUUGGAGGAUGAUGAGAAAUGUCCAAUGGUAGUUUCCUCAACCCUCACUAGUGAUAAAGAGGAUAGUCUUUUAGGAGUCCUCAGAAAAUGUAAGAAAGCCAUUGGAUGGCAAAUUUCUGAUCUGAAAGGGAUUAGCCCUUUGGUGUGCACCCAUCAUAUUUAUAUGGAGGAUGAUGCAAAACCAGUGAGGCAACCCCAAAGGAGACUGAAUCCUCACAUGCAAGAGGUGGUGAGGAGUGAAGUUUUGAAGCUACUUCAAGCUGGGAUCAUAUAUCCCAUUUCAGACAGCUUGUGGGUGAGUCCCACCCAAGUAGUCCCAAAGAAAUCUGGAAUCACUGUGAUCCAGAAUGAGAAAGGGGAGGAAGUCUCUACACGUCCUACCUCAGGAUGGAGGGUGUGUAUAGACUAUAGAAGGUUGAAUUCAGUGACUAGGAAGGACCAUUUUCCAUUGCCUUUCAUGGACCAAGUCCUUGAGAGAGUCUCAGGACAUCCUUUCUAUUGUUUUCUAGAUGGUUAUUCAGGGUACUUCCAAAUAGAAAUUGAUUUGGAAGAUCAAGAAAAGACGACCUUCACUUGUCCCUUUGGUACUUUUGCAUAUAGGAGAAUGCCCUUUGGUCUAUGUAAUGCUCCUGCAACUUUCCAAAGAUGCAUGCUAAGCAUCUUCAGUGAUAUGGUAGAACGCAUCAUGGAAGUUUUCAUGGAUGACAUCACUGUAUAUGGAAGUUCUUAUGAGGAGUGUUUGAUGCAUUUAGAAGCUGUUCUCCAUAGAUGUAUUGAGAAAGACCUAGUGCUAAAUUGGGAGAAGUGCCAUUUUAUGGUGCAAAAAGGAGUUGUCUUAGGACAUAUCAUCUCCAAAAAUGGCAUUGAGGUAGAUAAGGCAAAGGUAGAGCUUAUUGUUAAGUUGCCACCUCCCACAAAUGUUAAAGGAAUUAGGCAAUUCCUUGGACAUGCAAGUUUCUAUAGGAGGUUCAUUAAGGAUUUCUCAAAAAUCUCAAAACCUCUGUGUGAGCUUUUGGUAAAGGAUGCCAAGUUUGUGUGGGAUGAGAAGUGUCAGAGAAGUUUUGAGGAACUGAAGCAAUUCCUCACAACUGCACCAAUAGUGAGAGCCCCAAAUUGGAAAUUACCUUUUGAGGUAAUGUGUGAUUCAAGUGAUCUUGCUAUGGGGGCUGUUUUAGGCCAAAGAGAAGAUGGAAAGCCCUAUGUGGUCUAUUAUGCAAGCAGAACUUUGAAUGAGGCUCAAAAGAACUACACAACUACUGAGAAGGAGUUGUUGGCUGUAGUUUUUUCCUUGGAUAAGUUUCGUGCUUAUUUGGUAGGGUCCUCUAUAGUGGUGUUCACUGACCAUUCUGCUUUGAAGUACUUGCUAACCAAGCAGGAUGCCAAGGCAAGAUUGAUAAGAUGGAUUCUUUUGCUCCAAGAAUUCAAUCUCCAAAUCAGGGAUAAAAAGGGGGUAGAAAAUGUGGUAGCUGACCACUUGUCCAGACUUGUGAUAGCACAUGACUCACAUGGUCUACCUAUCAAUGAUGACUUCCCUGAGGAGUCUCUCAUGUCAGUAGAUGUAGCUCCAUGGUAUUCUCACAUUGCAAACUUUUUGGUUACUGGAGAAGUACCAAGUGAGUGGAGUGCUCAAGACAAGAGGCAUUUCUUGGCUAAGAUCCAUGCCUAUUACUGGGAGGAACCUUUUCUUUUCAAAUAUUGUGCAGAUCAAAUUAUAAGGAAAUGUGUUCCUGAGCAAGAGCAAUCGGGAAUUCUUUCCCAUUGCCAUGAUAAUGCAUGUGGAGGUCAUUUUGCCUCCCAGAAAACAGCUAUGAAAAUGAUCCAAUCAGGCUUCUGGUGGCCCUCUCUUUUCAAGGAUGCCCAUUCUAUGUGUAAGGCAUGUGAUCGGUGUCAAAGGCUUGGUAAGCUAACACGCCGAAAUAUGAUGCCCUUGAACCCCAUCUUAAUAGUGGAUAUCUUUGAUGUCUGGGGUAUAGACUUUAUGGGACCAUUACCAAUGUCAUUUGGACAUUCCUACAUCUUGGUAGGAGUGGAUUAUGUCUCUAAGUGGGUAGAGGCAAUCCCAUGUAGGAGCAAUGAUCAUAAGGUGGUACUUAAAUUCCUCAAGGACAACAUCUUUGCAAGAUUUGGAGUGCCAAAGGCCAUUAUAAGUGACGGGGGAACCCACUUUUGCAAUAAACCUUUUGAGACUCUUCUAGCCAAGUAUGGGGUUAAGCAUAAGGUAGCUACACCUUAUCACCCUCAAACAAGUGGCCAAGUUGAGUUGGCCAACCGUGAGAUCAAGAAUAUAUUGAUGAAGGUGGUCAAUGUGAAUAGGAAGGAUUGGUCUAUCAAGCUCCUGGAUUCCUUAUGGGCUUAUAGGACCGCUUACAAGACCAUUCUAGGAAUAUCUCCCUAUCGCCUUGUCUAUGGCAAAGCAUGUCAUCUUCCAGUAGAGAUUGAGUAUAAAGCAUGGUGGGCAAUCAAAAAGCUCAACAUGGAUUUGACAAGAGCCGGGUUAAAGAGAUGUUUGGAUUUGAAUGAAUUGGAAGAAAUGAGGAAUGAUGCAUACCUCAAUUCAAAAAUUGCCAAAGCAAGAUUGAAAAAAUGGCAUGAUCAGUUGGUAAAUCAGAAAAAUUUUACCAAAGGACAAAAAGUUUUGCUUUAUGACUCUAAACUUCAUCUCUUUCCAGGAAAAUUGAAAUCCAGGUGGACGGGUCCUUUCAUAAUUCAUGAAGUGCAUCCCAAUGGAGUGGUGGAAAUAUUCAAUCCCACAGGCAAUUAAACCUUCAAAGUCAAUGGCCAUCGUCUCAAGCCAUUUAUAGAGCCUUACAGUACAGACAAGGAGGAGAUCAACCUCCUUGAACCACCACAACUCUGAGGGAAAGCAGGGUAUCAUGGGCUAAAUAAGUCCAUGAAUUUUUUGUUAUAGUUUUAUAGUUAUAUCAUUAAUUUUAUUUCUUUUUAUUAUAAUUUUUCCUCAAUCUUAGUUUAUUUUGUCUUAAUUCAAGUCAAUUUUGAUGAUAAAUUUCAGAAAAAAAUCAUGAAAGGUGAGGAGAGCUCUUCAAAAGCAGAACAGGGGAGUAAAACCAAGGAAGCAGAGCACCUGAUUUCAAGGUGCCAAAAUUUCGCACACCUGAUUUCAAGGUGCGAAAAUUUCGCACACCCCAAAACCAAGGUGCGAAAUCCUUGGGCCAAAGGAAGCAAUUUUCGCACACCCCAAUUUCAAGGUGCGAAAUCUAUCUCAAGGUGCGAAAUCCGUUUUCAAGGUGCGAAUUUCCUAAAAUCCAAUUUCGCACACCACUGUGUAAGGUGCGAAAAUUUUCGCACUGUGCGAAAUCCUCUCCUGGCACACGUGUGCCAAUUUCGCACACCUCAAGCUAAUUUUCGCACUGUGCGAAACAGUGUGCGAAAAUUUCGCACACCCAAUUCCAAGGUGCGAAAUCUUCAAUUGAAGGGGUGCCAUUUUCGCACACCCAAUUCCAAGGUGCGAAAUUUGCAGACCAAGGUGCGAAAAUUUCGCACGGUAAAAUUUUAAGUUCUAAAAAUUUAAAACGGACUUUUAAAUUAAAAUUUUACUCCCGAAAUUGUGCCUAACGUCCAAAAACGACUUUUCGGUUGCCUUGGAAAAUUUUAAAACAUCAGAAACCCCUUAAACCUCAUUCCUAUAUAAACCCUUGAGGUCCAGAAGCCCAAAGGACACCCCGCGCACCAGCUGUGAAAUCUCUGGAAUCCCGAACAGUCAUCUACCUCCAUUUCGUCCAUGGCGAAGACCAGAGGAGGCCAUUCCGCCUCCCCAUCCUCACCGACACCUCGACCACAUCGAGCCGCCAUGGGAGCCGCAGCUUCGCCACCUGUUCAGGCCCCAACCAUUCCCCCAUCUGAGGGGGAAGCUCCUUCUCAGCGUCGAUACCUCACCAGGAGGCCACCCACGGACCCUGUGCCACCAGUCGAUCAGGCCACGAGCCCUGUUUCUCAGCCACCAGCGAAGAGAACCAAGUUCUCGGGUCCUGGAGAGCCAUCCCACGCACCUCAGCUAGAGCCACCUACAGAGGACUCCCGGAUUCCUGCGGAUAUUCCUCUCGAGACCGUUAUCAGGCGUCCCAUGAUAGCUGGACCACCGAUAGAGGGCAACUUGGAUUGCAGAGAUCGAUCCUUCCACUUUGAGACCUACUUUGAUAUAGAGGCCCUCAGACAGCAGCCAGAGCUCCGAGAUUCAUUCCGACUGCUGCAGAGGUAUCACAUGGAGGGUCUUCUCACUCCUAGGCAAUUCUACUAUCCCAGAGUAGUUCUAGAUUUUUAUCAAUCUAUGACUACUCGAGGCCUCCGCAAUCCUACUCUCAUCCAAUUUACCAUAGACGGACGCCAGGGUGCCAUUGGAGCUCGCCACAUUGCUGAGGCCCUCCGUAUACCUUAUGAGCCCGUGUUUCAGGCAGAUUUCAGGGAGUGGUCCUCAUUCUCUCAGAGCGACAUGGUCUGCAUUUUGUCCAGGGGGACUUCUACAGCCUCGGUAUUGACCAGGAGAGAGCUUCCAUCUGGGAUGCUCCUCAUUGAUGUGCUCCUGCGUGCCAACCUAUUCCCCCUUCAGCAUAAUGUUCAGAGGAGAGGAGCUAUACUUGAGGCAUUAUUUAGGAUUUCUGAGGGCUAUUUCUUCGGCCCUCAUCAUUUGAUUAUGACUUCUCUUCUUCAUUUUGAAGAGAAAGUCCAUCAGAAGAAGCUUCAGAGGGCAGAUGGCAUUCCAUUACUAUUUUCGAGGCUCCUUUGCCAGAUUUUAGAGCAUCUGGGCUAUCCUGAACAGCCCCGUCUUGAGAGGCGCCGCCAUUGCAGAGAGGAUUUCUCUCUCGACAAAUGGCAUCACUUAGUAGCCUACUUUGCACCCGAGGGAGCACCAGUUGUGCCUGCACCUCCAGAGCUACCCCGAGAUGACCAGCUACCUCAGGCCCAGCAGGAUGAGAUUCUCACAGAGACCACACCUCCGACCCCUGCAGCACCCACCUCAGUGCACAUGCCCGAGGCUAUACAUUCUACCUCCCCUAUCACUCAGGCUGCUCCACCAGUCGUACCAGCUACCCCAGCACCUCCUCUUUCAUCUGAGCCCACUGUCACCGUUUCUCUUGCGGAAUUCAGAGGCUUAGUGCGUUCAUUGCAGACACUGAGCACUGCUCAGGAUUCUAUUAUCCACCAGAUGGCCACUAUUCGUGCACACCAGGAUCAGAUCAUUGCUACUCAGACCCAGCAUACCACGAUCCUUCAUCAGAUUCAGCAGCAUCUGAGUAUGCAGACUCCUCUUAGGCAUGAUAGGUUUGCACCAUCCGAGCCACUAGUGCCAGAUGAGGAGAGCUUGCCAGCUGAGCAGCCUAUACCAGAUGAGGAGAUCAGAGCAGAGCCAUCACAUGACCCCACUCAUAUCUGAUCUUUUUAUGUUUUACUUUAUAUAUUAGACUUGUAAAUCCCAUCUUUUGCAUUGUAUAUUUCUUUUCCAAGUAAUAUAUACAUAUAUAUAUAUCCUUUUUUAUUAUAUUCCCUUUUCUCAUUACUCUUUUGUCUUUGGAACAUAUGGUUUAAGGUAUUCCAUACCUCCUUUACACUCAGACUUUGUCUCGCUCAGGAGGUACCAUUUCCUCCCUUUAUUUUUAAUCGCUUUUGAAACAUUGAGGACAAUGUUCAACUUGGUUGGGGGGAGAGUUGAGAAAGGAAGUUUUGUUGUUAAUAUUAAGUCAUUUUGGUAUUUUAGUUGAUUUUUCCUUAAAAUUUAAAAUUGCUAAAAGUUUUUUGAAUCAUUCUCUUUGGUUGUUAAAGAUAAUUUCUCAAAAAUAAAAUAGGAUAAGUCGAGUUUUAACUUAAUUAUUUAAGUCUUAGAGUUUGUUUUAUGCUUUCAAAGUUGAUAAUCUAUUGAAGCCUCUUUGAUUUUGAACUUUCUUCUUCCAUUUCGAGCUUUACACACUGUGCACAUUAGAUCCCGGAUAUAAGAUGUAAAACUUUCUCACUUUCUAAGCUUAGGAAAAUUUUGACUUGGUUGAUUACUUAACCUCUCUUUAAUAAUGUUGGGACACCUCAUAAAGACCAAUGAGUCUUUGAAAAAAAAAAAAAAAAGAGAAUAAGCCUCUAUUCUUUCCUUGAAACCUAAGUAUGAUCCGAAGGGGUGGCAAAAGCCUUUAAAACCCGAUGCCCUAAACCUUGAUUGGUUGGGAGUCAUCGAUCCUCUGCUUGCUACAUAGGUGAAUUGGUUAAGUUUAGUGAGUAAAAAGAAUUGUGAAUAAGAAGGUGCGUUCUUAACCUAUUAAGAGUUGAUUAAUUUUGCCAAUAUUCGAGAAAAGCUUAGGUUGGAGGGUGAGGAUAGUUGUAUAUACUAUAUCCGGAAGCUAAUUUCAUUAACACUUAGCUUAUUAUGGAAGAGUUUGAUUUGAAACCUUGAGAGUAGAGAUUCCUUUGAUACUUAAUUGCAUAAUCUCCACUCUUUGUACUUUUUGUUUAAGUUUAAGCUUUGACAACUCCUAUUGCAUUUUGAAUCUUCAUAUCUUUAGUUCACCAGGAGAGAUGUGUUUGGAUAUCAGUCAUGCCACUCAAUUAUUUUUUUGAAUGAAUUGCAUGACUUCUUUUAUGUAUAUUAUUACGUUUGCUUAGUUUUUCUCUCUUUAAUUGCUAAGGGACUAGCAAUAUGUCGGUUGGGGGGAGUGAUUACUACUCAAAACAUGUUAUUUUGUAGCUUGUAAUUAGCUCUUUUAAACACCAUUGAGUAGUAAUUAUUACCUUUUAACCCAAUUAGCAUGUUAGGAGCCCUUGCAAUCGUUUCUAACAAUUGUGUUAAGUUUUGGUGCUUUUUGAUAGCUUUAUGCUCACCAAGCAAUUUAAGAAUGAGGGAGAGCUAUUUAUAGUUCAGGGCAAAGCUUUUGAAAGCUUAAAUUUAUGAAGAAAUCAAGCUAUGGAGCCUCAUAAUCCUUUGCCUUAGUGGUUCAAAGUAUACUAAGGAAGAAACAAUGGAGAAGAGGAAAUCAGGGGAUGAAAUAGGGGACACAGCUGCAGUCUUNNNNNNNNNNNNNNNNNNNNNNNNNNNNNNNNNNNNNNNNNNNNNNNNNNNNNNNNNNNNNNNNNNNNNNNNNNNNNNNNNNNNNNNNNNNNNNNNNNNNAGCCUAUACCAGAUGAGGAGAUCAGAGCAGAGCCAUCACAUGACCCCACUCAUAUCUGAUCUUUUUAUGUUUUACUUUAUAUAUUAGACUUGUAAAUCCCAUCUUUUGCAUUGUAUAUUUCUUUUCCAAGUAAUAUAUACAUAUAUAUAUAUCCUUUUUUAUUAUAUUCCCUUUUCUCAUUACUCUUUUGUCUUUGGAACAUAUGGUUUAAGGUAUUCCAUACCUCCUUUACACUCAGACUUUGUCUCGCUCAGGAGGUACCAUUUCCUCCCUUUAUUUUUAAUCGCUUUUGAAACAUUGAGGACAAUGUUCAACUUGGUUGGGGGGAGAGUUGAGAAAGGAAGUUUUGUUGUUAAUAUUAAGUCAUUUUGGUAUUUUAGUUGAUUUUUCCUUAAAAUUUAAAAUUGCUAAAAGUUUUUUGAAUCAUUCUCUUUGGUUGUUAAAGAUAAUUUCUCAAAAAUAAAAUAGGAUAAGUCGAGUUUUAACUUAAUUAUUUAAGUCUUAGAGUUUGUUUUAUGCUUUCAAAGUUGAUAAUCUAUUGAAGCCUCUUUGAUUUUGAACUUUCUUCUUCCAUUUCGAGCUUUACACACUGUGCACAUUAGAUCCCGGAUAUAAGAUGUAAAACUUUCUCACUUUCUAAGCUUAGGAAAAUUUUGACUUGGUUGAUUACUUAACCUCUCUUUAAUAAUGUUGGGACACCUCAUAAAGACCAAUGAGUCUUUGAAAAAAAAAAAAAAAAGAGAAUAAGCCUCUAUUCUUUCCUUGAAACCUAAGUAUGAUCCGAAGGGGUGGCAAAAGCCUUUAAAACCCGAUGCCCUAAACCUUGAUUGGUUGGGAGUCAUCGAUCCUCUGCUUGCUACAUAGGUGAAUUGGUUAAGUUUAGUGAGUAAAAAGAAUUGUGAAUAAGAAGGUGCGUUCUUAACCUAUUAAGAGUUGAUUAAUUUUGCCAAUAUUCGAGAAAAGCUUAGGUUGGAGGGUGAGGAUAGUUGUAUAUACUAUAUCCGGAAGCUAAUUUCAUUAACACUUAGCUUAUUAUGGAAGAGUUUGAUUUGAAACCUUGAGAGUAGAGAUUCCUUUGAUACUUAAUUGCAUAAUCUCCACUCUUUGUACUUUUUGUUUAAGUUUAAGCUUUGACAACUCCUAUUGCAUUUUGAAUCUUCAUAUCUUUAGUUCACCAGGAGAGAUGUGUUUGGAUAUCAGUCAUGCCACUCAAUUAUUUUUUUGAAUGAAUUGCAUGACUUCUUUUAUGUAUAUUAUUACGUUUGCUUAGUUUUUCUCUCUUUAAUUGCUAAGGGACUAGCAAUAUGUCGGUUGGGGGGAGUGAUUACUACUCAAAACAUGUUAUUUUGUAGCUUGUAAUUAGCUCUUUUAAACACCAUUGAGUAGUAAUUAUUACCUUUUAACCCAAUUAGCAUGUUAGGAGCCCUUGCAAUCGUUUCUAACAAUUGUGUUAAGUUUUGGUGCUUUUUGAUAGCUUUAUGCUCACCAAAGCAAUUUAAGAAUGAGGGAGAGCUAUUUAUAGUUCAGGGCAAAGCUUUUGAAAGCUUAAAUUUAUGAAGAAAUCAAGCUAUGGAGCCUCAUAAUCCUUUGCCUUAGUGGUUCAAAGUAUACAAGGAAGAAACAAUGGAGAAGAGGAAAACAGGGGAUGAAAAUAGGGGACACAGCUGCAGUCUUUCAUUGCACUUUUGGAGCACUUCCCGAAGUCCAUUUUUUACAUUCUAUAUACCAUUUCAAAGCUCAGAAAGUCAAAAAUCCAACGGUUCAAACCAUGUAUGAUUUGGAGCUGAAUUGAGAAAGAUAUGGCCUUCGGAAGACAACUGUAUCAGGCUGAGCGAAAAUUUCGCACGAUGGAAAUCAAGGUGCGAAAUCCUCAGUCCACUGUGCGAAAAUUUCGCACACCUCAAACCAAAGUGCGAAAUUGGACUCAGCGUGCUAAAAUUGGAUAUUUUUGCCGACUCUUUUUCUUCUGAUAUUUUUGUGUCUAAAUUUCCAUUUUCUCCUUGUAUUCAACCACUCAUGUAAUUCCUUAGCUAGGAAGUAUCCAAGGAAGGGUAAAAUUACCUUCCUAUAUAAAUUCUCUUGUAAUCACUGAAAAUGGAUCUUUCGGGGAGCUUUCUCCAGGAGACCAACUUAUGUAACUUUGUUAUACAGAGAUCUCUUUUGUUUAUUUUCUCUCUACUAUUUUCUAUUUUCUUGGAAGCCAAACACCCUCUGAGGAUGUUUUCCCAGAGGAUGAGAGGCUAAACCAAAAGUUUCUUGGAGUAAAGGAAGCUAGGUGAAAAGUCCAGAUUAAAAGGUGGAAAGUUUCCGUGCAUUAAAUUCAGGUAGUUGGAGUCCAUAAAUGGUUUCUAAAGCCAAGGUUUUGCCUUAAAUCCCUUAGGAUCACUUUGACUGGCCAAUACAUGGUAAGCUUAAGGUCUCUGUGGAUGCUUAUUGCUAGAUCCAUAUCAGUCCAUUAGUUAUCAUGUACGAGCCAUUGGAAAGUGAUUCAAGGUGAUAGCCCAUAGUGUCUUAAGCCAUUAAUGGACCUUGGUUACCAUCUCUAGUGAUUUUUAUGGAUCAAAACUUCAUUGUCAAACCUAUACCGGUUCGGGAAAUAACUAUAGGUUAAAUCCCCAAUGCGAGGAGAAAAAUUCGGAAUUUUCCACUUUGCAUCUGGUACUUGAACCUAACAACCUUUAGCUCCGGGAGACUUUCUUCCUUCCACUUUUUACUUAGUUCUAUGUGAGUUUAGUUUAAAUCACCACUUUCAAAACAAUUUUAGUUUCUUUUAAAUUUCAAGUUUGUGCUAAAGGGAAUCAUCAGAAUCAAUUUCUAAUUUAGAGUCUGUCACUGAUAGAGUGAGAACCCAUCCCUGAGUUCGACCCUAGAACUGCUAUACUAUAGUAGCUUUGCUACGCCAGUAUAAGGUCAUAGGUUUUAUAAAUAUUUUUGAUUAAAAGACCCGGCUGGGAAUUCAAGCGAAUCAGUUGUUUAUGUGACAUGACAAGAAGGAAAGAUAGUUAAAGACUUUUAUUUCUUUAAGGGAUAAUUGUGUUUUGGACCCAGUUGGGCCCAAAAAUUAAGCUUUGGUUCAUAUAAGUGAACCAUUUAAGCCCAAGACCUAAAGAAAGUGUCAAAAUCGAGAAGAAUAAUAUGAAUUUUUAAUAUUUCUAGAAAAAGCCUUUGUUGACUAUUAAAAAAAAAAAAUCCAAGUUUGAAUUCUUACCAUAAUUUUUCUCUUUCUUCAGCAUUUCAGCCCUAGACAAUGGUUGUUUUCCUCUCUCUCUCUCUCAAUUUCCUCCCUCGCUUCUAUUUCAUCUUUGUGUUUCCUUCAUUUUCUUUCAAUUUUAUCUCUCCCAACCAUUUGAUUUCAACUCAAAUACAUUUUCAUAAUGUCUUUCCUAAUUUCAGUUCACCAUCUAUCGUUCCAUCGUCGACCCCCUUUGGCAUUGUCCUCUGUGCCGACCGUAGUUGGCUAUUUGAGGUUAGUAGGUUCUCCUAUUUUGUUUUCUCUCAAUUUCAUCUCUAUCGACCAUUUGAUUUCAGCCCAAAUACGUUUGCCUAAUCUCUCUCCUGAUUUCAGUUCACUGUCUGUCAUUCCCUCAUUGAUCCCCACCAGUAUUGCCUUCCAUGCAAACCAUAGUUGGAUAUUUGAGAUUAGUGUGCUCUCUAAAUCUCACCCUAGAUUUGUUUAAUCCUAUAUUUUGUUUAAUCCUCAUUGGUAUGAGGAGAGAGAUUUUUCUUUUGUGUUAACCUACAUUUUACGAAGUCAAUUUCGGGUGCAAUUAAUAUUUUUUGCAAACCUAUCUCAUAAUGGAAAUAGUUCUUAUUUAUUAUAGUGUUUUUUAUGCUAAGAUACAUAGGUGACUUGUGAAUUUUGGGUCCUUAGCUUUUCUUUUUUUACACUGAUGGAUUUUUCUGACAAUUGAACCAAAUUAUGGGGAUGGAAUAUCGAAAUUAUGCACCAUCCCUUCAUAAUUUUUGGAUAGUAGUAUUCAUCUAUACCCUAUUUUAUUGGUGAUACUCACUAGUGGCCCUCGUUUUUUGUUCCAAGAUAAACAAGCUUAGUUGUUAUCUGCCUUUUAUGAGUGGUUAUGAAUUGUUCUCCUCAUGACAUAAAUUAAAACUAUUCAUGCGCCUGAAUACAAUGAGUAUCCAAAUAGAAUUCUAUGAUGGCACCAAUAAAUACAACGUGUCAAUAUUCUUUUAUAAAAAAAUUAUUAACCAUGUUACCCUUUAGCCUUGUAAACCAAGGUCAUGGGGUUAGAUUCAAUCAACAUUGGCUCACACUUACCUCAAUAUGAGCAUAAACCUGUGUCUCAUGUGAAAGAAUAGAUAGCUUAUAUUACUCAUUAACACCAAUUUGUAACUGCAUAGCACAUAACAAAUUUCAUUGGCAAAAUUGGCAUUUCUUCAGUAAAAUAAACAAAAUAAUACAAACUAAAACAAACUUCAAAUUACUUUUAGGGACUUUCAUGUGAAUAUGAAAAUAAAGUUCUAAUGAAAAAAGAAAUCAUAUACUACUAUUUUCCUUAUUAUUCCAAACCUUUGGCUCAGGGUUUGAUUUCCACAUCAAAAAAAGUACUCAUCAAAUAAAAUGUACACAACAUCACUACAAUUCCCAUACCAAGUCAAUUUUUAAAUUUUUGUAAAAAUAAAUUGAAAAUAUAUGAACAAUCAAACUCCUAUGCAUUAUAAGAACUAAAAAUCAAAACUCUUAUCUUCAUUCAUAAAGAAAAAGUGCUUAUUCAAAAGUUGUUUUCAGAUCAUGAUUUAACUUCAAUAAAUAAAAGGGUUUACUUGAACAAUAACAAGUGUAUUGACUGGACUUGGUUUUCUUAAUCAAGUCUCUGAAUCAAUGUUAAGUUUGAUUUAAUGAUAAUAAGUUUUUUUAUUCUAUUAGUAGUUCUGAGUCAUAUGUGCAUGAGCAUAGGUGCAUAUGGUGCUAUGAACAAGUUGUGGAACCUCAAAUUAGUUCAUCAAUGUAAGGUUGAAGACCUAGUAGGGUACUUCAUUCAUAGGAACAUGAAUUGGUUUUAUGAAGAUUAUGGAGCAUAAGAUCAUAUAUGUUAUUGAGGAAGCUAGGAUUUAUGGCAUGGUAGUUAAAAGUUGUAGUAGAAGUGAUAUUCUAAUUCCUAGGUUAAAUGUUUCAGCAACUACUAUGUCUCAUGUAUUUGUUAUUUUUUUUUUUAGUGCAUUAUUAUGAUUUUAGGGAAUGUUUUAUAUUUUUUUCAUGCUUGUCUUUAUGAAAAAAAAAACAUUCAAAAUUGACCAACACUAAGUCAUGCUAAGGUGAGCAUCUCAUAGGGUCAGACAAGGCACCCACUGCACUUUAGCCCAUGUCGUUGCAAUUGUCAAUAUAACAAAAAAAAAAAAAAAACACAAAAUACACAAAAAGUAACCAAAUAUUUUUGUGUUAUUACCUAUUAUUAGAUCAAUUGACUGUGAAUGGAAUGAGUAAUUAAAAGUUACAAGUUAUCCAUCAUGAAAAAUACGAACCAAAUUUCUAUCAACUAUACGAACCUGACUUAGGAAACAAGUUAACAGUUGAAAAACUAGGCAUUGAACUACAAAAAGUGUUUAUCUACCAAUUAUAAUUGUCCUGCUACACAAAUCCUGUUUAUCCAUCAAACUAGAUUGAGGAUCGUCUCCUUUCUAAAUUUAGGGUCAUAUGGUCUUCUUCCCUCUUGUCCUGAAUAGAUGCCUGCGUCUAGGUUUCAACUAAUAUAUUCAUUUUCUAGUCAUUUAUCUAUCUUAACACCUCCAUUUUAGCAUGCUUAUUUUAUGUGGGUAAACACCAAUAGUACAAGGCCUAUAUCUAGGUAAAUUGCCCUUUAAUGUUAACCUAACAACCUAAAACCACUUUCCUACAACAUCUAUCAUGCUCUAAUCUUGUAGUUAAUGUUCACUUCAUUCUCUAUAUAUCAAUGAUCAGUUGAAAGAGAACCAAAUAGUCACUUGGCCAUCAAUUCUUACAAUUCCUCUAUUUCUACUCUUGCAAAUAUUUAUAAAUUCUACUCUAGGCUUAUUGGUUUUUUUAUGGAUAGGCAAACAAUAAAAUAUAAAAGAUGCCACUCAAAGAACACCACAAGUACACGGGAUAAUUGUACUCUAGUUAGUAAAGUUAUAUUUUAUAAAAUUUAAUUUUUGUUUAAUUUAAAAUCCCUAGAUUGAAAGGUUCCUUUUCACAGUUAUAACUUAAAUAAAAUCCAUACGAUUUACACACCACAUAGGAAAAAAGAUAAGGAUCUAAUGUGAACCUUAAGAUAAGCAUGAUUUGGAAUUGAUUUGCCUAUUUAUCUUUCAAUACUCAUGUUUUUCAAUGUAUUAGUUAUUUAUCACAUUAAUAUAUCUUGUGUCCAUGCUCUCAUUCAAAACUUGAACUUCUUGUCCAUCCAUACAUCAAAUAUUUUUUAAUCCUUGUCAAUGAAAUUGGGAUGGAUGCAAAGGAUAGAAGCAUUUGAAAAUGAGCUCUCACUAACAUCAAAUUCCUUGCUUUUAAUCAAAUUCCCUUCCUCUAAGAGGUUGUAUGUCUCUUAAUGUUUUCUAUCACUAAUGCGAUCAAUGCAAAGAAGUUUAAGCAAUUGCUUGUUUGGGAUGUGGAAGGAAGGGGUAUAAAACUUAGCAAAGUUGCUUGGUUGCAAGAAGGGGUCAUUCCAACUGCUUUGUUCAGAUUCCUCUUAGGUGAAUGCAUCCUGGAAUGCAGAAGUGGGGAGGUUAGCAGAUUAGAAAAACAUGCUGAGUUUCGAACUCAUGACCUUCUAACAACUAAGGCUCUAAUGGCAUUUUAAGCUAUCAAAUUGCCUCAAAUCAACUUGAUGUGCAUUAUUGCCCCAUCAUUACCUAGCAUCUUAAACUUUUGAAUCAACUUUGUAGCUUAACUUUAUAUCAAGGGCCAAGUUGUCGGGAAGUCAUAAGUUCAAACCUCAUUGUAUUGUUUAUUUCCCCAAUUUAUUGACGCUAUGUGCAAUUCCAAAAGAAUGUAAAGGCAUGCAUUUUUCCUAACUUUCAUAAUUUAUGCUUGAUAUGAAUAAAUAUUGAUUACUUAGGGUUUAUUUGGAUAUAUUUAUUGGCUAUUUUUUGUGUUGAUUAGAACAUAGUAGGAAUUUUAAGGCUGAUAUAUAAAAAUUGUGGAAAAAACUAAGGUGUUAUAAAACUUUAAGUAGUUUAAAAUUUAAAAUAUUAAAAAAUGAUUUUUCAAGACAUAAGCUAAAGUCAAUUUUUUUUAUAUAAAUUUUUUUAUGUAUUAUUUAUUAAUUUUUAGAAGGAGAUCAUGAGAAAUGUAUUUAUAUCAACUUACAUUAUGCGUUCUAAGGAAUGUACAUUGUGAGGGAUUGGGAGUGCUAUAUUACUUGGGGCUAUAAAUUAUGCAAUUACCGUUCUUUUAUUUUAUUUUAUUUUCUAUUGAGAACAUUAGAAGGCCAAAAAGAGUUAUACAUCCAAAUGACUUAAGAUAAAUAUAUAUGAUAAUCAAUAAACAUGACUCAAACUUAACAUAUUUUUUAUGGGUUUGGAUUAAGUAUAAAUGAGUUUGAGUUAAAUUCAUACCGAUUUUUCAUAACUUGUUUAAUUAAUAGGUAGUUUUGUUGGUCAAUCGACAUAAAAUAAAUGUUAAUAAUGUGAGUUGAUGGCUAGGUAAAGAUGGGGGUCAAGUGUUUGCAGAAUCACAAAGUAAUUGGGAAUGUCCAACCCAAUAUCUACAAUGGUCCAUCUACCAACCAAAAUUGGUGAUGGCAAAGGCCAGACUCCUCAGGGUAAGGUGCAUGUGGUGGUAGUGAUGAUACCCCCACAUGAAUAAACAAAACUCCAUCCUCAUGCACUGCAUUAUACAACCCACUCAUCUUCCCCAAAUAUAGAAUAAAUACCACCAACAUCAGAAUAAGUUUUAUGUUUCCAAAUAAUAUACAAUUUGAUUACCUCCAUUAUUAAAAUUCAAGCCCAAUUUCACUUGAGGUGGACUCAUAGCCGCCCAUGUGUCAAUCCCCAUCGUGCCCGCCUACUUUUUCUUCUGAGCUCUUAACUACAUAAGCCUACCUGCCUGCCUACCUACUAUGUGAGUGUGACUCUGCUCUUUACACUCUCUACUCUCUCCUUUGUAUACAAAGGUGAUGCUCUAUGGUAGAAAGUGGUGACAAUCAAGAUUGAAGUUCCUCAUUUAUCUAUAUUUGCACCUACACCUUACCCAUUUUCCUUUUUAGUGCCACUCUUUGCUUCAUCGUCCUCCCAAAAAACCCUACAAGCUCAAAUUAAGGAGAGGUGCCAAUGCAAGUGCAGACAAAUGGCACCUUCAUUUUAUCAUGAUCACUAACAACAUCCCCACUUGGCUUGCCUUAUUUGCCUUUUUACCUUCCAUUGGAUGUGCUUCUUCUUAAUUACUUAGUGUUGCCUUCAAGUUAAAGAUAUGAAAAAAUAGGCCUCACACUUUGUUUGCGUAAUAGAUAUUGGUCAUAAAAUACUGGUGGUACUAAUUCAUAUGGGAACAUUAACUAUCGUGAGAUGAAAAAACUUUUCGGAUGACAUUGAAUAUGCAUACUUGUUUGUUCAACAAUAUGAAAUUUGUGCUUCAUUUGAAUAGGUUAAUAGAUGCCACAAAUAAGAUAUACUGUUACAUUUUCAUGGGAGGCAAACUUGUCCAAAAAAAUGAUGGGCAGUGGGAAUAUGUAGGUAGAAGAAGCAAAGGUAUUCACAUAUAUAAAGAAAUUCCAUUUGAAGAAUUCACUCAAAAAAUCUUAGAGAAAUUCAACAUCCCCCUUGAUGUGAUGAGGAUGUACUACACCCUCAAGUUUAACCCCAGAGUCAUCCAAGAUUUAAAGAUAAGGAUGACUUGGAUAACGUGGUUUCCCACAAUGAUGACUUAGCAAAUGUGUACAUAGUAGAGUCACCUCAUGUAGAAGAAAUUGAGGCAAAUAUAUCGAAUACACAGUUGGCAUUUGGGUAAUGCGCUUUGACAUGAAUGUCUAUUUAAAAUAUUAUGAAUAUCAAUUUUAUGCAUGAUGUAGUCUAAUUUUGUUUAUGUAUAUAAAUGCAGAGAUCCUCCUUCUAUGUUUCCUUCCUCUAAUGCAUCAUGCAAUGCAAUUCCUAAUACUAUGAUGCUAUCAAGUGGUUUUGCAUCGUGUUGUGCCGAAAGUGAGUACACCCCUUUGGAAUUGAAUCGAUUUCGUGAGGCAAUAUUAGGGUCGGGACAUACAUUUAACAAUGUAGAGAAGUUUCGGAAUGUAAUAUACCAAAUGUCAUUAGUUGAGAGGUUUCAAUACAAGUACAAUAAAAAUUCACCUACUCAUAUGUCCAUAAAGUGUUCAGUUGAGGGUUUUCCUUGGAAAAUAACAACUCAUGCUGUAGAGAGGAAUGAAAUAUUAUGAGUUCAUACUUACCAAGUUAAUCUAAGGUGAGGGUUUCUUUAAAGAGAGGCGUUGUUGUUGUUGAAGAUAUGUUUAGAAACAACUCCAAAUUAUCUUCCCUGUCAAAUAUGCAAGGAUUUUAAAUGUGAUCAUGGAGUUGAAUUGACAUAUAACCAAGCAUGAUAUCUUAAAGAGAGGGCAAAAGAACGCAUAUAUGGAACUCCAAGUGAGUCCUACGCAUUUUUGCCUUGGUUAUGCCAUAGGCUAAGGGAAAUUAAUCUUAAAACUAUUGUGGAGUACACUUCUGAUGAAGGUCACUUCAUGAAAUUAUUCAUUACCUAUGUAUUUUCAAUUCAAGGGUUCAUCAUGGGGUGUCGACCAAUAUUGGCUAUUGAUUCUUGCCACCUAAGCAGUCUAUAUAAGGAAACUCUUUUAUCUAUCAUUGCAUAUGAUGGAGAUGAUGGAAUGUUCCCUAUAACCCUUAGUAUGGUCAGUUCAGAAAAUUAUGAGGACUGGUAUUGGUUCUUGGAAAAAUUAAAAGGGAUCCUAGAUGGUAAAGAAGUUAUUAUAUCAGAUAGACAUUAGGGGAUAUUACGUAGUGUUUCGGAGUUGUUCGGGACAAAAAAUCAUGCUUAUUAUUGUCGACAUGUGAAGGAAAACUUUUCUAGCUUCUUCAAUAGGUAAAACGUCAAAGGAAAGAAAGAGAAAAAAGAUGUUUUGUUGCUUUUGGACAACAUUGCAUAUGCUAGGUUGGAUAUAAACUACAAUGAAGCAUUUGAAAAACUUAUGCGCUUCAGUAACAACCUAGCAAGGUGGGUUGUAAAAAAUAGUCCUGAUUAUUGGGUAAUGUCAAAGUUCGUUAAAAAAUGUUGGGAUAAAAUGACAACUAAUAUUGUAGAGUCCUUCAAUGCGUGGUUAAGAGAGGAGCGCCACCAAACAAUUUAUAUGUUGUUGUUGAUACACAUAGAUAAGCUUGUAGCCAUGUUGGACACCCAUAUGCAUGGUACAUACAAGUGGAAGAGCGUGGUUGGACAAAAAUUAGAGGAGAAGCUAAUGUCAAAUAUCAUGAGGUCUGGUUUGAUUGUUGUGAUGUUGUAUUUGGGGGAGACAUUUAAGGUGUUUACUGGGGAAGUUUAUUUUGUUGUGGAUAUGUAGUAUGUGUACUUGUAUGACAUGGAAAAUGUUUGAAUUGCCAUGUGCACAUGUAUGUGCUAUCAUCCGCACAAUGAGACACAAUGUGUAUGAGUAUAUCGACCCAUGUUUUCAUGUCUCCACUUAACAUUUGAUUUACUUGGGUCAGUUCCAACCAUUACCAACGCACAACAUGCCCAAAGUUUGUGUGGAUGAGAGUUUGAAAGAUGAAGUAGGAAAUUGUAAGUGAGAUGUCCUUUAGGAAGACCUCGACAAAGGCACAUUAAGUCACAAUUUAGCCAUACGAGAGCUAUUCAUUGCACUCAAUGCAAUGGCAUAGGUCAUAACAAGUCUAAAUGUAAUAAUUUGUUGUUGUGACAUGUUUUUUUUUUUUUUUUUUUUUGUGCUUGUAAGGUUUUCAUCUUGUGGACCAUCCCUCAUUAUUCCAUUCUAUGGUAUAUGGCGGUGAGGUAGUUGUUUUUGGUACUUAUGUAUUGUCAUUGUUAUAGGCACGAUGAACUACUUUUUAUUUUCACGAUUUGGAGUUGCUUUCAUUAAUGAAUUAAAUUGAAAGUGCACUUUCAAUGUGGUUCUUUUCACUUGUUUUAUACUUUCACUUCCAUAUUUUAAGUAUGACCUAUUCACUGUUUUGUUCCAUAUUUAGGCUAAAUAUUAAGAGGGAGUAUGGUUGUAGAGAUUUUAUAGGUGGAUGAGGUCUCUACUAUAUUUGUUGUAGUGGGUUCACAUUAUUGGAUGCAUGUAUUUUCAUGUGACUUAGCUAAAUUUCAAUGGAUGCAACCAUACUUGGUAUGUAGUUAUUUACUUGUUAAGUUGGGUCAUGCAUGACAUUGUACUCUUCUAUGCCCAAUAAUGCAAUUAUAUUAUUCACAAUGACUGGUAAUGGGCAGACUGGUUCCGAUAGCAGUGCACACCCUAUCUCAGUAUGGUAUAACAUACUUGCUUAUCUUAGAUGCUUUUUUCAUUCUUGCUUUGCAAACAUACAUUUUGAGAGGUUGUGUUUUUUCUAGUGGAGUGGCACAACAACUUAUACUCUACAGUUAUGCAAUGUAUAGGUUUUGUAAGAACAAAAGUUAGAAUUCAUGUUGGCAUAUAAAAGGGUAAUAGAUCAUUUUCCGAUAGUAACAAAGUACAGUAGGUAUAAAAAAGGUUUGCAUUGCAUAUUUUUGGUGAGGGGUAUUUAGGUUGCGUUCAAUUUGUGGCAAAAUAUCUAAUAAUGAACAUAUAUAAGCAAAUUUUAAUGCAGUAUGUAGAUAUAUUAUAUAGGGAAUUUUUGAUGAUAUCUUCAUGCCCCUUGUUUUAGUUAUCAUGUCUUAGUUAUGUCAUAAAUUUCUCUAAUAUAAUAUAUUAAUAAUUCAAAAAAAAUUUCUUUUCUAUUAUUCUAUAAGUUGUGUAAGUUUUCUGAUUAUUUUUUUUGUAUGAUUUGGUCAUUUGGAAAAUAGUUAGGCACAUAAAUAUUGAGUACCUGUGCUUCAACAAAUAUCUAAGUAUCAGCCUUUAGGGAACCUACAUUUUAUUCAUUGGAUUGAUAAGUGUUAAGGAGAUUGAUGUGGUUAAUCAUCAAAUAUGACCAAACAAGUUUUGAAGACAAUUGAAGGCUUCUUGAACAGUUUUGUUGUUGAUUUAGUUGUACAUUUAUUCUUUUAUUCUUUUAUAUUUUCCCAUUUUCUCUUAGUUUCUUGUUGCUUUGUUAACUUAGAUAAUUUUAGGUACUUCAAUUGGUUGUAAGUGUUCCACUUUUCAAUUUUUAGUACCAAAUUUUUCCAAAUUCUUUUGUUGAUUCAAUUUCUAGUGAAUAGAUGCCAUACCAUUCCUUGUUUUUGUAUGCAUAUUGAUUUUUUUAAUAGUGCAAUUGCAAAAACUAUGUUCUUUACAUACAAAAUUGAAGUUACUAUCUUCUGUCCAUAUGCCACCUACCACUAUAUACACUAUGGUUCACAUAUGAGAAGUAGAUACCAACAAAAUUGGUUUUCAAAUGAUUAGGUUUAGAAAAUAAACCAUUUUUAUCCAAUGUGCACCAUCAACAAAUGGUUAUCUUGGAAGUUGGAAGGAUUGUUGUCAACCCGGCUCCAUCAACUGGCAGAGGCAUAAGCAAUUCCAAUGGAUAGUCAUUUUAUUUUGCACAACCUGCACUACAUUAGUUAUAAUUGAAACAACAGGUUUUAUGUAUAUGCAUAUAUGGUUUUGCUUUUAUACUAUAUUUUUAAUGGGUUAAUGAUUGAUUUAAUAUGCAGGUUCUUCUUCUUGUAUUUGAUUUUUUUAUACUGUUGGUUUUUAAAAAAAUUUCAAAAGAAUUAGGAAAUGAGGUUUGCAUUAAAUAAGCUAAUCAAUAAGAAUGUGAAGAAUACAUACAUUUCCAAUUUUUUUUUUUAUGAAAAAUGGUUAUAAAAUCAAGAAAAGAUAGUAUGUGGACUAGUGAGUAGGAUGGUCGGUAAAAGAUCUCAUUUUGCUCCCUUCUUUCAAUGUGAUUUUAGAGGUAGGAGUUGAUUGAUAAGGCCCCUCUUCUUUUCAGAAACUAAUAGUAUAGACCCACAUCAAGAUCAAAUGGGGUUUCUAAAUAAGACUUUUGCUAGGCAUGUGUUUUUGAAAUUGUCUUCAAGAUAGGAUAAGUUAAGGCUCCAACUAAGAAAUUUUAUGGUCUAUAUUGUUGCUUCUUUGGAAGUUUAUAGGUUCUUUAGUUGCCAUUAAAUUCAGUUUAUAUUCUUUAAGAAUCAGAUAUUUACUACCAUGAAACACCAGUUGGAUUAGAAGCUCAUUUAGCUUUGGUAACUGGGGAAGAUCUAGUUACAAACUUGAAUUGGGCUCUUAGUUAUGGUAGACAAUCUAUUAAUAAUCGUCCUCUAUUUGGAAAACCACUGUCCUUCGUCCAAAUGUUGCCUUUCAAACUAUUAUCUUUUAAAACAUAUUGUUUAUGGUUGUGGAAAUAAAUGGUGUGCAAAAUAAGACAAACAAAACUAACCUUUGGUAUAGUCCAAACACUUGUAAUCAUCAGAGAGUGUUUCUAGCCACGUCUUUUAGCUAAAAAGUAUAUAAAUACUAGCCUAAACAUUAUGGUUUCUCAUUGUACAUGCCUUGUAACAAAAGAGAUAAACUAGAGAGAUUUGCUAUAGAAAUACUUUUAUUUCAAAAAGUCUUGGUGUAAAACUUGAGGGUUACAUAGUUCUACUUUCUCAAGUGCUUGGAAAGUAGGGCUACUUCUAUUCAGUCUCUGUUAGCUUGUCUUCAAAUGUAUCUACAGUCAAGUAAUAAGCUUCCAUAAGCCUUUGGGAAUUUCUUCUUUGGCCUGUUUGAUAUUGGGAAGUUAAACUUAAUAUCAUAGAAUGAUUUCAUUAGAAUUGUAGGAAUCAUCAUUUUUUUUCGAUCAUAGUAGGCAUGAGUUUAUAGAUUUUGUUUCAUAUACCAAGCAUAAUUAAUCAAAUCCUGACUUGUUGUUUUCUUGUUUUGCAAAAAGGUUGACUGUCUAGGGAUAAAGCAUGAAAAUAACAGCUCAUGGAUCUAUAAAAUUUUAUUGUUUGAUAAAAACCUCUUUUUAAAGUGGUCAUUGGCUAGUAGGUCACUCUCCACUUAUUUAUUUGUUUUGCUGAUGGAUGUUUUAAGUCGAUUACUUGUUAAGGUAAGAGAAAAGGUGUCAUCUCUAGUUUCUCGAUGGGUCGGAAGGCAAUACGUUAUUUGAGGUGACCUAUCUUUUGUAUGCUAAUGAUACUAUAAUUGUUUUAUGAGACAAACGAAAAGUAGUUGAUGUAUUUGAAUUGAACCCUCAUGUGGUUUGAAGCUAUUUCUGGGUUGAAAGUCAAUUUGGAUAAGAGUUAGAUCAUCCCAUAGAGGGUUCAUGAUAGAAAGCUAUUAGAAAGCUUAUUGCUAGAAAGCUGCAAAAUAAGAUGUUUAUGCUUCAUGGUUUAUCUAUGUUCAAGAUUUGACAAUCCUUGGCUUACACAGUUUUUUCUAGUGGUUAUUUCUGAUUUCCAGCUACAACUACAAGAUGGUAAAUAUGACGUAUUUGGGUAGUAAGGCAAAAUAAUGCAAAGUCCCAAAACCUAAGGAAGAGCAAUGAUAGGUAAGCUAAACUAGUCCAUAAGGCAAUUAAUCCCAAGUUCCUCUAAAUCCCAGUUUCUAUGGGAAUUCAGGGGAUCUAUUAAUAUAUGCCUACUUGGAAUGACAUAGAUAUAUUAGAGCACAAGAUCUUUGGUUUUGCUGGAUAUAUAACCUUUCUUUUCGAAUUAUAAUCAUAAUCCAACUUUCUUAUUCUUUACAUGAUAUGACCUAGUUCACAAUCUCAUAAGUCAGGAACCACAUUGGAGCUAAAACAACUGGACCCAAGUCUUAAUACUAAAACAUCCUAAGUAGGUAACUAGUGGCAUGACUAGUAAGGGAAUGGUUAGAAAUGCACUAUAUCGGUGAACUUCUACACUUUAUUACUUGUUCCUUGGACUAAAGUGGCGUUUGUUACACCCAUCAAACUAUCACUUGUCAAACUAUAGUGUCAUGUUACUUAUUGAUAAUGUCAAUCUAGAUUUUGAUUUUAUUUAAAUUCUUAUUAUAUCCUGGUGCGCGUUCUAAUUGUAAUAUUUAUCUAGCCUGGGUCAUACUCUGAUUUAUUUGUCUUGUUGAUUUUUGCUUCGACCAUGUACUUCUAGAAACAAAUAAGGGGCAAUUUUUUAUGAAUGUUAUGUUAUUUGUAUCCAUGAUGAAGAUUAAUUUCACUUGUUUCCUUUCAAAUUUGUGGACAACAUGUAGCAUAUGGAUUUUUAUUUUAUUUUUUAAAAUUUUUGAAUCAUCCUCAUUUUGUAUCCAUUUGUGACAGAAAUUAACCAAAAGAUAGUUGUUGUAAUCACUCUCAAAUAUUGUUUCUUCUCUUCAUUAUGAUUUAAUACUAAUGUCAAUAUCAUCAUUUGUGGCCCAAUUAAUAGGAAUAGUUUGGCAUUGAGCCCCAAAUUCAAAGUUUGCUUGUACAAUAGCUAAGGCGGUACUUAGGAUCCAAUCCUCUCUAUUACAAAUUUGAAUGUUAAUCAUACAAGAUAUCAUUUCUUUAUUUUGAUUGCAUUUGACUAGUGUUUUUUUUUUUUUUUUACAAUAAAUCACUCUUAAUGGAUAUUCCAUAUUUUAUAAACAUUGCCUAGCAUAUAAUUGUCCUCGUCUUCAUAUUGGGUUUGUUGAAACCCAAAUCUAAUAUUCACAUAACAGAACAUUUACUAUUAGGUGCUUAAUACCAAUUAUAUGGAGAAAGAACUUGUAUCUAUAUUAGUAAGAAAGCCAAUAUGAUCUACGUAUUGUUUGUUUAUAUUUUACAAUAAAACCAAUAUGUAUUGUUUGGUGGUGGGUAACUCAAAUUGAUAUAGUUAAGAAAGAUGAGACAAUUAGAAUUGCUUUUAUCCAUGUCACGUUUUUCCUUGUUUAUUAAGAGCAUUCCACUGAUGCCAUGCUUCUGAUUGUGCCAAAACACUAUCAUAUGUCUCAUUAUUUGUGUGAAAUGGAAAGAUGUAGAUGUUUGUCAUCAAGUGUUGAUAUUUGUGCUACUACAUUUUGUAACUCUCACAAAUUACAUCUUCACUCUUUUGUCUUAUUUUUGCAUUACCAACUGCACUGAUGUUGCUAUUUCUAACAUCACCAUGUUCUCUAACAUUGCAUGCAGGCACCAUCAAUGUUCACCCGUUGCUCAGUCAUAAAGUUCAAGAAACUAUGCAAUUGUUUACUCAAGGAAAAAUUGCAAGCCAUAAAAGACCUCUAAUUUGGAGGUCUCUUAACCUUAAACUGCUCAGAGGUUCGACACAACAUCUGUUUGUUUCUAAUCUAACAUUUCAAUGUUGGAUUUAAACACAUAGAGUUGUCACCCCAUAAACACUAUGUUGUUACAACCGCAGAUGUGGGCCUCAUUUUUAGGCUCCCAACAAAAGGGCGUAUUCUGUAGGUGACAUCUACUCAACAGAGCAUCAGUUUGAUUCAAUUUAGGCAUGCGAAGAGAAACUCCUCAGCUUACCUAUUGGGAAUGAGUUUAGCCGAGCAUUCAUAUACCAGGCAUGUGUGACGUUAUUAACCCCCACGUCUAGACUCAAUGGUUGCUGAAACUUGUGGCAUACCAUCCAUGAAAAUGGAUUCAGAAAUGACGCCAACUAAGGCUAGUUUGUGCUUAACUAGCUCAUGGAAGGAAUUAGGCAAUAUCAACAAUCAAACACCUCUUUGGUACAUGGCUGCGUUUUUUUCUACAGGUAUUGAACUUAUAUGGGACUUGUCUUCCUUUUUCUUAUACAAUUUUAUUUCAAUAAUAAGUAACAUUUGUAUCCUGAUUUAUUAUGCAACUGCAUUAUGUAAUUAAAUUCCAGAUUUUUUCAAUCCAAGUCCCCAACAUAGUGCCCCUAGCAUUGGCAUGAACUAAUGAAUUGAUUAAGCAACGACUAACUGUUGAGAUAAGGGAGUUUAGAUCAUUCGAACAUGCCAAGGUUUAUUUAUAAUUGAUGCAUGCAGAAAUAUAGUGUCAUUGCCAGCACAAUGCACACUAUUUCAGUUCUAAUUGUAGGGGUCUGAGAGAUCUCCAACAGUAGAUACUAAUGUGGAGCCUGAGAAUAGUGAUGUACACUAGCAAUUUUUAAAAAUUGAAUUUAAGUUCAUUUCAUUCUAUUUGUAAUUUUUUAUACUUGUUUACUACAAUGUAAAUGUGCUUGUAAAAAUUUUUGCACAAAUAUAGUCAAUGACCAUGUGCACAUGAAUUUACAUGUGAUAGGAAAUAUGACACCAAUAUCAUGACAUAGAAUGGGCAAUCGGGCAAUAUCAAAGGGGCAUACAACAAUAGCUAGGAAUAAUAUGCGACCUAAUUCAGAAGUUAGGGGCCCAAAGACAUAGUGGGGUCAGUUCAGAUGUUGUUGGUCACUCUAGCUAUGCACUAGUCGACAAUACCACACCUGAGAACCAUGCAUUUCCUAGCAAAAAGGACAUGCCUUGGCAUGGUGUAGACCAUGUGUUAGACACACCAGAUUGCAAUGCAGCUCCUGACUUUGAGUUACAGCCCAAUGGACCCAUUCAUGUACAAAGUGGUAAAAUUUAUGCAAACACCCAUAUAGUAGGCAUCCUAAGUAUCCAAUGAUAUAGUAUCCUCUCAGUUGACUAUUGCUAAAUCCCCUAUUACAGAUGGUGAAGAAGAAUAUGAACCUGAUGUGAUGUCAUUGAGUGUUUUUAUUAUACCCCCAAGAAACAAGAGCGUGCGGAGAUGCCGAGUGCGUCAAAUGGCUCCAAACCUCUUGUCCCCAUUUAUAUCCCAACUAGAAACUAGCCAAUCUGCCAUAAGAAUGGACCUAAAAGAAGCAGUUGCAUUUGUCUUUUCAAGGGAUUUGGAUGCUAGGUAAUAUAUUCAAACACACUCCUCUCAUUGUAUGAAAGUGAGAAAACAAAAACUAAAUACUAUGUGUUUUUUAUAGUGAAGAGCUAGUGGCAAUGCAUGACACUAAUUUAACUAGAAGCAAUUUAGGAUGCUUUGAAAGGGAUGGCUGGAUAAGGAAUGACAUGCAUUUGACUUCUUAUCCCUCUAUAUGCAUUAGUUUAAGUUUGAAAAUUAAAUUGUUGUUAUGACGUAUUUAGUUGCUUACACUUUUAUGAUGUACGAAAUCAGGUCAUUGAUGCAUACUAUAGAUUGUUGUAGUAUGAACAUGAACUAAAGACAAAACUAUUUCUAUUGCCCUACACAGCUGUAACGAUGACUAAUCCAUUAAAUCAUUGUUGAACUUUAAUUUAUAUCUUGAACCAUGCAUUAACUAUAGUUACAAAUCUAAAACUACUAUUUGAUAUGUAGGAAAUGGUCAUCCGCUUCCAAGGAAAACACUUAGUGAGAGAGGUAGUUAUAGGACGAUUUGAUCCACAUUUGUAUCCCAUAGAUAUUCCAUAUGGGAAUGUGAACGAGGUGAAGUGCAGUGUUUUAUGAUUGUAAUUCAUUUUGGUUGCAUGAAGGUCCAUGAUUCAGAUGUAUGUUUAAUGGAAGUCCAUUGGUGCAAGUCUUCUUACCGGUUCCUAUAAAGAACCAUUGGACACUCUACUUAUAUGACCUAUACAGCAAGAGAAUUCAUCUGCUAAAUUCUCUCCUUGAUAGGAAAAAUACCACUAUGAUUGGAAUACAACAAAAUCUGGUAAAGUAACAAGUAACAACUAAUAAUUUGUUAAGUUUGUCUCCCCAAAGAAGUUUCAAUUGUUGUAAUAAUAAAUGUUUCAGUCUAAGGUUGUUCUAUGACUUGCUGCACACAAGAAAGAGGUGCCACAUUAUGAAUUGAGGACAUGCAAUUUCUUAAUGCUAGAUGUACCACUCCAACUUAACAAGUGAGUGCUUAUCUUGUAGUCUAGGUUUAUGUUGAAAUGGAUUGCAACUUAUUUUAAGCUCCUUUGUUCUUUAUAAUUCCACACUUAGCGAUUCGUUCCCAAUUGGUGUCUCAGCUGAUUCAUGUCCAACUGGUGCUCUUUAAUUGAGAGAGUAAUCAACAAAAUUUAUAACCUAUAUCACCAUGCAUUAGGAUAGCUUUAGCUAAUAUAGCAUAGUGGCUCUAGGAUCGUUCUCUGGGAAGGGUUUUCAACUCACAACUGAUACUAAUUCAAAGUUAAAUUGGUGCUUUUUCAUUUCAAGGUUAGCUUAAGAAAUAAAACACAAACUUUGGUUUAAACGAGGUUUUGUUUCAAGCUAACUAAAAAGAAAGUAAUGGAAAUUACUUAUGAAGAAAAACAUUCCUUGGAGGUUUGGGUUCACAGGGGAGGUUCCUUAUGCAAAAACAGAGCUUCGGUCAUUUGGUUCAUUUCCUCGCAUUAGAGAAUUAACAUAUAGUCAAUUCUCUAACCAUUGUUGUACAGAUGUAUCCUUUAAAUGGAUUUCAGCUCUAAUUCCCUCUCACUGAUGCAACUUGCAAUGGCUCGUGUCUUUCACCUAGCAUUUGCCAUUCAAGGUGAUCUUUAACUUUGGACUUCCCUUCUCAAGCUCGCAAGAGAUAACUAAUGGAUGUCUCCUUGCAGUCCAAAAGCUUACCAAGUGUUGGCAAUUCUAAAAAAUCCUACCUUCAAGUCACUUCCCAAAAGCUCGCAAGAGAUAAACUAGUGUAUCUCCAUGGACGAAGAUCACUUGCCUUACCAAGUGUUGGCUCAAGUGAAUUGAAGGUGUUUUAAGUUAACUAAAAACAUAGAAAUCAUUAAAGGAUCACACUUUCUCUUCGUUAAUGGCUGAAACCACAAAGCUAUAAAUUCUUGCACUUGGAACCUUUCCCGGCAACCUUAGCUCUAAGGAACUAAAAGUCUAGCCACUCAUUCUCUGAGGAAACUUCCUCAGAGCUUGUUUGGCUAGAAAGAAAACUAACGAGAAAACAAAAAUAUGAAGGAAAAACAGAGCAAGUGCUCUGUAAAACUAUAUUUCUUCCUUCCGUUGAUUACAUAAUUAUAUCUUCUAUAAAGAAAAUUACAAACUAUAUAUAUGAGGUUAUUCACCCUUUGUUCUUACUUAAAGACUAAGGAAUCCUAUGAUAGGUGGGUUACAAGGAGAGUUUGGGGAUUUAGACAUCAAAUAUCUAAAGCAAAAUAUCUCAAAAAGUCGGUCGGAAAUAUCAGGAAGCUUCAGGAGAACACCGCGGCACUGUAUACUUAGAGAAAAACUCUCCGGGUAAGCGCUAUCAGAGGAUCCGGGCAUGUCUGACCGGGGAAGUUGAAACGUCCUCCUCUCCCAUCCGGUGUCAGGCGCCGGAUAUGAAAUAUCCGGAGAAGGUGGAACAUCGGCCGGAUAGAAUUCCUCCAUGGGUGGAAUGAGCUAUGCCACACGUCGAAAGGGGGACCGUUUGCGUGUGCAAGGUGUAAGGACCCUUCCCCCUGAUGACACGGAGCGUGCAUCGCUAUCUGGAGCAUCGCUAUCCAGAGCAAGUCCAUCCGGAUUCCUUAAGAGGACACGUGGCGCGCUCCCCUAUCCGGACUCCCUCAGGGAGAAGCACACUGCACUCGUGAACAUCACACCCCGGACGAUAGCAUAUCCUAUCCGGAUAUGUUGUCCGGAUCAUUGACUAAAGUGAGCAAGCCUUACUACGUCAUUCCACCAGCCUGCCACAGCCCACGUUCCGCCGUCCUCCGAUGGUGUAUCCGGACGCCCUGUCCAGACAUCUUUGCCAUGGAUUCCAAAGAACUCUCCUCAAUCUCGGAUUGCUUUGGUGAUCAAAAAGCUAUCAAAACACCAAAACUUAACACAAUUUGAUUAGAAUUGAUUGCAAGGGUCCUUAACAUGUCAAUUGGGUUAAAAGGUGAUAACUACUACUCAAAAGUGUUUAAAAGAGUUAAUUACAAACUAUCAAAUAGCACUUUUUGAGUAGUAAUCACUUAGUAACGUCCUUUUCAUAAUAUUGUGGUAGGCGUGAUUGUGAAAUGUUUAUUAUGAAAUUCAUGGAGUCGUGGUCAAUGGGAGGGUUGUCCAAAUCAAUCGAUGUGUUAUGUAGAAGGAACUAUGUAUUAUCAUCUCAUUAAUGUAAAAAUAGUUAUAAAAUGAGAAAUUCAUUGAGUUGCUAAUUUUUUUCGUUAAACUUGAAUAAAUGCAGGGAAAGUAAAAACAAUAUAGAUUGAAAAUUAUGGGCAGCUUGUUGUUUUCAGCAUAAAAUGCACACUGACAUCAUUUCAUGAGGGAAUAAUGGGAAUUGUACAUUUUGAUGACACAUUAUAAAUUUGAUUUGGUUGUAAUUUAUGUUGGACAAACGAAGUUGUGUAAAUUUUGUCAUAUCAUGAUAGUUGCAUAACUAAACAAUGACACUAUGGGAUAAAUAUGAAGUUGGACUAUUUUUGGAGAUAAUGAUAACAAUAAUUAAGUUGAUUGCAUCGCUGAACAAUGGCACUAUGGGAGAACACGUCAUGAAGUGCUAUGGCAAAUAUAGGGGAUUGGAAAGAAAUUGCACACAUUAGUUAUGAUGAAAAUGACAAUUCCAACAUCUCAUGUAAUAGGAAAGUUUUUGAGUUAAACUGAUUGUAAUUGUAUUCGAUUUGUACAAGGAUAAUUAAAACCUUCAUUUCUGAUUGUAAACGUAUGUUCAUUGUUAUAGGAACUAAUGUAAUUGGAAUUAUACAUAGAUUUUAAUUGGUUUAUUAUAGAUUCCAUAAUAGGGUAUGUUAGGUGUUUGGACUAUAAUAUAAUAUGUUUUAUUAUUUAUUAUUAGACCCAUGUUUUGUCAUUGCAUUGCAUUUGUAAAUUAAUUUAUUAAAGUUUUAGUUCGUAUUGUAUAUCAGCUUUUAGAGGCCAUUACAAUGUGAUUGGUAAUUAUUAUAGCAAAAGUAGGUGUUACGAUGGUAGCAUAUUAGGUACUUUAUGCUGAAGUGUAUAACCAAUAGCAAGAAAGAAGGACUUCAAUUGGAGAAGUGCUUGUUUUUUGUGAUCAAGAUAGGAGAGACAAGGCAAGUUGAAGAAGAUGAAGAAGAAGGUGAAGAUGUAGAACUGAAGUAGAGGGCUUGGCUUGGCCAUUGCUGAGUUCGUUUCCUUCUUUGUCUAGUGAAAUAGUAUUAACUAUUGGGGAGAAUAUGCUUAAUGAAAUCAUAGAUGGUGGGUUCUCAAAUGUCAAUUGUCAAUUGUUUGGCAUCUUCCCAGGAUUUUAAUUUUCCUUCUACUCGACCUGAAAAUCCUAUAACAAGGCCAACUUAAGCAUAUAAACUCAUCCAAUGUCAGAGUUUUCCCUUUUCUAUAACUUUGAUCUUCCUUAUGCUUAAUGCAUGCUUGGAAAGGCUCAUUUGGUAAUACUUAUUUCUGGAAAAUGGCAACCUCUUUUGUAAACUAAUGUUUUCAACAUUGCUUACUCAUCCAAAAGGAGACAAGCAAACCAACUCAAUAUUAUAAGUUGGGCACAUCACACAUUGUUUGUUGUUUGUGUUAUCAUAUUCCCAGGCUACCUAGAAAUUCAUUCUCUAUCAAUCCUAUUUCCUAUGACAUGACCUUUGAAGAUAGUAAAAGAUUUUUUCAAAAUCAGUUAUCAGUGUCUUAUUCUUGUUUUCAAAGCAUCACACUAUUGAUGAGCAUAAAUAAUGUCUUAAGCACUUCCAUGUUUCUUCUUUAGCUUAUAUUGUGAAAUUUAUAUUCAAUUUUCUCCAACACUAUAACAACCCUAAUUCUUUUUCAUACAGUAAUAAAGUUCUUCUUUACAUGUGGUUUUUCAUAUUGUAACAACACUAUAACAACGCUUUGAGGAUUGUAGUUCUCAUGUUGUAAUUAUCCAAUUUAAUAAUUCAAGAUGCAUUACAUAUAGAAAUUGGAUCAUAUUCGUUCCAAUUAAUAUGAUUAAAGUACUCCAAUUUGGUAGGCCAAGAAUUACCAUCCAAUUGUAGUUUCACAUAACAUAGAACUACUUACAUAAAAGGCCACAGUAUAACUCGAAUCUAAUUGGACAUGUAUUCGGGUAUGCGCAAAAUGUUUUCAUGCUCCGCCAUUGACAAAUCCUGACCAUUGUCUUGUGCAAAUUGGAUGUAAAUGCGUAAUAAUGACUCACGAGCUCAAUGAUGCAUCAUUUGAUUAUUUUCUACGUGUAUCUCGACUAAUGCAUCUUCAAAUGAAAACAUUUUUUCUAGAUGCAUUUGAACUGCAAUUAAUGGGGGAACCUUAACUCGUAGUUGUUGUAAUUCCAUGACUAAAUCGGUUUAUUCUUGCACCCUAUAAGCCCACUCUCUACACAUUAUUCAUAAUUGAUCAUUGAAGCUAGCAUUGUGUGGAACGGUUAAGAUGCUGUUAACUAGGAUCCAAUUCCUUCUUGAAUCCAUCCUCUUAUGAAUAAAUAAAUCGAAUGAUGGCAAAGGAAAUUGGUAUAACAGAGGAGAUCCUUGUUAUUAGGCGAUAUUGUAAAUGUCAUUGAUAGAGGUCUAUAUAUAUAACAAAUGCAGUAAGAAACAUUAAUUUCAUUGAAUCUCCUGUGUAAUGAAGAAAAGAAAAAAAGAAAAAGAGGAUGGGUUUUCAUAGUACUCUGUUAGAUGUGAUUACACAAACAUAUUUUAAUGAUAAGAAAACGAAGUUCUCCAUUUCCCAAUGAUAAUAAAAAAAUUUAAUCGUUACAAUUGUAAAGGAAAUUGGUACACAUGAGUGUUAAUUUAAAUGACAACAGAGAACACUCUCAUAGGUUGCCAUUUUGAAAUUGAGAAGACAACACAAAAGACUUAUCUAAAGUUGACAAGAUUAGACUAAAGUACUCUGAAGGGCUAAUGAAUAACUUUUGAGAUUGUACACAAUUGUGAUGGAAAUUGGUGAACAUGAGUGUUAAUUUUAAAUGACAACAAAAAGUACUAUCACAAGUUGCCAUUGAUGCAUGUGCCAUUCUAAAAUUGAGAAGACAACACAAAAGACUCAUUUGAAGUUGACAAGAUUAGACCAAAGUACUUUGAAUGGCCAACGAAUCACUUUUGAGAUUCAUUGAAUGCAAUUUUCAUGGAAAGUGGUGGAUAUGAGUGUUAAUUUUAAAUGAUAAACGAAAGUAUUGUCAUAGGUUGCCUUUGAUGCAUGUGCCAUUCUAAAAUUGAGAAGACAACACAAAAGACUCAUUUGAAGAUGACAAUGGCCAACAAAUCACUUUCGAGAAUCAUUGUACGCAAUUGUCAUAGAAAAUAGUGAAAAGAUGAGAUGAUAUGUACAUAACAAAGACAUGACUGACAAGUCAUUUCAACACAUUGAAAAUAUAUAAAGCUAACAAUAGGGAUAGGGAAAGAAAAAAGAAUAAGAUAUGGGAUAUAGAAUCUUACAAAAUAUGAGCACAUAUAGUGCCAUGUUACCAUAGUAUAAAUAAGGGAUUCUACAUCAAACCUCUUGUGACUAACAAGAAAGUGGAGUGCUUAAUUUUGCAUCAAUUACACCUAUCAUCUUAUAGCUUCUAACUUUGGUAUAAAACUUCUUCAUCCUUCGAUAGCAAUGCACAUUGUCAUUAACUUUCUCAUAUUAGUCACUUACUAUAACAUCUAUUUAUUUGAAAGUUAGGAAAAUGAAUUUUUAACUGUCUUAAGUUGUUUUUGAAGAGUUUGGGGCACAUGCACACUUCUUUGGCAAGUUCAAUAGUUGUUACAGGUGAUGGACGAUAGAAGGGGUAAACACCAUCUUCACUUGGGGAAAUAUUACAGGCCAAAGGAUAUAUUUGAGCUAUUAAGCCAAUAUUGGGCAUUAAGAGAUGAUGAUUUCAUGUACUCACUAAAGCCAUCGGACAAGUUUUUGGAUGUGACCAAUGUGCACCAUGGAAAGUAAGUGGAAACAUCAGGAGCAGGAAUCAACAAAUCUACUCUAACAACUCACUGUUUUAAGUGUACGUGUACUAUGUAGAAAGUCAUUGUCUGUCUAUUGAUUCACAUCAGUUUAUCUGAAGCACUUAAUAAGAUAAUGGAGGAAAACAACAGGACGAAAAUUCGAAAGAUAGGGUAAUAAUGUUAGAAGAGGCAAGCAACAAAGCACUAGCAAAUGAUAAAAAAAUAAAUGAAGGGGAACAAGCAGAAAUUUUGUCUCAACCGCAAUGCAAAUUGGAUUUUGAAAUCUUUGAUGAGGAGCAGUAACAUAUAUGAAGGAUGGAACCUGGAUGAAGCCUAUGUAACAUAUGUAAUAUUCUACUCCAAAUUUUGGGAUAUUUGUUGUAACUUUAGUAAGCAAAUGCAUGAUAAUUAAUGAUCAAUUUUGUUGUUAGCGUCCCAUUAUUAGUUGACCACCCCAUCGUAUAACAUUCAAAUUAGUGUGACAUCUUAUUAGUCUUACAAUCAAUUUUAAAUAACAUUCACAUAUUGAAUGUCAUGGCUGAUUACUACUCAAAAAGUGUUCUUUCAUAGCUUAUAAUAAACUCUUUUAAACACUUUUGAGUAGUAGUUAUUGCCUUUUAACCCAAUUCACAUGUUAAGGACCCUUGCAAUCAAUUCUAAUCAAAUUGUGUUAAGUUUUGGUGUUUUGAUAGCCUUUUGAUCACCAAAGCAAUCCGAGAUUGAGGAGAGUUAUGUGGAAUCUUUGGCAAAGCAAUUGGAAGCUCAGAAACAUGAAGAACCAAAGCUUUGAAGUCCUUUGCCAUAAGUAAAUCCGGAAUGCAAGGAGAGAAAGCAAAGAGAAAUCUGCCAUGAAGCAUAUUCUUGAUGACAGUCAUAUCAGCCACUUUUGGAGCACUUUCUGAAGUCCAAUUUAUGCAUGCCAUAUGUCGUUUCGAAUCUCAGGAAGUUAACAAUCCAAUGCUUCAAACAGUACACAAUUCGGAGUUGAAAUGAAGGAGUUACAACCAUUGCAAGACGAUCACUCCAAGCUGAAGGAAGAAUUUUGCACAGCGUUGCGAAAUCACCCUUUUGUUGCGACAUGAUUUUGCAACCAUUUUGCACAAUGCUGAGGAAUUCCUCCUGAAGUUUCUCGAUAUAUGCGACACGUUGGAAGUUGAGCACCGCACCAUGAAAGCCGACUUCGCAGCGCUGCGAGAUUAGCCUUUUGUUGCGAAAUGAUUUCGCAGCCCUUUUUGUGUGUCUGCGAAAUCUCGCAGACAUCAUUUUCACUUGCGAAAUGGUCCUUAGUGCUUCCCGAUAUUUGUAACCGACACGUGGAGAUAUUUUUCAUCAGAUUUUUAUUGUCUAAAUCCCAAAAUUCUCCUUGUAAGCCACCAAUUAUAAGAUUCCUUAGCUUUUAAGUUAGGAAAAAGGGUAAAUAUCCAUGUAAUAAUUAGUAUUGUAAUUUUUCAUAUAAAUAUCUCUGGAGAGCGUGUUCUCUGGGAGGAACCCUUUUGUAAAAGUUUAAAAGCAAGUAAAAUUCAGGACCUUUGUUUUGCCUUACCUUCUCACUUUGUAUUUUUCAUUUUUUACUAAGUUAUGCACUCUCUGAGGAAUUUUCCCCAGAGAAUGAGUAACUAAAACCUUUAGUUCCUUAGAGCUAAGGUUGCCGGGAAAGGUUCCAAGUGCAAGAAUGCAAAGCUCUGUGGUUUCAGCCAUGAAUGAAGAGGAAGUGAAAUCCUUUAGUGAUUUCUAUGUUUUUAGUUAACUUAAAACACCUUAGAGUCACCUGGGCCAACACUUGGUAAGGCAAGUGAUCUCCGACCAUGGAGAUGCACUAGUUUACCCCUUGCGAGCCUCUGGGAGGUGACUUAAAGGUAGGAUUUUCUAGAAUUGCCAACACUUGGUAAGCUUUUGGACUCCAAUGAGACAUCCAUUAGUUAUCUCUUGCGAGCUUGAGAAGGGAAGUCCAAGGUUAAAGAUCACCUUGAAUGGUUAAGGAUUAGUGAGAGGCUCGAACCAUUGCAAGUUGCAUCAGUGAGAGAAUUAAAGCUGAAAUCUAAUUAAAGGAUGUAUCUGUACAACACCGGUUAGAGAAUUGACUAUAUGUUGAUUCUCUAACGUGAGGAAAUGAACCAACUGAUUGAAGCUAUGUCUUUUGCAUGAGGAACCUCCCCAGUGAACCUGACCCUCCAAGGAAUGUUUUUCUUCCUAAGUAAUUUCCAUUACUUGCUUUGCAGUUAGUUUAAAUCUAAAUCUUUACGAACCAAAGUUUGUGUUUUAUUUCUUAAGCUAACCUUGAAAUGAAACAAUACCAAUUCACUUUGAAUUGGUAUCAUUGAUAAUUUGCUAACCCUUCCCAGUGAACGAUCCUAGAGCCACUAUGUUAUAGUAGCUUUGUUUUUGCUACCCUAGUAUAUGGUGUAAUAGGUUAUAAAUUUUGUUGAUUACUCCCUCAAUCAAGGAGCACCAGCUGGACACGAAUCAGCUGAGACACCAAUUGGGCACAAAUCAAAUGGCGCCGUUGCCGGGAAAGGUGUCAAGUUUAUAGUGAUACUAUUUUAGAGCACUUGUGAUUUUCAUCACAAGAUUGGUACCGUUUCUUUCGCUUUACUAAUUCUCAUUCUUUUUCUACUAAUUCAUAAUCCAAAUUUACCUUUUAAAUUCAGCUUAGAUUUAUUUUAUUUUUCGUAGCCCUGUUUUCUUUUGUUGUCUUUUAUUUUCAUCUUAGUUACAGAGAGAUACUAGUUGUGUAUGCCAAAUUGGAUAUGAGACAGUGGAGGAAGGCUUUUUAAACGUGAUACACCUCAGAACAAGGAAUUCGAAUUGAGCUUGAAUAUCAUGGAAGCUACACCUGAAGAUCAGCAUAGUCACCAAGGCCGUCAAGACAAUCUCAAUGAAUUUAGAUCAAUGAGGGACCGCAUGCAUCCACCUCGUAUGAGUGCACCAUCAUGUAUAGUGCCCCUUACAGAGCAGCUAGUGAUCAGACCGUAUCUUGUUCCACUUCUACCAACUUUCCAUGGGAUGGAAAGUGAGAAUCCCUAUGCACACAUCAAGGAAUUUGAAGAUGUUUGUAAUACAUUCCAAGAAGGAGGAGCUUCAAUCGAUUUGAUGAGGCUUAAGUUAUUUCCUUUUACUUUAAAGGAUAAGGCCAAAAUUUGGCUUAAUUCUUUAAGGCCAAGGAGUAUCCGCACUUGGACUGACUUACAAGCUGAAUUCCUCAAGAAAUUUUUUCCCACUCAUAAAACAAAUGGCUUGAAAAGGCAAAUUUCAAAUUUCUCAGCUAAAGAGAAUGAGAAAUUCUAUGAGUGUUGGGAAAGAUACAUGGAAGCUAUAAAUGCUUGCCCUCACCAUGGCUUUGAUACUUGGCUAUUGGUGAGCUAUUUUUAUGAUGGGAUGUCUUCCUCAAUGAAGCAACUCCUCGAGACAAUGUGUGGAGGAGAUUUCAUGAGCAAAAAUCCGGAGGAAGCUAUGGAUUUCUUGAGCUAUGUAGCUGAAGUGUCAAGGGGAUGGAAUGAACCAACCAAAGGAGAAGUGGGAAAGAUGAAGUCUCAACUGAGUGCUUUCAAUGCUAAGGCUGGGAUGUAUACCUUGAAAGAAGAUGAUGAUAUGAAAGCAAAGUUUGCAGCUAUGACAAGAAGAUUGGAUGAGCUGGAGCUGAAAAGGACGCAUGAAAUGCAAGCUGUUGCUGAAGCACCAGUGCAAGUGAAGCUUUGUCCUAAUUGUAAAUCACAUGAACACUUGGUGGAGGAAUGCCCUGCAAUUUCAGCUGAAAGGGAAAUGUUUGGAGAUCAAGCAAAUGUUGUUGGACAAUUCAAGCCCAAUAACAAUGCGCCUUAUGGAAAUACUUACAACUCAAGUUGGAAGAAUCAUCCAAAUUUCUCAUGGAAGGCUAGAGCAACUCAGUACCAACAGCCGGAUCAACCAUCUCAAGACCAACAGCCGGAUCAACCAUCUCAACAAUCUUCAAGUCUUGAACAAGCAAUAGCGAAUCUCAGCAAGGUAGUGGGAGAUUUUGUUGGAAACUAAGAAGCCAUCAAUGCUCAACUCAGUCAAAGAAUUGACAGAGUGGAGAGUACUUUGAAUAAGAAGAUGGAUGGAAUGCAAAAUGAUAUAUUCCAAAGGAUUGAUAAUCUCCAAUACUCAAUUUCAAGGCUCACAAAUUUGAAUACAGUGCAAGAAAAGGGAAGAUUUCCUUCUCAACCCCACCAAAACCCCAAGGGUGUCCAUGAAGUGGAAAGCCAAGAGGGAGAAUCAUCACAGAUGAAAGAUGUCAAAGCCUUGAUCGCUCUAAGGAGUGGUAAAAAAAUUGAGAAGCCAACACCCAAGCCACAUGUGGAGAAAGAAGAUGAGAUAAAGAAAGGGGAGGAAAUGGAAGACAAAGAGAGCGAGAUCAGUGAAAAGAAGGACUAUGAUUCAACAAUGAAUGCAAUUCCAGAGAAUGAACUUCUGAAGGAAGAAAUGCUGAAGAAAUCAACUUCUCCACCUUUUCCUUAAGCAUUACAUGGGAAAAAGGGGAUUAGAAAUGCAGUUGAAAUCCUUGAAGUAUUGAGACAAGUGAAAGUCAAUAUUCCACUGCUGGAUAUGAUUAAACAAGUUCCAACAUAUGCAAAAUUCCUAAAGGACCUAUGUGCUAUCAAAAGAGGGUUGACUGUAAACAAGAAAGCCUUCUUGACUGAGCAAGUAAGUGCAAUCUUACAAUGUAAGUCUCCUUUGAAGUACAAAGAUCCGGGAAGUCCUACCAUUUUAGUCAUGAUUGGAGGAAAGGUAGUGGAGAAAGCUUUGUUAGACUUGGGGGCAAGUGUGAAUUUGCUUCCAUACUCCGUCUACAAGCAAUUGGGACUUGGUGAGUUGAAGCCAACAACAAUCACUCUAUCUCUAGCAGAUAGAUCAGUGAAAAUUCCAAGGGGAGUAAUUGAGGCAGUCUUGGUUCAAGUUGAUAAUUUCUACUAUCCGGUAGAUUUUAUUGUUCUUGAUACAGACCCUACUGUAAAGGAAGCUAAUUUAGUUCCUAUCGUCCUUGGACGACCAUUCCUAGCUACCUCAAAUGCUAUCAUCAACUGUAGGAAUGGGCUUAUGCAACUCACUUUUGGCAACAUGACACUUGAUCUCAAUAUCUUCUAUAUGUCUAAAAAGCAAACCACUCCGGAAGAAGAAGAGGGUCCAGAAGAGUUGUGCAUUAUUGACACUUUAGUGGAGGAGCACUGUAAUCAGAAUAUGCAAGACAAGUUGAAUGAAAGUCUUGCGGAUUUUGAGGAAGGUUUGUCUGAACCCCCUAAUGUGCUUGCUACUCUACAAAGUUGGAAAAAGAUAGAAGAGAUUCUACCUUUGUUUAAUAAAGAAGAAGAGGUAGCUGUUGAAAAAGAGACUCCAAAACUCAAUCUGAAGCCUCUACCCGUGGAGCUGAAAUAUACAUACCUUGAAGAAAAUAAUCAAUGCCCUGUCGUAAUAUCUUCAUCUCUGACCAGUCAUCAAGAGAAGUGUUUAAUGGAAGUUCUCAAGAGGUGUAAGAAGGCAAUAGGAUGGCAAAUAUUCGACUUGAAAGGCAUUAGUCCUUUAGUUUGCACGCAUCAUAUAUAUAUGGAGGAGAAAGCAAAGCCAAUUCGUUAACUUCAAAGAAGAUUGAAUCCUCAUUUACAAGAGGUGGUGCGAGCUGAGGUGCUGAAGCUACUUCAAGCAGGUAUUAUUUGCCCUAUAUCUGAUAGCCCUUGGGUGAGUCCUACUCAAGUGGUACCAAAGAAGUCAGGGAUUGCAGUGGUUCAGAAUGAAAAAGGAGAAGAAAUUACUACACGCCUCACUUCAGGUUGGAGGGUGUGUAUUGAUUAUAGAAAGUUGAAUGUUGUAACCAGGAAAUAUCAUUUUCCAUUGCCAUUUAUUGACCAAGUGUUGGAAAGAGUCUGUGGCCAUCCGUUCUAUUGUUUCUUAGACGGGUAUUCAGGGUAUUUUCAAAUUGAAAUUGAUGUGGAAGAUCAGGAAAAAAACCACCUUUACAUGUCCAUUUGGAACAUAUGCUUACAGAAGAAUGUCAUUUGGUUUAUGCAAUGCACCUGCAACAUUUCAAAGAUGUAUGUUGAGUAUUUUCAGUGAUAUGGUGGAGCGAAUUAUGGAGGUUUUCAUGGAUGACAUCACCAUAUAUGGAGGUACAUUUGAGGAAUGCUUAAUCAAUUUGGAAGCGGUUCUUCACAGAUGCAUUGAAAAAGACUUGGUGCUCAACUGGGAGAAAUGUCAUUUUAUGGUAUGUCAAGGAAUUGUCCUUGGCCAUAUUAUCUCUGAAAAAGGUAUUGAAGUUGAUAAAGCAAAGGUGGAGCUUAUUGUCAAAUUACCAUCCCCAACAACUGUAAAAGGAGUGAGGCAGUUCCUUGGCCAUGCAGGGUUCUAUAGGAGGUUUAUAAAAGGUUUUUCAAGUCUUUCAAAACCUCUUUGUGAGCUGUUAGCUAAGGAUGCUAAGUUUAUAUGGGAUGAAAGAUGUCAAAAUAGCUUUGAUCAACUGAAGAAAUUUUUAACAACAACUCCAAUAGUGAGGGCCCCUAACUGGCAAUUACCCUUUGAACUGAUAUGUGAUGCCAGUGACUUUGCUAUAGGAGCUGUGCUUGGCCAAAGAGAAGAUGGGAAGCCCUAUGUGAUCUACUAUGCAAGCAAAACAUUGAACGAAGCUCAAAGGAACUACACAACUACAGAGAAAGAAUUAUUAGCUGUGGUAUUUUCCUUGGACAAAUUUCGUGCUUAUUUAGUGGGGUCUUUCAUCAUUGUUUUCACUGACCAUUCAGCCUUGAAGUAUUUAUUAACAAAGCAAGAUGCAAAAGCAAGGUUGAUUAAAUGGAUUCUUUUGCUACAAGAAUUCGAUCUACAAAUCAGAGAUAAGAAAGGAGUGGAGAAUGUGGUAGCUGACCACCUUUCAAGGUUAGUUAUAGCACAUAAUUCCCAUGCCUUGCCUAUUAAUGAUGAUUUUCCUAAAGAAUCACUCAUGAUCUUAGUAAAAACUCCUUGGUAUGCUCAUAUUGCUAAUUAUUUAGUAACUGGUGAAAUUCCAAGUGAGUGGAAUGCACAGGACAGGAAACAUUUCUUUGCAAAAAUUCAUGCUUAUUAUUGGGAGGAGCCCUUCCUUUUUAAGUAUUGUGCAAAUCAGAUUAUAAGGAAGUGUGUCCCUGAAGAUGAGCAGCAAGGGAUUCUAAACCAUUGUCAUGAGAAUGCAUGUGGAGGCCACUUUGCCUCUCAGAAAACAGCCAUGAAGGUGUUACAAUCAGGGUUUACUUGGCCAUCUCUUUUCAAAGAUGCCCACAUCAUGUGUAGGAGUUGUGAUAAAUGCCCAAGGCUUGGAAAGCUAACAAAAAGAAAUCAAAUGCCUAUGAACCCCAUUCUAAUAGUUGAGCUAUUUGAUGUAUGGGGCAUUGACUUCAUGGGGACUUUCCCAAUGUCUUUUGGUAAUUCUUAUAUCUUGGUGGAGGUGGAUUAUGUUUCUAAAUGGGUUGAGGCAAUCCCCUAUAAACAAAAUGAUCACAGAGUGGUUCUCAAGUUUCUUAAAGAGAACAUUUUCUCGAGAUUUGGGGUGCCCAAAGCCAUAAUCAGUGAUGGAGGUGCUCAUUUUUGCAACAAACCUUUUGAAGCUCUAUUAUCCAAGUAUGGAGUGAAGCAUAAGGUAGCUACACCUUAUCAUCCUCAGACUUCCGGGCAAGUUGAGCUAGCUAAUAGGGAAAUAAAGAACAUAUUGAUGAAAGUGGUGAAUUCAAGCAGAAAAGAUUGGUCUAUUAGGCUUCAUGAUUCAUUAUGGGCAUAUAGAACAGCUUAUAAGACUAAUCAGGCGUCCGAUGCUGACUCAACCACCAAUUGAAGGGAAUUUGGACUGUAGAGCUCGGUCAUUUCACUCUGAGCUGUGCUUUGACACAGCCACCUUCCAAUUACGGCCGGAGCUUGCACAGUCAUUCCGCCUACUAAGCAGAUACCGCAUGGAGCGUCUACUGACCCUAAGAGACUUCUUCUACCCCAGAGUAGCCAUGGAUUUUUAUCAGUCCAUGACUACUAAAUAGGUCAGAGAUCCUACUCUAAUCCAUUUUACUAUUGAUGGGCGGCAUGACAUUUUGGGAGCUUGCCAUAUAGCAGAGGCCCUGCAUAUACCAUACAAGCCAAGCCAUUUUGAGGAUUAUUGAGUGUGGACUAGUCCCACUGAGCUGGAAAUGGUACAUAUCUUGUCCAGAGAAGCUUCCACACGUCCACAUUUAUUGAGGGGGGAACUUCCUCCAAGCAUGUUUCUCCUUGAUGCACUUCUGCGUCAUAACGUUUACCCACUCCAACACUGGACUCAGAGGAGAGGAGUUCUCUUAGAGGCCCUGUUCAAGAUUUCAGAGGGAUACUUCUUUGGCCCUCACCACCUAAUCAUGGCUGCCCUUCUCUAUUUUGAAGAGAAGGUGCAUAAGAAGAAGCUGCAGCGAGCUGAUGCCAUUCCACUUCUUUUUCCACGGCUGCUGUGCCAGAUUCUGGAGCAUCUGGGGUAUCCAUCCGAUCCUCAGUUGGAGGGCAAGCGCAUAUGCCGAGAGGUAUUUACUCUCGAAAAAUGGAACAAUAUGACAGUGUAUACAGUUGAGCAGCCAGAGCGCCCACAGCCAGCUGCUAGGAGAGCAUCUCCAUGACAUAUACCUGAGGGUAUACCCAUUGCUUCUCCUACCAUAUCCAGAGCCCCUCCAGUUACUCCUGCCUCAUCUGAGCCAUCCACUUCAGCUGAGCCGAGGAUGGCCAUUCCCAUUUCAGAAUAUAGAGAGUUAUGUCGCUCACUACAGACCCUCACCGCAUCUCAGAGCAGCCUUGCUCAGGAGAUGGCAGCUAUCAGAGCAUGCCAGGAGCAGAUGUUGACCACUCAGGCUCAGCACACUGCCAUCUUGAGGCAAAUCCAGCAUCAUUUCGAUCUUCCAUCAGCUGCACAGCACUUCACCCCCUCCACUGCAGUGCCACACUCGCAGGCCAUAGAGCCUCAGGCCCCUCUUGAAGCAGCUACUAAAGAGGCAGAGCCAUCUGCCUAAGCUAUCAGCUCCAAUAUCAUCCACCCAUCUGAUCAUUAUAUAUAUCUACUAUAUAUUUCUUUUAUAUAUUUCGUUUUUAUUAGUCUUUUAUGAAAUCCCAUCAUUUUGGUAUCAUAUAUGGGAUUACUUGUAUUGCUUCCUUUCCGAUUGUACUCGCAUGAAUUCAAAGUAAUACAAGUCUAGCAAUUUUUUGUUAACUCUUAGCAUAUAAUUUAUUCUUAUUUCCUUUGCUCACAUCUUUUAUCCUUUUUGAAACAUGUGGUUUCUCCAAUCAGUAUUCGAAAUUAUUAUCACUCAGGAGGUACCACUUCCUCCCUAUAAAUUCAAUCACCCAUAUCAUAUUGAGGACAAUGCUCAGCUCGGUUGGGGGAAAUGAGGAAGGAAGUAUGCUAAGUUAUUUUGGUAAUGCACUUAUGUUAGUAAAUUAGUUGUAAUUUUUUACUUUUUACUCUAAUCUCCAUGGAUUUUGAGGAAAUUUUCAAAUUAAAACAGGAGAAACUGAACUUUUGCUUUUCACUUGGCUUAGAGUUUAGAUUAUGCUCACUAAAGUGGUUCAAUUGUUGAAACUUCUAUUGAAAUCGAGUUUAGUUCUUCCACUUUAAGCUAUCCACACACUGUGCACAAUAGGUUCCGAAUAUAAGAUGAAAAAACUAUUUCCCUCUUGACUUAGGAAAAUUUUGGGACUUGGUACCUUUGACCUCAUUUGAUAAUGUAGAGACACCUUAUGAAAGGCCAAUGAGCCUUUGAAAUAACGAAAGAAAAAUGUUUGCUUGCCUUGAAACCCGAGCAAGGUCUGAGGAGUAUAUGGUGAAAAUCUUUAAAACCUGGUGCCCUAAGCCUUAAUUGGUUGGGAGUCACCGACCUCAAUGCUCGUUACAAGGGUGGAUAGGUGGAGUUAGCAUAUGGUAGGUGCUUGGGUAUUAAAAAUUCAUUCUCAAAAGUCCGGGGUAAAAUCCGAGGAGUUAGUGGUUGAAAGAUCCUUAAAGCUUGAUUCCCUAAACCUUAAUUGGUUGGGAGUCAUCGAUGGACCCCCGUUACAUAGACAAUUCAGAAAGAAUGCCCUUUUAAGCCUCCUUGAAAAAAAAAAAAAAAAACAGUGUGUUCUUAUCUUAUUGAUUUUGGUCAGUUUGCUAAGUGUUGAAAAGAGAUAGGUUGGGGGGAGAGAUUAGUUUAGCAUACUAUAUUCGGAAGCUAAGGAAUCUUACACUUAGAUUUUUAUGGAAGAAUAAAUUUUGGUUCUUUGAAAGUGAAAAUGAUUUUAAAACUUCAGUUUGCAUAAUGCAUUCCCUUGAUUAAAAGUGUUUAGCAUAGUUUUUGAUAACUCUUGUUGAAAUUUGGGUUUAUAUUUCUUUAAUGUCUCAUGUGAGAGUUAGAUCAUCAUGCUACUUAAAAUCUUUUUGAAGUAAUCAGCAUGAUGUUGUAAAUUAUAGUUUUGUUUGCUUUUACUUUUUCUCUCCUUCAUUGCUAAGAGACUAGCAAUAUGUCGGUUAGGGGGAGUGAUUACUACUCAAAAAGUGUUCUUUCAUAGUUUAUAAUAAACUCUUUUAAACACUUUUGAGUAGUAGUUAUUGCCUUUUAACCCAGUUCACAUGUUAAGGACCCUUGCAAUCAAUUCUAAUCAAAUUGUGUUAAGUUUUGGUAUUUUGAUAGCCUUUUGAUCACCAAAGCAAUCCGAGAUUGAGGAGAGUUAUGUGGAAUCUUUGGCAAAGCAAUUGGAAGCUCAGAAACAUGAAGAACCAAAGCUUUGAAGUCCUUUGCCAUAAGUAAAUCCGGAAUGCAAGGAGAGGAAGCAAAGAGAAAUCUGCCAUGAAGCAUAUUCUUGAUGACAGUAUUAUCAGCCACUUUUGGAGCACUUUCUGAAGUCCAAUUUAUGCAUUCCAUAUGUCGUUUCGAAGCUCAGGAAGUCAAAAAUCCAAUGCUUCAAAUGGUGAGCAAUUCGAAGUUGAAAUGAAGGAGUUACAGCCAUUGCAAGCCGAUCACUCCAAGCUGAAGGAAGAAUUUUGCACAGCGUUGCGAAAUCACCCUUUUGUUGCGAAAUGAUUUCGCAGCCAUUUUGCACAGUGCUGAGGAAUUCCUCUUGAAGUUUCCCGAUAUAUAUGACACGUUGGAACCUGAGCACCGUACCAUGAAAGCCGACUUCACAGCGCUGCGAGAUUAGCUUUUUGUUGCGAAAUGAUUUCGCAGCCCUUUUUGUGUGUCUGCGAAAUCUCGCAGACAUCAUUUUCACUUGCGAAAUGGUCCUUAGUGCUUCCCGAUAUUUGUAACCGACACUUGGAGAUAUUUUUCAUCAGAUUUUUGUUGUCUAAAUCCCAAAAUUCUCCUUGUAAGCCACCAAUUAUAAGAUUCCUUAGCUUUUAAGUUAGGAAAAAGGGUAAAUAUCCAUGUAAUAAUUAGUAUUGUAAUUUUUCAUAUAAAUAGCUCUGAAGAGCGUGUUCUCUGGGAGGAACCCUUUUGUAAAAGUUUGAAAGCAAGUAAAAUUCAGGACCUUUGUUUUGUCUUACCUUCUCACUUUGUAUUUUUCAUUUUUUACUAAGUUAUGCACUCUCUGAGGAAUUUUCCCCAGAGAAUGAGUAACUAAAACCUUUAGUUCCUUAGAGCUAAGGUUGCCGGGAAAGGUUGCAAGUGCAAGAAUGCAAAGCUUUGUGGUUUCAUCCAUGAAUGAAGAGGAAGUGAAAUCCUUUAGUGAUUUCUGUGUUUUUAGUUAACUUAAAACACCUUAGAGUCACUUGGGCCAACACUUGGUAAGGCAAGUGAUCUCCGACCAUGGAGAUGCACUAGUUUACCCCUUGCGAGCCUUUGGGAGGUGACUUGAAGGUAGGAUUUUCUGGAAUUGCCAACACUUGGUAAGCUUUUGGACUCCAAUGAGACAUCCAUUAGUUAUCUCUUGCGAGCUUGAGAAGGGAAGUCUAAGGUUAAAGAUCACCUUGAAUGGUUAAGGAUUAGUGAGAGACUCGAACCAUUGCAAGUUGCAUCAAUGAGAGAAUUAAAGCUGAAAUCUAAUUAAAGGAUGUAUCUGUACAACACCGGUUAGAUAAUUGACUAUAUGUUGAUUCUCUAACGUGAGGAAAUGAACCAACUGACCGGAGCUAUGUCUUUUGCAUGAGGAACCUCCCCAGUGAACCUGACCCUCCAAGGAAUGUUUUUCUUCAUAAGUAAUUUCCAUUAAUUGCUUUGCAGUUAGUUUAAAUCUAAAUCUUUACCAACCAAAGUUUGUGUUUUAUUUCUUAAGCUAACCUUGAAAUGAAACAAUACCAAUUCACUUUGAAUUGGUAUCAUUGAUAAUUUGCUAACCCUUCCUAGUGAACGAUCCUAGAGCCACUAUGCUAUAGUAGCUUUGUCUUUGCUACCCUAGUAUAUGGUGUAAUAGGUUAUAAAUUUUGUUGAUUACUCCCUCAAUCAAGGAGCACCAGCUGGACACGAAUCAGCUGAGACACCAAUUGGGCACGAAUCAAUGGCAUAUCAAAUAUAUUCGUUUUGAACACAUUGUAGGUGGAGUAGAAUUUGGUUAGGAAAAAUUAAUAAAUAUUUUUUUGAAUUUACUAAUGAUUCACAUUUUGUCACAUUUUUCGAAUAUGUCUUAAAGAAAUUAAAUAAUAAUAACAAUAUUUUGCAUGUCAUAGCAAACCAAACUGAAUAUAGUCAUUCUGAAGAUCUUUUAUAAUAACCCAAUAGGAUGUUAUAAUGUAGGUGAAGAACACUUUGGUCAUAGGAUAUUAUUAACUUUUACCAAUGACUAAAAGCGAGGGGUCACAAGAACACUAUUUAUUUGAAAAUUUACUUCACAAUGACACUUUUAUCAGGCAUAUGUAUUUAUAUUUAAAACUUUCAUAUAGGUCUUGUACUUUUCUAUCUGUAUUGCAGAUAGGCCCUCAUGCCAAUAUUAUGACUAAGCCCUCCAGCCAAUCUUCAAACUAUAUAAAUGGUAUAACCUCAACUUUAACACCAUAUGCUAGUUCAAAGCACCAUGUAAAGAACCUUCAUUCCAAACAUAUAUCAACCAUAUUGUCCAAGUAUGUUUGAAGGCAUAAAUUUUAUAUUCCAUUUCUUCAAUUAAGCAUAUUAUCAAUGUUUUAAGAAAAUAUGAAACAAAGGCCUCAUGCAUAAUUUGUUUAUUUGGUUGUAUCGGUAUAAACAAAUACAUGGAAAACAAAGACAAGAUCUACAUUGUUUUUGUUGGUAGGAGGUCGGGUGUACACACAAGUUGGCCUAAAUGCCAAGUUCAAGUCAUUGGUUACAAGGGUAACGUUUAUAAAUCGUAUAGAACUCAUCACUAGAUUGUAUCAGCAUGGGUGAUGUACAAGCCUUGAUGGAAAAAACUUGAUGCACUUAUUGAAUCCUCCAAGCCUAUAGAGUGUAACUAGGUUAUUGGCCAACUAGUAGAUGACCAAGUACUAAAGAAGGCUAAAGAUCGGAAACAAAAUUUCCUUGCUCCUUUUGUCCUCGGAUGUGUUGUAACAUUCAUGAUCAUGUUUGUCAUUCAAAAGUUUUUUAGGUAUGCUCAAAUGUGGUGCAACUAAGUUACAUGUUGUACUUGUAUUACAUGUCUUAAAUGAAAUGGUAGUCUGGCCUUCCAUCAUUCAUUAUUUAUUUCAGUUUUAAAACAAUACUAAAACAACAUAAAACAAAAUAAGAAGUUACAAAUUUUGGAUGAUGAAAUUUAAAGGGGAAAUGAGUGAGCAAGUUCUUCAAAAUUCUUUAAAAUCCUUCAAGAUGGGCUACCUUGUACACCCUUGUACAGUUAGCACACAUACCUUGUACACUUAGAGUAAAUGCCUUAUACACUUAGUGUAAAUGCCUUAUGCAUUUGCAUAUUUACGUACACCUAUAAUGCAAUGUGUGCACAUGGGUGAGUUAACUAUGUUUCCAUUGUCAUGGCUCAAGAAAAGAGGUAAAAACAAUGAAAUUGAACCCAACCAUGUAUUCUUAAUCAUCAUUUAUGAAUACAAGGUGAUGGAAUGAAUGUGUAUGAGGUCAAAUAAAUGCAUGGGUUGCACGUCAUCAACACAUAUGUGUGAGGAAUGUCUCUCAUCUCAUCCUUGGAAAAGGGAAAUGAGUGAGUCAGUUGCUCAAAAUCAUUUUGAAAUUCUUUGAGACAGGUACCCUUGUACACCCUCGUAUAGUUACCAUAUUUGCCUUAUACACUUAAUGUAAAGGCCUUGUACAGUGGAGAAAACUCCAUACACUUACAACACAUGAAUCCAUAUGGGUGGGGGAACCAUGUUCCAAUGUCAUGACUGAACAAAUUUUGAACAAAUUUGAUGCCAAAUUACGGCUCUAUUCAUCAUUAUUGUAGUAAGUAACAUGAUGAACAUGUACAAACUCACAAAAAUGAAUGGGGUGAGUAUGUGAUCAAGUAAUGUGUGUGACAAAUGUCCCUCAUUGUUAGAAAAUGGAAAUGAGCAAGCAAUUUUUUCAUAUACCUUUCAAAUCGUUAUGGAUAAUUACCUUGUAUACCCUUGUACAGUUAGCACACAGACCUUGUACACUUAGUGUAAAUGCCUUGUACACUUGCAUUCACAUACACCUAUAAUGCAAUGUGUGCAUAUGGGUGGGUUAACUAUGUUUCCAUUGUCAUGGCUUAGGAAAAGAGGUAAAAAAAAAAAUUAAAUCGAACCUAACCAUGUAUCCCUAAUCAUCAUUUAUGAAUACAAGGUGAUGGAAUGAAGAUGUAUGAGGUUAAAUAAAUGCAUGGGUUGCACGUGAUCAACCAAUAUGUGUGAGAAUUUUCUCUCAUUCUUGGAAAUGGGAAAUGACCGAGUGAGUUCCUCAAAAUCAUUUGAAUCCUUUAAGAUAGGUACCCUUGUACACCUUUGUAUAGUUAGUACAUUUGCCUUGUACAGUGGCAUAAUUUUGACAUAGCUACAAUUAAACGUGUGCAUAUGGGUGGGUCAACCAUGUUCCAAUUUCAUGCCUGAGGAAAAGAAGGAAAAUUAAACCCAAGUUAUCUUAGUAUUCAUCAUUAGUGUGGUAGGUCAUCCAAUGAACAUCUAGGAGGAAAAAAAAUUAAUGGGAUGGGUGUGUGAUCAAGGAAUGUUUGUGAGGAAUGUCCCAUAUCCUUACAAAAGGGAAAUAAACAAGCCAGUUUUUAUAAAAUAUUUGAAAUCCUUCAAGAUAGGUACCCUUGUACAGUUACCAUAUUUGCCUUGUACACUUAGUGUCAAUACCUUGUACAAUGCCAAAAAUUCGACAUAGCUACAACUAAACGUCUGCUCAUACACGGGCUAACCAUAUUUGCAAUGUUUUGGUUCAUAGAAUGGGGAAAAACCUAAGUCUAAAUUUUUUUCCCAACUACUAGUCCAUGAUUCUUACACAAUAAUCAUAUAAACAAAUCAGUGAAUGAUGCAAAUGAAAACCCUUCUAUUGACUUCCUACAUGCACAACAUUUGAUAUUGAAAAAUAGUUUUCCCUAUAAACUUCUCCUCCUCAGCAUCCGCACCACACUGUUUUAUUCCCAUUCAGCUCUGGAAAAAUCACCUUUAGCUUUGGACCCCCCAACACAUUCAGUUUUCCCAUUUCCCAAGGUGGGCAGCUGCCCUCUCAUUACUUCAUAACUCCUUAACCCACCAAUAAUCCACAUGGAUUCAAGGUGGGUUGCAAUCAACCCGAAAAAUGGCCCAAAUUGGACAUAAAAUCAUCCUCUUAACCCAUCUGGAGCACUAGGGCUCGAACCAGCCUGAACAAGGGCACCAAAAAUGCCAAAAACAGAGUCGUUCGCAAGUAGCCCCGACGAAUCGGUCGACCGCCUAAAAAAAAAACUUAACGAACCGAUUGAACCAGUUGACCAUCUGGUCGACCAGUUGAGAAAUAUAAUAUUCCUUGAAGAAUAAGGAAUCCAAAAAAAAAAUGAUGCGCAAUUCCGAGUUCGGAUGAGGGAGAUAUGAUCAAAACAAGCCCAAGUGCUCCGUAUUCGAACCUACUCCUAUGAACUCCAACUAAACUGAAGUUUUGGGGAGACCUCACUUCCUUCCUUUAGCAUGAUGUGAAAAACUAGGGAAUUGGCCAUGACGACACUCUAAAAUGAACUACACACUCGCACUACAUUGGACCAUAGAUGAACCUACACAAGGCUCGAAAACCGAUCAAACCCAAAAGAGGGCCAUGGCGGUGCCAUAUGGAAAAAAUUGGGUGCAUGUGACACCCCUAAGAUAAAUGCAAGUGUCGAAGGACAAAAUUGAGGGUCUAAAAUAGGGCUUAGAGGGGUGCUACAAUUUUUCACCAUACCUUUGCAAUAAGUAACCUGACCCCUGGACCAGUCUUUAGUUUUCCACAUAUUGUCUUUUCCAAAUAAGGAGUCACACUUAGGGUUUUCUUUCUUAUUUUGUUUUCUCUUUAAAAAUAAAACAAAAAUAAGAGGCAACUUUAAGUCUUUUCUAAAAAAUAAUUUUUUCACAAAUAAAAAGUGAGUUCGUCAUCGUGCAAAAUGCGAGGUCCACAAAAGUAUAAUUUGAUUUAGAAUUUAUUUGAUUAAUGAAAAUUUUAUCAAAUUAAAUAAAAUUCAUAAAAACACAUUUAAUUGAGAGGAAUAUUAUAUUUACUUCAGUUUAGUUGAUGUUUAAUAAAUCUCUAUGUCCUAGCACACCAUAUUCAAUUUUAGCUAAAUUUAGUCUUCAAUGCAUCAUUUACUUUCAUGAAAUGUUGACACCAUGAAACCAAAGAAAAAUUUGGGCUUUAGGGAAGAAGCUAUAAUUUACAUACUGGUACAUAAGCCUAGUAGAAUUUAACAGGUUGAACACAACUGAUAUGAAUAUUCUUAUAAACCACUACAAGGAAAAAGGCAUAUGGUGACAUUUAUAACGAGUCACCAUAAACAUAAGGUGUCACUACAACAUAGCGUCACCUUCUCCACUGACACCAUAGAGGGUACCAAUUGGUGACGUAUUUGGAAGUGACACCAAAGUAGAUAAAUGGUGACCCAUUCAGAAGUGACACCAUAUAUUUCUAGUGAUGAUAGGGUGUCACAUUAAAUACAUCAUCUUUGAGUUAUGUUGUCACAUUAAAUGCAUCACCUUUGAGUUAUGGUAUCACAUCAUUGUAAAUUAUUGUGGAAUAUAUGAUUGGUUUUAGUUGUUGAUUUUUGUAAUGCUUAUUAAUUAAUAAGAUUAACCUGUUUAUAUUUUGUCCAUAAAUAUAACAAUCAUAUUAUAUUUAACUCAUUUUUCUGUAAUGUUUCUAGAAUAACUCAUAAUACAUUGAUCAUCUAAUAAUAUUUGUAUUUCAAAUGUUCACAAAAGGAUAGUACGUCCAACAUAUCAAACCCAUCAAAACUAAAAAAGAAGAGUGAAUACAUACCAAAACAUGAUUUAGAAAUGUUAAAGAUCCCAAGAUUCAUGUAUACCUCCAUUUCAUAAGCAUAAAACCGGCUAACCAUAAAAUGACAUAGAAGUCCCAUCUAAAAGUCUAAAUUUCUCAGUUGCAAUUAAAGUAACGUUUAUGUCCUACAACGUAUGACAUAAGAGUUGCAUUUAAAAACCCAAAAUCUUGUUGCCUUCUUCUUUCUUUUUAUUCUCCAUUUCACCCUCCCAAGAGUGUAUACCUGCAUUUCAAAAUUUAGUGAGUUUUAGAGAUUUUUAUUAAAGAAAAUAAACAUGGAUCUAUGUUAUCAUAAAUGAACAAAUCUAAGAAUUAAUUUUUUUUUCAAAUAGAAACAUUAUUCAAAGAAUAAGCAUUACUAUACAAUACCUAUGGAAAAAUUGAUGUAGUAGCUAAGGGACUCACUAUGCAUGGUGAUCAUGAUGCAUCAACAUGAUUCAUGAUUAGUUGUAGCACAAAAGUAGCCCAUUCUCCUCUAAUUUCAUCGAAUUCUACUUGAGAAUAUGUUUUUUUUAUUACCAAACUGAAAUCAAAUAAGAAAAUAACAUUAAAAUGCAUAACAUUUGGAAGCCUAAAACUAUGUACAAUUCAUUAAAUAAGUAAUACCUUUGAAGCAAUAAUUGUAGGAUAAAAAAUUAUCUCUUUAAUGAAUCUCAUAACAAAGUAGCCACAUUCAAACCCUCCUUCUUGUCUUGGACACUAAUUGAUCAAUUAUAAAAUAACAUUAGUACUCACAUAUAUAAAUGGUGCAAAUGCAUAAGCUAAUGUGCAAAGAAAAAUUUUUGGAUGUCACCUGCACUAGUUGCUAAGAUGGCUCCCUCUUAGAUGUUUUAUUUGCAUAUAUUCGAAGAGCCCUAUGUAAAUAUGUUCAAUGGGUACAUUUUUAAAAUAGGUAAAUGUUAUAUAUUUUAAUAUAUAUAAAUAAUAAUAAAAAAUGUGUUUGAGGUGAAUGUAUUUUUUUUUAUUUAAAAAUAACACUAUGAAAAAUAAUAGGAAGAACUUACAUGUUUACGAUAUCCUUUAAGUCCUCACAUGGUUUGUGAUGCAUAGGGUCAAGAUAGUGGACUAUCAUUUUCCUUGGCUCAAGCACUACCUAAAUAUAAACCCUUUAAGUCCUCAUAUCUAUUUCUAUUAACAAAAUAUAAAAACUUUCCAAAACUCAACUACUUAAAUAUAAAAACAAAAUCAAAUAAAAUAUCUAGCUAAUUGCAUUUUAGAAACUAAAUAAACUAUAAAUAAACUAAAUAUAAAAACUAAAUAAAAUAUCUAUGCCCAUGAAUUAAUUGAAGAUGAUAGAAAGACACAGAGAGAACAUGGCUAUGGUUAUGAUAUCCAUCUUAUCAUUUCCUAUCAAUACCACACAUGCCCAUUUUAAGGUUGGACACUACUUUUGUUGCUAGACUUGGAAAGGGAACUUCAAAAUUGAAAACAUAAAUAAACCCUUAUGUAAAAAAAAAUAACAUUAAAAUAUAAUUGAGCAUUAAAAUAUUUACUCUCUUUCAUCACUUUCAUUUGAAUAUUAAUAAUCUCUUAUUGAGAUAUAUACUUACAAUUUAACAAAAUAGAAAUUCCUAAUAAUAAAAAAUAUAAACUUUCUAUUUCUAUUAACAAAAUAUAAAAACUUUCCAAAACUCAACUACUUAAAUAUAAAAAUAAAAUCAAAUAAAAUAUCUAGCUAAUUGGAUUUUAGAAACUAAAUAAACUAUAAAUAAACUAAAUAUAAAAACUAAAUAAAAUAUCUAUGCCCAUGAAUUAAUUGAAGAUGAUAGAAAGACACAGAGAGAACAUGGCUAUGGUUAUGAUUUCCAUCUUAUCAUCUCCCGUCAAUACCACACAUGCCCAUUUUAAGGUUGGACACUACUUUUGUUGCUGGACUUGGAAAGGGAACUUCAAAAUUGAAAACAUAAAUAAACCCUUAUGUAAAAAAAAAAUAACAUUAAAAUAUAAUUGAGCAUUAAAAUAUUUACUCUCUUUCAUCACUUUCAUUUUAAUAUUAAUAAUCUCUUACUGAGAUAGAUACUUACAAUUUAACAAAAUAAAAAUUCCUAAUAAUAAAAAAUAUAAAAAUUUCUAUUUCUAUUAACAAAAUAUAAAAACUUUCCAAAACUCAAAUACUUAAAUAUAAAAACAAAAUCAAAUAAAAUAUCUAACUAAUUGGAUUUUAGAAACUAAAUAAACUAAAUAUGAAAACUAAAUAAAAUAUAUAUGCCCAUGAAUUAAUUGAAGAGGAUAGAAAGACACAGAGAGAACAUGGCUAUGGUUAUGAUUUCCAUCUUAUCAUCUCCCGUCAAUACCACACAUGCCUUCCCGGAUUGGUCCUUUCGGGGUUGGAUACUCUCAACGAAAUUCUAUAUCUCAUUUUUUAGAAAGGAUGAAGAUUAUGUGAUAGUAUAUCUUAAAAAAAUUUUGUACCUGUCAUUCUCACACAAAUACAUAUUAAAAAUCAUUCAUUUUUCCUGUUUUUCACUUUUUUUUAAGGACUUGAUCAUGUGUUUGGUUUAGAUUAAAAAAAUCAAUUAAUCUAUAGUUUUUUCUUCCAUGCUAGAAGAUUAAACCUAAAUUUUUCUUCCCUACAACUCAAGAAAACACAAUUCACAAAAACCAUAAUACAAAGAUGUUGAAACAAUUAAUAUAAUGGCAUUAAUAAAAGAAAAAAAAUGAUAGAUCCAAGAGAUUUUGGGUUACCUAGGAGUCCACAAAGUGAAGAAUGUCGGUUUUGAGCGUGUUGACUAUGGAUGGGUGAGAGAAAAGGUUGAAGAAGAUCAUGAUUUUAUAUAUAGGAUUUAUAUAUUGAGAUUUUUUGGAUUGUGGGUGAGAUAUGGAAACAAUGGGAUUUUUAUAUAGUAUCCAUCAUUAUUAAUUCUAAAAGUGGGCUCAUUAAGUUAUAAUACUUAAAAAAAUUUAUUUUAUAUGAUGUCACUUCCCAAAAAAUGACACUAUAAAUAUAAAAUUAAUAUCAUCUAACUACCUCAAUUGAAGUUUUUUGUAUGAUGUGUCACCUUUAUUAAUUAUAAACCCUAUGGUGUCAUUAUUUUAAAAGUGACACCGUAAAUAGUGACACCAUAAACUAUUUUUGUAGUAGUGUGAAUAUUGGUAUUAGAUUGUAGAGAGGGAUAAAUAAGAAUGAUAUCAUCUUCAAUCUUAUUUGCUUUUUAUAGUUUUUUUAAAUUCCUCUAUAUUUUCCUUUUGUUUUUAAAAAUUGGUGAAAACAAUUUCUACUUGCUCUCUAAAAUAUGUUUUUUUUUUUUUCACUUUAUUUUAAAAAUUAAAAAUAUAAAACAACUUUCAAACAAUUUUAUGAAUUUUUAAAAACAAAUUUUCUAUUUUUAAAAACAUAAAAUUAUUUUUUUAAUGAAAUGGUCAAAUAGGAUAAAAAACUUUUCAAAACCAAAUUUUAAGAAUUUGGGUCAACUGCUAUGUUUCUUUUACAAUCCUCCACUAUUUUUGGCCUCCAUGUCAUGGUUGUCAACUUUUUUUGUGAAUAAGUUCAUGAGCUUCGUCUUACUUUAUAUUUGAGAGAAAGAAAGAAGAUUUUGAGACAUGUUGGGUUUGUAUUUGUUGUAUUAAAGAAAGAAAAGAAUAUUCACCUCCUAUUCCAUUUUGUACUAAACAAAUUUGAUAAGACAUUGAUAGGACAUGUAAAUAUUAGAACAUGUAGAUAAACUAAAAAUAUUUUGGUAAUAUUAUUUUUAUUUUAAUUUUUGAAAUUUCAUAUUAGAAUUCCUUUUAAUGUUUUCUUAUGAUUUUAAAUUGAUCAUGGUUCUAACUUUUUACUAGGUUAAAAUCUUUAACUCUUUUAUAUACAUAAAAUAGAAAAUAAAAUAUAUUUUUCAUGAAAAUUGUAUUUAAUAUUUUUAAAAUUAAUUUUUAUAUUUGUUAAAGUACAUAUAUAUAUAUAUAUAUGUAUGUAUGUAUGUAUGUAUGUAUGUAUGUAUAUAUAUAUAUAUUUUAAAAAGUACAUCAUUUAGAAAAAAUAGGUACAUCCAAUAUAAAACAUGUAUAUUUCAUUUCAUCUAUGAUUCUUAUACUCAUUCAUCCUAAUUUGGGUGUCGGAUUUCACUGAUGUUGUUAUCGGGAUGUAUUGGCACUCCAAGGAAAAUGUCAAAAGAUGACGCUUUUUAAGCAUCAAGAUUGUCAUAUCUUAGACUGUCAUCUUAUGAAUUUCCAAUUGUUGAUACUUUUCACAAGCGCCAUCUUCUUUGGUGGUUAACCAUGACACUCAUAGAAAACGUCAUUAUUCUAACUCUAUAAGUGUCAUUAUAGGUCUGCAAUUUCUUUCAUCUCAAUAUUGACACUCGAUAAAGUGUCAUUGUACAGGUAGAAGCAACAUCGACAAUUAUGAUACGUGUCAUCUUAUAGCGAUGUUCAACCUUGACACUCAAAAAAAGCAUCAUGUUCUGGAAUCCUCAACCUUGAUGUCUAUGAAAAGCGUCAUUGUAUAGGUUAAAGUGGCGUUGACACUCAUAAUAAGUGUCAUCUUCUGCCUUUUAAUAUCAUAUGAGAACAAAGCAUGACGCUUUAAAAAAGUGUCAUCUUAUCUUAUUCAAAAUUUUAGUAACCCAUAAAAGUCCUAAUUAUGCUCUGUUUUAUAAUUUUCCACAAACAAUGAAUGAGUAGUAAAAAUUUAGUUUAAGAAAGUCCUAGGAUAAAAAGUACAAAUUGUGGUGUUUCUCUUUCACUAUUAAAAUUUACCAAUAAACAUUAGAUAUAAUCAAUUAUGAAUUUUCUUAGCAUUAAAUUUAGUUGAAAUUGUUCAAAACACCAAAAAAUUUAAAACUUUUUUUUCAACUUUGAGUUGUUCAUAGUCUUUUGUUGCAUCAUCUUUCUUCAAAAUGCAUAAGGAUGGUUACAACUCACGUUCUAGAUGCUCAACCUGCAAAAAUAAUUGAGAGGUUACACAUAACUAAUAUUGACAAAUAGUAAAGAAAAAAACAACUAUAUAAAUGAAAUGUGUAAAUACCAAUUUUUAAAAUUUUCAACAUAUAUUUCUUUCGCUGCAAUAAAUUUCAACAUGUUGGAAGAAUUGAACAAACCCCAAUAAUUUUGUUAGACCAAAUUUCUAAAUAUUCCUUGAACUCUUGUUAUGUGUUUAAGAAAACAAACAACAAACCACUGUCUAGUGUUUUCCCAAAUGCAAUAUUUGAUUUUGUCUAACUUGGGUUGAAUGCAAUAAUUAAUUUUGUCCAACUCAUAUUUUCAUUCAUAUUGUAAUCAUGAGUGAAUGAUGACUUGCACCAAUGGUUAUCAAAAUAUGUUAUAAGUAUAUCUAACUUAGGUUGAAUGGAAUAAUUAAUUUUGUCCAACUCAUGUUAUCAUUCAUAUUAUAACCAUGAGUGGAUGAUGACUUGCACCUAUGGUUAUCAAAAUAUGCUAUCAACAUAUUGGGGCUUGCCAUAAGUCCAAGUAGGUCUUAAAUUUAAAGCAUGUAUACACUUAAUCAUUUACUUGGACUAACUCAUUAUGGAUAGAACUGAACCAAUUAAAUAACUAGGUUAGGUGGUUUCCCUUCCUCAAUGAAGAUGGUAUAUCCAUGUGGUUGCCUUCUUCCCUAAUUAGGCAUGACUAUGAAUUACAAGUAGCUAAAGGACCCAUUGUUCAUCAACUAUCUCCAUUAUAUAAUGGUCUUUUAGCCCUUCCACCCAAUUGGCCUUUACAAGUCAUCAAUUAUAUGUAUAAACAAAUGCCUUUGACUCUUAAAAAAAGAAAAGUCUUAAUCUUAGUGACUAUUUUGGUAUGAUUUAUAUCUUAUAUAUGAAACUUCAACCAUUAACAUCUUUUCAUCCUUCUUAUAGGUCCUACAAGACAUUGGAUGUUUUGCAAGGGAAGCAAGUAAGGAAUUAAAAGGAAAAAACUAUAAGUCUGAAAAAUUCUGAAAUUGUAAGUUAAAAUAUCUAUGUAUAAUUAUGAAAUUGUAUAUCAAAAUAUCUAUGUUCCUUCUAUUGUUAAUAUCUAUUAUACAUGAAAUUUACAAUAUAUUGGUUCUAUCUAUUUAACCAAUUAAUGUAGUCAGUAUGAAGUAUAAUGUCAAGAGAAGAGCUGGCUUGUAUGAGUACAUUAACAUCUAAUCAUGUGAGGAUAUCUAUUAACCUAAGUAUACAUCCUAAAUAUGAAACUUACAUGAAAUGAUUUUCUAAACAUGGAAUUUAUUCAUAAAACUAACAAUAACCUAAACAUCUUACCUCAAUAUUCUUUUAUGAAAAUUUUCAACUAUUGCAGGGUGUCCUUCAUGUCAUUGAUCAUGUUCAGGUCUGAAUAAGUAAGAGUAGUAGUGACAUACUUAAGAGAAUGACCUAUGUAUUUCAGUACAACUUGAAGAAUAUACAAUAAACAAUUUAGCAACAAAUUAGAUUCUUAAAAGUAUUAACACAUUAAAUUCAAUAAGCAUAUUAAUUUCAAAGAAGGUCGGUAGCCAAAGGUAGUAGAAUAAUUGAGAUAAAGAAACGAAGAAUGAAGAGAAAUUAAUUUCAACUAAAACAUUAUAAUUAAAUUGAUCUUUUAACUUGACAUGUUAUGAAUCCAUGAAAAAUAAUACAUUGGCAAUACUUUAUUGAUUAAAAGAGUAAAAUAACACCAAAGAUAGCAAAAACUACAUGAUAUGGACACAGGGUUUAUUUUUGUAACAGUGACCAAUAGACUAAAAGUAAAAGGGCCUUGGUGGAGGAAAAAACUAUUAUGUCAAAAUGACUAGUUUCUUUCCUUACAACUGUAUUUAGAUUAAGGAGCUAGUAUUCAAGUUGAUACCCUGUUUUAGACAAGGAGGCUUUAGAGGCCUAUAUUAGGGAGAAUGAGGUGCUAUUUUUUUUUUCCAUAGGCUUAUUUGUAAGAAGUCUCAAUCUAACUUCCUAUUUUUUAAUGUCAAAGAAAAUAUAAGUAUAAGAUAUUUUAAACUUUAUUCCCAUUAGUUUAGGAGGAGGCCUCUACAAAUUUAGAUUGAAAAAAGUUAUAAAGCAAGUGAUCUUAAGAGGCCUAUAUUAGGGAGAAUGAGGUGCUAUUUUUUUUUCCAUAGGCUUAUUUGUAAGAAGUCUUAAUCUAACUUCCUAUUUUUUAAUGUCAAAGAAAAUAUAAGUAUAAGAUAUUUUAAACUUUAUGCCCCUUAGUUUAGGAGGAGGCCUCUACAAAUUUAGAUUGGAAAAAGUUAUAAAGCAAGUGAUCUUAAGGGUCCAAAAUGGUUUUUUUGAGGAUAGACAUAUUCCUAAUGCAUGCACAUGUAACAAGACUAAAGACUUUGCAAAAAAGAGUUUGAAAAUACAUGAAUUUUCAUACCAUUACAACACUAGGAUUUCUACCAAUCUAACUAAUAAGGAUGUGUACGGGAAAUACACAAAGGUUGUGACACCUACCAUGUCUAAUAGGCUUCAACUCUCAACUUUCCAAUUACACAUCCAUCAAAAUAGAGCAACCAUUGCAUGAUCCAUAUUGAAAACACUACCAACUAGAAGUACCAAGAUAUACAUUAACAAAUCAUGACUAAGAAUAAAUUAUACAAUUAACAUUAACAAAAUAUUCACUAGAUUUUUAGAAUAAUAUGAAGUUAUAUUAGACUAUAGGUCAUACAAGGUACCUUCAAGCAUGAGUAAUGAUUAAUUGACUGUUAAUUAAGAUGAGAUUGUCAAUUUGUAAUAAAUAAUAUUUAUGAUUCAAUAAUGUCACUCUUCCUAAAUUAUAGACUAAUUAAUUUUAUUCAUAAUUAAUUUAUUAUUUUCUAAAUAAAAACAAGAUGAAAUAGAAUAAAGACAAAAAGCAAAUUGGGAUUGUUGUUUAAUGUAUAAUCUAGGUUAUUUUGUCAUUUAUAAUCAUUUUAGGAAAUAAGAAAUUUUUAGAAAAAAUAAUGUUUUUUUCAAAUUCAAUAUGAUGGUGACUUCACAAAGAAAGUCAUUCUAUAAAUUAAGGGAUGACUUUAGUAUCUAUUAAUUAUCCUAUUGAUGACCGCCAUUCCAUCACUUUUUAGUAAUGAUGAUCCUUAUAGGUUUAUUUUGUCUAACAUUAAGUAUAUUUUGACAAGUUGAAAACAAUAUAUAUAUAUAUAUAUUUAAGAAUGUAGGCAGCAUAUUAAUUACCAUGAAAAAUUAAAACCUCCAGCUCACAUCACACUAAUACCUUCACCCAUAUCUUUUCACAUUAGUAAAUACAGUUAAAAUACAAUACCACAAAACAUGUACAUGCAUGUACUUAGCCAAUAUAAGUCAAUCCCAUUAUUUUAUAUUUUGAUCUCAUUACUUAUAUUUUAUCUUAAUUUCAUUUUGAUUAUUUUAAUCUUAUUAUCUAUACCAUCAUCCAACUGUUUACAUUUUAUCCAAAAAUUUUAAUGGUUGAGAUGUAAAAUUCAAUAUGUAUUUCUUUAAGAUUUUCCUAAUAAACGCAUAAUUUCAUAAUAGUAUAGUGGAAUUAUAUAGGGAUAUAAAUAGGUGGCUCAUUUAGGCUCACUUAGGCCCACUUAGGCACACUAAGCCCAUUUGGACACCCCUAGGCCCUUGUAGGCACAUUUGGCUCAUCUAGACUCACUUAGGCCCAUUUAGGUACACUUGGCCUAUCUAGGCUCACUUAGGCCCACUUAAGCCCACUUAAGCUCACUUAGGCCCACUUAGGUUUACUUAGGCCCACUUAAGCUCACUUAGGCCCACUUCGGCCCACUUAGGCUCACUUAGGCCCACUUAGGCACACUAAGCUCAUUUGGACAAUCCUAGGCCCUUUUAGGCACAUUUGGCCCAUCUAAACUCACUUAGGCCCACUUAGGCACACUAAGCCCAUUUGGACACCCCUAGCUUUAGGCACAUUUUUUAAAUGGAGAGAUUAAGUUUUAAAUAAAAAAAUCGGGAUAUUUUUUAAAAAGAGGAGUUGACACUUGAAUGUUUUUAAAAAAAAUAAAAGAUUAAGUUUUUAGAUUGGAAAAUCUUUUUUUUUUUAAAUAAUGGAGAGGAUAAAUUUUAAAAUAUGAAAAGGAAAUUUUGGAAAUUUGGGAGACUUUUUUGUGGAGGGGAUAUGGAAUUCUAAGAGAGGAGGACUCCUCCAAAGAUACAGGGUUGCCAAUUGCCAUAGAAAAUGGGGGUUGGUGGUUUUGGAGAGUGGAGGAAUUUCUUUUAAAACAACACGCACAGGAAGGGGGAAUAAAAAAUAAAAGGAAAGAAAAGGGGUGAGAAGACACAUCCGGGAAGAAGGACAUCUUUAAGGGUGGAGAAAACACAUAGCCUACCUUGGGAACUCUCCACUACCAGCCGCCACAAGAAAAAUAAAAAAAUGAUCAGAACAUAAGACUCUACAAAAUAAAUCUAAAACAAAUAUCUAGAAGUUAAGUUUUAUCACAAAAAUUUUCAGAGAACAUCUCCUAUAUGUCUAGUUUACCAUCUAAGUGACCAAAUCAAUUAACCAGCCCUCAUUUAGUACCAGAAUUCAUAAUAAUGAUUAAUUGAUUUUUUUAAGGUGUUCAACAAUUGAUUUUUCUAACUAAAUUCGAGAUGUCCUAAAAUCAUACAAAAAUUUACAUAACUAUCCUAAUAUAUAUAUUUUGUAUGAAAAAUAAUCACAGGGCAAUAUCACAUUCAUAACAUACUUAAAAAUAAAUGAGCAUCUCUCAACUCCAGAAGAGCAUCUGUGUAGUGGGUGCAAGAAGAAAGAAAUUAUAUCUCUCAUUUUAGAAAUUAUUUAUUAAUAUUUUAGGCACCAAUAAUUAAUUUAAGAAUUCUAGAUUAAAAUAAAAUAUUCAAAUAAAUUAAAUAAACCGUUUAUUAAUUUAAUUUUGCAAAACAAUACUGAGUGUAAAAAAUAGAGUGAAAAUUGAACCUUCCGAAAGAUUGAUUUAUAUCUUCUAAUUGGAAAACCAUAUUUGACCCAAGAAAGAUUCAAAAAUCAAGCUCAAGGAGUCUAGAAUGUCAUAGAAUAAUUAUAAAAAUUUUAAAGGGUUUUUAAGUUACCAAAUUCCAAUUUACGAAUGCAGAAGUACAAUGAAUUAUCCAUAAUUUCAAUAAAUAAAUAAAACUUUGUUUUGAAAAAGACUUUGUAUGUAGGGAUCUAUUAAAUCCCAUUUUAAUUUCCAUGAAUUUAUCCAUGAAGACUCCAUUGAUUGGAGUUAUGAAAUUUAAUUCACGUAUAUUCAAAACCAAAAUUCAUUUUAAAUUUUCUUUUUCAAACUAUGCAUACCAAAUAAAAUUGGUUGCAUGAAUUUUUAGAAAAUUGAAUUUUCAUAACCUAAGAAUGUCCAAGACAAAUUUGGAAAAUUGAGAAUUAAUUUUUAGAAAGGUAGCUUGAUAAGAAUUUUGAAAUUACUAACAAACACAAAUAAUCACAUAAAGUCACACAACCAAAAGAAGAAAAUUCUUAAGGAGACAAAGUGGUGUGUGCCAAGGGUGAGUGAAGCAUGUUGACUUGUGUGUGAUGACAAUGAAAGUGUGGCUGCUGUGUGUGUGUUCAUAGUAACAACCUGGUGGUCUACUUUUCUAUGCAGCUAUGCGUGCCUUUCUUUAUCAAUUUAGCUAGCGUUUGUUCUCCAAAAUUCAACCAGCAGUGUUGGUCUUCACAAGCUUAUACAAAUUCUCAAAAUUCAGCAAUCUGAUGUGUGCUUGGGCUAGCAAUCUGGUGGUUUCAAAAUCUAAUAGUGUGAUCAUGUGCUUGUUGCUUUUCUCCUCACAACCAUGCACUAUCAACUUACCUCUCUACCAUUAACAAUCGUACACAAUCAGUUUGCCUUCCCAAAGUUCUAAAGACUUCCCUUUAAAAUUUCUGAUAAUUAUUUUAUUCCCAUCAAAAUUCAAAUAUGCCACUAACUGCUACCUCUCUAAUACCUUCUCAUCUUCUUCCUUUCAAGCCAAAACCUUGCACUUAAUUUAUGUGACUCUCUAGAACCUUCUGUCAACUUUUUUUUUUUUUUUUUUUUACAAACUAUGCACCAAACGAUCUUCAUUCUAGAAAAAACUGGUGCUAACACCAAUCCCCACCAUGUCCACAAUCAACUCAGGCGUUCCCUGUGGUGUGUGUUUGGAGCCCUUUUCAAAGGUACAAAAUUGUUUCUCUUUUAUGGCAGUAUGCUAGCGUGAAUAGAGAUGCCCUCUAACAAUCAACAAGAGAAUAGUUCCUAAGCCUUCCCGUCAAGAGUUUUCUCAUUCUACAUAAAUGGUAAUUGUCUACACUAAUUUCUAAAUACUUAGCCCCUCUAAUUAUGGGUUGAUGAACACCCAUUUGAAUAUAACGACUACUUUCCCUACCUCACGUACAAUUUUGCAAUUCCCUUUCUCUAUAAAUACAAGAUUUGGACCAGAUGUAACACUUGGCAAGCCCAAGGGCAUGGACUAGAAGCAAAGGAAAGCAACAAAAAAUAGGGCACGAAUGGGUAAAACAAAAUGAACUAACAAAAGCCACAUUUCAUACCUAAUCAACAAAUCAAGAACAGGUAAUAAAAACUGAGAGAAGUAAUAUGAUUAUCAAAUACUAAACCUAAAGGUAAAUUUAUCUAUUUACAAAGGGAAAUCAAAGAAUCCAAAAUGUGACCAAAACAGAGCAUGUAUGUAGACAAUUAGAUUGAGUCAAACCAACCAAAUAACUUUUGAUGUCCACACCAAAUCAACAAGAUAACACUCAUAAAUCUGCAGAAAAUAAAAUAAAAUAGUAUUGAAAAUGAGGAAGAAAUGAAAUUCAUAGUGAUCUUAUUUGGAAGGCUCCCCCCUUGAAGUUGUUGCAUGUUGAAGAUCUUAGAGUGAGCAGUGUUUCUUCUCCACUAUAGCCCCUAUAAUUAGGGCACGAUUUGCAAAGGGAAACUCAACCAACAUCAAAGCACUUGCAAUAAAUGAGGAAUAUGGAGUUGAAAGAGUGGAGAAUCACCUGGUUUUUCACUCAAUGGUGGAAUUUGUAAGAGAAGAAAGGAGUUUUAGUACUUAUUCUCUAUUAUGAGUCACAAAAUGGAGAUUCAAAAAUGAUUUCCAGUUUUUUAUACUCAAGAUCUCACACUAGGGCUUGGAAACGCACCGUGUGACAAGAUUUCCAAUGUCAAGAGCCUCAUCUGCAAUCAUUGAUCGAUAUUGAUUGUAGUUAACUAGGCUCCAAGGGUUUGUCAGGGUUUUGCAAAAAUGGAGGGAAUGUUUGGCGUACUAUGAAGUCGUGGGUGAGAAUGGGAAAUAUGUGAGCCAUAUAUAAAGGUGUUAUUUUGAUGUCACUUUUAUAGAGUGCCAAGGUAAAAAUAAAUAAUAAAGACACUUAUAGAAAACCUCGUGCUAUAGGAAGCAUCAUUAUCCUUCAGCAUAAAGUGCCAUGGUCUAAUAUUUUCCUUUUAAGCAUCAACUUCGACCACUUAUUUACUCAACUGCCCCUCUAAAAGCCAAGUGAUGACAUUUUUUUUGAAGUGCCAAGGAAUCAAGCGCCAUAAAUUGUGUUUUUUGUAGUAGUGUGGAGGUCUUCCUAUACCCUAUUUAACAUAAUAUAACCUUGCAUACAUGCUUUAGAAAAAUAAGUAAAAGUUUAGAAAAGUAUUUACAUUUGAUUUGAGUUGAAUCAUUCCCUUAUUCGACCUAUUUUGGGUCUAAACUUUAACUUAUGUAAGCCUCAUGAUGCUUUCCCAAACCUUAUUUAGCAUGGUAGAACCCUAGAUACAUCAUUUACAAAAAUAAGUACAUUCUGAAGGAAAAGUACAUCAUUUACAAUAAUAAGUAUAUUCUUAAAAUAUCUAUAUAUACAAACAUUCAUAAGGAAAAUACAUACAUUUGAUUUGAGGUUACCCAUGACCUAAUUCAACCUAAUUUGGAUCUAAGAUUUGACUUAUGAUGCCUCAGAAUGUAUUUUAUGCCUUCCAAAACUCCGUUCGACAUGAUAGAAGUAUAGGUACAUUCUUUAGAAAAAUAUGUUAGAAAUCUGAAUUUUCUUAUUUGAGGUCUCUUAUAUAUAUUUGUGUAAUAUAUAGUUGUAAAUUAGAUUAGAAAAUUGUGUAUAACUGUAAAUUAUAUUAGGAAGAACAAUCUUUGAUUUAUAAGGAUUAUUAGUUUUCUUUUCCUUUAAAUUUCUUUGUAAAUAUAAGAUAUAAAUUAAGAUCAUAACAACUGCUUGAAUAAGAAUCUUUUACCAUUUUCUCUCACAUGGUAUUAGAGCCACUUUGACAUCCUUCAUUAGCCUUCAUUGCUUAUUUUAGUUCAAGUUUUUUAGCCUUCAGUGUUGAAGAUUUCAAGCCUAAUUCUUUCAACCUUCAUUAUGUGUUUUGUUUAUUUCUUUUUACAUAUUUCAUCCGUUCUACCUGCAAUUUCUAGGAUUUCACCAUGUCUAAGAUGUAUGAUAUCUCUUUUAAAACUAAUUUCAUAAUUUAAAUUAAUGAUUUUAAAAAAUAAAAAUGUUACAAAAAUAAUUUUCAUUUAUUUUUAAUUCCAUUUAAAUAUGAUUUUUUAAUCUCUACUAUUAUGUUUAUAAGGGCAAAAUAGUAAAAAUAUAUAUUUCAUUUAGUUUACUUGUAAUGAAAAAUUCAAACAUGAUUAAUUUUAAUUUUAUUUCCUAUGUGUUAAUUUAGGUAAGGAAGGUCUUAAUGGCAUAGUUUGGUUCUUUUUAUAAAAAAAAAUAUCGAUAAUUGUCCUAAUGUCAAGUUCAAGUUGUUUAAAAAUUGUACAAAACCUAUUAGGAGCCUUGUACACCCUUGUACACUUAACACAUUUCCUUUAUAAAAUAGUGUAAUACCCUUGUACAGUAAUGCAAAUUCCAUAUCCCUCCUAAGUUAUGUGUCUAUAUAGGUGUGUUAACCAUAUUUUCAAUGGUUUGGUUGAGAAAAUGAUGGAUGACUUAGGGUCAAACAUCAUUAUUGGGGAAAACAUUGGAAUUCCAUGUGGGAGUUAAAUAAAGUACAUGACAUGGGUAUACAAUCCUUCGGUGACAAGGAAAAUAAAGGAGUGGCUCAAAAUUGAUUGGAAUCUUUCAUAAAGGGUAAUCUUGUACACUUUGUACACUUAGUAUAUUUCCCUUGUAUAGUUAGUGUAACACCCUUGUACAAUGACACAAAUUCCAUAUCUCUCCUAAGUUAUGUGUCAACGUAGGUGUGUUAACCAUGUUUCCAAUGGUUUGAUUGAGAAAAUGUUCAUAUCCCUCCUCCUAAGUUACACAUAGGUGUGUUAGCCAUGUUUCCAAUGGUUUGGUUGAGAAAAUGGUGGAUGGCUUAGGGUCAAAAUCUUUAUCCCAAACAUCAUUACUGGGGAAAGUACUAGAAUUUCCAUGUGGGAGUUAAAUAAAGUGCAUGACAUGGGUGUACAAUCCAUAAGUGAUAAAGAAAAUAAAUAAGUGGUUCAUAAUCGAUUAAAAUGUUUCACAAAGGGGAGCCUUGUGCACCCCUUGUACAGUUAGUGAAUGCCCUUAUAUAGUGACGCAAAUUCCUUAUCCCUAUAGUGAAUGUGUGCUUAUAGGUGAAUUAAACAUGACUCUAGUAGUUUGGUUAAGAAAAUGGCAGAAAACUUAAAUUCGACUCUUUGUGUGAAUAUAUUAUAUUUUUGUGAAAAAAAAAAUACACAAUUGGCCAAUUCCUUUGUUUAAUUGUGAACAAAUUAUAUUUUUAUUUUAUUAUUAAAAUAACUAAUAAAAAAAUAAAAAAGAAUAAUUAAUAAAUGAAAUUUAAUUCUUUUUAUUAUUUUCAUAUAAAAAUAGUACUAAACAAGGUUUUCAAUUUUCAAAUUUAAAAAUAGUUUUUUUUUUAAUUAAAUGUAUUUUCAAAAAGAGACAAUAUAGAAAAUAAAAAAUUAUUUUAAAAAUAAAAAAUAAAAAUAAAAAUUAGAAAAAUAUUUUUAAACCAAACUCAAACAUAAUGUAUAUAAUUUUUAACUACUUGUUUUCAUCUAAAAUGAGUAAAUAUAUCAUUCAACCCUUUUAUAUAAGAAAAAAAUCAAUCUCUACUAUACUAUGUAUUGAUAUAAUCCACUUCUAAAAUUAGGUCAUAUGAAAACAUUUUAAUUAACUAUUUAAAAUAAAAACUCUCCAUCCAUCCUCUUUCUUUCUUUUUCUUUUUCUUAUUUUGAUAAAUUUUCAAUUAAUUCAAAUUAUUAAAAAAAAAUCAUUAGUAAACAAAUUUGCAACAUUUCAUAUAACUUAUUACCAAAAGUCAUCUUCAAAAAGUUAUUAAAAUAAGGAAGGAAGAAGAUUAAAAGAAAAUUUAAACUUUUUAUUUUAUAAUAGUAAAAUAUAAAUUUUAAAAUACUUUUUAGCAUAAAGGGAAAGAAAAUAGUGAAUAUUUUUAUUUUAAAUAUUAUUUUAAUCAUUAAAUUAUUUACUUCUAAAAUGUAAAAGAUAUUUUUUAUUUAUUUAAAUUAUCAUUUUUUGAGAAAGUAUUUUCCAAAAUAGGUUUUGAAUCAUUAAUAUAAUUUUUGUUUAUUUAUAAUUUUAAAAUAGAAAAUAAUGUUGAUUUUUCAAUUAUUUAUAAAAGAGUUUAAAAAAAUAAUGAAAAAUAAAAAAAUGGUUAAAUAAAGAUGAAUUUGUUAAUAGUAGCAUAUGGAGAGUUGUGGAAUGAAGACAAAAAUGAGUCAAAAGGAUAUUUUUGUCAAUUACUAUUUCAUAUCCUUGUAAUCAAUUAUGGGUGAGAGGAAUACCUUACAUCAAUUAUCAAACACCAGCACAAUUCUCCCCUAGAUCUAUAUUGCCCAUAGAUUUGUAUGCUAAUACUAAAUAAAAUUAAAAUAUAUUUAUCACAUAAUUUUUAUGUUUAUGUUAUAUUCUGUUUUAAAUUUUUGUUAGAAGAAAUCGUAUUAUGACAAUAGUAACAGAUGAGAAAAAAACCAAACAUAAUACAUAUAGUUCACUCUCAAAUGUGGGAGACAUGUCACUUUGUUGUUCCAAAAUUUCCACUAUCAUAAAAAAUUAAAAAAAAAAAUGUGUGAUCUCACCUCUUACAUGCCUCCUCUAUCAUAAAAUCAAAAUAAUUGAAUGUGGUUCUGCCUUCACCAUGGUUCUAGUUUUUUUGCUUGAUUAAAAUUUUAAAUUUUCUGUUUAUAUCAAAAUAAAAUAGAAAUAUAUUUUUUCAUACAAAAAUUGUAUUAAAUAUUUUAUAUUAAUUUUCUUUUAGUUUUAAAAUAUUAUUACAGCUCUCUGUUCUUAAAAAAAUAAAAGACAAAAGAUUUAGUUUCAAUUUGGUAACUAUUUUCAAAAAUAAUUGUUUUUUUAAAAAGAAAAACCAAGAAAACAUGUUUGACAACUAAAAAAAAAUAUGAAACAUUUUUUUUUCUUAAAAAAAAAAAUAUGGUAUUUUUUAAAAACGUCUUUUAGUUGUUUUCAUUUUUAAAAAAAUAAGUAUACAAAUAUGGAGAAUGAUUAAAAAUAAAACACUACAUAUAAAAUUUAUUGUUAAAAUGUAUUUAAAAACAUAGAAAACAAGUUAAAAAUAUUUCAUGUUUCAAAACAAGCUUUUAGUCUACAAAAUAUCAAAGACCAAAUUUCAAAAACUAUUUAAAAAUUUUUUUUAAAAAAAAAACACUUCCUAAACAAAGCAUUAAUAACUCAAUUUUGCUUUACCAAAAUUUGAAAAAAAAAAAUUAAAAUUUUAUAUUUCAUUAAUUUUGGAAAAUAUUGAUAGAUCUAGAGCAGUUUUGGCCACGUGGAAGGUGUCUUUUCAAGAGACACCUUCCACAAUUUUCAAAAUCAUGAUACAUAUUUGAAAGAAUUGAAUUUAAGCUAAAGGUGUCUCUUGAAAAGACACUUUCCACAUGACAAAAAAUCCAAUAUGCAUUAAAGAUGUCUCUUGAAAAGACACUUUCCACGUGGCAAAAUUUGACAAAUUUGAUUGUCUCAUGAAUUUGAUUUUAAAGCUAAAGAUGUCUCCUGAAGAGACACCUUCUACAAUUCCAAAAAAUUAGAUUUAUACUAAAGGUGUCUCUUGAAAAGACACUUUCCAUAAUUCCAUAAAAUCCAAUAUGUAUUAAAAAUUGUGGAAAUGAUUUUAAAGCUAAAGAUGUCUCUCUUCAACAUAAAUUCAAAAUUUUCCACUAUGUAUGGAAAUUGUGGACAGUGUCUCUUCAAGAGACACCUUUAGUAUAAUUCCAUUUUUUGAGAAUUGUGAAAGGUGUCUCUUCCACAAUUUUAAAAAAAAUUGGGUUUAUACUGAAAGUGUCUCUUCAAGAGACACUUACCAUAAUUUCCAUUCAAACAGUGGAAAAUUUCGAAUUUAUGCUGAAGGUGUCUCUUCAAGAGAUACCUCCCACAAUUCCCAAAAAAAUGGAAUUAUACUCAGACGCCUUUCAUAAUUUUUUAAAAAUUGGGUUUAUACUGAAAGUGUCUCUUCAAGAGACACUUUCCACAAUUUUCAUACACAGUGGAAAAUUUCAAAUUUUGAAAAGACAUAUUUUACAAUUCCCAAAAGUAUUGUUGCUACUAGGGAGUCAACACCCUUUACCUUGACCAUACAACAAGAUAAUCACUUUAUCAUCCCAUUACCUUUGUCUCAUUCUCAUUUGGGUAAUGAAGGUAUUACUAACAUCUUAAGUGAUGUUCUGAUUGAAUCUCAAGGUCAAAAGACCACAAUUAGAGUUACAACAUAUCAUGAAUUGGCACUUUUAGCAGUUGCAGGUUUAAUUGCUUAACAACAAUCUACAUGCCCUACUGUGGUUGCUCCUUCUACUUCCAUUCACAUAUUCGACGUCGAACAAAUCAUCCUUAAUGCCUAACGCUAAGAAACACUUAUGAUAGGAGAAGGCAUUAAGGUGAUGAUUAUUAAAAUUUCUAAUGAAUGUCUCCCAUUAUUGAGUGGAAAAAUUGAUGAGCUUUUCAAUGCUAUCAUGAAGAUUGGAGUCAACCCUUCACCAUUAAAGUCUUAGAUUGAGAAGUACAUGGAAAGUGUAGAUCACCUCAAUGCAAUGUGACGCACCCAUUCUAUAAAGAUAUAUCCGAAAGUACAAAGCAAACAUUUAGCUAUUGUUGCGUCUUAGAUUGUGGAUGCUCUAAACUCUAAGUGUAUAUAGGUGAACCAUCGUCAAUCAUUAAAGGUAGACUUAGCUACUCUUGAUGUUAAAUAGGUAGCACUUAAGAAGGAAUUAGAGCAACUAGGUAAACAAAAAGAGCACUUUCAUAACUCAAUCUUAGAGAUUGAUGAGAUUAUAGCCAAUAAACAUAAUGAUGUUUCUCGUUUGAGGAAAUUACAUGUCAUUAUAGCCCAAACCCUCAUGCUUACUGAUGUCAAUGUCAAGACUUUAGAGACACUUCAAGAAGCCUUAAGGACUCAACGUGACAAGCUUGCAUGCUUGGUGUGGAUGUGAUCGUUGUGCCUUUUUACUUAGUCUUAGCUCCCAUUUUUGUUUCUUUCAUUCAUUUUUUUUAUUAAGAUGUAAUAAAGUCAAGCAUUUGUUAGUUAGAUUUAUUUAUUAAUAAAAAUGAGACCUCUUUUUUUUUUUUUUUUUGGUAGUGACUGAACUCGAGUGGUUUCCCCAAGUUGCUUACAUACCUUUCAAAGAGAGGGGAUCAAGUCAAAUGUAGUUUCCCCCUCCCUUUUUUUUUUUUUUCAUGCUCUAACUUUUGCCAAGGCUAAAAGAAAAUUUUAAUAUUGUGAGCAUAUGUCCUAAUUUUUGCCUAAGCCGUCUUUUUAGGUUUUCGACUUAGCGGAAUUUUUUUAUUUUUUUUUCGUGCGCCAUAUACAAUUUAUGCUCAUGCAGGCCAGGGGUGCAGUGUGACUCAAGCACAAUAACGCUUUAAGAAUUUGCCAUUGAUAGGGUCAAUUCUUAAUCCAUCUUCAAUGACGAUCUUAUAGGCACCAUUGGUGUAGACUUCUUGCACCACAUAAGGUCCAUCCCAUUUUGAAGUGAAUUUACUCCUAGUCUUAUGUCUGAUGAUAAUGGGUCUACGAAUUGCAAGAACUAGAUCACCAACUUGAAAAGACUGAAGGCGAACCUUUUUUUAAAAAGCUUUUGAAAGGCCUGCUUGAUAAUACUCUAAGUGUUGUUGGGCUUCGAGUCACUUUUCAUCUAGUGCUUUUAACUCUUGAAGAUGUAACUUGGCAUUAUCUUCAUUAGUUAGUCCUUCAUAUAUAGCAAUCCUUAAUGAAGAGAUUUGACGCUCAAGGGGUAAUACAACUUCUGCACCAUAAAGAAGAGAAUAAGGUAUUGCUUGUGUAGGCGUUCGAUAUGCCUAAAGUGCUUCUCCUACUUGUUCAUGCCAAUCCUUCUUUGAAUUAUCAGCAAUUUUCUUCAUUAAGUUGCAAAGAGUCUUGUUGAAUGCUUCUACGAUACCAUUGGUCGGUGCAUUGUACAUUGAUGAAUUUUGUUGUUUGAAACUGAACCUCUCACAAAGAUUGAUCAUCAAUUUGUUAUAGAAGGGUUUCGCAUUUUCAAUGAUUAUAUAUCGUGGUACCCCAUACCGAUAGAUAAUAUUACUUCGAAUGAAGUUCACUACAUUUUCUUUAUUCACUUCUUUAAGUGGCAUAGUUUCUGCCCAUUUAGAAAAAUAAUUUGUUGCUGCCAAUAUGUGAGCAUGUCCAGUAGAGGAUUUAGGAGUAAUGGGUCGACCACGUCAAGUCCCCAUGCAUCAAAUGGCCAUGACGCAAUUGUAAGAUGGAGUGGCUUAAGGGGUUGUGUAUAAAAUUUCAGUGGAAUUGGCAUGAUUGACACUUCUUUACAUAUUCCACACAAUCCUUAACAAUAGUUGGCCAAUAGUAUCCCAUCCUUUUGAUUCGAAAAUGAAGUUUUGGCCCUGAUUGGUGAGCCCCAUAGAUCCUAGAAUGAGUUUCUUCAAUUGCUUGAUUUAUCUCUUCUUCUCCUAAGCAUCGAAGAAGUACUCCAUCGAAUGAGCGUUGAUAAAGUGUUUCUUUGUAGUAAAUGAAGCGUGGAGCUCAACGUUGUAUUUAUGUUCGAUGUCUUAGUUCAUCAGUAACUUCACAUGCUCUAAGUAGUCAAUUAAUGGUUGUCAUCAAUCUUCGCUGUCAAUAGUAAAUUAUGAUGUAGCUUUUACUUCUUCUUAUUGAUAUUGGCAAUGGUGGCAGUACCCACUUAUGGCAAAGAGGGACAUGUACAGUCUCGUCCUUAAGCAAUGUCAAACUUGCAACUAGAUUAGCUAGAGCAUCUACCAUUUAGUUUUCUUUUCGUGGAAUAUGAACUAAAGAGAUUCACUCAAACUUUUCCAUAAGUUGGGUAGCAUAUUGGAAGUAAGGAACUAAGUCAUCACUUUUAACCUUAUACAAGGCUAAAAGUUGAUUGAUUACCAACUUAGAAUCCCCACAUAUCUCUAAGCUUGUGAUUUUCAUUUCAAUCGCCAUUUGUAGUCCGAUAAUUAAGGCUUGGUAUUUAGUGACAUUGUUAGAGCAUCUCUCACUAAGAACAAAUGAAUAUGGUAGUAUUUGUCUUUAUGGUGAGACAAAUACAAAAUCUACACCCGUUCCAUCAUAGCGUGUUGACCUAUCAAAGAACAUCAUCCACAAAGAAAAAUCGUCAACAUAAAAGAUCUCCUCAUCGGGGACGUUGUCUAAAAUUUUUCAUGUUGCAGGGAUAGGAUGAUCUGCCAAGAAGUCUAUGUUGUCCUUUGAUUACCCUUUGAGGGAUGUAGAUUAUUUCAUACUCAGUGAGUAACAACCCCCAUCUUGCUAAUCGUCCUGAAAGAACUGGUUUUGAUAGCACAUACUUAAUGGGAUCAGUGUGUGCUAUUAAGUGUAUUGUGUAUGCCUGCAUGUAAUGUCUUAGUUUUUUUGUUGAGAAAAUUAAAGCAAGACAAGUUUUCUCUAUUAGGGAGUAAUUUAGUUCCAGUCCCAUUAAAGUUUGACUUAAGUAAUACAAUGUCUUUUCUUUGUUCUCCUCAUUUUCUUAUGCAAGCAAUGCUCCAAGAGAGCAUUUUUGUGCGGUGAUGUAGAGGAUCAAUGGCUUCCCUGCAAUAGGAGCACCUAAAAUUGGUGGAUUAGCCAAAUAAUUUUUUAUGCUCUCAAAGGCAUUAUGUCAAGCUUUGUCCCAAACAAAUGGGACAUCUUUCUUCAUAAGUUGGUUGAAGGGUUGACAUCGUCCUACAAGAUUUGAAAUAAACCGUCGAAUGAAAGUAAGACGUCCUUGAAGACUUCUAAGUUCUUGAAUAUUCCUCAGCUCUGGCAUAUCUCAAAUGGCUGCAAUCUUAUAUUGAUCCACUUCAAUGCCACGGUGUCGAACAAUAAACCCUAGAAACUUACCAGAAGUAACACCAAAAGCACAUUUGAGCGAGUUCAUAAGUUGGUACCUUCUUAACCUAUCAAACACUGAUUUGACUCAUGGUAGCUUAGCUUUAAAGGCGUAUCAACAAAAUUUAUACCUUGAAUACUAUUACUAAAGUAGCCAAGCUACUAUAGCAUAGUGGUUCUAGGAUCGUUCACUGGGAAGGGUUUUCGCAAACACUAGUGAUAUUCAAAUUAGGAAAAUAGGUGAUUUUCUUAUGGAUGUUAGCUUUAAAAGAAGAUGUAAAUGUUUUAGAAAGAUUUAAACUAAUCUAAGCUAACAUUAAAGACUAAAAUGAAAGGGUGUAAAAACAAGUUUCUCAAAGAUAGGAUAGCUAUGCUCUGGCUCUUAUGCAAAUUGGAAAUCUCAGGAUAGGCUCCUCGUGUUGGGGUUGCAACUAUGGUGAUGCUUGCUUCCCGAACCGGUAUGGGUUUAGCAAAUCAAGUUUUAAUCCAAUAAAAUGGCAAAACAAAUGGUNNNNNNNNNNNNNNNNNNNNNNNNNNNNNNNNNNNNNNNNNNNNNNNNNNNNNNNNNNNNNNNNNNNNNNNNNNNNNNNNNNNNNNNNNNNNNNNNNNNNUUCCUUUGAAUGGCUCGUAAGAGAUAACUAAUGGUCUAAAGCCAAAAGCUUACCAAAUAUUGGCAACUCAAAGUCAUUCCAAGUGAUAAACUCACCUUUCAAUGGCCAUUGAAAUUGGUUCUAACGGAUUAAUGCAAAACUUGGAAUUGAAAACCUCACCUUCCAAUAGCUCGUAGGAGAUAACUAAUGGAUAGAAAUCCAAAAGCUUAUCAAGUAUUGGCCGUUGGAAGUUGUCCAAAGGAAAUAAAAACCAAACUUUGCAUUAAUGAACCUUUAAUGAAAAACGACUACCUUACUUUCCGGGUGCGAGAAAUUUCCAUGGGAUUGCAUCCAAGUCAUCACAUAACAUCCAUACUUUGAGAAACUAAAAGUUUUAGCCAAUCAUCCUCUGAGGAAAAGCCCUCAGAGGCUGUUUGGCUUCCAAGAAAAUAAAAUAGUAAAGAGAAAAGAGAAACGAGAGAGCUCUGUAUCUAUUCUCUAAGUGUUAAACGUAAUAUCUAUUCUAUAUUCUAUAUAUUUCAAGAGGUGAUUUCCACACCUUAUAAAGUCUUUACAAAAGCAAAAGCUUGUGAUUGGUUAGUUACAAGGAUAAGAAAGGAAAUUACAUCACAAAAUACAAAGGAAAAUAUCUAAAGUGGAGUCGGCAAAUGCAGAGCAAAAUUCGCAACACGCAUGGGUUAUGCGAAUUUUGAAGGUGUUAUGCGAAUUUCGCAUAACCUGGAGCAGUUGGCUUCCGAAGGCCAUAUCUUCCUCAUUUCAACUCCAAAUCGUGUACGGUUUGAAGCGUUAGAUUUUUUACUUCCAGAGCUUUGAAAUGGUAUAUAUUAUGUAAAAAAUGGACUUCGGGAAGUGCUCCAAAAGUGUGAAAGAAGACUGCAGCUGCUGUCCUCUUUGCUUCUUCACUCUGUUUUCCUCUUUGCUUCUUUUUGCUUCUCUCCUUGCAUACUUUGAACGACUUUGGCAAAGGGCUAUGGAGCUCCAAAUAUUGGUUCUUCAUGAAUUUGAGCUUCCAAAAGCUUUGCCAUAACUUGUCCAAGUAGCUCCUCCAUCAUUUGGCAUGCUUGAAUUGAUUCAUAAGCUGAUAAAAACAUGUAAACUUGCCACAAAAUGAUUAAAACCAAUUACUAAGGACCUUAAUGAAUUAAUUGGGUUAAAUUAAUAUGAUUACUACUCAAAGGUGCUUAAAACCAUUAUAAUUAGGUCUACAAAAUAGCACUUUUUGGUAGUAAUCACACCCCCCAACCAACUCAUUGCUAGUCCCUUAGCAAUGGAGGAGAUAAAAACUAAGUAAACUAUAAUAAUAUACAUAAAAGGGAUCAUGCAAAUCACUCCAAAAAAUGAUAUGAGUGGCAUGAUGGACAUCCAUGGAUCAAUAAAGAUGUGAAACUCAACCUAUAAUAAGAGUUGUCAAAGCAUUCACUUGAUCAUAGAGUACAAAGAAUGGAUAUUAUGCAAGUUUAAGCAUCAAAAGAAUUUCCACUCUCAAAAGAUCCAAAUCAAAUUCUUCCACUAAAAUCUAAGUGUUAUUUAUUAGUUUCCAGAUAUAGUAUGUCAAACUAAUCUCUCCCCUCAACCUAUUUCUUUUCAAAGCUUAGUAAACUAAUCAACCUCCAAUAGGCUAAGAACGCACCUCUUUUCUUUCACAAUUUUUUCUUGUAGGAGUGCAAAGCUUAAAGGCAUUCUUUUCUAAAUUGUCCAUGUAACGGGGGUCCAUCGAUGACUCCCAACCAAUCAAGGUUUAGGGCAUCAAGCUUUAAGGAUUUUUCAACCACUAACUCCUCGGAUUUCACCCCGGACUUUUGAGAAUGAAUUUUUAAUACCCAAGCACCUACAACAUGUUAAACUCCACCUAUUCACCCUUGUAACGAGCAUUGAGGUCGGUGAUUCCCAACCAAUUAAGGCUUAGGGCACCAGGUUUUAAAGAUUUUCACCAUAUACCCCUUAGACCUUGCUCGGGUUUCAAGGUAAGCAAACAUUUUUCUUUCUUUCUUUAUUUUCUUCAAAGACUCAUUGGCCUUUUACAAGGUGUCCCAACACUAUUAAAUAAGGUCAAAGGUACCAAGUCUAAAUUUUCCUAAGUCAAGGGGGAAAAUAGUUUUUCAUCUUAUAAAUGGAACCUAUUGUGCACGGUGUGUGAUAAGCUUAAAGUGGAAGAGAUAAGUUUGCAUGCAAUGGGAGUUUCAACAAUUCAUCAACUUUUAGAAGAGCAUAAUACAAACUCUAAGACUCAUGUAAUCAAGUUGAAACUCGACUUCUCUCAUUUAAUUUUGAGAGUUAAUCCUUAAUAUCCAUGGAGUUUAAAGCAAAAAUUUUAAAAUUUGAACAAAAAGUAGCUAAUUUAACUAAGUAUGAUAAAAAUUUAAACUAAUACUUACUUCCUCAUCUCUCCCCCCAACCGAGAUGAACAUUGUCCUCAAUGUUUGAAUCGAAAAAUAAGGAGGAAGGAAGUGGUACCUCAUGUGAUGUGGACUUGGAGUUGAGAAGGUUGAACCACCUAUUUCAAAAUUCAAAAAUUGAAUGAGAGAGGAAUUUAUACUAAAUAUUUACAAAAAUGAUGAGUGGGCCCCACUUUGAGCAGCUGAGGACAAGGCUCAAAGGCUUGGGAUUGGGGAGGGUAGGGAUGAAGAAAUUGAAAAAUUUUCACAAGGGAAGGGUUAUGCGAAAAUUUCGCACAAGGGGGGGUGUUAUGCGAAAUUUUCGCACAAGCACUAUUCACCCGCCUUUUUGCAAUUUUAAAGCUCGUUCAAAUGGUGAAAAUUUUUGGCUUUUGAGGAUGGGAAAUGCUGGCUAAGGUAGGAAAAGGAUUUUUCAUGGUGGUUAGGCUUGGAAAUUGGAGCUUUUUCACGAAGAGAAUUUGAAAUUUGGAGCUCCUCUACCUGGCGGAAAUGGGUUUCCUUUGAAGAAAACGUGGCUUGAAUCCUUAGCUUGAGGCUUUGGUUUGGUAAAUGCAAGGCUUGGAUUGGGUGAUCGGAAGAGAGAUGUUGAGAGAAAUGAAGAAGAAAGUGAGCAUGGGAAGAGGAGAACACGGUCUUUAAAGAGGAAAUGCAAAUUUCGCAUUAUACCUUGUGUUAUGCGAAAAUUUCGCAUUCCUAUGAGUACCCAGACAGAGAGCAUGGUUUUGAAAAUUUGUCCUAAAAACAAAUUCGCACAAGGUUCGCAUAAGGUUCGCAUUCCUGUGAAAUUCGCAUAAGGGAUUUUGGGAAGAGACCGAGAGCAUGUUUUUUUUUUUUUUUUUUUUUUAAAUUGCCACAAAAGCAUUUUCGCAUAAGGGGUGUGUUAUGCGAAAAUUUCGCAUAACAGGAAGUGUUGUGCGAAAAUGGCUGAGACUUGGUUUUUUUUUUUUUCUCCCCUGUUUUGCCUUGCUUUCACCAUUUUCCCUUGUUUUCACCAUAAUUUCAUUCUUCAAGCUUUCCUACCUGCAUGAACACUUCAAAACUCAUCUUAAAAACAUAUUAAAACUAAAUUAAAGCUAAAAAUUCAAAUUAAAACAUGCAUAAAUUUAAAGAAAGCAUAGAAUUUAAAUGAAGUUGAUAGCAUGUAUCCCAAAAAGAAGAUGAACUAUUUAGCUCAUCCUCACUCACACACCCACUUCAUGCUGAACUCCCCCUGGAUCCCAAACAAAAUUGGCAUCCUUCCCAUUUGUUCCAAGGAAAUUCGUUUCUCUUCCCUUCCCCGGAGAAGUGGAUGCUUUAAAGGGUUCAAGUAACCCUUUAUCAUCUUGAACCUUAUGAUUUUCAAUGGAAGGUUGGUCCAUAAAGUUGUCAUAGCAAUCCCCCACCAAAGUGUCGAUCAUCAACACUUUCCUUGAUCUUUUUGCAUUGGUUCCUUGAAGGUUAUGGUGGGGUUGAGGAGGAAGCUUCCUUUUCCCCCUUGCUAUGUCGAGAUUGGUGAGCUUCUCAAUGGAGUCUUGAACUUUUUCUAUCCUUAGUGAUAGAUCAUUAUAAACCCCCUCCAUUCUUACAUUCAUUGAACUCUCCAAAUUAUCAAUCUUUUCAUUAAGAUGAGAGUUGAUCUUUUGUUGCUCACCUACAAAGUCCUUCAUGACUUUGCUUAUCUUCAAAAUGGCUUGCUCCAAUGAAGAUGUACUCAUUGAUGGUUGAGGUUGAGGUUGGCUUGUAAGGUUGGGAUGGUUAUUAUACUCAAAUGAAGUUGGCAUGGCUUGUGGUUGUGCUUCAGUAUGCACAUUCCUCAAUUCAAACUCUUCUAUCCUUCUAGCCAUAGAUGCUAGCUUUGCCUUCAUGCUCAUGUCUUCAUUCAAAGCAUACUUACUACCCCAUUGGCUUUGUUGAACUUGCCUUUUCCCUAAUUCAAUCCGAUCCCUCAUGGAUAGGUAUGCGAAUUUGUCUUUCUCAUGAUCAUAAUGAGAGCUUUGAUCUUCAUGUGGAAUUUCCAUUUCUAAAAAAAAUGAUAUUCAAUUAAGGCUCUUUUCUUCAACUUGUACCAGGGUUCCCUCCUGGUCUCGAAUCCAACAAGGAAUGCACAAAUUGAAAUUAAAACAAAAAUAAAAGAAAAGAGAAUAAAAAAUUUAACUAAAUAAAAACUAAACUAAAAAAAAUUAUAAGAAAACUCACCAAACUUGUGAUGAAGAUCACAAGUUACCCUUAAUGGUUGCUUCACUGUGCUUGUGGCACCUUCCCCGGCAACGACGCCAUUUGAUUCGACUCAUGGUAGCUUAGCUUUAAAGGCGUAUCAACAAAAUUUAUACCUUGAAUACUAUUACUAAAGUAGCCAAGCUACUAUAGCAUAGUGGUUCUAGGAUCGUUCACUGGGAAGGGUUUUCGCAAACACUAGUGAUAUUCAAAUUAGGAAAAUAGGUGAUUUUCUUAUGGAUGUUAGCUUUAAAAGAAGAUGUAAAUGUUUUAGAAAGAUUUAAACUAAUCUAAGCUAACAUUAAAGACUAAAAUGAAAGGGUGUAAAAACAAGUUUCUCAAAGAUAGGAUAGCUAUGCUCUGGCUCUUAUGCAAAUUGGAAAUCUCAGGAUAGGCUCCUCGUGUUGGGGUUGCAACUAUGGUGAUGCUUGCUUCCCGAACCGGUAUGGGUUUAGCAAAUCAAGUUUUAAUCCUUUAAAAUGGCAAAACAAAUGGUAGUGAAUUUCAUCAAUGGUUAUUCACCUUAUACUUCCUUUGAAUGGCUUGUAAGAGAUAACUAAUGGUCUAAAGCCAAAAGCUUACCAAAUAUUGGCAACUCAAAGUCAUUCCAAGUGAUAAACUCACCUUUCAAUGGCCAUUGAAAUUGGUUCUAAUGGAUUAAUGCAAAACUUGGAAUUGAAAACCUCACCUUCCAAUAGCUCGUAGGAGAUAACUAAUGGAUAGAAAUCCAAAAUCUUAUCAAGUAUUGGCCGUUGGAAGUUGUCCAAAGGAAAUAAAAACCAAACUUUGCAUUAAUGAACCUUUAAUGAAAAACGACUACCUUACCUUCCGGGUGCGAGAAAUUUCCAUGGGAUUGCAUCCAAGUCAUCACAUAACAUCCAUACUUUGAGAAACUAAAAGUUUUAGCCAAUCAUCCUCUGAGGAAAAGCCCUCAGAGGCUGUUUGGCUUCCAAGAAAAUAAAAUAGUAAAGAGAAAAGAGAAACGAGAGAGCUCUGUAUCUAUUCUCUAAGUGUUAAACGUAAUAUCUAUUCUAUAUUCUAUAUAUUUCAAGAGGUGAUUUCCACCCCUUAUAAAGUCUUUACAAAAGCAAAAGCUUGUGAUUGGUUAGUUACAAGGAUAAGAAAGGAAAUUACAUCACAAAAUACAAAGGAAAAUAUCUAAAUUGGAGUCGGCAAAGGCAGAGCAAAAUUCGCAACACGCAUGGGUUAUGCGAAUUUUGAAGGUGUUAUGCGAAUUUCGCAUAACCUGGAGCAGUUGGCUUCCGAAGGCCAUAUCUUCCUCAUUUCAACUCCAAAUCAUGCACGGUUUGAAGCAUUGGAUUUUUUACUUCCAGAGCUUUGAAAUGGUAUAUAGUAUGUAAAAAAUGGACUUCGGGAAGUGCUCCAAAAUUGCGAAAGAAGACUGCAGCUGCUGUCCUCUUUGCUUCUUCACUCUGUUUUCCUCUUUGCUUCUUUUUGCUUCUCUCCUUGCAUACUUUGAACGACUUUGGCAAAGGGCUAUGGAGCUCCAAAGCUUGGUUCUUCAUGAAUUUGAGCUUCCAAAAGCUUUGCCAUAACUUGUCCAAGUAGCUCCUCCAUCAUUUGGCAUGCUUGAAUUGAUUCAUAAGCUGAUAAAAACAUGUAAACUUGCCACAAAAUGAUUAAAACCAAUUACUAAGGACCUUAAUGAAUUAAUUGGGUUAAAUUAUAUGAUUACUACUCAAAGGUGCUUAAAACCAUUAUAAUUAGGUCUACAAAAUAGCACUUUUUGGUAGUAAUCAAACACCAUACGAAGAUCUUGCAAGUGGUCUUCUCUCUUCCUAGACUUUACCACCAGGUCAUCAACAUAGCACUCGACAUUCUUAUGGAGCAUGUCAUCAAAUAUUUUCUGCAUGGCAUGUUGAUACGUUGCACCUGCAUUAUUUAGUCCAAAAGGCAUCACUUUGUAAUAGUAAAUACCCUUUGGAGUACGAAAUGCAGUAAGCUCUUCAUCCCUUGGCCCCAAUCGUAUUUGAUUAUACCCCGAUGAUCCAUCCAUGAAGGAUAAAGUUCCAUGAUCUGUAGUUGCAUCAACCAUAAGCUCAAUGAUUGGUAAUGGGAAGUCAUAUUUUGGGCAAGCAUUGUUUAAAUCUCUAAAAUUCACACAAACACGGAUCUUCCCAUUCUUUUCUUCACUGGAACGAUGUUCGCAAUCCAUGUUAGGUACUUUACCUCCCUAAUGAAACCAACUUCAAUCAAUUUGACAAUUUCCAUUUCUAUUUGUGAAACAAGUUUUGGUCGAAAUCGUUUUUGGGCUUGCUUAAUUGGUCAGACACAAUGCUUCACCAUGAGUUAAUGUACUGCAACUUUUGGAUCAAGACCUGACAUUUCUUUGUACGACCAUGCAAAGACAUCUUUAUAAUCGAGUAACAACUCAAAAUAACUUUUCUCUUUAGAAUGACUUAAAAGCAUACUUACAUAGAUUGGCCUUAGGUCCUCAUUUGUACCUAAAUUGAGCUCUAUUAACUCAUCUACAGUGGCCUGCCUCUCGUCCUCAAAUACUUGAGGAGCUUCCCAUAGUUCAUCUUCUAAAAAUUUUGAAUUAGAGUCAACUUCUACUGUAACAUGGUAGCUAGUGUGUGUCAAACUUUAUUUAACAUCUUUAGGGCAUCCCUCGUCCGACUGCUUGGUGAUCACUAAUUCAUGCCCAAUUGGUGUCUCAACUGAUUCAUGUCCAGCUGGUGCUCCUUGUUUGAGGGAGUAAUCAACAAAAUUUAUAACCUAUUACACCAUAUACUAGGGUAGCAAAGAAAAAGCUACUAUAGUAUAACAGCUCUAGGAUCGUUCACUGGGAAGGGUUUCCAAAUUACAAAUGAUACCAAUUCAAAGUGAAUUGGUACUUUUUCAUUUCAAGGUUAGCUCAAGAAAUAAAACAAAAACUUUGAUUGGUAAAAAUUUAGAUUUAAAAUGACUACAAAGAAAGUGAUGGAAAUUACUUAGGAAGAAAAACAUUCCUUGGAGGGUUAGGUUCACUGGGGUGGUUCACUGGGGUGGUUCCUCAUGCAAAAAACAUAGCUCCAAUCAGAUGGUUCAUUUCCUCGUGUUAGAGAUUCAACAUAUAGUCAAUUCUCUAACCGGUGUUGUACAGAUACAUCCUUUAAUUAGAUUUCAAGUUUAAUUCUCUCACUGAUACACUUUGCAAUGGUUCAAGCCUCUCACUAAGCCUUAACCAUUCAAGGUGAUCUUUAACCUUGGACUUCCCUUCACAAGCUCGCAAGAGAUAACUAAUGGAUGUCUCCUUGGAGUCCAAAAGCUUACCAAGUGUUGGCAAUUCCAAAAAUUCCUACCUUAAAGUCACCUCCCAGAGGCUCGCAAGGGGUAAACUAGUGCAUCUCCAUGGACGGAGAUCACUUGCCUUACCAAGUGUUGGCCCAAGUGAGUCUAAGGUGUUUUAAGUUAACUAAAAACAUAGAAAUCACUAAAGGAUUUCACUUCCUCUUCAUUAAUGGCUGAAACCACAAAGCUUUGCAUUCUUGCACUUGGAACCUUCCCCGGCAACCUUAGUUCCAAGGAACUAAAGGUUUAGUUACUCAUUCUCUGGGGAAAAUUCCUCAGAGAGUUCAUAACUUAGAAAAAGAUGAAAAAUACAAAGUGAGAAGGUAAGGCAAAACAAAGGGCCUGAACUUUACUUGCUUUCAAACUUUUACAAAAAGGUUCCUCUCUGAGAAUAGGCUCUCGAGAGGUUUAUAUAUGAACAUAAAACAAAACUAAUUAUUACAUGGAUAUUUACUCUUUUUACUAACUUAAAAGCUAAGGAAUCUUGUAAUUGGUGGCUUACAAGGAGAAUUUUGGGAUUUAGACAACAAAAAUCUGAUGGAAAAUAUCUCCCAAUGUCGGUAGCAAAUAUCGGGACGCACUAAGGACCAUUUCGCAAGAGAAAAUGAUGUCUGCGAGAUUUCGCAGACAUACAAAAAAGGCUGCGAAAUCACUUCGCAGCAAAAGGGUAUCCUCGCAGGGCUGCGAAGUUGGCUUUCAUCUUGAGGUUCUCAACUUCCAACUUGUCGCAUAUAUCAGGCAACUUCAGGAGGAAAUCCACCACACUGUACAAAAAGGCUGCGAAAUCACUUCGCAACAAAAGGGUAAUUUCGCAACACUUUUGCAAAAUGCUUUCUUCAGCUUAGAGUGAUUGACUUGCAGUGGCUAUAACUUCUUCAUUUCAACUCCAAAUUGCGCACCGUUUGAAGCAUUGGAUUGUUGACUUCCUGAGCUUUGAAAUGAAAUAUAGAAUGAAUCAAUUGGACUUUAGAAAGUGCUCCAAAAGUGGCUAACAUGACUAUCAUCAAGAAUAUGCUUCAUGGCAGAUUCUCUUUACUUCUUCUCCUUGCAUUCCGGAUUUACCCAUGGCAGCAAAGGAAUUCAAAGCUUUAUUUCUUCAUGUUUCUGAGCUUCAAAUUGCUUUGCCAAAGAUUCCACAUAACUCUCCCCAAUCUCGGAUUGCUUUGGUGAUCAAAAAGGCUAUCAAAACACCAAAACUUAACACAUAUUGAUUAGAAGUGCUUGCAAAGGUCCUUAAUAUGUUAAUUGGGUUAAAAGGCAAUAACUACUACUCAAAAGUGUUUAAAGGAGUUUAUUACAAGCUAUCAAAGAGCACUUUUUGAGUAGUAAUCAAUCACAAUGGUAUGUCAUUUUAAUUUUAACGAACCAUUAGUACAAAUUUCCCAAGUUGAAUGGCGUUUCAUUCUUAAUGGGAUUAAACUUCUUAUUUUUGCAUUCUCCUUUAGUUCAAUACACAGCUUCUUAUUGGGAUUUUGUCGCCAUGACUUUCGGGGUAGAGUCCUAAUCCUUUGUUGUAUUGACCUUUGUGAAACAUGUGCUAAAUUACGUUCUACUUAGUUAAAAUCGCCCAACCUAGAGAACACUGAAGCUCGUGUAAUUGGAGUUUCAAUCCAAUCAAAUACUGAAAUUCAAGGAGGAGAGUUAGACCCACUACUCUCCUCCAUGUCUUCUACAGUGAUAUGUUGUGUACUUGCCUUAGUCUUCUUAGUCUUAACUAAAAUUUUGAUAGGCUCGAAAGGUACAAACCUUAAACUUGCAUUAGAAGGUUUGACUGCAUACCCUUGUUGUUUUAACUUCUUUUGAGUUUCGUUAAGGCCAUGCAUCUUUUCACCUGUAGUCUCGGAGCUAAGUUCUCCUAAUUGUGAUGACGAAGUGAAGUCAUACCUUGCCUUGGCUAAUAACUUGUAAGUCUUAGGGUUGAACUCCUCAUCUAUUCUUUUACCAGGAAAGAAUUCUUGCUUUGUUUGAUCUCUUGAGGUUUUGUCGGAUUUUUGUGUCUCAUCCCUGGAGAUAAGUUGUAAGUUUGGAAGAGGAAUGGUCGUAUCUUCUUUCAAGACUUGAAGGUCCCCAUUUUCCAAUCCUUGAGGUUGUACUUCACUUUUGUCUUCUAUGAAAGGUGGUUGACCCUCACUUCAUCAAGAUAUUGGGAUGUACCUAAAAAUUGGGAAAGUAGUGACAAUUGUCAAGUCCAAUGUUGAUUUUUUUGAGAAUUUCUUUUUUUUUUUCCGAUUCGAGUCAUCAUUGGUUAUGAAAUUUCCCUGCUGAUGUCAACUUACAUAGCUCAACUUUUCCCUUAAGUUUAGCAUUCCUAGUGGAGGGAAUGAUCGCAAGAAGGACUUCUUGUAUAACAUCAUUUUCUAUGUAAAAUUUAGCAUCAGCAAAAUAAGACUCGACUUUUGUAAAUGGCUUAAUAUCAGCCUCUACUUUCUUUACCCCUCCUCUAUAGAAUUUGAAACACUAGUACGUCGAAAGAAUUACCUCAUUCUCAUGAAGUCAUGGUCACCCGAGUAAUACAUUGUAAGAUGUUUUUGCAACGAUUACAUGAAACAAUGUGUUCGAACUCAAUUCACCUAUAACAAGCUCUAGGCGAAUCAUACCAAUAGCUCAUUGUCCCCCUUGAUUAAAGCCUUAGAUCAUUAAGCAACUCUGAAUUAGUUAUUUCCUAGCAAUCCCAAGUCAUUUCAUUGUUGCUUUAAGCAUGAUAUUUACUACAAACCCUUCAUCAAUUAAAAUGCAAGUGAUAUUUUGUUCCCGUAUGUACCUGGUAAUAAACAGGGGUCGAUUAUGUGGUUUUGACCCUAACUGAAGGUCUUCAUUGGUAAAGGUGAUGGUUUCGCAACAUUUGGCACAAUUGUGGCUUUCAUCCUCAAGUCUUUUUGCCCUCUUUAUUUUGGUGGCAUAGAGUGUUGGAUCCUUAAGUACUUAAAUCAAUACAUUUUGUAUCUCAUUAGGUAGCUGUAGCAUUUUGUGGCUAUUAAACAAUGAAGGUAGGUAUUGUAGGCUUGCUACAACUCCCUCUUCUUCCUUAGUUUUCCUUGACUCAACACUAAGAAUGUUUUCCUCAUCUUCACUUAAUUCCUCUUCUUUUGAAGUCUCCUAGCAAGAGACCAUAUGAGUUGAUACCGCCACCCUUUUAUUAAAGAACCCUAGAGGGAAGUAUUCCCCUAAGGUGAUAGGGGUGAUGAGUUUCUGGACCAAAAGGUCGUCUAUUUGUACAAUUUCUUGUUUUCUUUUAGGAUUCAUUUUUUCUUUCUUCUUUAAAUGUUGACGAGUAUUCAACUCAUGUCAUUCCCUCCUAGGAAGGUUAGGGUAUGAAUGCGACACUUGCUUCUUGCAAAGUCUUCUUCGUGUCACCAAUGUCCAACCUUCUUCAUCAUAUGAAAUUGAUUUAUUAUCAAAGCAAAGGCGAAGAAGGCUAUCUUAACAUGACACUUGUGUUUGCUUUGGUUUUGGUGACUCACAUUGAAUAGUAUUGGCACAUGUCCCUAGUUUCUUAAGUGAAACAUGUAAUGGAACAGGAUCAAAUGACUCAAAUGUGACUGUAGCAUGAUUUGACUCCACUACUUCAUCCAGAUCUAAAUGAAUUCUUCUUUGCUUUGCAAGUUUCAUUAUGAGAUCUUUUAAAAUGAAACAUUUCUCCACAGGAUGUCUGACAAUUCGAUGGUAAUGAUAGUACUUUGGAUCAUUAACACAACCCAUUCUUUUUGGACGCUUGCACUCAGGUAACUUAAUAACCUUUUUCUAGAGUAUGUCUUCCAACAUGUUAGGCACAUUAGAGUCAAGAAAAUGAUAUUUCUUCUCCUCUAAUUCCUUCAAGGUGAAUCGAUGCAUCUCAUUUUCCUGGGUUGGUCCGACCUCUUUUAUUUCUUUUUUUUUUUAAUCUCUUGUUGAGAUUUUGACAGGAGUUGUAUUUAUCAUCAUUGACUCCUGAAUAGGUUUCUUUGAGGUCUUGUCACUCUUUUUCCCAUCAUGUCUUUCUCUUUGUCGAUCAACGGUAAGGUCCUUCUUAGAACCAUGGUUGUCUAUGUUGAGCUCCAUGUCAUGUGCUUGGGUAGCUAAUUCUUCAAAGGUAUAGGGUCGUAUCCCUUAGAGAAUGUAUAAGAGACCCCAAUGCAUUCCUUGUAUGCACAUUUCCAUGGUUGAUACCUCAGAUAAUCUAUCUUUGCAGUCAAGGCUUAAGGAACAUCAACGGUUGAUAUAGUCUAUAACCGGCUCGUCUUUCCAUUGCUUAGUGUUAGUAAGUUCCAUCAUGCUUACAGUUCAUCGGGUCCUAUAGAAACGGUUAAGGAAUUCACAUUCCAUUUAGUCCCAACUAUCGAUACACUCAAGUGUAAGGUCUAUGUACCAAUUGAAAACAUUCCCUCGGAGAAAACAGACGAAUUGUUUAACUAAUAAGUCACCAUUUGUACCUGCAUUGUUACAAGUUUCAAUGAAAUGGGCAAUAUGUUGUUUUGGAAUUCCCUUUCCAUCAAAUGGUUGAAAUUUUGAAGGUUGAUAACUCGCAGGCAUACGUAGGUUAUCAAUCCUCUUAGUGUAUGGUUUAGAGUACAUGAGCGUACUCUAUAAGGGUCCACCGUAUUGCGCUCUAAUGGUGUUAGUUAUCAUGUCUUGAAGUUGUUGGAUAGAUAAGGAUGCCACUAAGGCAGAUUUUGUCGUUUGUCUCUCAACUUGGAUUGUCCUAUACGCAUGUGGUGCAUCAUCGAGAGAAGAUGCAACAUUCGGAAGGUGGUUGAGCCCUUGACUUGACUCACCCAUAUUUUGUACUUAUGUCUCAACCUUGUUUAUGAGGUAGGCUAUUUGCAUAUCCUUCUCCUCGACCAUUUUGGUGAGUUUAGCAAUGCCAUGAGCCAUCUCUACUAACUGUUCCUCUACGAAUGUAGUGCCGAUUGCCAUUACUAACAUAGUCAUUGAGAAGGGAGAAGUAAAAGAGUUGAAAAGAUUGGAGUAGUUUUCCUCCUUUGACAUUCUAGUUGGCGAUUCGGAGUAUGAGUCGGUGAUAGAGUUGGCAUCGGUAAUAGAGUUAGGAGAUUUAUCCCUAAAGUCCUGUAGUAUUGAAGGGAGUUUUCCCCUGCUAUGAGGAAUAUGGCUCUUUGCCCCCAACAUACUCACUUAUUUGUUUUGUUGAGAGUGAAGAUGUUGAUUUUGCUUUUCUACGAGUCAUGGGGCCCGUAGCGGCGUCAUGUGUUGAUUGUGCAUUGACGAUCUUGUCAUUGCCCUUGUUUACAUGCACAACUUGAGUUCUUUUGGGUGUCAUCGAUGAAGUAGAGAUCAAUCUUCUAAAAAGAUACGAGAGACAGAGAGGUCCCACUGGGUGUGCCAGAAAUUUGUACGCACAAAUUUCGUAAAUGGUCCUACCAAAUUAACAAAACAAAUAGGAAAAUAAUGCGAACAAAAUAUUUAUUAAAAUUGAAAAUAUUGUGGGUAAAAUCUCAAAAAUAAUAUUAUUUCCAAAAGAAUAUUAUCCCUUUGAUUCUUUUGCCUUGAUCACACUUUGAAAGACGACGAUGAUGUUUUCUUGAUUUCGAAAAUCAAUCGAGGGUCACAAGUGGCUUAUUCCCGAAUGAACUCGUUAAAUGGCAAAGAACGUGUUUAGCAGCUCUACCGUUUACCAAACUUGCAGAGAAAUUUGGUGAAACUUUUUAUUUUGUUGUGAAACCUUUUUUUCCUAUACAAAAUUGCCUUUGGAUUUUCUCCUUAAGAUUUUCCUUUCUGAAUUUUUUUUUUAUUUCUCAAUUUCUUCCUCUCCUUUCUUGAAAGAAAACACCUCUAUUUAUAGGUGAAGAUAUGGAAUUGGAAUUUCAAAUUCUCGGAGUUUAGUUGCUUAAUUCAAAGGAUUUAGUUCCUUGAUUUUAGCAAAUUUUCUUAUCCCGAGAGGUUUUACCAACAAGACAAUAAUAAUAAUAAUAAUAAUAAUAAUAGUAAUAAUAAUAAUUUUCUUAUUAUUAUUAUUAUUAUUAUUAUUAUUAUUAUUAUUAUCUUUUUUAUAGUUGGAGAUUAGGGAAACUUAUCUAUAAGAGGAUAUAUAUAUAUAUUCAUUUUGAAGACCAAAUUAGUGGUAAUUUAAUCCACUAAUUUUUUUUAUGUCUACAAAGUAGUACCAUUUUUUCCAAGGAUUUGUGUUGAUCGGUGUUAUUAUGAAAUAACAGCAUCUCAAUUCACAUUAUUUCAUCAUCGCAUAUGACAUUGAGUAUGUAAUGAAUAGUAACAAACCUCGCCAUAAACCAAAGAAGAGUGGUACAUUUUUCCUACCAUGGUAGAAAUUAAAGACAAGUGAUACAUUCUUCCCACUAUAGUAGUACUUUUGACAUAGUAGAUUUUUCAUAAAGGAGUGGUACCCUCUUUUUCUAAGGGUUGUGUUGAUCGGUGUUAUUGCAUAAUAACAUUCACUCAAUUCACGUUAUUUCAUCAUUACCUAAUAUGUCGAACACAUAACAAAUGGAAACAUACCUUAAACCAAAGAAGAAUAGUACAACAUUCACACUACAAUGAUACUUUUAAUACACUUUAGUGGUGUUUUUUAUUUAUAAAAUGGUGGUAUUCAUUUUUUCAAGGGUUGUGUCGAUCAAUGUUACAUUAACACCCUUUGAAUUCAAGUUAUUUCACCAUUAAUAAGACGUCUAGCACGUAAAUGAUGGUAAAAUAUCUUAGUUUAAACCAAAAAAGAGUGAUACAUCCUUCCUACCAUAAUAUUACUUUCAACAUUUUUAUAAGUACUUUUUCAAAAAGGAAUGGUACCCUUUGAAUAAGCAGAGGUAUGAAACUUAAGUUGUGCAAUGCUUUGAGGUGCACCAACUUAGUGCUCCAAGUGUAUGUUAUUUUUUUCCUAAAUCACUUGAAAGGUGCACAACUUCAGCUUGCAAAAAUUUAAAUUUAAAUCAAAUUAAGAGAAAAUUAAUAUAAAUGAUUGAAUACAACUUUUUAUGAAAAAAAUAUAGAUUUUAUUAUUUUAUUUUAUAUAAAUAAAAAAAUUUAAAUUUGAACAAAACAAAAUUUUAGAACCAUAACUAAGUUUUUAUCUUGUAUAAUUAAAAAUAUUAAACAUUUUAACCAAGAAGAAAGUUAAAAAUUGUGAUCAAGUUACAUCCAUAAGAAAAAAGCUAAAACCAUGAUCAUCAACAUUGAUUUUCACAUGAAUUUUUUUUUUUAAGAAUAUAAACAAUUAAAUAAUAUGAUAAAGCAAUAAGAUUUAUAAAAUAAAUAAAUAUUUUAUUUAGGAUAAAUAUAAAAAAAAUUUAUGUCCUAAAUCUCAAUUUAUUAUUUAUUAUUUUUAUUUAUUUAUUUGUUUUUAUAUUAAAAUUUUUCUUAUUAAUUAUUUAUUUUAUAUUUAAAACAUCUAUAAAUAAUUAAAAUCAAUAAAUAUGAGAAAAUGAAAUAGUGAAAAAAAAUUGAAAAUAGAAAAUUUUCAUGAAGUCAACACAUUAAAAAAAAUGUGGAGAUAUUAUGGAAGAUAUAUAUAUAUAUAUAUAUAUAUAUAUAUAUAUUCUUGUGAAAAAAAAAACCAACAACGACAUGCUCUUUGACUUCUCAUAUCAAAGUUUUUUUUAAUAAAAAAUAUUAUGGUAAUAAGAGAAGGUUAGAUAUAUGCAUUUCAUGACUCACUUCUAUCUAUUUCUAUCUAGGACAUGUCUUAACCAAUUUGUCUUAAUAGUUGUUCAUGUGACAUGACACGAUGCAAAGGUAGUCAAAAGACUUUUAUUUCUUUAAUACAAGAACACGUCUCUAGUCCAAAACAAAUUCAAAACAUUUCUUUCCAACGACAUAGCUCAGUAAACCCAUAUCACUUAGCAAACUUAAGCAAACACUCCUCUUACAUUACCAAUACAACACUACUCAAUAGAGCAUAGACCGUGAUAUUCCCCUUUUAUUCAAUACCAAACUUCUUUCUCAUCCACGUGACAAAGUCAUGGACCUUGCGGGGUCUUCGAGGGAAGACCCAUGUGCCCCUUCUACUCUAUACCAAACCUCUUUCUCAUCCCCAUGAUAAAGCCAUGGACCUUGUGUGGGUCUUCCAGAGAAGACGACACGCUCUCCUUUUCCAUGCACCUCUUGGUCCAAGCGAUCAACUUGGGGCACUCCGCCUCUAUGCUGAAGUUGCCAAAGGUCUCGUAUGCAUAAAACCAGCAAGAGAAGGUCACCAGAGCCACAUCUACAAACCCAAUUUUUUCACCACCGAAGUAAGGCUUCUCUCCAAGCUCUCCUUCCAAAAGCUUAAGGCACUCUAUGAAUUCCUUCUUGGCUGUUUCCUGCUCUUCUCCUUUGGUUGACCAUAUCUUCCUUCCAAGUUCAUAGAGCUGUGGAAAACAAUAAAGUCAAAGAAAUUUAUGUAUUCGCCUUGCUUGGGGAAAAAAGCUAUUCUUGAGAUCUGUUUUUCCUGAUGGAACGAACAGAAUUCGUAUUCAACAUAACAAAGAAAUUUAAACCCAUAUCAGAAAUGCAGAGUAGAGUCCUGUUGAACAAACAGCAAGGAGAAUCAGUAAAAGUUCUAGUUUGGAACCCCAAAGCCCACAAAACUCAAUAGCAGAAGGGAACGUGUGAAGAAACCCAGCAUUUUGGACAACUCCCUCACCAUAAUCAAAAUCUGAGUCAAUCGCCAUGAAUAAAUGGAAAAGAAUGCUUUAAAUCAACAGCAAAGGCAUACCUUCUUGUCUAUGUAGUCCGCCCAGAACCUGGCCUGAGCUCUCUGGUAUGGGUCACUAGGCAAAAGCGGAGAUUUAUCGCACCAAACCUCAUCAAUAUACUGAACUAUUAUCAGAGACUCACAAAUGGGCUUUCCAUUGUGGAUCAGAACUGGGAUUUUCUUAUGAACUGGGUUCAUCUCAAGAAGCAAAGGGCUCUUGUUCCACAGGUCCUCCUCUCUAUAUUCAUACUUGAGACCCUUCUCUGCCAGGGCAACUCUGACCCUCAUACCAAACAUGCUAGGCCAGAAAUCCAACAAGAUAAUCUCGUCUGCCAUUGCUACUAAUGUGAUUGAUAAGAUUCAAUCUCUUUAGUAUUGAUGAACAACACAGGGGAAAUUGCUGAGUAUUUAUAGCAAAUUUCAGAGAGUGGGUUAAACCCUUGGAUACUUCUAGGAGGUGGUGAUGCUCAUUCCUUAUCUCAGCUUUCAUUUUCAUUUUCCAUUCUAUCUCGGUUUCGUAUCUCCAGAAUUUGUGAAUUAUGGAAACUUUUGUUAUGGCAUGGUAAAAUAUAGAAGCGUCCCGAUAGUUGGUUGCUUCCACGUCAUCUCAUUGCUUUGAUCAUUCCACGUCAUCGCUUUCGCCAGCCCUGUCAAUUAAGUACACUGGUCCUCUGCAUAAUUUCCACCACAAAAAUGAUGUUGCAAGGAAAAAAAAUGAUAUUGUAGGGAAAAGAAAAUAGAACUUGUAUAUUUUUAGAUCGACAAGUCACUAUUGGUCCCUUCCUUAGUUCUUAGAUUCCUGAAAUUAAAUAAAUAUUUAAACUUUAUGUGUAUUAUAAAUAUUUAAAAUUUCAGUGGUGAUUGUAUUUUUAUCUAAGAUCUAUUUUUUUUUAUUUGAAUAAAUUAAGUAUUGUUAAAUAUUUAAAUUUUUUAUAUUUUAAUUAUUAGUAAAUGUUAAUAAAUAUUAAAUUACUGAUCUUUUACAUUACAAAAAUAUUGAUAAAAUAUAAUAUUUUAUUUCUUGUUAAAUUAGUUUGCAAUCCAACAUAUUUUUAAAUAUUUAAAUAUCAUAAUUCAUUAACAUAUUAAAAUUUUAUAAUAAAUAAUUAUGUAAUUGAUAAGAAAUUGGUAGCAUGAUAAUAAGUAUAAUUAUGGGGUAUUUGGUAAACUCAAUAAUUAUUAUUUAAUGAUUUAAGUUGAUUUUAAGUAAAAUUAUAUUUAAGUUAUUGACUUAAAACUUAUCACUUAAUUUUUACUUUAAAUAUUAAGGUUGUUUAAUAAAAUUUAUUCUAAAUCAUCAAAUUGAUAUACUUAACCUCAUAAUUAUAAUGAGGGUAAAUGAGAUCGAGUAACGAUGGAAGUUGUAUAAUAGCAAAAGAAAUCGUGGAACUAAGAUAAAUGAGGGUAAAAAGAUAAAAUGAAAACAUGGAUUUAAGAAUAAAUUAAUUAUUUUUACUUAUUACUUAAAGUUGUUUUUUACUUUUAAGUUAUACCAUUAAAUUAUUUUACCAACUAUAUUUAAUUUGUUUAAUAACUUGAAUUAAGUUAUUAAGUUGAUUUACCAAAUUCCCACUUAGACUUGUUAGAAACUAUUAGAACUUUUUCUAAGUUAGUAUAUGUUUAGAUUUGAAGAUUUGUGAUUGAAAUAUGUAUUCUUUUUUAAAUUAAUCAUUGAUUUUUGGAAUUUUAUCGGAGUAUCAACUUUUAAUUUAUAUUUUUUAAAAUUAUUAAUUCUAAUAAAUAUUUAGAUGAAUGUGAAUUAUGCUUUAGAAUUUUGAUUAAAAAAAAAUCUUAUUAGAAUUGAUAACUAUUUUUAUUUUUUAUAAAGCUGAAUUUUUAAAAUUUAUAUUAAAUAUUUUUCUAAUUUAAAUUUUAUGAUUUUUAGUGUAAUUUAUUUUUUAAUUUUGAAUGAGUAAUCAAUAAUAAUUUGCGGAAUUCAAUUUUAUUAAGAAUGGGAUAAAUUAUGGGGUAAAAAUAAUGGAAACAUGUGGGGAUUUGAAAUUUUGUAAAUUUAUCUUUUAGCUAUCAAUUUAUGAGAAAAUUUUAAAUCUGAUUUUUCUUUAAAAAAAAUGAAAAAUGAAAAUGAAAAAAAAAAAUCAAAUAUAUUUGAUGCUUUUUGUGAAUGACAACUUUGUUAAUUUAUAAUAAAUUUAUUUCUCACUCAAAUUAUAUAAAAUUAACAUAGUUUAACUAUUUUUUAAAACAAGUUAUCUAUUCUUUUUUAAAGGAAUUUAGUUUAAAUUUUUGUGAAAAUUUGUAUUUAAGCAAGUACUCUUGAUUAAUGAUUAAAAGCUUUUUUAUUUUUUACUUUUUCCCCAUAAAGAAUUAAAUAUUAUAAUUAAUCCUAGUUUUUUCAAACUCUUAUAAAUAGGAGACUUGGGUCAAUGAAAUGGAUACCUCAAAGUUAUUUUAGAAAUCUGUCUUUUCUCUAAUUCUAGUCUCUCCAAAAGAAAACUCUUUUUUAUCAUCUAAAAGGUAAGUGAUAAACUUCUACUUUUAUAUUAUUUUCUAUUUAAUUUAUCCUUUUUUCGAUGAAGAAACUAGAAAAUAUUUUUUUAUAGACAAAAAUUAUGAAAAAAAAAAAAUUGCAACUAGAAGUUAUAAAAAAAAUGUAAAAUAUGUACAAUUGUAUAGCCAGAGGUUAUAUGAGAAAUUAUAAAGUUAUAAAAAUAUAAAGAACGACUUACAUGUAAUUUCUAAUUUCUUUUAAUCAUAAUGAUAUAACCAAAUGUUACACAAAACAAAAUUGUAUAGUCAAAAGUUAAAUAAUGAAUAUUUCAUAGCCUAAAGAUGUAUACAAAUUUACACAUUUUUGUUAUGAUAAAAAUAAUCCAUAGCCAAAAACUAUGUAAGGUAUCAAUUUGUAAUUUUUAUUUUGUUAAUUCUACAUGAUGUUCAUGCAUUUCUUUUUUACCAUAUUUAUAAUAAUCCUUUAGCGAUAAAAUAUAACAAAAUCUUAAAUCAUUAUGCUUUUAUUAAUGAAUAUUAACCUGAUAAAAUAUUGUUAGAUAAUUUUAUUCAUUUAUUUAUAAUUUAUUUUGGUAAAUUGAAAUAUUAUUCUAAUUAAAUUAUUUCAAAUAUAGUUUUCAAAUAAUGUCAAAUCUUACCAAGUUUGAGUUUGUUACACUCCUUAUUUCAGGCAAAACUAUUUAUCUAGAUUCUAGAUGCUAAAAUUCACCUAAACGAUAUGAAUCUUGAAAAGACCAUUAAAGAAUAAAAUGAGGCAUCCUCACAAGAUCGCACCGGAGCAUUAAUAUUCCUUCAUUAUCACAUUGAUGAAGGAAUAAAAGGUGAAUUCCUUACAAUCAAAGAAUUUUCAUCCUUUGAAAUAAUCUAAUGGAAUGAUACUUUGAUCCUUUGGAAUAAUAUAACAGAAUGAUAUGGCCACCACGAGACUGUAAUCCUUCCAAAAGCACAUCAUGAUUGGAUGCACUUGAGAUUACAAAAUUUCAAGUCUGUUAAUGACCACAACUCGACUUUAUUCAAAAGUUGUUCACAAUUUAUAUGGAGAAAAAAUCAUGAAAGAAUAUAUCCUUGAAAAGACAUUUACUAUUUUCCAUGUCUCGAAUGUACUCCUAUGGCAACAAUAUCAAGAGCAUAAUUUCACUAAAUAUUUUGAAUUAGUUUAAUGUCUUCUUAUGGCUAAACAAAAUAAUGAACUUCUACUUAAGAAUCAUCAAUCUCAUACUAUUAGGUCUGUGUCAUUACUUGAAGCAAAUGUCACAUCCGUCCAAGCUCCUAGACAUUGAGUUGGACUUGGACAUGAACAAGGCUAAGGACACAGUCAUGGUCGUGGUAAACAUAAUUCAUGGUACCAUGGUAAUUAUAGUCAUUAGAAUAGACAAAACAAUCCAAACCAUUAGAAGUGGAAUAAUUCAAAGGUGCAACCUAAAAAGGAUAUAUAUAUAUAAUCACAAAACAAACAUGAUAAUAAGAAUGAAUGCUAUAGAUAUGGUACGAAAAGGAUGUAUGUAGGAUUUAGAAAUGACCUACAAGGAACAGGAAGACCUCAAAUUCAUUAUGAGGCUUCUAUAAUUUAAUAUUUAAACCCAAAUAAGAAUGGAUAGAACCAUGGUCCACCUUAAAAGAAAAGUUUUUUUUUUUUUUUUUUGAAUAAUUUACAUACUUUUCUUAAGAAUGUACGUAUUUUUCUUAAGGAUGUACGUAGACUUUGAAAAUGACCAAUAAGGAAUGGGCAGCCUCAAAAUUAUUACAAGGCUUCCAUAAAUUAAUAUUAAAACCUAAAUAAGGCGAAAUAAGGUCACAAUCUGCUUUUAAAAAAACACACAUAUUUUGUUUUUUUAAGAAUGUACAUGUUUUCCAUAAAAAUAUAUGUAUCUUUUCUUAAGAAUGUUCUUAAGGUUUAGAAAAGCCUAAAAAGGAAAGGAAAGACCUCUAAUUCAUUCUCAGGCUUCCAUAAGUGAAUACCUAGACCUAAAUAAGGUCAAAUAGGAUUAUAGUCUUAAGAUAGAGCUCUUAAGAGCAUAACAUGGUGUAUUAAAUUUGAAAUUUAUUAUUUAUUUAAUGAUGUUCCCAUUUCACUUUUAUCUAUCUUUAUUCCAUGUAUUAUAUUUUAUGAGAAGUCUUGUCAGCAUCUUUUGCAUUGUACAUGACUUAGGUGCAUUAGGAGUCGCACCACCUCCUAAUUAGAGGGAUGGUUGGUCUUCGUUAUCGGGAUGGGUUUCCCAUGGUGAGUACACUACUAUGUAUGAUUACACGUUGGACAAGACCUACGAUGAGCCAUGACUUAAGACUAUCAAGUAGUCAUGACCUCACCAAGCUACUUCAUUGUGUUAUCUCUCAACCUUGAGAGAAUAUCGAGAUUGUGCUAAAAUUAGCAAUGACUUUUACCUAUGAGUGAGAUCGUAAGUUGAUCAUAUAUUCCCUAUGGAUUGGGUCACUGUUGAUGGAAGUCGGUAACAAUAGGUAUUCUCAAUAGACACCAUGAUAUCUCAUGGGAUUGAGACAACGUGUCCCCUUGGGUGAUCCUAAGGGGAUGUGUUCAUGGAAACUAUGGCCAUAAUAGUUCCUUAAGUAGAACUUGACAUAGGCUCUUUGAGAGCUAAGACAUGUCAAUUGAAUAUACAAUAGGAGGAUUUGUAACUCAAGGAUAGUAGAGGUAGUCUUGAAAGGUUGAUAGCUUUCACCUUGUUAGGCUAGAACACCAGUUCAUGGGGAGAGUGAACACAAUGGAUACUAGGUCACAGACCCGAGUACAUAGUGUCUCAUUGUUAUUUACAUAGGAUAUUGGAGUUCAAUUGAUUCUUUGUAAUAAGAUGUUGAAUCAACUUCAUAAUUGGAUCCUGAGGGAGUUAGUACUCUUAUGGAUCUUAGUGGUCCCCACUCUAAGCUUAUAUAUCUUUUUGGCAUCGUUAUGAGUGUCGAAUUGACUCUAGGUUCACUUUUGUGCAUAAGGGCAUUUCGGUAAUUCUGCAAGAUUGCAUAAAGGUAAGUGAACAAAGUCUAUAGAUUGAGCUAAUUAAUUAAUUAGUAGGCUCUAUUAGGUUAAUUAAUCCAUUAGGAUCCAUUUUGGGAUAAAUUAAGUUAUCCAAACCCAUGUGGGCUCAAGUCACUUAAGCCUAGUUAGGAACCCUAUAAAUACUCCCUAGGGGUUAGAGUCUUCAUCACUUUUGUCUUCCACCAUUUAGACAGAAAGAGAGCAAUAGCCUCUACCUUUCUUUCUUUCCUAUUGAAAGUGUGCCAAGAAUAAAGUUGAGUCAUCAGGCAAAAGACCAUGGGUUUACGAGACUUCCAACAACUUCAAUGUCAUCUUCAACACUUGGAAUUUAAGGUUUGAAACAUCCAAACCUAAAGGUUAGCACUUUAACCCUAAAGAUCAAUUUAAAAAAAUAAAUAAAUAAAUUGGUAUUGUUUCCGUUCCUUAGAUCUACGAUGCCAACACACAGUUCGCUUGAAAAAAAUGCAAGUAUUUUCUUCAAAAUAUAUAUAUUUGUUAAGAAUGUAUGUAUUUUUGUAAAAGAUGUACCUUAGGUAGGGUUCCACCAUGUCAAAUGAGGUUUGGGAAGAUUUCAAAUACAUUUGUAGAGUACAUAAGUCAAAUCUUAGACCCAAAUGAGUGUGAAUCUGUCAUGUUAAGUUGAAAUCAAAUGUACAUAUCUUUCUUAAGGUGUUAUAUUUUUCUAAAAAAUGAACUUAUGAGUGUUUAGCUAGGUUGGCAAUUCCGGAAAAAAUUCCUAAGUGUCCCCUAACUUGGUUUACCAAUCCCUCUUCGGACUACAUGACCUUUGAAGAUUAAGACUUUGCUAAGAGGUCGAGGUAUGUAGUCGAGUCUGUGGUGAUUGAAUGUGAACCAACCCUAUUUUUUCAUCUUUAAAUGAGUAAAGAAAGCUGAGAGAAAUAUUGUUGGUGCAAGGCUUUUGUUCCCCUGUUUCUAGAUCGAUCCAGGUAUAGGGGCAAAUCAAUCAAACUAACCUAUUUUUAAGAUCAAUUUUCAACCUUUGGAUUAAGGUUUCACUCUCAUUUGAAAUCAAAUCUCCCCCAUUUCUGGAAGUGGUGACUGUAGUAUCCGUGAGAGAUUUUUUUUCUUUCCUCACCAUUUAGAAGGUGUUUGCCUAUGAAGAAAAUCCAUCCAAGUUUUCCAAGAAUUUUUUUAAAAAAAAUGGAUUUUCUCAAAAUGAACAAGGGUUGAUUUCUAAAACAUUCAUCUCUCAUUCUCUUGGUUUUGUGCAAAAACCCAUUUUCUUCUUGUAUGAAUUCAAGAAGAAAUCGAGCUUGGUGCAAACUCCAAGUGUGCCCCGAAAGAAGAAGCUGAGAAGCUGAAAAUGAAGGUACUAGUCAAGUGGUUUGGGAAAGAUUAGUUGGCUUGAGCAAGAUAAAACCUUGUAUUCAGAUUUUAUUUUUCAUAGUGGAUGUUUUCAAUCAGUAAUAGGCCUGUGGUUUUUUUAUCUCUUCGGAGAUUUUUCAUGUAAAUUUAUGGUGUCUCAUUGUCUCUCUUUCUCUUCUUAGCAUCAGUUUUCAAUUUCAACAAUUUAUUAUAAUUUUUAUUGUCUACUAUUUGAUUGAAUGAUGAAGAGAAAUGACUAUGAAUCAUCUUUGAAGUUGUUUCUAAUUGUUAAUCAUUGAUAUUUUGAGGUAUAUUGAUCUUGCUUUUAUCAGAAUUUAGUUUAAGUUGAUUUGGGUUUGGGAGUGUUAGAUCAUGUGCAUGUGAAUUACAUUUGAAUAUUGUUAGGGAGUGUUGUUGCAUUCAUAUAUGCAUGUGAUUUAUAAUUUGUGUUUCUGAGACUGUGUGAAGAGAAGAAAAAUAUUCAAAAAGUUUUAAGGCUUGCUAAUUUGAGUUGAGAUUUUGUUCAAUUGGUCAAAACACCUAUUCAACCUCCCUUAGGUGUAUUCCACUAUUGAGAUUCACCUUUUCAAUUGGUAUCAAAGAGGGUUUUUAAAGCAAAAAUCAUUUUCGAUCCUUAAAUCUCAAUCAGGGAACCUCAUUAAGAGGGAGCUUCCAUUAGGAGACCACCUUUCUUAACCGGUGAAAAUUUUUCUCAUUGAAAAGUGAGAAUGCAAUAUUUUCUCAAAAUGCAAAGUGACAAAAUUUGGAAUGUCGUUGAAUUUCGUUAGUCUCCACCUAAGGUGUUAGAUAGAGAAGGUAAACUAACAAAUGUUAUCAAGCCAAAAUUGGAAUGUGAUAGAAGUGAAAAUGAAGCAAGUGAGAAUAAAGCUAGAGCCAUGUUCUCCAUCUUCAAUGCCAUUAGUACGAAUGAAUUUCGUAGCAUUGCCACAUGCACUUCAGUUAAAGAAGGCUUAGGAUAUCCUCUAAGUGACUCAUGAAGGAACUAAUGUCGUGAAAAUGUCCAAGCUUCAAAUGUUGACAUCUAGGUUUGAGACCAUUAGGAUGGAUGAUCAUGAAACUUUUAGAGAAUUUCAUGCAAAAUUGAUGGAUAUUGUGAAUUCUAACUUCAAUCUAGGUGAAUCCAUCUCUAACUAAAAGAUGGUUAGAAAAAUUUUAAGAUCUCUUCCAGAUAGAUUUAGAGCUAAGGUUACCACCAUUGAAGAGUCUAAGGAUGUGGAUUCCUUGAAGAUAGAUGAACUUGUAGGUUCUCUCCAAACCUUUGAGAUGAUGCUUGUAUCACCUAGGAAAGCUAAGGGAAUUGCUUUAAAAACUAUUAAAUAAGAGUCCCUAAGUUUCGAAAGUGAGAAUGAUGUCAAAGGGUGAGCUUACUAAGUUUACUAAAAAAAUUAAGAAGUACAUGAAAUUCAGAAAAUCCAAGAAAGAAUCAAAUGAUGGUAAAAAUGGAGGAACUCUAUUAGAAAAAAAGAAGAAUAUGGAGAAAUGUGUGAAAAAAGAGUUGGAGAUUGAGUGCUUUAAAUGUGGAGGAAAUGGGCAUUAUGCCGCCAAAUGUCCCUCAAAGAAAAAAAAUGAAAGAAGGUCAUGCAAGUCACUUGAAGCAACAUAGAAUCUUGUCAAUCAAGUGAAAAAGAAUCCAAUGGAAGUGAAGAAUACACUAACUUCAUAGCCUUUUCUGCAAGUGUCAAUGAGAAACCACUCAAGAAAGAGGUCUUAAGUGAGUCAUGAGUCAAGUGACUCCAAUGAUGAUGACAUGAAUUUUGACAUAGCAUAUGAGACUUUGUAUAAGGAGUGCUUGAGCCUUAAACAAGAACAAGUCAAGUGGAAGGCUUCUAAGAAUAUUCUAAUCAAUGAGAUUGAUGUCUUGAAGGGAGAAAAGAAGGCUUUGCUUGACAAAAUUGGAUUUCUUGAAAAUGACCAUUUGGAAGUGAAAAAAAAAAUAUUAUGUAUUGAAAAGUGAAUCAAAUGUUCAAGGAUGAGUUAAUUCUUAAGAAGAAAGAAUCACAUCCUAGCUCUAAGAGGCUUAAUGAGUUGAUCAAUUUAAGGCGUAAAUCUUUUGAUAAACAAGGCUUAGGAUUUGUUGAUGCAAAUACUACUCCAAGUAGUGGUAAAACAAUUUUUGUUAAGCCUUGUGAAAAAUAAUAUCCUAAGAAAACUCAUUCUCAAAUCAAGUUUCAUUGCAAUCAUUGUGGCAAAAUGGGACACACUUUUCAUAGAUGUUGUGCAAGAUUGUUUGAUAACUUUCAAAGGAAGUUGACCAACCUAAUGAAUGAAUGUUAUGCUUUGAAGAAUAGGUUAUUGAAUGAGAAUAAGAGAGUGUCCAAGAAGUGCUCAAAGAUCCCUCAUAAUGGUGAGUUGAAAGGAAGCACUUUGAAUGAAAAGACAAGUCUCAAAUGUUAAACAAAUUUGGGUGUGAAUGAAUUAGUUGAAGUGUUUUGUUGUCCAUACCGCACUUAGAGCUAGUGAGUCACACUCAUGGCAUCUUGAUAGUAGAUGUUCACAUCAUAUGACUAGAAAUAAAUCUUUGUUUACUUCAUUCACUGAAUUUGAUGGAGGAAAUGUGACAUUUGGAGAUGGUAAUGUGGCUAGGGUGAAAGACAAAGGUACCAUUUGUGCCCCCGACAUUCCUAAUCUUGAAGAGGUCUUAUAUGAAGGUUUAAAGGCUAACUUAAUUAGCACAAGCCAAAUGUGUGGGAAUGAGUUCAAUGUAAAAUUUUCACAAACUUUUUGCAAGGUGUUUGACUUGAAUGAUGUAUGUGUGAUGAUUGGCUUGAGAACUUGUGAUAAUUGCUAUGUUGUUAGUAAAAAAAUCUCCUUCAUCCUCUUCUCUCGUGUGUGGAAGUUCUAAAAUUGCAUGUGUUAAUCACUUGUUGCAACAUAGAUUGUUACAAAAUGAAAAAGAGCAUCCCAUUAUAAAAGUUAGGAUUGGUGGGGGGGAUUUGAUGAUGCCAAUGUUAUUGAUAGGCUAGAGAACCAUGUUCUUCAUUAUAGAUAAAAACAUGUGGACAUUAAGCAUCACUGCAUUCAAGACUUGGUAGAAGACAAGGUUGUUUACUAGAGGUUUUCCCUAUAGAGAGUCAAAUUGCUAACAAUGUUACUAAACCUUUGGACAUUUCUAGGUUUGAAUCACUUAGGAGCCCCAUAGGUUUAUAUAUUCUCUAUUUAACUGCCUCUAGAACUUGUCUAGGACUCCUCUUGCAUAUCCUUGAGUCUAGUUGUCUUCCUAAGUUCCCAAAUAUCAUCAACUUGAUGUUGUUUUUGUUUUGGUUCAAUAUUUUCUCCAUUUUUCAUAAAUUUUCAACAAUUGUUGAGUUCAUGAGAGUGACAUGCUUAUUCAUUUUGUUUAAAAGUUAAAUUAACUCAUAAUGAUCUUAAAAGCUUCAAGAUGUAUUUAUCUCCAUGGCUUGUUUUAUAAACAUGAUAUUGAAUCCUUGCUAUUUUGAUUUGGUUAGAUAAACUACAAAUGAUUAGCUUCAUUUCUAUUAAGUGAGUAAGAGCUCAUUGUUGGACCUUGUGUUUGCAUAAUGGUGAAUAAUGCUCUUUAAAUUCUAAAUGAAAACUUAUACCCAUUUAAUAAGCUUUAAAGAGUGAGCAAAGACACCUGGAAUAUCCUUGAGAGGUUGAGAUGAUCAAUCCUUGAUUGUUUGUCCUCGCUUUGAAAUUAAUUUUUUUUUAAAUGAAAAAGAAAAGAAAAAGAAAAUAUGAAGUUUCCCGGAAUGGAUAUGGCUCCGUGGCAAUGUUUCAAGAAUUAAAAAGCCUCCAUUGCAAGAGUGGGACAUCCCUUAUGUUGUUAUGUUGUAAAGACAUCCUUAGAGAUCCUCAAGUCAAAAAUUGAUCUUAAGGGUAAAACUUAAAGCUUUGUAUUCCUUUCAAUGCUAAAUGUGAAAAGCAAAUAGUGUAUGAAUUUUAUUAAAGGGAUGUGAUUAGGUCAUGUUAAACAGAAAUCUAGCCAAGAGAGAUGCAAAUUGACUUUGAUUACUACUCAAAAAGUACUCUUUUAUAGCUUGAAACUAACUGUUUUAAACACUUUUGAGUAGUAGUUAAUACCUUUUAACUCAAUUGGCACAUUAAGGAACCUAGCAAGGGUUACUAAUCAAUUUUUCACAAGUUUUGGUGUUUUUGGUAGCUAUUUGAUCAUUGAAACAAGCCAAGAAUGAGGGAGAAUUUUAUGAAAUCCAUGGCAAUGCAAGUUAAAGCUCAAAUACAUGAAGAAUCCAAGCUUUGGAGCACUUCAUAGCCCUUUGCCAAGCCAAUCAGAGAUGCAAGGAAGAAACCCAGAGGAAGAAAUCCAACAACCAACAUUUCCGCAUGGUUGUGCGAAAUUUCGCACACCAUGCAAAAUUUCGCAUGGUAUGCGAAAUCUUUCUGUGCAUCGACUUCGUUAGAUUUUUAUCUCCAGAUAUUUUGUGUAAUUUCCUAUUUUCUCCUUCUAAUCAACUUAGAUAUUUUCAUAUAUAUUUUUUUAUAUAUUUGGUGUGUGUAACAUCUUUUGAUAUAGACACACAGGGAUGUAAUCAGAGAACACAUGUAAAUUCCCCGUAGUAAGAAAUAUACAAAGCUUUUCCUCUACCUUUUCUUCUCAUUUUGUUUUCACUCUUCUUUCUAGCCAAACAACCUCUAAGGAUGAUUUCUCAGGGGAUGAGUGGCUAGGUUUUACGUUUCUUGCAAUGAUGGAAGCUAGGUGAAGGACUCGAAUGCAAAGAUGGGAGUUGUCCUUGCUUUAAAUAAAAGUAGUUGUUAACCAUUAAUGGCUUUUAUGUUAAGGUUUAGCUUUAAAUCCCUUAAAAUCACCUUGAAUGGCUAAUACUUGGUAAGCUUUUCGAAUUCUAUGGAUGCUUAUUGCUAGAUCCAUGGAUGUCUAUUAGUUAUCAUUUAUGAGCCAUUGGAAGGUGGUUCAAGGUGAGAGUCUUUAGUGUUUCAAGCCAUUAAUGGGAAGCAACUAUUAUUUUUCAUGAACCCUUUGGAUCAAAUUUUAAUUUCUAAAUAUAAAACCGGUUCGGGAGAUAACCAUCCUUUAUAUUAUUGUCCCCAACGCGAGGAGAAGAUCCGGAAUCUCCCCCUUUGUCUAAGGAACCCGAUCCUAGUGACCUAAAGCUCCAAGAGACCUUUUCUUUGUAGUCAACUUCACUUAUUAUUUUUGCUUAACUUAAAAUCAAUCUUUGCAACCACAAUUCCAUUUUCUUUAAAAGCUAAUUUUCAUAAGGAUAAACACCAUUUUAUUUCCUUCACUAAAGUCAAUUGUACGAUGAAAACCCAUCCCUAUGGACGAUCCUAGAGCCACUAUACUAUGUUAGCUAUGCUACCCUAGUGUGAGGUGAUUUAGGUUUUAUAAAUUUUGUUGAUAACACCCGUCUAAGCCAGAAUCAAAUGGCAUGACUACAAUGGGGAUGAAUCAAAAGGCACCGUUGUCGGGGAGAUGAUGCCAAAGUACAUUGACAUGACUUUUGGUGAACACUUGUGAUCUUCAUCACAAGUUUGGUGAUUUUUCUUUUACUAAUUCUUUUUCUUUAUCUCUAUUUUAGCUUAUCUUUUAUUUAGUUUUCAACUAACCUUAACUUUUUCCUGGAAUUGUAUUUCUUCUAUUUUCUGUGUUUUUGUUUCAGUGAUUUUUAGUUAUGCAUGCCCUAUUGGAUAAGAGAUAUUGAGGAAAGACUUGUGAAGAUUGAAACUCCUCGAGAAACUAAGUUGGAAGUGUGCUUGAACAUCAUGAAUGUUCCACCUGAAGACCAAAAUAGCCAACAUGGUCAAAAGGAUAAUUUCAACGCAUACCAAUCCAUGAGGGACCGCAUACAUCCACCUCGUAUGAGUGCACCAUCAUGCAUAGUGCCUCCCACUGAGCAACUAGUAAUCCGACCUCACAUUGUGUCACUCCUAUCUACUUUCCAUGGGAUGGAAAGUGAGAAUCCCUACUCGCAUAUUAAGGAAUUCGAGGAGGUUUGUAAUACAUUCCAAGAAGGAGGAGCUUCAAUUGACUUGAUGAGGCUCAAGCUAUUUCCUUUCACCUUGAAAGAUAAGACUAAGAUUUGGCUUAAUUCUCUAAGGUUAAGGAGUAUCUGAACUUGGACUGAUUUGCAAGCUAAGUUUCUCAAGAAGUUCUUCCCUACUCAUAGGACCAAUGGUUUGAAAAGGCAAAUUUCGAAUUUCUCGGCUAAGGAGAAUGAGAAAUUCUAUGAGUGUUGGGAGAGGUACAUGGAACCUAUUAAUGCUUUUCCUCACCAUGGCUUUGACACAUGGCUCUUAGUGAGCUAUUUUUACGAUGUUAUGUCUUCUUCAAUGAAGCAACUCCUAGAAACUAUGUGUGGAAGAGACUUCAUGAGUAAGAAUUCGGAGGAAGCCAUGGACUUUUUGAGUUAUGUGGCUGAAGUUUCAAGAGGAUGGGAUGAACCAAACGCUAGAGAGGUGGGAAGAAUGAAGUCUCAACCUAAUGAUAAGGGUGGGAUGUAUGUUUUGAAUGAAGACAUUGGCAUGAAGGCAAAGGUUGUAGCUAUGGCAAAGAGAAUGGAAGAGCUAGAAAUGAAGAAGAUACAAGAAGUGCAAGCCAUUUUUGAGACGCCAGUGCAAGCUAUGCCUUGUUCCAUUUUUCAAUCUUAUGAGCACUUGGUGGAGGAGUGUCCUACAAUUCCAACAGUGAGAGAGAUGUUUGGAGAUCAAGCAAAUGUUAUUGGUCAAUUCAAGCCCAAUAACAAUGCUUCACAUGGCAACACCUACAAUUCGAAUUGGAGAAACCAUCCAAAUUUCUCUUGGAAACCAAAGCCAUCUCAGUACACACAACCUGCUCAAGCACAUCAGCAAGCCUUGAAUCUUGAACAAGUUAUUGGGAACCUUAGCAAGGUUGUGAGAGACUUUGUGGAAGAUCAGAAGUCCAUCAAUGCUCAACUAAAUCAGAGAAUUGACAGUGUGGAGAGUACAUUGAACAAAAUGAUGGAUGGGAUGCAAAAUGAUCUGUCUCAGAAGAUAGACAAUGUCCAAUACGCAAUCUCAAGGCUUACCAACCUCAACACAGUGCAAGAAAAAGGAAAGUUUCAUUCUCAACCUCAUCAAAAUCCCAAGAGUAUCCAUGAUGUGGAGGCUCAAGAGGGAGAAUCUUCAAAGGUGAGGGAAGUCAAAGCAGUUAUCACCUUGAGAAGUGAUAAAGAGGUUGAUCUACCCACAUCUAAGCCAAAGCAUGAUGAAGAGAGUGUAGCAGAAAAAGAAAAGAGUGGGGAAAAUAAAGGAAAGAGAAAAGGGAAAAGUACAAAGAAAGAUGACCAUGAGUCUAGUGUGGAUGAAGAACCCGAGAAGAUAGUGAUCAAGGAAGAUAUGAUGAAGAAACACAUGCCUCCAUCUUUCCCCUAAGCUUUGCAUGGCAAAAAGGGAACCAAUAAUGCAUCAGAAAUUUUUGAAAUGUUGAGGCAAGUGAAGGUCAAUAUCCCUUUGCUAGGCAUGAUCUAACAAGUGUCGACAUAUGCAAAAUUCUUGAAGGACUUGUGCACUAUAAAAAGAGGGUUAAAUGUGAACAAGAAAAGCCUUCUUGACUGAGCAAGUAAGUGCCAUCAUAGAGUGCAAGUCUCCAGUGAAGUACAAAGAUCUGGGCUGCUCUACCAUCUCAGUGAGUAUUGGAGGGACUUGCAUGGAGAAAGCUUUGUUGAACUUAGGAGCAAGUGUAAAUUUGCUACCCUACUCUGUCUAUAAGCAGUUGGGACUUGGAGAGUUGAAGCCAACAUCCAUUGUUCUAUCUCUGGCAGAUAGAUCAGUGAAGAUUCCAAGAGGAAUGAUCGAAGAUGUCUUGGUUCAAGUUGACAAAUUCUACUAUCCAAUUGAUUUUGUUGUUCUUGAUACAUAUCCAGUUGUCAAAUGAACUAACUAUGUUCCUAUCAUACUUGGAAGACCAUUCCUAGCUACAUCAAAUGCAAUCAUCAAUUGUAGGAAUGGAGUCAUGCAACUCACAUUUGGCAACAUGACAUUGGAGCUCAACAUCUUCCAUUUGUGCCAGAAGCAUAUCCAUCUGAAAGAAGAAGAAAGGCUAGAGGAAGUGUGCAUGAUUGACACUUUAGUGGAGGAGCAUUGUGAUUAGAGAAUGCAUGAGGAUUUGAUUGAGAGUUUUGGGGAUCUUGAUGAAGGGUAACCUGAACCCUUAGAUUUGCUUGCUACCCUGCUCCCUUGGAAGAGGAGAGAAGAAAUUCUACCCUUAUUCAAUGAGGAGGAAACGUAAAGAGCUGCUAAGGAGGAGCCCCUAAAGCUUAUUCUUAAGCCACCACCCACAGAGUUAAAGUAUGCAUACUUGGAAGAAGACAAGCAAUGCCCUAUUGUUAUAUCUUCAGCUCUUACCAUUCAUCAGGAGGAUUGUCUACUUGAAGUCCUUAGAAGAUGUAAGAAGGCAAUAGGGUGGCAAAUUUCUGAUUUGAAAGAGAUCAUCCCUUUAGUCUGCACCCAUCAUAUUUACAUGGAGGAUGAAGCUAAGCUAGUUCGUCAACCUCAGAGAAGGUUGAACCCUCACAUGCAAAAGGUGGUGCGAGUUGAAGUUCUUAAGCUACUUCAGGUCGGUGUUAUUUACCCCAUAUCAGAUAGCCCAUGGGUGAGUUCCACUCAAGUUGUGCCAAAGAAGUUUGGGAUCACGGUGGUGCAAAAUGAUAAGGGAGAAGAUGUCUCUACACGCCUCAUUACAAGAUGGAGGGUGUGUAUCGAUUACAGAAGGUUGAAUGUGGUGACAAGGAAGGACCAUUUCCCAUUACCCUUUAUUGAUCAGGUGCUUAAGAGGGUCUUUGGGCAUCUUUUUUAUUGUUUCUUGGAUGGCUACUCUGGGUACUUUUAGAUAGAAAUUGAUGUUGAAGACCAAGAGAAGACCACUUUCACGUGCCCAUUUGGCACCUAUGCAUACAGGAGAAUGUCUUUCGGCUUAUGCAAUGCACCCGCAACUUUCCAAAGAUGCAUGUUAAGCAUUUUUAGUGAUAUGGUGGAGCGUAUUAUGGAAUUAUUUAUGGAUGAUAUCACCAUAUAUGGAAGUACAUUUGAUGAAUGCUUAGUCAACUUAGAAGCUGUUCUGAACCGAUGCAUUGAGAAAGACUUAGUGCUUAACUGGGAGAAGUGUCAUUUCAUGGUACAACAAGGGAUUGUCCUUGGGCACAUCAUCUCCAAGCAAGGCAUUGAAAUUGACAAAGCAAAGGUUGAACUCAUUGUUAAGUUGCCAUCCCCAACAAAUGUCAAAGGAGUAAGGCAAUUCCUUGGCCAUGCCAAGUUCUAUAGGAGGUUUAUCAAGGAUUUCUCUAAGCUUGCAAGACCUCUUUGUGAACUAUUGGUCAAGGAUGCUAAACUCAUAUGGGAUGAUAGAUUCCAAAGGAGUUUUGAAGAAUUGAAGUUAUUUCUAACAAUCGCACCAAUAGUGAGGGCUCCCAACUAGCAACUGCCCUUUAAGGUAAUGUGUGAUGCAAGUGACUUUGCUAUAGGAGUUGCUCUUGGGCAAAGAGAAGAUGGAAAAUCCUAUGUGAUCUACUACGCGAGCAAGACAUUAAAUGAGGCGCAAAGAAACUACACAACUACCAAGAAAGAAUUGUUAGCUAUAGUUUUUGCCUUGGAUGAGUUUCGUGCUUACUUGGUGGGGUCUUUCAUUGUGGUUUUCACUGAUCACUCUGCUUUGAAUUAUCUGUUGACUAAGCAAGAUGCUAAAGCAAGGUUGAUUAGAUGGAUUCUCUUGCUUCAAGAUUUCAAUCUCCAGAUCAAAGACAAGAAAGGAGUGGAGAAUGUGGUAGCAGACCACCUUUCAAGGCUAGCUAUCGCACAUAAUUCCCAUGGUUUGCCCAUUAAUGAUGAUUUUCCAGAGGAGUCUCUCAUGCUGGUGGAAGUUGCUCCUUGGUAUGCUCACAUUGCGAACUAUCUAGUCACGUGAGAAGUUCCAAGUGAGUGGAAAGCACAAGAUAAGAAGCACUUCUUUGCAAAAAUUCAUGUCUACUAUUGGGAAGAGCCAUUUCUAUUCAAGUAUUGUGCCGAUCAAAUAAUAAGGAAAUGCGUUCCUGAAGAAAAGCAACAAGGGAUUCUCAGUCAUUGCCAUGAAAAUGCAUGUGGAGGCCACUUUGCUUCUCAAAAGACAACCAUGAGGGCGUUGUAAUUGGGUUUCUGUUGGCCAUCACUUUUCAAAGAUGCCCACACCAUGUGUAAGAGUUGUGAUUGAUGCCAAGGGCUUAGGAAGUUGACACGCAGGAACAUGAUGCCUUUGAACCCCAUUUUGAUAGUUGAUCUUUUUUAUGUUCGGGGCAUUGACUUCAUGAGACCUUUCCCUAUGCCUUUUGGCUACUCUUACAUCUUGGUGGGAGUAGAUUAUGUUUUUAAGUGGGUUGAGGCAGUCCCAUGCAAACACAAUGACCAUAGAGUGGUUCUCAAGUUUCUCAAGGAGAACAUCUUACCAAGAUUUGGGGUGCCCAAAGCCAUAAUUAGUGAUGGAGGUACUCAUUUUUGCAACAAGCCUUCUGAAACUCUCCUAGCCAAGUAUGAGGUGAAGCAUAAGGUAGCUACACCUUACCACCCUCAAACUAGUGGGCAAGUUGAGUUAGCAAACAGGAAGAUUAAAAACAUAUUGAUGAAGGUGGUGAACACAAACAGAAAAGAUUGGUUAGUCAAGCUCCUUGAUUCACUAUGGGCAUAUAGAACAGCUUACAAGACCAUUCUCGGGAUGUCUUCUUAUCAUCUAGUCUAUGGCAAAACAUGUCAUCUCCCUGUGGAAUUGGAAUACAAGGCUUGGUAGGCAAUCAAGAAGCUCAACAUGGAUUUGAGCAGAGCUGGGUUUAAGAGGUUCUUAGACCUCAAUGAGAUGGAGGAAUUGAGAAAUGAUGCCUACAUCAAUUCAAUAAUUGCAAAAGAGAAAUUGAAGAGGUAGCAUGAUCAGUUGAUUUCCCACAAGGAUUUUAAAAAGGGACAAAGAGUCUUGCUCUAUGACUCUAAGCUCCACAUCUUUCCGGGAAAACUGAAAUCAAAGUGGAUAGGUCUUUUCACCAUUCACCAAGUUCAUUCAAAUGGAGUAAUGGAACUACUCAACUCCAAUAGCACCGGGAGCUUCAAAGUGAAUAGCCACAGUCUCAAGCCCUUUGUGGAGCCUUUUUCUCGCAACACUGAGGAAUUCAUCCUCCUUGAUCCACAUCAAGCUUGACAAGACCAGUUUUCUUGAUGGACUUAGUCUUUCUAAAGACUAUUGAGUCCAUAUAUUUUUAUUUUAUUUUUUGUUUAAGAGUUUUCCUAUAUUAUUACUUGUUUUGAUUUUGAUUUCUCGUUUUAAUUUUAUUUUAGUUUGAUUUAACUUAGGUUUUUGAUGAUCAAUUGCAGAGGAGGCCUCAAAGCCUAAAGACUUCACAUAGAGGAAAAACCAAGACAAUUCGCACACCCUGCGAAAAUUGCGCAGGGCAUGUGAAAUUAAUGAAUCAUUUCGCAUGGGGUGCGAAAAUUUUGCACACUAUACGAAAAUAAAACACCUUGCGAAAUCAUUUCGAACACUCUGCGAAAUUUUCGCAUAGUAUGCGAAAAAUUUUGCACACCUAACACCGUUUCGCACACUAUGCGAAACCCUAAGGGGUCUGUGAAACCAUUUCGCACGCUGUAUGAAAAUCAAGAGGCAUUGUACGAAAAUGAAAAGUCGCCCUACUAUCCCUUUUUAAACCCUGAGCCCUAACUUCUCCAUUUCGCAAACACCAAACACCCUGAAAAUCCCUCAUUUUCCUCUACCACCUUGCGACCUCGUCCCUCUCCAUUCGACACCCCGCCCCGUGCAUCUCAUCUUGAAGACUCGCACUCUGCGUCCCCUCCGAGCACGAACCCGAGGCUCACUUUCCAUUUUCGACAUGGCGCGAACCCGAGGAGCCCUUCCUACCCCUUCACUGAGACGUACUCCGAGGCAAGGAGCCUUCUCUGCUUAGGUGCCUAGUGAUUCUCCAUCUCAGGCCACGAAAGCCCCGCGGAUUCCACCUCUCGAGGGUGGAGCAGCCACUAGUCCUUUCUUUCCUGCUUCUCAGCGUAGAUACGAGACGAGGAGACCACCUAAUACACCAGGGGCGACUACUUUGCACCCUAAGAGUUCAAUACGACGCCCUCCUGCCAAGAGAGUCAGGACUUCAGGCCCAAGCGAGUCAUCCAGAGCUUCACAGCCUGAGGCUCCUACAGAUUAUGAGGUUUCUUCUGACCUAUCACCAGAGUCUAUUGUCAAACGCCCGAUGCUCACAACACCACCCAUUGAAGGCAACUCAGAUUGCAGAGCAAGACUUUUCCAUUGGGAGCUAUAUUUUGAUCAGGAGGCCGUGUGAUAGUAGCCUGAGCUCCGAGACUCUUACGGCCUACUACAGAGGUACCACCUUGAGCACCUUAUGACUCCUCGUGAGUUCUUUUAUCCCAGAGUAGCACUAGACUUUUAUCAGUCCAUGACUACUCUUGGUGUCCCGAAUCUUACUGCGAUUCACUUCACCAUUGAUGGAUGUCAUGGUAUUCUCGAGGCCAGACAUAUUGCAGAGGCUCUAUAGAUUCCUUUCAAGCUAGUAGAUCCAUCUGCUUUCCGCUAGUGGUCCCUAGUAUCUCAGAGGGACAUGGUCUGCAUUUUAUCCAGGGAGACCUUUACAGAUUCGAUCCUUCUACGAAACAAGCUUCCACCUGGAAUGCUCCUCAUAGAUAUGGUGGUAUGCUCCAACCUCUUUCCCUUACAACAUUCACUACAGAGGCGAGAAGCUAUUUUGGACACUUUAUUCCUUAUAUCGAAGGGCUUCUACUUUGGCCCGUACCACUUGAUCAUGGCCUCCCUCAUCCACUUUGAGGAGAAGGUCCAUAGGAAGAAGCUUCAGAGGGCGGACACCAUUCCAUUACUAUUCCCAAGGUUGUUGUGCUAAAUCUUGAAGUAUAUGGGCUUUUCUAUUAAGCCUCGGCUAGAGCGCCGCCGCCUUUGUCGAGAGCGAUUCACUCUCGACAAAUGGAAUCAGUUGGCGGGUUAUUCUGCACCUCCAGGAGCCCCUCCCAUGGUAGCACCUCCAGUGCCCCCACAGCCAGAGCAGGGCGAGCUCCCGACAAAGACUGCACCACCAGUGCCCACACUUGAGGCUACUUCUGCUGCUCCGCCUACGACUCUUACUGUUACACCAAUCGCGCCUACUAUAUCCGAGCCUUCCAUCACCAUAUCGGCUUCAGAGUUUCGUGCCCGUGUGCAUACUUUUCAGACACUCACUGUCACACCCCAUUUUUUUUUUCUUCUUCUUAUUAUUAUUAUUUAUUCUUCAACUAAACAAUUGAUACUCAAAUACAGUAUAAGUGCUCUCAAAAAUUUAAAUGUUGAGUUCCUACUUGAAUUUGUUCAAAAAGACGAUAUGGAAAACCUGUUAUAAAGAGUACAUCCUGUAUUAAACAUUGUGACUAUUAAGUUAACAAAAUAUGUUUUGUUUCACAAAAGAAACUUGUACAACAUUAAUUUACAUAUACCAAACCCCAUUGUUUACUACGGGUAGCCCAUACUACAAGUGUAUCUGACAAAUAUAUACAUUACAUCAUUCCAACAAAAGGUUUAGUCUUGAUACAAAAGGCAUGGCCUCAAAAGACUUUCAAUAUGAGCAAACAACAUCCAAUCAUAGUAAAGCAUUGCUCAAGCAUUAUUUCCUGCAUAGGUCUUCUGACCUGCAUCUAGAGGUGGAAGGGAUAGGGUGAGUUCACAACUCAGUAGGAAAUUUUAUAACCAUCCUAAGUAUACCCUUAAAAACCUUGAAUUAAACGUUUAAUAACAUGCAUGAUAAACAUUUCAUAACCAUUAACAAAUGUGCAAUCAUGUCAAACAUGUAUGCAUGUGUUUGUUGGUUUCAUCAUUGCUUUUCCCCAUCCAUCCUUUCACAACUGAUAAAUUGCUAACUCCCAACAAUCUACACAGCAGAUAUCAAUGCUCCACAAGAUACUCAAUCAAUAUAAUAAUGACUAUUCUGGGACAUCACCCAAGGGCAAGUCAUACCCCGUGUCUUUUGGGACUCAUACCCAAGGGCAGGACCAACCCCGUGUCUUUAGGGACUAAAACCCAAGGGCAGGACCAACCCCUUACACCCACAUCGGAGUGUCUUCCUCGAGGGCUUUAGGGACUUUCACCCAAGGACCCACGGUCCCACAUAAACAAUAUAUCAAAUGAUGAGGCCUGUAGCAUCACAUAAGCACUUCGCUACCAAUAAAUUCUCUGAAUAUGAUCUAUAAUAAUUCCAUAUCCUUCUUGCAAUGCAAUCACACCAUAAACCAUUUCGACAACACAAAACCACGAAUCUUCAUACCAAUAUACGUUCCAACAUCAUGGUAACAUUUCAAUGCAAUGACACUUUAAAAGAUUUUAUGAAAUCAUAGAAAUAACAUAAAAUUCCAACAAAUAUUCAAGGAAAGAAAUCAGAUACACCAUAGAAUAGCAUAAAAUUCCCUACCUUACACCGACUUCCUUUUUGUGUUUCUUCUAAGUAGGCGAUCUUUGCCUAUUACGAGGAACUGAAAUGAAACAACAUAAUUUAGGUUUCCUAACCAUGAAAAUUAUAUAGUUUAUUGUUGCAAAUUGUUAAUUCUCACAUUCUCUAAUCUAUAUCCUACAUGUUUUCAGAUCAAAUUUGAAUUGAAUUAAACAAUAUUUACAAUGCAUGUUAAUUUCCCUAAUUAAUUACCAAACACUAAUUCUUUUGAUUUUCUUAAAGCCUAACCUAUUAACAAAUCCCAAGUGUCCAAAUAACCCAAUUCAUCACAUGUUUACUAAUCUAUUUUUCAAUCAAACCAAAUUAAACAAAGAUUUAUGUUGAUUUUACCAUUAAUAAAAUACUUAACUUAAAAUACUUUAACCUUUAAUUAAUUGUGAUUUUUAACUAAAACGGGUUUAUAGCUAAUUAUACUCAACUUUUACACAAUUUUUACCAUUAAUUCUUUUCAACAUACUGAUUACUACUCAAAAAGUACUAUUUCAUAGCUUGUAAUAAACUCUUUUAAACACUUUUGAGUAGUAGUUAUUGCCUUUUAACUCAAUUGGCAUGUUAAGGACCCUUGCAAUCAAUUCUAAUAAAAUUGUGUUAAGUUUUGGUGUUUUUGAUAGCUUUUUGCUCACCAAAGCAAUUUAAGAAUGAGGGAGAGUUGUAUAUAGUUCAUGCCAAAGCUUUUAGAAGCUCAAAUUCAUGAAGAAACCAAGCUUUGGAGCCUCAUAGUCCUUUGCCUUAGUCGUUCAAGGUAUGCAAGGAAAGAGCAAUGGAGAGAGGAAAACAGAGUGAAGAAAACAGAGGACAGCAGCUGCAGUCUUCUUUUGCACUUUUGGAGUACUUCCUGAAGUCCAUUUUCUACAUGCUAUAUACCAUUUCAAAGCUCAGGAAGUCAAGAAUCCAAUGCUUCAAAUGUUGCAUGAUUCGGAGUUGAAAUAAAGGAGUUACAACCAUUGCAAGCCGAUCACUCCAAGCUGAAGGAAGAAUUUUGCACAGCGUUGCGAAAUCACCCUUUUGUUGCGAAAUGAUUUCGCAGCCAUUUUGCACAGUGCUGAGGAAUUCCUCCUGAAGUUUCCCAAUAUAUGCGACACGUAGAAAGCCGAGAACCACAAUUUGAAAGCCAAUUUCGCAGCACUGCGAAAUCAGCCUUUUGUUGCGAAGUGAUUUCGCAGCCCUUUUUGUGCGUCUACGAAAUCUCGCAGACCUCGUUUUCACCUGCAAAAUGGUCCUUAGUGCUUCUCGAUAUUUGUGCACCGACUCUUUUAGAUCUUUUCUUCAGAUAUUUUUGUAUAAAUUUCCAUUCUUCUCCUUGUAAUCCACUAACCAUAAGAUUUCUUAGUUAGGAAGGUUGGAAAAACGUCUCUAUAUAUAUUCCCUUGCAUCCACUGUAAAAGAUAUAGAUCAUCAUGUAAUCCGACGGGAUAUAGAUAGAUAUAUAAAUAUAUAGAAUAUAUAGAGCUUUGCUCUGUUUUUCCUUCUUUUUCAUUUUUUUCAUUUUCUUGCUAACCAAACUCUAAAGAUUUUUCCUCAGAUAAUGAGAGGCUAGGCUUUUCGUCUCUUAGAGUGAGGAAAUCCGGGUAAGUUUCCACAUGCAUAAUUUGGAAGUUUUGUUGUUUUAGUUUUUAAUGAAGAGAAAGUGUGACCCGUUAAUGGUUUUUAUCUUUUUAGUUAACUUAAAACGCCUUUAAAUCACCUGGGCCAACACUUGGUAAGGCAAGUGAUCUCCGUCCAUGGAGAUGCACUAGUUUACCCCUUGCGAGCCUCUGGGAGGUGACUUGAAGGUAGGAUUUUCUAGAAUAGCCAACACUUGGUAAGCUUUUGGACUCCAAGGAGACAUCCAUUAGUUAUCUCUUACGAGCUUUUGACGGGUAAUCCAAGGUUAAAGAUCACCUUGAAUGGCAAGUGCUAGGUGAGAGGUAUGAGACAUUGCAAAGUGCAUCAGUGAGAGGGAUUUAGUGUUUGAACCCAUUAAUGGGAAGCAUCUGUACAACACCGGUUAGAGAAUUAACUAUAUGUUAAUUCUCUAAUGCGAGGAAAAGAAACAAGUGACCGGAACUCUCCAUUUUGUAUGAGGAACCUGAGCCUAGCGAUCUAAAAUCCAAGAAACACUUUUCUUUGUAAGUAAAAUCAGUUACUAUUUUUGGUUAGUUUAAAACCGAACCUUUUUCAUUCAAACAUCUUUAUGUUUUCUUUUAAAGCUAACCUUGAAAUGAAAAGACACCAAUUCAACUUUGAAUUAAUAUCAUUUGCAGAGUGAAAACCCAUCCCAGUGAACGAUCCUAGAGCCACUAUGCUAUAGUAGCUUUGUCUUUGCUAUCCUAGUAUAUGGUGUAAUAGGUUAUAAAUUUUGUUGAUUACUCCCUCAAUCAAGGAGCACCAACUGGACACGAAUCAGCUGAGACACCAAUUGGGCAUGAAUCAAAUGGCGUCGUUGCCGGGGAUGGUGCCACUUUACAGUGAUAUCACCUUUUCAGAGUACUUGUGAUCUUCAUCACAAGUUUGGUGACUUUUCUUUUCCUUUUACUAACUCUUUUUAUUUCUUUAUUGUUCAUAUUUUAGUAUACGUUUUAUUUAGUUUUUAGUUUACCUUAAUUUUUUUUUUCUUUGAAUUGUUUUUCUUUUGUUUUCUUUUGUUUUCUCUGUUUUUAAUUCACAAAUUGCUAGUUGUGCAUGCCAUAUUGAAUAAAAGAUAGCAGAGGAAGCCAUGAACUUCAUGAGUUAUGUGGUUGAAUUCUCAAGAGGAUGGGAUGAACCAAAUGCUCGAGAUAUGGGAAGAAUGACAUCUCAACCUGAUGCUAAGGGUGAGAUGUAUAUUUUGAAUGACGGCAUAGACAUGAAGGUAAAGAUUGCAGCUAUGGCAAGGAGAUUGGAAGAGCUAGAAAUGAAGAAGAUGCAAGAAGUGCAAGCCACCUCUCAAACACCAUUGCUACCUAUGCCUUGUUCCAUUUGUCGAUCAUAUGAGCACUUGGUGGAUGAGUGUCCUACCAUUCCAACCGAGAGGGAAAUGUUUGGUGAUUGCAACACCUAUAAUUCCAAUUGGAGGGACCAUCCAAAUUUCUCUUGGAAACCACAGCCGCCUCAGUACAAGCAACCUGCUCAAGCACCACAGCAAGCCUCAAACCUUGAACAAGCUAUGAUGAAUCUUAACAAGGUCAUGGAAGACUUUGUUGGAGCUCAGAAAUCCAUCAAUGCUUAGCUCAGUCAAAGAAUUUACAGUGUAGAGAAUUCAUUGAUUAAAAGGAUGGAUGAAGUGCAAAAUGAUCUAUCUCAGAAGAUAGAUAAUCUCCAAGAUUCAAUCUCAAGGUUUGCCAACCUCAACAUAGUGCAAGAGAAAGAAAACUCUCCUUCUCAACCUUAUCAAAAUUCCAUGAGUAUCCAUCAAGUGGAAGCUCAAAAGGGAGAAUCUUCAAUGGUGAAGGAAGUUAAAACGGUUAUCACUUUGAGUGGUAAAGAGGUUGAUCUACCCACAUGCAAGUUAGAGCAUAAGGUAGAGAGUGAAACAGAGAAAGAAAAGAGGGAGGAAAUCAAAGGAAAGAAAAAGGGGAAAAGCAUAGAAAAAGAUGGCUAUACUGUUAAUGUACAAAGAGAACCACAGAGGAUAGUCAUCAAGGAAGAAUUGAUGAAGAAACACAUGCCUCCACCUUUUCUCCAAGCUUUGUAUGGGAAAAUCAUACAAACCAAGUCUCAAUUGAAGAAUGCAAACUUCAUAUGGGAUCCGGGCAAGCUAAAUCAGGAGCAAAUUUUUUGAUGGACUUAGUCUUUUUAAAGACUAGCUAGUCCAUAUCUUUUUCUUUUGUUUUUUUUACUUGUUUUAAUUUUGAUUUCAAUGCUUAAAUUUUGAUUUAAAUGCUGAUUUCAAUGCUUUAAUUCUAAUUUGUUUUGAUGUAAUAUAGGUUUUUGGAUGAUCAAAAUCAGGAGGAAUUGCAAAGAAAUUGAAAGGAAGUCUUUCGGAGCAAAAACGGGUCAAAAACAGAGCAAAAACAGGGCAAAAACAAGGGUCUGCGAGAUUUUGCAGCCUCUGCGAAAUCAGCACAUUGCUACGAAACGAGUUCGCAGCCACAAGCCCCUCUCUGCGAAAAUUUUCGCAGCUACGAAACCAACUUUGGCACACGAGUGCUAUUUCGCAGCACAGUGACUCCCAUUUCGCAGCUGCGAAACGGCUGCGAACCACCAAAACAUGAAAAAUCCCAUUUUUGCAAGGAAAGCUCCAUUUCGCAAAGGAUUUCACAAUUGCGAAGCCACUUUUUGGCACACGAGUGCCAUUUUUCAACACAGUGACCCUCAUUUCGCAACUGCGAAACGGCUGCGAAAUCCCAAAGCGUAAAAACUUCCAAUUUCGCAGCCAAAGCUCCAUUUCACAAGGUAUUUCGAAGCUGCGAAACCACUUUUUGGCACACGAGGGCCAUUUGGAAGCCCCAUACACUCAUUUCGUAGCUGCGAAAUGGCUGCGAAACCUCCACACCUUAAAAUCCUUCAGCGCGAACACCAUGAACAGACAUGUCACAACCGCACCCCCAUUUUGGCAAUUGUUGGAGACAUCUCGAUCACUUCCCGAAGUUCAAAUUAUGAAUUCAAUAUCUCGUUUCAAAUAUUGGGAAGUCAGGAGUCUGUAGCUUCAAACGGUACUUGAUUUGGAUUUGAAAUGGAAAAGUUAUGGCCAUUUGAAGAUGAAUGUGCAAACCAUGAGCGGAAAUGUCGCACCUCCAUUUUGCUACUUUUGGACACAUUUUUGAAGCACUUAUUGGAGCUCAAAAUAUGCAUACCAUAUCUUGUUUCAAAUCUUUGGAAGUCAGGAGUCUAGAGCUUCAAACGGUGCAUAAUUUAGAGUUGAAACGAAGAAGUUAUGGUCGUUUGAAGACAAGCGCGCAAAGUUGAGCGAGAAUUUCGUAGCCGAGAUGCCAUUUGGAAGGGUGUUUCGCAGCUGCGAAACCACUUUUUGGCACACGAGUGCCAUUUUUCAGCAUAGUUCCCCUCAUUUCGAAGUUGCGAUAAGGUUGUGAAAUCACCUUUGAGCUGCGAAAUCACUUUUAAGCUGCGAAAUGGUCUGCGAAAAUGUCACUUUGCUGGGAAAUGAUCUCCAAGCUUCGAAAUGGUUGCGAAAUCAUCUCCAGGCUUUGAAAUGGCUGCAAAAUGACCUCCAAGCUUAGAAAUGGCCUUCAAAUUGCGAAAUUGACUUGCAAAAUGGAGGGAGGUUUGCAAAAACACCUUGCAAAGCCAAGGGAAGUUGCUAAAAUGCCAACAGAGCCCCGCGCACCCUGGGAUCACACACACCAAGCCUCUCACUUCAUUUCUAAACCUCCUAAAACCAUCAAAUCCCAUAGCUCCAACUGAGAGCUCCAGUUGAGGAGACUAUGCCACCUAAGGAGACUACAAAAAAAAAAGCCAAAGUCCUGAUCCAACCCACUCAAGAGGCCACCACAAACGCAUCAGCUCCACAAGACCUUACCAUUACUUGAUCAUCUCUUUACUUUUUGUCUUUACAUAUUAUAUUAGUAUAGAUAAUUCCAUGUUUUGAUGUCUUAUAUUCUGGGAUUGGAUGUAUUAUUGAUGAUGCAUCAUAUAUAGACAUCAUUUUUGUUUAAACUUAGCAUUUUGCUAUUUCCACUAACUCUGUUGUUUUUUUGAAACAUGUGGUUUCUCCAAUAUGACUCAGACUCGAUGUCACUCAUGAGGUACCACUUCCUCCCUAUUGUUCAAUCGCUUUUGUCACAUUGAGGACAAUGUUCAGCUUGGUUGGGGGGAGAGUUGAGGAAGUAAGUAUUGUUAAUAAUGCUAAGUUAUUUUGGUAAUUUAGUUGUUUUUUGCUUAAUUUUUAAAAUUUUUUAAAGUUUUUAUUCUACUCUCCAUGGUUAUUAAGGAAAAAUUUUCAAACUAAAAAGGGAGAAAUUGAAUUUUUAUCUUUUUACUUGACUUAGAUUUUGUAUUAUGCUUAUUAAAGUUGAUGAAUUGUUGAAACUUCUAUUGAAUUCAACAAUAGUUCUUCCACUUUAAGCUAUUCACACACUGUGCACAAUAGGUUCCAAUUAUAAGAUGAAAAACAAUUUCCCUCUUGACUUAGGAAAAUUUUAGACUUGGUACCUUUGACCUUAUUUAAUAGUGUUGGGACACCUUGUAAAAGGCCAAUGAGUCUUUGAAGAAAAAAAGAAAGAAAGAAAAAAUGUUUGCUUGCCUUGAAACCCGAGCAAGGUCUGAGGGGUAUAUGGUGAAAAUCUUUAAAACCUGGUGCCCUAAGCCUUAAUUGGUUGGGAUUCACCGACCUCAAUGCUCGUUACAAGGGUGAAUAGGUGGAGUUUAACAUACUGUAGGUGCUUGGGUAUUAAAAUUCAUUCUCAAAAGUCCGGGGUAAAAUCCGAGGAGUUAGUGGUUGAAAGAUCCUCAAAACUUGAUGCCCUAAACCUUAAUUGGUUUGGAGUCAUCGAUGGACCCCCGUUACAUGGACAAUUUAGAAAAGAAUACCUUUAAGCCUUGUACUCCUAAAAUGAAAAAAAUUGUGAAAAAAAGAGGUGCGUUCUUAGCCUAUUGGAGGUUGAUCAGUUUGCUAAGCUUUGAAAAAAGAACUAGGUUGGGGGGAGAGAUUUGUUCAACAUACUAUAUUCAGAAACUAAUAAAUAACACUUAGAUUUUUGUGGAAGAGUAAGGUUUGACCCUUUGGGAGUGGAAACUCUUUUUAAAGCCUAAAUUUGCAUAAUGCCUUCUCUUUAAUAAUUGUGAUUAGACAAGUUAUUUGAUACCUCCUAUUGAAGUUUGAGUUUUAUUUCUUUAAUGUUCCAUGUGAGAGUUAGAUCAUCAUGCCACUUGAAAAUUGUUUUUUGAUCAGCAUGAUGUUGUAAAGUAUAGUACUUUUUAUUUUUAUUUUUCUCUCCUUCAUUGCUAAGGGACUAGCAAUAUGUCGGUUGGGGGGAGUGAUUACUACUCAAAAAGUGCUAUUUCAUAGCUUGUAAUAAACUCUUUUAAACACUUUUGAGUAGUAGUUAUUGCCUUUUAACUCAAUUGGCAUGUUAAGGACCCUUGCAAUCAAUUCUAAUAAAAUUGUGUUAAGUUUUGGUGUUUUUGAUAGCUUUUUGCUCACCAAAGCUAUUUAAGAAUGAGGGAGAGCUGUAUAUAGUUCAUGGAAAAGCUUUUGGAAGCUCAAAUUCAUGAAGAAACCAAGCUUUGGAGCCUCAUAGUCCUUUGCCUUAGUCGUUCAAGGUAUGCAAGGAAAGAGCAAUGGAGAGAGGAAAACAGAGUGAAGAAAACAGAGGACAGCAGCUACAGUCUUCUUUUGCACUUUUGGAGUACUUCCCGAAGUCCAUUUUCUACAUUCUAUAUACCAUUUCAAAGCUCAGGAAGUCAAGAAUCCAAUUCUUCAAACGGUGUGCGAUUCGGAGUUGAAAUGAAGGAGUUACAACCAUUGCAAGCCGAUCACUCCAAGAUGAAGGAAGAAUUUUGCACAGCGUUGCGAAAUCACCCUUUUGUUACGAAAUGAUUUCGCAGCCAUUUUGCACAGUGCUGAGGAAUUCCUCCUGAAGUUUCCCGAUAUAUGCGACACGUAGGAAGCCGAGAACCACAAGUUGAAAGCCAAUUUCGCAGCACUGCGAAAUCAGCCUUUUGUUGCGAAGUGAUUUCGCAGCCCUUUUUGUGCGUCUACGAAAUCUCGCAGACCUCGUUUUUACCUGCAAAAUGGUCCUUAGUGCUUCCCGAUAUUUGUGCACCGACUCUUUUAGAUCUUUUCUUCAGAUAUUUUUGUAUAAAUUUCCAUUCUUCUCCUUGUAAUCCACCAACCAUAAGAUUUCUUAGUUAGGAAGGUUGGAAAAACGUCUCUAUAUAUAUUCCCUUGCAUCCACUGUAAAAGAUAUAGAUCAUCAUGUAAUCCGACGGGAUAUAGAUAGAUAUAUAAAUAUAUAGAAUAUACAGAGCCUUGCUCUGUUUUUCCUUCUUUUUCAGUUUUUUCAUUUUCUUGCUAACCAAACUCUGAGGAUUUUUCCUCAGAUGAUGAGAGGCUAGGCUUUUCGUCUCUUGGAGUGAGGAAAUCCGGGUAAGUUUCCACAUGCAUAAUUUGGAAGUUUUGUUGUUUUAGUUUUUAAUGAAGAGAAAGUGUGACCCGUUAAUGGUUUUUAUCUUUUUAGUUAACUUAAAACGCCUUUAAAUCACCUGGGCCAACACUUGGUAAGGCAAGUGAUCUCCGUCCAUGGAGAUGCACUAGUUUACCCCUUGCGAGCCUCUGGGAGGUGACUUGAAGGUAGGAUUUUCUAGAAUAGCCAACACUUGGUAAGCUUUUGGACUCCAAGGAGACAUCCAUUAGUUAUCUCUUGCGAGCUUUUGACGGGUAAUCCAAGGUUAAAGAUCACCUUGAAUGGCAAGUGCUAGGUGAGAGGUAUGAGCCAUUGUAAAGUGCAUCAGUGAGAGGGAUUUAGUGUUUGAACCCAUUAAUGGGAAGCAUCUGUACAACACCGGUUAGAGAAUUAACUAUAUGUUAAUUCUCUAAUGCGAGGAAAAGAAACAAGUGACCGGAACUCUCCAUUUUGUAUGAGGAACCUGAGCCUAGCAAUCUAAACUCCAAGAAACACUUUUCUUUGUAAGUAAAAUCAGUUACUAUUUUUGGUUAGUUUAAAACCGAACCUUUUUCAUUCAAACAUCUUUAUGUUUUCUUUUAAAGCUAACCUUGAAAUGAAAAGACACCAAUUCAACUUUGAAUUAAUAUCAUUUGCAGAGUGAAAACCCAUCCCAGUGAACGAUCCUAGAGCCACUAUGCUAUAGUAGCUUUGUCUUUGCUACCCUAGUAUAUGGUGUAAUAGGUUAUAAAUUUUGUUGAUUACUCCCUUAAUCAAGGAGCACCAGCUGGACACGAAUCAGCUGAGACACCAAUUGGGCACGAAUCACAUACCAUUAGGAACCAAAAUAAACGAAAAUUACAAAAUUAAACAACUUGCUUACCUCAAAUCUACACUUUCUCUCUCUAGAUUCUCUCUCUAACCCAAGUUGUUGCAGGUGAAAUGGUGCAAAACGAGCUGCAGCCCCCUUAUAAAGGGGUCUCCAUGCACCCAAGCACGAGGUGGCAGCCCACAUGGCUGCCACCAAUCCACCUAAGUAGGAGGUGGCAUUCCACUAACUCCAAUUUCCCAAUUUUGCACUUUAGUCCUUCAAGUUAUCAAAAAUAAAACCCAUAAUUGCCCAUUAGUCCUUUAGGUUUUCAUAACCCUAAUCAGUCCCUAAGAACCUAAUAAGCAUGCUUAGAUCAUUAACUAAUCCCACUUAACUUUAAUCAAAGUUUAAUUCAUAAUUAAACAUGAUUAGCACUAAACUAGUUUUAACAUCUAAUUAAGCAAGCUUAAGUUAAGUACUAAAAUAAUCAUUAUUGCCUAUUUAAUUCAUUAGUACUAGGUGUUACACUCACCGCCACACAUGCUGCUCUUUUCCAGCAAAUGGUUGAGAUGUGUGCCCAUCAGGACCAGUUGAUUGCUAUACUCCGCCAGAUUCAGUAGCACUUGGGACAUUUGCCUCCGCCUCAGCCUGACCUUCCCGCAUCAUCAGAGCCUUUAGCUCCAACAGAGGAUACUAUUCCACCUGAGGACACUACCACAGUAGAGGUCCGGAUUCCACCACGUCAAGAGGCCACCACAACUACACCAGAGAUGCAUCAUCUCCACCUAAGGCUCCCACUACUUGAUCAUAGGACAUCUCUUUAUCUUAUUGUAUUUACAUAUUAUAUUACUAUAGAUUUGUCCUUAUUUUGAUGUUUUAUAUUCUGGGAUUGGAUGUAUUACCUUAUCAUAUCUCAUAUUGUACUUUCUCAUAUUAAUAUAUAGACAUCAUAUUUUUUUUAUUAUAUUUAACAUUUUUCUAUUUCUUCUACUUAUCACUCUUUUGUUUUUUAACUCAUGUGGUUUCUCCUAUACGACUCAGACUCCAUUUCAUUCAGGAGGUACCACUUCCUCCCUUUAUUUUCAAUUGCUCUUGAAACAUUGAGGGCAAUGUUGAUCUCGGUUGGGAUGAGAGUUAAGGAAGGAAGUUUUGUUAAUAAUGCUAGGUUAAUUUGUUAAUUUAGUUACUUUUUGCUUAAUUUUAAAAGUUUUUUUACCCUACUCUUCAUGGUUAUUAAUGAAAAAUUCUUAAAAUGAAAUGAGAGAAAUUGAAAUUCUUUCAUUUUUACUUGAAUCUUAGAGUUUGUAUUAUGCUUAUUAAAGUUGAUGAAUUAUUGAAACUUCUAUGGAAUUCAACCUUAUUUAUUCCACUUUAAUCUUAUCACACACUAUGCACAUUAGGUUCCGAUUAUAAGACGAAAAACUAUCUCACCCCCUAAACUUAGGAAAAUUUUGACUUGGUACCUUUGACUUCAUUUUAAUAGUGUUGGGACACCUUAUAAAAGGCCAAUAAGCCUUCAAAAAAAGAAAAGAACAAAGUGUUUCGCUUGCCUUGAAACUCGAGCAAAGUCCGAGGGGUAUACGGCGAAAGUCUUUAAAACCCGGUGCCCUAAGCCUUUAUUGGUUGGGAGUCACCAACCUCAAUGCUCGUUACAAGGGUGAAUAGGUAGAGUUUAACAUAUUGUAGGUGCUUGGGUAUUGAAUUUCAAUCUCAAAAGUCCGAGGAAAAAUCUGAGGAAUUAGAGGUCGAAAGAUCCUUAAAGCUUGAUGCCCUAAACCUUGAUUGGUUGGGAGUCAUCGAUCGAUCCCCAUUACAUGGACACUUUAGAAAACAAUACCUUUAGCAUUGCACUCCUACAAUGAAAAAAAUAGUGAAAUAAAAGAGGUGCAUUCUUAGCCUAUUGGAGGUUGGCUAGGUUGCUAAGGUUUGAGAAAGAACUAGGUUAGAGGAGAGAAUAGUUCGACAUACUAUAAUCGGAAGCUAAUAAGCUUAACACUUAGAUUUUUGUGAAAAAAUAAGGUUUGGAUCUUUUGGAGUGGAAAUUCUUUUUUUGCUUAAAUUUGCAUAAUGCCUACUCUUUAUCAAUUGUAAUUAGGCAAGAGAUUUGAUGAAUCUUGUUGAAGGUUGGGUUUUGCCUCUUUGAUGUUCCAUGAGAAAGUAUAAUCUGCAUCAUGCCACUUGAAAAUUUUUUGGAGUGAUUAGCAUGAUUUUGUAAAUUAUUUUACUAUUUAUUUUUCUUUAUCUCUCCUUCAUUGCUAAGGGACUAGCAAUAUGUCGGUUAGGGGGAGUGAUUACUACUCAAAAAGUACUCUUUUAUAGCUUGAAACUAACUGUUUUAAACACUUUUGAGUAGUAGUUAAUACCUGUUAACUCAAUUGGCACAUUAAGGAACCUAGCAAGGGUUACUAAUCAAUUUUUCGCAAGUUUUGGUGUUUUUGGUAGCUAUUUGAUCAUUGAAACAAGCCAAGAAUGAGGGAGAAUUUUGUGAAAUCCAUGGCAAUGCAAGUUAAAGCUCAAAUACAUGAAGAAUCCAAGCUUUGGAGCACUUCAUAGCCCUUUGCCAAGCCAAUUAGAGAUGCAAGAAAGAAAACCAGAGGAAGAAAUCCAACAACCAGCAUUUCCGCAUGGCUGUGCGAAAUUUUGCACACCAUGCGAAACCACUUGAGGCAACCAAAGAAUUUCACACAUCAUGCAAAAUUUCCCAAGGUAUGCGAAAUCUUCCUAUGCACCGACUCCAUUAAAUUUUUAUCUCCAGAUAUUUUAUGUAAUUUCCUAUUUUCUCCUUGUAAUCAACUUAGAUAUUUUCAUAUAUAUUUUUUUAUAUAUUUAGUGUGUGUAACAUCUUUUGAUAUAGACACACAGGGAUGUAAUCAGAGAAUGCUUGUAAAUUCCCCGUAGUAAGAAAUAUACAAAGCUUUUGCUCUGUCUUUUCUUCUCAUUUUGUUUUCACUCUUCUUUCUAGUCAAACAGCCUCUAAGGAUGAUUUCUCAGGGGAUGAGUGGCUAGGUUUUACGUUUCUUGGAGCGAUGGAAGCUAGGUGAAGGACUCGAAUGCAAAGAUGGGAGUUGUCCUUGCUCUAAAUGAAAGUAGUUGUUAACCAUUAAUGGUUUUUAUUUUAAGGUUUAGCUUUAAAUCCCUUAAAAGCACCUUGAAUGGCCAAUACUUGGUAAGCUUUUUGAAUUCUAUGGAUGCUUAUUGCUAGAUCCAUGGAUGUCUAUUAGUUAUCAUUUAUGAGCCAUUGGAAGGUGGUUCAAGGUGAGAGUCUUUAGUGUGUCAAGCCAUUAAUGGGAAGCAACUAUUAUUUUUCAUGAACCCUUUGGAUCAAAUCUUAAUUGCUAAAAAUAAAACCGGUUCGGGAGAUAACCAUCCUUUAUAUUAUUGUCCCCAACGCGAGGAAAAGAUCCGGAAUCUCCCCCUUUGUCUAAGGAACCCAAUCCUAGUGACCUAAAGCUCCAAGAGACCUUUUCUUUGUAGUCAACUUCACCUAUUAUUUUUGCUUAACUUAAAAUCAAUCUUUGCAACCACAAUUCCAUUUUCUUUAAAAGCUAAUUUUCAUAAGGAAAAACACCAUUUUAUUUCCUUCACUAAAGUCAAUUGUACGAUGAAAACCCAUCCUUGUGGAUGAUCCUAGAGCCACUAUACUAUGUUAGCCAUGCUACCCUAGUGUGAGGUGAUUUAGGUUUUAUAAAUUUUGUUGAUAACACCCGUCUGAGCCAGAAUCAAAUGGCAUGACUACAAUGGGGAUGAAUCAGACUUCUUAGAACAUUAUCUUAAAUUUCUCUAGGAAGGAAGAGUAUCUUGAAAAUGAUUUUUGGAUCAUAAAUGAAUAUAGGUUUAUAAGUGGAAAUUAUUUAACAUUAUCACCAUUUUAUGGUGUCAUGAGUGAGUUUUUUUUUAGCUUAAGCUUCCUUGUUAGAGUGUUGAUAAUCAUUUGUCUUUUACCUAUUCAUUUGAUAAAUUUGGAAAGUACUUCAAUCUCUAUGUUUAUUAAUUUUGUCUAUUGUUAAGUUCUUGGAAGCAUUUUUGUUCAAUGUGAAUCAAUUCUAACUCAUUAAUUGAAAGAUAAGUAUGUCAUCCUAUUGUAUCUCAUCUUUGGUCGAUCAAUUUUCAUUUUUUGGAAAGCCUAUUGGUGUAUUUCUUGUGAUUUUUCGAUAGUUUUUGCCUAAGUCAUUUUUCAAUUGGGUGUCGAUCGAUCUACUGAAUUUGUGGAUUGAUCCAUUGUGUGCACAAUGUAGUGACCGAGAGCCCUUGAAUGAAUCUUGGAUCGAUCCACCAAGAUCGAUACCACCUAGUCCUUGUCUCUCACACACUUAGCCAUUUUUUUCAAAUUUGGUUUGUUCAAACCUAUGUGACUAUGUAUCAUCGAGAGCACAAUUGAAAACUGGAUCGAUCCACCAAGAUCGAUACCACAUAUGCAUUUGUGAAAAAUUCCAUUUUUGCCCCCAACUAGUUAUACUCUUAUGGUUUAAUGGAUGAGGGGUAUUUUCGUAAUUAAAAGUAAAAAAUUGAAAAAGUCAAAAUCCCUAAAUCUGUUUUUCCCAAUUCAUUUCUUUCAAAAGCCCUAGGUCUUUUGUUUCAAAGAAGAGAACUUCUUUACUCUAAGCUUCUCUUUAGCCAUCAUCGUCGAUCCAUCAUUCCGACCACUACCAUCAAAAGUCUCUACCACUGGAAACCUUUAUCGUCAGACUUCCUUAUCUGGUGAGCGUUUCAGGUCUGGCCAAUCCCACUAGACAGCCUCGUCAAAUAACCUAGAAUUGUUGUGUUGCUCAACUCAUGUCGUCAGCUUGUGUGUCUCUUCUUAGUGCGUCGGUGUUUUCGAAAAUUGCCUUCUACAUAGUAUGUGUUGGCUAGGACCUCCUGUGUGCAUCACUAGAUUGUAUCUCGUGCAAUUGGGAUUCCAUUCCAGCAGUUGGAAAUUCCAAUCAGCCCUUAGGACUGUGCUUUUCACAGCACAAUCAACACAACGCAAUCUACACUUCUGGAAAUUGUGUUCUACAUAGCCCAUUUCUCUUGUUUUUUUUUUCUACUAUUUUCCAAUGUCCGUGUCUUCAAUGCAACUUAUUUGCAAGAGUUCUCAUUUCCGGCAACCAUUAUUGUUUGAUUUAUCCAUUUUUUUCUCUUCUAUUAGUCUCAUUUGGAACUUCUCUGCUCUAAGCUUCUCUUUAGCCAUCAUCGUCGGUCCAUCAUUCCGGCCAUUACCAUCAAAAGUCUCUACCACUGGAAACCUUUAUCGUCAGACUUCCCUAUCUGGUGAGCGUUUCAAGGCUGGCCAAUCCCACUAGACAGCCUCGUCAAAUAGCCUAGAAUUGUUAUGUUGCUCAGCUCAUGUCGUCGGCAUGUGUGUUUCUUCUUAGUGCGUCGGUGUUUUUGAAAAUUGCCUUCUACAUAGUAUGCAUUGGCUAGGACCUCCUGUGUGCAUCACUAGAUUGUAUCUCAUGCAAUUGGGAUUCCAUUCCAGUAGUUGGAAAUUCCAAUUAGCCCUAAGGACUAUGUUUUUCACAAUACAAUGAACACAACGCAAUCUACACUUCUGGAAAUUGUGUUCUACAUAACCCAUUUCUCUUGUUUUUUUCUCUACUAUUUUCCAAUGUUCGUGUCCUCAAUGCAACUUAUUUGCAAGAGUUCUCAUUUCCGAAAACCAUUAUUGUUUGAUUUAUCCAUUCUUCUCUCUUCUAUUAGUCUCAUUUGGAUUUUUUAUUUAUUUAUUUAUUUUUAUUUUUUUGUAGAGUCCUCUCACAGUAGUUUUAAUAGUUUGAGAUUUCAUUUUUGCCUUGGAGUGUUCCUAGUUUCUAGGAAUGCUAAUCCUAGGCUUUGGUUGUUCAUUUUGAGUGGUCUUCAUACAUUUUCAUGCUUGAAAUUUAUUUUCAUGGUGAUAAAGCAUUUUUUGAAAGUUUUUAAUUGAAACCAUGUGAUAGGAUUCAAGAGGAGAUUCUCAUAUCCUGUGAUGGGAGUCAAGGGAAGAUUCUUGUAUCCUAUAAUUUUUUUUUCUGGAAUGUUGAUAUGGAUACUUGGUGAUAUGUGAAUAUUUGAUUUUUGGGUAUUUGACAUUUUGUUGAAAAGUGGAUGUUUGUUGAUUUGGAUGUGAGAUAUUCUGCUAUUGAAUUCUCAUCCAUUUGUCUUUUUUCUUGCAUAGAAAAUGGGAAAUUAUGACUUUUUGUCUCCUGCUGGGACAAAAAAGAGGAAACAUUUUACAUGGAUGUUGAUAUGACAUGUAGUUGAUCAUGACGGUUUCUUUGUGUUUUGUUGCUUUGGAUAUUUGAUAUGUUGAUCAUGAUCACCUUUUUUGUAUAUUGAUGGAUAUUUGACACGUUUUUGAACUCAUGAAUGCAUAUUAAUUAUCUUUAGACAAGUUAUUUUUGUGGAUAUAUGUGGAUAUUUGUGUGUCAAUUCAUUUGAAACUUAUGGAAGUGUCUUGGUAAUAUGUGCAAGUGCUACUAAUGUUUUUUCUUGAGAUUUAUUUGCAGGAUUUGUAGUACCUUUGGUUAGGUUUUGAGUGAGUGAGUGGCCUUGUAUGAGAGUUGGGUGGGACUUACUUGUAUUCAUUUGUGUUGUAAAGGGUUUUGUCCCAGAAUUUCCAAAUGGGGAGAUUUUGAGUGUUUAGCUAGGUUGGUAAUUCCGGACAAAAUUCCUAAGUGUCCCCUAACUCGAUUUACAAAUCCCUCUUCGGACUACUUGACCUUUGAAGAUUAAAACUUUGCUAAGAGGCUGAGGUAUGUAGCCGAGUGUGUGGUGAUUGAAUGUGAAUCAACCCUGUUUUUUCAUCUUUAAAUGAGUUAAGAAAACAAGGAGAAAUAUUGUUAGUGCAAGGCUUUUGUUCCCCUUAUUAUGGAUUGAUCUAGGUGCAGGGGCAAAUUGAUCCAACUAACCUAUUUUUAAGAUCAAUUUUCAACCCUUGGAUUAAGGGUUUCUUUCUCAUUUAAAAUCAAAUAUCUCCCAUCUCUAGAAGUGGUGACUACAACAACUAUGAGAGAGUUUUUUCUUUCUUCACCAUUUUAAGGGUGUUUACCUACGAAGAAAAUCCAUCCAAGUUUUCUAAGAAAUUUUUUUUAAAUGAAUUUUCUGAAAAAGAGCAUAGGUUGAUUUUUGAAACAUUCAUAUCUAAUUCUCUUGGUUUUGCGCAAAAACCCUUUUUUUUUCUUAUGUGAAUUCAAGAAGAGGCCGAGAUCGAGCUUGGUGUAGACUCCAAAUGUGCUCUAAAAUAAGAAUGUGAGAAAGUGAAAAUGAAGGUACUAGUCAAGUGGUCCGGGAAGGAUUGGUUGGCUUGAGCUAGGUAAAACCUUGUAUUUAGUUUUUAUUCUUCAUAGUAGAUGUUUUCAAUUGAUAGUAGGCCCGUGGUUUUUGAUCUCUUCGAAAAAUUUUCAUGUAAAUUUAUGGUGUCUCAUUGUCUCAUUUUCUCUUCUUAGCAUCAUUUUUUAGUUUAGUUUAAGUUGAUUUGGGUUUGGGAGUAUUAGAUCAUGUGCAUGUGAAUUUCAUUUGAAUAUUGUUGGGGAGUGUUGUUCCAUUCAUAUAUUCAUUUGAUUUAUAAUUUGUUUUUGAGACUGUGUGAAGAGAAGAAAAAUAUUCAAGAAGUUUUAAGGUUUACUAAUUUGAGUUGAGAUUUUGUUUAAUUGGUCAAAACACCUAUUCAACCCCUUUAGGAGUAUUCCACUAUUGAGAUUCACCUUUUUAGAACCUAUACUUCUACCAUGCUACAUGAAGUUUUGGAAGGCAUAAAAUACAUUUUGAGGCAUAUAUAAGUCAAAUCUUAUAUCCAAAUUAGGUUGAAUUGGGUCAUGGUUAACCUCAAAUCAAAUAUAUGCAUUUUUCUUACGAAUGUAUAUAUAUAUAUAUAUAUAUAUAUAUAUAUAUAUAUAUAUAUAUAUAUAUAUAUAUAUAUAUAUAUAAGAAUAUAGUUAUUAUUGUAAAGGAUGUACUUUUUCUUAAGAAUAUACUUAUUUUUGUAACAGAUGUACCUAGGGUUCUCCCAUGCCAAAUAGGGUUUGGGAAUGCAUCAUGAGGUAUAUAGAAGUUAAAAUUUAGACUCAAAAUAGGUCGAAUAAGGGAAUGAUUCAACUCAAAUCAGAUGUAAAUACUUUUCUAAACUUUUAUGCAUUUUUUUAAAGCAUGUACACAAAGUUAUAUCAUGUUGAAUAGGGUAUAAGAAGACCUCAAAUGCAUUCCGAGACCUACAUAAGUGAAAUCCCACACCCGAAUUAGGUUGAAUGAGGAUAAGAAUCCCCAAUGAAAUGAAAUGUACAUGUUUUUAUACUAGAUGUACCUAUUUUUCUAAAUGAUGUACUUAUUUUUUUAAAAAAGAUAUAUGUAUUUUAAGAAAUAUAAAAAUUAAUUAAAGAAAUGUUAAUACAAUUUUUAUGAAAAUAAUUUUUUUUCUAUUUUAUGUAUAUAAAAAAGUUAAAGAUUUUAAGUAAAAAGUUAGAACCAUGAUCAAUUUUAAAUCAUAUGAAAAAUUAAAACGAAUGUUAAUAUGAAAGUUCAAAAAUUUAAAUUAAAAUAAUAUAACAAAAAUAUUUUUAGUUUAUUUAAAUGUUAUAAUAUUUACAUGCCCUAUCAAUGUCUUGUCAAAUUUUUUUAGUACAAAAUGGAAUAGUAAGUGAAUACUCUUUUAUUUCUUUAAUACAAAAAAUACAAACCAAGCAUCUCUCAAAAUCCUGUUCCUUGCUCUUGAAUAUAAAGUAAGAUAAGCUCGUGAACUUAUUCACAGUAAAAGUUUUGCUAACCUACAGUCACGCAACACAUGAAGGCAUUAUUCGACUUUAUUCAGGCAUCGAACACAAUUCAGCAAAGCUGCUAUAUGUCUUUUGAAGUGAUUUUCAUUUGUCAGCAACUUGUUGUGCAAAGCCAGCCACAAAAAGGAUCUAAUCCUUUGGGGACCCCUUCAUUUCCACAAGGCCAUCCAAUUCUUAUUCAAUUCUAUCCAGCAACUCUCUUCAAUCAGUUUGUAAGUCGACUUGGUAGUUGACAACGCUGACAUGAAGGCCAAAAAUAGUGGAGGAUUGUACAAGAGCACAUAGCACUUGACCCAAAUUCUCAAAAUUUGAUGUUGAAAAGUUUUUAGCCUAUUUGGCCAUUUCAUUAAAAAAAAAAAAAAAAAUUUGUUUUUAAAAAUUAAAAAAAAAAACUAUUUUUAAAAAUUCAUAAAAUUGUUUGUUAGUUGUUUUCUAUUUGUAAUUUUUAAAAAUAAAGUGAAAUAAAAAACAUAUUUUAUAAAACAAAUAGAAAUUGUUUUCACCAAUUUUUAAAAACAAAAGAAAAAUAUAGAGGAAUUAAAAAAACUAUAAAAACCAAAUAAGAUUGAAGAUGAUAUCAUUCUUCUUUACCUCUUUCUACUAUCUAAUAUUGAUACUGAAAAUCUUCAAAUAUAAUAUUCUUUUAAAUUACAUGUGUUUUUAUGAAUUUCAUUUAAUUUAAGAAAUUUUUCAUUGAUAAAAUAAAUUCUAAAUCAAAUUAUACUUUAUACAUAAAAUUUACUAAUGUUUAAAAAUAACUUAAAAGUUAAAAACUGAUUUAGUUAGUACUAUAAAGUCAUGAAACUCACUAACAUUAGAAUCCCAUACAGCAAAAUUCAUUUGAAUGUCUUGGCUAGUUUUUUCUUUGCAUAUAAUCAUAUUUUUACAAUUUUUUUCACUUAGUAAAUAAUCACCAAAUCAAGUAUGACUUAAUGCGUUGAAUUUAUUAACAAGUCUAAGUAAUUCUUAAAAAUAAAUUGAAACGCAAAUAGUGAUCCAAUUAAUACCAUAAAUUUAUGGACAAAAAUUGAACUUGAAUGACUUUAUUGUUUCCAAUUUUGUUUCAUUGGACAAAUAAACUUAAAAUUAAACCAAACUUAAUGUGUUGAAUUCAUUAAUAAAUUUAGUAAUUUCUAAAAAUAACUUAAAACUCAAAUAAUGAUGUAAUUAAUAUUAAAAAUUUAUUGAUGAAAAUUGGUCUAAAACUACUCUAUUAUUUUUCUUCUACAUGGAAUCAUAUUUUCCCAAUUUUAUUUUACUAUAUAAAUAAACUCAAAAUUAAACAAAACUUAACAGUCUAGUAAUUUUUAAAUUAGAAUAAUAUUUGAAAUAAUUUAAUUAGAAUAAUAUUUUAAUUUAUUAAAAUAAAUCAUAAAUAAAUGAAUAAAAUUAUCUAACAAUAUUUUAUCAAGUUAAUAUUUGUUAAUAAAACUAUAACAAUUUAAGAUUUUGUUAGAUUUUAUCGCUAUAGGAUUAUUAUAAAUAUGGUUUAAAAAAAUGCAUGAACAUCAUGUAAUAUUAACAAAAUAAAAAUUACGAAUUGAUCGCUCUAUGGAUUAUUUUUAUCAUAACAAAAAUGUGUAAAAUUGUAUACACCUUUUAGGCUAUGAAAUAUUCAUUAUUUAACUUAUGAGUGUACAAUUUUGUUUUCUCUAACUUUUGAUUAUACAUUAUAAUUAAAAGAAAUUAGAAAUUACAUUGAAGGUCUUUUUUUAUAUUUUUUUAACUUUAUAAUUUAUAAUAUAAACUCCAGCUAUACAAUUGUAUAUAUUUUUUAUAACUUCUAGUUGUGAUCUACAAUGACUCUAUUGUUUCUCUUCUAUAUGAAACUAUAUUUUUUAUUUAUUUAUUUCACUAGACAAAUAAAAUCCAAAUUAAGCAAAACUUAAUGCCUUCAAAUAAUUAAUGAGUUUAGUAAUUUUUAAAAUAACUUAAAACUUAAAUAGUGGUUCAAUUAAUAUUAAAAAUUUAUGGAUAAAAAUUGGGUUUUAAUGAGUCUACUUUUUUUCUAUACAUACUUAUAUUUUUAUAAAUUUUUUUAUUAAAGAAUAAACUUCAAAUCAAGUAAUUGAAUUCACUAAUAGGUUAAUUUUUUAUUUUUUUUUUAAGUUACAACCUAGUAAAUAGAUCUAAUCACUAUAAGAAAUAAUAUAUGAAAACCAAUUGUAGACCCCAAAAUUUGUCCUAAUUUUAUUUUUACAUUGAUAUUGAGUUCAAUUUUAUCCUUAGAUUUAAAUUUCGAUUACAUCUUAAUUGUUUAACCCACUUACACUAUUUGUUUAUUUUUUCUCUCCUCUCUCCUCUCUCUUCCUCUAUCUGCUCAUUCUACCUACUCCACCUACUUCUCUUACCCAUUUCCUUCUCUUACACGUCUAAGCCACUCCCCAUACCCCCUCCAAGCUUUUUUUUUUUUUUUUUUAUCAUCUUUCUCUACUCUCCUCUCUUCACUUUUUUUUUCUCUCCAUCAUUUCUUCUUCGGGCUCCCUUCCAACACCACAACCACUCCACAACCCACACACCAGACACGGUCGACUUUCCCAUCUCUUCUCUUCCUUCUUUUUUUUUUUUUUCCUUCCCCCCAACUCUCACACACGGCGGUCCCCAUUUUCUCUUUCAUUUCUUUUCUCCUUCUCACAGUCCUUCCCUCUACACUGCCAUUUUCCAGAAACUCCCAUUGUCACAUGCUCCCCAUCUUCCUUCAUUUUUUUUUCCUGAUUUUUUUUUCUCUUCCUUCUUCUUUUCUUUUCCCCUCUCCACACUCCACGGCCACUAUCGGCCCUCCACUGCCCGCCACUACCAAUAGCCACUGCCAACAACCACCACCCGCCACUAUCUGCCAGUCAUUGCCAACUAGCAAUCCUACCAUCCAUAGUUCUAAAAAAAAUGGGUAAAUUUCUGAGAAGAAAAAGGUUAUGCUUAGUUAAGAAAAACACCCAAAAGGGAGGGUGAAUUGGGUUUUUAAAAUCUUUUCAAUCACAACAAAUUUAAACAAAAUAUAAGCAAAGUAAAGAGAUAGAGUUUAGAGAAUUCAAACUCGGUUUUAUAGUGGUUCGGCACUUCCUUGCCUACAUCCACUCUCCUCAACCUCCUAACCGUGUGAGGGUUCCACUAACUUGAAGCUUCAACCAAGCUUCCAAUCUUCUUACACUUGGAUUCCGGCUUCAAUGGGCUCUUACACAACCUCUUCAAGAUUCAACCCUUUUGAAGGCUUUAACACUCAAAUUGUUACAAGAUAUAAUCACUCAACCUAGCUUAAAGAUGGUUCAAAUACAAGACAAAGCUAGGAUGACAAACAAGAGUGCACUAAAGGAUAUGCAAGUGGUGAUUUAAUGCACUAUGAAAUAAAUGAGAGCUUUUUUUGUCAAGAACAGGUAGGUAGGCUUUGAAUGCAAGUGUUAUCUUCACAAUAAAUGAAGUGGAGCUCUCAAUUUAUAGGUUUCUAAGCUCGGGAGUCAAAAACAACAAAAAGGCAACCUCGACCGGUUCACUAGCUGUUGGAGCAUUUAAUGCAUGACAGGUUACCGUUGCCUCAACCGGACCUCGAUCGGUCCUCGACCGGACCUCGAUCGAUAAGGGAAUCACCUCGACCGGGAAGAGAAGGCUAGUAGGAGAGAGAGAGAAGGUUUUUGACCUUCCUCGACCAGUCCUCGACUGGACGACCUCAUCCGGUCCUCGAUUGGACGACCUCAACCGGUCCUCGAUCAAACGACCUCAAUCGGUCCUCGACCGAACGACCUCAACCGGUCGACCAGUUCCUCAACCGGUUGAUCGGUUGGCCAUAGCCUCGACCGAUUGAGCCUUUUUUGCCCCAAAAAACCUAUUUUUUGAUUCCUUUCUUUUCUAACACUUAGGUAAGGUCUUUAGGUAAAUUAUUAAGCCAAUUUUGAAACAUUUUGCCUAAGGUAAAUUAGUUAAAAACUCGAGUUUUAAUGAAAUCGAUGUUUUAAAGAAUAAACUGAGUUUUCUAAGAUGCAUGAAACGUACGAAAAUCCUAAGUGCACUCAUGCAUUCAUCUUACAUUAGGUUCCUAUGAUCACAAGUCUUCCAAGCGUCUCGAUCUUGUAUGCAUUUGGUCUUUUGAUGAAUUUUUGAGUUUAUACCUGAGAUUCUUAAACAUUAAACCAAUUAGUCACUUAACCAUGGUUUGUUAUCAUCAAAACCCGAUUAGGAGAACCCUUGGGCUAACAAUUUCCUUUUUACUUUAUUUUAUUUUGAUUCUUUUUUCUUUAUUUUUUUAUUUUCGUUUGCACAGUAAUUGAUUUAGACUUGGAUCUAUUGCUUAUUGGUUAUUUAUUUGGGCUUAUUGGAUUGGGUUUGAGAUAUUAUUUUCUUUGGUCAUGUGUAUUAUUAAUGUGGGUUUGUUGAUUGACAUGAAUUUUUAACCCAUAAUGUGGGUAUGAAUUUUGGGCCCACAAUGUUGGUGGAAUUUGAUUGAUGACUUGAAUAUUUGAUAUGAGUCUGACCAAUUUAAACUAUUUAAUUUGGAUAUGGGACAAUUAUGGUGUAUAUUAAAUUAGGCUUGGAUUAUGAGAUAUUAAAUUUAGGCCUAAUUGAAUUUAUUUUAUUUUGUGAUAUUUUGGGCUUGGCUAAUUGUGUUGUAUUUUGAUUAUUAAUUUGAAAAUUUUGGAUUAAGAUUUAUAGCAUGUGAGAUGUUUUUGUUAGGUUAUAUUUGUUAAUUUGUGCCCAUUUUGAUUGACAAAAUUUAUGAGACUAAUUUGAAAUUUGAAUUUGAAUUUGAAUAUUUGUUUGGGAUUUUGUACAUCUUUGAAUAUUUACAUUUGAGCUAUUUUGUUUUUGCAUGGGCCUAUUCUACUAUUCUGUUGGCUGAGUACAAAUUUAUGAUACAUGGAGCACGAAAUUUUAUGGAAGAAUAAAAAAGUUGUAUGAAGACAUUAAACUAGUUAUAAGCUUAUUUGAGUACACAUUUUAUUUCCCACUUUUAUUUGAUUUUAUUUCUAUUAGUUCUUGUAAAUAUUCUUUUGUAUAUAUUUAUUGUGUACAGAAUUGAAUAUUUAACAAAUCAAAAUUUUCAUUUAAAUAAGAGGAAUAAUUCAGUAAAUAUGUUCUAAUAAAAUAAUAAUUUUAAAAUAUUCUUCUUAAUAAAAGAAAGUUUUUUUUAUUAAUAAAAAUUCAUAAAAAUGCUUUUAGAAAAAUUCAAAAAAAUUGUUUUUAAUAGAAUUUGAAAAAUUAUUUUUAAUAAUAAUUGUCCAAAAAUGUCUUUGUUUAAUAAAAAUUGUCCAAAAAUUGUUUUGUAAAUAAAGUUGUCCCAAAAAUUAAUUUUUAAUUAAAAAUUCUUUUGCAAAUAAAGUUAUAUUCUUUUUAAUAAUUUGUACAAGUCACUUUUCUUAUAUUACAAGAAAACUUAUUUUUCCUGACAAAAAUUUAGGGGCGAAUUGUAAUUUUGUCGCCAAAAAUAACUUUUACAGAUGAAAUUUUAGAUAUCGUUGCUAAUGUCAAAUUUAUGAAAACUUUUUGUAACAAAUUUGAAUGUUUCGUUGCCAAAAGAUAUUGCGGGAAAAUUUGGCGGCUUUUUUUUGGCGCAAACGCUAUUGUGAUGAAAAAAAUACUAUUUGCCAACGAAAAUAUUUGUUACUAAAUACAAUUUUUUUGUGACGAAAAUAAUUUCCUUACUAAAAGUUACAAAUUUUUAUCCAUAUUUGCUUACAAAAUGGUUUCAUCAGUAAAUAUAUUAUUUUCUGACAAAAUGAGUAAUUUUGUCAUUGAAUAGUGUUGCUAAAUUGUAAUAGUAAUAAGUCAUAUUGACAAACAGAUAAAAGGUUUAUGCUAUAAAAUAAUAAUACGUAUUUUUUGAGACUUGAUAUUUAAAUUACAAUAUUUUAUUUAUAUAUAUAAUAAUAAUACUAAUUAAAGAUUCAUAAAAUUAAAUACUAGAAUAUAGAUUUAUAGAAAUUUAAAUGUUUUGUUAUGUAAUAAUAGUAUUGUUAUGAAAUAAUAAAAAGGUAAAUUAUUGAAGCAAUUAAUUUUUAUAGUGUAAUAUAUGUGUUAUAUUUUUUUUAUAUAGAUAAUAACAAAUAAUCCAAGAUAUGAUAUAAAUUUAUUUAAAUUUCAAUAUUAUUAUAUGAUGUUAACCAAACAUAAAUAAUUUUAAAUCUUUUUUAUUAUACAAUGUAAAAGUUAUUUUUGCAAGUUUAAUAUAGUAGUAUUGAACUUAAAUUAGCUAUGAAUAAGUAAUGAUCCUCUAAUUUGUUCUCAUUCAAAAUCAUGUCGUCUAAAGUAAAUUUAUACUAAUAUUUAACUACCUAGUUUAAAUUAAUAGAUUUUUAUAAUUAUUACUUGGUUUUUAAAUAGUUGUUCAUAAUUGAAAUUAUCAAAUAAAUUACCUAGUGUCUAUAAAGACAUUAUAUUUGCAUAGAAUUUCAAAUAAUACUUGUGUGUAUAAAAAAUAUCAUAUAUUAUCAAUACAUAUAUGAUUGCAAUUAAAUAUUAUAUGAUAUGAUAUAUGGCAUUAUAUGCCUCACUACUAUAAUAUUAAUAACAAAAUAAAAAAUGUGUCAUAUAUAUAUACACAUAUUAUAAUGGGUAUAUGAAGAAAUUAAUAUAUGAAUUAUAUAAAUUGUAACAUUUUAUAAUAAUCAACAGUAUUUGAAAGCAUAUUUAAUGUUAAAAUGAUAAUUUAUUUAUUUUAUAAUAUGUGAAUAAUUAUUAUAUUUUUAUUUCAUUCAUGAUUUUUGUGCUUUCAAUAAUAAAUUAAAUGGAAAAUAAAAUUAAAUAUUUAAAAUUAAUAGAAUUAUUAAAACUUUAUCUUAAUAUUUUAAUAUUUAAAAUGUAUAUAAAAUUUAGGUGUAAACAUAAUUAUAUAUAAUGUAGGCACUUUAAUAACUCAAAUGAAUGACUAUCCUAGUGGUGUAUAGUUAACUUCGUAAGCUUGGGAAGUCUGAACACUUUAUUGAUCUCAUUAUAAAUUUUUAUUUUUAAUUGUUAAAUAUUAAUUUAUCAUAAAUGAUUACUUAUUAAAAAUAAAAUCAUAAAUUAUAUCACAAAAUAGUAAAUGUUGUAUACUAACUUGUAAAGAAGUUUUUAUAUUUGUAUACAAUUUUUUAAUAAAACAUGUAAAACAAAUAUAGUUAUAAAAAUAAUUGUAACAUAUAAUAAAAUAGUAUAUCAUUUAUAUUUAUAGUGUUUUAUUGCAUUUGAUAUUUUUGUUUGAAAUAUAAGAGAAAGAAAAUGAAAAAUAUAAAGAUGACUUGUUGACACGAAUUGUUGCACUUAGGCUUAUUCACUUUGAAAGUAAAUUUAUACUAAUAUUUAAUUACCUAGAUUAACCUAAUAAAAAUAUUUUUUUUAAUUAUUGUUUAGUUUUUAAAUAAUUUUUAAUAUUAGAAAUUAUCAAAUAAUAACCUAAUUUUUGUCAAGAUAUUCUAUUGACGUAAAUUCCAAAUAUGGUUUAUGUUUAUAAAGAUAUCAUAUAUCAUUAAUGAAUAUAUGAUUGUAAGUUAAAUAUCAUAUGAUACAAUACAUUGUACCAUAUGCAUAACUACUAUAUUAUUAUUUUAGAAAAUAAAAAAUGCAUUAUAUAUUAGUAAUAUAUUAUAUACAUAAAAAAAAAAUUGUAAGGUAUCUAACCACUUCUUAAUUAACGAUUGAUUAGUUUAAUUUUUAAAUAAUUUUAUGAUGUAUUAAUGAUCUUUAGCUUAACUACUAAAAUAAGAUAAUAAAUUAUGCCACAAAAGUAGCAACUAUUAUAGCUACUAAUUUGUUAAGGAUUGUUUUACACUUUUAUAUGUUUUUUAAUAAAAUAUUUAAUCUAUGAUUUUUAUUCCUUGCUUUAAAUUUCAAUUUUUAUUUUACUCUAAUUUCUAAUAUAUAAAUUCUGAUUUUUAAAUUUUAAAUUUUAAAUUUCUAAAUUUUAAAUAAUACAAAACUCAUAAAUCUUACAUUUUAUUUUUAGUCAAUUUUGUAAUUUAUAAAUUCUAAUUUUUUUAUUUUUUUUAUUUUCUAAAUUUUAAAUAAUAAAUAGUCCCAAUAAUAGGCAAAUAAUAAAGUUUCAAUUUUAUUUUUAAUCUAAUUUUUAAUUUAUAUUUUUAAUUUUUUAAUUUUUAAAUUCUAAAUUUUAAAUAAUAUAAAACAUAUAACAUCAUGAAAUGCAUUAAAUGUGCCGAGUUGUAGCAGCAUGCUACUCAGAUUUGGUUGUAGAGACGGCAUAAUGGAUGGUAUGGAGUAUUGGUUGGGAAAUGAAAUGAAAAGAAAGUGAAAUAAAAAAGAAAAAAACAAAUCUCCCAAGCACCCACGUAGCACUGGGACUUUGAAAAGUGAGAAGACUUUCUCACCAACUCUCCAUCAUUUGCCUGCAACUUUGAAAAUGAAAAAGAGCAUCACUUCCCACCACUUCUCUAACAUCUACCAUAACCUCCUGAACCUUCCACCAUUUUCACCAUCUCAUCUACCUUCUUAAAAAAUUGUUUCCCACUUGCAAGCCAUAUUCACCAUUCUCCACCAAAGUUUACCGAGCCGGCAAAGCUUCGUAUCUGCCAUUUUCAUAGGUCUGUUAUANNNNNNNNNNNNNNNNNNNNNNNNNNNNNNNNNNNNNNNNNNNNNNNNNNNNNNNNNNNNNNNNNNNNNNNNNNNNNNNNNNNNNNNNNNNNNNNNNNNNNNNNNNNNNNNNNNNNNNNNNNNNNNNNNNNNNNNNNNNNNNNNNNNNNNNNNNNNNNNNNNNNNNNNNNNNNNNNNNNNNNNNNNNNNNNNNNNNNNNNNNNNNNNNNNNNNNNNNNNNNNNNNNNNNNNNNNNNNNNNNNNNNNNNNNNNNNNNNNNNNNNNNNNNNNNNNNNNNNNNNNNNNNNNNNNNNNNNNNNNNNNNUUAUAAAUGACAUGUUUAUAUAAUUUUAUUUAUUUGUGCUUUACCACAUUGUUGCCUAGAUUUGCUUCAAGGAUUAGGUAAAAAUGUAGUGCUUUUCAUUUACAUUUUUAUUAUCACAAAAUGAAUUAUUUAGAGUUUGAACAACUUAUGUUAAAAUGGUACAUUACAUAAUUCCCUUUAUAAUUUGUAAUUAAAAAAAUAAUUGUUAAUUAUUUUAUUUAUUAUGUAUUAUAUCUUGGAAUGUUAAUUAUACCAUUAUUUUUAUCUUGUAAUUAUAAUUUUUUUUUUCAUAUUAAGACAAUAUAAGUUAGAAGAACUAAACUUGAUAAAAUAAGUUUAGGAAAAACAACAAACAUCUUUUUAUUAAUAAUGAAACUACAUGCAUGAAACCUUAGAUAUCUCGUUCAAGUAUUAGUGUAGGACAAGUGUAUCUGAUCAUAUACUUAUAUGUCUAGCAUAUGAUUAGUGAUUUGUCUUCAAAUGAUGCUUGAAUUGUCCGUUUGGACAGUUUAGGAAUGCAUAAUAUUUAUUCAAUCACUUAUUGGUGCUUUGUCCAUAUUGAAAGAUUAUGACAGUUAUUCCUAUUGUUCUCUGGGUGCAUAUUUGGACAAGGUGACAUAUUGUUAGUUGCUUAAUUAAGCUAACUAAUAGUUUGUUUGUGCCUUGGCCAAGUCAUGUACUUGGAGAAGUAUGGGGAAAUGCUGCCAAUUUUUUCUCAAAAUGGAUCUAAGCAACUUGGUGAUUGACUCUUAGAUAUUAUGCAAUCCUAAAUGGGAUAGGAACCACCACCUAAUUUAUGUAGGAAGUAUAACUCAUGCAUUAGAUUUUAACAUUUACAUGUAUAUAGCAAAAUAUGUAAGGUGAGUUAGAGUUUUAUGUUGGUUAAGCCCAAGUUUCCAUCUUAUUCAAAACAAGCCAAUGAGUUGGGUAAUUGAAUUUUAGUGCAAUAUUGGGGAAAAUGACAUUUCAUGGAAUUCAAUAUUGGGCAUAUGAAAUAAUAUGAGAAAAACAAUGUAAGAUUGAGAAAUAGAAAUCAAUAUUUCAUCUUUAUUGAAUAUGAGAUUCAUUUUUAAUUUACAGGAUAAUAAGAAUAGAUAGGGAUUGGAUGUGGUUGCCAAAUAGGUUAUCUAGAGAUUAUGUUGAAAGGGUCAAGUCAUUCAUUCAAGUUGCCAAAGAACACUUGCGAUGGGAUAACAAGACACGUUGUCCAUGUCGAGAUUGUCAAAAUGCACGAUUCAAUGAUUUGUUGACAAUUGAACGUCAUUUGAUUAGGUUUGGGUUUUCUAGAAGUUAUCAAAAAUGGAUUUUCCAUGGGGAAGAACAUGAAUCUCAACCUAAUGAGCAAAAUGAUAUUGGUGUUGAUAUAGAAAUUGUUGACGCUACUGAUGCUGAUAUCCUUAAUGAAGUUGUGGAUGCAUUAAAUGAUGCAUGUGGACAGAUAGACAAUGAUAUUAACUUAGAGGAAUCCACUACUCAUGGAAAAUUUGAUUACUUACUUGGUGAAGCUAAUAAAGAAUUGUAUCCAGGUUGUAAAAAGUUUUCUGCUUUGACAUUCCUUGUGAAGUUAAUGCAUAUUAAAGUCCUCAAUCAUUGGAGUGACAAGUCUUUUGACAUGUUACUCCAAGUUUUAGUUGAUGCUUUUCUAGAAAGAUCAAACAUUCCAAAGACAUACUAUGAUGCUAAGAAGAUGUUAAGAGAUUUGGGCUUAGGAUAUGAUUCAAUUCAUGCAUGCAAGUAUGAUUGUGCAUUGUUUUGGAAGGAGAAUGAGACUCUUGAUAAAUGUCCAAUGUGUGAUGAGCCACGAUAUAAGUUCUGUAAUGGAAAAAGUAAAAAAAUUCCUCAAAAAGUAUUGCGUCAUUUUCCACUAAAAUCAAGGCUACAAAGAUUAUUCAUGUCAAGGCAUACAACAUCAGAUAUGAGGUGGCAUAAAGAAAACCGAAUCAGUGAGGAGAGAGUCCUAAGGCAUCCAGCAGAUUCUGAAGCUUGGAAGGAUAUGGACACCCAAUUCCCUUGGUUUUCGCAAGAACCUCGAAAUGUUAGAUUAGGCCUUGCAACAAAUGGUUUCAAUCCAUUUGGGAGCAUGAGUAAUAGUUAUAGCAUGUGGCCAAUUGUUCUUGUGCCAUACAAUAUGGCACCAUGGAGAUGUAUGAAAGAGAUUUUUUUCAUGUUAUCAUUACUAAUUCCAGGCCCACAAGCCUUAGGGAGAGAUAUUGAUGUAUACCUACGUCCUUUGAUAGAAGAAUUAAAACAGUUAUGGCAUAAAGGUGUUCAAACAUUUGACGUGUCAAUAGGAGAAAACUUUCGCAUGCAUGCAUGUGUUUUAUGGACAAUAAAUGACUUUCCUGCUUAUGGGAACUUGGUUGGGUGGAGUACAAAAGGAUAUAAAGCAUGUCCAGUUUGUAAUGAAGACACAUCGUCACUAGGUAUUAGAAGUAAAAUAUGUUACAUGGGUCAUCGACGUUUUUUACCUCUUGAUCAUGGAUGGCGAAGGAGUAGACAACACGAUGGUAAGCGAGAGUUUUGACCACCGCCAAGAAUGUUCUCUAGUGAUGAAAUAUUGCAACAAUUGUGUUGUCUUAAACAUCGAAAGCCUGGUAAGCAUCCAAACAACGUUGAUACAAAGCGAAAACGGGUGCCUGAAGAAUUAAAUUGGACAAAAAAAAGUAUUUUCUUUGAGUUGGAGUACUGGUCAAAGUUGAAGUUGAGACAUAAUAUUGAUGUUAUGCAUGUUGAAAAGAAUGUAUGUGAUAGUGUUGUGGGAACUUUGUUAAAUAUUGUAGGAAAAACAAAAGAUACAAACAAAGCUCGCUUAGAUUUGGCUGAUAUGAAUAUAAGGAAAGAAUUGCAUUUGCAAAUACAAGGGAACAAAUUGGUAAAACCCCAUGCAUGCUACACAUUGACUGUAGAGGAAAGGAAAGAGUUCUGUAAGUUUCUAAAGUCUGUUAAAUUUCCAGAUGGUUAUGCUGCAAAUUUAUCUAGAAAUGUUAGCAUCAAUGAUGGGAAGAUCUCAGGGUUAAAGAGUCAUGAUUGUCAUGUUUUGCUGCAAAAAUUACUCCCUAUCGCUAUUCGUCCAUAUUUUAAUAAAGAUUUGUGUACAACACUGGUUGAGUUGUGUAGUUUUUUCCAAAAGUUAUGUGCAAAGACCUUGUACGUGAAUGAUUUGGAAAAAUUAGAAGAAGGGAUUGUCUUAAUAUUGUGUAAGCUUGAAAGGAUAUUCCCACCAGCUUUCUUUGAUGUCAUGGUUCACUUGAUGGUACAUUUACCACGUGAGGCCAAACUUGCUGGACUAGUUAGCUAUCGAUGGAUGUAUCCAUUUGAGAGGUACAUUUUUACCUUUUUUUUGUUUAUUAAUAUUCUCAUCUAACUAUGUUACACAAUACAUGUGUUAAGGUUUAUUUAUUUACACUAUUUCUAUUUAGGAACUUAGGAACAUUGAAAAGAUAUGUGAGAAAUAAAGCUCGACCAGAAGGUUCAAUUACAGAGGCAUACAUCGUGAAUGAAGCUUUAAUGUUUUGUUCAAUGUAUCUUACUGGAAUUGAAACACGUUUUAGUCAAAGUGAAAGGAAUGAAGAUCGAUUUGAACAUCGAGUACAAGGAUGCCUUUCCAUAUUUUCACAGCAAGCUCGACCAUUAGGCAGUCGACAACAUCUCCAAUUUUCGAAGGAAGAGUUAACUAAGGCACAUUGGUAUAUCAUGAAUAAUUGCCCAGAGUUGAGACCAUACUUAGAGUAAGUUUUAGAAUCAACAUUAAAGAUAUUUCUUUAAUACCUCGUUACUUAAUAUCUAUUUAAUGAUGUAGUGAACAUACAAAAGAAUUGGAGAGGACAAGUUCACAUAACUUAGAGAAACGACAAGAACAAGAGUUUCCUAAGUGGCUUGUAGAUCGUGUAAGUUUUAUUUGUGUAAUUUGCUUGCUACAAUAUAGUUGUAAUGAACUAAUAUAAUUUUAAUAAGAUUUAAUAUUAAACUAUAAAUAAUUAUGUAUAUCUAUAUUGUAGAUGAAAGCUUUGCGUGUUAAACAAUCACCAGAAGCAACUGAUGAACUAUACUCAUUAGCGUGUGGACCAGAUAAUCGAGUCCACACAUACAUGGGUUGUAUUGUUAAUGGAGUUCGCUUCCAUACAAAAGAUCAUGAUGAUCGGCGUAUCACCCAAAAUAGUGGGAUAUGUGUUUCUGGGGAGCAUGAUGGGGAGGAGGUUGAUUUCUAUGGUGUUUUAUCAAAUGUGGUUGUUUUGAACUAUGUCUUGAGGUAUAAGGUUAUUAUUUUCAAGUGCACAUGGUUAGACACAAACCAAAAGAAGAAGAGAAUAAAACAUGACUAUAAUUUUACCACAAUCCAAGUUAUCUCCACCUGGUAUGACAAUGAUCCUUUUAUACUUGCUACACAAGCACAACAAGUUUUCUACCUAGAUGACUACAAAAAUGGUCAUAAUUGGAAAGUAGUACAAAAAGUGAAUCAUAGACACAUGUGGGAUGUACCGGAAAGGGAUACUAAUAUAGAAAUCGAUGAAAAAGUGUGCGGGGGAAGUGAUGAAGAAGCUUACCAAGAUAAUGAAUCUCAUGAGCUUAACUGGUUUGUAGAGCAAGAUGAUGGAUUUGAAUUUCAACGAUCUGACCGCUUAAACAUUGAUCCAGAAGUUGUUAAUGAUAAUGUUUUGAUUUUAGAGAACAUGAAUGACAAUGAUGAUAACUUCAUAUGUGAUGACAUUGAGGAAGAAGAUGAAACACUAGAUGAUUAUGCUAAUGAGAAUGAAAUGUGGCUUUCAAGUGAUAGUGAAAGUGAAAGUGAUUAAAGAGACUGGUAAGCUACAUUUUAUUUACUUUAUUAUAUGUUAAAUAACAUAAUGUAAUCUAGGUCUAGUUCUUUAAAUUUAUGUUAUGUGUUGUGAUAUUCCUUUUGUAUUAUUAUUUAUUUGUCUUUAUUGUUAUUUUAUUAUAGAUGACUCCUGGACGAAAGCGGUCACCUUCUGAGUUAACUCAACCACCCACAACAACACCCAUGACUCCUUUUUAUGUCGACGUUCCAAUGCACACAUCCAAUGAGGGCACUAGUAGUUGUAAGAAACUUCUUACAUUUAUAUAUUUUACUUAUUAUAAUUUUGUAAGUUAUAUUUUUUUUUUAAUUUUAAAUUAUAAUGAGUUGUAAUUUAAUUUUAGUCUUUUUAUUAACUCUUAUUAAUUGUUAAAGUUUAAUCAAUAAUUUCAUGGUAGCACCUAAUAAAAGAAAUGUAAGAGGCAAAACUAGAGGUGUCAUUCUUGACAAACUUAUUGAAGCUAAUGGGGGCAAACCUCUUCCGAUCACAAUCAAGCCAUCUGAUGGGAAGCAAACAGGAAAAUAUUGUGAGAAAUUGUCAAAUGAGAUUGGGUUAACAGUGAGACAACAUGCACCUGUUAGAGUGGAAAAAUGGAACCAAAUGCCUCGAGCUGAGAUCAAUACAAUGCUUGAUCGAAUCAAGGUAAAGUUGCUUGAAAUAUAUAUAUAUAUAUAUAUAUAUAUAUAUAUAUUUUUGAGCUUGUAAUUAUAACUAAUUGUUGGUUAUCUCUAAACUUACUUUAUCUCAUAUUAGUUCUUCCCUUGUUUGACUAUGAAGGAAAAGUUUUCCCUAUAUUUGACACAAGAGCAUGUGAAGAAAAGUUUAGAAAAACAAUUAUCUGACCGCUUUAGAAAUUGGAGAUGCGAUUUGCACAAGCACUUCAAAAAGUUCCCAACUGUGGUGGAGGCUAAGUGAAAUCCUCAUGAAUCUGUGUCAAAUCAGGAAGAUUGGGACUAUCUUUGUGAUAGAUUUUGAAGUGAAGAAUUUAAGGUAAAGUUUUCAAUGAAUAAUCAUUCAAACCUAUUUCUUAUUGAAUAUUCUACUAACUAUAUUUAUAUUAUUUUCAAUAAUAACUAUUAUUACAGCGUCGUUCAGCAAUCAAUUCAGUAAAUAGAUCAAAGAUGCCUUUUCAUCAUCGAGGAGGCUCUCGUUCAUUUAUCCAACAUGGUCUACAAGUGGUAAAAUAUAAAACUAAGGUUCUUUAGUUAUUCAUAUAACUUAUAAUUCUUAAUAUUAAUGCAUAAUACUUGACAUCCAACAGAGAAUGGAGAGAUGGUUGGCCAAAUUGAACUAUUCAAACUAGUUCAUUGGAAAAGUCAAGAUGGAUGGAUAAAUCAAGAGGCUAGAGAUUAUUAUGUAAGAUUAUUUUGAUAGCUUUCUAUGUUUAAAUCAUGUUUGGGAUUAUGAAUCUUUGUGGAAGUGUAAUCGUGAUAGUUUAUUUACCAUGUGAUGAUAAAUAAGGCACUUCCUUGGUAGUUUUCAUAAAUCUAUAAAUUUUGAUUUGGUUAUUGAUUGCUUGGGUGUUCAAUGUUGUUAAAUUGAUUAAUAGCAGGGAAAAUUUGGCAAAGUCUAAAAAUUAGGAGAGACUAUGCCAAAAUUUCUAUUGAAAUUUUAUCUUACCAACUUAUUAUUAUAACUUUUCUUACUCAAAAUUACAUUUAAGAUUAUUAGUACUUGUAAAGUAUUAUUAUAUCAACUUGUAUACUAGAUUCUUAUUUCAAUUUUUAUAUUAUUUAGUGUGUGAUUACAAGCUAAUUAGGUUCUUCGUAGGUAGAAUCCUUGAAGUAAACUUUUGUUUGGGCAUUAAUUAAUCAUAAAUCUUUAUUGUUAAAUAUUUGAUUAUGUGGUUGGUAAAAAUUUGUGGAAAUAGUAAAGAAUUAAAGAGGGAUUAGUAUAUUAUUAACUUGAAUAUAUAAUAGGUCAAAUUUUUUGGAAAAAAAAACUAAGAAAUAUAAGAGAAUAUGCCAAAAUUUAAAUAGGAUUUUUAACUUGUUAACUUCUUGUUAUAAUUUUCUUUGCUUAAAAUUAAGUUGAGAUUCUAAGUACUUUUCAAUUUUUACCAUUUUAUUAUGUAUAUAAGAAUCUUGUUUAUGUGAUAACAAGUUUAGAUACUUUUUUUAGCCAUUUCUUUGCUUAAAAUGAAGUUUAGGAUUAUAUGUACUUGUGGGGUGUUACAAUAUUUGUACAAAAAAUAUCAUAUCCUUAUUUGAAAUCUAAUAUUAAGGGACUAUUCCAAAAUUUAAUUAGGAUUUUUAACUUAUUAACUUCUUGUUGUAAUUUUCUUUACUUAUAAUUAAGUUGAGAUUCUAAGUACUUUUCAAUUUUUAUCAUUUUAGUAUGUAUAUAAGAAUCUUGUUUAUGUGAUAACAAGUUUAGAUACUUUUUUAGGCCUUUAUUUGCUUAAAAUGAAUUUUAGGAUUAUAUGUGCUUGUGGGGUGUUAUAAUAUUUGUAUAAAAAUAUCAUAUCCUUAUUUGAAAUCUAAUAUUAAGGGACUAUGCCAAAAUUUAAAUAGGAUUUUUAACUUUAUAACUACUUGUUAUAAUUUUCUUUACUUAUAAUUAAGUUGAGAUUCUAACUAAUUUUCAAUUUUUAUCAUUUUAGUAUGUAUAUAGGAAUCUUGUUUAUGUGAUAACAAGUUUAGAUCAUUUUUUAGGCAUUUCUUUGCUUAAAAUUAAGUUUAGGAUUAUGUGUGUUUGUGGGGUGUUACAAUGUUUGUAUAAAAAUACCAUAUUCUUGUUUGAAAUAUAAUAUUAAGGGACUAUGCUGAAAUUUAAAUAGGAUUUUUAACUUACUAACUUCUUGUUAUAAUUUUCUUUACUUAAAAUUAAGUUAAGAUUCUAACUACUUUUGAAUUUUCACCAUUUUAGUAUGUAUAUAUUAUUCUUGUUUAUGUGAUAACGUGUUUAUAAACACUUUUUUAGGCAUUUCUUAGCUUAAAAUUAAGUUUAGGAUUAUGUGUGCUUAUGGGAUGUUACAAUGUUUGUAUAAAAAUACUAUAUUCUUGUUUGAAAUCUACUAUUAUUUACCAUAUAAUAACAAAUUAAGGCACUUGGAUGUUUUGUUGUGCUAAAAAUCAAUUUGAUUAUUAACUAAUUUGAAAUUCCAAUGCUUAUAUUUAUUAUAUAUAGUAGGUAUAAUUUAAAAAAUAUCUACUAAAUAUGGGAGAUCAUGCCCAAAUUUAAUGGAAAUUUAAUUUACUAACUUAUUAAUUAUGUUUUGGUUCUUUUUCUUUGUUUUAUUUUUUAUUUUGCAUAUAUAGGAGAAGAUGUUGGAGCUCCAAUGCCAGCCUAUUGCAGAAGGAGCUGUGGCUAUGACUGAGGCAGAAAUUUGUGAGAAAGUUUUGGGACAAAAAUCAGGAUAUGUCAAGGGCCUUGGUUUUGGCCCUAAACCAAUCUCAUUUUCUAAAUCUAAACCAUCAUCUUCUGAGCGUGAAAUUGAGUUGGAGCAUAGACUUACUGAGACUCAACUACUUGUGGAGACUCAACAACAAUAAAUUGAGACUCAACAAGAUCGAAUUGACCAAUUGGAGGCCUUGGUACAAAAACAAAAUCAACAACAUCAUCAACAAUUUGAAGAAAUAUUGCGUCAUCUAUGAUCAAGCCAAGGGUCCUCAUGAUCCCUUUUUUUAUGAUGUGCAUAUGAUGGACGUUCAUUUCUUUUUUUUUUGCCUAUGCUAAUAUAGUUGUUUUGUGAUAGACAUUUUGUUAAACUAAUACUUUAUUUUGUUUUGUAGUUAUAUUAGCGUAGAUAUUAUACUACUAUGAUCACAUGUUAUGGUUACAUAUAUUAAUUACCAAUGAAGUUAUGUGAUAUAUAUUUUGAUUUUUGUAAGCAGGUUUCAGAAUUAACUUUUCUAUUAUAAUUAAUGUUUUAAAUACCAAAUACCAUACAUUUGUAAUAUGAAAAAUAAAAAAUGUAAAUACAUUUCCUGACAAAAAAAAAUUAUUACUAAAGAUAUUUCCUGAUGAAAUAUUUUUGUUGCUGAAGAUUGUUGUAUCAUCCACAACUAAUUUAUAAUUCACUAGCAUACGUUUUAGGGACGAAAUCAUUUUGUAAAUAAAAGGAUUUAGCAACGAAAUGAAUUUGUCAGUAUUAAUGAUAAAUAUUUUAGUUCAAAAAAAUCCUUUAGCAAUGAAAUAUCUAUUUCACCAAGAAAAACUUUUAGUGACAAAAUGGAACUUUCGUUGGGAUUGCAAAGCAUAGGGAGACGAAAUUAAAUUGUUACAAAAAAUAUUUGGCAGCAAAAUAAAUUUGUCAACACUAAGUAUUGAUGACUUUGAGGACAAAAAUUUAUAUUGUUUAGUGGCAAAAAUUCUUACUUUUGUUAAUGAAAUAUUUCGUUGGGGAAAAUAUUUAGUAACAAAAUUUUUAUUUCAUCAGGGAAAAUAUUGGGCGACGAAAUAGGAUUUUUGUCGGGAUACUUUUAGCGACGGGUCUAGGGCGACGAAUGUGACAUGAAACAUUUUUCGUUGGGAAAUAUUUUUGCAGACGAAAUUUAGACUUUUAGUGACAAAAUAUUUUAUCAUUGAAAGUUAAUUUUCUUGUAGUGAUAUAUAUAUAUAUAUAUAUAUUAAAUGAAAACAAAUUGAAAUACUUUUGUAAAUAAAAUUGUAAUUUUUUUUGUAAAAGCAAGUAAAAAUCAUUUUUGUUGCCAAAUUGAAAUUUUGCAAUAAAUUAUUUUGAUAUAAUAAGUGAAAAUAAAUUUUUUUGAAAAUUAAAUACAAAUGAAAUUGAAUUAAAUCAUUAAUUAAAAAUAAAUUGAAACUUCUUUUUUGGAAAUAAAAAAAAAUUAAAAUCAUUAAUUUAAAAUCAUUUUUAAUAAAUACUUUGAAAUUUCUUGAAAAUUAUUUUUUUAAUAUAUAUUUUUUAGUUCAAUAAAUCAUUUUGCAUAAUUCUCUUAUUAAUUAUUUUGUGUAUUAUUGUAAUUAGAUUUCAUCAUUAUUUUUGUGUAUAUUAAUUUUCACCAUGACUUGUACAUACUCAUUUACAUGAUUAUUUUUCUUGGUAUCCAUAAUUAAUUAAUUAAUCAUCACAAUUUCCUUAAUUCAUUUAGUAGAGGGCAUACGUAUACAAGCUUAGAGGGGUGUUAGAGCUCAUUACCAUAUAUACCUUCCCAAUAUGUAACGGAGGACUCAAACUCAAUUUUUCACAAACUUGUUUUCACUUUGAGAGUCACAUUUAAGGUUUUUCUUUUUUAUUUUUUUUCCCUUAAAAAAAUAAAACAAAAAUUAGUAACGACUUCAAGUCUUUUUUAAAAAAUCAUGUUUUUCACCAAAUAAAUAAAAAAUGAGUCUUGCUGUCGAGUGGGGACGCACAUGAAAAACGUAGGUCCACAUCGAUAUAUUAUACUAUUUUUUAAUUUAUUUAUAAUUUAAAACUAAUUUCAUUUUUUAUAAGACCUCAAUUAAAUUUCUAUUAAUUAAAUUUAGAAUAUUUUUACAAAAUCAACAUAGAAAAAUUAUUUAAAAAAAAAAAAAACCAACUUGUAGACUCCCUCUCUUCAGCUC
rnacentral:lncRNA from 1 species